rnacentral:lncRNA from 1 species
CCGUGAAGGGAGCUCAGGCAAAGAUUUCAACUGCUUGCAAUGUUGUAACUUUAAACACAACAGUUUGGAAAGCUUCUUGAGGUUGGGCAGUGUAGCAAAAUUGUUACCACUUAAAUCUAGCCAUUCUAAGCAACACAUAUUUCCAAUAGCAUCAGGGAUUUCAACUAAAUUACAGAAACUUAGAUCAAGUUGACGCAUACAUGGAAAUAUUGGGGAGGAAGGCAUUGAGCAACUAACUGAUUUUUUAUGUUGUCUGGAGUAGGAAGAUGUUGAUUGGAAAUGAAUAGGAGCUCCAUCUAUACCAAUCUUCUUCAAUUGCCCUGCAUCCCUUAGUUCAUAUAAUAACUCGGUGUUGUACAGUUUUACACAGCCAGAGAGAUUCAGAUAUUUAAGAGAAUUGAGACCUAGUAUGCUAUUGGGUAAGCUUUCUAGAUUUUUGCAGUUUUUCAAAUUCAAUUCUCUGAGCUUUUCUAGUAAACCGAUGGAUGGAUCAAUGCGUUUGAGUUGUUUGCAGUUUUCCAUAUUCAAAUGAUCGAGGUUUUUUAGAAAACCGAUGGAUUGAUCAAUGUGACUGAGACUUUGACAUCCUUCGAGAUAUAGCUUUUUAAGAAUUAGGUCCUCUCCAAACUGUGGCAACUUGAUAAGACUUUUGCAAUUUCUCAAAUUCAGAGAAGUAAGCUUUCGUGAAAGAACGGACAGACCGAUCUCUUCGAGUUGUAUACAUCCUUCGAGAUCAAGCCACUCAAGAUAUAGGGCAUCUCCAAUAUAUGGCAUUUUUAUUAGAUUUUUGGAGCCAGAGAGAUCCAAAUGCCUCAAAUUGGGUAGAGGCUACAAUACAAGACCAAUAGUAGGAAACAAAAUUAAUAAUGACAUUCAGCCUUUCUUUUGUUUCUUUAAUUAAAUAGAGAAAAAAGGAUUAUCUUAAGAAAGUUUGCCUUUUUAUUUGUUUAUUUAAAUGAAAACAAUAUAGAAAAAUAAUAAUAAUAAUAAUUGAUAUUACCUUUCUAUCUUCCCAAAGUUGUUUGAUGUUGCUUUUAGGUAGAAUCAACUCAACAAGUUUGUCCGGCUCAAAACUUGGUGGCAAACACUCAAAAGGAUACUUUACCCAAGUAAGAUAUCCUAAUUCAUUGGAAAGCUUAGUAAGUGUUCCUGAAUAAUUGAUUUCGUAGCCAGCGUAUCUAAAUUUGAGAAGUUUAAGGUUACUCAUUGUUGAUAGAGCAUCCACCCUCACUGUUGGAAGAAAGUGAGAGUCUUCUAAGUCAGAGUCUUCUUCUAAGUCAUAGUCUUCUAAGUCAGAGUCUUCUUCUAAGUCAGAGUCUUCUUCUAAGUCAUAGUCUUCUAAGUCAGAGUCUUCUUCUAAGUCAGAGUCUUCUUCUAAGUCAUAGUCUUCUAAGUCAGAGUCUUCUUCUAAGUCAGAGUCUUUUUCAAUGUCAUAGUCUUCUUCAUGAACUAUGGCCUCAACAUUUUCUGUUGCCUUGAACAUUGAAAAGAGGAAAGAACUAUGGCCUCAACAUUUUCUGUUGCCUUGAACAUUGAAAAGAGGAAAGAAAAUAUUAGAUAUUUAAAAGUAUUUACAAAUUCUAGAAUAAUAGUAGGACUUUAUAUUUAAAAAUUAUUUUACCUUAUUAUCCAACGAAACUAUGUUGAGAUCUUUGAAAUCCCACAACCUACUCCACUUCCAUGGAUUCCAAGGUGAUUUUUCUCUAACAAUAUACUUGCCCAAAUUGCGCAAAACGUCAUGCAUUUCAACUAUCCUACGCAUGGUUAUAAGUGAUUUAUCAACGAGAACUUGUAGGCCGUAUUCGGGAUUAAAUCCACGAAAAUCUAGAAUUUCCUUCACAUAUAUCACAUCAUGAUCGUACAAGAAACAUGCAAUAUCUAGAAAUAUUUCCUUGUGUGUAUCCUCCAAUUGAUCAAAACUUAUUCGCAACACAUCCAUAAUACUUUUACUUUCUCUUAAGGAAACCAAUGCACUCCCCCAAUAAGAGACAUCUUUACCAAACAAAGAUGAGCCCAAUACUUCAAUUGCUAAGGGAUGACCUUCACAAUGUGAUAGUACAUGAGAAGUCAACGUUUUAAAAUCACUCAUAAUAUAAUUAUUUUUAAAUGCAUUUUUGCAAAACAAUCGAAGAGCAUCGGUGUCAUCCAAUGGCUUCACUUGGUAAAUAAGAUCUGCUCCACGUGCCUUCAAUAUUUGUUGAUCCCUAGAAAUUAUAAUGACUAUGCUUCCUCUACCAAGGCGUUCACGUAACAGAUUCUUUCUAUUCGCAGUAAACAUAUUAAGCUGUUUAUCUUCUUCAACAUUGUCAAGAACUAUAAGUGCCUUUGCAUUGUGUAGCCUCCUCCAUGCCAGUUCUGUUCCAUAAGAUAAAUUCCAAAUCUUUAGAUUUGUUUCAUUUAGAGACUGAGAAAGUAAGUCUUUUUGUACACCUGCUGAACCUUCCAGUCGAUAAAGUUUGCUUACGUCAUCAAUAUAACAAGAAGAAUUAAAUUGAUGAGAGAUUCUUUCAUAUAAAGCUCGACCAAGAGUGGACUUUCCUAUUCCACCCAUCCCAGUAAUUCCAACAACUCGAACAUCAUUAACCGGCCCCAGCUGCUUUGAUAAUGUAGAAAAAUGAGAUUCCAUCCCAACUAGAUUAUCAUUUCGAAGAAUAGAAAAUUUGCAACCCACGAUUUUUUUUAUCUUCUGAACAAUUUCAUCAAUCACUGUAGGUUGUUCCCUAAAAGUUUAGAGAAAACAAAGAAUGGCAAAUCAUCACCUAAGGGAACCAAAACAGAGCGUACAUGCAUAGAAGAAGAUAAUAACAUAUAUAGUACUUUUUUCAUUUUUAAAAUAUUAUUUGUAUUAAACAUGUAUCUCCAGUUUAAAGAUUGUAAUAAGUAAUACAUUCAAGAUAACAGCAUUAGUAAGAAAUGAUAAAAAUAUAUUGUAUAUGCACGUAACAAACCAACAGAAGAUUACUUACUUAUUUCUGAUAUCCCAACCAGAGAGACUGGCUACUCGUUCCAGAACUUCUCUCCAUGUUGUAAUUUCCUUCUCUUGGAACCUGGAACUUUGUUGGUGUUGGGCAAAGGCUUUCUCAUAGUCUCCACUCAGUUUUCGCACUUGUGAUGGAUCAACAUCAUAGAAAAUAGGCAGAAGAUGUCUGGUAGAUGGUUGAAAGCAAUUCCAGAUAUGUGCUAGUUCACGCAGGCACCAAGUUGAGGAAGCAUAGUCCUUGGAAAAGACAACAAGGAAAACAUGAGACCCUUCAAUGGCUCGUAUUAGCUCUGGUGCUAUGGAUUCGCCUUUCCUGAUAUCUUUAUCAUCUUUGAAGGCCUCGAUGCCUUGUUUUUUCAGAGCUUCAAAAAGAAAAGCGGUGAAGCUGUUGCGUGUGUCUUCACCGCGGAAGCUCACAAACACGUCAUACUCAAACGAAGAAGAAGAAGAAGAGGUGCAUUGGAUGAUGGCAUUAGAAGCAGAAGCCAUUACAAUUGCAAAACUGUGAAGGAAGAAGAACAAGUGUUUGUGGAUAGAAAUAAUGUAUGAAGAAAUAUAAAUACGCAGAGUUCAGAAAUUUCUUGGCAGCUGCGAGGGGUUGUUGUGAUGAAGGGAAAAUUGUAGGAAAGUGGUUUUGGGGGCAUGCAUGUGAAAGUGUCAGCUAAUAAUUGAAUGUCAGCUAGUGUACCCACUUGCUAUUGAAUGAAGACUUGGUUGAUGUUGCUGCUUCAUCAUUUCGUCGGGGCUUCCUAUCAAACUAUUUUUUUUUUAUAUUUUUAUGUGUUUUGUGACGAAGGGCAUUCAUGUGAAAGUGUCAGCUAGUGAACCCACUUGCUAAUGAAUGUGAGAGGGCUCAUGUGACAUAUCUAACGGUGACGAAGGGAGGUUCGUGGAAAACGAGUUAUGAAUUUCCCCCUAAUAAUUGAAUUCAGACUUCGUUGAUGUUGCUGCUUCAUCAUUUCGUCGAUGCUUCCUAUCAAACUAUUUUUUUUUUUAUAUACUUUUUCUAAUUGUUACCUUCUCAAAAUAUCUGGUUAUUGAGUUUGUUACUUAAAUUUAGGUUUUUUGUUCUUAAGCCAUGAAAUAUUGAAAUGUGUUAUUAAAGGAAUGCUGUUAAAAGGAUUAUCAAAGAUUUUUUUUAAGAGGAGGAUUAUUAAGAUUAUUUAUUAUUAAAUAAAAAUUUUAAUUGUGUAUAACCUGUUAAUGUAAUUUUGUAAAAGACAUUAUUUAUUAAAUAAUUAUUUAAUAUAAAUUCAAUAUUUAAAUAAUUACAAAAUAAGAAAAAUAUUUAGUGUGUGUUUAGUUUUAGUUGAAACAUUAUUCAUGAGUUUAAAAUUGAUUUUGGAUAUAUUCUUAAAUUGGUUGGUUUAAUAUUAGAGAAUAAUUUAAAAUUGAUUUUAAGUUUAGAAUUAAUUUCGCGUUAAAGUAAUUUUUGGUAAUUUUUGAGUUAGAUCCAAAAUUUUGCCGCAAGUGUUACUCUAACUUGAUUUUUUAAUAAAAACAUCAAAACAUAAAUUCAAAAUCAAUUUUAAUUAAAAUAAAUUAUAUUUAAGAUAAAUUUUAUCCAUGAUCAUUCAAACAUACACAUUUAGUCCCCCUUCACUGAAUUCCUUCUGGAUUGGUCCCUCGUCAUAGAUGACAACAAAAAUAUCAUGUAGGCAACUCCUUUGAUGUGUUCUUCCUUCAUUUUAAUGGGAUAAAGUUGGUCACACAGGCAACUUAAUAAUGUGUAACUUGGCGCACAUGACAGUUAAAGUGAGAAGGGAAUGUUUAGUAGGGGUGAAAAAUAAAAUUGGUGAAAAUUAACAGAAGAAUCAUUUUGUGGUGAGUUUUAUAAGUUUAGAAAAAAAAAUAAUAUACAGAGAAUUCAAAGAUUAAUUAAAUGGCUAGUCAAUAGGAAUUUCACGGAUAAAGUAAUUAUUAGUACUAAUAAUGUAAUUAGUAGUAGUACGCAUUAUCAAGUAAUAUAAUAGUAGUGUUAGCACAUUUUACCAAUAAAAAAAGGUAACAGUAGUUAAAAUCACAUAAUAUAAUAAACAAACAAGUUAUAGACUCGUACACGGCAUGAGUGCAGUAAAAUUGUACAAAUAAUAUAAUUUUAGACACUCUAAGAGAUAUUAGUCUCUAUAAGUGAAAAUAUUCAACAAUUCCUCAAAUAUUAAUAAAGAAAAAGGGAAAUGUUAAUUUUAAUCACCCUCAAAUAGAUUUUGAUAUGCACUUGAGAGAAACAUAGUAAAUUAGUAAUUGUAAAUUACCCAAACAUAAUACAUAUUUAGUACCCAAAAUUAAGAAGCUAAUGACAAGCAUAAUUUCUUAUUUGAUUACCCAAAAUUAUAUAAUAUUUAUUUUAAAAUUAAUAAAGAUAUUGAUUGACUUGAUGUUUUUUAUUUGUCUAAAUCAUAUGUUAAGGGGGAAUAAUUUUAUAACAGUUAGAUGCCCACGUUUGAUAAUUUAUGUUUUUAUUUAAAUAUUCCUAAGGUAGAGUUUUUUUUACAUAAAUAAAGAUAUACAGAGAUUUGUUUCUUUUAAAUGUUAGUAAAAAAUACUGUUUUUCUUACCUUUUCAACUAAAAGCAUUAAUACAAAAAAAAUGAAACAAAGGUUAAGGUCUUGUUAUCCAUAAACAUUUAUUAUCUCAGUUUUUGAGUAAUUAGAUGGAAUAACUUCCAUAAAAUUAAUUAAAGUACACGAGUUAAUUUUAACAUACAAAAAAUUCAAUUCAUUUUUAUUCUUCUUUUUCAUAGAGUGUAUAUAGAGAAUUUACGGGCAUAUAAGAAAAGAGUUGUUUUAGAAGAAGAGGACCCAACUUGUAAAUUCAACCUAUUGCGCUUCCCGCCAUUUCAAUCAUCAACUUCUAACUGUUCAUUUCAUUUAGCCAAAAGAAAGAAUACCAACAUAGCAAGAGAACAAAGAGAAGAAGCAAAGAGACCUUCUACGAUCAUCAAUGCCUGCCAAAGUUUAUAUUGUGUAUGCAGUAUGCUCACAUUUUAACCUUUGUUGUCUCCUUUAAUUGAUUCUUUAUAUAUGUGUGCACUCGUGUGUUAUAAUUAUAACUUGUUAAUCAUUAUCUGACAUGCAUGAUGCAUGCUUCUCAGUAUGGAAUUUCGUUCAUUGGGUUUCUUUUAUUUCUUCAAUGGGUUCUUAAAUUUGAAAUCUUUUAGAUUUCAAUGUUCUUUGAAGAUCUUGGUGUCUAACUUUGAAAGAUAUGAUGCAUUCUUGCUCUGAUUCUGUUUUUCCCUCUGUUCUGUAACGAUACAAUGGUUUGUUUGAUCAUUGGGGAUGUUGAGAGAUUUUCCAUAGGAGCCAUGAAUGCUGAAAGUCUUGUGCUUUUCUAUUUUCCCAAUUUGCAAGAAAACUUGAUUGUGUUCCUGAUUCAUUGACUUUCUGAAUCAUUGAACAUCUUCUUUGGCAUUCCAUCAUUGCCAUUUUCUAUAAUGAAAGCACAUUUCAAAAUUGUUACUCAAUUAGAAAAUAGGUUUUCAGAGCUUGACAAGUUGUAAGCUGUGUACAGAUAAUAUCCAUCUACAAUGAUUUGCAAAUAUAACAAUCAACUAGUUCUUAUUUGAUAUUUAACUUUCCUUUUGUUUUUAUCCUUUUACUGAUAAACUAUAACCUUGGUGUUUGCAGUAUCUACCUUUUCAUAAUGUGAUUUUCAUUUCCUCUUUCUGUUGUAUUGUCCCCAAUAAUAUUGCUCAAUUUCCCUUUUCAUUUUCAUCUUGUACUGAAUUAUUGACGAUGUUUCUAUCACCUUCAUUUACUGAACGAUUUUUUUUUUUUUUUUGCAGGUAUUACUCAAUGUAUGGUCAUGUGGAAGCACUAGCUAGGGAAAUAUUGCGCGGGGCUAAUUCUGUAGAGGGUGUUGAGGCCAAACUGUGGCAGGUGUGUAUAUUUGUUACAUUUAUCACAAUUCCUAAUUCAAUGCAUUCUAUUUAGUUAUAGCAUAAAAUUGCAAAUAGUAACCAACUAAAGUCCAGUGCUAAACCUUAUUCCUCUGUGCCUCUAUGGAGCAGAUAAAUUUCAUGAAAUUAAUCAGCAUGUAUUGCCCCAGUUGCAGUGGCUCCACUUUAGGUUGAUAAAUAGUUUUAAACUUAAUAUCAUUGUUGCUGCCAUCUGAUCUGAAUGUCACAAAGUUAGAUUCAAACUUUCUGUUAGCUUGGUUCCUUCACUAUAACCAUAUUUUACAAUGGCCUUCUGACAGGAGAAUUCAAUGGCCGUAAGCCCUUGACUGAUCUAAUAAUUUCAUGUCCUAAGUUUUGCUAUAUGUUUUAGCACAUAAUUCAUUUAGGGAAAAAUCAAUUUUUCCUGCCUUAACGCUUGAUGUAACAAAACUUGUGACUGUAAUUAAUUUGGACACACAUUUCAAUCAUGUUCAAUGAUUCGAAAUCAACUCUAUCAAAUUUUAAACAAAGUCAUCUAGUCUCUAUGAAUCAUAGUAUGAAAAAGACUUCCCAAAUUUGCUCUUGCUAAAUUCUAGAAGGGGAUGCAAAAUCCUGUUUCACAUUCUCCUUUUCAAGAAGGCAAGUAAACAUUUGCUCUUGCUAAAUGCUGACUAUAUUGAACAUUUCAACCUAUGAGCAGAUACCUGAGACACUGCCACCUGAGGAGCUUGUUAGGCUGAGAGCACCACCAAAGAGUGAUGUACCAAUCAUUAACCCUUUUAAACUGCCCGUGGCUGAUGGUUUUGUCUUUGGUUUUCCAACAAGAUUGGGAAUGAUGGCUGCUCAGUUCAAGGCUUUCCUGGAUUCAACUCAAUAUCUAUGGAAAGCGCAAAUGCUUGCGUGCAAGCCUGCUGGAAUCUUCUAUAGCACCAGUUGCCAAGGUGUUGGACAAGAGACUGCGCCGUAAGACCCUCUCUAAUCUCAAUGUAGUUUCUUAAUCAAUUCCUAUGAUAUGAUUGAUGACUGAAAUAUUGUUGUUAGAAAUUUAAGGGAAUUCCUCUUGAGCAUAGGAAGCCUCUUCUUUUCUAAUAAUGUGAUGUCAUACAUGAUUAGAGGAACAAAACAUUUUAUAAUAAGUUCACAUACCUUAAUGAAGAGAAUGAAUUUUGAACUUUUCUUAUUUCUAUUUGAAGUCAUUAAAACAGAAACAAGAUUUUUGUAUCUAUAACUUCAGAAAUGUCAACAAUUCCAAGAAAUUCAGUCUUUUAAGAACACUUCAAAGUGGUUAAUUCUUUGGAUAAGUUCUAAUGUAUGUUAUUAAUGACAUAUGUAGACUCACAUGUUGAACAACAAUAUCUUACCAUUAUGCACUAAUGAGAUUAGAAAAUUCUGGAAUCUAUGACAGGUUUACUGCUAUCACUCAACUGGUUCAUCAUGGAAUGAUAUUUGUUCCAAUAGGAUACACAUUCGGUCCUGGCAUGUUCGAGAUGAAGGAGCCGAAAGGUGGAAGUCCUUAUGGUGCAGGAACUUACACUGGUGAUGGCUCUAGGCAGCCAACUGAGCUUGAGUUGCAGCAAGCAUUCCACCAAGGGAAUCAUAUCGCCACCAUCAUAAAGAAGUUCAAGGAAGAUGCUCACCCAAUUUUUACUCUACACAAUAGAGGAUAUUGAUUUGUGUUCUCUGUGCCUGAAAUUUUCUAUUUUCAGAAGAAAAUUCUAUGUGCUGAGUUCUAUUUUUGUGUUAUAGAUACACUGUUUAGCGAUACUUGCUAAUGAGAAGUUUGUUUGUCUUUUCCUUUUGGUUUUAGGCUUAGAAGACACUUGUUCCCUUUUUAUGUAAUCCCCUCAUGAAUGUUAGUGCCAACAAACUAGCACAUAUACAUUGAGACAUAACAAAAAUUGCAUAGUUUGAGGAAAUUAAACUAGACUACAAUAUGCUCUGUGUAUGCAGGAAGCCACUUCAUUUGUCCUAGCAAUUGAAAAUAUACUAUGCUAAUAAUUGGGAUAUGUAUCAUUUCAGGUCUAGUGAUAUAGAUUAUUGGUUAUGUAUAUACUAUUCAAACGUUCCCUAAAGCAAGUUCACUCAUUGGAACAAGCAAAGCUAGUUUUAUAUGAAAAGAGCAAACCUACUUUACCAUGCAGCAUAAAUUUUCAUGUCCUUCAUUAUACAAGUUAGAAUAUUACAUAACUUUUAAACUCGAUAUUGAUUCUAAGAGAUAGUUUGCCUAUUUUGAUAUCUACCAAAUGAAAAUGGCACCUUCUCCCUCAAAUUCUAUCAGAUUCAUUUUUGUUAAUUUUGUCAUCAAUUCCCCUCUGCAUAGGUUCUCAUCACGUGUGCUGUUUAGCAAGUCCUUCUUAAACCUAUACAAAUAUAUAUAGGCAUGAUUUAAUUUUUAUAUACUUCAUUUUUUAUAUAAAAAAAUCUUUGAGAAAACUAUGCACACACACAUCAGUAUAUAAUUGAAACGAUACUGAUUAGACAGUCCAUGCGACAUAAGUAGGCAGCUGUCACAAAGAAGAGAAAUAUUCUGAUACACAUUGAUUUUUCUUCACCUUUGAUAUGAAAAAAAAUCCAGUGUCAUGUGAUUCUCAAAGCUUUUUCGUAUUCUUGUCCAUUUUUUCCCUUCCUAUCAUUGGUUUGUGUCCAAUUUUCUACUUCUAGCUUUGCGGCAUCCAAUUCCACCGUUUCUUGGCAAAAGUUAUUUGUCUACCCUCAUAUCUUUUCUCAGCUAGCUAAACUAGCCACUCUCUUCAAUUUAAGCAGCCAAUUUUUCUGUCAUUUUUUUUUCUUUUUCUAUAUUCCAUUGACACAGUCCUUUUCAAACAUGAUGAAAGUAGACAAGACAUACACAUGACUAGCUCAGAAAACUUGGAAUAGAAUCUACAGAAAAGUUUGUUGUGACCUUGUAGUAUAACUUACUAGAGCAUGUUUGGAUUAGAUAUUUUUUUCUUACACUUCAGUUUGAUUGAUGGAAAAGGACUGAUGGAGUUACUGUUUAAAUAUCUUUUGUAAUUUAGAUUAUAAUUGUUAAUAUAAUUUUAACAUAAUUUAAUUUACAUGCGCAGUCAAUUUAAAAGUCUUUAUAUUAUCAAUUAGAUAGAAAUACCAUGAGAAAUAUGGCCUUUAAGGUAAUUACUGCAUGUCAAAUAAAUAAACUUAUCAUAAAUGUAUGAUAAUUUGUGAUUAGAUAAGAGAGUAAAAUUCUUUUAAUCAUACAUUAUUUACUCAUUUUAAAAGAGAAAACAUUUUUUUAUAAUAAGUAAAAUUUUAAAAACAAAAUCAACUAUUACAAGUAACUUGAUACCAUUUUUGUAAUUAUUCUAUAUAAAAGCAAUUUUUUGAGACGAUUCAAAGAAAAUACAUCUUAUAAUCAGUUUUCAUCUAAUAUAUACAAAUAUAAAUUAAGUUCAUUCGUAUAAUCAAUUAUAGCAAUAAUUGAUUAUAUCUGUUAUCAAUUAUUGAAAUUAUUUGUUUUUCACCGCAGUGAUUAGAUGAACUUAUUGCUCGUUCCUCUGCUCAAGUGCUUAUAUAAAUGCUAUACAUGAUUAGAGUAGAGAAGUGAAAGUUAAGCAAAUGUAUCUCUCUAGAGUUGCAAUGGAUGCCAUAAAAAGUUGAGAAAAGGCAUAGGAAUUAUGGAAUCUAUAGAAAAUUGAUAUAGGCCCAAAUAAUUUGAAGAUUCUAUUCCUCCUCUCUUUUGGUCCAUGUACUGUGGUAUCUACGAAAUUCAUAUUGAUUAGCAAUCAUGUUUUAGCACUAUGCGACAGAAAUUAUUAAAAACAAUGAAACAAUAUAUCUUAUACCAGCUAAAGAACAAAACAGCUCCAAAAUAAUUUUAAAAAAUAAAUAUAUUAUUAUUAUUAUUAUUGCUCUUGAGUGGCAUAUUCAUGAGAAAAAGGUGCUACAGAAUGCUCUUCAAACGGUUAGAAAAACUAUAUUUAUUUUACCAUUAAUUAUUUUCAAAAUGAAUGCGCUCAAUAUACGGUUCAUUAUGUACCUUAUAAUAUAUAAUUAUUACUCCACUCUAAUGCUAUUGGAGAAGUAUAAAGAUGGUAACUAAUUAAGAAAACAGUUAUUGCUAAUCCCUCCCAUGUCUCUUAUUCACUUCUAACAGCUUCUUCCAUACUAUAUACCUUUGUGCCAAAUGUUUUCCACAUAAAUAAGGGAAUAGCUUAUUCCUCUCAUAAUUUAUUUAAAUUAGUUGAAUAAACUUUGGUUGAUGAUGAGAUAACCCCUGAAAACAUAGUUAAAUCAUGUACGACAGUUUCUCUAGUGAAGACAAAUUUUUGUAGAAAAUAAUUAUUAGACUUGAAUAUAAUGUGGAGCCCCAUGACAGACUAGCUUUGUUCACAUAAUAAUGGCUAAUGCUUAAAUGCUUUAUGUUAAUUUGAAUUAGUUUAUGUUCUGAUCUUGCUAGAGAAGUUUGAAAGUGAGAUUUGUUGGUAAAGUACUUUUUGAGCUGAAGGGGUAAUUCUUCCUGGCCCAAGACAAAAUAGUUUAUAAUACUCUCUGGCCAAUAGUGUCCAAGUCAUACCAAGUGGCAAGGUUUGAAGAUAUGCCAAUCUAGUAAGUUUAUAAUUCUAAUAUUAUGUCAUUAUAAUAUGCCAUUCUAUUAUGCCCUUAUGAAUUUUGUUGUUAUUAUGUCUCAAUUUUUCUAAUAUACAACAGCAAAAAGAAGAAUAGCAUCGGGUCUUAUCCCCAACAACCUUUUCCAUACAUUGUAUUAAACCUGAGAUAUAAUUUCUUUUUUUUUUAAAAAAAAAUCCUCACUCAACCACCACUUAAGUAUGUAGAUAAACCAGUUAUUUAUCAACCAAAAAAAGGUGCGGUUCACGGAUUGGUUUAUUUUAAAGAAAUAAUUAUUUUAUUGCCGAUUUUCUUGAAUUUUUUUUAACAAAUAAUUAUCCCUUUAAAUUUAAACUUGAUCCAAAGAUUUCAUAAGUUAACUUAAUUAAGUUUAGUAAUUGAUUAUCCUUUAACAAGGGACUAAUUUUAUCAUUUCAAAGUGGAAUCUUUUUAUUAUUAUUAUUAUCUUUUUACCAAAACGUAUAUCUUUAUUAUUAGAUAUUAAAUAUUAUAUGAACAGAGGAGAUUAAAUAUUAGAUUCGGGUGACUUUUAUAAAAUAAUCAUGUAAGCUUAAAAUAACUUUUAAUUUAGAUUAUUUAAUUAUGUAUUUUUUGUUUAUCCAGGGUGAUAACAAGUGUCUCUUAAUUCAAGUCAGACUAAUUUUUUUUUAUGUGUGAUUAUUAUUGGUAAAAAAGAUUUACACAUAAUAAGAAUAAAACAUAGAUCCUCUUAUUUAAAUAAAUCAUUUUUCUUAUUAAAAAUAAACAAACCUUACAUUUCAAUCUUAUGAGUUACAAUUUUUACUUAUAGAUUAAUUAAUAAUAAGAGAAUAAAAAUAACAUAAUUUGAUUUCUUAUCUUUGUUUUCGCAAACAUAUGAUUAAUUUAAUUUAUAUAUCAUAUAUAUGCUCAUUUGAAUUGAUUAAUAGUACACAAUAAAUAGAAAUUCUACUUUUUAUUUUUAUUUUUAUUUUUUUAGUAAUAUUAUGUAUUCAACAAAUUUGUUUGAUUAAUAGGGUUAAUUUUAUAUUUUGAUAAAUUGAGGAAACAAUAAUCGAUUUGAUAGCUGCUUCAGCAACUGCAACAAGCUAUAACAAAAAUUGAAAAAAUAUUCCCUAUGCAUAGGUAUAUAGUCAAAAUUUAUUUCUUUUAUUCUUAAAUAAAAAAAAAGCUCUCUUUCUCUUUCACUUAAUAUAUUUUCAUUUUCGAGAAAAUAAUUGAUUAUUUUCAUAAAAAUCUUAGAAAAGCUAAAAGAAUAUAUUUAUUAAGCGAAUCCAAAUAAGUACUAAUUAACCUUGAAAUUAUUCCAACUAGAUAAUAAAUUAAAAUCUAUGUUCAAAUUUUUUUACUUAUGUGGCCAUUAAAUUUCUUUUUUAACCAUGAUAUUAGUAUAAUGUUGUUUUUACUAAAAAUAGUAAUAAUAUUUUGUCAGAUAACUUUAAACAUAUAUAAGAUGAUGAAUAUUUUUCUUUCAAUAUGAUAUAUUUCAUAUCUAAUAAUUAAGUAUGAUUCGAUCAUUAAUCACUAGAUUAAGAAACAUAAAUUUUGUAAGUUUUCUACAAUUUUAAUUCUUUUUAGGAAUAAGAAGGGAGAAUAAUUACGUAUGCUCACGUCAUUUAAAAUCUGGACCAUUUGCAGAACUUUGCUGAGGAUAAACACUUGUGGGUUUUCUCUUUUUACAUGUGCUUCCAAUAGAAGCCCCUGUAUGUGACCAUUCAUCACAAAACACAAAAGCAUGUAUGCAAGCAUCUCCAAAAUAUAUAUGGUAAAUGUAAAUUAAUGUUUAAUUUGAACACAAUUUUGAAACAAAAAAUGAAAGGGGCGCAGUGUGGGCCACCCUCUGACUUCCACUUACAUAUUCUAAAGAAAUAAACAAAUCAAAAGUGAGAUUUCCAAUCAAAUGACAUAUCCCACACUCACUCACUCUUCUAUAUUUCAAUGAUACCUCCAAAUUAGUUUUUUACUUUUCCUUGAACUAAAGCGGUAGUUCCAGCUCUAUUCACAAGAAAACAACAAGAAGAAAAAUUAACAAAGCUCCUUUAUCAUCUUCUGCUAACAACAAUUUUUCUAUCUAGAGCUUAACCAAGAAAAAUAAACAAAGCUCCUUAAUUUAUCCCUUGUCACUCCUAAUCCCCCACGACCCCCUUGUGUGCAUGAUACAUAAUUCAACAAUUAUUAAAAACAACUUACAAAUUAAUAUAUAUUGUGCUCCAAUGGUCCCAAAAAUUGGCGGAAAUUAAUUACCUUACCCUUGCAUCAUUCUUCAUGUAGUUGGUCCAUCAAUAUGACCCUUCUUGUGAAGGGUCAUUUCCCUUUCUUCCCUCUCUUUUCAACUCUAUAUCCUUUUUUUAUUAAAUAAUAUCUUUAAUUUCCAUCAGAGGAAGAACUAACUAUACAUAUUUAUGUGUGGCCUUUUUUCUCUCCUGCUCCAUAUCUUUUUCUUUCAUCUCAUCAUUCCCAACUUGGCCAGGGUUUGAUAUGACAUGCAUGUUGUUGUUGUUGUUGUUGUUGCUGAGAGUACUCCUUCCGUGCCACUUUUUGCCACCCAUUAUAAUUAAUUAAUGAAGCUAGCUAUCUGUAAGUUCCUCCAAAUGUUGGUGUCCAAUACUCAACUGUGGGUUCGUGAGUCACUGGAAAUGUACUAGAAACUGGCACCAGACAUAGCCCUCGGCUUCUAAGAUCCUGCUUUGGACCCUCAGAUUCCUUAGAUUUUCCAGAACUCUGAAAUAAAAAGGACAAACAAAAAUACAUUAUAAACCCUUUAAAUUUGAACAAAAUUAUAUAUAACCAUUAAUGCAUAUAGUGGUUAUAUUUAUAUUUCACUCUUAAAGCCUAGUAAACUAACAAUACUGUAAUACAAGUAUACAACUAUGAAUUUCAUGUUUAUAAUUAAACUGAUUUCGAUAAUUUUUCUAUAAGAAAAAAGAAUGAAUUAAACUCCCCUCAUAUACUAAUUAAUUUACGCACUUAAUUUUAUAAGAGUUAUUUCUCAUUAACUUCAUAAAAAGCAAAGGUAUUUGAAUCUGUGAUAGAAGUAUAAUGUAUUUUAUCUUUUUACAGUAGAAGUAAAAUUGGACUAAAAAAAAAAUCAACAUAACAAUAUCGCGAAGAAUUUGACGUUUAAAGAUUCAGUAAGUCAUUUUGAAGUUAAUUUUUAGGAAAUGUAUCAAUCUACGUAUACUACCUGCUGAUGCUGUAUGGGAGCACCACUUUUCAUAUACGGGGUACUUAGCACCUACAAAAGACAGAAAAUAAACAAGAUUAAAAAUUCGCUGAUAUUAUAAGCUUUCUGAAUAAUCAAAUCAUUAAUGGGAAUUUGAUGGGACUUACAGUCACUUGUUCAUGGAGGAAUUUGAUAUAUUCAAUGGCUUCAGAGAGCACUGACGCUGUAUCAGUCUGACACAAACACAACAUAGCAAAACGAUUUUUAAAAACCUCAAAUCAAUAAACAACAUUAGUACAAUCACACUUGCCAUCAUCAUCUUUUUUUUUUUUUUUCUUUCUGCUUUCUCAUAUAUCAUAAAUACACGCAAGAAAUCAUGGUCAUCCACAAAAGAUAUAUUGGAAAAAAGAAUCAUAGAUGAUGUUUUUUUUUUUAUCAGAAGCUCUCUCACCUUUCCGAAAGGUGAAACCAAUUGUUGGAGUGCAGUGAUUCUGUCCCCCAUCUUCUCUUUUCUCACCUAAGAACAACAACACAAGGGUUCAUAUAUCCAAUGUUUAAGGACUCAAAAACCGAAAAAAAUAAAAAUAUAAGGGAAAAAGUGUAUAUGAUAAAGAAUAAAUAAAGAUAGGGAAAUUAAAGAUAAAAAGUUUAAAGCUAACUUCCCCUUCUUGUUAAAAGGUUAGUUGCACUUAUUGUACCUUAAAAGCUGGCAAAGGUGAUGGGGUUUCGUUCCUGGGCCUUUUGGGUGCUGCCUCACUUCCACUUUUCUUUACCACACCACCGGAAUCUCUAACUUCAGAUAUAUUCUGCAAAACCAUGGAUGAACAAGAUGAAAAGAAUUAAUUAGACACCAAAUGCACUAGUGCCUCAUUUCAACCCUAAAUAAAAUACAAACUUCAUUAUUUAUGUAUUUAACCCAGAAAAUACGACAUUUUUUUCAAAAUUGGUAUCUACUUAAGUUUUAUUUAUUUUUAAUCCAUAUAAUGAAAAUAAAACAUAUCAUCUUCAUUUUUUUAUGUAUACAUUAUUGUAAUUAAAAGAAAAAAGACGAGAAAAAAUAAAUAAGAAAUUAAUAAAACAAAAAGGUAAAUAGAUUUUUAGAGGUUUAAUUAAAAGUAUCUCAACAUAUCAUCAUAUAUCAUGGUUAUGAACUUAUGAUCUACCAGGAUCCGCGUAGUGAUGAAGUGUUUAAACAGUUUGUAUCAAGUCAUAAGUUCGAACCUUAUCAAUAUGAUAGAACAUAAAAGAAAAUCAUAGUGUUAUUUACAUGUAUGUGCCCUAUAUGUAUGCAAAAAUGAAAUGCAAUACCUUUGAUUGUACAUCGAAAUUUGAUGUGGAGAAGGGUGGAUGCAAAGAAGGGAUGAAGCUGGAUCGAGAAUCCUUAAUAGCAGGCUCAGAAUUCGCGUUCCAAAAGGGUGCGUUGUUGGUGAAAUGCAACUGAUUAUUGGGUUGUUGUUUUGGCGGUGAAGCUCUCAGAAACUGAGGAACUUUGGACCAAGAACGCACCAACUCAACAUUGGAGUUCAAACCAUAGCUUGCUGCUGCUGAGUAAGCAAAAUUCAUGGCACCACCACCACCACCUUGGUAGGGUUGUUGUUGUUGUUGGUUGUUGUUGUUGUUGCUCUCUUGUCCCAAAAGUCCUUGCAAUAUUGAAGAAGGGUUCCCAACAUAGUCCAUCUGAAAAGAACAAGGCAAGCCUUGGCUUGUGACAGUGCUGUCCCCAGAGCUGUAUUGAGGAGAAAACUGUGUUUGGUCCAAGGAGAAACCCCUCUUGAAUUCGUUGCUUGAUGACUCGGCAGAGAACAACUUUUCUGGCCUCCAAUGAAGUUGUUGAUGAUGAUGGUGAUGGUGGUGGUGUUGAGACAACCCUAUAUUGCUCCCACUUUCUUGCGGCUGAAAAUUGGUAUUUGAUGAGCUCAAAUUCUCUUGCAACAUCGACCUGAAACUGCUUUCUGAACCCUUCUCACCUCGGCUAUAUCAAUCAAAACACACACACAAAAGUUAGUUACAACUUGCAAGAUUUUUUUAUAAAAAUAAAAAUAAAAAAAAUGAAAAGGUUUAUGGCCAUAAUUUCAGCCACAACAUCAAGAUUUUUGAAGUUGACACGACCAUAACAAGACUAUAGUUAUGGUUGCAUCGGCCGCAUCUAUAACCUGCUUUAUAUUUUCUUCAAUAUUAUUCCAUUAUGGUAAGGUAGAAAGAAAAACAGAAAACGAAAGAUCCAAAAAAAACUUUAUCUUUUUUCUCUUUUAAAUUUUUUUUUUGGGGGGGGGGGUAUUACUUUAGAGUAAUAUUGUUGUAGAAGUCUUUGUCUUUGACACAGACUACACUUACAGCUGCAAAGAUGCUUGAUUCCAGUCCAUGGCCUGAGAAGAGAGGCCCAAGCCCAUCAUGUGCAAGUUGGGGUCAUUGGUGGAAGUGGCUGCAGCUGAAGACUCAUGAUGAUGUGGCUGAACUUGUUGAAGCUGCUUCUGGUCAUGGAACAUCACAGAGGAACCACCUGAGACAGAGUUAUUAUCUAUGGAAGAAUUAGAAGACCUUGUUGUUGCCAUGUCAUGAUGUUGCCAAGAAGCUUCAUAGCUUCCCAUAUUGUUGGUGAGGCCAGAAGAAGAAGACUGUGAUUCACCACUCUCAAACCUAACGUUUCUUGCUGCUGAUUCCCACCAGUUUCCACUUGCUUGAAAUUGAUCAUCUGACAUAGCUGAUAUAUAUGUUGGGGGGGGAUUCACUUCAGUGAUCUUCACAUAAACAUGAAAAAUAUUUUGAUGAAAUUAAGGAUGCUGGGUCAGUUUUUUUUUUUUUUUUGUGUGUGUGUGUAAUGUAAUAAUAUGUGUGGUGCUGUGUGAAGGGGUGAGACUACUAGAAAAUGAAUGAAUGGAAAAAAGGUUCAAAACUUUGGAGUAUUUAUAUUGAGGAGUGAAGGGAGAAAAAUGGGUUUGGUGAGGGGAAUGGGAACAGUGACAGAUUAAAGAGAGGAAUAUGGUUGACGCUCUUUGACAAUUCAGGGGGUGAUUAGACAGUGGAAUUAAAGGUCAUUUUUUGAAAUAGGAAUUUGGUUUGUUCUUUAUUGUUAUUUUCUCUGUAGAAUUUCUCUUUUUUCUUCAUGGCUGGCUGCCGCCUAAAAAUAUACUAAUUUUUUUUUCCGGUUGGGGUUGGGGUUGGGGUUUAAUUUUAAAAUUCAAAACUAGUUUUAGUCAUGAGUUUUUAGUUUUUGUUAUUUUUUAGUUUUUCAAAAGUUGUUUGAAAUUGAAACCGGAUAAAAUGUGUCACGUGUUCUAUUUAUCUUGUUUUAUUGUGAAAUAAUGUAAUAUAAAAAAAAUAAUUAAACACGUCAAAAUAUAAUAAGAUUGAAAAAAUAUAAUUUUUUUUAAAAAAUAAAUAUAUUAAAAAAAAUAACACAACCAUUAUUAUUAUAAUAAUAAUAAUAAUAAUAAUAAUAAUAAUAUUGCAUAUUAGUUGUGAUAAUGAUGACAAUGAUUAUAAAAAUGAUAGUAGUUGCAAGAAAAGAUAAUGGUGGUUAUAAUAACAAUGAUAACAAUAAUGUGAAUGGAAUGGUGAUGAUGACGACAAUAAUAAAAAUACUGAUGAUAGUAGUGAUGAUGACAAAAAUAGUAAUAAUAACAAAAGAGAUAGUGGAGAUAGUAAUGGUAGUGUUAAUAAGAUGGUGUGUUUUAAAAUUAAAUUAAAUUUACAAAUCUUUUUCUGGAUUUUCAAAAUAAAUGUAAAAGUGUACGUUUUAAAAUUAUGUUAAAAAUUAUUUUAAUUUUAUUUUUGUUGAACAUAUUUUAUUUUGGACAUUAAAUUUAAAAAUCAAAAACUCAUGACCACCCCAACAAAAUCAAUUUAAUUUAUAUAUAUUGUGAGACUUUGAUUUAAAAGGGGAGGAGAAAGGAGGAACGUUUAUAAAGGGGGAUGGGAAAGAUUUAAAUUACAAUUUUAUUUUAUUAGAGAAAGGAAAAAAAGAGAUUCUGAAAAUUAGUUACUUUUAAAUUACAACGUAGCAAAUUAUCGAUUUACCUAAAUGAAAAAGCAAAUGAAUGGAAAAUAAUUAGAAAUAAACAAUGUGGUAGAGAUAUGGGACGACUUCAACAGGAAUACUAGUUGAGGGAUGUUUGGAAACUUGGCAGUUCUUCUUGGUUGAAGCCCUCACAAGUUGGUAACAAAGAUGAGAUGAAGGGCAAAUAUGGAAGAAUAUAAAUGGAAAGGAAAAAAUAAAAUUUUCCUUGUUUAGUUCACCAGAGGAGGAGAAGGGAGAAAUUUUAAAAUUAAUUAUGGCAUCAUUUGAAUUCUUAUCACACAACAAUGGAAUAAAUGAUGUAGCAAAAAAUAUCAAUGCAAGUUUAAUUAAAAUAGAUGCACACCAAUAACAAACACUAUAUAUAUAUAGAGUAGAGUAUAACAAUUUACCUCAACACAAAAGCAAGCAAAUGGAUGGAGAAUAAUUGGGAAUAGAUGAUGUGGUAGAGACAGGGAAUGACUUCAAUGACAGUAUAAGUUGAAGGAUGAUUGAAAGCUCUAGCAAUUGAAUUGAGCCUUCUUGGCUGAAGCUCUGACAGGUGGGGAAUGACAAAGAUGAAGCACACAAAUGGAAAAAUGACACAAAAAGAAUAAACAAAUCAUAUACCUAAAUUGCAAUGAGGACAUUUUAUUUAUUUAUUUAUUUCGCCUUUUACUAAUUUUAUAUUUUAAAAUGAUAAUAAAGACGUUUUAAUUUAGUCUGACUAUUUACAAUAUUAAUUUAGAUUUGGUUUCGUUUCCCGCUAGUCGAAAGUCGAAAUUUAGUGAAGUGGAAUUGUUCUUCCAUCUUUCAUUAUUUUCCUUCAACCAAUCACCGCUAAUAUAAAACUUUUUUUUUAUAAAAUAUUUAAUAAUAAUUAGUUUUAUCAAUAAUUACAUCAUAUUCAUAAAAUAGAUGAUGUGAUAAAAAUCAUAACGUCUUUUAAAUAUAUGUAUAAAUAAUAUUAUUUUUUAUAAAAUAUUGACAUUUAAUAAAAUAAUAUAUAGUAUAUAUAUAGUAUAUUUUUUAUUUAACAACUAAACCAUUUAUGUUUCUUACUUCAGCUAGUUUUAAUGCUUAUAAAAUGCAAUACAUUUUUUUGUGAUUCUACCGUUUUUAGUGUAAUGAUCUCGUUAGCCUGUAAGCUUAUUAGUCUAUUUAGUUAUAUAUUAGUCUAUAAAUUUAUUGGUCAUUUUAACAAUAGACUCAUUAGCUUCUAUGUCUAUUGACUUAUUUAAAAACAGAUUAUUUAUUGACUUAUCUAAAGCAUUAAUGUAAAGUAAGCUUUUAAAUAAACUAGACUAAAUCAAACUUAUGUAAAGGUAAAAUUAAACAUAAAGAAAAAAGUUUAUAACAAGUUAAUAAAUGAAAAUAUUAAAAUGACACAAAAAAAUGAAAAUGAAAAUAUUAAAAAUAAACAUUCAACAUCUUUAAGAAUUUCAUUAUACACUUUAUUUCAAACAUUUUACUCCUAAUUUUAUCGGUAAUUUAAAAAUAAAUAUUAAAAAUAAUCAUUCAAUAUCCUUUUUUUAGAGUCAAUGUUUUUUUUUUCAAUAGUAACAUUCAAUAUUAAAAAUAUUAAAAAUAAUUAUGUAGGAAUGGACUUAUAUUAUUUCAAUAGUAACUUGCUCAGCAAUACAAUCAAGAAUACAAAGAUAGUGAUGGUAACCAAGCAUUCGAUAUCUUAAAAGCAUAAAACGUAUUUAACAUAUUUAAAUUUAAUUACUAAGAAAUUUAUUAAUAAAAUUUAAAAUUAUUUUUUUAAAAUAGAAAUUUAGUCACGCGCCCAAAUCCAAUCUCAAUUUAAUUACCAGCUUGCCUAAUAUGGGAUUCAACGGGGGGAAAUUCUUCAAAUUACUUUUUUGCGAGGUAUUUUUUUUCGUUUUUUAAUCAAAAUUGGGAACAAUUUUAUGAAUUAUUUAAUUCAAGCAAAAGGGCCUAGAAAGUAGCAAGAAAGAACAGAAGUGUGAAGACGCUCUUGGCAAUGAUUAUUUUCCGGCUUUGUGAGUUCACUUUCCUUCUUUCUUCACUUUUUUCCUUUAUCAACAUAGCCUUUAAAGAUAUUUUCUAUAAAUUUUAUCAAAAUUCCUUUAUAAAAAAUAGUUAAAUUAUUUCAAAGCCCUUAUAAUUUCAUUAAAUUUUUACAGUUUAAUAUUUUUAAUUUUAUUCUUAAUUUUGUUAAACUAUAAAUACUUAUCAUUUUAAUGAAGUUCUUGUAUUUAAAAAAUUUAAAUAGAUUCAUACUUGUUAAAAAUUCAAAAUUUUAGAAAAAUUAUUUCUAUAAUUUUGGUGAAUAACAAAUAGACAUGAUUAGAUAAAUAAGCUAUGAAAACUAACAUUUACAUUUUUUAUACAUUAAAAUUUAUGGAGAAGGGAUGAGUGUAGAACAUUUACAUAAGUAUUAAUAUCUACCUUAUCUCAAAGAAAUGAGUGUAGAUUUAAAUAGGUAACUUGUCAUAAGUAAAAGUUUAUCUUGCUCUACUUGACCAACUCCCUAGAAUUACUAGCAAGUUUACUUUUAGUAUACAAAAAUCACAUAAAACGAAUUAAAUGUUAUACUAACCUCAAAAAAAAAAAAAAAGUCCCCACUUCAUCUGAGAGGCACACAAUUUGUAUAGAAUUGUCUGAAAAUCAUAUAAUCGAUAUUCUAAAGACUUAAUCUUCCUAAGAUCAUCCAAAACCUCUCAAAUAUUGCUUAAGACAAAAGAAAAUUGAAAUCUAACAUCUAGAGAGCAAAGCACAAUCUAGAAAACUUUACUUGACACAAAAAAAUGUGACAAUAAAUAGUUUAAGUUGAAGACAAUAGGCAGCCAAAACAAUUGUUAUUUACCUGAAUGAAAAACCUCGUACCUCAGCAGCGGCAGGGACCUUCGUUGGAGUUUGGCGGUGGCUCACGGCAGCGACGGACUGGGAAGAGCUUUUUGAGGUUGUGCAUUCAUUAUUUUCUACACAAUCAACAGCCAUUUUCUUUGUUUCUUUUUACAAUGGUAGUAAUGAAGUUUAAGUUUAUGAUGCCAUGUAAAUUUUCCACACUUUUCAUAGUUACAACAGUGAUUUUACUUUUCAUUUGAAAUGAAAAAAUAACUUUUCAAUUCUAUCAAUUUAGAAAAAUAGUAUAAAACAAGUUUUUAUACGCUUCCAUUUCUAUAUCAUGAUAUAAUUUGUAGGACUUUAUAUGUGGUUCAAUUCGUAUAUCAACGUGGAGAUUUUUUGUCAAAGAAAGCUAAUUAAUGAUCUUUGUUCAUGAUUCACACUUCAGAAUUUAUUUAUUAAUGGUUUAUUUUUUUCAUGAAAUAGGGUUUAUUUAAUUUCAGAAAAUAUUUUUAUUAAUAAUUAGGAUAUCAUCACAUUAUUUUUAUUUCAUUUUCUACCUUUUGAAUGUUUUUAUUAUUUUUUUCAUUUCUUAUAUAAUUUUUUUAAAGUAUAAAAUCUUUCAAAUGUUUUUUAUUUUCUAAAGAAACCUUUGAAAAUAAAAAAUAAAAUUUUGUAAUCUCAUCUUUCACAUAAAUUUUCUCACCUAUCUUAUAGUUAUAAAUUUUAAUAUUCACAUUUAAAUCAGAGAAGUUCCAAUUUCUACUCUCUUUUUCAAUAAAGCAUCCACAUGAGUUUUUCUAUAUGGAGGAUUUAUAUAUAUUUUUAGAGCAGUUAAUAUUACUUAAAUCACUCAAUUUGAAUAUAAAUUUUACGUUUGUAUACAUCAUACCAUAUCAAUAAUGAGAAACGGCACUAUGCAGUAACAAUGACAAUGUAAAAUGUUAAAUUAUUUUAAAUAGUCAUUCAAUAAUAAAUUAUUAUCUAUAAUAAAUUUAUUAACUUUUACAAUAAUUAAUAACCUUAAAAGUCUUAAAAAAAUGAUUUGUAAUUAGAUUAUAAUGUAAAGUUAUUCUACAUUAUCACUGCAUAGUCAUUAAACUCAUUAAAAAUCUAAAAGUAAAUUACUGAGGUUUACUUUAUUUACACAUGUCUCUCCUCAUUUUAAAAUCAUUACAUUAGCACCCCUUAAUAUAAUGAUAUUAAACUAUUGUUUGAAAAUUAAAAGAUAUUUAAAUUAAAUUUUAAUUCAUUUUUAGAAAAAUUUGAAAUUAUCCUUGGUUUUUAAGUGACCCAAUAAAAAAAGAAACACUACUAGAAAAUGUUGAUUCUACGACGCAUAUUCUAAAACGGUUAUUAAUAAAUGUCUUAAAAUGUGACACGGUGGCAUUUUUGUAAUUAGGGACAAUGUUUUUUGUUUUUACAUCGUGCAUUCUAAGACAGUCGUACAUAACCAUCUUAGAAUGGUAGUCCAUGACAUUUUUGUAAUUAUGGGAAACUUAAACGAAGACGGGUUUGGCUGAAGGGACCAUUUUUGUUUAAGUAACCCUAAUUAACUCUGCAAGUGGCUCGUUGUCGUGGUCAGUACUUGAACAUACUACGUUCAGAUCGAGCUGGUGCACUUGUUGUAGUUCGUGUCCUCGAACAAGUCCACUUAGGCGUGUUGUUCCUGUGAGUCCCGUUGUCUUCUUCGGUCGUCGUCAGCCAAGUAAGCACUUACUCGAGCAAUGUCUUCCUCGAUGCCAUUUUUAUUUCAUGUCUGUGACAUUGUGUUUGUUUGUUUUCGAUUUGCGGGAUAAAAAGGGAAAAGGAUCGAUUCAUUGUUUAAUGAUGUGUUAUUCUCACUUCUAACCCUAGGUUGUUGUAGCGUAUUAAUACCUUCACCAUCCCCUAUUAUCCACCCUAUUCUCUCAUAAUGAACUCUGUAUAUAUUAUUUAUGACGAACCAGUAUGAAUUAUUAUUUCCCUUUUGUUUUUCUUUUUUUUUCAAUAUUAAGCUUUAUUAUGUCUUGGCUAUGUAAACUUGUUUGAGACAAUUGAGUUUUGUUGGAGUCUUUUAUAAAUUUUAUUUUAUCUGGUUUUCUGGUGAAAGAAGUCCACCAAUUAUUCAUUUUGGGAUUUCUUGGAAUUAUUUUGACUUUUCAAAUUAAUAAAUACAAUCACAUGGCAAUAGAGGAAGAGAAUGAUAAUUGCUUUUGCUUCACUAGAUAUGACUGAAUCACACUAGGGUUUAACACAUGUUUAUGUGUGUGUAUAUUGGUCUCGUGCUACUGCUCUUGGUCUUCUUCUCCAUGUAGCCAAAGGGGAGUUAUGCUUUCCAUGUUCGUUGUCAUCGUCAUGCCUUUAGUGUCCGUUGUUGUCAUGCCCUACAUGUUCGUUGUAGUCACACCAUGUUUUCUCCUCCACUUUUUUGUUCGUCUCAUAUGGUGCUAGGUGCCACGCAUUUCUCCUCCACUUCUUAUUCUCCAUCGUGUUUAUGUUCGCAUCUCAUAGAGGCACGUGUAUCCCUUGAUGCUUUUAAAAUAUAACACAUGUACCCCUUAAGGUUGUAAAAAUGUUACACAUGGGGUCUUUAAAAAAUAAUACAAGUGUCCCUUUGUUUUACAAAAAUUUCACCUAAUACCCAUCUUCCAUCUCACUCAUUGAAUGUAAAAGAAAUACAACAGAACAAUUGAACAUCAUUAAAAACGAAAAAAAAAAAAGAAAGAAAAACAACACCAUGAAUAUUAACCCACGAGAACAAACUAGCACUAGUUUCAUUGCAUUCAACAACAUUGUCUUGUAAAGAUUCAACAAUGGUUUGCCAAAAAUAAGAGUUUUAAAUGAAGAAAGGAGAUGAGAAUAAUUUCGAGAUUAAAAUUUUAAUAAAAGUUGUGUGCCUGUCAUAUGAUCUAAAAAAUAAACAUAAUUAACAAAAGUUAGGGAGUUUGUAUAAUGUAAAAAAAGGAGAGAGAUGUGUAAAUAGUGCAUAGAUAAGGAAAGAUUACUAUAAUUUACUCUAAAUAUAAAAAAUAUAUUAUGUUUUUAAUUUUGAAUAUCAAUCAAGGAUAAUUUCUAUCCAAUAAAAUAUCAAUCAACAAUGUAUCAUUUAUAUAAACUUUUUUUAUAUUAUGUUAUUCAUAAUUUCUUUUAAAGUUAUUAGUAUAUAUAUACAUAUAUAAUUUAAAUUCUACAUAAAUUUAAAAUAUUAAUAUCUAAAAAUAUAUUAAUUAUUGAUUUUUUUUUUUGAAAAUGUGCUGUCAUCAUUUUGAGGGGAAAGGAGAAACUGAAAAUUAUUGAAAAUGUCCUUUUUCCACAUUUUUUUUCAUGAUCCAAUUCCACAAUUCGCCGGAUAGUUAAAUAGUAUGGAUUCCAAAUUCAACAGGUCGAUAAAUACCCAGCCCGUGAUAAUUUUUUUAGUAUUUUGAUAAAAAAAAUUAUUUCCAUAGGAGACUUUAAAAGAGUGUAUAAGAAAAUAUUUAAAUUUAUAAAAAUAUUUAUGGCUUUUAUAUGUAAUUUUUUUAAUUUAUUUUAAUAAACUUCUUGAUAAAAUUUAUUAAAAUAACGUUUUUAAAAUUAGUCUAAUAAAAUAAAUUACCAAACUUAUAACAUAAAAUUUCAUGUAAAAAAAUUAUUGAAUACGUAUUUAGUUAAAUAAUUUUCUGAAACUCGCCCUAAAUUAUGUACACACUUAUGCAACUUUGUGACGGUUGCGUACAUGAAACCAGUUGUUUCAAUUAGAGAUUUCAUUUAUAAGAGAGGGACCUUACACAGUUGUUUCCUUUUCAAACCAUUAAAAAUAAACAAUUUUAUCUCUCGAAUUGCGAUGAUAGAAUUUCCUAAUUUGUUUAAUAAGUAGCCAGAGAAGUGAGAAGCACAUUCUGUUCUUUCUGUUCAUGAAUAGUUAUUUGAAAUAGAAUGUGCCGCACAGCAUUCAAAUGUUGGUCAAGUUCAGAAAAAUCCCCCCAAAAUAGAAAAUUAUAUUAAAAAAAGAGCUUCAUAAAUUAAAAAAGGGUCAUUUUUUUAUAUUUUGACAGCUCUAUUUGUUCUAUUGUUUUCUAAGCAAAUUAAAACAGAUAAGAGUAUUUUCAAAACUAAAAGUAGUGUUUAGAAAAUGUCUUUAAUUGUAGAGAUACAUAGUGUUAAUAUUUCAACCACCUACACGUCAAGGAAAUCAUUCAGGCAUCGGGCUAUUCAUAAUUGUAAAAAAAUAAUUGAAAAGUUAAUUGAAAGUUAAACACUAAUUUUGAAUAGUUUUUAAUUGAUUCGUUGUACAAAUUGUUUUUCAUUGACUCAUUUUCAAGUUGAUUGGCCUAGCUAGAUAUUUAUAUUACUACUACCCCUCUUAUUCACUCUUCUUUUUUCACCUUAACAUCUUUAAACGUGGAAUUACUUUUUUUCAAACCCGAAAUGAUACAGAUAGUCCUAUAAGUAACAUCAUCGUAUUCACUUUAUAGAUUAAUUAUAAUGAAGGCUCGCAACUAGUUGCUAUCAUAUAUCUUUUCUCUGAAUAUUGAUCUUACGUUGUUCUAUCUUUCUUUUCCAAUAUCACAAGAAUCUUUCUGAAAGGAAAAAUAUUGUUAGUCUUCACCACUUUCUCCAUUUUUAUCAUCUUCCUCGUUUUGGAGCAUAGUAAGUAGAUUUAAAAACAACAAAUUUCUCUUUUUUGGAACUUCUUAUCAUCCCCAUUUUUUCUAGCUCGUUUUAGUUUUCCUGUGUGUGAGAAGGAGUUAAUUCAUACUUCCAAAAGAUUUUUAUUUUUAUGUUUUUAGGCUUUUUGGAUUACAGUAUGUUUGGAUUCCCAAAUUGCGAUUAAACUUGUGAGAUUAAUAUUUGUAACUUAUCGGGAAAAAGUAAAUAUAUUUCUAAUAAUUUCUAGCAAAAGGACUUCAAGGCAUUUUUUGCUGAUGCAACUGAAUCUUUAUGACCUAUUACAUGCCCAUCUUGAAUGCCGACGUACAUAUUUAUAUUUAUUUAUUUAUUGGUAAUAUUUAAUUAUAUUUAUUUCUGGCAGAAUUAUUUAUAUUUACUAAAAAAUAAUUAUUAUUUCUUCGGUUCCUAUUUAUAACACACAUUCAAUAUUUUUUUUAUCCCUUAUUAUAAAACUUUAUUUCAUUUCUCUUGUGUAUUAAUUAUUUUUUAUUAAAAUACUUUGAAUUAUCUUUUUUCUCUCAUAGGGAGAUUGGAGAAGAUAAGUAAGUUGUCAAUAAAGUUAACAAUAAAAUUAAAAAAUAUUAUUCUCUCAAUUCCUAAAUAUAAUUUUUUUUAAAAUAAUUCACAUUUUUAAGAAAAUUGAUCAAUAUUAACCAAUAACAUUAAAUUUAUUAACAAUUUAUAUUAUUUUGUCAAAAUUGUCCUGAAAUUUAUUGAGGCUGCUUUCACACCUAAUUAAUUCAUGUGUAACGUCUUCACAUCUAAUUCUUAUAAGAGAGAUGAUAAUAUAUUUAUCUUUUAAAUAUAUAGCAUUAAUUGUAAAAUAAUAAAAAAUAUGUAUCAGAAAAUAAUUAAUGUAAAAAACAACUUUAAAAAAAUCUUAUAAAAAGAGAUAACUAAAACUACAAAAAGAACCAUAUAAUUAUUGUUGAAGGGGAUAUUGUUUUAGAUUCAUGACUUGAACCACUUAAAAGGCUAACCCAGUUCAAAGCAUUGUAUCGCCUCAAAGUUAGAAGUGUUGACCAAGGUCAAACACCUGAAUGUAGGUUUUCAAACUGGGACAAAUCUGUUAUAAGAGGAUUGAGGAUAGUUGUCCCCACUAAGUUUUUAAUUUUUCUCAAUAUAAGAUAUGUGUUAGUUAUAAAUUACCCCCAUAACCUAAAAUAUAGUUAUUUUUUAUAAGAAGGGAGACACUCAGAGGGACAUAUGUAGGUUAAGCUCUAUGAAUUGCCCCAUAAGAUCAUUUUUUUCACUUUUACGAAUUUGAUAAAAAGAAAAAUUCCCUUCAUAAAAAAACAAGUGUUAAAUCUAAAAAUUAAAAGGAUAAAAUAUUAAAAUUAGCUAGUAUCAAUUAAAUUCUCUCUUUUUAUUCCUUGUAUUUUUUUAAAAAAAUAUCUAUUAUUUAUAAGAAUAAUUUUUCUUAUUACAUAUAUAAGUAAAAAAAAUAGUGGGUACAAUUAUCCCCACAACCUAAUAGGUAGAUUCGUCCCUACAUAUAAACUACAACUAUCUGGAUAAGUAAAACCACAAUGAGCUCUUUUUACAUUAGUUUUCAAUCCACCAUUAAACACUUUCACAAAAACCCUCAAUUUGAUCGGAGCAAGUUAUAUUGGGUACGCGAAAUAAAUUCAAAAUUUGAUUUUGAGGAAAAGUUCCCAUUUGGGGUAAUACCUCUAUAAGCUGGUCCUAUGAAAGUGGAUCACAUAAGGAAGGGUUACCGACAACUUCCUUGAGAGCAUUGUGAGAGAAAAAGAGUAAGAGCCUUUAUAUCCCAUCUACCAUUAGGGUAAUUAAUAAACGAGACAACAUUUGCAUUAAGCAUAUGAUUAGGAAUCUUUCUUUUGGUGUCAUUAUCCAUAAAUCUAUUAGAAGUAGGAAUGAAAAUGAGUCAAACAGUUUGUCAAGGAUUUUUGACUCGACCUAUUUAAGAUUCGGCUCGACUUAACUUAUUUAUUAUAAAAAAAAUCUUUUUAAAAAAAUUAGAUAAAAAGAUCAAACCCAAACUAUAAAAUUUUUUUGUUAAGCUUGACAAAUCGGAAUAUUUAAGUAAUAAUAAUAAUAAUAAUAACUAUUUUUAUUAUUAAAUAAAAAAACUUCUAAAACUCUUCAGAUUCUUAUAGCUAGAAGUCUGCACUUUAAUUUAUUGAUUUAAGGGUGUAUAUCUUAAAUUAUAUUUUGUUUGCUAGUUUUAUAGCAACUCAUAAAUUAACGAUGAUUAUCUAUACUAUUUUUAUGACAUUAUGAAUAGCAUGAUGAAGUGACAUAAAGUGAUUAAGAGUUCACUUGCAUGUGAAAAAUUUUCAAAAAGAAAAAGACUCAAACUAAAAGGAUAAUAUAACAAGAUUAAUACUUUCAAGGAAAAGAAUAAUUUAUAAAGAUAUUUUGAGACAAUUUAAAUAUUUUUGUUUGGCUAUAUUAGUAUAAAUCAUCUCUAAUCUAUAAAUUUUUUAAUAUUAUUCUCUUUUUUUUUCAUUUUUUUAUAAUUUUAUAUUUUAAUGACUUGAAUUCAAUAUGAUUUUGUUUAUCAAUUAUUUUUGGAUUUGUAUAUUACUUAUACGAAAUUUUAUAACUUUCUUUUUUUUUAGUUAGUAUUUCACUAGGUUUUCAAAUAAUUAAUUAAUCAAAGACGUCCUUAACCAAACUUUUAAAUGGGCUCGUAGACCAAGCCAAACUUUUAUGUAAGCCGAGCCGAGCCUUUGAAAAAAAAAAGCUUAUGACAGGUAAUGAGUCAAGUUCAAGUCUUACGUAUUCAACUCAAACCGAGUUAAGUCUAAUAAAACUUGAUUUGACUCGAAAAAAAGAAAUAGAUUGGUCGUUCCAUACAAUCCAGUGAAUUCCAUUUUGAACAUCUUCCCAUACCUUUAGAAUACUCCUCCAAAUUGGUGACAUAAAAUAUGUACUAUGUACCUCUAGAAUACAAUCCUAACCACAUUGAUAUGUUCCCCUUAGAACCUUGACCCAUAAAGCACUGGGCAACUAAUAAGGCCCUAACCUAAUUUCAUAAUUAAGGUCCUAUUAGCAUCAAACAACUUUCUAAAUCCUAUACCUCUUUUCAAUUAUGGUAAAUAGAACUUAUUGCAAGAAAUUGUAUGUCAUGACCUAUCACCAUUCCUAUUUAAAAUAAAAAGAAUAAAAAGAUGUUAAAGUGAAAAGAGAUGAAAUAUUUGAAUUAAAAUAGAGUAUAGAGGUGUGAGACGCACACCAAUUUUGAAACUCUCUAUUCAAAUACACCUAACUGAAAUUAAACCAAGCACUACCUUAAGGAGCACAUUUUUACUCAUUCCAAUAAAAAUCUUUCUUUUUAGCAUUUAUCAUAAACUUAAUUUUUUGGUACGUCUAGAUAGGUAAUAUCGUUCAUGGAAGGAUUUGGGCCUUGCAUGAGACAAUUAACUUAUUAACUCUGUUAAAUAUAUAAAUAAUAAAUUAAAUAUAAAUUAAGUUUUUUCAUAAUUAAUGAAUUCUAAUUAAAUUAUAAUUUAUAAUUAAUUUUAGUAAAAAAAGCCUUUAUAAUUAGCAUAUUAAGUGUACUAAUCAAAAUUAUUAGUUAAUAAUUUAACAGAUAAAUUAAAAUUAUCAAUUUGUAAAACUAAAGAGAUUAGAAGUUACAAUUAAAAAUCAGAAAAGUCAAAAUCGUAAAUUUAAAAAACUAAAAUGAAAAUUAUAAUUUAACUAAAGCUUAAAAAAAUACCUAUAAGUGUCAUAAAAAAGUUAUGGGCUAAUUCGGCUUGGAUAAUGGAAGAAUCUAGACUUGAAGUUAGAGACUCUUUUGUCUUGACAACCUGACAUAAGUGUUCUUUUUUUAGCAUAUCUUGAAUUGUAGAGGUUGAAACAACAUGAAUAUAGUGGUCAAAUUUUAAGGACGUACACAUUUUUUUUCUUACAAAUUUGAUAAAAAAAAAAAAAGGAAACUAAUUCCACCAUUUGUAUAGGGUCGAUUAAAUCAUGAAAGGAAACACACUUAUUUCCUUCUUUUUCUUAAUUUUAUUUCCUUCUUUUUCUUUUGAUGUCUUCGUGUGGAACCUCCAUUGAUUGGAUUCUUUCCCUAUUAAUCUAUUUUCAUUCUUAAACCUUGAUUGUCAAUUUUCUUUGAGGAGGUGCGCAUCAUAAUCUAAAUAAGAGUUUGCAUUCUUGAACGCAUGAUUUAGCAUAUUCCAUUUAGGAUCGAUGGGAUCUUCGAUGCUUGAUCAUUGGUUUUGAUAUAUAAUCAAUUUUAGAAAUUAGUUUUGUGACUUUAAGAGCACAUGAUUAUUCACACCAGAUUAUUUAAAUUUUGGAUUCUUAAGGGAGUAUUUGGUUUGGUUGUUUUGUGUUUUUAUUUUCACAAAAAACAGAAAAUCGUGAUGAAAAUGUGUUUGGUUGAAUUUUUGAAACAUUUGAAAAUGAAAAAGGAAACAACCAGACAAUGAAAACAAUAGAAUCUCAUUUUCAAACAGAAACUUCAUUUUGGGUAAAAUAAAAAUGCAGUGACAAAGAAUGUAAUCUUAAUCAAAUCUAAAAAUACAAAAAAGAUAAGAAUUUAAUAUAUAAUAAAUUUUUAAUAUUUUUAUUUCUUGAAAACAGAAAACAAGAAGUCAAACUAAACAUAUUUUUAGAAUUUAAAUUUUUUAAAAAUGAAAAUAAUUUUCAAAAAAUGAAAACAGAAAAUGAAAAUGUAAAUCAAAUACACUCUAAUAUAAUAGGUAUUUUAUUGAAGUUGAUUGAUGCUUAAUUGGUUAAUUUUAAAGUCAAACAGCAAUUGAAUAGAAUAAGGAUUAGAUAUUUAGUAACUGAUGAUAGGUUCGAUUAAUUUCUCUCCUAAAUUGCAAUAUUUUUUCUUUCUUAAACCCCUUCUCUUCUUUCGUUUUGUUGAACAUUCACAAUUGGUCAAUAACAAUAACAAAAAUCCCUUAAAAACGACUAAGCUUGUUUAUCUUGUAUUGCCUGCAGUUUGACUUAUAAUUUUUUUAUCACACUAAUUAUUUAUUAUAUGUACUACUUUCUCUUUUUACUUUUUUUUCUUCUUCUUAUCUCCCUCAUUUAUAUCUCAAUUCACCCCAAGAUAAAUCAAAACGUUUAUCAUAACUCUUAUCUCCUAUACACAUACAAAAAUAACAAUAGAAAAUACCAAUAAUGCACAAUUUGAAACUUGAAAACAGAGUCAACGAGUGGGCUCCACGCGGCGUGCACGCGUGCAAAGACACUUGGGUCCCAAUUCGGAUCCCUUUGUAGCUGUAGGCUGCUUUGUUUUCAUGAGAGUCAGAGCCUGAAAGUGACACAUUUUCAAUAUUCUGCCGUCCUAAUCAUUUGUCCAACCCUACCUACCUUCACACUCUCUUCUUAUGCCACAUACACCUUAACCUCACACAACUCUAAAUUCAUACAGUGGAACCAUAUAGUGCAACCUAGCAUGAAGGACAUAGUUACCACAUACUCACAUAUCCAUCACCAUAGCCGCUUGAAAAAAUGAGAAAAAAAAAAUCCCCAAUUAUGAUUUGGCAUAAAAAAAUGAUUGAUUCACGUAAUUAAUAUAAUAUUUAAGUUUUUUAAAAUAAGGUUUUAAAUUUAAAGUUGUGUAUAAAAAAACGUGAUUAAUUAAAGAUAUUUUAUUAAGUUAUCAUCAUCAGUCAAGUUCUUUUAGUAAAAAUAAAUUAUCAGCAAAGUUGGUAUGCACCAAUGUCAUAAUAAAUAGUACUGGUUAAUUAAUUUACAUAAUUAUUCAAUGAGGGAACAUGGUUGACAAGUGGAGAGGGUCAAACAAAGACAUUACACAUGUGUACCUAUCUAUCUUUUUAAGAUAUACUGUAGUAUGCUAGUGUUACAAUUUGACAAAUUGGGUGUACAACGGCUACAUUAAUAAUGUACAGAUAUUUUUUUACCCAAUUGAUUGAUUUUGUAAUAACUUGGAUUGAUGAGAGAAUUGAGUGCCUAACCGGAUCCACUUUGAUAAUAUCUGUGCAAGUCGUCCCUUGUUGGGAGCCAACACAUUGCUUAUGCUGUAACGUGGAAGUCACCAUGAUGCUAAAUAGGGUUUACCUAUGAUUAACAGAAUGAUAAUGGCUCCACUUAAUGACCCAGAUAAUGCCAAAAGAAGACAAGAAAACAAUCUCGGACGAAUCGACUAAUUAAGCACCAAGAUCAAUUCCCUAACUUCUGCAUGCAUGCUGCUAGGCCAUUUGGAUGUGUUGUUUGUGAUGGCUUGCCAAUUAGCAAUCAUUAACAAGUUAAAAUUGCAACAUCUUUUCUUUUUCUUUGAAGAACAAGCUGUAUAUUUUCUUAAGCUCAUUAAUUAAUAACCUAACCCCAUAUUAGAGAUGAUAUACAUUAACAUAAAGUAUUUACGAAAGCGAUAGUUUUAGUGGAUUAUUGUUAGGCUUGACUACAAGUAUCUUUUACUUAGAUAUAAUCUUAUUUGAGUUGGAUAGAAUUAUUAUAGACAAACGGUAUUAUUAUAGAUAUUAACAUAAAUUAAGUAUUGUUUGAAGUGAUAGUUUUAGUGGAUUUUUUUUAAGUCUAGAUUACAAAUAUUUUUUAUUGAAUAUAAUCAUAUUUGAGUCGGAUAAAAUUAUUAUAAAUAAUAAAAAUUUUUCUUAUUCAAAUAUUUAAUACUAUUGUAUACUCAUCACUCAAACUCAAAAUCUUUAAUUAAAUUAGAGUAAUCUUAUACCAAUUAUUAAUAAUUAGGUUAUACUUUGUUAUGUUUGAGCUUAAACUUGAUUAAAAUACCUGACUUAUAUAAAAAUCUCUUGUGGCCUAAAAGUUUUAGUGGAAUUUUAACCUUAACGAUAUACAUCUGAUCAAUUAUAUAUUAAAAAAAACAAUUGAAAAACUUAAACUAACAAUUUGUACUUUUUUACAUAACAAUUUGUACCUAAUUCCUGCGUGUUUGGUAAGGGAUUAAUUAGGUUUUUUUUUCCCCUUGAAUACACUCUUUUUCUUGUUUUUUUCUUUCAAUAUACAUUACUUCGUAAUUUAAUUUCCAAUUUACACCACUUUAGACUUUAUGCUUUGAUUCACACCACUUUACAUAUUAAUGUGGCCAAAGAGAUCUGACAACUGCAAACUCAAAUAAUUUGAAUACACUCUUUCUCCUUUUCGUUUUUUCUUAAUUUAAAAUAUUAUAAAAUUAUAUUAUAUAAUUUUUUUAAUUGGUUUUAAAAUUAAUUUUAUUAAAUUAAAUUUUAUAAUUUUGUUUUUUAUUUUUUUAAAUAAAAAUAUACAGAUAAAGAAAAAUAAAAAAUGGAUAAAAUUAUAGUACAAUUUUUUAGCUAUGUUGUAUGUAAUUUUAUAGUUAAAUUUAUGUGUUGUUGAUAUUUUGUUUGUUAUGUUCGUUAAUUAAAAAAUAAGAAAAUUAGUUAGUAGUAUUAAAACAAAUUAAAAAACACAAUGAAAAAAUUAUUGAUGCAUCUGUCUUAUACAAUAGACAUGAAAUUUCAAAGUGUGUAGUAACUCAGAUGAUAGUAAAAAAUAAUGAAACAUAUUAAAAAAUACAAUUACAACACAAAUAUGACAAAACUAAUGAUGAUUUAAAAUAUGUUAUGCAGGAUACAUGUCUCUUCUUCUUCUAUUUCGAUUGCCGACAACAUGAUCAUAAUAGAAACAAUUGUCUUAUCAUAUCUCCAUUUUAAGUUUUUCCUUAGUCAAGUGUAAUUGUUUAAGUAUUUUAUUAAUAAUGCAAUAUAAUAUUCUUCUAUAAAUAAAUUGUUAAACAAAAAGUUUUAUAAUUUUUAAUUAAAUCUAAUGACAUAAACAAACUAAUUAUAUUUAGUAAUAUAAUUUUAUUAAAAAUAAUUAUAUUAGAAAAUUCAUAUUUUAAAUAAAAAAUAUUCACCUAAAAAUAUUUUAAGUGAAUUAAAUAAUAAAACAAAAAUAAUUAUAUUUAAUAAUAUCAUUUUCUUUUAAAAAAUAAAAAAACAAAUUUAUAAAAUUUAAUUUAACAAAUAAUUAAUUUUAAAAGAAAUUAAAAAAUUAUAUAAUAUAAUAUUUAUAUUUUAUAAUAUUUUAAAUUUAAAAAAAAAUAAAAAAGAGAAAAUGUAUUCACGUUCAUUUGAGUUUACAUCAGAUCUCUUUGGCCACAUCAUUUGCAAAGUGAUGUGAAUCAAAGCAUAAAGUCUAAAGUAGUGUAGAUUAAAAAUUAAAUUGUAAAGUGGUGUAUAUUGAGAAAUAAACAGGAGAGAGAGUGUAUUCACGGAAAAAAGAAUGAUUAAUUAUUUUAAGAAGUAAUAAUCAUUUAUUACCUUUUUCUCUUUAUGUAAAAGCUUUUGGGAUUUUUUUUCCCUUUUUACAAGACUUCUUUCAAUUAUCUUUUUGUUUAUAUUUUUUAGUUUUUAUUACAAUAAUCUUAAUUAUUUUAUAAAUUUUCAGUCAAUAAACAAUAAAUAUUGUAAAUUACUCCAUCUGUUCCUAAUUGAUUGAUGUUUUAACAUUAAAAAAAUUCAUAAUAAUUGAUGUGUUUAGUUUUUAAUAAAGUAUUAAAUAAUUUAUUUUAAUUUUGUCCUCUAAUAAUUAUUGUUGUCUUGAAAUAGUUAAUAUAGAUUUAUUGAAAUUAAGAAAGAAAAAAGAGAUAUAUUAUAAUAAAAUAAUAAAUACUAUUGUCUUUUACUUGCUUUUUUAUUAAUAUGUGUGAAAAAACCUUAGAAAUAAUCAAAAUAAAAUGGAGAGAAUAAUUAGGAGGUGAAAAUAAGCUAGGUUAGGCUUUGUUAUGUCUCAACCAAAUUUGAUUAAAAAUAUAUUAUUCAAGUCUGGUGUGUUUAUCUGCCAAAGACCUAUUUUAAAGGUUUAACAUAGCUUAUAUAAAAGUAUGUUGUGAUCUAUGAGCUUGUUUAAGGUUUACUUUGUGAUGAUUUAAUACCAAAAUAAAAGUUAAAACAUGUAUUUAGACUUUAUAAGAAUUAAAUUUAACAUAUUUUUAAGUCUAAUGAAACAUUCAUGAUAACUAAUUUAAAAAUAUAUUUUACAAUAAAAUUUAUAAAUAAGACAUAGAGUUAUGUUUCAAUAAACUUAUAAGCUUUUAACUUUACUCUUUAUAUACAUCAAUAUGGUUUUUGCAAAACAAAAUAUUGUUGGUGAUAUAUAUGAUUAUUCUAUGGUUAAUUAUGAAAAAGAAUUAAGAAAUAUGAGGUCAAAAUGCAGUAUGCUUGAGGUGUGCAAAGUGACAAACCGAUAGAAAAGAAAUGAGGGUAAGACAUGUGUGAAGGAAGACAUAAAUUAGUGAGUGAUGACCUCCACCACAUGAGUGUGAUCGUAAAAAAGAGAGGACGGAAGGAAGGGGACAAAACCACACGAGUGAGUGAAGAAUAAGAAAGAAAGAAAGAAAGAAAGAAAGAAAGAAAGAAAGAAAGAAUACAAAAAAAAAUGUCAAGUAUAAACCGAACGAUUUUUUAUUCUCUCUCUCUUUCUCUCUCUUAAGUGAAAGAAGAAACAAAUUAAAACAAGGAAAAUAUGAGAGUGGGAAGAAGAUUAAGACAGCAUAUGUUAGCUUUCAUUGGUUGAGGUCCAAUGGUCCAUUUUUUUUAUGUUAAUCCGGCAACGUGUUUGACUUGUUGCCAUGUCAUGUUCAGUAUUUUUUUCCCUUUGAAUUUGGCAAAGUCAGCCACAAAUUAACAAAGGGUAAGAUAAUGAAACUAAAGUUGGAACACACGCAUAGUUCCUUGCACGCCAAAGACCCGUAAUAAUUUGGUUUACUUCUCUAAUUAAACAUCAUCAUCAAACUGUCUCUGUUAACUAGAUUAACAGAUUCAUUAAGGAAAUCACUAAUUUGGACACAUAUGCUUUAAUUAAUCAUUUUUUAAGUGUUGACUAAUUUGGGUUUAGUUUCUUUCAAUGUUGUGUGCCAGAUAUUUUCACGGAAUUGGUAGCAAUUAAUUGUUGCUUGAUGUGAUAGAAUCUUUGUAGUGCUGUAUCAAUGAGUCAUCUCAUUGUUAGCUAAAGAGCUUUGUCAUAAGUCAACAAAAAAUAUUGUAACGAAUUUGCACAAUUCAACUGAUAUAAUUUCAGAGCUUGAAUAACGUUGAGGUGAAGCUUCGCGAACAAAUUGGGUGGCCCAGAAUCAUAGCCUUUGACUUCAAUUAACUAUAAUUUUGCAAAAUCAAAGCCAUUCUCUCAAAUUUUUGAAACCUGAGUAAAUUUCUUUCGAAAUUUCUUCAUCGUAGAGAAGUUAUCUUGUCAUUUGAUACGAAAAAAAAUUCCAGUUGAUGUUAUUUAUUUAAAAUCAUUAAUGAAAGAGUGUAUAUAAGUCGAAGAUACACAAUUAGAUACAGUAACUAAUAUGUAAAGGGUGUAUUCUGUAAAUAAUAAUAAUAAUAAUAAUAAUAAUAAUAAUAAUAAAUAUUUAUUCUGGUUCCUGAAAGUAUAAAAUAGUGAUAAAUUUGUGUCUAAAAGAUAAAAAAAAUUCAAAAUUAGUUACUAAAUGUGCAAAAAAGGUGACCAAUUGAUCAUGCGUUAAAUUUAUGAGACCAUUUUAUUAAUAAGUUGUUAUGUUGAAGGAUCAAUUUAACAACAAAUUAUAUUUAUCGAGGAUUAAUUUGACAUUAAAUUGUAAAGUUCAAGGAUCAAUUUGUUAUUAAAUUGUUUGCAAGACCAAUCUGUAGCACAUUCAAAGAUUAAAUUUGAUUUUUUUUAUCUUUUAAAUACCAAUCUGUCACGACCUCACUUUUUCAUACUAGGAAUUAAAUAUGAUAUCAUGGGAUUUAUAACACUCACACCCUGCUCAAUCAACUAACCUAGACUCCAUUAGUCACUGCCUCACACUUUCAGAAACCAAGAUGGGUAUUUACCCAAAAAAUGUAAAGGGUGUAAAAGUAAGGAUGACCAAAAAUAUCUAUACUCAUGUAUGUCCAUGAGUAAUGUUGUGUUUGUUAUUAAUGAAAGUGGGACGGGUGAAAGUUGAUGGUGGUAGAAGGAUUAAAAGUGAAAAACAAUAUGUUUGUUACAAGGGGAAGUGGAUUGAAAGUGAUAAAUUGUCAAUUCCACACGGUUAGACUUUCAUCUCAAAUUGAGAUGAAAUAAGAUGAAAAGUGGUUCAAAAGAAUCAUUUUUUUCGGUCAAAAUUUCCCUUUUUAUUUUAUUCAUGCGUGGGACUUGUCCUUUACCUAAACCUGUGACCAAGCCUUACUCUUUAUUCUCUCUUUUGCUGCAUGUGGGAAUCAAUUAUAUGGCCAAAAUUGAUUAUGUCUUCACUUUUUUUUUCAAAAUUGAUUUUGAUUGCUCUUUAAUUUAGGCAUACAAUGUAUUGGAUGAAUUUAUUUAAACAAAAAAAUAACUAUAAAAUAAACGCUUAUAUAACCAUUGUCUAAGCGAGUGGAGUCAAAUACAAGUGAAUCCAAAAUAGCUUAAAGUUGGGUUAGAUCUAGUAGCAAACUAAGAGUGAGAUUUAGGUAAUAGUUAGAAAAGUUUUCAUGCCAACACUAUAUCAUAUAUAAGAUUAUGGUCUCUCAUGAUUGUUAAAAAAAAGAGAUGGAGGGUAGGUAUUCUUAGGAAACAACUAAUGUCAAAAUGCCUUUAUAAAUACAGGAAUGUGUGAUGUAACCAAAGUUGCCACCUAAAUCAAUCAAUUUAUUAUUUUUUUAGCAAUUUACUACUUUAUUUACAACAUUUUUUCAACUUUUAUUUAUUUCUUUAAUUCAUUUUAAACUUUGUCACAAUUUCACAAGAGUAGCUUACCAUAGACAAAUUUAAGGCCACGACAACCAUAAAGCUCUUUUGAAUGAACUAGGAACUCAUUCAAAGAAUAUAAUCCCCUUCUUACGUCAACCACUUAAGGCAAAUCAAUUGGUUGGAAAGGAUGAAAAAUGUUGUACUUGGAUGAGCUCAUGCUCACCUCUUUAUAGCCUCAUUUAUCUCUUUAACAUGUUUUUUAAUUCCUCAUUUCUAUUCCUUUUGCCUUCAAUUUUUUCUUUUUGCUGUAGAGGUGACAACUGUUGUGUGUUAAGUCUUUGUACAUAAUUCAGAAAGAGAGAGGGAAUAUCUUAAUUCUCAUUACCAUUCUUAAUGGAUUUACAAGAUAUUUAAGCAUGAGCACAUGCUAUGGCUAAUAGAAUUCUAACAACAAACUUCUAAAAUCUAGUUGAGUUACUUAUUCUAACAACCCAAGGUUCUAUUUAUAAAUAACAUAGUCAUUCCAUUUCUUAGGCAUUGAAAUAACCCUCUUAGGUCUAUCUUCCUCAGGAUCCACAAUCUAAUCAAUAGGCUCAAUAAUGUUUGGCACAUUCCUAUCAAUAUUCCCCCUUUCAAAAUCAACCUUGUCCUUAAGGUUGUAAGCUUUGCACAAUUCAUCCCAUUUUUCCCAAGUAGUACCCUCGAGAGAAAAUUCCAUCCACUACACAAAAACAAAGUGAGUAGGAGUGCCAUCAACAUCGGUCACCUUGGAAUCCAAAAUUGCCAAAGGUGAAACAAUGGGGUCAUUACCCAAAGUAAGUGGCGGUGAAGAGUCUAAUUUAGCAUAAAGAGUCCCCUUAUGUAGCUUUAGCAAGAAAACAUGGAAGACAUAUCAAUUUUGCUUGUAAGAGGAGGAUCUAAUCUAUUAGCCACAACUCUAAUACGCUCCAAGCACAAAAUAAGCCGUAAUAACAUUUUGAAAGCUUUGUGUAUUUGGAGUCAGAUACCGUAGUUUGACGAUGAGGGCAAAGCUUGACAUACACCCACAAAUCAACUGAAAUAAUGCAAACACAAUGGUGUUUAUUAGAAGAAUCAUUCAUAGUAACCUGAGCUUUCCUAAGAUUAUUGUAAAGUAUGACAAAGAUCUCAUCGUGAGUUAGAAGAACAAAAUCACAAACUUCAAUAGAGGAUGAACCGACAACAUAAACUGAAAUAAAGGAAGGAGGCUUCCAAAAAAUAAUGUGAAAAUGAGAGAAUCCAGAAGAGGAAUGCACAAUUGCAUUGUAGUUAAAUUCAGUCCAAGGCAAGUAACACACCCACAUGGAGGGCUUCUGGUGAACAAAAGCUCUAAGGUAUUGUUCAAUAAUACGGUUAAUCACCUCAAUUUGGCCAUUGGAUUAGAGAUGAUAGGACAAGCUCAUCCUGAGAAAGGUGCCAGUGAACCGAAAAAGGUCUUACAAGAAGUGAUUGAUGAAAACUGGAUCACUAUCAGAAACCAAACUUUUGGGAAAACCAUGUUGUUUGUAGGCCAUAGAGACAAAUAGCUCAAUGACACAAGUGGCAGUAAAGUUGGUGAGGAAAGCUCCCAUUUGAACCCAAUCUGCAAAAUGGUCUACUAGAAUAAGGAUGAUCAUGAGCCCUUGAGAAGUUGGUAGUCUAGUGACAAAAUCUAAUGACAAGUCCUCCUAAACACCAGUAAGAAUGGGCAACAGUUGGAGUACGCCUGCGAGUUUCUAAGAGCAAUAGUUAGUUUAUUGACACACUACACAUUGAGCAACAAAAUCUUGGACAUCACUCCUUAUGUCAAUCUUGAGAAAAAUUUCAAUCAAAUCCUUCAAAGUCUUGGAAACACCCGGAUGUCCACCAUAGAGGGAUUCAUGGAACACCCUUAAGAGAACAUGGUUGAACUAAGAAGCCAAAUUAAGCUAGAUUUUACCUUUGUGUAAUAACAACUUGUCGCGAUAAAUGAAGUCAGGGAGGGAUGUUGGAGAAGUCAAACACUUGUCACAAAGAUCAAUGAAGACUAGGUUAGUGUGUAACUCCUUCUUAAGUUCUUCAAGGAAAACAAAUUGUGAAACCAAAAGGUGGUGAUAGGCAGCCCCGGGUGGCUUGGGGAAGCAACAUAAGGCAUCUACUUCCAUGUUUGAAGCGUCAAAUUUGUAUUGAAUCUCAUAAUCGUACCCCAAGAGUUUAGAUAGAUAGUGUUGUUGGUUGAGGGUUUGGAUAACUUGGUACAUGAGUUCCUUCAAACUUCAAUGAUUUAUUUGAAUUACAAAGAAUUUUCCUAGUAAACAUUGUUGCUAGCACUUGAUCAUAAAAGUGAUAACGUGAAGUUCCCUAAGGUAAGUGGAAGCCUAAAACAUGUGCAGAUAGAAAAGCUUGCAAAAGUAAGCUAUGGGAUGCCCUGCUUGAAGAGAAUGACACCCAUGGCGUACCCUGGAUUGUUAGUUUGAAGAAAAAAAAGGCAAAAAGGAGUUUGGCAAGGCUAAUACUAAAGCGAUUAUCAUGGUCUACUUAAGGGCCUCAAAGCCUUGCUAGGCUACGGGAACCCAUUUGAAAUUAUCGCACUUCAACAAAUGGUAAGGGGUUGAUCAAUUGCACAUAAUUUUUUUUAUAUAUAUAAAAUCUAGUUAGACCAAGGAACCCCCUCAAAGCUUUGAUGAAUUUCGGAGAAGGAAAAUCCUAAAAAACUUGUAAUUUGUGAGGAUCAGGAUCAAUAAUACAAACAAUGACACUGCAUCCUAGAUAUGCAAACUAGGACUAACCAAAAAAGUACUUACCAUGAUUGAGAAAAAGAUGAUGUUGGGCGAUAAAAGCAAAAACCUAAGCAAGAUGCUCGUGGUGAAGCUUAGGGGAUGUGUUGAACACCAAGAUAUUGUAAAAAAAGACUAUGAAACUUUUGCACAAAAAUGGUCGAAAAAUGUCAUUCAUGGUUGCUUGAAAUGUAGUAAGGGUGUUGCAUAGGCCGAAGGGCAUUACCUAAUACUUAUAAUGACCAUCAUGAAUGUGAAAACUCAUCUUUGGAAUGUCAUGGGUCAGAUUCGAGAUUGAUGGAAGCUCAAGGUUAGAUCAAGCUUGGAAAAAAUGGUGGCAACUCCCACAAUAAGCAAAGGAAUCUUGUCCUUAACUGUGAGUGCAUUAAGCACUUGAUAGUCGAAGCACAAGCACUAAGAACUGUCCUUAUUCAACAAUAGGACUGACAGGAAAUCAAGGUGGUGCUAGGUUGAAUCCUCCCAAUGGAUAGAAGCUUAGCAACUUGACACUCAAUCUUAAGAUUCUAGCAUGAGGAUAAAUAUAUGGUUGCACACUCACCAACACUGAAUUAGGAAAAAGUGGUCUGAUUGACAUUGGGGGAGGCAAAUGUGUAGGGUUCAACAAAUAGACCUUUAUAAAGUGGUCUGAUUGACAUUGGGGUUGGGUUGUGUGAAAGACCCAAUUUGUGAACCACCUCUUAUUGGAUGAAGUUAUGUGUUCACUCAUUGUCCGCAAGGAUGGAAGCUUGGUGGUAGGAUAUUUGGCCCAAAACACGCAGGGCAUCUGGGGCAAAAUUACUCGACAAAGCAUUUAAGCUAUGCUGAGUCGAAUAGGCCUCUAUUUCUGGUGAUGGGUUGGAUUCCACAUCGCCUUAAAAUGGCAACAACUCACCCCAAGUCUUGUUUAUGUGGGUUAUCAAGGUCCUUCAUGACAAUCACAAAGAAAUGAUCUUGCCAAUAAUGGCUUCGGGAAAAGUUUUAGUCAAAAUAAAACAUAGGUCCUUCUCACGACAAUCGACAAUCUCUGCUAGGAAUAUAUACUUGUAACGAGCUCGUGGAGAAGGGGUCGACAAAAAUAGAGGGAGCUAUUUAUGGGUAGAUGUAUCUACAAAGAGGUCAAUUGCUUGAAAAGCUCAUCGAAAUAGUCAAUAUUGGGGGCAUAAUUUUUAGAGGGAGUGUUGUCAACCAUGACCAGAGAAGAAUAAUGAAAGCACCAUUGUUGUGUGUUAAGUCUCUAUAUUCAAGGACAUAGAGCCUCCUAAGAAUAUAAUUCAGAAAGAGAGAGGAUUCUCAUUAACAUUCUCAAUGGAUUUUCAAGACAUUUAAGCAUGAGAACAUGCUAUGGCAAAGUAAUUCUAACAACAAUAUUCUAGAAUCUAGUUGGGUCACUUACUCUAAAAACCCAAGGUUAUAUUUGUAAAUAGCAUAGUCAUUCCAUUUCUUAAGCAUUGAAAUAACCCUCUUGUGUAUGCUUUCCUUAGGAUGGACAAUCUAAUUAAUGGGCUCAAUAAUGUUGGGCUCAAUAAUUAUUUUCCACACAUGUCACAUGUUGUUGGUAUGUUAUAAACAAAGAGUUAGGUAAAUAAAAUUAUUCAACAUUUGACGUCAAAAUUAGGGCUUGACUGCACUAGAUUCUUUAGUGGUUCACCUGCUAAUAAAUGUGUGCAUUUUACAUAAACUAUAAGACCAAAUCUUUUGUUAAUUUAUUGUUUGCUGACCUUUAAGGCUUGAGUAAGUGGAUUCAACCAUAGGACCAUUCUUGAUGGAUGUGAUAUACAUAGGGUCAAAGGUUAGUUAUGCCAUAUUUUUGGUUUGAAUGCCUUGUAGAUUUUUAAGUCAUUUACUUGGCCUCCUACAUUAAGGAGUAUGUUAGAAAUAUAUUAUAUAUAAACCAUUCACGAGUCUUCACCCAAUAGCUUGAGCUUUUGGAUUAAUGAUUCAUGAUAGUUUGUACUUGCUAGAUAAGUUUAUUAUUGUUAUUAUUUUGGUUAAAUUAAAUACUUUCCCAACCCUUGACACCAUUUUUUGUUUCAGGCCUUGCACAAAUUUUUUUUAACAAUAUAUCAAAUUCCCCAUAAUUAGUUAGAGUGACAAGUUCCAUGGUCUACUGGUCUCUAUUCUUUAUCAAGUAACAUACAUAGUAUCUUCAACAUGGAAUAUCUGCAUACAUUGUGACACUAAAAUUCAUUUUAUAUUGUAAAUUUAAAACCCAGGACAUGUAUAGACAGCUCAGCUGCAGUGAUCAAAUUUGAUAAGGAGGGUGUCAAGGUUUCUCCUUCAUACCUGCAAUGUGUUGUAUGCAUACACUUCUAUUUUUAUUUUCAAAGUUGUAUGCUCUUUGCCACAAUUUUUCCUUAGGUAAUUUAGGAAGAAAAAAAUCUGCCUAACAUGUAUGAUGCUUUUCAUUCCUAUACAGGCAAGCCAGCCAAAGACUGAAUGUUAGAGAGUUAUGUUUCAGAUCAAUUUUUGUUGCAAGUGAGGCCGUUCAAAUAUUUUUUUUAUGAUGUGAAUAAUAUGAUUUUCUACUUAGACUCUAUGCAAUAAACUUUUACACAAACACGUAUAAGAUAAUAAAAUAAGUUUCUUUUCUAAAUUAAAAUUAAUUUUUAUAUAAGUUAAAAUCAUAGAGUUUAGCUCUUUUAAUAUAUUACUACCUUUUUUGUUGUUUUCCCGCUGAUUUAUUGAAAUUUCACAUCUAGGAUCCUGUAUAUAUAUCCUUUCCGAAUAUUGGAUAAGCAUAUUAAGCCUAAUGAUAUGUAUAUAUUUGUGAAUUUUAAUUAUUAAUUAUGAACAUAUUUUCAUUUUUGAGCAUUUAGGUGUGUUAUAAAAUAUUCACAAUGUAUCCAUAAUGUUUGAUCUUGCUAAAGCACUUUUAAGGUUGGUCAUUUCAUGUGGCCAAAAAUAAAAUAAUAAAUAAAUAAAUAAAAUCUACAUUUGACAUUUUAAGGCAGUUCUUAGUAGAACUAUCUUAGAAAAAUAAAAAAAUACCACUAAUACAUAUGUUUUUGUUAUUUUUACAGGUGUCGAGGGAAGGAGCCCAGAGUAUGAAGAAUCUCAGGAUUUGAGGUCAAAUCCUUUCCAAGGUGGAGGGAAUGAUACAAUCCUAGCCCACAAGGGCAUUAGAUAGAAGACUCAAAGUAGAUUGGACUAGAGAUCCAAAGGAAGGCCUAAGAACUGUCUUUAAAGAUUAUCCUUCUAAGACGGUUCUAACUUAGAACUGUCUUUAAAUGUACAUUACAACCAUCAUGGAAUGUCAUUUUUGCGGUAGUGUCAUGAUCUAUUAAACCUUAAAAAAUCAAACUUAUCUCUAAAAUAGUGGAUAUCACAUUAGAUUUGCAAUGUGCUUAAUGGAGAGAUAGAUUUUGCAUGGAGGUAGGGAUAUGGGAUGUCUAGAAUGACAACAUGAAGGCUUCGGAAGACGAUAUAUGGUUUUGGGGUUAUUUGCUAUUAGGUCAAUUGGUGACAAUGUUGUGUGACUUGAUGGUGGAGAGUUGGAUGUGCUUUGCAAUAUAAAUAACUAGUUUUGGAAGGAAGUAAAUGCUUUUUUAAGGAUCAAAACAUUGUUAUUUUCAUGCUACAUGCAUAUCUAAUGUGACAAUUAAUAUAUGUAUUUUUUGUAAUGUUAAGUCACCUUCACUAAUAAAUACUAAAAAGACCGAUGUACGUAUUCUUUUAUUACAAAAAAAGACCAACUUAGUUAAAAUAUAAAUCUCACUACAACUACUUUUUACAGAAUUCAAAUGAUAGAUCCUCAUCUUUUCAAGAGAAAAUAAAUAUUUACUAAAAAAAAAAUCAAUAUAUUGUAGAUUUUGGUUUUUGAUUGCAUGUACGUUCUUAUUUGUGGUUUUUCUAGAAUGAACCCAUAGCCCUAUUCAUAUUUUAUAAACUUUAUUAGUUCAAAGCAACUUAUAGUAAAUAUAUAAAUAUUGACAAAAGUCAAGCAUCUUAUCACAUGGAGCUUAAAACAAAUGUUUGUAACAUAUGAUAUUUCAACUUAAAGUAAAAUUGUCCUUAUGAUACAUCAUUACAAAGUAUUAUUAGUUUCUCAUGAAAAGACUGUGAUUUAAGGUAAUUUUUUUCCUUCUCUAAAACACUAAUAUCAACAAGAUAUUAUAGUAAUUUUUUCCAUCUGAAACACUACAUGCAAAGACAUUCUAAUACUCAAGUCAACAGAUUUUCCAAAUAUAGUAAAUGAGAGUACAUAAUAAAUGAGAAUAAUCAAUUUGUAUUAUCUCAAGAAUCUCAUCCUUUAUAUACACAUAUUCAUAAGUCUAUGAUUCUCGAGUCUUACCUUGAGAUUAAUGAGAAUGCUAAUCCAUGAUUACUUACUAAUGAGAUCUUGAUGAUGAUUAUAUUACUUUUAAUUAAUCAUCUUCCCUUAAUCUCUUCUAGAGCCAUCUUGUUCUCUACUUUGUCUGUUAGAGGACAUAGCUGAGGAGUAUCUUACCAUAAGUAUGCAUGUUCAUUAGAAGAUGGGUGCUCAUUUGGAGUAUGAGUUUAUGUACAUGGUCGAAGGGGUACCUAAGAAGUGGUUUCUUCAAUUUAGGGAUCUCAUCUACUUAGAGUUUAAUCACGUUGAUGGGGUACCCAAUAUUGGUUGAGUAGUCGUCUAGUCAUAAUUGUUGGGUAUCACCGAUAACAUGGGUUGCCAUAUUGUAGAGUGCUCGAUCAUGUUUGAGGGAUGUUUGGUCAUGUCAAUGACGGUUGACUUUAAACAUGCAUGGUCAAAGGUGACCUAUCCAUAUGGGUACAACACAUAUUUAAUAUAUUUCAUCACUUGAUUAUAUAUCAUUAAGUUGAGCGUUGAACAUUCAAGUGUCAUUUACAUGUAUUUCACCUAUCUAUUAAACUUAUGUUUGCACAUUUAGGUCUUUUAAUAUAAAAUAUGUGAAUAUAAAAAGUUAUAACAAAUAGCUCUUUCAUGGAUGUGAAUGGUUGACACAAAAUUGUAGGAAUGCAAUGUCAUACCAAAGACGAAUUAAGUGUCUCCUGCAUGAUGAAACCUUGGCAGAUUUCAAAGAAAUUGAAAUUAAUUAAUAAUCUAUUUCAAAUAAAUUAACAAAUUCAUUUUUAAUCCAUUCUGAAUUUGUCACCUCAUUCAUUUUAGACAACAUUAGUAAAGGUUGACAUCUUGUUAAUUUUAAUAGCAAUAAGGUUAUUUUAAUAAUAAUAUUUCACACAACUUUUUUAUAACAACUUUUUAGCAUUCUACCACAUUAUUGAUCUUAUUUUAUAUUUUAUUUUCUUUUAAUUUCUUCUUGCUUAUAAAAAUUAUUGUGAAAAAUAUGGUUAGAAGAGUAUAAAUUACACUAAAUACUUUUGAAAUUUUGUGAAAUUACAUGACUGUUUUUUUUUUUUUACAUUUACAAUGACCUCUCUUAUAUGAGAGAGUGGUGUAAUUUUUUUCAAACAAUUAGGAUGAUUAGUGUAAUGUAUCAAAAAAUGUAAUUGUAUAUUUUUUAAAUAAUAAAGGGGAUUAACCUUGGAGUAAAUGAAAACAAGAGAAAUUGGUAUAAUUUUACAAAAUCGUAAGAGUGUAAUUAGUGUAAUUUAUUCUAAUUAGAAUAAAGCCGCUCAUUUUUCUUUAAAAGCAAUGUUACUCCUUUAAUAUUACAUCUUGUAUAUUUUAAUAUUAUGUUUGUUAUUCACCCACCAAGGAUUAAAAUAUUUUUGGAAUAAAAAUCCUCUCUCCACCAAUCACACACUUUUCCCACUAAACCAACUAAAAAUUCCACUUGCCGCAUCUCGACAGCCGCAUACCUAUAAACUAUUUGUUUAUUUUGAAAAAGAUGCAGCCUCACCAAAGGUUCUUUGGCAUGUAUGAAUAUAAUUUUUUAAAAGACAAUAAAUAUUAAUCGUCUCAAUUAAUAAAUAUUUUCCUUAUAGCUACAAAAAACCCUACGUUUCUACGAUUUAGGUAGAUAGAAAGUUUCUAAUUCCGAUAAGAAUAAGAUCCCUUAAUAAUUAACUUAAUUCUCUAGUGACUUCACAUUCUAAUUGUUUAUAGUUUGUAGAGUAACCAAAUAAUAUACUGAUCUUGAGUCUUUCCAUGGCCACAUCAUUAUAAGAUUGAUUAUACUCAUUGGACACUAUAAAUAAACACCCCAAGCUUUUAAUCUCAUCCAGAACCAUACAUAAAUACCCAAAAAUACAUAUCAUGUUUUCAUCAAAAUUAAAAUUCUUAAUCAUGUUUGAUCCUUGUGUCAAACCUUUACCAACCGUCUCGCUCGCAAGUGCAAUUUUUCUUUAGGGCAUAAGAAAUAUUCUUACGUCAAAUUUGGAUUUGACGCAUGUUUUGCUCAGGUGACCGUUUCUUUUUUCAUUGAUUUUGGAUGAAUCUUUGAUUUGAAAAAUUGUGUGAGUGUGUGUGGGAUUUCAACCAUUAAGAAAAUAUAGCGUCUAAGCUAGCUAGGAUGAAGAGCAUGAUUUUGAUGGUGAUGACGAUAAGGAGGUAAGAAGAAGAAAUUAAAUAAAUAAAUGAAUAAAAUAAAGAAUUUGACUAGUUAUUUAUAAGUUAGUGGUGUGUGACCCUAAGUAUGAGUUUUGUCCUCCAUCGUUUGGUGGGGUGGAGUUGACAUGGAUCUUGACCCUCUUUGAUGAAACAUUCCUUGGACUCAUUAUUUGGCCCGCACUCACUUCGCAAACUUUCGUUAUAAAAUCUUACAAUAUUUGAGGACUAACUUUGAAAACUGUUCCUUGUUCUUGUCGUUUUGUGCCCUUAUAUUCCUCUAUCUCUCUUUUUGUUUUUCUCUCUCAUCCUAUCUUUUGUAAGAAAAAAACGCCUUCUUCUAAUUCUAUUCUAUUCUCUCUUUGAUUGCUUUCUCUACAGCUGUGUGAUGCUUAUAAAAAUAAAAUAUCCUUUUACUAAUCAAUUAAAGAAGACCUUUCAGAGACCCAUAUUUGACACAAUGUUUUUCUUUCCUCUAUUAAACAUAUAGAAUCGCCACGGUCUCCAAUUCUUGCUUGCUUUAUAAUUACAGUUCAAUAAUUGAGAGCAAUUUGACAUGUUGAGAGAUUGAAUUCAUUGGAUUUCUCAACCUUCUUUUAAUAUGUGAUAAACGAGUUUAAUUUUAAUAAAUUAAUAGUAUAAAGAUUUUUUUAUAUAGUCGAUUAAUUAGAAUUUAUUUUACAUAUGGUAUUUUAAGUAACCAGUAUCUUAGUAUUGUAUUCUGUAGAAUUUAUAAUAAAUAUAAUAAAUAUUUUAAAUAUAUAAAUUAUAUUUUAUUUAUAAAAAAUAACUUAAAUUAUGGUACAAGGUUAUUUUUGAUUAUCGACAUUUAAAAAAAAUAUAUUGAAAGCCAAUCUAGAGAUACAUAUAAAAUAAGGUAGAUUAAAAAUGAAGGAUGAUAAAAAAGAUCAAAUAUACAAAUAAAGAUAAGAUGACACUAACUUAGUAUAGUUGCGAAGGAAAUUAGUUUAGCUAGUUGUGAAGAUAAUGUGUGAAAUUCUCCCUCAAAGGAGGAUAUAUUAGUAUAAAGAAAAUGUUGAGAGUAUAUAAUUUACUAACAAGUUGAAAGAAUGAGAUUCUCAAAUUCCAAAUUAUUAUAAUAUAAUAGUACAUUAUUAUAGAAGUUAAUAAUUUUUAAUUGUAUAAAAAAUUAUUAUUGAAUAAUUAUGUCCGUAUUCGAAGUGGGAAAAAUAUAUAUAAAGUCUACACCAAUUAAUUAAAAGUAUAAUAAUACAUAAUAAAUGGCGCGUGACAAAAAUAUUGUCUACCAAAUUGCAUUUAAAAAAAUUAUGAUAUAAAAACUAACCAUUAAGAAAGUUACUUUCCAGCGUAAUACCUUAAUAAUAUAGAGAAAAUAAUAUGCAAAAUAAAUUCUAUUAACAAGGAAUUUCCUGAUUGUGAACUGUCUAAGCAUUCUAAUCUUAUUAUUAAUGAAUCAAGACUUAGCUAAUUAACUAUGAUUAGAGGAUGCCACCAAUGACAUUGAGUUGUGUUGAUUAGUUUAUAAGGCAACAGUGCACAGCAUGACCUCACAUAUACAUCAUUAUUUUAGAAAAGAGGGUAUAUAUAAGGGAAUACUUAAGUUUAUUUGGCCACCAAGUAUGAACACUGAAUUUUUGGAAAACAAGUAAAGGCAAUGACCGUAGGACCAUACAAGUUUUAAGUCAUGAUGAAAAUAUGAAGUAAACACAUGGACCUGCCUCUUGCAUUCUUUUGAUUUCCUCACUAGUCAUUAUUGGAAAAGUGGGCUCUAAUCUCAUGCCUAUUUAAACAAGUUCUUCAAUUGCUUUCAGUCCUUUAUUCAGAAUGAAAUAGAAUUUAGUUUGUAUCUCUUUAUCCCUCCUAAAGAAAAAGAGAUUGACAUUUUUCUAUUCCUCCUUUCCCUAUUUAUGUAAAUGUUAAAUGAUUGGCAUUUUGACUUCUUUUACCUUGUGUUUGGAUGAGAGAUUUAAAAAUUUAUAGGAAAUCAAAUUCACAGCAUUUUAAUCGUCUUGAUUUAAAUUUCUUUCAUUUUAUAAAUAUUUUAUUUGGAUGAGACAAUUCAAUUUCUUGUAUUUUAAUUUCUUUGUUUGGAUAAAGUGAUUCAAUUUCAAUGAAAUUUAAAUUUUCAUUUUUAAAUAUUUAUUUAAAAAUUAAAAUUUUAAUAUUGAAUGAAAAUAAACAUGAAUCAUUUUUUAAAUAGUUAAAUAUUCAAAAUAAAUUUAAUGUUAUACAAUAUAUAAUAAUAAUUUUUUUAAUAUUUAAUAAUUAAAUAAUCAAAAUAAUUUUAAUGCUAAUCAAAAUAAUUUUGAAGUGAGAUUCUGGAAGGUUCUCUUUGACAGGAAACGUAGAAGGGUUCUUGAGAACCAGAGGACUGAUCUGUCUCAAUUUAGCCUUCUUAGAAGACUUGUACUCGUCCCAAUUUACAUCCUUGUAGCGACUCAACUUCUUCUCAACCUCGAUUUUGUUUGCAUCCCUUAGAGGAACCAACCCUCUUAUGUUCUUCUUCUUCUUGCACCUCUCGUUAAUGGUGAUUUCGGUCUCUGACUGAACUUCUCUCCACUUGUCCGGAACCAAAUUCUCACGCGUUAUCCGCGUCACUUUUGUCCUUGGGCUGGGUCUGUGUUUGGGUGUGUUAGUGGUGAGAUUGCUGUCGUUUUGGAAAACGGCGUCGCUUUCGAAGAUGCCGUCAUCGAAGACGACGCGGUCGCCAAUAUCGCGAUUUUCAGAGUGAGCGUUCUGUUUAGUGGGGAAUUUGAGGGAUUGAAAGUGGCGGGGAGCAGUGGCGGAAGGGAAGAUAGAGAGGGAAGAGAAGAGUACCCGCAAAGAGAGGAGCGCCGCUGGUAUGGAGAAAGGAGAGGGGGUGAGUACGAGCACAGAGUGAGUACGAGCAGGUUUUUGGGGGAAUUUCAUAUGACUCAGUUUUAGUUAAUUAAAAUUCUAUUAAAAUUUCCGGUAUUUAAUUUCUUCUUAAAUCAUUAUCCAAACACUAAAUUUAAAAUGACAGCAAUUCAAUAUCUCAUUUAAAAUGAAUUACUUAGAUGAAAGUAUCCAUCCAAACACACUCUUAGAUUUUACAAUAAGGUCAAUUAAAUAUUGUCCAAUAAUACGAUGCAAUGAAAUUUCGAUGAGAAUUAAUAGCAUUACAUGAUAAAAGAUUUUUCACCAAAACCAAUGAAAUAAUUGGUAGGAUUAACAAAACAUCAUAGUAUUUUAUGUAACAAGUAAAUAAUCCUAUGAUUUGAGUAAUGAUAAUGUGAGGACUUUUGGGAACAGGUAUAAGGUUUUGUUUUACUAGGCCACUAAGAAGUAGUACAAGAUUGUGCCCACAGCUAUUUUGGAACAUUGGGCUCCAAGUAAGCCCAAAAUUAACUUCAAAUUUGACUUAGACUCAAAAAGAUAGAAGGAAAGGAACUCAACUAUAUUGUUUUGAAGGUUUCAAGGUAGACAUUGUUUUGGAAUUAUGUCUUGUUUUUGGAGUAGUUUUGUCAAUAAAUUUAGAGUUUAUCAGAUUUGUUUCUUGUUAAUUGUUAUGCUAAACAUAAAAAAAUUUUAGUUUCUGUUUUGUCAAAUUAGUCUCAUUCCUUGUUAUUAUUGAGCAGUGAGCCAUGCAAAUUCAAUAAAAUGAAGAGAUAUGGCAUUUUCUUUGAAGAUGAACUCCUUAUGUGUCGGCUUUCAAAGUUAAACUUGUGUCCAUCAAUAGUUUUUGUCAGAUUAUAUUUUCAAUCAUCACACCACUGGUGAGCUUGAUAAGUGUCGCUUGCUAGCUAUCAUUCAUUUCCAAUAAUUCUUGCUUGAUGUCCAAGGCCAGGUUAUUGGCCCAAGGCCCAACAUUUGUGGCCCAGGAUGGUUCUUGUGAAUUGGGAAUAAAUCUUAUUUAUAAGAGUGAAAUCUUUGACCAAACAAAAAAAAUAGUGAAAUAUUCUUUCAACAAAAAAAAAGUGAAAUCUUCACGCAUAAAAAAGAGAGUGAAAUCUUGUUUGGAAAAAUCUUAUUUUUUAAGAAUAUUUUAGUAAUGAGAAGUUUUGAUUAUGUUUUCAUUCUCGUAAUUUGAGUUAAUAUGAUUUUAAUCCUUUUUAAACUUUGUUAAGCUAAUUCAAUCUUGAUAACUUUAUCAAGGAAGUUUAGUUCAAUUGCUUAAGUAUAGUGUGUUAGUUGUUGCAAAGCCACUUAUACUUGGCUUUGAUUCUUACAAAUAAAAAAAUCUUUAUAACUUUAAAAUUAAAGAAAAUAUAAUUUGUCAUAAUUUUUUUACUAACCACUUAUAUUUUUCAUUAAAGAUAAUCUUGUUCAAAUAUAUAACUUUAUUAUGAACAAAAAAAAUCUCUUUCCAAAUAUUUAAUGUAAUUACCUACUUAAAACUCAAAUUCAAGAGUCAAGACCACUAAUUAAACUAAAAUAACCUAAAUCCAACUAAUUCAUGUAUUUAGUGGUAAUUCAUCUAUUAAUUUUUCAUUCUUUUGUAACAUUUUAGAAUUGAAAAAUUAUUUGAUAAUUUGACGCUGCAUAUACCACAUAGGAUUAAAUAAUAUAUGCGUAAUGUUAUGAUUUUAUUACUUGUGCCAGUAAGUGUUUUAUUUUAAUUUCAAGAUAAAAUUUAAAUGUUAUUUUAUGUUAAUUGAGAUGUUAGUUAAUUUAAUUUGUAUAACUUUGGUGUUUUAUGAGUGUUAGUGGGCUUAGACAAUUCUCGGUCAUAAAUUUGGUCACAAAAACAUGUAAAGGAGGGGUGGGAAUAGAAAAAAUAGGUAGUUAGAUUGGAAAAUGGAUCAACCACAUUUCUGAAAACCCCUUCAAACAUUGAAAGAGCUCUCAUUUCUAUUCAUUUCUCUUGUGCUUUUACACUUGAUGUUUUAUUCUAAGCUUCAACAGAUUGUAGUUAAUCCUAAUAGAUAUAAGGUUCAAUUAAGCUUUCAAGGGAUAACAUUCUGAAUCUAGAUCCCCUGAAGUAUAACGGUGAAUGAUUAGAAAAGAGCUAUUAAUUUUUCAAAUUAUCAAAAUUUAAUAUAUAAAUCUCUUUAAUUUUAUUUUAUAUCAUUUUAUAUGUUUUUAUUUUGAAUAGUUUACAAAUUUUAUUUAUAUUUUAUCAAUUUAUAAUUAAAUUUCAUAAACUAAUAUCUAAAUAUUUUACAUAAUUUUUUUGUGAAUUGAUUUUAAUGUACAGAUUAUUUUUACUCUAAUUAUUUAUGUAAAACUCAAAAGAUUUAUAUAUUAUAUAUUUUUUUAUUUUUAGUUAAAAAAAUUGAUAAUUUAAAAAAUAAUAACUCUUGAUUAGUGAUAAAUAGAAAAUAAUGUUAAUAUAAUUAAUUAAAUCAAAAAAGUGUUUUAUUACCUUUUUAUGAAUAAUUUUACAUAAAUAAUUAGAGUAAAAAUAAUUUAUAUAUUAAAAUCAAUUUAAAAAAAUUAUGUACAAAUUUUCAUAUUAAUUUAUGAAAUUUAAUUAUAUAUUGGUAACAUAAAAAUAAAAAUAUGCAAAUUAUUCAAUAUAAAAAGAUAUAAAAUAUAAAAUUAAAAAGAUUUAUAUAUUAAAAAAAUUAAUUUAAAUUUUUUUAUAAUUUGAAAUAAAAAAAAUCUUGUCUAAUGAUAGAUGAAAAAUAAUAUUAAUAUAUUUCAAUAAACAAAGCAAAUGUCUUAGUGAUUUAUUGUUUUGUUUAUGAAUAAAAAGUUACUAGUUCAAUUUUUAUUUAAACAUUUUUUUUUCACUUCAUUUAAUUUAUUUUAAUAUAAGCUCUCGGUAGCAUCAAGACGUCACAUUAAAGUCAACAUUUAACUUUGGAUAAUCAAUAUACAAAAAGGAGUAAAAUUACAAUUUAACCUAUUAUAAAAGGUACUCCUUCUGUUUUUUAUUUUAAUUGUUGGAUUUUUUAAAAUAAAAAUAUUUUUAUUUAUUAAUCAUCUACAAAGUUAAAGAUCACAUCAAUUACUCUUUUGUUAAUUAUAUUUUACUUAUUUUUUAAUUUGUGAAUCGGAAAAAAAGAGAUAAAGUAAGAAACUUUACAACUAUUUUAUCAUAUUCAAGAAACUUUAUUGUAUUUUUUGAUUGAAACAUAAAAACCUUAAAAAUAACACGAAAAAUAAUGUAGGGAAUAUAAAUAUAACUAUCAUCAAUAAUAAUACUACAUUAGUGGUCAUUGAUAUUAAAAAUUUAAAUAAAUUAUAAAUGAUUUUAUAUGUAUUACUAUUAAAGCCACAAGUAACAGAUAAUAGAUUUUAUGUGUAUUACUAUUUAAAAUAUCAUUAAAAAUAAGUUGAUUAAUAAAUAUAUUAUAAAAAAUCAUAUAUAUAAACUAAUAUUAUAUAUAAUCUUUAAUCAAAUGUGAAUUGAAUAAGAAUAACAAUAAUAGUGAAUACAAAUAAUACUAAUUUAACAUAAAAACGAACAAACAAUAUUACUAAAAUAAUACUAUAAAAAUGUAAGAAAAUAAUAUUCGUAUCAAAUGAAGUCAUGCUACUGUUUAAUAUAUUAAUUUGUAAGCUUACCCAAAAAAAUUAAAAUUAAAAAUUUUAAACACUCAAAAAAAUUUAAAAUCAAAUUAUGCAAUUUUUAAUUAUAAUGACAUUGAAUUUUAUUCUUAGAUAUAGUGGAUUAAAAAUUUAAAACCUGAUUUUACGCCACCAAGCUUAUUCAAAAUUUGAAGGACAACUCAAAUGAAUAAAAUGAGAGAAGAAAUGAUGAUUCUACGGCCUAAGCUUCAACUUUACUAUCUUUUCCUGGGAGGACCUUGCAUCAUCUUUUCUCCCUUCAGCUCACAUUUUCUUCAAUUUCCCCAAAUUUGUGCUUCCUUUGUUCAAUAUCCCCUUUAUAUAGCCAGCGAUAUCCGUAUUUCUUCACCUCCGCAUAUGACUCUUUCAACACUCCAUCAUAUCUCGAAACCAAUCUGCCAAGAUAUUUGUCCUUGAGAUGGAAAUCUGCAAUGAUGUCAUGUCGAUUCACAAAGAAUAGCCACAUGUGAUCUGAUUUGUCUAAAACAAGUUCUAGAUCUAAAUCUCCAUAUAAAUCCACUCGAAUAUCACCAAACAAAUGGAAUGGAUAUUCUGUUUCUGAAAAACUCAUUGCUGAGAGUGUUUCAUGAGGUACGACGAAUAUUGCACAAAACGCAACGCCAAUCCAAUUAUGGUCAUGCAUAACAGGAGAUGCGUCUAAGCUUACACAAUUUCCCUCAUGCUCAUUAUUCAACCACCUUCGUAUUUCACUUCCUGGACUAACACUUUCAAUCUUGUAUUUCACCUGGUACUGCAGAGACAUCUAUAUGUUAUUUCCUGAUUCCUAUACACAAAAAAGGAGAGAGAAAGAGAUGAGAGGAGCAAAGGAGGAACAUGCAAACCUGACACAAUUGCAUCAUCCAUGAAAAACCCAUGUCAGUGCAGCGUUCCCUAUCAACUAAUUCUGGGCAGUUAAAAAUGUAUAAUCCUGCUUUUCUUGGUACAUAAUACAAUGCUUUAGUUACGAAGCCAAUCCGUGAAGGGAGCUCAGGCAAAGAUUUCAACUGCUUGCAAUGUUGUAACUUUAAACAGACCAGUUUGGAAAGCUUCUUGAGGUUGGGCAGUGUAGCAAAAUUGUUACCACUUAAAUCUAGCCUUUCUAAGCAACUCAUAAUUCCAAUAGCAUCAGGGAUUUCAACUAAAUUACAGAAACUUAGAUCAAGUUUACUCAUACAUGGAAAUAUUGGGGAGGAAGGCAUUAAGCAACUAACUGAUUUUUGAUGUUGUCUGGAGUAGGAAGAUGUUGAUUGGAAAUGAAUAGGAGCUCCAUCUAUAUCAAUCUUCUUCAAUUGCUCUGCAUCCCUUAGUUCAUAAAAUAACUCGGUGUUGUACAGUUUUGAACAGCCAGAGAGAAUCAGAUAUUGAAGAGAAUUGAGGCCUAGUAUGCUAUUGGGUAAGCUUACUAGAUUUUUGCAGUUUUUCAAAUUCAAAUAUUCUAGCUUUUUUAGAAGACCGAUGGAUGGAUCAAUGUGUCUGAGUUUUUUACAUCCUUCGAGAUCUAGAUUUUUAAGAAUUAGAUCCUCUCCAAACCGUGGCAACUUGAUAAGACUUUUGCAAUUUCUCAAAUUCAGAGAAGUAAGCUUUCGUGAAAGAACAACGGACAGACCGAUCUCUUCGAGUUGUAUACAUCCUUCGAGAUCAAGACUCUCAAGAUAUAGGGCAUCUCCAAUGUAUGGCAUUUUAAUUAGAUUUUUGGAGCCAGAGAGAUUCAAAUGCCUCAAAUUGUUGGGUAGAGGCUACAAUGCAAGGCCAAUAGUAGGAAACAACAUUAAUAAUGACAUUCAUCCUUUCUUUUGUUUCUUUAAUUAAAUAGAGAAAAAAAGAAAUAACAUAAGGAAGUUUGUAUUUUUAUUUGUUUAUUUAAAUGAAAAUAAUAUAGAAAAAUAAUAAUAAUAAUUGAUACUACCUUUGUGCCUUCCCAAAGUUGUUUGAUGUUGCUGUAAGGUAGUCUCAACUCAACAAGUUUGUCCGGUUCAAAACUUGGUGGCAAACACUCAAAAGGAUACUUUUCCCAACUAAGAUAUCCUAAUUCAUUGGAAAGCUUAGCAAGUGUUCCUGAAAAAUUGAUUUCGAAGCCAACGUUCCAAUAUCCAAGGUAGAGAAGCUUAAGGCUACUCAUUGUUGAUAGAGCAUCGACCCUCAUUGUUCUUGUUCGAAGAAUGUCAUAUGGAUCUUCAAUUAUUAUGACCUCAACAUUUUCUGCUACCUUGAACAUUGCAAAGAGGAAAAAAAAUGUGAGAUCUUUGGAAGUAUUUACAAAUUCUAGAAUAAUAGGAGGACUUUAUAUUUAUAAAUUAUUCUACCUUAUUAUCUGACAUAACUUUGUGAAAAUCUUUAAUAUCCCACAACCUGCUCCACUUCCAUGGCUUCCUAGGUGAUUUUUCUCUAACAAUAUACUUUCCCAAAUCGCACAACAAGUCAUGCAUUCCAAUUUCCUCAUCCAUGGUUAUAAGUGAUUUAUCAACGAGAACUUGUAGGUCAUAUUCGGGAUUAAAUCCACGAAAAUCUAGAACUUCCUUCACAUAUUCCACAUCAUCAUCGUUGAAGAAACAUGCAAUAUCUAGAAAUAUUUCCUUGUGUGUAUCCUCUAAUUGAUCAAAACUUAUUCGCAACACAUUCAUAAUACUUUUACUUUUAUUUUCUCUUAACGAAACCAAUGCACUCCUCCAAUGAGAGAAAUCUUUAUCAAACAAAUAUGAGCCUAUUACUUCAAUUGCUAAGGGAUGACCUUGACAAUGUGAUAGUACAUCAGAAGUCAACUUUUCAAAAUCACUCAUAAUAUAAUUAUUUUUAAAUGCUUUUUUGCAAAACAAUUGAAGAGCAUCAUUGUCAUUCAAUGGCUCCACUUGGUAAAUAACAUCUACUCCAUGUGCCUUCAAUAUUUGUUGAUCUCUAGAAAUUAUAAUGACUAUGCUCCCUUUACCUAGGCAUUUACGUAACAGAUCAUUUCUACCCCCAGUAAACAUAUCAAGCUGUUUAUCUUGAUCAACAUUGUCAAGAACUAUAAGUGCCUUUGCAUUGGGUAACCUCUUCCAUGCCAGAAGUGUUCCAUCACAUACAUUACAAAUCUCUAGAUUUCUUUCAUUUAGAGAUUGAGAAAGUAGUUGCUUUUGUACACCUAAUGUACCUUCAAGUCGAUAAAGUUUGCUUACGUCAUCAAUAUAACAACAAGAAUUAAAUCGAUGAGAGAUUCUUUCAUAUAAAGAUCGACCAAGAGUAGAUUUUCCUAUUCCACCCAUCCCAGUAAUUCCAACAACUGGAACAUCAUUAACCGGCCCCAGACAUAUUAGCUUUGAUAAUGUAGCAAAAUGAGAUUCCAUCCCAACUAGAUUAUCAUAUGGAAGAGUAGAAAAUUUGCAACCCAAGAUAGUUUUUAUCUGCUGAACAAUUUCUUCAAUCACUGCAUGUUGUUGCCUAAAAGUUUAAAGAAAACAAAGAAUGGCAAAUCAUCACCUAAGGGAACCAAAACAGAGCGUACAUGCAUAUAAUAACAUAUAUAGUACUCUUUUCAUUUUUAAAAUAUUAUUUGUAUUAAACAUGGAUAAUGAAUGUUGACCCAAUCUCUCUAAGUAUCUCCAGUUUAAAGGUUGGAAUAAGUAAUACAUUCAAGAUAACAGCAUUAGUAAGAAAUGAUAAAAAUAUAUUGUAUAUGCACGUAACAAACCAACAGAAGAUUACUUACUUAUUUCUGAUAUCCCAACCAGAGAGAUUGCCUACAUGGUUCAGAACUUCUCUCCAUGUUUUAAUUUCCUUCUCUUGGAACCUGGAACUUUGUUGGUGUUGGGAAAAGGCUUUCUCAUAGUCUCCACUCUGUUUUCGCACUUGUGAUGGAUCAACAUCAUAGAAAAUAGGCAGAAGAAGUCUGGAAGAUGUUCGAAUGCAAUUCCAGAUAUGUGCUAGUUCACGCAGGCACCAAGUUGAGGAAGCAUAGUCCUUGGAAAAGACAACAAGGAAAACAUGAGACCCUUCAAUGGCUCGUAUUAGCUCUGGUGCUAUGGAUUCGCCUUUCCUGAUAUCUUUAUCAUCUUUGAAGGCCUCGAUGCCUUGUUUUUUCAGAGCUUCAAAAAGAAAACCUGUGAAGCUGUUUCGUGUGUCUUCACCGCGGAAGCUCACAAACACGUCAUACUCAAACGAAGAAGAAGAAGAGGUGCAUUGGAUGAUGGCAUUAGAAGUAGAAGCCAUUUCAAUUGCAAAACUGUGAAGGAAGAAGAACAAGUGUUUGCGGAUACAAAUAAUGAAUCAAGAAAUAUAAAUACGCAGAGUUCAGAAAUUUCUAGGCAGCUGCGAGGGGUUGUUGUGAUGAAGGGAAAAUUGUUGGAAAGUGGUUUUGGGGGCAUUCAUGUGAAAGUGUCAGCUAUUGAAUGGAGGGUUCAGAUGAUGUGAGUGGGUUCAUGUGACAUAUCUAACGGUGACGAAGGGAGGUUCGUGGAAAACGAGUUAUGAAUUUCCCCCUAAUAAUUUAAUGAAGACUUCGUUGAUGCUGCUGAUUCAUCAUUUCGUCGGUGCUUCCUACCAAACUAUUUUUUUUUUAUAUAUAUUUUUGUCUUUUUCUUUUAGUUGUAUGCUUAUUGUUGACUGUCGUAAGUGCAACAACAUGCAAUAUUAUUUUUCUAAUUGUUACCUUCUCAAAAUAUCUGCUUAUUGAGUUUGUUACUUAAAUUUAGGUUUUUUGUUCCUAAGACAUGAAAUAUUGAGAUGUGUUAUCAAAUGAAGGCUGUUAAAAGGACUUUCAAAGAUUUUUUUUUAAGAGAAGGAUUAUUAAUAUCUUAAUAUUUAGGUAUAUUUAGUUAUUCAUACGUGUAACACACAUAUUUAUUUUUAAUUUUGUCUAGUUUUAUAUGAAGUUUCUUAUUUCAGUUUGGCUAUUGUUUUGUAGCAAUUUCUCUUAAUUAAGAAUCUUGGGACGAAAUUAUUUUGUUAGAGUGUUCACUUUUUCAUAACGUCCAUUUUACUUCAUGCGGAAUCAAGUUAGGCUUCUUUUUCCACUUUUUUCAUAAUUUUGUUUUUUCAUCCAAAAUUAAAAUAAGUUAUUGUUUGCGCGAUUGAUGAUUUGUGUUCAGUUUGUAACAUUUUGUUAUAAUUUAAUGUAUUUGAGACUUAUUACUUAGUAUCAAAUUUAUUAUAUCCUACCAGGUCAGUCUAUUUUGGGGGCAAAAUGAUUCCUUGAGUUGUGACUUUAUGCCAAGUCAAUAAUCAAAUCUUAAACUUUGGUUAAGAGAUUUAAGUAUUUAAUUAUCAAUUUCAUCACUUUAUUUAUUUAGAAUAUUCAAUAAGGCCUUUUAAUUUUUAAAAAUUUCAAUUAGAUUCUUUAAUUUUUAAAAUUUUCUUAAUGUGGUUCUUUAAUGUCUAAUUGUAGUUUUUUGCUUUUUAAGAAUGCCUCAAUAUGAUAUUUUUUUUUCCAAAUUUGUAAUUAAUUUCGUCAGCCUCACUUGAUCAGAAAGGUUGACCACAUUGAGGAAUUUUUAAAAAAUAAAGAAUUACAUUGAGAUAUUUUAUAAAAUGUUAGCCCUUAUUGGAACGUUUAGAAAUAAAAUAACUUAUUCAACAUUCUAAAUAAAUAAAAUUAAGCUUCAAAUUGAUAAUUAAUUAUUAUUAUUAUUAUUAUUAUUAUUUACCACCGAUUAACUAUUUUAAUCCUAAUGUAUCUUUUUGUUAAUAUCUUAAUAUUUAGGUAUAUUUAGUUAUUUAUAUGUGCAUGACAUAGAUUUCCGUCUAACUUUAUAUGAAGUUUCUUGGGACAAAAUUAAGUUGUAGAGUAUUCACUUUUUUCAUAAGGUUCAUUUUACUUCAUGCAAAAUCAAGUUGGAUUUCUUUUUUCAAAUUUUUCAUAGCUUUGUUUUCUCACCCAAAAUUAAAAUAAGUUACUCUUAGCGAGAUUGAUGACUUUCCUUUAGUUUAUAACAUUUUGUUAUAACUUAAGGUAUUUAAGACUUAUUACUUAGUAUCAAAUUAAUCAUCUCCUACCAUCAACCUAUUUUGGAGACAAAAUGAUACUUUCAGUUACGAUUUUAUGCCUCACUCAAGGAUCAAAUCUUAAACUUUGAUUAAGAGAUCUGAGUGUCGAAUCCCUCCUCUCAAUAUUUUUUAUAAUUUGUAAUAUUAUUGAUAUGUUUAAUUAUCAAUUUGAUCACUUUAUUUAUUUAGAAUGUUCAAUAAGUUCUUUCUAUUUUUAAAAGUUUCAAUAAGAUCCUUUAUUUUUUAAAUUUUCUUAAUGUGGAUCUUUAAUGACUUAGUGUAGUUCUUUAUUUUUUAAGAAUACCUCAAAAUGAUAUUUUCCCAAAAUUUGUAAUUAAUGUCGUGAGCCACUUGAACAGAAAGGACAACCACAUUGAAAGAUUUUAAAAUAAUAAAGAAUGAUAUUCAGAUAUUUUAUAAAAUGUUAUCCCUUAUUGGAACUUUUAGAAAUAAAAUAACUUAGUGAAUAUUCUAAAUAAAUAAAAUUAAGCGUCAAAUUGAUAAUUUAUUAUUAUUAUUAUUCUUUUUUACCACUGAUUAACUAUUUUAAUCCUAAUGUAUCUUCUUGUUUUUUUAUAUAAAAAAAAAAGUGUGCUUUAUUCUUUGCGUAUCCUGGACAUGACCUACUAAUGUGUGUCUAGCUUGACUUGGAUUUUUCAUAAUCAUAUUAAAGUACUAGUUAACAUUUUACUUUACAUAUUAAAUAAUUAAUUAGAGUCCAAAAUUGAAUUGUACAAUCACAAGACUAUAAGUUCCUUUAAGGGUGACGAGUCAAUGCUAAGUCCCUUUAAGGACGACGAGUUAAUGUUAAGUCCCUUUAAAGGCGACGAGUUAAUGUUAAGUCUCUUUUAGGGCGACGAGUUAAAACUAUUUUGACAACAAUUGAGGAGUCGUGUGUUUUGUACAAUUCAUAGAUAGAGUCUGUGUGUUAAAAUGUUUUCUAGGUUGGACCCGAAUCAGGAGGGAGAGGCGCUGACGGACUCUUCGGAGUGUAGGCCUUGGGGGUCACACGGUUUGAGUGGUCCUUUAAGCCUAUGUUGAUCCCAUAUGGUUGGAGCAUUCUCACAAAACACUGUGACCCUGACUGGUCUCCCUAUGAUAUUACCUAGUGAGAGUGACUUAACUUACUAGUGUGUGGUUUGUCUUGUCAUGUACUCCUAGGCACUCGACGAGGUUUUUCACUGACAUGGUACCACAUUGCAUAUAGGCUUGAGUCUUAUCAUAACUGUUGCAUACGCUUGCUAAUUUUUGAUUAUGAAAUUGAUGUGUUAUUAUAUCUUGAUCGGAGCGUGUGAUUCUUGUGUAUUGUGAUUGAUGAUUGAAAGGUGAAUUUUGAAUGACAAAGUGAUGAAAUAAUGUGAAAUAUGCUAAGUAAAUUGUAUUUGGCUACUAUAUGUUGUCUUGUUUCUCUCUAGUAGUUAGGAAUGUGAUAACUCACUCCCGAUUUGCUGUUUGUGUUUGGAUCCUGUGAUGAUCUUGAACUUUGUGUUUGAGGGAGUAGAUGAAUAGGUGGAUGACUAUGAAGAACCUCAUGCUAGAGGACACGAGAACACAACGCUCUGAUAGGAUGUGACAUUAGGAUAUAGGUUCUAUAUUAAUUGUAUGAAGCUUAGACGACUUUGUUUGAACCGAGAUGACUUUAUUAUUAAUUGGACAAGUUUUAAUAUAAUGUAGAAGAAAGUGAAUCUGAGCCUUUUACCCCUUUGAAAGACUUGUAUUUAAAAAUGUUUUAAAAAUACUUUUAAUUAAUAUUUAAAUUUUUAUUCCUUUAUUAGUAUAUAUGUGAAGGGUAGAGGGUGUCACAAGAGACUAUAUAAACAAUCUUUUAAAAAUAAUUCAACGGGAAACUAGAAAGAAAAGUGAGCCAAGAAGCCUCAUUUUGUUUAAGUGAGCUAGAGACCAACCGGCGCAAGCUAAAAACCUCUAUAAUAGGAAAUACCAACAGAGUCUGCUUUCAACAGAAAAAGACAAAAUCUGGAACAUGAUAAAAAAUAGAAAAAUCAGCAGACAUUAGAGAAGCCGUGUUUUGCCAAGCAAUCGGCCACCUGAUUACCCUCCCAAAGCACAUUGGAGAAAAUAAUGUUGCAGCAAGGAUGAGUAUCAUUGCAGACUUCUGAUAUAAGGUAUAUACCAACAUUGAAGUAGCUUCAUUAAUAGAUAUAAAAAGAUCUAUUACGUACACUUGAUAUGGCUAUGUCCAUUCAUUCAACCUAUAUAAGCUAAAUCAACCAACACAAAGUGUCAUUUUGUAUGAUACGACAUAGGAAAAAAAAAGCAUAGAGAAAAGCCUUAUUUUUGGAAAACUCUGUAUUGUGACGAAAACUCUCUUGACAUUGCAUCAAUUCUAGGUCAACUGGUCAAGCAUACUUGUAAAUAAAAGCAUAAAACAUUCUCCAUGUCUUUCUUCCUUAACCCGUUAAGAAUAUACAAAUUUUGAAUAGAGAUUGUUGCACCUCUCCUUACCAAAACGUAGAAUACACAACAGAACAGAAAAAAAAUAUAUAUGUCACUCAAGAAAUCAGGAAUGCAGCUUGCUUGAAGACCAAAAAAUUUCACAGCUUAUACUAACUAAGAAUCAUCUAAUCAAGGAUACAAACAAAAACUAAAAUUUUGGCUCAUAGAAUUCAAAUAAAAAAAUCAUUUCAGAGAAACUAUGAACAUAUCUCAAAAGUUACACUUGAUGUUUUAUUCUAAGCUUCAACAUAUUGUAGUUAAUACUAAUAGAUAUAAGGUUCAAUUAAGCUUUCUAGGGAUAGCAUUCUGAAUCCAGAUCCCCUGAAGUAUAACGGUGAAACUGAAAACUCUUGACACAAAAUCAGUUGUUCGAAUUUAUAGAAAUACAGAUCCAUAGAUCAUGUAGAUGUGAAAAUUCACUCCCACUGUACUCGAAGAAUAGCAUAUGCUACUGAAGUAAGAUAUAUUAUUCGUAGAAUCACACUCACUUAAGUAAAAGUCAGGCCAUAACCAUCAUUUAUUUUGAUAUUAUACGUACACAUAUAGAGUUCAAAGUUCAAACCACUAAUAAAGACACAUCAACUGCUAGAAACUAUAAAGGCUUAUAUAGCCAUAUUCCUUUUGAAUCCGAAGGCAUGUCCCUCGGACUAAUCUGUUUCUUAAAGUAGCACCAUCAAAUAUUUAAGGAUCACAUGUAUAAGCAUUAAGCAAUGCACUUCAUCAUGCAGCUUUCCAAGAAGAAAGUGGUGGAGUUUCAGAGUCCUUCCACGUAGAUAAACCAUCAUCCGCAUAUCUAUCACCCUUGACAGCAUCUAGAGCAGCAAGGGACUCAAGUUCCGCCAUUUCUUCUGGUGUUAGUUUGACAGACAAAGCCCCAAUGUUCUGAUUGAAGUUCUCAAGUUUGGUGGUUCCAGGAAUAGGGCACACAUCUUUUCCUUGGUGAUGAACCCAGGACAAUGCAAGCUGAGAUGGUGUACAUCUCUUCUUUGCAGCCAGUUCAUUAACCCUUGCGAAUAUUAUCUUGUUCUGCUCCAAAUUUUCAGGUUGAAAUCUAGGCAGAGUCUGAAACAGAUUAAAACAUACGCAUAAAAGGUUAUAUUUAGGUAUCAUUGAUUCACAUUUUAAAAGAUAACAAGCAAUUUAGCUGAUUUUACUUUGGGAGUAAGACACAGGAUGUUAGGUAUGAAAAAUCCAAUAAUCUGGAUCUGGGGAAAGCAGAAACAAGCCAUAGCAUGUUAUGACUUAUGAGUUAUGACAUCAUAUUUCAAAUAUAUGUUAUGCUUUACUUCUCUUUAAGCUAUCUAAUGUUUUCAUUCACACCUUUUUUUUUUUUUUUUUUUUUUUACAUAAAGCUUAAAUAAACAACCCAACUGAUUUUGGUUAGGGGUGUGCAAAAAUUAGUUUGGUAAAAAAAUUGAACUGAAUUGAUUUUAAACUAUUUUAACCGGUUCAGAGUUUUAUAUUUAGAUAGUUCGACUUAUUUGAAAAUUAGUUCAGAACUCAACUAUUUUUAAAAAAUUAGUUUUGAAUCAAAUUGAUUUUAACUAGUUUUAAACUAAUUAUAAGGAUCAGACCUGUUUCAAACUAGUUUUUGAACUAUUUUUUUCAAAUAAAAAAAAUUCAAAUAAAAAUCAGUUCAGUUAAUCGAACCUAUUUCGUAGGAAUAAUUCAAUUAACAUUAUAAAUUAAUCAGUGCAUUCCUUUUUUCUUCGACUAGUCUAGAAAAAAAAAUCAAUUCAAUUUAGAUCCGAUUAAAUUUGAAUUGAUUUUUUUGCACACCCGACCAUUGUGCAUAAAAAAACAAUUUUUUAAUGUUUGUAGUUCACAACAUAAUUUUUGUAUGAUAAUGAUAUAUUGAUGGAGUUCACAAUAGAUGAUAAGAAUGAAUGAUUCAACAAUAGUAUUAAUAGGGGUCAAUUUGGGUAAGCUAAUUCUAAAGGAGUUUUAGAAGAAGAAAAAAUGAAAUCAGCUUCUUCAUAAACUCAAUUUAAAUAUGCACAAAUUAAUUUAUAGAAUUUCUCUCAUUUAAUCAUUAAUGAUAGGACUUAGAACUAAUUAAAAUAAAAAAUUCCGAAGACAGUCAAGGUUAGGAGUCGUGGUCAUUAAGGGAACCCAACAUUCAAUGGUCUUGAUUAUAAAAGUUCACAAUUGGUAUGGAUUUCAGAAUUUCUGCAAUAGCAUGCUUUUCAACAAACCUGCCGGAAGUCAUCUUGUGCCAAAUUCUCAAGCAACUUUGUUCCCAAUGACAAGAAUCCUCGCCCAAGAGGACUAUAUGCAACAAUUCCAAUACCAAGUUCCCUAAGAAGGAGAAAUUAUAAGUCAUGAGGUUAGAUCCCCCCAUAUCAUUGCAGUGAUCAAAGUAGCCCUCUAGAAAGAGAAAUUCUAGAUAACAUAAUAUUUGUAAAUUAAGUCACACCUGCAUGUUGGAACUAUUUCCUCCUCCACAUCUCUUGACCAUAGUGACCACUCCAACUGCACAGCUGUUAUCGGAUGAACUGCAUGUGCUCUUCUGAUUGUUGAAGCCGAGGCCUCAGACAGACCAAUGUAUUUUAUUUUGCCUUCCUCAACAAGUUUUUUAAGCUCCCCAAUCUUACAAUACAAAAGUGCAUAACAGUACAUAAGUGGGGGGUAAAAUAUAUUUCGAAUGUAGUAAGUAUGUAACUACCCUUAAUUACCACAUGAAUUCACUCAAUCAUAUUAAUUGCAAAGCAGCAGUAUCUUACAUGAAAAAUCCAUAACCCUUUCAAAACAGGGGAUUGAGCAUGUGAAAUUGUGAUCUAUAAAAGGGGUUACACUCUAUUUUAGGAAAAUCAUUUCCUGAAGCAAACUAAGGCUUCAAAGUAAUACGUUCAAGUAACUAAAACCAUUACAUGAUCAAACUUUCUCUCACAACCCCAAAUACAUAAAAAAAAAGAGCAAAAAUCAAAACAAAGCAUAGAGAAAGAGUCAAACCGUGACUUCAAUAGGCACACGAGUAUCAAUACGAUGUUGGUAAUAGAGAUCGAUGCAAUCGAUACCAAGCCUCUUUAAACUGCCCUCACAAGCAUCCCUCACGUAUGCUGGAUCACCACGGAUCUCCCAUUUCCCUUCAGGAUAGCUGAUUCCAAACUUGGUAGCCAAUUCAACCUUCUUUCUAACCCCUCCCUUCAAAGCCUGCCCCAUACAAAUAUUCACACAUCAUCACAUCAAAUCAUAUCAAUGAUACUCGUAUAUGUUCACAUAUACGGUAGAUUCAUCGAUACCAUUAGGACAUAUCUAGAUACAACAACAAAAUCGUAUCCUACUAGGUGAAAUCUAAUUACAUGAAUUUGACCCAACAGAGUUAAAAGCUAAACCUUGAGGAAUAUAUACUGAUAUGUAUAAAAUUCUAUAAAACAGAAUAAAUAUGUAGUUGCAAUUGCAAUUAUAAAAUUCAUAUUAAGAACACACGAUUACCGAAAACAAUGAAAAUUAUAAAUCAUAAACUAAUUGUCUACUUCCUUUGAUCUAAGAAUAGGAAUAUUAUCGAUCUUGUUUCUUUUCUGAAAUCAUAAGGCAAUUUUCAUUUUUGGUACGUUGAAUUGAAUGACAUACUUUCAUGUUAUUAUAUUAUAUGAUACUCAAUCUUUUCAUUUUUAUUGGAUGAGAUUUUAUGUUAGACUUGUACUCCAACACUUACAAGACUUACAAGAUUGGUCCUCAGGAAUUUUUAUGUCCUGGGUGAACUCAAAAAGAUUAUACUCUUAUAAUUAUUUAAAUUUUAUACUUUUUUCUUGUUGACAAAAUCAUUAUUAAUUCGUUCAUAAUCAAGAUUUUCAAUUGUAACUAGCUGUGCUAGCCUAUAUUGGAUCUUCAUAACUUCUUUCAAAUGUUUAGAUAUGUGUCGAUAAAGUAUCCAAAGUAUCAGUAUAAAAUAGUAUUGGAUAAGAAUUCAUAAAGCAAACUAAAGUAUGUGUCGUUUCAUAGUAUCAUAUCAUAUAUAUGCAUGGCCAAGAAUGAUGAUGACAUGAAAGAACAGUGGCCAAAGAAUGAAAAAGAGUGGGAAUGAACCUUUCCCAGAAGGAGUUCAUUGGUGUGAGGGCCAUAGACAUCAGAAGUGUCAAGAAAAGUGACACCGCUUUGGACGGCGUGGUGGAUGAGUGCAAUCAUAUCGGGCUCUGGCUUAGGAGGACCAUAGAAUGCAGACAUGCCCAUGCACCCAAGUCCCUGCAUAGACACUUCAAACCCUUCUGAACCAAGUUUCAUUCUACCCACUCUCGCCAUAGUUACUAUAUGUAACGUUGUGCUCUUUGUGUGCUUCCACUACCACAGCAAAGGUUGCACUAUAUUGAGUUGUCUGAAUGAACCUGCUUGGGUUCCGAGUUUUUACCUUUUAUAAUCCAAAAAGUAGCGUGGCGACUUAUGGGGUUGGAGAGUUAGUCAUGAAUAUUUGGUUUAAAAAUAGCAAAAGUAGAAGUAUGUAGGCGAAUUUCUGUGAAAUUGCGUGUUUCAAGAAAAAUUUGUUGCUUUGAAAGUAUAAAUAUUUGAAUUUUGCUGAUCAAUAAAGUUUUUAAUGCGGAUAAAGUAGCCAAAAAAAGAAUUGUAAAGAGUAUAAUUUUAUAUAUUUUAUUAAAAAAAUAUAUUUAUUAAUUUUUUGAAAUUAGUGUCUUAAAAGUUAAAACACUAGACGCACUCAUCUUUGAUAAACAUCCCAGCCUUUGAUAUAUUAAAAAAGAAAAAGAAAUAGAAAUAUAUGACACCCACUGUCUCACUCUAGAAGCCGCCGCCAAAACAGUAUGUAACUUGGGCCCGUUCUAAUUUGGUUAUUCUAUUAGCUAGUCUUCAAGAGCUUGGAAAUCUUACACGUGGUAUUAUGGCGCCACGUGUCUAUUCUGAAUCGGGCCAAGUUCUAUAUUACUACAUUAUUACAUGAUAAGUAUUUAUUUUAUAUAAUUAAAAUAUACAAUAACCGAAAUUUUAUACAUAUAAAUUAUCUUUUGAUUUAAUGUUAAAUAACUUAUAUUGUAAUAUAAGAAUAAGAAUGUGUUUAACUAUUAAUAGGUUAUUUUAAAAAGUUUAAAUUUAAAUAUAAAAAAGCUAGAUUCCAAAAAAAUAAAGGGUUAAAUAAAAAAUCAUAAAAACGAUCUAGUUUUAAUUGAAUAACAAUCACUAAAAACCUCUCAAUAUAUAUGGAAACAAAAUCUUUCAUAUUCUCAUUUAUUGGAUAAUUAUUUAAAAAAAAUACUAUAAGAAAGGUUAGUUAAGUUUAUAGUCCUUUAACAUUUUCAUAUAUUUUUAUUUUUAGCCCCUCAAAUAUGUUUUUGUUAAUUUUAAUUUUUUUAUUAAAUUUUUUAUAGCAUUUUUAGUCAUUUAAAACUUUGUCACUCGUUUUUUAAUUAUUCAUUUAUUUUUAUUUUUAUUGUUCAAAAUUAAUCUCAAAUAUAAAAUAAAUGAAAAACUAAAAAUAAGUAAAAUAGAGAUUAAUUUUUAAUGAUAAAUCAAAUGAGGGAUAAAAAUAGAUAAUUUCUUUUAGAAAGAUUAAAAAAUGUUGACAUAAAAUUCAUUGAUGACUAAGGGUUGUAAAAAAAAUUGAAGGAAUAAAAAUUGAUAUAAAAAAGUUAAGAAACUUAAAAUAAUAUGGUAUUUUAAGACUUAAUUAAGUUUUUACUUCCCGCACCCCAUGAAAAGAGCAAAAAUACCUUAGUGUGCGGAGACCUUCCUCCCAGUCCCUUUCUCCUCUCUUUCUCCUUUCUCCUCACUCUCGUGGCAAAGUGCGUAUUUUUUUUUUUUUUUCCAAUUGACAUAUACUAUAGGAUAGCCGAAUCCCUAAAAAAAAGAACCUCUUCCAGAAAUUAAUUUAUACAUGAGUUAAUUUUAAUUUAUAAUUUUUUUUACUUUUUUUUUCUACAAGUACUUUUGGAAAAAUUUAUCCUAACAAAUCCUUAAUGUUAUAAAAAUCCUAAUUUGGAACACAUGUGAUUAUAGUACUUUCAAAAUUUGUUAAUCCAAAUUAAAAACAAAUAUAGUUCGUCUAUUACUUUGUUAAUCCAACCUAGAAACUAAAUCUGCCAACACUGUCUCUCAUUGUGUAUGAUACAAGUGAGACGGGAAAAAAUAGCAUAUGGCAAAGCCUUAUUUUUGCAAAACUCUGUAUUGUGCCCAAAACUCUCUUGACAUUGCAUAAACUCUAGCUCAAAUGGUCAAGCAUGCUUGUAAAUAAAAGCGUUAAACAUUCUCCAAGUAUUCACACCUAAAUAGUGUGAAACCGAAAACUCUUGGUACAAAUUCAAUUGCUAAAUUUUAAUCUUUUAUAUAUAAAAAAAGAAGAUCCAUAGAUCAUGUAUAUGUGAAAAUUCACUCCCAUUUUGCUCUAAGAACAGCACAACAUACGUUUCUGAAGCAAGGUAUGUUACUCAAGCUAAUAUGCAGAGGCAAUAAUCACACUCACUUCAGUUAGUUUCAAGCUACAGCUUGCAUUUAUUUUGAUAUAUGGAAUUACCUUGAAUAGAGUUCAAACCACUAAUAAAGACACAACAAUUGGUAGAAACUAGAAAGGCUUAUAUAUUCCUUUUGAAUUCGAAGGAAUGCCACCCCUCAUACUGAUAUGUUUCUUAAAGUAGCAGCAGAAAAUACUUAAGGAUCACUAAUAUAAGCAUUAAGCAAUGCACUUCAUAAUGCAGCUUUCCAAGAAGAAAGUGGUGGGGUAUCAGAGUUCUGCCAUAAAGAAAAACCAUCAUCGCCAUACCUAUCACCCUUGACAGCAUCUACGGCAGCGAAGGACUCGAGUUCUGCCAUUUCUUCGGGUGUUAGUUUGACAGACAAUGCCCCAAUGUUCUCCUCAAAGUUCUUAAGUUUGGUGGUUCCGGGAAUAGGGCAAACGUCUUUUCCUUGGUGAUGAACCCAAGCUAAUGCAAGCUGAGAUGGUGUACAUCUUUUUUUUGCAGCCAGUUCAUCAAUCCUCUCGAAUAUAGUCUUAUUCUGCUCCAAAUUUUCAGGUUGAAAUCUAGGCAGUCUCUGCAUGCAACAGAUUUAAACAUACACAUAAAAGAUUAUAUGUAUGUAUCAAUGAUUUUAUUUUAAAAGAUAUCAAAGUUGAUUUACUUAGGUUACAAGAUACAAGAUGUGUUAGGUAGGAAAAAUCCAAUAUCAUAGCAUGUUAUAAGAUCAUAUGUCAAAUAUAUGUUAUGUUUUGCUUCUCUUUAAGCCAUCUAAUAUUUUUGUUUGGUUAUUCAAUAUCAUUGAUCUCUACAUAGGACGGAAAGGUUGACUAUGGAAAGUGAAAGGACAGUAAGUACAUAGGAAGUAUGCAGAGCCUUAAAAGUAACAGGCAAAAACCAGUGACCAACUCUGAUGUUAACAACUAAACAAGCAUUUUUUGUACCAACAGAAUAAAUCAAUGCAAACACUUUGAAAAGAAAUGUUUUAUGGAAAUCACAUUAGGUAAUGGAAGAUGUAUGUAUGUUAGUCUUUUAUCAUGGUUUGAGGUAUGUGUAUUUUAUUUUCUGCAUUUACUUCACUUGGUUAUUAACUGAUUUAUUUCUCAGGCUCUAGAUUUAUCAUGAAAAUGCACAAUUAUAUGAUUUUUGUAGUAGUUGCCGUGUCCAGUGGCAGCUAAAGGUAAAGCUAUUUCUGCAUCUACUUAUUUAUUUCCCUUUGGAAAUCCAGAUUAAGGACAGGACACAUGAUAUGGUCCAAUUGGUCCUGUUUUUGCUUAGAAUUCUAAACUGUGUUUAAUAGCAGCAAUUUGGAAGCGUUUGGAAGAACUAGUUUAGAUGAAAAAAGUAUAUCAACUACUUUCAAGUAUAGUCAAACUGAAUGCAAUAGUCAUACACAAAGCUUAAAUAAGCAACUGGGCUGAUUCUAGCCAUUGUGCAUAAAAAGAUGAUUCUUUCUAAUGAUUGAAGUUAGUGAGCAUAAUUUUUAUAUGAUAAAGAUAUACUAAUGGAGAUCACUAUAGAUGACAAAAAUGAAUGAUUCAACAACUAUUUUAAUAGGAAUUUUAAUCAUUAAUGAUAGAACUUAGGACUAAUUAAAAUUGAAAACUCUAAAGACAGCCAAGGAUAGAAGUUAUGGACACUGAGUGAAUUCAAUGGUCUUGAAAUAAACCAAGGUUUCAAAGCAGUGCUAGGAAAGUUGAUUAUAAAAGUUCACAAUUGACAUGAAUUUCAGAACAUCUGUAAUAACAAAUAACAUGCUUUUCUACAAACCUGCCGGUAGUCUUCUUUUGUCAGAUUCUCAAGCAACUUUGUUCCCGAUGACAAGAAUCCUCGUCCAAGAGGACUAUAUGCAACAAUUCCAAUACCAAGUUCCCUGAGAAUGAGAAAUUAAAAGUCAUGAGGUUAGAGCCAAUAUCAUUGUAGUGAUCAAGUCCCUAUCUAGAAAGAAAAACUCCAGAUAACAUCAUAUGAUCAUAAAUUAAGUCACAUGCACCUGCACGUUGGAACUAUUUCCUCCUCUACAUCUCUUGACCAUAGCGACCACUCCAACUGAACAGCUGUUAUCGGAUGAACUGCAUGUGCUCUUCGGAUUGUUGACGCCGAGGCCUCAGACAGACCAAUGUAUUUUAUUUUCCCCUCCUUAACAAGUUUUUUAAGCUCUCCAAUCUUUAAGCAAAAGAAAAAAUUGAAGUCAUCAUACAUUGUCUGUCUAAACAUGUAAACAAAUAGGUUUUUCUCAUUUCUCAUAUCAAACAUUGACAUUAUCCGGUGUUAGUCACAUAGUGUAAUGCAGAUCUGUGGGAGUGAUUUGAAGUGGGAAAAUACAUAAAACAAAUACAUAGAGAAAAUCAAUAGACAUGCAUAGUGAAAAGGAGAUGAAAAAUGAAAACAAAAGCAUAGUGAAAGUAUCAAACCGUGACUUCAAUAGGCACACGAGUAUCAACACGAUGUUGGUAAUAGAGAUCGAUGCAAUCGAUACCAAGUCUCUUUAAGCUGCCAUAACAAGAUUCCCUCACGAAUGCUGGAUCACCACGGGCCUCCCGUUUCCCUUCAGCUAUGUUGAUUCCAAACUUGGUAGCCAAUUCAACAUUCUGUCUCAUCCCUCCCUUCAAAGCCUGCUCUAUACAAAUAUGCACACAUGGUCACAUCUCAUCAAAUCAUGUCUAUGAUACACAUAUAUGAUACGUUAACCUAUAUGACAUAGUGAUACCAUUAUCAUAUAUCUAGAUACAACAACAACAAAAUAAAAGUCAGCUUAUCCAGUUAUCUCACCAUGUGGGGUUGGAUAUAUGGAUCACAGGACGUCAUUUGCCAUGGCACAGUUGAAAACCAAAGCUUUAGCAAUAUAUCUAGAUAUGUAUAAAAUUUUAUAAAACAGAAUAUAUAUAUAGUUGCAAUUGCUAAAAACAGGGAAAUUUCCAUAUUUUGUUAAUCGAAGGUACGACACAGUUUUAUGCUUUUAUGCUAUACAUACUUCUAUGUAGCUAGCUGUAUUGGAUUUUCAUAACUUCUUUUAAAGGCUUGGAUAAUUUACAGACUUGUGUCGUAUAGGUAGCAAUUAUAGUUUGUGUUUCAUAGUAUCAUAUUAUAUGCAUGCUCAAAUUACAGGUCAGAAAAAGAAAAGAAAGAAAUUAGUUUUCUAAUAUCUCAGUUUGUGGAUAUCUUUGGUGUAAAACAAAAAAAUGGUGGAAACACAUCUUAUCAUCAUGUUUUCCAAUUUUGUACUUUUAUAAUUCUAUUAAAUGUGUAACGAAAUGCUAUGUUGUCCCUUAAAAAAUAAUGUCAUUUCGUCACCAAUUUUUGUGAAACGAGAUUGUUUUUUUCUAGAAACAAGAUAUUCCCAAAGUCAAAAAACAUUAAAUUAAACCUUGAAACAUUCUAAUAAAUUCUUAUUCAUUCCCACAACCAUGUUAAAAAAUUAUGACAGAGAUUGUUUUAGUUUUUGCUAGAAACAUCCCCACAGAAAAAAAUUACCAAAAUGAGUUUUGUCUCUAAAAAGAAAAUAAAAAUUCAUCUCCAUACAUACGGACAAAGAAUCUAAACCCUAUCAGCAAGUUUAAGGAACUCAGUCAUCUACCAACUGAGUUAGACUUUAUUGAUAAAAAAAAGUCAUUAAACUAACCCUUGAGGCAUAAAUAAAAUCAUCAAAAUGAGUUUUAUCUCUCCAAACAAAUUCUUCUUCAUAGAAAUAAAAACCCUGUCAGCAUGCUUAAGAAACUCAGUUAUCAAACAACUGAGUUAGAAUUUGUUGAUAAAACGAAACGAGAUUGUUUUGCUAGCAACAAAAUGAUAAAAUUCUUAAAAUAAUGAUAAUUGAGUGAAAAGACAUGUAAUUAAGGGGGCCGGGGAAAAAAGCACAGACCCAGAAUGGAGAUAUGAAAGAACAGUAGACAAAGAAUGAAAAAGAGUGGGAAUAAUGAACCUUUCCUAGAAGGAGUUCGUUGGUGUGAGGGCCAUAGACAUUAGAAGUGUCAAGAAGAGUGACACCACUUUGGAUGGCAUGGUGGAUAAGAGCAAUCAUAUCGGGUUCAGGCUUUGGAGGACCGUAGAAUGCAGACAUGCCCAUGCACCCAAGACCCUGCAUAGACACUUCCAUCCCUUCUGAACCCAGUUUCAUUCUACCCACUCUCGCCAUAGUUCCUAUGUAACGUUGUGCUCUCCGUGCUUCCACUACCACUACACUAUAUUGAGUUGCCUUGAUGAAUUUGCAUGGACAUUAGACACCACGUGUCUAUUCUUAUUUAUAAGCAUUAAAAAAAGGGACGCAUCCACAUUUACCAAGUAUGGUUGGAAUUAUCCCCACUAACUUUUUCAAUUUUUAUUUAUGUAAUAGAUAUGCGUAAUUAUUAAUUAUUUUAUAAUAUAAAAUAAAUUUUAGUCAUAAUGUAAAUAUUUCUCUCACAAAUUAAUACAAUUAAUGUAAUUAAUAUAGAUUUUAUAUUUAUUUUAUUUUCACUAAAAUCUUAAAUAAAUUAUGUACAUAAAUAUCUUAUAAAUUAGAAUAUUUAGAUUUUAUAUUUAUUCGAUUUUUUGGUUUAAUUAAGUACAUAAAUAUCUUAUAAAUUGGUAAGAAUUAUUUAAAUAAUUAAGAGAAGUGCCAUGAGUAUAUAUUUGGUUUAAUUAAAUUGUUAAAUAUUAAAUGAAUUUUAUUUUAUAUGAUACCUUAAUUAAUUUAUUAAUUUUUCUGUAAUAGUUUUUGUUAUUAUUCAUUCGUACAAAUAAAUAUCAAUUCAACUCUUCAUUUAAAAUAAAUAUUAUUCUAUUCUAUUCUACAAAUAACUGUCUUGCUAUAGUUCAGUGUAACACAUUUAUCAUUUAUGGUAAUUAAGAUAAUUAUUUAAUUUUCAAAUAUUUAAUUAUGAUAAUCAAUCUUGACUGGAAUAUUUUGAUUAAUUAAUAAUAUAAAUAUUAAUAAAUCAAGUAAUACUCAAAUGUUAAUACAUGAAUUUGUCUGACGAAUUUGUAUUUUAUGAAUUGAUAUCAAUUUGUUUGAUUGCAUUUUACGAAUUAAUAUUUAAUAAAUUUGAUUGAUAUCAAUUUUUUUAUCAGAUUAAUUAGAAAAUUAAUUUUAUCAGAUUAGCACAUUUAAUCGAGGCAAUCAAUAAUAACGAUUUCAAUUAUUCAAUCAUUCCCUUCAUAAAAUAUUUAAUUUAAAUAAAUUAUGACCAAUAUAUAUUUUGAUUAAUAUAAUUGAUCAAUAAUUAAUAUAAAUUCUGAUCCAAAUUAUUCAAAUUAAGAUAAUUUACUGUAUAUAAAGAUUUAAUUUGAUUCUAUAAGGUAAUACGAUAUGGCAAUCCAAUCCAUAUUCAUUGUAUACAAAAUUAUUAUUAAAUUACAUAUAUCAAAUCAAUUUUUCAUUCAAAUAAAUAUUAUUCUAUUCCAUUAUGUAAAUGAAUUUUAUUUUGUUAUUCAUUUUAUUAGUGUGUUUGGAUGGAGCAAUUUAAUUUUUCAAAAAAUUUAAAAGGGUAUUAUUUAACUAUUAUUCUAUUUUUGUAAAUAAUUAUCUUAUUAUAAUUAACUGUAUCGUAUUCAUCAUUUAUGGUAAUUAAGAUAAUUAUUUAUGUUUGAAUUAAUUAAUUACGGUAAUCAAUGAUGACUAGAAUAGUAUAAUUAAUUAAUAUUGUAAGUAUUAAUAAAUUAAUUAAUACUCAAAUAUUAAUACAUGAAUUUGUUUGAUGAAUUGAUAUAAAUUUGUUUGAUUGCAUUUUAUGAAUUAAUAUUUAAUAAUUUAUGAAUGAAUUUAAUGCAUACAAAUUAUAUAUAUAUUAUUUUAAAUUUUUUUAUCAUAAAAAAAUCGUUCAUUUUUUUAUCUGAGAGUAUAAAAACAAUAUUUUUAAAUUAUUAUAUGUUUUAUUUAUGUUAUACUAUUUCAUAUUUAUAUUCAUUUGUUCUCGGGUAUUCAUUUUAGACCUAAUUUAUUUUGGUUAUUUACUUUAAUUUUUAUCAUAAUUAUUGUUUUUUUAUGCAAAGAGAAUCUUAGAUUUUAUAUUUAAUUUUAAUUUAUAUGAAUGAUGUUUAAUUUUACCAAAACAUCCUUCAUUCUUUUUUAAUUUCUAAGUAUAAAAAGUUAUGUAUUUUAAAUAAUUAUAUAUUUCAUUCAUGUUGCAUUAAUUCAUAUGUAUUUUCGUCCCUCACACAUGUAAUCAUAUUAAAAAAAAUCUCUUUAGGUGAUUACUUUUUUUUAUUAAUCUUAAUUAGUUUUACCUCAACACACGUUGAUAUAUUUAAAUUUAAAUUUAUUAUAUACAAUUUUUAUAUGAAUGAUGUUUAAUGUAUAUUUUAUAUAAAAAUAUUCUUAGUUUUUAUUCAUUUUUUAAUUUAAAAGUAUAAAUUAUAGUUUUGAAAAAUUCAAUCCAUAUUUAUAUUUAUUUUUCGCACAUGUAAUGUACUAGGAAAAAUUUAUUUGGAUGAUUAAUUUUUUUAUGAUAAAGUUGUUGAGAGAAAAUAUUUGCAUCCUGAUAUUAUGAAUGAAUCAGAAGCUUUUAUGAUGGUGGAUAGAAUCUGAUGAUCUAUAUAGAUAAGCAUAGAGUUCCCAUCUAAACACAUCAAAAAAUAGAAAAUAAUACCCAUCAAUGAUGUGUUAAAGGCUAGAAACAAACAUUCUUUGCAUAGAGGGAUGAGUACUCUCAAAUUCAUAUACUAAAUUAUGGAAAGAGUUAUGGCGGGAGGUUUGUAACAUAAUUAAAUUAUGUAUAUUGUUAUGCUGUUUUGAUGUACAAAAUUUUAUCAUUUGGUAUCUGGUUUUCCUUUACCUAGUUGUUGUGCGCGGGUAGUUUUUAACUUACGAUUGCAAUGUUUCUUAAAAAACAUUUAUUGCCUUUUCAAACCGUAAAAGGAUUUUCCUUUUGGCAUUAUAUUAUGUACAUGUGUUUUUGUUGUUGCAUAUCAUAUUAGUGAUGGUAUAUUGUAUGGAGUAGCCAUAGCAUCCAUUUUAAGAUUAUAAUUCCCAGAAUCACAUGAGGAUUAGUAUGAUAACUUGUAAUUGAUUGUGUUUACUAUAUUGAAUUUUUCCAUAGGAAUUUAUUAUAAUUUUCAUGAUCAAUUAGGAUGAAAUAAACUUUUCUCUUGAUUAACCCACAAAUAUUAGGAGAUGCAAUGAUAAUUUAUUAGUUUCAUCAUAAAGAAAUAAAGUGAAUUUUUUUGUGUUAAAACCUUAACCCACAAGUAGAUUUUGAUGACAUAUUGAUUCAUAUGCAUUUUAAACUAUUAUAAGUAUUGAUAUUUGGUUACAUGUUACAGUUUAAUCUUUGAUAAUCUCCAAUUAUAAAAAUGAGGUUCCCAUAUUGACAGGAAAAAUUAUAAGCAAUGGAAGGAAUGAGUUCUUCUCCAUUUAGGGGUUGUUGACCUUGACUAUGCUCUCCGUAGGAAUGAGCCAGCUGAGCUUAUAGAUUCUAGCACUUCAAAAGAAAUUGUGUUAUACGAACUACGGGAAAGAUCUAACCAUCUUUCCAUUUUUUUCAUGAAGACACAUAUUUAUGCUAGUAUCCAUGGUUCAAUUCCAAAAUGCCAAAAAGUCAAAGAUUUCAUGAAAGCCAUAGAUGAACAGUUUGAAAGUUUUGAGAAGGUCUUGUCUAGCACCCUAAUGUCUAAGUUGUCAUCUAUGAGGCUCAUUGGAGUCGUAGGUGUGAGAAACACACAUUAUGGAAAUGAGGGAUCUAGCAGCUCAACUUAAGUCGCUCCAGGUUGAAAUUUCGUCAUUCAUGGUGCACCUAAUUUUGAAUUCACUCCUAUCACGGUAUGGUCCCUUCAAAAUAUCAUACAACACACAUAAAGAGAAAUGGUCAAUCAAUGAACUUCUAACCAUGUGUGUUCAGGAGGAAGAGAAGCUUGCUCAAGAAAUUGGUGAAGGUGCUCUUACCAUGACUCAAGAUAAGGGAAAGAAGGAAAAGAACCAUAUACCUCUUAUUGCCAAAAUUAAGAAAGAGUCUAGGUGUUUUUUUUUUUUUUUGUAAAAAAAGGGCACCUGAAGAUAGACUGCCAUAAACAUAAGGCUUGGCUUGGAAAGAAGGGUAAUUAUUUUUCCUUUGUAUGUUUUGAAUCUAAUAUGGCUGAUAUUUGUUAUGAUACAUGGUUUUUGACUCUGGAUCUAUGAUUCAUACUUAUAAUACCAUGUAGGGCUUCUCAAGCCAGAGGGAUCCAAAUGAAGGUGAGCGGUUCAUCUACUUUGGGAAUCAGAUGCCCUUACAUGUGACGGCUAUUGGCACAUAUAGACUUAAUUUAGUAUCUGGAUUUGUUUUUGAAUUGAAUAAUGUCUUUUAUAUUCUUGAAUUUUAGAGGAAUUUAAUUUCUGUUUCUAGACUUGUUUCUUUGGGUUAUUCAAUAAAUUUUAAUGCAUCCAGAUUUGAUUUAUUGUUUAAGUCUACUAUUAUUGGAAAUGGUAUGUUGAAUGACGGUUUGUUCAAAAUUAAUUUAUCUAACAUGAUUCCAUAUAAUUUGAUGGCUACACAAGAAAGUGCUGGUAUUAAACGUUGUAUCAUGAAUGAAAAAUCAUCAAAAUUAUGGCAUAGGAGACUAAGGCAUAUCUCCAUAGAAAGAAUUAAAAGGCUAGUGAAUGAUGGGGUACUUGAGACUCUUGACUUUACUGAUUUUAGCACUUGUGUAGACUGCAUUAAGGGAAAAAAACUAACAAGACAAAGAAAAAUGCCAAGAGAAGUUCAGAAAUAUUAGAAAUUAUAUAUAUUGAUAUUUGUUGUCCCGAUAUGGACUUGCAUGGCCAAAAUAUUUUAUCUCUUUCAUACACAAUUGCUCACGAUACAUGUAUCUUUACUUGCUUGACAAUAAAUAUGAAGCGUUGGAUGCCUUUAAGGUUUUCAAGGCAGAAGUAGAGAAACAAUGUGAAAAACAAAUAAAGAUUAUGAGAUCAGAAAGAGGAGGUGAAUUUUACGGCAAAUACACCAUGUCUGGCUUGUUGAAUCAAAAUGGUGUGGUUGAAAGAAGAAAUCGAACAUUAAUGGACAUGGUAAGAAGUAUGCUUAGCAAUUCCAAACUUCCUCAUUCAUUAUGGAAUGAGGCUCUUAAGACAGUUGCGUACAUACUAAAUCGGGUACCAACAAAGGCGGUCCCUAAAACCUCAUUUGAAUUAUUGAAAGGUUGGAAGCCAAGUUUAAAACAUGUGUGUGUUUGGGGUUGCACAGCUGAAGUAACAAUUUAUAAUCCAAAUGAAAAGAAGCUGGACCCAAGGACCAUUAGUGCAUAUUUCAUUGGUUAUGUUGAAAGGUCUAAGGGGUAUAGAUUUUAUUGUCCAACUCAUAGCACUAGAAUUGUUGAGUCAAGAAAUGUAAAGUUUCAAGAAAAUGAUGUGGCUAGUGGGAGUGAUUUAACUCAAGGCAUUGGUCUCGAGAAAAAUCAAUAUGAGGGAGCAGUUCCUACAUCAAGUUAUAAGUUAGUGGUUUUUUACAAUACUCACCAAAAUUGUGUAACACAAGCUCCACAUCAAGUUGAUCCUAUCCUAGAAGAUCCAAUUGAACAACAUCAAACAAAAAAUGUUGAACAACAUCAAACACAAGAUGUUGAACAACCUAUUGAACAACAACCAGAAGGUGUGGAUGUAACAUUAAGAAGAUAAACUAGAAUAAAAAAAACCUGUAAUUCCUAGUGAUUAUCAAGUGUAUUUACAAGAGUCUCAAUAUGACUUUGGAGUUGAAAAUGAUCCUGAGUUGUUUUUGCAAGCAAUUAAAAAUUUUAAUUCUAAGCUAUGGUAUGAUGCUAUGAAAGAUGAAUUGGAAUCUAUGACAAAUAAUAAAGUAUGGGAUCUUAUUGAGUUGCCUAAAGGGAUAAAACCUAUUGGAUGUAAAUGGGUUUUCAAAACCAAGAAGGAUUCAUUAGGUAAUGUUGAGAGACACAAGGUUCGAUUGGUUGCCAAAGGAUUCGCUCAAAGAGAAGGAGUUUACUACAGAGAAACCUUUUCUCGCGUAUCCAUGAAAUAUUCCUUACGCGUCAUAAUGACAUUAGUUUCUCAUUUUGACUUGGAAUUACAUCAAAUGAUGUGAAAAUGGAUUUUCUAAAUGGCGACUUAGAAGAAGAAGUUUAUAUGACACAACCCGAGGGUUUUUCCUCUAGUGAUGGGGCUCACUUCGUUUGCAAGCUCAAGAAUUCAAUAUAUGGACUAAAACAGGCAUCACGUCAAUGGUAUUUGAAAUUCCAUAGUGUCAUCUCUUCAUUUGGUUUUGUUGAGAACAAUAUGGAUAGAUGCAUAUACCACAAGGUCAAUGAGAGUAAAAUAAUAUUUUUAGUCUUAUAUGUGGAUGAUAUACUUCUUGCAACCAAUGAUUUUGGGAUGUUACAUGAAGUGAAAUAAUUCCUUUCUAAGAAUUUUGACAUGAAGGAUAUGGGUGAAGCAUCAUAUGUCAUUGGCAUAGAGAUCCAUAGAAACUGAUCUCAAGGGAUUCCCUGCUUGUCUCAAAAGGACUAUAUUAAUGAAGUUCUAGAAAUAUUUUGGAUGAAAGAUUGUUCACCCGACAUGGCACCUAUUGUGAAAGGUAAUAGAUUCAAUUCGAAUCAAUGUCCUAAAAAUGAGCUUGAAAGGGAACAAAUGAGAAACAUUCCAUAUGCUUAUGUUGUAGGAAGCCUUAUGUAUGUGCAGGUGUGUACAAGACCUGACAUUGCUUUUGUGGUUGGAAUGCUUAGGAGAUAUCAAAGCAAUCCAGAAAUAAAGCACUGGACAAUUGCAAAGAGAGUGUUAAGAUAUCUUCAAGGAACCAAAGAUUACAAGCUUAUAUAUAAAAAAUCUGACAAUUUAGAAGUUGUUGGCUAUUCAGACUGAGAUUUUGCUGGUUGCAUUGACUCUUGCAGGUUGAUAUCUAGAUAAAUUUUCAUGAUGACUAAUGGAACAAUAUAUUGAAGAAGUGCAAAACAAUCAUUAGUUUCCACUUCUACCAUGGGGGCUGAGUUUAUUUUAUUAUUUGAAGCGACAUCACAAAUUAUUUGGUUAAAAAGUUUCAUGGUGGGUCUACAAGUGAUUGAUUCUGUUCCUAGACCAUUAAAGAUAUAUUCUGAUAAUUCAACUGCUGUCUUUCUGGCUAAAAAUAAUAAAAGUGAAAGUCAAAGCAAGCACAUCAACAUUAAGUAUUUAGCCAUGAGGAAAUGUGUCAAAGCAAAUGAAAUCAUCAUUGAAAACAUCAGUACUCAACUAAUGACUGCAGAUCCAUUUUCAAAAGACAUGCAAACAAAGUCAUUUAAGGAUCAUGUUAAGAGUAUGGAACUUGAUUAUGUCAUAUAAAGUUCCUUUUUGUAGUGAAACUUUAGUUACUUGUUUGUCUUUUCAUUUUGUUGUAUACAUUUUUGUUGAGAAAGACGUGUAAUUUGAACUUAAUAAAUAUUGAACAUGUUCAUUCAAUUAACUUGAUAUCAAAACUAACAUUGUCUCAGUGUUGUAAAUAUCACAAAGUGUGGGAAGCAUUGGACCAAUUGAGUGAAUGUUAGUUUUGAUUUUGAAAUCAAAUUAAAGUGGUCUUAAUUUUUUUCACCCACUUUUUCUGUUUUCUCAACCACUUGACUUAGUCUUGUUUGGUAACAACAUUUCAGUUUUAAUGAUAAAGUUGUUAGAGAGAGAAUAUUUGCAUGCUGAUGUUAUGGAAUCAAUCUUCAUGAUGGAUAUAAAAUCUGAUGUAUAUAAAUAGACAUAUAAUCCUUAGUCUAAGCACAUAAUAAAAUAAUACCCAUUCCAUCUGAGUGAUUGUGUUAAAGGAUAGAAGCAUUUUUUUUGCAAUAGAUGACUGUUGUCAAAUUCAUCUUCUAAAUUAUGGAAAGAGCUAUGGCAGAAGGUUAGUAACAUAAUUAAAUUAUAUAUAUUGUUAUGCUAUUUUGGUGUACAAAAUUUUAUCAAAUAGACUCAUAUUUAUAUUUAAAUUAAUGAAUACAUAUAAGAAUGAUAUUUAUAUUUUUUAUAUCAAAAACAUUUUUUCAUAUUUUUAAUCUAAAGGUAUAAAAGAUUAUAUUUUUUGACAAGGAAAAAAUUAUGUUUUUUAAACAUUUUCAUAUUCUAUUUAUGUUAUCCUGAUCCAUCUUUAUAUCUAUAUAUCUAUAUGUCUCAUGGGAAACUUAUUUUGGUAACUACUUUUUUUUUUAUAAUAAUUAGUUUUUUAUGUUAAGACACUCUUAGUUAUUUAUAUUUAAAUUUAAUUGAUAAAACUUUUAUAUGAACGAUGUUUAAAUUUAUUUUUAUAUCGAAACAUAAUUAUUUGUUGUUUUAAUUUGAAAUUACAAAGUAUAUUUUAUAAACUAUUAUAUAUUUUAUUUAUUUUAUGUCAAUCCAUAUUUUAUAUCCUUGUCUCGCACCAGUAUCCAUAAUAAAGAAAAUUCAUUUGGAUGAUAUAUAUAUAUAUAUAUAUAUAUUAAUUUAUUUUUAUUUCAAGAGUCUGUUAGAUAUUUAUAUUUAAAUUUAAUGUAUGUAACUUUUAUAUGAAUGAUAUUUAUAUUUUUUUGUAUCAACAUAUUCUUCAUUUUUUAAUUUAAAAGUUUAAAAAAUUAUAUUUUUCAAAACUAUUAUAUAAUCUAGUUAUGUUAUGUUGAUUAAUAUUUGUAUUUAUCCAUCGCAGGAUACACAUACUUGCACAAAUUCAUCGAGAUGAUUUUUUUUUAUAAUCAUUAGUUUGUUUAUAUUAAGAGUCUCUUUUUUUUAGAGGAUAUCAAGUGACUCUUAGAUCAUUUAAAAAAAAUUCUUAGAUAUUUAUAUUUAAAUUUAAUUUAUGCAACUAUUAUACGAAUGAUAUUUGUAUACAUUUUUUUAUAUCAAAAUAUUAUUAUUUUUUAAUUAAAAAUAUAAAAUUAUGUUUUUUAAACUAAUGCUAUAUAUUUUAUUUAUGUUGUGUUAAUCCAUAUUUAUCCAUAGCAAAAUUAUUUAUUUUUAUGAUAUUUUUAUAUAACCAUUGAAUUUUUUAAGUAAAAAAUAGUAUAUUAUAUUUAUAUCACACUAAUUCAUACUUAUAUUGGUGUGUAUUGCACGAUAAAUUAUAUUAGGACUAAUCAAUUUAGAUAAUAUUUUUCUUAUGAACACAAAUUCGUGAAAGUUUGAAAGUCAAAAGAAUAUUUUAUUAUAUUAAUGGAUGAAAAAAAAAUCCCAAUUAAACAAUUUGUUAGUUCAAAUUCAUAAGCCUAAAAAAUAUAUAUUUUUAGUCAUGAAAGUAGUAGUGGUAAGAGUAAUUAUAAGACAUGUAUAUUCAAAUACAUUAUUUUUAUCAACCCAAAAUUUUACGUGUUCACAAGAAAUUUGGCAAAUUUAAUUUAUAACAUGCAUGAGGUUUAAUUCAUAAGAUUUUUCUUCCAGACAUAUAAAUUUAGACAUUUAACUAUGAAAAGAAAAUAAGUAAAAGUUACUAUAAUUUUUGUAGACGUUUAUGUUCAUUUUUACGGUUAAAUAUAGACAAAAUAGAAUCCAAAUAAAAAUAAUCAAAUCCUAGUUGGUCCUUUAUGUUCAUUUAACAUAUGUGGCAUGUUUAAUUACGAGCGGGAAACAGAGGAGAGUGCUAAAGGCUUUAAUUAAUUUUAUUCGCGUUGAUACUGAUUCAACAAAUGCUAUUCAACUUUUGGAAGAUUACGGUAACCAGCAACAUCCACGCUACAUUUUUUUUUUUUACUUUUUUAUUAGGUAAAAAGCUUAUUUUACCUUAUAAAUAUUAUUUGGCAAAAAAAAUUUUAUAGUUGGAAUGCUACUCCAACUAACAAUUUUAAAAAUAUUAGUUUUUAACUUUUUAUAAUCUUUUCUUUUUUUAUUCUUAUGCUCCGUCUUAUUCUUAAUAUAAGAUACUUUGAACAUCAAUUACAUAAAACAAUAAAAGUAAUAAAUUCAAUUAAUUUUAUUGAAUUUUUUUAAAAAAAUAUUAGCAAUGUAUCAAUUAUGCUCUUAUUAGUAAUGAUGAACUUGUUAUAGGUUAUUUGAAAGUAUCAAAGUCCAAAAGAGUAUUAUGUACCACUAUAAAAAAAAAAGCACAAAUACUUAUAGUGUUUAAUGAGAACAACUAAUGAAAAAAAAAUAAGAAUUUUAAAAUUUCUUAUAAAAAGAACCAUCAAUUUCUUCUAAACUUUAUCUUAUUUGAUUUGUGUUUUAACCUUUCUAAAUAAGGUACAUUUUAUAAGAUUUUAUUAUAUUUUAACUAACACAUAGUCAACAUAAUAAAGUAAGAAGUUUACUUAAAUGUGUUAUUUUUAUAUUAGAUUUCAAAUAUUUUAAGAUAUUAUAUAAGAUUAAUGGUAGAAUACACAUUAUAAAAAAUGUAAUAAUUGAAACUAAACAUUAUAAUUAAAUUUAUAAUUAAUAAGAAUUACAAGAGUUUAGAACAAUUUAAAAAAUUAAAUUAUAAAUACCCAAAAUAUAUUUUUGUCAAUAAAAAUAAACUAAAUUUGAUAUAAAAAUAUCAUUUAAAAAUGUUCAUUUACGUCAUUAUAAAUUUAUCAGUUACUUUAAUAAAUAAUUUUAGCAAACACAUAAUAAACUAGCUUAAUAACUUUUAGCAUCCGCCUAAAUUUUUAUCUUUAUUUCAGCAGUUUUUUCACCUUUAGGUUAUCCAAUUAGUUUAGCUAAAUAUAGUUUAAGCGGGAAAAGUAUAUCUAAAAUUGUCUUAAGAAAGUGGAAUGAUGACAAGUAAGCAAAGAUAUUGGUGUGGCAAAAUUGCUUCGUAUAUAAACUCUCGAGUUUGUGCUUCAUAAUGUAUAUAUAGGUUUAUUAUUUUUUCAGUCAUUAAAUUUUCUUAAAUUUUGUGAUUUUAGACCUUGAAUUUCUUAAUUCACUUUUAGUUUUUUUAAUUUUUUUUUCUUAGUUACUUUUAGCUUCUUAAAAAUCCUGCCUAGGUUAGCUUUGCUAUUCUUAACCGGUCUCAAGCCCGGAUAAAAGGAGAGGGUUGUGUUAGGCUUUCGACAGCCAACAUAAAACUUUGUCGAAUCUCUACAACAUGGAUACAACUUUUAGCUUCUUAAUCUUUUUCUGUCCUUAAUUUUCCUUAAAAGGACUAAAAAUAAGGAAGAAAAAAAAGUUAACAGACUAAAAACAAAAAUUCUAAAAAAUGUAGGGACUAAGAAGAUAGUAAACCGAUUAUAUAUAAUAUUAUAUAGACAUAUAAUAAAUAGAUAAAAUAGAUUAGGCUUGUAAUUUUGAGACAUUUUUCCACUAGCCCAGAAAUAGAGUCUUUGUUGAGUUUUCUUAGGGGUCCUCUAGCUGUAAGCACAAACGAUGGGAAGAAGUUCUAAGCAGAAGAAACUUGUCUGGUUUUCUGGAACUUGGAAUGAAAUUUGAAGUUGAUCAAUUGGCCUUCUGAUGAGAGUUUAGCUUAGCAACACAGACAAGUUCCUUCUGACUGACUUCUUCGUCACUUACUUCACUAGCAGGAGCCAGAGCAUCAAAUAUCCUUAUCUUUUCAGAGGACCUUGGAACUUCUUUUUAUCAUCAAUUCAUCAUAUUCCUUCUUUGUUUCAAGACAGCUAUUUCUUUUCUUUUUCCUUAUUCUUCCUGCUUCAACAAUCAAAACUUUAAAAAUUCACUACUAGUUCAAAUCUCUCUGAUAAACAAGGACUAUCUAUAGUUUUCUCCUUAAUAUACAAAGGCCGCAGAGAACCUUAAAGGGUAGACAUUAUGCAAUUGCUUCCAUCAUGGCUUCAAAAUUCUUAGAAGGGUAACAUAAAAGGAAAGGAAGAAAUAUCAAUAACCAAUAAACCACCAUGAAUAGAAAAUACAUCCAAGUACAAAAUAUUUUCUGUUCGAAUAGAAACAAUCAUUAGCAGUUUUUAAUUUGUACAUCCUUUCAACAUUAUGCAGUAGCUUCCUUGAGCUGCUUUGUGAUGUUGGCAAAGUAAUAUCCAUGGUCGAAUGCAUGCAUCGACUCUAUGGAAGUUGGCCCCUCUGUUUCAGCAUAAGUUCCUGCACCAUAUGGACUUCCACCUUUCACUUCCUUCACAUUGCCAAACUCAUUACUGUAUGCAAAUCUUAUUCCAAAUGGAACAAAUAUCAUUCCAUGAUGAGCCAGCGGGGUGAUAGCAGUAAGCCUGUCAUAGAUUCCACUUCCACACAAUGAAUAAAUAAUAUAUACACUGAGAAAUGACAAUGCAAAGUCUCUUUAUACUAUUAUUUAAUCAUAAAUUGUUACAUGUGAUAAGUUUGUUAACUUUUAAUAUAACGACCUUACAAGCUAAUCAUACCAACGAUGAUUUCUAAUUGAUUGACAGUGUACAAUGACAUUGUGUGUCUAUUAAACUCUUCUACAAUUUUCUUACCAUCAUAAUUUCAUUCAAAUCAGGAAAUUGAGGAUUAAGAAAUUAACUACAUUCAAGAGGAUCUUACACUGUAGUCUCUUGUCCACCACCUUGGGAACUGGUGCUGGUGAUGAUUCCAGCGGAUUUGCCUGCAAGCCGUUGUGUUUUACACAGUUCUUCAGUUGAAUCUAGAAAAGCCUUAAACUGAGCAGCCAUCAUUCCAAAUCUUGUUGGGAAGCCAAAGAUAAAACUAUCAGCCUCAGGGAGCUGAUUGGGGUGAAUAAUUGGUACAAUACUCUUGGGUAAUGCUCUCAGCUUAGCAAGCUCCUCAGAUGGCAGUGUUUCAGGUACCUGUUUAUGUGUUCAAUGAAGUUAAGGAGGCAUAUAAUAUAUAUAACACCAUCAUUCAAAAUGAAGGAACAUAUCUAACAGAAUGUGUGAAUUCAACUUUGUGAAAGUCAGAUGGGAAGAACUAUGAUGAUGAGAUAAAAUUUAAAAACCAAUUAUUUAUGAAAAAAUGGAAUGCAUAGGGAUAGGAACUGCAACAAAUGAAACAUAAACACAUGCCUGCCAUAGUGUGGCCUCAGCACCUUCUACAGAGUUAACCCCUUCCUGUACUUUCUUUGCUAGUUUUUCUAUAUGCCCAUACAUUGAAUAGUACCUGUCAAAGUAAUGGAAAAUUUUCAUAUUUUUGUAAAAUAAGUUGACAGAAACAUGCUCAAAUCUUUACUUUAGAAUAAAAUGAAAAGGGUAAUGAAGCAAAUGUUAUUGGUGACAAUACAAAAGACAGAGGAAAUACAAAUCACGAUUAAGAAAAGAUGAGGCAAACAUCAAGGUUAUAUAAAAUUUAUCAGUAGAUAGUCUUCUAUAAACAGAAAAUAAGAUAUCCUUCAGAAGGUAAGAAUAAAGAUGAUUGCAGUAUUUGCAAAUCACUGUAGAAGGACCCUAUAUGUAAAAAGCUGAUGAUUUGUCAACGUUUGAAAACCAAUUAUGUAAAUUUAUUACUCUAAAUUUCACAUAUAUCUAAUGCUAAAAAUGCAAACUUUUACUGCAAUCAAAUUCAUGAAUUGUCCCUCGGUACUGUAGUCUCUUGUCAUUUGUAAGAGAAAGCUAUCUUGGUAAAUUAGCUUAUUUGUUUGGAAACAAUAACGAAUAACCCCAUUUCCUUUGCUGGUAGGUCAAAACUUAUACAUCACCAAAAAAGAAAGACUAGCCAUAAUGAAAUUAGUUUACUAUGUUCCUUACCCAGAAAAUGCUCCUCACAUAAUCUCAGACUUUCUAUCACAACCAUCAAUCUUUAUUAUCUCUCAUUUUUUUUUUCCAUUUUAUCCACGGUUUGCAUGGUUCAUUGUCGGAAAAAUCUGCGUGUAAUUAAUUAUGUGAAAGAAACAUUCCCGUUAAUUAAAGAUGAAACAUUCCUGAACAAAAAUGCAUCAUAUCCUAUAGGGUCAGAGUCCAAGAACCUCAAAAGAACAUCGAAGUUUGAAAGUCUUCAAAUUAAACUAUGAAAACUGCUAACCAGUACCCUUGGGGCAUUGGUUAAGAAACUAAAAGGAGAAAGAUUUUUCUUAAUUAAAGAAGUAAAAGAAACCCAGUGAACGAAAUUCCAUGCUAAGCAUCAUGAUGCACCAAUCCAUGCAAGGAAGAAAGAACAAGGUACUCAAAAUGAAUAGAAAAAGAACAAGAAAGAGCACUAACAAUGAAAUGAAAGACAGUGGAAGACAGAGAGCAAUGCAGCACGUGGACAUAGAUUAACUAGCUAUGAUUAAAUAAAAUAAAUAAAAAAUAAUCAAUUAGUGAAGACAUGUAAGGUUUAGAAAGGUCAUACACAAUGUAAAUUUUGACAGCCAUUGGUGAUCCUCCAAGUGCAAAUCUCUCUCUGUGCUUCUUCUCUUUCUCUCGUUAGUAUUCUCAGAAUCUCAGGCAAAUGAAUUGAACAGUGUAAUGUGAAGAUUGUGAAAAAAGCGGGAAGCGCAAGCUUUAUAUAAUUAUAUGAGCUUUGCGUUUUUAAUAAAAUAAAUAAAAAUAGGGGUAAUAAAUAAGAGUCCUUUGGGGGUGAUUAGUCCGUUUGUGUGUGUGUUUUUUAAUGCAAAAACUUAUACUCUGUGACUAUAAUAGAAAAAAGAAAACUUAUACUAUGUGACUUAGACUUACAAAUUUUUCUUGUGGAUUUUGUUUGCAGAAUUUUUUAUUAAUUUAGUUUUUUUAUCUUAAAAAGAUUUUUUUUUUUCAAAUUAUGUUAUAAUUUUGGCAUAAAAAAUAUGUUGGAUAUAGCUAAUAGCAAUACAGUUUUGUGUAUGAGUGUGAAACUCUUUCCCGUUGCUGUUUGUUAUGGACCCUGAUUCUUAUAUUGUUACAUUGGGGAACAAACAAAUUUAAUUUGUUAAAGUAUGCAUAAUGUGUUAAUACUUAAUACAGUUCAUGAUUUCGCACAAGCCCACAAGACACGCUAGGAUUUUCGGUGGAAAAAACAGAGCAAUGAAAAAGUAAAGUGUUUUCAUAUUAUCUUUGAAGAAACUAAAAAGGAAAGUGGAAAAAUAAAGUGUGACGCCACUUUAGCAUUUUAUAAAUAAAUAAAAAGUUGAAGAAGCGUUUCCCUUUGGUCCCUUUAUAUUUUUUUUCACUGCCACGCUUUGUCUGUAUUCACAAAUACUUGCUUAUCUUUUGCACCUCCACAGUAAUACUAACAGUAACACAAGUCGUUCUCAACAAAUUUGCUUCCAUUUUUGCAAUUAUAAUUUCUUGUCACAAAAUGAGGACAUAUGAUGUAUUUGUGAGCUUCCGCAGUGAAGACACACGCAACAACUUCACUGGUUUUCUUUUCCAAGCUCUCUCUAGAAAAGGCAUUGAUGCCUUCAAAGAUGACAAAGAUCUCAAGAAAGGUGAAUCCAUAGCACCAGAGCUGCUACAAGCCAUUGAAGGAUCUUGCCUUUUUGUCGUGGUCUUUUCGAAGAACUAUGCUUCCUCAACUUGGUGUUUGCGGGAACUGGCAGAGAUCUGUAAUUGCAUUGAAACAUCGCAGAGACGUGUUCUGCCUAUUUUUUAUGAUGUUGAUCCAUCUGAAGUGAGAAAGCAGAGUGGAUAUUUUGAGAAAGCCUUUGCUGAACAUGAGAAGAGAUUCAAAGAAGAUAAAAAGAAGAUGCAGGAAGUACAGGGAUGGAGAGAAGCUCUGAAACAAGUGACAAGUGACCAAUCUCUCUGGUUGGGAUAUUAGAAAUAAGUAUGUAAUCCUCUCUUACUUAUUUUCUCGAAUUUCUUACCCAUUUUUAAAUUAGUGUUGAGAGAAACUGAAAGAGGUAACAUGCACAUUGGGUUGAAAUUUAUACGUACAUGUUUAAUGCAAAUAUGUUAAACUUCUUCUGCGCAUGUACCUAUUUUGUUUUGGUUCUCUUUGGUGAUGAUUUUGCAUUCUUCAUUUUCUUUAAAUCUUUAGGCCACAAUGCGCGGAGAUUGAAGAAAUUGUUGAAAAGAUAAAAUAUAUAUUGGGUCAAAACUUUUCUAGUCUUCCAAACGAUGAUUUAGUCGGGAUGAAAUCUCGUGUUGAAGAAUUAGCACAGCUUUUGUGUUUAGGGUCAGUUAAUGACGUCCAAGUUGUCGGAAUUAGUGGGUUGGGGGAAAUAGAAAAGACAACUCUUGGUCGUGCUUUAUAUGAAAGAAUCUCUCAUAAAUAUGCUUUGUGUUGUUUUAUUGAUGAUGUAAACAAAAAAAAUUAGAUUAUGGUAUAUUAGGUGUACAAAAGCAAUUACUUUCUCAAUCUCUAAACAAAAAAAAAAAUUAGAGAUUUGCAAUGUAUCCGAGGGAACAUGUUUGUUAUGGAGUAGGCUUUACCAUGCAAGGGCGCUAAUAGUUCCAGUUAGCGUUGAUCAAGUUGGAUAAUUAUAGAUGUUUAUAGGGAGUAGAGAUACUCUAUUACGUGAAUGUCUGGGUAGAGGGAGCAAAAUCAUCAUAAUUACAGGGAUCAACAUAUAUUGAGGGCACAUGGUGUAGAAGAAGUUUACCAAGUCCAGCCAUUGAAUGAAGAUGUUGUUCGAUUGUUUUGUAGAAAUGCUUUCAAAAGUAAUUAUAUUAUGAGUAAUUAUAAAAAGUUGACUUAUGAUGUACUAUUACAUUGUUGAGGGCAUCCUUUAGCAAUUGAAGUAUUGAGCUCAUCCUUGUUUUGUCGAAAUGUCCUACAAUGGAGAACUGCGUUGGCCAAAUUUAAAAACAAUAAAAGUAAAGAUAUUACGAAUGUGCUGCGAAUAAGUUUUGAUGAGUUGGAGGACAUAGAGAAGGACAUAUUUCUUGAUAUUGUUUGUUUCUUCCCCAUUUGUGGAGAGCAAUAUGCAAAGAAAAUUCUAGAUUUUCGUGGAUUUCAUCAUGAAUAUGGCCUACAAAUUCUUGUUGAUAUAUCACUCAUAUGCAUGAAAAAGGGGAUAAUUCAUAUGCAUAGCUUGUUGAGCAAUCUCGGCAGAUGCAUUGUUAGAGAAAAAUCACCCAAGGAGCCAAGGAAGUGGAGUAGGUUGUGGGAUUACAAAGAUUUCCACAAUGUUAUGUCAAACAAUAUGGUUUUUGAAUAUAAAAUCCUAAGUUGUUAUUUUUCUAGAAUUUGUAAUACUUCAAAAGAACUAAUAUUUUCUUUUCCCUUUGCAAUUUCUAAGGAAGCAGAAAAUCUUGAAGCCAUUGUUGUUAGAAGUCCACAUAAGUUUGCUCAAACAAUGAGGGUCGAUGCUCAAACGUGUUAUCUGGCAAAAUAAAUUUUUCUGGAAAAUUUGAUAACCUUUCCAAUGAAUUAAGAUAUCUUUCUUGGAAUGAAUAUCUUUUUGAGUGUUUGCCACCAAGUUUUGAAGCAAACAAACUUGUAGAAUUGAUCUUGUAUGCUAGCAACAUCAAACAAUUAUGGAAAGGUAGAAAGGUAAUGUAAAUUGUUAUUCUUUUGCAAUUUUGUUUUUUCUUGAAAUGAACAAAUAGAAAGACAAACUUUCUAAUGUUAUUUCCUUUUUUUCUCUAAUUAAUUAAAGAAACAAAAGAAAGGUGAGUGUAAUUAGUAACUUUGUUUCCUAAUUUUUUCCAUUUAUAGUAGUGUCUACACAAUUUGAUAUAUUUGAUUCUCUCUCACUCCAAAAAUUUAAUUGAGAUACAUGAUUUAAUAGAGGCCCUAAAUCUUGAGCGGCUAGAUCUCCAAGGAUGUAUACAACUUAAGAAGAUUCAUCCAUCUAUUGGCCUUCUAAGAAAGGUUAUUGAUGCAAUCUUCCCUAGAAAGGGACCAGUCACUAGAGCCAUGAGCAAGAGGAUUGGGCUAGAGCUGCUGAAGAAGGCCCUAGGGUUCUCAUGAACCUCAGAGUAGAUUUCUGAGCCCAUGGGCCAAGGUUAGGUCUAAUUAUCGUUGUACAUAUUAGACUAGGAUGUCAUUAUAUUUGGUCCUUGUAUUUAGGGCUCCAUAUUGUAGGUAGGGUACCCUAGAAAUAUAGGAUUUUUCAGCCCUUGUAUUUUAGGGCACCUAGACUAGUUUUUGUAUUAGGGGUAGUUUUGUAAUUUCACAUGCACUAAGUGAAUAUUUGAUGUGUGUGGUUGGAAAUAAAUUUAAUUGAAUUGGUAGAAGCCCAAUCCAAUUAAAUUUUAGAGGGGAAGGUAAGCAUUUGCUUACUACACCCCAUUACCACAUCAUAUAGUCACACUUUGUGCAUGUCCUUCAUGCUUUACAUGCCUCAUGACACCCAAACACACUUAGUGGAGAAUCUUGAAAUUGAUCAUGGAUUAGUGGGUUGAACCAUAACUAAAAUUCACUAAUCAUAAUUAGUGAAAUUUUAGCUCCAAAGUUUGGUCCACAAAUUCAAUUUCAAAUUUAAGUGAAAUUUGAAUUGAAAUUCAAAUUUCCCUCCAAUUUUGUGUGACACUUAGACUAUAAAUAGAGGUCAUGUGUGUGCAUUUUUUCAACUUUGAUCAUUUGAAUAUUAGACUUCAGAUUUCAAAGCUCUUUUAGAGCACAAAAUUUUGUGCUCUUCUCUCCCUCUCCCUUCAUUCAUCUGCUUCUUCCUCCAAGCUCUUAUCCAUGGCCUCCUAUGGUGGUGAACUUCUUCUAGACUCAUCUUCUCCUUGAAGUGGCAUCUCCUCUCUCUCUUCCUUCUCCAUUCCGCUGCCAUUCAUCUUCCAAGAAGCAAAGGAAUCCAUUGAUGAAGAAGAUUCUAGGCCUACAAGCUCCAAUGGAGCUUACAUCUUGUGGUAUCAAGAGCAUCUUCAUCUAGGUGAUGUUCUUUUGCUUCCUCUAUCUUUUUGUUUGGUGAAUUCUCUUUAAUUCCUUGUUCUUCAUAUUAUUCUCCAUGUAUAUCCUCCAUUGUCUUGUGGUUUGGUUAUGUUUAGAGUAGAUUCAAAAAAAUAAACCGAUUAAAUCUUAGAUCUACACUUGUUCUUGCAUUUCUAUGGUUCGAAUUUUGUAGAUCAACUCUUGAAUCAUGUUUUUGUGUUGAUUUUAGGUUUUAUCAUUUUUCAUUCAUAAUAUUCUUGUGCUGAACCUUAGAUCUUAAUUUUCUUCCAAAAUAUUGAUUAGAAAAAAAAACACAAAAAUCUAAGUGUAAAUCACUUAAUCCAUGUUGUCUUAGAGUCAUGUUUAGUCAUAGUAAUUGUCACAUUAUGUUCUAAGUUUGUGUUGAAUUUUUAUUUUGUUGAUUGAAUUCUAGAUACAUUUGUUCAUGUAUUCUUGUUAUUCUUAGCCUAUCUUUUGAAUUUUGAGUCUAAUUCAUGCAUGUUAUUUAGUUUAUAACAUGUUCUAAAUCAAUUCCUGGAAGUAGUAUGGUUGUUGAACUCUUUUUUUGUUUUCUAAGAUUCCUACAUGAUGCCUAUGAUGAAGUUGAGUUGUGGUGCUGAGUUAUGGCUGGAUUUGUGAAUCAAAUAAGUCUUAAGCUCUCUUGAAUUGUUUUAUUCAAGAUAAUUGAGCAUAACCAAACACAAAUUGUAACUAUCCAAGCCUUAAGCAACAUAAACACUACUCUUGAUUUCUAGGUUGAAAUUGUUGGUGCUGGUAGCUUGAACAUACAAAAUUGUAUAAAUUACUGGGAAUUGGUCACUACGUGUUUUGAGAUGAAAGUUUUACUGAAUUUUCUACACAUCUGGAUCCAAAUUAUAAAAAAAGAACCAAGCGAUUUGGAUUAAAGGAAAAAAUAAGAAAAAUCACACAAGUUGGCAGGAAAAUCAGUGUCCAGGAAAAAAAGAGUGAAAGGGAAGUGUGCUUGUUGUUUUGGCUCAAAAUUUGUUCUAUAAUUGGUGCCUCUUUUAUACCAAUCCUAGUUCUUAAAUUUCAAUUGAAAAUUAUUGUGAAAACAAGUGCCAAAACUAGAGAUUUCUUGAGUCAUUUUUUUUAGUUUUUCUACUCUACUCUAGAGCCAUUCUAGGUUUCUCUUUGAGUCCUGGCUUACUUUUUUGUGCUUUUCAUUGCUUUAAUUGUUAAAUAAUCCUUGAAAAUUUGUCUUGUAAAAAAUCUAUUGGUUUAGAUUUCAUUUAUUUAUUUUUUGUUAUUGCUUGUCUCUUUGUUUCCUUGCUUGUGAGUUGCCAUAUAGGGAAUUGGAAAGGAGGAUUGGUGUCAUAUCUUGAAGAAUUUGAGUCAAGAAACAAGGGGCCAACCACCUCAAGAGAUAUUGGACUAAGAAGCACUCCAAAUUGAGUGAAACACUAAAGAGAGAAUAUCCACCACAAUUGAGGAAUUUUUUCUUUGUAAUUUUGUAAUUGGCAAUUUGCUUUGCUUUCAAAUUUUGUAACAAAAAGGCCUUUCAUUGGAAGUAAGUUGGGAGCCUCCGCUAGGUCACCCUACUUCCAUUUGUGUGUAAUAAUUUUAGGCAAUUUUCCCUUAGGAUAGUGAGUGUUUUGUUAGGAACCUUAAAUGAGGUCAUCCAAACACUCUUAGGAUCCACCUAGUUUGCAUUUCUUGCAUUUUAAUUUCUUGCUUACUUUCAUAGCUUAUGUCCUUUACCCUCCAUUGUCAAAUCGCCUAGAUAGCUUGCCUUUUACCAAUUAGUUUUUACCUUAUCUUUCACACCUCUUUUAGUGUUUAUUUUGGCUAGUUUCAACCAUAGUUUCUUUUACCUUUUGUUUUCAAACCCCCAACAAGAAAGAACCAUAACUUAGGAACCAACAUGAGUCUUCAUUCUUCAUCUAGUGUUAAUGGUGAGGGUUCUACUCCUAAGGACCCAUUGUAUAAGAUAUUAGAUGAGUUGAGAUCCCUUAAGUUGUGGAAAUAAAAACAAGAGAGAAAAGAAAAAGGUAAAAAAAGAAUGGAAGAAAUAAGUCAAGAUGAAAGAGAGAAAAUAAGAGAGGAAGAAAGAACAAAAAUAAUGAAAGAAAUGAAAAGAGAAAAACAUGUCUCCUUUAGUAGUCAUGACUCUUGCAAGAGUUUAAGUGGAGAACUUAGCGACUAUUAUAGAGGGCGCCAUAGUUCACAUACUAAACAUCACUCCCAAAGAAGAGAAAAGGAUAGAAGGCCUCAAGAGGUUAACAUUAGCCUCUCAUAUUUCCAUGGAAAAGAUAAUGUUGAGGCCUACUUAGAUUGGAAAAUGAAGGUUGAACAACUCUUUGCUUGCCAUCAUAUCAGUGAAGAGAGAAAAGUUCCAUUGGCUACCCUUAGCUUUCAAGGGUAUACCCUCUAUUGGUGGACUUCCCUUGUUAGGGAAUGAAGGAUUCAUGGGGAUCCUCCAAUAGAGUAUUGGAAUGAUCUUAAGAAUGCCCUUAGGAAGAGGCAUAUUCCCUCCUACUAUGAAAGGGAGCUUAUGGACAAGCUCCAAAGGCUUAGAGAAGGGAGUAUGAGUGUUGAAGAAUAUAGAAAAUAAAUGGAACUACUCCUUUUAAGAGCUGGACUUAGGGAGGAGGAAAGAACAAGCAUAGCUAGGUUCCUUAGUGGGCUUAAUAUGGAAGUGAGGGACAAGGUUGAACUCCUUCCAUAUAGGGACCUAGAUGAGCUAGUCCAACUUUGUAAAAGAGUGGAGCAACAACUUAAAAGAAAGCCUUCUUCAAAAUCUUAUGGCUCUCACUCUUAUCCAAGGAAGGACCGAGCCCAUGGAAUUUUGGGGGCUGCACCUUCAAAACCCAAGGAAGAUAAGGGUAAGACCAUAGAGAAAUACACCCCUAAAGCUAGUUCCCAAGAAAGGACUAGCAACAUUAAAUGCUUUAAAUGUCUUGGGAGAGGUCACAUUGCUUCUCAAUGCCCCACAAAGAAAGCCAUGAUCAUGAGGGGUCAAGACAUUUAUAGUAGUCAAGAGGAGACUACUUCUUGCCCUUCCUCUAGUGGAAGUGAAGAUGAAGUAAGGGGUAAAGAGUCUAGUGAGGAAGUCUAUCCCCAUGAAGAAGGUGACCUCUUAAUGGUUAGAAGGCUCCUUGGAGGUCAAUCUUGUGAUCUAUCUCAAUCCCAAAGAGAGAACAUCUUUCAUACAAGAUGCAAAAUUUUAGAUAAAAUUUGUUCUCUCAUUGUGGAUAGUGGAUCUUGUUGCAAUUGUUGUAGCACAAGAUUAGUUUCCAAGUUGAACCUCACUAUCAUUCCCCACCCAAAACCUUAUAAACUUCAAUGGCUCAAUAAGCAAGGGGAAAUAAUAGUUAACUAACAAGUGAAGGUACCUUUCUCCAUUGGGACAUAUAAGGAUGAAGUUAAUUGUGAUAUAGUUCCCAUGGAGGCAGGACAUAUUCUUUUAGGAAGGCUGUGGCAAUUUGAUAGGAAGAUCAUUUAUAAUGGCCUAACUAAUGAGAUUACCCUCACCCAUCUUGGCACUAAAUUUGUGUUGCAUCCUCAAACACCUUCACAGGUGGCCAAAGAUCAACUAACUAUGAAAGAUAAGAGGGAUGAGGAUGAAAAAUUAGAAAAACAAAAGAAAAAGAAGGAUAGUAAGGCCUUGUCUUCAAAGGCCAGGGGGAAGGAAAAAGAGGGAAAGGAUUCCUCCAAGAAGAUUGUUAAGAAGGAAAAUCAUUUUGCAACAAAAGGUGAUAUUAAAAGAGCACUCAUUCUUAAAAAAUCUUUCUACCUUCUCCUAUCAAGGGAAACAUCCCUUAGCAUUGUCACAAUUCCUACAUUUGAGACCUUACCCCCAAAGGUCCAAGAACUCUUACAUGAAUUUGGUGAUAUAUUUCCCAAAGAGAUACCCCUUGGGCUACCUCCUUUAAGGGGAAUAGAACACCAAAUAGAUUUAGUCCCAGGAGCAAGCCUUCCUAAUAGGCCAGCCUAUAGGACUAACCCUCAGGAGACUAAGGAGAUAGUGUCUCAGAUUAAAGAAUUGUUGGAGAAAGGCUGGGUCCAAGAGAGCCUAAGCCCAUGUGUUGUGCUAGUGUUGUUGGUGCCCAAAAAGGAUGGUACGUGGAGAAUGUGUACAGAUUGUAGGGCCAUCAACAACAUCACUGUAAAGUAUAGGCACCCCAUUCCUAGACUUGAUGAGUUGCAUGGUGCCAAUAUCUUUCAAAAAUUGAUCUUAAAAGUGGUUAUCACCAAAUCAAGAUGAAAAAGGGUGAUGAGUGGAAAAUCGUUUUCAAGACCAAGUUUGGUUUGUAUGAAUGGCUAGUGAUGCCUUUUGGGCUCAAUAAUGCACCAAGCACCUUUAUGAGGCUUAUGCAUCAUUUCUUAAGGGAUUUCAUAGGUAGAUUUGUAGUUGUUUAUUUUGAUGAUAUUUUAGUGUACAGUAGGAGCCUAGAUGAUCACUUAGGACAUCUCAGACAAGUUCUUUCAGUCCUUAGGAAAAACACCCUCUAUGAAAAUAUAGAGAAGUGUACCUUUUGUGUAGAUAAUAUAGUUUUCUUAGGUUUUGUAGUUGGUAGAAAUGUGGUCCAAGUGGACCCUGAGAAAAUCAAGGCCAUCCAAGAAUGGCCCACCCCAAAAAGUGUGGGAGAUAUUAGGAGCUUCCAUGGGUUAGCAAACUUCUAUAGAAGGUUCGUUCCUAAUUUCUCUACAAUUGCAUCACCUCUCAAUGAGUUAGUGAAGAAGAAUGUGGCAUUUACCUGGGGUGAAAAGCAAGAGCAAGCCUUUGCUUUGCUCAAAGAAAAUCUUACUAAGGCACUUGUUCUAGCUCUUCCUGACUUUUCUAAAAGUUUUGAGCUAGAAUGUGAUGCCUCUGGAGUGGGUGUUGGAGUUGUAUUGUUACAAGGUGGGCACCCUAUUGCUUAUUUUAGUGAAAAACUUCAUAGUGCCACCUCAACUACCCCACCUAUGAUAAAGAGCUUUAUGCCUUAAUAAGAGCCCUCCAAACUUGGGAACAUUACCUUGUUUCCAAGGAAUUUGUCAUUCAUAGUGAUCAUCAAUCACUUAAGUACAUUCGAGGGCAAAGCAAGUUAAACAAGAGGCAUGCAAAAUGGGUAGAGUACCUAGAGAAAUUUCCAUAUGUUAUCAAAUACAAAAAGGGAAAAACAAAUGUGGUAGCUGAUGCCCUCUCUAGGAGACACACAUUGUUUUGCUCCCUAGGAGCUCAAAUUUUAGGAUUUGAUAAUAUUAGGGACUUGUAUGCUUUAGAUGAACAUUUCUCUCCCAUUUACAAGAGUUAUGGGAAAAAGGCCCAAGAUGGAUUCUAUUUGGCUGAGGGGUAUUUGUUCAAAGAGGGAAAGCUUUGCAUACCCCAAGGAUCCAUUAGGAAAUUACUUGUGAAAGAGAGCCAUGAGGGUGGGCUCAUGGGCCACUUUGGGAUAGACAAGACCCUUGUCUUACUCAAAGAAAAUUUUUAUUGGCCCCAUAUGAAGACAGAUGUCCAUAAGCAUUGCACUAGGUGUGUGGCUUGUUUACAAGCCAUGUCUAGGGUGAUGCCUCAUGGGCUAUACACACCCUUACCCAUCCCAUCUGCACCUUGGGUAGACAUUAGUAUGGACUUUGUCCUUGGGCUUCCUAGAACCCAAAGAGGUGUAGACUCUAUCUUUGUGGUGGUGGAUAGGUUUAGCAAGAUGUCAUACUUUAUACCAUGCCACAAGGUGGAUGAUGCUUCCCACAUCUCAAAACUCUUUUUCAGGGAAGUUGUGAGACUCCAUGGUUUGCCUAGGACCAUUGUAUCAGAUAGAGAUGCUAAGUUCCUUAGCCACUUUUGGAAAACCUUAUGGGCUAAGCUAGGAACUAAACUUCUUUUCUCUACCACUUGUCAUCCACAAACUGAUGGGCAAACAGAGGUAGUGAAUAGGUCUUUAUCCACCCUUUUAAGGGCUCUUCUGAAAGGAAACCAUAAGUCUUGGGAUGAGUAUCUUCCUCAUGUAGAAUUUGCCUACAACAGGGGGUUCAUAGAACCACCAAGCAGUCCCCUUUUGAGGUUGUCUAUGGGUUCAAUCCCCUAACACCGUUAGACCUCAUUCCGCUCCCACUAGACACUUCUUUUAUACAUAAAGAAGGGGAAUGUAGGUCAGAGUUUGUAAAGAAGUUGAAUGAGAGGGUUAAGAACCAAAUAGAGAACCAAACCAAGGUGUAUUCAACUAAAGGCAAUAGAGGAAGAAAAGAGCUAGUUCUUAAUGAGGGUGACUGGGUUUGGCUCCAUCUUAGGAAGGAUAGAUUCCCUACUAAAAGGAAAUCCAAGCUUAGCCCUAGAGGGGAUGGACCUUUUCAGGUUUUGGAGAGGAUCAAUAACAAUACCUAUAGGUUGGACCUCCCAGAAGAGUAUGGAGUCAGCACCACUUUUAACAUUUCAGAUUUAAUUCCUUUUGCAGGUGGAGCUAAUAUUGAAGAGGAGGAACUAACAGAUUUGAGGUCAAAUCCUCUUCAAGGGGAAGGGGAUAAUGCAAUCCUCCCUAGGAAGGGACCAGUCACUAGAGCCAUGAGCAAGAGGCUCCAAGAGGAUUGGGCUAGAGCUGCUGAAGAAGGCCCUAGGGUUCUCAUGAACCUCAGGGUAGAUUUUUGAGCCCAUGGGCCAAGGUUGGAUCCAAUUAUCAUUGUACAUAUUAGACUAGGAUGUCAUUAUAUUUGGUCCUUGUAUUUAGGGCUCCAUAUUGUAGGUAGGGUACCCUAGAAAUAUAGGAUUUUUCAGCCCUUGUAUUUUAGGGCACCUAGACUAGUUUUUGUAUUAGGGGUAGUUUUGUAAUCUCACAUGCACUAAGUGAAUAUUUGAUGUGUGUGGUUGGAAAUAAAAUUAAUUGAAUUGGUAGAAGCCCAAUCCAAUUAAAUUUUAGAGGGGGAGGUGAGCAUUUGCUUACUACACCCCAUUGCCACAUCAUAUAGUCACACUUUGUGCAUGUCCUUCAUGUUUUACAUGCCUCAUGACACCUAAGCACACUUAGUGGAGAAUCUUGGAAUUGAUCUUGCAUUAGUGGGCUGAACCAUAACUAAAAUUCACUAAUCAUAAUUAGUGAAAUUUUGGCUCCAAAGUUUGGCUCCACAAAUUCAAUUUCAAAUUAAGAAGAUUCAUCCAUCUAUUGGUCUUCUAAGAAAGGUUAUUGAUGCAAUCUUUCCCAGAAAGGGACCAGUCACUAGAGCCAUGAGCAAGAGGCUCCAAGAGGAUUGCGCUAGAGCUGCUGAAGAAGGCCCUAGGGUUCUCAUGAACCUCAGGGUAGAUUUCUGAGCCCAUGGGCCAAGGUUAGGUCUAAUUAUCGUUGUACAUAUUAGACUAGGAUGUCAUUAUAUUUGGUCCUUGUAUUUAGGGCUCCAUAUUGUAGGUAGGGUACCCUAGAAAUAUAGGAUUUUUUAGCCCUUGUAUUUUAGGGCACCUAAACUAGUUUUUGUAUUAGGGGAUAGUUUUGUAAUUUCACAUGCACUAAGUGAAUAUUUGAUGUGUGUGGUUGGAAAUAAAUUUAAUUGAAUUGGUAGAAGCCCAAUCCAAUUAAAUUUUAGAGGGGGAGGUGAGCAUUUGCUUACUACAUCCCAUUGCCACAUCAUAUAGUCACACUUUGUGCAUGUCCUUCAUGCUUUACAUGCCUCAUGACACCUAAACACACUUAGUGGAGAAUCUAGGAAUUGAUCUUGGAUUAGUGGGCUGAACCAUAACUAAAAUUCACUAAUCAUAAUUAGUGAAAUUUUGGCUCCAAAGUUUGGCUCCACAAAUUCAAUUUCAAAUUUAAGUGAAAUUUGAAUUGAAAUUCAAAUUUCCCUCCAAUUUUGUGUGACACUUAAGCUAUAAAUAGAGGUCAUGUGUGUGCAUUUUUUUCAACUUUGAUCAUUUGAAUAUUAGAUUUUAGUUUUCAGAGCUCUUUUAGAGCACAAUUUUGUGCUCUUCUCUCCCUCUCCCUUCAUUCAUCUCCUUAUUCCUCCAAGUUCUUAUCCAUGGCCUCCUAUGGUGGUGAGCUUCUUCUAGACUCAUCUUCUCCUUGAAGUGGCAUCUCCUCUCUCUCUUCCUUCUCCAUUCCGCUGCCAUUCAUCUUCCAAGAAGCAAUGGAAUCCAUUGAUGAAGAAGAUCUCAGGCCUACAAGCUCCAAUGGAGCUUACAUCAAAAUAUUUCUGCCCCAAGCUAAAAGGAAGUGAGAAAAAAAUAUUUUGAUGCAUAGUCAUUAUAUUGUUGUUAUAUAUCUUCUUUCUCACGUGAGGGCUUGUUGCUUGACUAGUUUCAAGGAUUUGUAUUCCUUGUUUUGUAUUUUCCUUACAUUACUUUUCUUCAGUACGGCCAGAUUUUGUCAAAAGACUUUUUUUUACUUAUAGCAAUCACAAACGAGGAUUGAACCUCCUCAACAACACUUUUUCUAGUUUGAUUGUAUUAAAGUUUAUGUCGUUAGCUAAGCAAUCUCGAACAUGUUUCCAUUAGCCUAGAAAAGGCUUCAACAACAACAAUUUUAAAAUAAGAAGCAGUGGUACAUUGUCUUCUAUGUUCUAAAGUACUGAUGACGGUGUCUCCAUUGGAGUUUCUAUAUAAAGCUAUUUAGUAUCCCUUUGAUACACCAGUUGAGUUUGGACAAACAUGGGGAUGGUAUGGUAAUGAACUUAGUGGUGUGUAGAAAUUGUCAGGAAAUCUAGAAUUAAUCCAUGCUCCAUUGGCCCUUUUUAUUUUUUUUUAUUUCUCACUUCUAUUGCACAAUUUUUUUGCAUAUAUUCACUAUUAGCUCAUCAGAUGGCAUGGUUCUGAAAUGUGCAAGUGGUUGUGCUUGUUUAUUGGCUUCAAAAUUCAUGGAAAACGAAUAUAAAAGAAGAAAACAAAUAUCAAUAAUUUAAUUGAGAUACUGAUUUAAGGGAGGCCCUAAUUAAUCUUGAGCGGGUAGAUCUCCAAGGAUAUAUACAACUUAAGAAGAUUCAUCCAUCUAUUGGUCUUCUAAGAAAGGUUAUUGAUCUGAAUUUAGGUGACUGCAAAAGUCUUACCAAGUUACCACAUUUUGCAGAGGCCCUAAAUCUGAAAUGGCUAAAUCUCGAAGGAUGUAUACUACUCAGCCAGAUUGAUCCAUCCAUUGGUCUUCUUAGAAAGCUUACUGUUACGAAUGUUGAGUCUUUCCGGAUGUUCUCAACUGUAUAAUAUCCGGUUAUUAGGUGAACUAAGGGAUUCAGAACAUUUGAAGAAGAUUGAUAUAGAUGAAGAAGCUCCUAUUCCCCAAUCAACAUCUUCCUACUCCAGAGAACAGAAAAAUGCAGUUACUUGUUUAUUGCCUUCCACUCCAGUUUUUCCCUGUCUGCAUGAACUUGAUCUAAGUUUCUGUAAUUUACGUCAAAUCCCUGAUGCUAUUGGAAAUUUAUGUUGCUCAUAAAGACUAGAUUUAAGUGGAAACAAUUUUGCUACACUGCCCAACCUCAAGAACCUUUCUAAACUGCAUCAUUUUCGACUGUCAAAAAUUAGUUGGGAGGGAACACUGCACUAGAAUGUGUUUUUCAUGGUCGAUACAACACUUUCAGGUGUGCAUGCUCCUUCCCUUCCUCCUCCUAUCUCUUUUUGCUCUUUUUUUUUUUGUGUAAGAAUCAGAAACUAACAUAUAGUUGUGUUUGUGGUACCAGGUGAAGUAUCAAUACAACUUUUUUUAUGAGCCUCCAUCAGAGGAUGCAAAAAUUAAAAGCCUUAUUCCUGGAAGUGAAAUACCAAGGUGGUUCAACAAUCAACAUAAGAGCAAUUGGGCCAUAUAUCGAGUCUGAUGGUACCGUGAGAGGGGAAUUUAAAAUACUUCAUAAUCAACUGAAUCCACGUUUUCUUGUUGAGGUGAAGAAAUAUGGGUAUUGUUGGGUAUAUAAAAAGGAUCUUGAACGAUCAAACUUAACUAUGAUGCAUAGCAGAAAUCCCUCAACCCAGAAGCGCAAUUUUUCAGCAAUUGAACAAAAUGAAGGAGGAAAUAAAGGAAAAAGAAGCAAAGGUAGAAUCUCAGCAAAACGUAGAAGGAUGCUUCCAACUCCUCCCUGGAAAACACAAUCAAGUUGUUGCAAAAUCAAUUUGAAAAUAUGGACCUAUAGAAUGACCCUUACUCCUGCCUUUUAUUUUGAGUUUCCAUUCACUCAACUCAAGAAUCAGGAAGUGACAUAAAGAGGAACUGAUGCAAAUUCUGAAUAAGCUUGCUAUAAAAAAAAUGUUUUUUCUUCUUCUGUCAUAGGAUGCUUGUGUUGGUUGGCAAAGGAUUUUAUCUCUUUUCUUCUGGUUGUGGUACUGUGUAUCAGAGGGUGAUGCAAUUUCUGGUCUAUUUUGUAACAGAUACAAAGCCAAUGUAUUUUUAUAACUGCUAUGCUUUUAGUGUUUCCAAAUCCAUAUUUAGACAUGUAAUAUUAUGGUUUUCAGGAUUUUCUUAUCAAUCAAUAUAAGAUCGGGAACUCAAACUAAUUAAGGAACAAGAUUUCUGCCCCAAGCUGAAAGGAAGUGAGGAAAAAAUAUUUUGAUGCAUAGUCAUUAUAUUGUUGUUAUAUAUCUUCUUUCUCGCGUCUUGUGUACUUAACACAAAAAUGGAAUCUCUUUCAGUUUUUGAUCCAGACAGCUAUUCCUGUCCUCUAACACGUGAGGGCUUAUUGCUUGACUAGUUUCAAGGAUUUGUAUUCCUUGUUUUGUAUUUUCCUUACCUUACUUUUCUUCAGUACGGCCAGAUUUUGUCAAAAGACUUUUUUUAGUUUGAUUGUAUUAAAUUUUAUGUCGUUACCUUACUUUCCUUACCUUACUUUAGUUUGAACCUCCUCAACAACACUUUUUCUAGUUUGAUUGUAUUAAAUUUUAUGUCGUUAGCUAAGCAAUCUCGAACAUCUUUCCAUUAGCCUAGAAAAGGCUUCAGCAACAGCAAUUUUAAAAUAAGAAGCAGUGGUACAUUGUCUUCUAUGUUCUAAAGUACUGAUGGUGGUGUCUCCAUUGGAUUUUCUAUAUAAAGCUCUUUAGUAUCCCUUUGAUACACCAGUUGAGUUUGGACAAACAUGGGGAUGGAAUGGUAAUGAACUUAGUGGUGUGUAGAAAUUGUCAGGAAAUCUAGAAUUAAUCCAUGCUCCAUUGGCCCUUUUUAUUUUUUUUAUUUCUCACUUAUAUUGCACAAUUUUUUGCAUAUAUUCACUAUUAGCUCAUCAGAUGGCAUGGUUCUGAAAUGUGCAAGUGCUCGUGCUUGUUUAUUGGCUUCAAAAUUCAUGGAAAGCGAAUAUAAAAGAAGAAAACAAAUAUCAAUAAAUAACUAAUGCACCAUGUAUCAAAAAAACAAAUCUUAAUACGAAACAUUUUCUUUUUGAAAAGAAACAGUCAUUAGCAUAUAUGCAAACACAAAAAAACAGAACUCACACUACUAAAAAAAUUGGUUUCUACGACACACUAACCACAUCAGUCCUCCUAAACCGAUGUGGUAUAAUAAGUGGUGGCAAUUUCAUAAUUAUAAAGUUAGAAAAUGAAGACAGUGAUAUACAAGCCCGUCUUUGAAUUGCGGAAACACUACUUCAACGACAUUGCUUUGGUGAACACCGUGGUGGUUGGCGUGGCAUUAUAGUCACGUGACUGGAACAACACUCUCAUGACCUUAGAAGACUUAGUUGUGCACCCUAUAUGUGAAGAUCAGUCGAACAACACUCUCGUCACUCAGUUCGCAUCGUGACUCAGCUCUCUACCUUCCUUAGUCAUCGUCACUCCUUCGUCACCCCGACUUAUGGUGGUCAUCAUGACUCAGGUCACUCUUUUUGCGGUGGCGCACCCCUAGCCUAUUGUGACUCAGGUCACCCCUUCCCGCGCGUGUUUGCCCAAACUGAACCCUAGUUUUGUUGUAAGCUUUAUUUUUUGUCCCUCUUUGACAUUUGUAGUUAUUUUCCGUUUUCAUUCUUUUAUUGAAAACAGACAAAGAAGCAAACAAACUACUUUUGAUUUUUCUACCCAUGCUGAACCUUUUGGUAGUAUUUUUGAAAACAGACAAAGAAGCAAACAAACUGACAUAUGUAGUAGUAUUUAGUAGUAUUUUCUACCCAUGCUGAACCUUUUGGUCAUACUUUUGAUUUUUUAUUACAUUGUUCAAAAGGUAACACCAAUGUAGAAAGCGCAGGUUACUACGUCGUGCCUGACGUCACCACCGAUGUAGAAAACACGUUUUCGAAGUCUGACGUCAUCCCCGUAUUCGAAAGGCACCCUUCUACAUCGGUGGUUUGGUUGGCACCGAUGUAGAAAUCAGUGUAAUUCUACAACGGGCGAUUGUCGACCGUUGUUGAAAGUUUUUACUUUCAACUACGUUAGUAUCAACAACGUUUGAGCACCGAUGUAGAAUACCCAUUUCGACCGAUGUAGAAUAGCAAUUUUCUAGUAGUGUCAAUAUACAUUUAGUACUGAAGCAAUUUCUUUGAUAUGGCAACAAUAUGGUUCCCUUUGCGGAAUGCAUACUACAACUCUAACCAAUUUGGUGGCCUUCCAGAAUAUCCCUGCACCAUAGAAAACGGACCAUACAUUUGACAAAAUAAAAAGGUUAUCACUUAGAUUUUGUGUCAGCUAGACUUAAACUCAUCCAAUUUCUCUGUCGCGAAAUUAUCCUUCCUUCCUUUUAAAAGUCCUACAGACAAUUAUAUAUUAAAAAAAAUCUCUUAAUUUGAUUCUCACAACUAACAAUUUCAUAAGAAUUAGUUAUACCCACAAAAAUUUACUUGAUAAGCAAACUAUUUCACUUCUGGAUAAUUACUAUUUUAGUCAGCCCAUUUUUAUAUGACAAAUGUUUAUAUUUAUAAAAUUAAAAUUCAUAAUAAAUAUUAUAUAUAUAUAUAUAUAUAUACAUAUAUUAUGUUUUGGAUUUAAAAUGAAUAUGUAAAUUGUGGUAUAAUAUUAUUUUUAAUUUAUUAGCAAUUUUAAAUGUAUAAAAAAAACUAUUCAAUUUAUAGAUAAAGAGAAAGAGAAAGAGAAAUGCAUUAAAGGAAAUGAUGAUUAAGAAUAUCAAAUCUAUAAAUAAAGAUAAAAUAAGGAUAAUAUAUGAAAUGAAAUACACAUCUAAAAUAAAGAAGGGGGAAAAUGAGAAUAAAUUUUCAAGUCUUCCAUGUGAUGAUCUAGUUUGGAUGGAAUCUCGAGUAAAAGAAUUAGCAAAGCUUUCAUGUUUGAGUUCAGUUAAUGGCGUUAGAGUUGUUGGAAUUAGUGGAAUAGGAAAAUGAUUUGGCCCUCUUCAUUAUCUUUAAAUUGUUAGGCUACAAUUAAUAUGCUGAGAUUGAAGAAAUUGAUCAAAAAACAAUUAUCAUAUUGGGUCAUAAAUUUUCAAGUCUUCCAUGUGAUGAUCUAGUUGGAAUGGAAUCUCAAGUAAAAGAAUUAGCAAAGCUUUCAUGUUUGAGUUCAGUUAAUGGCGUUAGAGUUGUUGGAAUUAGUGAAAUAGGAAAGACAACUCUUGGUCGUGCUUUAUAUGAAAGAAUCUAUUAUUAAUAUGAUUUUCGUUGUUUUAUUAAUUAUGUAAGAAAAAUUUAUGGAGAUUUCAGUACACUAGGCAUACAAAAGAGAUUACUUUGUCAAUCUCUAGAUGAAAAAAAAACCUAGAGAUUUGUAAUGUAUAUGAGAGAACAUGUUUGUUAUGGACUAGACUAUGCCAUGCAAGGGCACUAGUUGUUCUUGAGAAUGUUGAUCAAGUUGGACAACUAAAGAUGUUUAUAGCUAAGGAGUAGAGAUUCUCUAUUAGUUGAAUGCCUAGGUGGGGGGAGCAUAAUCAUCAUAAUUUCUAGGGAUGAACAUAUAUUGAGAACAGAUGGAGUAGAUGAUGUUUACCAAGUGCAGGCAUUGGAUCACGAAGAUGUUAUUUAGUUGUUUUGCAUAAAUACUUUCAAAAGCAAUUAUAUUACAAGUGAUUAUCAAUAAUUGACUUAUGACAUACUAUCACAUGUACUCAAGGUUAUCUCUUAGCAAUCGAAGAAUUAGGCUUAUCUUUGUUUGGUCGAGAUGUCUUACAAUGGAGAAGUUCAUUGGCUAGGCUAAGAGAAACUAAAAGUAAAGAUAUUAUGGAUAUACUCCGAAUAAGUUUUGAUGAGUUGGAGGACACGGAGAAGGAAAUAUUUCUAGAUAUUGCUUGUUUAUUCCAUUUAAUGUUUGAGCAACACAUGAAGGAAAUUCUUAAUUUUUGUGGAUUUCAUCUUGAAUAUGGCCUACAAGUUCUUGUUGAUAAAUCACUCAUAACUAUGAAAAAGGGAGUAGUUGUCUCCUUGGCAAGUGUACCAAGUUGCACAAGUAGUAUUAAAAUGGUAAAAUUGAGUAUUGAAUUCCACAAGGACUAUGUUUGUACUCAGAGUUAUAUAUAUAUAUAUAUAUAUAUAUAUAAUGAUUAAGCAAUUAAUGAAUGGAAAAUAGUUUUGUGCAUAAGAAUCAGUAUUAACAGAAAUAGAUUGAGAAUUAACAACAAAGCAUUAACAAAAAAGUUGAGAAGACCAACGCUUGGAGUAUGUGGUUGGUGAUGAGUGUGGAACGUGUUGGGGGCUUUGCUACCAUGACUUCUCUUGAUGUAAUCCUUUAUUAAUCUUUCUCUUUUAACAUUAAUAUGAUUAUUACCCACAUCUUCAAUUAUAUUCUAACCAAGACCCCUCAAGUGAAAGAAUCUAAAUCCCCUAAUAUCACCCUCGAUCCCUUGGCGAUUGAUUAUUAAAUGAUUUGCAUUAAGAGCGGAGAUGCAUGAAUAGGCUAAAAAAGAUCACUCUAUCCCUAGAUAUGACUCACUUUAGAUGUUCUUCCCAAGUUCUUAGCAUACAAACAUUUUUCAAUAUUUAUAUCCUAAAAUAGUACUUAGAUAUGACUCACUUGGUGUUUUAUUUUGUUUCAUGUUUUUCUCGCAUUUCGUUAUCAUUUUCUUCUUUUCUCUUUUUCUACCUUGUUUUUCUUUGUUUUCCUAGGAGGCCCACAAGCUGCCAUUGUGGUGUCCCCCCCGCCCCGCACAGCCAUCAAUGUCCUCAAGGCGGCCUCGUGCCGCUAGACCUUGCACCAAUGGUGCCGGGGCCGGGGCGCCACCGUCCAUGGUGGUUGCCCCUUUGGCUAAGCCAUUUUUUUGUGUGAGGCAACUAGGGUUUUCCAAAGUUGUUGCAUAAUCGCGGGUUAGGACAGGUCACCCUGACCCGGUUCCAACCCAACCCAAAAAAUAAAAAAAAAAUAAAAAACAAAUUAUUGUUUACACCCCGUUUUUAAGAUAUGCAAAUUUUCUUCAUUUUGGACCUAAUCCAUUUUUGUGAGGUCUGAAAUAAAAUAGAAACCACUAUUUACACCCUUUUCUCAUUUUGGGUCUAGCCCGUUUUUGCAUAAAUAAAAUAGAAACCGCUACUUACACUCUUUUUUUAACACAUGUACCUUUUUUAAUUUUUGGGCCUUGCCCGUUUCUGUGAAAUCUGAAAUAAAAUAAAAAUCACUAUUUACACCCUUUUUUAAAGCAUGCAACCUUUUCUCUUUUUGGGCCUAGCCCAUUUUUGCAUAAAUAAUAUAGAAAACACUACUUAUACCCUUUUUUUUAACACAUGUACCUUUUCCAUUUUUUGGCCUAGCCCAUCUUUGUAAAGUCUGAAAUAAAAUUGAAACCGCUAUUUAUGCCCUUUUUCUGAAUGCAUGCUCCUUCUUUCAUUUUGGGCCUAGCCAUUUUGGUUUUAUGUUAAGUCCGAAACAAAAUAAAACUAAUGAUUACACCCUCUAUUUUAUAUAUGCACCACUGUCACUUAGGAUGGUGACUAGACCCGCCAUGUCAGCACUCCGUCAAUGUUGGCUAAGUCACAAUCAACCCUUUGACUUUAUAAAUAUUAGUGGAUGCCUCUUUAUUUUAUUUUAUUUCUUUAUUGUCUCUAUUGUUUAUUUUUAUUCUUCAAUGUGAUUUUCAUUUUAUCAUUGCGUAGUUAGUUAGUUUAAUUAAUAAUGUAUUAUAAAUAUCUCCUUAUUCAUCUUAUCCCCCCCCCCCCCCCCCACGUUUCAAUCUCGCAUCCCUAAUUACUAAGUGUACUCCUCACUUCUAUUUUAUCGCUUUCUAUCCCCAUUCUAUUUAUUUGAUUUCCUAGUGCUCAAUUACUUAUUUAUUUUUUGCAAAUCCGCAUUGGCAUUCUUUAGUACAUGCUUACGCUCUAUGCACUCCAUGUUGGGUCUCCAACUUGCUUGACUUCACAAAAUUUACCACAAAACUAAAGUCUUUUCUAAAAAGGGUAAAAUUCUCACAUAAAUAAACACUCAAUUCUCCUUAUUCAUUCAACGUACUCCAUGUUGGGUCUCCGAUUUUCUUGGAGGUAUUUCAAUAAAGUGUGAGUAAAUUUUGUGAAUAUCGUGUUAGGUCUCCGACUUGCUUGACUUCACAGAGUUUACCGCAAAAUCAAAAUCUUUCAAAAAAAAUAAUAAAAUGAAAUCAACCCAACACAGAAGCUCUUUUUCUACAAAGAACUACGUAAGUCUGAUUUUCUCAUUGCACCUGGGGAUACAUAAGAGUAAGGGCAAACACCUUGUCGACUUAAAAAAAGAAAAAAAAAACAAAAAAUUUCUUAUUUUUUUCUAAAAAAAGUUAUUAUUUUCUUUAUUUUUCAAAAUAAACAAAAAAUAUAACUAACAUAACUCAUGUUCUCAAGGGAAAAUAAAUAAAAGUCAUUUUAUUUUUAGCACACUCAAUUAAAGGUUGUCGUCUUCAUGAUGGGCGCAUGAGGUGCUAAUACCUUUCACGUGCAUAAACGACUCCCGAAUCCUUUUUUUCUCAGAUCGGAAACCAUUCCUUAUCUUUUUGGUGUUCCCAGUGUUUUCCUUAAAUAAACGUUGGUGGCGACCCCAAGUUUUUCUUUUUUUUUGGAAAUAGUUUGUCUAAUUUUAUUUCAUCAUCACAUCGUGGUCCACGUUGCAACAGAUGGCGACUCCACUGAGGACCUGAUAGAGAGUUAAGCUAUUUGAUUGAGUGUGCAAUUUUAUCAUGACUUUUUCUUUAUUUAUUUUCCCUUUCUCUUUUAUCCUUUCAUUGUGCUUCUGUUCAUUAUCGUUCCAUUAUGCUAUCGUUCUUUUUAUGCUUUUGCUGUUGGAUCGAGUGGCCUCAGAAUAAUUAAGAAGGGGGGUUGAAUUAAUUAUUCCUAAACCUUUAAUAAUUAAAAAAAUUACUCUUCUAAGGCUUUUACUAAGUUGUUAAGAGAAUAAGGAGUAGAAGAGAAACUUAACAGAAAGUAAAAGCGGAAAUUAAAUGCACAGCAGAAUGUAAAAGAGUAGGGAAGAAGGAGACAAACACACAAGAGUUUUUAUACUGGUUUGGCAACAACUCGUGCCUACAUCCAGUUCCCAAGCGACCUGCGGUCCUUGUAAUUUCUUUCAACCUUGUAAAAAUCCUUUUACAAGCAAAGAUCCACAAGGGAGGGAUCCACAAGGGAUGUACCCUCCCUUGUUCUCUUUGAACCUAGUGGAUGUACCCUCCACUCGAACUGAUCCACAAGAGAUGUACCCUCUCUUGUUCUCAGUCAAACCCAAGUAGAUGUACCCUCUACUUGUACCACAAAGGAUGUACCCUCCAAUGUGUUAAGACAAAGAUCUCAGGAGGCUAAACCUUUGAUACUUUGUGAAUAGGGAUACAAAAGAAUUCUCAAGCGGUUAGUCCUUUGAACACUUUUGUAUAAGGGAAUGAGAAGAAUCAAAAUAAUUCUCAGACUGUGUCGUUUUGAAUUCUUUGACAUGGGAGAAGGGAGACACAAAAGAAUUCAGGCGGUUAGUCCUUUGUUCUUUUGGAAAAGGGAGAAGAUAGACACAAAAAGAAUUUAGGUGGUUAGUCCUUGGCGAAUUCUUUUUGGCAAAGGGAGAAAAGAAUGAAAAGAUGAAUAGCACAAGUUUUCAAGGUUUGGAAAACCAGAAAACUUCAGAAAGCUUUUGGUACAAAGAAGAAGAAGAAGUUCAAAGAGAUUCAAGGCUUGUAAAGGAUUGUAUGAAUAAGUGUUCAAGAUUCUUGAAAUGCAAAACAAAGCCUUGCUUUUAUAGACUCUUCAUGUCUGGUCAAGACAACCAUUUAGAAGAGUUAUAACUUUUAGAAAAACUUAAAACCAAUUUGAAAAAGUCAAAAACCUUUUGAAGAGUUACAUCCUUUGAUUUAUUCAGAAACAGUCACUGGUAAUCGAUUACCAAAUUAGUGUAAUCGAUUACACAAGGCUUUUUUGUGAAAGGAUGUGACUCUUCACAUUUGAAUUUGAAUUUCAACGUUCAAAGGCACUGGUAAUCGAUUACCAAAACAUUGUAAUCAAUUACAACUUUUUGAAAUCAAUUGGAACAUUGUAAAUUCAUUUGGAAACUUUUUCAAAUCCAUUUUGCUACUGGUAAUCGAUUACAACAAUCUGGUAAUCGAUUACCAGAAAGUAAAAACUCUUUGGUAAACAUGUUUUGAGAAAAAUCAUGUGCUACUCAAUUUUUGAGAAAAACUUUUCAUACUUAUCUUGAUUAAGCCUUCUCUUGAUUCUUUAAUCUUGAGUCUUGAAUCUUGAUCUUCAUUCUUGAGAUCUUGAACCUUGAAUCUUGAUUCUUGACUCUAAACUUUCUUCUUGAGUCUUGAAUUCUUCUUGAUUCUUAUCUUGAACUCUUGAAUUGUUCUUGAUUCACUUGAGUUGUUCUUUGAUUGAUCUUUGAUUCACUUGAGUUGUUCUUUGAUUGAUCUUUGAGCUUUUUGUCAUCACCUUUGUCAUCAUCUUUUGUUAUCAUCAUUGUUAUCAUCAAAACACCUUUGAAUCACCUUUUAUUCACCAUGAAGCUUUGUUUCUACAUUUUCUUCGAUCUCGUUUCUUUUAUUCUUUGUUUCACUCAUGCUUUGAUCUCGUUUCACUCACGAUCUCUUCACGAGUGUCAUUAUUAACUUUGUCUCCAUUAUUUACCCUACAUUGCGGCCUCUACGCAAUUUGAGAUGUCUGGGUCUCUCAGGUUCCAAAAAUUUAACUGAGAUGCCAGAUUUAGGGGAGGCUCUAAAUCUUGAGUGGCUAGAUCUCAAAGAAUGUAUGAAGCUUAGGCAGAUCCAUCCAUCUAUUGGUCUUCAAAAAAGGCUUACUUUUUUUUAAUUUGAAAGACUGCAUAAAUCUAGUAAGUUUACCCAAUAGCAUAUUAGGCCUUAUUUCUCUAGAAUAUUUGAGUCUUUCCGACUGUUCAAAACUGUAUAAUAUUCAUGUAUUAGAUGAACCAUGGGAUGCAAAGCAAUUGAAGAAGCUUUAUACAGGUGAAGCUCCUAUUCAUUCCCAAUCAGCAUUUUCCUAUUCAAGAGCUCAUAAAGAUUAUGUCAGUUGUUCAUUGCCUUCCUAGCCAAUUUUCCCAUGGAUGUACAAACUUGAUCUAAGUUUAUGUAAUUUAGUUCAAAUCCCUGAUGCUAUUGGAAAUUUAUGUUGCUUAGAAAGCCUAGAUUUAAGUGGAAACAAUUUUUCUACACUGCCUAACCUCAACGAUCUUUCCAUACUGUUCCAUUUAAACUUCCAACAUGGAAAGCAGUUGAAAUAUUUGCUUGAGCUCCUUUCACGAUUUGACUUCCAGUCACCAUGCGUAAGACAGAGUGGCAGAGUUAUACAUUUUCGACUGCCCCGAAUUAGUUGAGAGGGAACGCUGCACUAGUAUUUGUUUAUCAUGGAUGAUAGAACUUGCUCAAGUGUGCACGCUCCUUCCAACCUCCUUCUCUCUACUUUUUUGUGUCUAGGAAUCAGGAACUAACAUAUAGAUGUGUCUGCAGUAACAAUACAAACAUCUUAAUUACUCUAGGAUGGAAUAUGAAAGCAUUCAAAGUGUUAUUGUUGGAAGUGAAAUACCAAGGUGGUUCAACAUUCAGCAUGUGGACAGUUUAAUGAGCAUUGACACAUCUCCCGUUAUGCAUGACAAUAAUUGGAUUGGUGUUGUGUGUGGUGCAAUAUUCCUGGUACGUCAUGAAAAUGCUUUAGAGAUGGGUCCUUCAAACAAAAAAGGAUGAUCUCCUUUCCCUGUUGAUAUUCCAGUGGAUGUUUAUGGGAAUUAAGAGCUAGUUUUGGAUGAACUAGAUCACAUGUGGCUAUUCUAUUUCACUAGAAGAAAAUUCAUUGAAGGGUAUAAUCUCAAAGGCAUUCCUUAUCUUGGUAGCCAGAAAUAGGCAGCUGAGAUAAGCGACAAGACAGGUUUGCAUGUUGAGGUGAAGCAAUAUGGGUAUUGUUGGGUAUAUAACCAAGAUCUAGUACUAUCAAACUUAACUAUGAUGCAAAGUAGAAAUCCAUCAAAUCGGAAGUGCAAGUAGAAGAAAAACUGAUAAAUUGUAUAACCUUUUUUUAAAAAACGUGAACACUCAGCAUCGAUACAAAAGAUAUAGGAGAUAAUUAUAUAGCAUAGUGUACAAUGAUUAUGCAAUAAAGUAAUUAAAUGUGAAUUGAUUGUAGAUUAGAAAAUUCUAAAUAUAGAAUAAAUUUCCUAAAUAUGGUUAGCUGCAAUCUGGUUUAUUUGUGAGAUUGAUUUGUGCCACUUAAAUCAGAUUAGUCUUCCAACAACUUUCCAUUAUCAGUAGCACAAUCAUAGAGAUCUGGUUCCAAUGACUCUUUGUUUCCUUUUUUGCAUGAUUGUCAUUAUUAGUAGCACAAUCAUAGGGAUUUGUUUCCAAUGGCUCUUUGUUUCCUUUUUUUCAUGAUUGUCAUUAUUAGUAGAACAAUCAUAGGGAUUUGUUUCCAAUGGCUCUUUGUUUCCUUUUUUCAUGAUUGUCAUUAUUAGUAGCACAAUCAUAAGGAUUUGUUUCCAACUGCUCUUUGUUUCCUUUUUCUACAUGAUUGUCAUCUAACAGCUGAUUAUUGUUAAUAUCCUCCCUCAAACGAGGCCGAGGUUGAAGGCAGAGUUUGGCCCGAAAAUGCAUGAGAGUAGCUUUGGACACGGGCUUAGUCAACAAAUCAGCAACUUGAUCAUGGGUAGGAAUGUGGUGAGUGACAAGAUGGCCAAGAGCAACUCGUUCACGGACAUAGUGAUAGUCCAAUUCAAUGUGCUUGCUGCGGGCAUGAAAUACAGGAUUGAUGGUCAUGUGGAGUGCACUGAGAUUAUCACAAUAUAACAGUGGAAGGGAUGGUAGUGAAAUGCGAAGGUCUUGCAAGAGAAAGGUAAGCCAUGUGAGUUUAGCGGCAGUGUUUGCCAUGGCCCUAUAUUCAGCUUCCGUGCUGGAGCGAGAAACUGUGGGUUGUUUCUUAGCACACCAUGAGAUGAGAUUUCCUCCAAGAUAGAUACAAUAACCGGUGGUGGAGCAUCAAGUGGUGGGACAACCUGCCCAAUCUGCAUCAGAAAAGGCAAAAAGAUCAAGUGUGGUAUGUGAAGUAAAGUGGAGACCUACAUCAAUAGUUCCCUUGACAUAUCGUAAUAUAUGAUGAGCCAUUUGUAAAUGCACAAUGGUAGGAGAGUUCAUAAAUUGGGACACAAAAUUAACACUAUAUGAAAUAUCAGGGUGAGUAAGAGUGAGAUAUUGUAAAGAUCCAACAAGCCCACGAAAGUAACUUGGAUCAUCAAGGGGAGUGGUAUUGGACGUCAUCAUCAUCUUAGCUUCAAGUGGUGUGCUCCUUGGUUUACAAUCAACCAUGUUAGCUCAUUCAAGGAUGGUAAGGGCAUAGUGUGACUGGGAUAGAUGAAGACCAUCAGUUGUCUGUAGUAUUUCAAUGCCAAGGAAGUGAUGGAGAGGGCCCAAGUCCUUCAUGGAAAAUUCAGAUUGUAGAAGUUUAAUGAAGUCAGAAACUAGAGUGGUAGUGGAUCAUGUGAGGAGUAUAUCAUCUACAUAAAGGAGAAGAAUUAGUGAUCCAAUAUUUGAGUGCUAAAUAAAUAAGGAUGGAUCAGCCUUACUACAAAAGAAACCAUAUUUAAGAAGAAAAGAACUAAAACGAUCAAACCAGGCGCGAGGUGCUUGUUUAAGGCCAUAAAGAGCCUUUUGAAGCUUGCAAGCAUGGUUAGGGAAUUGAGGGUCAGCCAUGCCAGGAGGUUGCUCCAUGUAUAUGUUCUCAUAAAGCAAACCAUGCAAAAACGCAUUUUUUACGUCAAGUUGUCGAAUGGGCCAACUCUUAACAAGGGAUAUGGUGAUGAUUAAUCGGAUGGUGCCUGGCUUGAUUACAGGAGAAUGUUUCAGUAUAAUCUACUCCAUUAACUUGAUGAUAUCCCUUUGCAACAAGACGAGCUUUGAGCUGAUCUAGGGAUCCAUUAGGUUUGAGUUUUGAUUUGAAAACCCAUUUAGAGCCAAUAACAUGCAAGUCACGGGUGCGAGGAACGAGUUCCCAAGUUUUAUUUUUAUGUAAAGCCUCGAGUUCUUUGCACAUGGUAGCCUUCCAUCCAGGAUGAGCUAAUGCAGAGCGAAUAUUAUAUGGGUUACGUGGAAUGUCUGGAGAUGACAUAGUGAUUAAGGCAUACUUAGGAUUUGGCUUUGUAAUUUCGUGUUGUGAGCGAGUAACCAUGGGAUGAGUAGGUACAACAUGUGGAAGUUGAGUCUGGGUAGAAAAGGCAGAUUCAAGUGGUUGUAUUGAGGUAGGAGGUCUAAGCUCAAGGUUUGACUCAAUUGGUGAGUGUUGUGACUCAAGGUUCUCAUGUUCAGGCAAUGAGGGUUGUUCUGGUUGACCAAAAGAUGCAAUAGGAAGUUGUAAGGCAGGAGAUUGCAUUAAAGGAUUUGCACAUGGUGGGGCAGAAGCUGAAACUGUUGUUAUUACUGUUAGGUCUGCACAAGAACUGGAGUUAGUAUGAGGUAGCCAAGAAUCAAAUAUCCUAACUACAUGCUGUGUAGGAGAGGAAUUAUAUGGAAAGAAUGACUCAUCAAAAACAUGUCGUGAGAUAAAAAUUUUCUUACUAGAAGGAUGAAAGCAUUUAUAUCCUUUAUGUAUAUCACUAUAUCCAACAAACACACAAGGAAGGGUUUUAGGGUCGAAUUUGUUACGUCGUGUAUCCCAAGUGUAAGGAAAACAUUUAGAACCAAAGAUACGUAGCAAUGAAUAGUUAGGGUGUGUGCCAUGUAAGACAAAGUAAGGAGUUUCAAAAUUAAGAGAAGACGACAGAAGUCUAUUAAUAAGAAAGACAGUUGUAGUGAAAGCUUCAACCCAUAGACAUAAAGGUGCACCACUAUGAAAUAGCAUAGUCAUACCUAAUUCGCGUAUUACUCUAUGUCUCCUUUCAACUAUACUUGUUUGUUCCAGUGUAUAUGGGCAAGAAACUUCAUGUAUAACACCUGUUAAAUGAAAAUGAGUUGAAAGUUUGGAGUUGAUGAAUUUACCUCCUCCAUCAGAAUGAAAAACUUUGAUUUCUUUGUUAAAUUGUUUUUUUAACAUAUUGUUCAAAAGAUAGAUAAGCAUUAACAAAGUCAUAUUUAUGUUGUAAGGGAAUGAUCCAUGUGUAUUUAGAAAAAUCAUCAACCAAGCAUGCAUAAUAUUUGAAUUUACUAAUAGAUAAGACAGGAGCAGGUCCCCAUAAAUCACAAUGUAUUUUUUCAAAGAUAGAAGAGAUAGAGUGUUCAGAAGAAGAGAAAGGCAAUUUAGUAAGUUUUCCCAAUUGACAACUAUCACAAAGAUGUUCAGAUUUCAAGGUUCCAACUACAUCAAUUAAUCCUUUGUUCUUUAGUAAUUGUAAAGCCUUUAUUUGAGGAUGUCCUAGACGUUGAUGCCAAAUGUCUGCUGAUCCUGAUUUGAAACGAUUAGAAAAAUAUGAUUCUGGCAUAGGGGAAAGAACAUAUAAGUCACCAUUGCGCCUCCCGGUGAUAAUCGGUUUCCUUAUUUCUCGUUCCUUAGCACAAAAAUCAACAUUAGAAAACUCACAAUUAACAGGAAAUUGUUUUGGUAGUUGGCUUAUAGAAAGCAAAUUUUUUGUUAAAUUAGGGACAAGUAAGACAUCAUGAAGAGGUAGAGUAAUAUUUUUUUGCUUAAUGAAUGUGUCUCCAAUACCAUGAAUUGGGAGAGAAGAACCAUCACCAAUAAGCACAGAGUCUGUACCUGAAUAUUGUUGGAUAUUACUCAAUAUAUUGGCUUUACCUGUCAUGUGAUUAGAGGCCUCGGUGUCAGAGGUCCAUUCUAUUUCAGCAAUUGUGUUGUCUAAGGUAAGGGCUGCAAGUGUUUGAGGUAUAUCAUCAGAUUGAGUUGGUUUCUUGGACACCCACCAACAUAUCUUUGCUAUAUGGCCCAUUUUAUCACAAUAUUGACAAUUUUCAUUUCGAUAUUGUUCUCGUUCUGUAGGAGUCAUACGACAUUGUCCGGGUGGUGGAGGAUGUCUUUGUUGUGAGCUCAUAAAGGUUUGGCUUUUAUUUUGGUUCAUGGGUUGUUGAGCUUGAAAUCCUCUACCAGUUGACGUGAAGGUUUGAGAAUUCCUUUGAUGUUGGGAGGAAAACUGACGAGAUCGUUGUUGUUCACCAUAGAAAGCCACUUGAGGAAUGCAAGAGUUGUGCGUAUUGGAAUGAUUGGAGAACCAAUUGCAACGUUGAUCAUGGCUUUGGAGUUGUGAGAUUAACUCAGAGUAUGAUGGCCUUGGAGGUUUUAGCAUAGUUGUUGCGAAUGUUUCAUACUCGUGCCCGAGGCUUGUGAGGAGAUAGAAAACUUUCUCUUUGUUUGGGACAGGUUUCCCAAUUGCAGCAAGGUUGUCGCAUAAACCUUUGAAGGUGUGGAUGUGUUCACCAAUACUUUGAUCAUCUUCCUUACGGAGGUAUGUGAUUUGUUGACGGAGUGUGAAUUCAGGUUCUUGCGAGUCUUCCGCAUAUGAAUCUUUAAGUGUAGUCCAAACAACAUGGGCAGUGUCUAAGCCAACAACAAGUCCAAGUGCUUCCUCAAAGAGUGUUCCAAUUAUCCACCCUCGAAGAAGACGAUUUGUCUUGUGCCAAGCAAUGAAUUCGUCAAUUAAUUUUGGAACAAAAGUUUAUGUGUUUCUUGUGUCAUUGGAAUUUGGUGUGGUGUAUUGAGGAGGGGGGGGGGGCUGGAUCAUCAUUCAUAAGGUGACCAACCAAGUCUUGACUUUCUGCUAAUGCUAAGGCUUGUUCACGCCAUAGUGGGUAGUUUGUAGGUGUGAGUCUCAGAGUGAUGAAAUUGCUAAUAUUUAGAGAUGAGGAAGUCAUGGUGUGGCAAGGUGUUCACAAAGGCUCUAGAUACCAAGAAGAAAAACUGAUAAAUUGUAUAACCUUUUUUUAAAAACAUAAACACUCAGCAUCGAUACAAGAGAUACAGGAGAUAAUUAUAUAGCAUAGUGUAUAAUGAUUCUGCAAUAAAGUAAUUAAAUGUGAAUUGAUUGCAAAUUAGAAAAUUCUAAAUAUAGAAUAAAUUUCCUAAAUAUGGUUAACUACAAUCUGGUUUAUUUGUGAGAUUGAUUUGUGUCACUUAAAUCAGAUUAGUCUUCCAACAACUUUCCAUUAUCAGUAUCACAAUCAUAGGGAUCUGGUUCCAAAGACUCUUUGUUUCCUUUUUUUGCAUGAUUGUCAUUAUUAGUAGCACAAUCAUAGGGAUUUGUUUCCAAUGGCUCUUUGUUUCCUUUUUUCAUGAUUGUCAUUAUUAGUAGCAUAAUCAUAGGGAUUUGUUUCCAACUGCUCUUUGUUUCCUUUUUCUGCAUGAUUGUCAUCCAACAGCUGAUUAUUGUUAAUACAAGUUUUUGGCAAUUGAACAUAUAAAGAAGCAAACGAAAAAUCUCUACAAAUCAGAGAAAGGAUGGUGCCAACUCCUCCCUGGGAAACACAAUCAAGUUGUUGCAAAAUCAAUUUGCAAAUCUUGGCCUAUAGAAUGACCCUUUCUUUUGCCAUGUAUUUUAAACCACAAAUUGCCAAUAUAUCAUCAGAAAUUAUGCAAGCUUCAAGCAAAAGAACAAUGGCAAGAUUUUCAUUUUGAGUUGGCAUUCACUCAAUUCAAGAAUAAAGAAAUGACUUAAAAGGGAACUGAUGCAAAUUCUGAUUCCUGAAUAAGCUUGCAUACAAUGAGGUUUUUGGUUAUCAUAAAAUGCUUGUGUUGGUUGGCAAAGGAUCUGUAAGAAUUAAUGUCUCAUGUGAGAGGCAUGUGACUUAUGUAAGGACUAAUAAGUAAAUAAUUAACGAUUAAGGACUAAAUUGUAACUGGGCUUAAUAGGAGAAGUUUCUAGAGCUAACUGCUACUUGAUGGGAGUAGUGGUUAUAAAAGGGGGUUAAUACCCACUAACGUGAAAUAAAGUCCCCUUCUUGACCAGAAAAGUGUUCUCUCUCACCCAUAGCCAUCACGAACGGAGAGAGGCAGAAAAGAAAUGCCAAAGGAAGUGAAAUCUUAUUUCUCUCCUCUUUCAAGGAAAUCAAAGUGCACCGGAGAGAAGUUCCUAUGGAGAAAGAUACAAGUCUUCCUAUGGAGAAAGGUACACAUUAUUAUCUAUUGUUUUUUAUUAAUUGUUUGUGAGAAUCAUAGGUUUCAAGAUCCUGUUGUUUCCUAUCAUUGAUAGUCUAGGAAACCCCUUAAGAAUUUUUACAUGUGGUAUCAGAGCAUGUGUUAUGAAAUUUAUGAUUCUCUAAGAAUGAUUUAAUUUCUCUCAAUUAUGCAUGAACCCUAAUUAUAAAAUUUAGGGAUAAUUUAAUUUCUCUCAAUUAUGUAUGAACCCUAAUUAUGAAAUUUAGGGAUAAUUUAAUUUCUCCCAAUUAUGAAUAAAUCCUAAUUAUGAAAUUUAGGAAUUUUAUUUUCCACUACAUGUAUUGUUUUAUUAGUAAUAUUUUAUUAUUGUUGAAUACCAAUUUUUGGAAAAAGAUUAUUUGAAAACUUAUGAUUAUCGGAGAGAAAGCUCUACGGCAUGUAUAUAUUAAAUUUGGAGAAAGUUUUUACUUCUAAUGGUGAAAGAAAGGAAGUGUGCCAUUAACGUAAAGAUUCAAUUUCAAUUUUAAAAAGAUGCGUAGGUAGGUUUGUUGUAGGGAAGAAUAAGAAAUUUUGGAAAUUGCUAUUUCCAAUCCCACUUGAUUUUUUUUCCGAAAAAUUAUUGUUGAACGUGAUUAAAGAAUUGAAAGUUUAUGUUUUGUAAUUAAAUUAAUGUGAAUGUUUUGCAAUUAUUGGUAGCGGUAAAUAUAUGUGUAUGCUACAUAUUUGCUUGAACGUGUUUGAAUGCAAAAACACAAAUAAAUGCAAAUAUUAUUUUAUGGCCUGGAAUAAAAUUAAUAGAAUGGCUAUGAAUUGUUAAUAGCAAUAAGUAUGUGCAGGCCAUAUAUAUUUGGUUGGAAUUAAAUGUAUGUUGAAUUUGUUAGUCACCAAAGUGACCAAAUUUGUAAGGUUAUUUAAUUCCAAAUUAAUGAUUAUUUCAAUUAUACUUGGUUGGAAUUAAAUGUAUGUUGAAUUUGUUAGUCACCAAAGUGGCCAAAUUUGUAAGGUAAUUUAAUUCCAAAUUAAUGAUUAUUAUAAUUACUCAUAGAAUAAUGGAUGCUAAAUUAUAUAAUUAUUGGUUUAUGGGUAAUUGAAAUUCAUUGUUAUAAGGCAUUUAUGGAUCGCCCAAAGGUUGAUUAGUUGUUCUUAUAAUUAAUGAAUAUAAUUGUAGGCGAUUUGUGUGUAUCAUUAGUUUUAUUUAUAUGCCCAAAGGAAAUAGAUACUACUAAUUGGUGCAUAUUUAAUUGCCAAAUAAUGUUAAAAUUUUAUUAGCAUCAUUAUGUUUGUAUGUUGUGUGUUGGUGUAUCACCCAAAGGAGAACAUCAAUAUACAUUGACCGUUAUCUGAAUGAAUCAUAUGUAUGACAUGUAUUUUAUGUCUCAAAACACUUAUGUGAAUUUUAUUAUGUAAUACAUGUUUUGAAUUCAUUGGAUUCUUAUGUAUCAUCUGUGCCAAUUUUAAUGGGCUUAACUUCUCUGACUGAAAUGAGCAAGUCCAAUUUCACCUCGAUGUUUUGGAUCAUGAUCUUGCUAUGUUGGAAGAGAAGUUUGUUACUAUUAUUGAUGCUAGUGGCAAUGAAGAGAAAGUUCAUUAUAAAACUUGGGAAAGAUCUAACAGACUCAGCCUAAUGUUGAUGAGAAUGACUGUUGCAGACAGUAUUAAGACAACUCUCCCUAAAAUCGAAAGUGCUAAAAAGUUUAUGGGAUUAGUGGGAGAGUAUUCUCAAACAGCUGAUAAGUCUGUUGCUGGGACAUUAAUAAGUACAUUGACCACCAUGAAGUUUGAUGGUUCACGUACUAUGUAUGAACAUGUCAUUGAGAUGACAAACAUUGCAGUAAGACUUAAAACCUUGAGAAUAUAAUGGUUGUGAAUGAGAACUUUCUUGUUCAGUUUAUUCUAAACUCAUUACCGUCUGAGUUUGGCCCGUUCUAAAUGAACUAUAAUACCAUGAAAGAUAAAUGGAAUGUGCAUGAAUUGCACAGUAAGUUAAUUCAGGAAGAAACGAGGCUUAAGAAUCAAGGAAGUCACUCAGUCCAUUAUGUAAGCCACUAAGGGAAUCAAGGAGCUUGAAAAGAAAUUUAUGAAGAAGCAUAAUAAAGGCAAAUGGUCAUUAAAGAACAAUGACGACUCUUUGCAAAUCCAGAAGAAGGUAUCAAAGGGCAAUAAUUGUCAAUUUUAUAGGAAAUCAAGACAUUUCCAAAAGGAUUCCUUAAAGUGUAAGUCUUGGUUCGAAAAGAAUUGUGAGCUUAAUGCUCAUGUAUGGUUUGAAUCAAACUUAACUAAAGUUUCCCAUGAUACAUGAUGGAUUAAUUCUGGAUGUAUGACUCAUGUUUCUAACAUUAUGCAAAGAUUCCUUACAAUCCAAACCAUAAGCCCAAAUGAGAAGUUCAUUUCUCAUAGGGAAUGGAGUGAAAGCUCCAGUGGAAACAGUUGAGACUUAUCGUUUAAAACUCGACACUGGACAUCGUUUAGAUUUACUGGAAACUCCUUAUGUACCUAGUUUAUCUAGGAAUUUAGUUUCAUUAUCUAAACUUGAUGUUACUGCAUACUCUUUUAAUUUUGGUAAUGGAUGUUUCAAUUUAUUUAAGCAAAAUCAUCUCAUUGGUAUUGGUAUUCUUGUGAUGGUUUAUAUAAAUUGGAAAUAGACAGUUUGUAUGCUGAAACUAUUUUAACUCUACAUCAUAAUGUUGACACUAAACGUAGUUUAGUGAAUGAACGAUCUUCUUUCUUGUGGCAUAAACGUUUAGGUCACAUUUCUAGAGAAAGGAUGGAAAGAUUAAUAAAGAAUGAAAUUCUUCCUUAUCUAGAUUUUACGGAUCUAAAUAUUUGUGUGGGUUGUAUUAAGGGAAAACAAGCACAACAUACAAAGAAAGGAGCUACAAGAAGCACUCAGCUUCUUGAAAUUGUGCAUACUAAUAUUUGUGGACCUUUUGAUAUUAGUUUUUUCGGAAAGGAAGGAUACUUUAUCACCAUUAUUGAUGAUUAUUCACGUUACGAUUAUGUCUACUUACUGCCCGAGAUUUCUUAGACAAUGGAUGCCUUAGAAAUUUACUACAAUGAAGUAAAAAGGCAAUUAGACAUAAAUGUGAAAAUUAUUAGAUAUGAUAAAGGUGGUGAGUAUUACGGAAGAUAUGAUGAAACUGGGCAACACCCAGGUCUAUUUGCUAAGCUUCUUCAAAAACGUGGCAUUUGUACACAAUACACAAUGUCCGGUAGACCAUAACAAAAUGGUGUAUCAGAAAGGCGUAACAGAACUUUAAUGGAUAUGAUUAGGAGUAUGUUAAUCAAUUUGACUUUACCCGUAUCUUUGUGGAUGUAUGCCUUGAAAACUGUCAUGUAUUUGUUGAACAGGGUUCCUAGUAAGGCAGUUCCAAAGACACCUUUUGAACUGUGGACAAAUAGGAUACCUAGUAUAAGACACCUGCAUGUUUGGGGUUGUCAGGCAUAAAUAAGGAUUUAUAAUCUACAAGAAAGAAAAUUGGAUGCAAGAACAAUCAGUGGAUAUUUCAUUGGUUAUCUAGAAAAGUCAAAGGGGUAUAUGUUUCAUUGUUCUAAUCAUAGUAUGAGAAUUGUCGAAACUAGAAAUGCAAGGUUCAUUGAAAAUGAUGAAAUUAGUGAGAGUACAGUUCCAUGAGAAGUGGAAAUUAAAGAAGUUAGAGUGUAAGUCCUUUUAGUUUAUGCCUCUAACAGUAAGGUGAUUGCUCCUUCAGUUAUUGCUACAAAAUUAAUGAAGAGGAGUAACACAAUAAUGAACCCAUGAUGCAUAAUGAACCUAUUAUGGAAGAACCACAAGAAGUAGCAUUAAAGAGGUCUCAAAGAGAAAGAAGACCAGCUAUUUCGAAUGAUUAUGUGGUAUACCUACAUGAAACAGAAACAAACUUAAGCAUUAAUGAUAAUGAUCCAAAUUCGUUUUCAUAAUCUAUAAGUUGUGAUAAUUCUGAGAAGUGGUUAAAUGUCAUGAAAGAAGAGAUAAAUUCCAUGGAACAUAAUGGAGUUUGGGACCUUGUAGAAUUACCAAAGGGUUGUAAGAGAGUUGGUUGUAAGUGGGUCUUCAAGACUAAACGUGAUUCUCAUGACAACCUUGAACGUUACAAGGCUAGACUUGUUACUAAGGGAUUUACUCAGAAAGAUGACAUUGAUUAUAAAGAGACGUUUUCAUGAUCUCACGAAAGGAUUCUUUCAGGAUCAUCAUGGCAUUAGUAGCCCAUUAUGACUUGGAGCUACAUCAGGUGGAUGUGAAAACUGCCUUUCUAAAUGAAGAUUUAGAGGAGAAUGUUUAUAUGGACCAAUGUUAACUCGUUGGCAAGUGUACCAAAUUGUCACAAGUAGUAAAGUACUCGGAAGUCCGAGUGUCGAAUCCACAGGGAUUUUGUGUUGUACUUAUCUUGGAUACUUUUCAAUUUAUAAGGGAAUAAAAGAAAAAGUAGAAGACAGAAUAGAAGGUAAUAAUAGUAAACUAUAAAUAAAAAGCAAAAGAAUUAAAAGCAGAAUAAUUAAAGAGAGAAUUCAAUGGAAUGUGAAUGUUAGGACCUAGCAUGCCUUGUUUGCCUAGGAUGUAUGAGUUUAUGAUUUUUCUUUAUCAAUUUAGGUGAUUCUAUUCUACCCACAUCUGUUCAUUUACUUGCCCCUGAUUCCUCACGAUGACACAAGCCUAUUUUAUUCAUCUAUCUUCCAAAUUCCUUUGCAAAGACUCAACAAAUAAAAUGCAUGAAGUAUGAAUUCUAGAUGUUUGCAAGAAUGCAUGGGCAUAAAAUUAUCAUUCUAUUCCUAGCAAUGACUUUCUUAUGAAAUCCUUUCUUUUUGUUCUAUCAGAAGUUACCCUCUUCCGAGUGUCUAACCUCUAAAACUAAUGCAUGCAUACCUUCUUUAAAUCUUAUUUAGAAGUUACCCUCUCCCGAGUGUCUAACUCCUAAAAGAAUAUAAAGAUGAAUAAUGCAAGAUAAAAGCAGAAAAGAUAACAGAAUAGAAAAACCUGGAAAAUAAUCUUGUUGCAUUGAUAAAUAUGAAGUACAUCAUACAUCGCUUGGCCAUUGAGGGCUUUACAAUGAAAGGGGUGAAAGAAAGAUGAUAAAAAGAGAGAAGAGAGUAAGAAUUCUCAGGCUUUAAGUAGUAGUGAGAGUGCUUUGAGACUUGGUGUUUUUCUCCUUGGCCUGACUCUCCAUUUAUAGCUGAUGAAGUGGACUUGGGCUUGAUUCAAAAAAUCUUCCUUAUCUAUCUUUUUUAUAUCUUUUGAAUCUUGUAAAUCUUAUAUUUCCUAUAUCUACAAGUCAUAGAUAAGAAAAAUAUCAAUUUAUAUCUUUUAAGCCAAAAUUAACUGCUAAAUAAAUAUCUUUAAAGAUAUUUUCAAAUUAGCUCAUAUUUAGCAGUUAUCAAUAUCUUUUAGAUCUUGUAAUCUUAUCUUUUCAUAUCUGCAAGCCAUAAAUAAUAAAAGUAUCAAUUCUUAUCAUUUAAGCCAAAAAUAACUGCUAAAUAAAUAUUUUUAAAGAUAUUUUCAAUAUAUUUUUAUUAUAAAAUAACUCAUAUUUAGUAGUUAUCAACCAACCAAUAUUUUCAAAGAUAUUUUUAAUAUAUUUUUAUUAUAAAAUAACUCAUAUUUAGCAGUUAUCAACCAACCAAUGGGGUUCUCAGUUGAAGGAAAGGAACACAUGGUCUGCAAACUAAAGAAAUCAAUAUACAGUCUUAAAACAAACUUCCCGCCAAUGGUAUUUGAGGUUUAAUGAUACCAUUGUUUCCUUUAGAUUUAAGGAAAAUAUUAUUUAUCGGUAUAUGUAUCUAAAGGUCAGUGGGAGUAAGGUUAUUUUCUAAUUCUGUAUAUUGAUGAUAUCUUGCUUGCAACAAACGAUCUUGGUCUUCUUCAUGAGACUAAGAAAUUUCUGUCUAGAAACUUUGAAGUGAAAGAUAUGGGUGAGGUAAGCUAUGUGAUAGGGAUAGAAAUAUUCCAUAAUAGAUCACAAGGAUUGUUGAGAUUAUCUCAGAAAGCAUAUAUCAAUAAAAUACUAGAGAAAUUCAAGAUGGAAAGGUGUUUAACAUCACCUGUUAUAAUUUAGAAAGGAUAUGGAACGAAGACAAAUGGAAGCAAUUUGUAUACAUCAGUUAUUAUUGCAUUUGAAAGCUGAAUUUGUAGUAUGUUUGAGGCUACAAUUCAGACUAAUUGGUUGCGGAACUUUAAUUCAGGGCUUGGAAUUGUUGACAAUAUGGCUUGGCCGCUGAAAAUGUAUUGUGAUAACUCCGCAACAAUAUUUUUGUAAGAACGACAAGUACUCUAAGGGUGCUAAGCAUAUGAAAUUGAAGUACUUUGUCGUGAAGGAAGAAGUUCAGAAACAAAGAGUGUCAAUAAAAUAAAUUAGCACAAACCUUAUGAUAAUUGGCCCUUUGAAUAAGGGAUUACCACCCAAGACAUUAUAGAACAUGUUGAAAGUAUGGGCAUUAUUGUUAUUGAUGAUCAUUAAGUGUAAUUUAUCUUAUGCAUUUUAGUGACACUCUGAGCUCAAUUAUGAUAUGUUUUUGAUUACCUGUUUUCUAUGUUUGCAUGCAUGUUUGUGUUAGAGUAAUGUUAACAGGUUUUGUGUUGAAUGAAGACAUUAUGUUGGACCAAUUAUAUACUCCUAACUAAUGGUCAUAUUAAGGAGAAGACUAAUUUGUAGUACAUGAAAGGGACUAUGUCGAUUAGAUGAUGUACAACCGCCAUGACUCGAAUUGGUUCAUAUUCUUAAUCAUGAAAUUAUGAUGUAUCCAAUGUACAGAAUAAUUUAGUCAUUUUUAAUGUGCAUUAUGUUAUUUAAUCUAUUUAUUUAUUUAAUCUAUAAUGUUUAUUAAUGUCACAUGAGCCAAGUGGAAGAAUGUAAGAAUUAAUGUCUCAUGUGAGAGGCAUGUGACUUAUGUAAGGACUAAUAAGUAAAUAAUUAACGAUUAAGGGCUAAAUUGUAACUGAGCUUAAUAGGAGAAGUUUCUAGAGCUAAUUGCUACUUGAUGGAAGUAGUGGUUAUAAAAGGGGAUUAAUACCCACUAACGUGAAAUAAGGUCCCCUUCUUGACCAGAAAAGUGUUCUCUCUCACCCAUAGCCAUCACGAACGGAGAGAGGCAGAAAAGAAAGACCUAAGGAAAUGAAAUCUUAUUUCUCUCCUCUUUCAAGGAAAUCAAAGUGCAUCGGAGAGAAGUUCCUAUGGAGAAAGGUACAAGUCUUCCUAUGGAGAAAGGUGCACAUUAUUAUCUAUUGUUGUUUAUUAAUUGUUUGUGAGAAUCAUAGGUUUCAAGAUUCUGUUGUUUCCUAUCAUUGAUAGUCUAGGAAACCCCUUAAGAAUUUCUAUAAGAUCUUCUUUUUCUUCUUCUUCUUUUGGUUGUGCUAAUGUUUUCCAGAGGAUAAUUCAAUUUCGUUCUUGUCUAUUUUGUAGCAAAUACGAAUCUAAUGGGUUUUAUAAUUCAUAUGCUUUUAGUGUAUCCGAAUCCAUGUUUAGACAUGUAAUAUUAUGGUUUUUAGUCUUUUUACCUGUUAGUGCAGAGUUGUAUAAUGUACAAAAAGAAGUAAAAAUAAGAAAAGUCCUCAUGUCAAUCAAUCAAAGAAUCAGGAGUUCUAACUAAUUAACAAGAUUUCUGAGCAAGCAGAAAGGAAGUGAGGAAAAGUAUUUUGAUGCAGAGUCACUAUAUCUUUUCUUUCUUCUCUCAUGACUUAUGCACUUAACACAAAUUGAAUAUCUUUUACAUUUUGAUUCAGACAGAUAUUCCCUUGUCCUCUAACAUGUGAGGGCUUGACUAGUUUCAACUUUCAACUUUCAAGGAUUUGGAUUCUUUUAAGGAAAAGAACAGGAAAAAUAAAUAGUGACAUUACCAAACACUCUCAACUACAAUGUUUUGAAAACUGAAUUAUAGAUUGAAUUGAAAGACCUCAAGAUGUUGAUUUGAUUUAUUCAAUCAGUUAUAUUUUUUUAUUAAACUGUGAUUAGUUUUUGGUCAAAUUUGUUCAUGGUACAAACAGUUAAAUUUAUGAUUAAACUGUGAUUAGUCUCUACCAAUGUUACAGAAUGUAACUUCACUUAACCUCUCUUUCACAGUCACAAGGAAGUCGUUUAAAUAUUUAACAACACAGAGGAACAACAACAAAUAGGAGAAAUUGGGCAAUCAUGUGCCUAAGAAAUUGUCAUCAUACCUAGAAUUGCAUUUAAAUUUAAAAUAAAUAUUAUUCCUUGUUUUGUAUUUUCCUUAGCUUACUCUUAUUCAGGAGGGCUUGGUUUUGUCAAGACUGUUUUUGACUUAUACUAGAUCACAAACGAGGAUAGAACCUCUUCAGCAGUGCAUUUUCUUGUUUGAUUUUCCAAAAAAUUACUUUAUAAGUAAACUCUAUUUAUGCUCUAAAUAAUUAGUAUUUUGUUUCUUAGUCCUUCAGUUUAUUAAGAAAAAGGAACUCUAGCUAAUCCAAUCAUAAGGUUAGUAAAGUCUAAUAAAAAAUUAUUUUCACUAAAAAUCAAACUCGCCCAGAUAGUAUCUUAGUUUGCCAUGAUAAAUAUUUAUAUUUGCAUAAUUAAAAUUUAUAAUAUAUAUUAUAAUUAGGAUUUAAAAAGAAUAUUUAAAUUGUGAUACAAAAUUAUUUUUUAACCAUUAAAAAAUUCUUUAAAAAAAUUAUGCAAUUUAAAAAUAAAGAUAAAAGAAAUAAAUUAAAAGGGGAUGAUGAUUAAUAAAUAAGGAUAAAAGGAGUAUAAUUUGAAAGGAUGAAAGAGAAAUUUUAGCAAAAUUAUGAAGGUAAUAUGUAAAAUACACAUGAAAAGAAGGAGAGAGAGAAAGUAUUGAGAAUAAUAUAGAAGUGGGUAGUUUAUAUAUAAUAAAAACUACUUGCUAUGUUAAAAAAAAAAACUGCAUACUAAAGUUCUAUAAAAAAAAAAAAGUUUGAAUCGUACCCAACAACCACUUAAAAAAUCUGAUACACUAAUUAUGAAUUCGGAAAUGCUUAAUAGUUCGAAACUGAUUUCAUAAAAUAAGACCACUUUUAAUAUUCUUUCUUCUUAAUUAUUUUUGUCUUUAUUCCGAAGACCUGAGCACAAGACUUUUUUUAAAAAUAUUUAAAUUCAUUUAUACUCGGACCAACAAUAUGUCAAUAGUGGAUGAGCUACAUGAUAAUAGAUAAGUUAGAUGAAUUUUUUUCUAUCAAAAAAUGUUUGAUGAUUUUUUUUAUGUAAAAUAUUUACCUGCUUUGUUUAUAAUUAAUUUCUAUCAUAGAACAUAAUUGUAAUAUAUUGGUAAGUUAAAUGAUUAAAGUCGUAAUAUUUGGUAAAAUUAAUGGUUAAAUUAGUUGAUAGAUAUAAUAGAAUAUAUUUAUAAGUAUUUUCAUACAAAUUAUAUAUAUAUAUAUAUAUAUAUAUAUAUAUAUAUAUAUAUAUAUAUAUAUAUAUAUAUAGAAUAUAUGACUUGUUUUAAAAUGGUUAUUACUUUAAAUAAUUUAAACUAUUUCUCAUCUCAAAAUAUAAAAUAAUUAAUUUUUUAAAAUCAAAUGAGUUAAUAAAACUAAAUUACAGGAUUUGAUUUUUGUAAAUAAGUUUAUUUUUUUAAAACGAAUUUAUAUUCUUUGCUAUUUUUUUUAUCCUGAAAAGACCUAAUAUUAGAUUUUUUUUAAUUUCUAUUUACUUGUUAAAUCAUUUUAUAUGCAAAAUUCACUAAAUUUGUGACUCUUUUUUGUUGAAACAGUUGAGUUCUAUAAUUUUUAUAUAAAUAAAUAUAAAGAGAUAAAUUUUAUGUCUUUAAUUUGAAAAAAAAAAUCAAAGCCAUGUGAUAAAACUUAGAAUGAUCAUUGUUUCGAAAUGAUCAAAUUGACCUAGAUUUAAAUAUAAAAGACUAUAAUAAACUUAAAAAUAUAAUAAAUCAUAAUGAAUUUUAAAAAUAAGACAAAAGCGGAUUAAAACUAUUAUUUAGAGAGGAAAAAAAACGUUAUAAGCUAUGGUAACAUAAAGGUUGUUAUCUCUAUUCACUAUAAAUCAGUGGUAAAGACUUCUCAAACAUAUAUACCCUUACUUACCUCACGAAAAUUAAGUUAGUAAACAUUACAAGUUAAUACCAAUAGUAUGAUACAUCUUCAACACAAUUCAAUUAUCACUACUAAAAAAAGGGUUUUUUAUGACGAUUAAUAAGUACAUUUAACGACGGUUAUCAACCGUCUUUGUUUAAAACAUCGUUAAAACGAAAUUGAUUUUUAUGACAGUUAUUAUAAUAAUCGUCUUUGAAUGUAUGAACAUUUCAAAGACGGUUAUUAACUAAUAACCAUCUUUGUAUAUUGUGUUCAAAGACGGUUAUUUUGUAAUAACUGUCUUUGAAUGUCAAAAGCAAGAAACUUGCAAAGAUGGUUAUUAAUUAAUAACCGUCUUUAUAUGUUGUAUCAGCGUUUACAUUCAAAGACAGUUAUUUCGUAAUAAUCGUCUUUGAAUGUGAAAACCAAAAAUCUUUCAAAGACGGUUAUUUUAUAAUAACCAUCUUUAAAUGUCAAACAAAGAAACAUUUCAAAGACAAUUAUUAUGAAAUAACCGUCUUUGAAAUAACCGUCUUCGAAUGUCAAAAGGAAGUAACUUUCAAAGACAGUUAUUUCAUAAUAACUGUCUUUGAAUGUCAAAAGUAUAAACUUUCAAAGACGGUUAUUUCAUAGUAACCGUCUUUGAAUGCCAAAGUGAAAACCUUUCAAAGACGGUUUAGCUUCUUAGACCACGAAAAUAAAACUUCUUAGACCCCACGCUAAUAAAGUUAAUCCUAACAUUAGAUAUUUUUUGUCCAAUACUAAACAACAUUCUUUUGUGGUGAAUAAUGUGUUUCCCUAUAUAGAAAAUAAAAUAAAAUUUAUAGAAAAAAUAACAAAAAUAGAAUUAAGACAAUUUAGCCAAAUCAACAUUGGCAAACUAUAUGUAUGAUCAAGAAAUACAUUGGGCAAAUAUAAAAUCAUGAUGAAAUUUAAGUACAAAAUUAACUUCAGCCUACAUAUGCAAACUAGUAGAAUUAUACAUCUUUCUCUCUUAUUUGACGUGGGAAAACCUUGAAUUUGGAGUCUUCCAAGAUAAUGGAUCAAACUUGCACCUGCAACUGGAGCACGUGAUUAGCAAAACGGUUUUUGUCAAAUGAUGUGGGAUUGAAACAUGGAAAAAAUAAAAUGUACAACGAGAUAUUUACAAUGUAUUAUUAAUUAAACUAACUAGCUAGGCAAUGAAAAACAAAAAGAAAAUUAUAUUGAAGAAUAAACAAUUGAGAAUAUAAAAAAAUUCAGAACCAUUCAUUAAUGUGUAUAAUUAUUUUUAUUUUUUAUUUCUUUUUUCUUUUUUUUUGUCAAAGUCAAUUGACUUGGACUUAGUCCACAUUGACAGAGUGCUGACAUGACAUGUCAAGUUACCAUCCUAAGUGAUAGGGGUACACAUAUAAAGAAAGGGGGGUGUAACCAUCCAUUUUACUUUGUUUCAUACUUCACGAAAAAAUAGGUUGGGCCCAAAAUGAAAACAGUGCAUGUGUGGAAAACAAGGGUGUAAAUAACAUUUCCAUCAUAUUACAAGACAUAGCAAAAAUGGGCUAGGCUCAAACAAAAAGAGUGCAUGUAUGGAAAAUUGGGUGUGAAUAGCCUUUUCUUCAUAUUAUAGACUUUGCAAAAAUGGGCAUGUAUUAAAAAGGUGGUGUAAACAACAAUUGUUUUUGUUUUUGUUUUAUGUUUUUUAGGGUUGGGUUGAAACCAGGCCAGGGCGACCUAGCCCAACCCGCAUUUAGGCAUCAGGGUUGAAACAAUCCUAAAUGACCUAACUCCCCAAAACAUUGCAUCUCCCCAACGCCACUGGUGCAUGGCGUCGCGAUGCAAGGCUGCCAUGUGAACAACGGCGGUGGCAGCGACGCAAAAAUGGCCCACAGUGGUGGCGUAGAAGAGGCACCGAAAAACUAAAGAGGGGAGAAAUGGAAUGCGAAAAAAAAACAAUAAAAAAAGGCAACAUAAUCAUGUACAGACCUCACUGGCGACCAUGGAGCUCACCGGUGAGAGGAACGAUGAAGCUACAGGCAAAAACGAGAGAGAAAAGAAAAAAAAAGAGAAAGACGUAGAAGAAGAAGAGAGGAGGGAGAAGAAAAGCUUGAGAGAGAAUGAGGGAAUGAGAAAAUCACCUUCGAAUCCCUUUUCCUUUUCUGAUAGAAAAUCCAAAUGGCACCGCCUGGUUAGUCCGUUUUCUCUCCUUGUGACCCAUGCCUCCUCUGUGCAUUCAUUCCCAUGUAUCUUCCUUCUUUUUCCUUUUGAUACACUGUUGUCCCGUUUUGAUCUAAUGGGCUCUCUUUUGAGAGUCCAAUAGGCCACCAAAACAGUUUUUUCUUUUUCUUUCUUUUUUUUUUUUUUUUACUUUUAGUGUUCUUUUUUUUCAUUUUUUUUCUCAUUCAUCUUUUAUUUCAUGUUUUCUCUUCUUUUUUAUACUUUUUUUCUUCUUUCUCUUCUAUUUUUUUUUUCUCAUUCAUCUUUUAUUUCACGUUUUUUUCUUUUUUUUUCGUUUCUUCUUUUCUUGCUCAUUCAUGUUUUUUCUUUUCUUAUUUUCUUUAUUAUUUUUUUUAUAUCUUUUUUCUUAAUGCUUUUUCUUUUUUUCUUUUCUUUUAGAGGAUUAGGGUUUGGCAUCUCUAUUAUAAAAAGAUAAUGUGGUAAAUAAAAUAAUAAUGUUAUCAUGUCAUGUCAUCAUUUUGAUGAUAUAUCAUUGCAUCAUCAUGUCAUGUUAGCAAGAAUAUCACCUCAUCAUUAAGUUAUAAGGAUUAAAUUCAAAAUAAACAUAACUUUCAAGGAUUUAAACAAAAGAAAUUGACAUAUUUGCUGUAACAGCCGUUUUUUUUUAAUAAAUAAAUAAUACAGUAAUAAGUUAAUAAAUAAAUAAAUAAAAAUAUAAUUAGGUCAUAAAUCUCCACUAUAUAAACCAAAUGUUAACCUAGAGCAGCUUUUACAAAACACUUCUGCCCCUUUUUCUUUUCUGACGCACAAGAACCCUAACAGAGCAACCAGAGGAGGAGCUCUAGAGAGCACCAGAGACGCCACCAUUGCUAACAGAGAACAUUUAAGCGACUACCUCGAGGUAAGGGAUGAGUUACUCAUGCUUGGGAAUUAGAAUGAACAUGUGUAGGGAUCCCUAGAGGAUCAAUUUUUGGGUUAUUUUGGGAUGUUUAUGAAUUUAAUUAUGUUUUCAUGUUUAAUCGCAGAUUGAGUGUGUUUGAUGAACCAAUUGGUGUUCUGUUGCGAGUUUGUUGUAGUAUUGAUGUGUUCCUGUGUUAGGUGUGUAUCUUAGGAAUUAGAAUUCUUUAUAAUUAGCAUAAAAAUUGUGUGGUGGUGAUUUUGUUUAUACCAGAUAUGUUGGUCUUUCAAUCUUGUUCUUUUUUUUUUAUUUUUUUUUUCACACCGCAGUGUAUACAUGUACAUAUAUAUCGAUACUAUUUUUAUAUUUUAUUUCACGUGGGUGAUUUCUCGUCAUGAAAUUCGUAUGUGUAGGGAUCGUUGGAUAAAUGAAUUGGCUAAAAUCAUUUAAAGAAAUUAACUUAAGUUGUAUUCACAUUGUAAUUAGGCAUUUUCUUGGUUGGUAACUUAGUUGAAAUAUUUUUGAGCCUUAGGAAACAUUUGAAAGUAUAAAAAAAAUGGUUUAGUACUCUAUUUAUUUUUGUCUUAGUGUAUUUCAAGUAAACACUUUUACUGUGAUGUGUAAUAAUAAUAAUAAAUAAAUAAAUAAAUAAAAAUAGGGUUAUAGAUAUUAUUGUUUCAUAGUGAUUAUUGUUGUGACUUUAUAGAUUAAUUGUUAUAGAAGUUCUUUUUAUUUAUUUUGCUGAAUUAAUAUAUUUCGAUUUAAUUUAUAUUUUGUGAUGUCAAGUAAAUGUUACUAUUGAAUCAUAUGUGUAGGGUGCAUGAGAUGCAAUAAAUUAUUUUAUUAUGAAAAUGUGAUUGAGAUGAUGUGUAAGUGAUAAUCAAUUGAUACGUGAUGGAUUGUGAAUUACAUGACUCUUGAGAUGUUGUCUGUUUUGAAUUGUGAGCCAUGAAUUAUGUAAUCACACAACUGUAAGACCCUUUAAGGACGACGAGUUAAUGCGGGAUGAGUUGUGAUGAGAUCCACUAUGGGAACCCGACGAGUUAAUCACUUGAGGCGCACUGAGUUAAAAUAUAUAUAUUUAAAAAAAAUGUACAAUCGAGAUUUUGAAAACAAUUGAAUAGUUGUGUGCAUUGCAUAAUUCAUAAGUAGAGUCUGCGUGUUCAAAUAUUUUUUUUUUGGGUUGGACCUGAAUCAGGAGGGAGAGGCCCUGACGGACUCUUCGGAGUGUAGGCCUUGGGGGUCAUCCGGUUUGAGUGCUCCUAUAAGCCUGUGCCGAUCCCACAUGGUUGGAGCAUUCUCGCAAAACAGCGUGACCCUGACUGGUCUCCCUAUGAUUUCACUUAGUGAGAGUGACCUGACUUGCCCAUUGUGAGGCAUGUCCUGUCAUGUACCCCUAGGCGCCCGACGAGGUUUUUCACUGAAAAAUGGUACCACAUUGCAUGUAGGCUUAAGUCUAGAGUAUUUGUUGCAUAACGCAUGUGUUUGACUUUCAUUGGAUUAAUAAUUGUGGUUUGAUGUUAUUUUCUGGAGUGGAUGAACUUGAAUGGAUGUGCAUAAUAUGUGUGAUUUUGUUGAAAUGGUGUUAAUUAUAUAAAUUCAGUUGUAAGUAUUAUAUGUUUCACAUGCUCUAACAUUUUAUCAUAUAUGAAUGUGAUAACUCAUUCCCGGUGUGUGUUUGUGUUUGGGCUGAUUGUCAUUUGUUCAGGUGAGCCAUCAUAUGAUGAAUCCCAUGUUAGAGCCAGAGAGACUUAGUCUGUGAUAGAGACAUGCUCUGAUAAGUGUGACAUUGGGGCAUAUGAUUUUCUUCGCAUGAUAUAUUUUUCGUAAACGAUAUAGUUGUGUUACGUUUCUGUUUAAUUUUUUUUUUAUUAUUCAUUCAGUGGACGACCUUGUUUUGAGCCGGGAUAACUUUGUUGUUUUUAUUCGAACAAUUUCUACUAUGUUUUCAUAAAGUGAAUGUGAACCCUUUAUCUUUUGAAAUCAAUUUAAAGUCAAUAUGUUUUAAAAAAAAAUCCGCAUGAUUUUAUUUCCUUGUAUUCGUUAUUUGUGAGGGUAGAGGGUGUUACAUUUAGUGGUAUCAGAGCAGGUCGAACCUUUCGGCCAUGUGUGUUAUGAGUUUUCUGUGUUUCCUUGUGUACUCUGAUGUGUUGUAUUUGUUUUGUUUGAUUAGAGGUGUACUUUAUUGUGUUGGUAUAUUUUUUUUUCAAAGUUUUGUUUCUUGCGUGACAUAGGAAGUAAUGGCUGCAAGAAAUGAGCGAGAACGACUUCUUACCGAGGCCUUGAACAACUUGGCGCAAGUUAUGGCCAAUCAGGGAGGCGGUGGAGGAGCAACUAUGUACCAUGGUUUAGAUCGCUUUCAGAGGAACAACCCACCUACCUUCAAAGGGGGUUAUGAUCCUGAGGGUGUUGAGGCUUGGCUGAAGGAGAUUGAGAAGAUCUUCCGGGUGAUGGAAUGUCAGGACCAUCAGAAGGUGUUGUUUGCUACUCACAUGCUAGCAGAUGAGGCAGAAUAUUGGUGGGAGAACACUCGCCCACGUUUGGAGGGAGCAGGUGGUGCUGUUGUUCCAUGGGGAACUUUUAGACAGACUUUUCUGGAGAAGUAUUUUCCAGAAGAUGUGAAGAAUAGAAAGGAGAUGAAGUUCCUUGAGCUUAAACAAGGGAGUAUGAUGGUGGCAGAGUAUGCAGUGAAGUUUGAGAACCUUGUAAGGUAUUUUCCUCAUUAUCAGGGGGAAGCUGGGGAGAGGUCCAAAUGCGUGAAAUUUGUCAAUGGCCUACGACCAGAAGUAAAGAUGAUGGUAAAUUAUCACGGUAUUCAUAACUUUGCACAGUUGACCAAUAUGUGUAGAAUCUUUGAUGAAGAUCAGCGGGAGACGACUGCUUUCUACAGGAAUGCCAAUGCUAGUCAUGGGAAAGAGAAGAAGCCUAUGGCUCACAGUCGUGCUAAGCCAUAUUCUGCCCCUCCCGGGAAAUAUGGAAACCAUUCUGGGGGACAAAGGACCAGUGGAGGACAUCACCUAGCUGGUGGGAGUUCUCAGUCAGUUAACAGAGUGUCUCAGCCUGCUGGUGGAGGUGGUGGUGGCGCUUCUGUUACACCUGCUACGCCAAUCCGGUGUGCUAAGUGUGGUAGGAUGGGUCAUUUUGCUCGUGAGUGCCCAGAUAGUGAUGUGACUUGUUUCAACUGCCGGGGUAAGGGCCACCUCAGUACCAGUUUCCCACAUCCGAGGAGGGAGAAGAUGAGUGGAAGUCUGAAUAACCAGAACUGACGACCAAAGACCACAGGGAGAGUGUUUGCUCUUAGUGGUGCUGAUGCCGCACAGUCUGAUGAUCUCAUUCAAGGUAUGUGUUUCAUAAGUCAAGUUUUCUUGGUUGUAUUGUAUGAUUCAGGUGCGACCCAUUCAUUUAUUUCUUGUGUCUGUGUUGAAAAACUUGCCUUGCUUGUGUCUUCCUUGAAAUUUGACUUGAUUGUGAAUACACCUGCUAGUGGGUCUGCUUUAACUUCUGAUGUGUGUUUGCAGUGUCCUGUCAUAAUUUCUGAUAGACAAUUUCUUGUUGACUUAGUUGUUCUACCUUUGAGUUAGAUUGAUGUUAUUCUUGGUAUGGACUGGUUAUCUUCCAAUCAUGUCUUAUUAAAUUGUUUUGAGAAAUCUGUUGUCUUUCCUGAGUCUGGUGUGAGUGAAGGUGAUAUGUUUUUGUCUGCUAACCAAGUUGAGGCAUCUUUAAGGGAGGAUGCACAGGUAUACAUGAUCUUAGCUAGUAUGAGUGUUGAGACCAAAACCCCUAUGAGUGAUAUACCAUUGGUGAGAGAGUUUCCAGAGGUGUUUGAGGAGGUGUCAGGAUUACCACCUGAGAGAGAGGUCGAGUUCUCGAUAGACCUAGUGCCUGGUACUGGACCCAUAUCCAUAGCACCUUAUAGGAUGUCCCCUGUGGAGUUAAGUGAGCUUAAGAAACAGUUAGAGGAACUUUUAGAGAAACAAUUUGUGAGGCCUAGUGUGUCACCCUGGGGAGCACCGGUGUUGUUAGUUAAGAAGAAGGAUGGGACUAUGAGGCUAUGUGUAGAUUAUUGUCAGUUAAAUAAGGUAACGAUUAAGAAUAGGUACCCUUUGCCUAGGAUAGAUGACCUGAUGGACCAAUUAGUAGGGGCUUGUGUGUUCAGUAAGAUAGAUCUUAGGUCAGGUUACCACCAGAUUAUAGUAAAGCCUGAAGAUGUUCUGAAGACUGCCUUUAGGACUGUUACGGUCAUUAUGAGUACUUGGUUAUGCCUUUUGGUGUGACCAACGCCCCUGGUGUGUUCAUGGAUUAUAUGAAUAGGAUCUUUCACCCCUACCUAGAUAGUUUUGUAGUGGUCUUCAUAAAUGAUAUCUUGGUGUAUUCUAAGACUAGAGAGGAACAUGAGGAGCAUCUGAGAGUUGUGUUGCAAACCCUCAAAGACAAUAGACUGUAUGCUAAGUUGUCCAAGUGUGAUUUUUGGCUAGAGGAGGUGAGCUUCUUAGGGCACGUUAUAUCUAAGGGAGGGAUAGCAGUAGAUCCUUCCAAGGUAGAGGCGGUGAUGGGUUGGGAGAGUCCUAAGUCAGUGUUUGAGAUUGGGAGCUUUCUUGGCUUAGUAGGAUACUACCGUAGAUUCAUAAAGGGUUUUUCUAAGCUAGCCUUACCUUUGACUAAGCUUACUCGUAAGGGUCAAGUUUUUGUGUGGGAUGCCCAAUGUGAGAGUAGUUUCCGUACCCUUAAGGAAAGGUUGACCACUGCACCAGUUUUAGUGUUACCUAACCCGAGUGAAUCUUUUGUGGUGUAUUGUGAUGCGUCCAAGAUGGGUUUGGGUGGAGUGCUUAUGCAACGGGGACAGGUAGUGGCCUAUGCUUCUCGACAGCUUAAGAUACAUGAAAGGAAUUAUCCCACACACGAUCUUGAGUUAGCAGCCGUAGUUUUUGCUCUUAAGCUUUGGAGGCAUUACCUUUAUGGAUCUAAAUUUGAGGUGUUUAGUGAUCAUAAGAGCCUUAGAUAUUUGUUUGAUCAAAAAGAGCUUAACAUGAGGCAGAGGAGAUGGUUAGAGUUCCUUAAGGAUUACGAUUUUGAACUUAGCUAUCACCCAGGUAAAGCCAAUGUAGUAGCUGAUGCCUUAAGUAGAAAGUCCCUUCAAAUGUCUGCUUUGAUGGUUAGAGAGUUGGAUCUCUUAGAGCAGUUUAGAGACAUGAGUUUGGCAUGUGAGAUCACCUCUAGUAGCAUUAAGUUGGGUAUGUUGAGAGUCACCAGCGAACUCUUAAGCGAGAUCCGUGAGGGUCAGAAGUCUGACCCAUUCUUGUCAGCUCAGUUAGAGUCCAUAGUCGCAGGGAGAAAGAGUAGUUUUAGAUUGGGAACUGAUGGAGUCUUGAGGUUUCAGGAUAGGGUGUGUGUGCCUAGUGUACCCAAGCUUAGGAGAACGAUCUUGGAAGAGGGCCAUGGAAGUAGUUUGAGUAUCCACCCAGGAGCGACUAAGAUGUACCAGGACCUUAGGCAGAUGUUUUGGUGGCCGAGUAUGAAGAAAGAAGUUUAUAAGUUUGUCCUUGCAUGCCUAGUGUGUCAGAAAGAUAAAAUAGAACAUCAGAAGCCUUCAGGGAAGUUGCAACCUUUAGAGAUACCUGAGUGGAAGUGGGAUAACAUCUCCAUGGAUUUCGUGGUGGGGUUACCUAGAACCCCCAAAGGUUUAGAUUCCAUUUGGGUUAUUGUAGACAGGUUGACCAAAACUGCUCACUUCAUCCCAAUAAACAUCAGAUAUUUUUUAGAGAGGUUGACUAGCUUGUACGUCAGUGAGAUAGUUAGACUACACGGUGUUCCUUCUAGCAUAGUCUCUGAUAGAGAUCCCAGAUUUACCUCUAGAUUUUGGGAGAUUCUUCAUAAAGCCAUGGGAACCAAGCUUAGGUUGAGUUCUGCUUACCACCCACAGACUGACGGUCAAACCGAGCGCACCAUCCAAUCCUUAGAGGACCUCUUGAGAGCCUGUGUGUUAGAGCAGAGGGGUAGUUGGGAUAGUUUCUUACCCUUGAUAGAGUUUACAUACAACAAUAGUUUUCACUCCAGUAUAGGUAUGGCGCCUUACGAGGCAUUGUAUGGUAGAAGAUGUAGGACACCUCUAUGUUGGGUAGAUUCCAGUGAGAGCAUUGCCUUAGGACUUGAGGUAGUUCAGCAGACCACAGAAAAGGUCAAGUUGAUCCAAGAAAGGAUGAGAGCAGCCCAAAGUAGGCAGAAGAGCUACUAUGAUAAGAGAAGAAAGGAUCUUGAAUUUGUUGUAGGUGAUCAUGUAUUUCUGAGAGUCACCCUGUGGACUGGGGUUGGUAGGGCGUUGAAGUCCCGUAAGCUCACACCUAGAUUCAUUGGUCCCUUUGAAAUCCUAAAGUGUGUCGGCCCAGUUGCGUAUCAGGUGGCUUUGCCACCAUCUCUCUCAAAUCUCCAUAGUGUCUUCCAUAUCUCUCAACUCAGAAAAUAUGUCCAUGAUCCGUCGCACGUGAUCGAGUUGGACAAUGUCCAAGUGAAAGAGAACUUGACAUAUGAAACACAACCACUGAGGAUCGACGAUCGUAUGGUUAAGCAGCUAAGGGGAAAAGAGAUUCCCUUGGUCAAAGUAGUAUGGGGAAGUGCUUCGGGCGAGGAUGCCACCUGGGAACUAGAGGGUCAAAUGUGUGAUGCAUAUCCUACCUUAUUCGAUACUGGUAAGUUUCGAGGACGAAACUUUUUUUUUAGGGGGGUGAAAUUGUAACAGCCGUUUUUUUUAAUAAAUAAAUAAUACAGUAAUAAGUUAAUAAAUAAAUAAAUAAAAAUAUAAUUAGGUCAUAAAUCUCCACUAUAUAAACCAAAUGUUAACCUAGAGCAGCUUUUACAAAACACUUCUGCCCCUUUUUCUUUUCUGACGCACAAGAACCCUAACAGAGCAACCAGAGGAGGAGCUCUAGAGAGCACCAGAGACGCCACCAUUGCUAACAGAGAACAUUUAAGCGACUACCUCGAGGUAAGAGAUGAGUUACUCAUGCUUGGGAAUUAGAAUGAACAUGUGUAGGGAUCCCUAGAGGAUCAAUUUUUGGGUUAUUUUGGGAUGUUUAUGAAUUUAAUUAUGUUUUCAUGUUUAAUCGCAAAUUGAGUGUGUUUGAUGAACCAAUUGGUGUUCUGUUGCGAGUUUGUUGUAGUAUUGAUGUGUUCCUGUGUUAGGUGUGUAUCUUAGGAAUUAGAAUUCUUUAUAAUUAGCAUAAAAAUUGUGUGGUGGUGAUUUUGUUUAUACCAGAUAUGUUGGCCUUUCAAUCUUGUUCUUUUUAUUUUUUUUUAUUUUUUUUUCACACCGCAGUGUAUACAUGUACAUAUAUAUCAAUACUGUUUUUAUAUUUUAUUUCACGUGGGUGAUUUCUCGUCAUGAAAUUCGUAUGUGUAGGGAUUGUUGGAUAAAUGAAUUGGCUAAAAUCAUUUAAAGAAAUUAACUUAAGUUGUAUUCACAUUGUAAUUAGGCCUUUUCUUGGUUGGUAACUUAGUUGAAAUAUUUUUGAGCCUUAGGAAACAUUUGAAAGUAUAAAAAAAAAAUGGUUUAGUACUCUAUUUAUUUUUGUCUUAGUGUAUUUCAAGUAAACACUUUUACUGUGAUGUGUAAUAAUAAUAAUAAUAAAUAAAUAAAUAAAAAUAGGGUUAUAGAUAUUAUUGUUUCAUAGUGAUUAUUGUUGUGACUUUAUAGAUUAAUUGUUAUAGAAGUUCUUUUUAUUUAUUUUGCUGAAUUAAUAUAUUUCGAUUUAAUUUAUAUUUUGUGAUGUCAAGUAAAUGUUACUAUUGAAUCAUAUGUGUAGGGUGCAUGAGAUGCAAUAAAUUAUUUUAUUAUGAAAAUGUGAUUGAGAUGAUGUGUAAGUGAUAAUCAAUUGAUACGUGAUGGAUUGUGAAUUACAUGACUCUUGAGAUGUUGUCUGUUUUGAAUUGUGAGCCAUGAAUUAUGUAAUCACACAACUGUAAGACCCUUUAAGGACGACGAGUUAAUGCGCGAUGAGUUGUGAUGGGAUCCACUGUUGGAACCCGACGAGUUAAUCACUUGAGGCGCACUGAGUUAAAAUAUAUAUAUAUUUUAAAAAAAAUAUGUACAAUCGAGAUUUUGAAAACAAUUGAAUAGUUGUGUGCAUUGCAUAAUUCAUAGGUAGAGUUUGCGUGUUCAAAUGUUUUUUUUUUUUGUUGGACCUGAAUCAGGAGGGAGAGGCCCUGACGGACUCUUCAGAGUGUAGGCCUUGGGGGUCAUCCGGUUUGAGUGCUCCUGUAAGCCUGUGCCGAUCCCACAUGGUUGGAGCAUUCUCGCAAAACAGCGUGACCCUAACUGGUCUCCCUAUGAUUUCAUUUAGUGAGAGUGACCUGACUUUCCCAUUGUGAGGCAUGUCCUGUCAUGUACUCCUAGGCGCCCGACGAGGUUUUUCACUGAAAAAUGGUACCACAUUGCAUGUAGGCUUAAGUCUAGAGUAUUUGUUGCAUAACGCAUGUGUUUGACUUUCAUUGGAUUAAUAAUUGUGGUUUGAUGUUAUUUUCUGGAGUGGAUGAACUUGAAUGGAUGUGCAUAAUAUGUGUGAUUUUGUUGAAAUGGUGUUAAUUAUAUAAAUUCAGUUGUAAGUAUUAUAUGUUUCACAUGCUCUAACAUUUUAUCAUAUAUGAAUGUGAUAACUCAUUCCCGGUGUGUGUUUGUGUUUGGGCUGAUUGUCAUUUGUUCAGGUGAGUCAUCAUAUGAUGAAUCCCAUGUUAGAGCCAGAGAGACUUAGUCUGUGAUAGAGACAUGCUCUGAUAAGUGUGACAUUGGGGCAUAUGAUUUUCUUCGCAUGAUAUAUUUUUCGUAAACGAUAUAGUUGUGUUACGUUUCUGUUUAAUUUUUUUUUAUUAUUCAUUCAGUGGACGGCCUUGUUUUGAGUCGGGAUAACUUUGUUGUUUUUAUUCGAACAAUUGCUACUAUGUUUUCAUAAAGUGAAUGUGAACCCUUUAUCUUUUGAAAUCAAUUUAAAGUCAAUAUGUUUUAAAAGAAAUCCGCAUGAUUUUAUUUCCUUGUAUUCGUUAUUUGUGAGAGUAGAGGGUGUUACAUUUGCUAGGAAAAAAAAUAUUUAAUGUUAAAUUACAUAUUAAAAUAAAAUAAAGACUAAUAUUCAUUUAUUAUAAUCUCCACUAAUUGUCUUCUACCUCCAAACUCUUUUUCUUUUUCUUAUAUCAUCUCCUUUCUUUUUCCAAGCCCUAUAGUUCACCACUUUUCACACCAUUUCUUCCCUCCCCUAUUUCCAUUCCCCUAUCCCCUUGCUUCCCUUUUCCCUUUCUAAUUCUAGUCAUUAUAAGAUUUCCAAAGAUCAUGCUUUCAAGAAGAUAAUGAAUAUCAACUUCUAUCUAAAUGUGCAAUCCAACCACACAUAAUUGCAUUAAAAAAAAAUUAAUCUUCAUCAACAAAAUUUCAUAUCAGCUUCCUGUCAUUGUCGAUGUGGUGACGACAAUGGUGAUGAUAUUGAUAAUGAUAACAAUUGCGAUGAGACAGUGAUGAUAAUAAGUUGUGACAACAAUGAUGACUAUAAUAUAUAAUGAUAGUGAUGAUAAUGAUGUUGGUAAUGAUAACAAUACAAUGACAAUUAGUAAUAAUGAUUAUAAUUACAAAAAUAAUGAUUAAUCAUUUUUUAUGAUAAGAAUUUACAAAAAUUUAAUAUUGUUAAGUGUGUUAGAUUAUCACGUGCACAAAUUUAAGACUUUUUUUUUACUUCAAUAUUUAAUUUGAGGUUUAAAUUUUUUUUUUUUUUGUCUCUUGCACCUAUCCUGUUUUGAUUUUAGUUUCAAUAAAUUAUAUUUAUUUAGAUUUUAUUAUUUAUAAAUUAUUGAUAAUGUGACACAUAUACUAACAUUAUUAUUUUAUUUGUCACAUAAUUUUAUUUUAUUUUUAUCAAACACUAAGGACCAAAACUCUAAAAGCAAAACGACUUGAAUUUGGCGUAAAAAAAUUACCUGAAUUUUGCAAGGACUAUUGAUUAUUUUAUUAAAAGAAAAACUAAUUUACAACGUCUUUAUUUGGGUUCGUGACCAUUGAAGAUCACUGUGAACCCCUCCGGCAUCAGUCCUUGACUCCUUGGCAGUGGCAGAGUUCAUAAAUCUCAAGGAGAGAGAGAGUGGUCUUCUCUACCAAAACUACAAAAUAAAAAGUCAAAUUAAAAAACAAAAGAUAAUAAAAAGAAGAGUUUAACUACCAACUUGUAAUUAACAAAAGCUCAUCAUUGUGUUGAUUUUUUAAUUUAUUAUCUCUAUUUGUGCAGUUAAAGCCAAUAUUCUGAAGUUAAAAGGAAAAAUAUAUUUUUAUACUAAAUAUUUUUUUCUUCCGUGAAACAUUUUCUUUUCUUGUUUUUUAGUAAAGUAAGAUCCUAAAUCAAUCUUAUAAUUAGAUGCUGAGGGAAUAAGAUUAUUUAUUAAGAUGUCACAAGAAAUUGUUAGUAAGAUCCUCUGUGCAACGCUUAUUCAAACGCCUCAGACGACGAGAAGAACAAUCAAAACGACAGAAAGUAUCUCUAACCCACCAAAAUCACCAAAACGACACCUUCCUUUACCUUCUCUUCCUUCAUUCGACCACCAAACGCAAGCUCCCAUGCCCGAAGAUACAUUUCCAAACGACACUGCGCAUUGAUGUGUCCCACCUCGCUCCUCUUCCUGAUCCGUUCCUGUUCCGUCUCCGUUCACGCUAUCUGGUACUCGUCACUUCUUCUUUUUUUUCCUUUUUUGUUUUUUGUGUAAUCCAAAUUGAACUGUUUUCUUUUUUCUUUUUUCUGUUCAAUUUUGUACACUCACAUUCAAAUUUUGCGGAAUUUACUGGGUUCGAUUUUGAUUUGUUUUAAUAAAGUUUUAAUUUUUGUGUCUGUUAAUUGAAAGGCAUUCAAUUUUGGAAUUAUGAUUGUAGAUUAUAGUAGUCAAUUCCAAAUAGCUGCGCUGAGUGACCGAUUCUGAAAAUGCUAUAGUGACAUAGUAGAUAGUGGUAUGACGAUAUUCUGAACCUUAAACCCUUAACUUAGAUUUAUACCAGUGUUAUCAAUGGUGGAUGGUUAUGGUGGAAGUUCAAAAUUAAAAACACGCUGUUGCGGCCUUUGGCGCUGCCAUAGUGGACCUUCCUUCACAAAUUACCUAUGGCGGUUGGCAAAAUCUUCAUCAUGCCAUUCUGCCAUGGUAGCCAUUGUGUCGCCCCCAUUUAACAACACUGAUUUAUGCUACACAUGGAUGUAUGUUGAAAAAUAAAAACCUAGAAUUAGAGAGAAGUCGUUGUUGUUUCAACCUUUUUUACCGCUGAAAUAACACUGUUGAGGAAGGUCAAUGGAAAAUAGCUGCUUGAUAUUAAACCAUGCAGCAGAUGAAUUUUUGUUGCUAUAAUCAGUCUCUAGCUGAAUGAUGUGCUUGCAUAAAUUAAAUUUCUUAUUUCCUCUCGCAGAUACCUUUUCCUGUUUGUACUUUCUUCAGUCAUAGAUGUUGUAACAUCCCAAUUUUUCGUAAAUAAAUCUAAAAAGCUUUUUAGUAAUAAAUAAAUAAAUAAAUAAAUAUAGAGCCCUAUGUAUAAAUAGUUAUGUUAAGUCAGCUGCCUCCUUUUGGCCUCAUUUUCGUUUUUCCCCUUCUCUCAAAACCCUUUCUUUUUCCCGCAGCCCACCAAACCAAUCUCAGAAAAACGACGAUCUCGAACCCGUUCACCGUUGGAUCGUCGUGAAAUUUGAGUAUCAUGUUCGCAACACAAUUCCGAGCAUUCUCACCGUUGGGAAUUUCGAUAUCAUGUCUGAACUGAGAGAAAAACCCUUCGCAUUGUAGCCUUUUUCUUUCCCGCAGAAACCCAGAGCUGUCUUGGUAAAACUACGAUCCCGGUUUCGUUAACCGUUGGAUUAUUGUGAAAUUUGGAUAUGUUGUUCGAAAUUCAAUUCCGCACACUUCCACCAUUGGGAUUUGCGAGAUAAUAUUCGUGGAGGGAGAAAAAGGAAUCGUAUGAAGACAGUACAAGUGGAGGUUUCAAUCUCUUCUCCGUCUCUCUGACGUUGGGAAUUCUAUCGGAGCAGUCGGAUGAAUAAUUGAAAGAAUUUCCGGGAACCGCUAGAGAUGUUGCUAUCGCUGGCUGAAGACACGUGAGCCCGCUUAAAGGUAAGGGAUGAGUUAUUUACAGUUGGGGAUUAGUGAGAACAUGUGUAGGGAUCCUUAGAAGAUUAAAUUGGGAUUUUAUUUUGGGAUGUUUGUUAAAUUGCAAUUUUUCCUUUAUGAUUAUAAAUAAAAUAUUGAUGUCCUGAUGAAAAUUGCUUGAUAAAUUGUGCUCUUGAUAUUUGUAUAUUUGGACCUAUGAUUUGGAUAUAAUUGUGUAAUAUUAUUUGAGGGGUUUUAGUCCUCAUGUUGUGAUAGUCUUUUAUAUAAAUUGUUAUAUUGAGGAUAUGAAAUGAUAAUUCAAAUUGUGAGUAUGUGAUGAAUUGUAGAAUAACAUGUUGCUUUGAGAUUAUAAUAUUGUUAUUGAGAUUGAGUAUAAGUGUAAAGUUGAACAUGUGUUAAUUUGUGAGAUACGUGUAAACAUGUGAUGGUGGAUUGUGACACUAUGAGAUGUGAAAUUGUGAAUGAGUUCUAGUUGUGGAUAAGUGUGCAGUUAACACUUGAUGUGAAAUUACUUGUGUUGUAAGCCAUGAAUUGUACAAUACCCGACCAGCGUUAUCUUGAGAAAAGCGUUGAUGCGCAGUGUUAAAGAGAAAAUGUAGGUUUCCUAUUUAGGAACCAGUGUUAAAUCGUAGCGCAAUUGUGUUGAACGUGUUUAAAACACGAGUGUAAGGUCGUGAGUAUUGUAUAAUUCAUGAGCAGUGUCUGCAUGUAAAAAAAAUUAUUUUAGGGGUUGGACCUGAAUCAGGAGGGAGAGGCCCUGACGGACUCUUCGGAGUGUAGGCCUUGGGGGUCACCGGGUUUGAGUGCUCCUUUAAGCCUAUGCUGAUCUCAUAUGGUUGGAGCAUUCUCGCAAAACAUCGUGACCCUGACUGGUCUCCCUAUGAUCUUACUUAGUGAGAGUGACCUGACAAACCCAUUGUGUGGUGUGUCUUGUUAUGUACUCCUAAGCGCCCCAGGGUGGUUUUUCACUGACAUGGUAUCACAUUGCAUAUAGAAUUGAGUCUUAGCAUAACUAUUGCAUAUGCUUGCUAAUUGAUGUGUUAUUAUAUCUUGAUCGAAGUGUGGGAUUCUUGUGUAAUGUGAUUGAUAAUUGAAAAGUGAAUUUUGAAUGACGAAGUGGUGAAGUUACGUGAGCUAUGUUUAAGCAAGUGGUAUCUCAUUUAUAUAAUAUGUAUAUUUAAUUGUCUUGUUUCUCUAUUAGUUAGGAAUGUGAUAACUCACUCCCUGUGUGUUGUUGUGUUUGGAUCCUGUGAUGAUCUUGAACUUGUGUUCGGGGGAGCAGAUGAAUAGGUGGAUGACUAUGAAGAACCUCAUGCUAGAGGACACGGGAAUACCACGCUCUGAUAGGAUGUGACAUUAGGAUAUAGGUUCUAUAUUAAUUGUAUGAGACUUAUAUGACUUUCUUUGAGUCGAGAUGACUUUAUUAUUUAUUUGGACAAGUUUGAAUAUGAUGUAGAAGAAAGUGAACGUGAGCCUUUUACCCAUUUGAAAAGCUUGUAUUUAAAAAUGUUUUAAAAAUACUUUUAAUUAAUAUUUGAAUUUUUAUUCCUUUAUUAAUAUAUAUGUGAGGGGUAGAGGGUGUCACAGAUGUGCGUCGUGUUUUAUUGAUUCUAUCUAUUUCCCUUGCUUUUAUGUUGAUUUUUUUUUUCGUGGAUAGAGACAAGUACUCUGACCUUUUUCUUGUUUACAAACUUAGGGAGUAUCUUGGAUGCUGAUAUACACCAUAAUAUUUUAUCAUUGUUGAAAAGUAUAGCAAAGGGUCAUCAAAGCCCGACCCUGAUAUCUGAAAAGUUAUGUGACUCUAUAUGGGCAUACAAAAGCUGUCAAUGCUAUGCAUUGGUCAUCAACUCAUUGUAAGUUCUCUUUGUUGACAAACUGUUCCCCUGGUAUGUGUGUGAUAUACUAUAGUUUUUAAUCAGGAAUAGUUGUCCCUAGUGAUAAAGGUGCAAUGUGUUAUAUUUUAAUUUAAUUAAUCUAAUUUUAAUGUAUAAAGGAUUUGUUAACAGCUAGACUAAUUUUAAAAUCAAAGUAUUGAAAAUUGUUGUGUACAUGUGAAUGAGAGAGAGAGAGCAAGAGAGAUAUGCUUGUUAUAUAUACUAUUUAUUUGUUCAUCAGAGUUAGCUUACAGCUCACCUCCUUGCAUCUGCUGGGAUGGAUCAUGCGGUUUGCAUAUGGAAUGUAUGGAGCAGAAAUCAGAAGAAAGCAUGCCUGCUAAACUUCCAGUCUUCCACAAUGCAGCAGUCAAAGAUGUGAAAUGGUCUCAGCAAGGGCACUUUCUACUUUCUUGUGGAUAUGAUUGCACGUCAAGGUUGAUUGAUGUUGAAAAAGGAUUGGAGACUCAGGUUUUCAGACAAGAUCAAAUCGUUGGAGUUAUAAAGUUACAUCCAGACGAUUCAAAUCUCUUCCUUUCUGAAGGGUCAAAGGGCCAGAUCAAACUUUGCGAUGCCAGAACUGGCAAAGUAGUGCAUGACUAUAAUCAAAAUUUAGGUCUGAUUCUGGAUGUUGAGUUCACUAUGAAUGGGAAGCAAUUCAUUUCUUCUAGUGAUGUAUCUCAAAGUAAUGCAAGUGAGAAUGCUAUUAUUGUUUGGGAUGUGUCAAGAGAGGUACCAUUGUCUAAUCAGGUGAGAAUUGUAUAUACUAUCUUUCAUUUUCUAUUUUUUUACUGUUCCCCAUUUUUCUGCAAAAUUGCCGUGAAGUUUUCUUAUUGUUCGUUUAAGCAGCAUUACUGAUGUUGAUUACAACUCUUGAAACAAUAAGUCAUUCUAGAGGGAAUAGAAUAAUGCAGAUAGUCUAGUAAAAGUUAUAGGAUAUAGCUUACCAUUUCUAUUUUCUUAAAACCAGCAGGUAAAUAAACUGAUUCAUGGUUUAGUGGUUCAACUAUGGCCAGAUUAUUGUCAAACUGGAAUUAAUUUUUAACAUAUGUGAAUUUUAUGCUGUUUUUGACAUUAAUAUUUUUUUUGUAUUGACAUUAAACAUGAAAUUUUAAUAUUCUAAGCUACUAUAUUUUUAAAGCUAUAGGAUUAAAAAAUACUCCUUUUUCCUGGUCUGAUGCUUUCAAGAUCCAAAACAUACUGCUCCUUAAGUUGCUUUUAAAGGGUGGAUGAAUGAACUGGCAUAGAAAACUUACUGCAAAUGCAAUAUUAACGUCCAUGACCCACCCUAGGUAUGUGACCCUAAUAUUUGUUUAAGGUUAAGUUAAUUGUAGGUUUCUGAACUAUUUUAGGGAUUUUAAAUAAGUUCCUGUACUUUUAAAAGUCUGUAAUUAGAUUUAGAACCCUAAACAUGUAAAUUAUUUCUAAUUGGAUCCUUGGCAACAUUUUCAUUAGGGUUCGUUUAAGUAUAGGAACCUAAUUGAAAAUUUCAAAUUAUUCAGGGAUCAGGUUGAUAGUUUACUUAUUUAAUAGGUUCUUGAACUAAUAUUUUUUUUAAUUAGAUCCAUCUAACAAAUAUUUAACAAGAACUUGGAAAAUUAUUUAAAGAUGCAAUCCCUAGAUUUAUACUUACUACUUAGAGUUCUAAAAUAGUAAAAUAUGCCUUCUCAAGUUAUGGGCCAAUAACUAAUUUUCCCAAGCUUUUGAGUUAUGGGAGUUGGGUGUCUAAGAGUCCAAAUAAAAAAAUUCCUAGGAGUGGGUAGAACCCCCUACUCUCCUUAGAGAAGAACUCUAUCUCUAACUCUAGAAAAUUGUUCCAAAGGUGUUGUUUAUGUGGAGGAGAAAAUAAGUGAUUCUAAAGUUUCUCCAGAAUCUCAAAAAGAAUUGCUGAGUAUGGAAAAUAGAGUACAAAAUGGAGGAAAAUGAGAAAGGGAGGGAAACGAACAGGGGGUGGCAAGGAAGAAAGGAGAAUGUUGGGGUGCCUACAUCUUUGUUUAUUUAUUUCAAUAAAAUGGUUCAUUUCAAUAUGAUUGCUCUCUGUAUUUGUGUUUCUGUUGCUAAAUCAAUUGAGUUUGUACUUCAAGUACAAUUCGGAAUAUAUAGGAAAACUGUGUAAGAGAAACUGAAUCAGUUCAAUUGUAACAGAAUUAGAGCAGAACAGUGGGCCUGUUAACUUGAUCUGUUGGUUAACAAGUGCUAGCAUACAGAUGAAAAAGCACAUGCUGCACACUCUUUGUUUUAACAACUCACAGUAUACUAGUUAAAGUUAAACUAUCAGAGCUGAUUAGCCCUAGAUUUAGAAUCCUUUUUGUUAGAAUUAGUGAUAGAAUCAAUUAGUAGCUGAUUAGCCUUAGAAUCAGCAAUCACAUUUAUUUGUAUUUAUAUGGUAUCAGAGCUGUGUGAUCUUGUUAAGACACAAAUUCAGAAAUUCUAUAUGGUAUCAAAGCAGACUAGGGUUUGAUACCCUCUGUAGUGUGCCUUUUUUUUUUUGGGGGGUGCACUGUAUCCGUAUCCAUUGCGAGCCACUUUUGGCUGUUGCCGCCACCCCUUUUCUCUGGUGCUACCCCUGGAUCUGGACUGCCUCCUUCUGGCGACCACCAUGCCACCUGCGACUCUGCCAUUGUGUGCAUGGCUCUCAUUUACCGGAAAAAAAUGUUUUUCUUCUUUUUAAAAAAAAAAUUAAAAAGAAAAAGUGUGAAAUGCCUUUAACCUGACCCCGAUCUAAUCGAAAUAAAGGGUUAUUAAACCCUAAAGAGAACCUAUGACAAAGAAGUUUCCAAAUUCUAUGAGUAACAUUUUCUUUGUUUUUUUCAGUUACUUUUUGUUUUAAAAAUCAUUUUUUUAUUCUUUAAUUUUUUUUUUGGUUUAUUUGAUUAUUCUUUUUAAUACUGACCAAAAUCUCUUCUUCCUCCCUCUUUCUAUUUUUUUAAUUUCUUUUUUGUUUUGUUAUUGUGUUUAUUUUUAGUACUAGCACAACGGUAAAGGCUGCGUACAAUGACCCUCCCCAAUAUCUUUGCAUAGUGAGAAGCCUCCGGGCACUCGGGUACGUUAGCUUUUUUGUUUUAUCAUCAUACAACUGUUAUGUUUUCAGAUUUUUUUUUGCUUGCUUCCUUUUUCUGUUUUUUUAAUUUCUUUUUUGUUUUGUUAUUCUUUAAAUUUCAUGUUUUCAGAUUUUCUCUCCUUUAUUCCUAUGUAGAGAUUGCUUCCUCGUUCUUUUUUAUCAGAUUUUUGUUAAUUUCUUUGUUGUUAAACUAUUGAAUUCUGAAUUUGUGAUCAUGUCUUCAAAAUUCAAAUAUGUUUUAACUUUCUAUUUUAGUGUUUUAAUAAUUCUGUACUGUUGUACAUUACUAAUUUAGUGCUGUUUUUUUAGUGUAAGUAGUGCUCUUUGAUCAUUUUAUUUGAUCAUUCUGUUCUGUUCAAUGUUCAGCCCUAUUCUACAAUUGCUGAAGCAUCCACACAUGAUUCAAGGGCCACCUCUAGAAUAGAUCCUGUUGGAAAUACUGUCAUCAACUUGAUGAAGGGGAUACAAACGCAACUGCUUGUAAUUACUGUAGAAAAGCCACAAAGGGAGAAUAACGAGAGCCACAACACUUGAUGGGGAAGCAGGGCAAUGUUGUUGCUUGCCUGAAGUGCCCAAAGGAUGUAAGUAAAGAGCUUUGGCGAUAUGUAGCAAAUAAAAAGAACGUAGGCACUAGUGCUACUGUGGCAAAUAGAGAUUUUGAUUUUUCUCCCAUUGGAUAUGAUAAAAGUGAAGAUGAGUUUGAAGACUCUAUCAGUGCCGUCACUGCUACAAACAAAAAGAAUGUCACUAAAAAAGGGGCCAAUGGACAUGUUUUGUAAGAAUCCAAAAAAUUCAAUCAAUCAUAAAAAUAAGUUGAUGAAGCAAUUAGCAUAAGAGAGUCACGUGACAAGGAAGUAAAGGAGAGGUUGCAUCAAUAUAUUGUUCACCUUUGGUACCAAAUUGGGUUGUCGUUGAAUGAAAUCUUCACUGUAUGCCAACUCCCUCUUUAAGAGUGGAACUCUAAUAUCAUGAUACCUAAGAAUAUGGACAAAUGUUGUCCAUAUUGACCAAUUGCUGCAACCAUAUCAUGAAAGCUCUUCAACUUAAUGAGGUUGAAUGACAACCCAAAUUGGUACCAAAUGCAAGCAAUAUAUUGAUGCACCCUCUCCUGUGUUUCCUUGUCACAUGACUCUUAUUUUAGUUUGCUUCAUCAACUUCUUUGAUGGGUUGAAUAUGGACAACACUGCAGUUGUGGAAAAAGGCUGAACAAUACUGACACUAAACAGACAAUGAAAAAAGCACUAAAUUAGUAAUGUACAACACUGCAGUAUAUUGAAACAAAGAGUUAAAGAAAGAGGAAGCAAUCUCUGCAGAGGAAAAAAAUUGGAAAACAUGAAAUUUAAAGAAUAAUAAAUUAAAAAAACCAAAGAAAGAGCAAGCUAAGCAAAUAAAAAAUCUGAAAACAUUACAGUUAUAUAACAAAGAAAUUUUAAAAAAUAGAGGAAGUAAGAAGAGAUGUUGGUCAGUAUUAAAAGGAAUAGUAAAAGUAUCUAUAGAAUUAAAAUAAUCAAUUUUUAAAACAAAAACGUAACUAAAAGAACUGGGAAAAUGUUUCUCAACAGAGAUGGCGGUCGCCGAAAAAGGUCUCCAGUGAAGUCGUUGCCAGUGUAGAAGUCACCGUGGAGGGAGAGGUAGCAGCAGCAUCGCCCCAAGAGAGAAUUUAGAAACUGCUCUGUCGCGGGUUCUCUUGAGGGUUCAAUAACCCUUUUUCUUUUUAAAAAAAAAAGCUUUCUGCAAUUGGUGCCAUGCCUGGAACGGACGCCAUGCGUCUGGGGUGGCCAUAGCACCUCCAAAGUAUGGUGUUUUAUCAAAAUACUCCCCCACCACAGUGUCAUGGCUACUAUUUGAUAACACUGGUUGGGAUUGAGGAAGAGGAUUAGAGACUUCCUUCUAUGUUUGGAUUAUGUUUUUAUCAUUUUGUUAUUUUGAACUCUUAAAUGAGUUUGUUAGGUGUUGGUUAUUAUGAACUCGUGAAAUUUGUCAUGUUUUCUAGGAAAAUGCAUACCAUUGUCAUUGGUAUCUACUAUUUUUUAGUAUCUAUAUCUGCUGUGUUUUUAGUUUUUUAUUUAUAUUACUGUAUAUGUGAUUUUUUAUAUGUCUGUUUUGUCAUAUAUAUAUAUAUAUAUAUAGAUAGAUAGACACACACACACGCCUUGGAUUCUGCCAUUUGCUGCCAUGCCAUCCGUCAUAUGUAUAUGGUGGAUUUUGGGCUCUCCACCAUUAAGAACACUGCUUUAGGGUUUAUUUGAGAUUACCGGCUUCUAGAUUCUCCCUCUUCUUACUCGUAAUUUAUAUACUUUCCACACACAGCUGUUUAUGUUGUCAUUGCCGUCAUAUAGAUUAAAUUUCAUUAUUUACAUUUUAUUCAUUUACACUUGUAGCUCAAGGUAUCCUGACUUUUGGUUAAACAUUUAGAUUUGUUGAUGGUUGUUAAAUGUUAGGUAAUAGUAUUAAUUCAGCAAAGAUGCAUGAUUUGCACUGAUAACACUUAACAAGUAGUUCAAAAGAUCAAUUUUUAAAUUUUUUCUAUUCCAAAGACUUUCUAGAGUUUGAACCUAACUCAACCCCAAAACUUAACUUGUAGUUUCCAGAGUUGACACUAUCUCUAACCGAUGUGGAAUUUGGAUUUUUUUUUCCAAUACAUCCCCUCAUGUCCAACAACACUCUUGGGAUUGGUGUGUGGAUAACAUGGUGGACGAUCUUUUUAAUGGAUUUAGGAUAGACUUUGAUACCAUCUUAAAAUGUGGGUUUGGAUCUAACUCAACCCCAUAAAGCUAGCUCAUAUGGUGAGGAUUGUCUCCCACAUCUUGACACUAUCUCUAGCCGAUGUGGAACUUGGGUUUUUCCCAGUAUUCAUAAUCUUAAAGUUGUGAUAAAACUCAAGCCAUGUGCACUACAUGUUACAAUCUGGAAUUUCUAUGACGAAUGCAACCUACUGUUCUUGGUGCUGAUAUGCAUUUUGGAGUGUAAUUCAUCUGUAAAUAUCAAUUUGGCCAUAUAUGUACAUUUAAACUAUGUUAUAGUUUGUGAAUUUAGAUUUUAACCAGCUUAUUAUACUCCUGAAUCAGGUUUAUGUGGAAGCUUAUACGUGUCCCUGUGUGAGUCGCCACCAAUUUGAUUCAAUUUUUGUUUCUCAAUCAAAUGGGAAUUAUGUUGUAAUCUUUACUACCACCCCACCUUACAGACUCAACAAAUAUAAGCAAUAUGAGGGCCAUGUGGUCUCUGGGUUCCCAAUCAAGUGCAAUUUCAGCUUGGACGGGAAAAAACUCGCUUCUGGCUCUUCAGAUUGUUCUAUCUACAUUUAUGAUUAUCAGUUGUGAAGAAAAUCAGGCCCAUGACCAGGCAUGCAUAGAUGUUGCCUUCCACCCUGUUAUACCUAAUGUUAUUGCUUCAUGUUCAUGGGAUGGAAGUAUUUUUGUAUUUGAGUAGUCUUUAGUUUUCUCAAAGGGCAAGUGGUUACUCCUAGAAAAUGACUUGCUAGGAGAGUGGAAAACUCUAGCCUUCUCUUAGUCUAGGCAGCUGCUUUUAGUUUGGUAGAUACUGUGUGAAUAAUGAAGCCUUCUCCCAGAAGUCAAUGUUUGCUUAAAUGUGUACCCUUGUACUGUUGUACUGUAGAUUUAAUGUCUGAUUCACUUAUAUUACAAGUUUACAACUAUAGUGAAUCAUGGUGUGAAUUGUAUAAAAAGCAGUUUAAAGUAUUUACCAGAAGAGAGAAAUCUUUGCAACUAUAAUUAAUGAUAUGACAGAUCGUUUCUGAACUGUGUAGAAAGUUACAACAAUGGAUGAAAAUUUAAAAUGCUUCUCCAUUAUCGGCCCUUAAUUCCCCCAGUGAAGAACUGUUUUGGAUAAUUCAGGGAAUGAUCUUACAAUGUGUAAAGCUGCACAGAGAUUUGUGUUGGCCAUUAGCAUCUAAUUUGGCUAAAGAGUCAAACCUGCUUCCACCACUAUGGAAUAAUAAAAAGCAUCGAAAUGAAAAUAUAGGCUACAUGACUAUAGAGAUUCUCAAGACCUAAUAACUUUCCAAAAGAUUGCUAUAUGGUCAAAGCAUGCCAUCAUAGAUAUUGUAGUUUUGUCGCAAUAUCAAGCCUGCAAGUUGCAUGUUUCUAUCUCGAAUAUUCAGGGGUCUCAGACAAAAAUUUGAUCACUUUGAAAAGUUUUAAACUAUCGUUGUCACACUUAACAUAGUGAAUUAUCCUUUUCAUCCUUACAACAAGCAUACAUGUGAUAUGCCCUUCGUGGAAGAUUUUGACAAGCCUGUUUGUGAAAACUGGAAAUGCUUACACGUAUUUGCAUGUCCUUCACACUCUUUAAUGCCGGACAAGGUUUUACUUUCUCCUCUUAUGCAUUUGUGAAAUAAAAACCAAAACAAAAAACGUGGCACGGCUCAUGAGUCACGAGCAAUGUCUAGGUGCUUGUAACCAUUACCUACCAUCAUGGAAGGAAACCCUAAAGACAUAAUCCAAAGAAGGAAUUGUGGGGGCAAAAACUCAGCUGCUCUUAUGUUCAGCCACAUCUUCCCACAAGGAAAGAGAGAUGGAAGUGGGUGGGGGGGCUAACAAGUUCUAAACAUGACAUUAUAAUUAUGUAACUCCAUUUCCACUCUUCAUGGUGGUCAAAUUCAAUUGUAGGGGGACAAGACACACCACUCUUUAUUUGCUCUCCUUUUAGAUGCAUUUGCUAAUGGGACCAGCUUCCCUAACACUCCCCCUAAUUUUCCACACAAAGAAAUUUCAAUUCUGGAAAUUGGAAAACAUUGUUGUUAUAUCAUUAUAUGAUAUCUGCACAUCACACAGCACUAUGUAGAGAAAAACCAAGCACCUCUUUCAAAGUUUGAUGGUCCACAAGUACAAGUACCUCUCUCUCUUAGAACUGUUUAUAUUGGAAAAAUUUGGGCAAUGUAAUCUCAAAACCCAAUUAAAGCAAGGAAACGCACACACCUCUUAGGCCUCAUGCAGCCUACUAUCCUAUGAACAUAACUUAUUUUCAAAGUCUAUAUGAAUAUGUUCCCCACCUUACAUGGUCUUAAGCACUCUCUCUCUUUAUUAUCCCAAUAUUUAUCUCUUUGCUAAGUCCCACUACUAGUCUUUCCCCCAAAAAACAAACUCAAAAGGCAAAAAGGGACACAAGAAAGAUGGAACUUAAGAGUGAGGAAAGCAUGCCCCUACUACUACUACUACUCCACAGUCCCAUAUGACUGCAAUCAUCAUCUAAAAGAGAGAUACUUUUGUAGCGUACUUGAGGUCAAGAGUGCAUUCGCAUUUUAAAGGCCCCACAAGCUAACCUAUGGGGUGACACGAAACAUGGGCUGAAAGGUUUUUAAGCUAAGCCAGUUGAAGAAGCUCAAGUAGGAUUUGACAUGAACUUGCUUCAUGGUUCUUUAAUCUUAAUCACUUUAGUACAACAUGAUAUUGCAUUUAAUUGGGGCAUGGGGGAGCCAAAAAAAUGACAAUUAUUACUAAGUUUGUGCUUUGCAAUAAACAUCGCUGCUUUGGAAUCACAAAACAAAACCACCUAAACCAUUCUCACUAAAUACUACUAGUACUUACUAUUUUGCUAAUCACAUUGUCUCUUUUCUUUUGAUUCAUCUUGUCAUCUAUGCUUUCCAACUUUUGGAUUAAUGUUUAUCCUCUGCUACGUGCUAGACCAUAAUCAAAAUGUUUGUGCCUUGCUCACAGUGUUAUCACUAGCCUUCCAAUCCUGGCCCUGAAAAGUAGCCGACAAACUCAUUUUAUUGGUUCUGCCAUGUGAUUUGUGGCCUCAACCAGUACACCCAUUUGGUUGGUUCUUCUUUAUUAGGGGCAGAAGAAUUUAGAAGGAAAAAUAAUAAUAAUAAUAAUAAAAGCCAAUCAUGAUUUUAUUAAAAUGCACCUUGCUCUCAAUUUCCCAAAUUUGGAAGGAUGCCUAAUAAGGUGGUGCUUGUUUUUCUCAUGAGACUACGUGGCCACUACUACUCACUAAUCAAACCUCUUGCAUUUAUGUUUUAUAAAUUAUCUCUAUAACAAUGUCCCUAUGACAUGGAGUAAUAUGCCUCAACACCUGACAUGAAUCAUUAUAAUCUAAGCUCCCUCCCUGGUUAUGAAAAUCUUGGAGGGAUUAUGUUUGAUUUUUGCCAUUGGUUGACACUAAGUUCUAGAAAGCUGAGUCCAGCUAGAAGAUAAAGCAGAUCAAUUAGAUUCUGUCUGCUCAAUCCUUUCUUAUAAUAAUUAUUUUUCUAUAUUUUAUUUCACCUUUAACAGAGGUUGUUCUCACUUUCACUGACCAUGUUUGUACACUAGUGAAUUAUGAUGCAACUUGCAUGAACUUCAAUUUCUGGUUUAACUGAUCAAUGUUUUCACUUGGCUACAUUAACUUCUCUCUCUUUUUAUUUUUUAUUUUUUGUCAAAUGAAGAUUAAUUAUAUCUUGUUUUAAAAUUAAUGAGUACAUACUGUUCCACAGAUAUUUAGGCUGUAACAUCCUCUUCUUUUGUCAUGUUUACUUUGUUUUUUGUUUUAAGCAAGAUGCCAUCCUAUACUGUUUUGUAUUCAUUGUAAACCUAGCUUGAUGCCUAUUACUUUAUGAAAUUUCAUAGACUAAAUACAAUUUCCCUUUUCUUCUCUUUUUCUUAUUUGUUUUCCUUAGGAUGUAUGAACUGAACUGGGUCUUGUUAAUGCUGUCAUAGCUUAUACACUGUGUCCUUGUCAAUGAUUAGAGAAAGAAAAACAGAAAAAUGAAGGAAUCCCUUCUUUGAACUUCUGUCAUUUUAAUAUACAUUAGUGUUUUCUUGUCAUGUCAGUCAUUUGAGUGUGAUAAUACGUGUAUGUCAUUAUUUCCAAAAAAAAAAAAACUUGUGUGUAGUGUAGAUAAAUAACAGGAGUAGUCAAAAGUAAGAAAGUGAAAGGGUGUGCAAUGUGAUUUAAAUCAAUUUCUUUUAGAAAGAAAGCAUGACUUUGUGAAGUGAUGUGUGCAUUAGAAAUAUAACCAUAAUAUAAGGCUCAUCUUGCUUCCAAAUAUUGUUCAAUAUAUCUGGAUUCUUCUAGUAGCAUAUGGAUUAAUCUGCAUAUAUAGGCAUUCAUGAACACAAUAUUCUGGUGGCAUUUGACCGACAAGAUGGCUUCAAUUGUGAGUGGAGGGUGUGAAGGCCUCUAUCAACCUCCAUGAUCAUUGAUCGCUAGUCAUGAAUCGUGAAUGAACUAAAACGUUAUCAUUUUAGAUAUAUAAGGCGGGUUGGAUGAUAAAGAAGAAAAAAAAGAUUGUUGGUUAGAUCUCAUCCGCUAACAAACUUAAUAUUUACUGAUGAAAAAAAAUUAUCAUUUCUCUAUUACAAUACAUGAAAGCGAAAGCAUCAUGUUAUAUGAGACAGCAAAAAGUAAAAGAAAUUAAAGCAUGCAUAAAAUAGGAUGUGGAAAAUAUAACGUAUAAAGUACAAAAAUUAUUGGCAAACGGUUUUUAUUCAAAUAAUGGCUACCAUGUUAUAUUGACAAGGACUUUGAUGAUCACCUUCCCAAUAAUAAUGUUGUGCAUGAAGUCUCAACACACUAAAAGGAUAAAGGGUGGUCUUUGAAUUAUUUUUUCUCAAGGAAUGUAGAAGAAUAUUUGCACUGGCAAUUAUGUAAAUGCAUUCUGAUUGACAAGUUCGUUGUUGAAAUCAGAAUUGGACAGCAAAUUUUGCUUUUGUAGUGAUGGUGUACUGCGUUAUCUAUUUGUUGCAUGAAGUGGUGGACAAGGUAUCAUAAUACUUAUCAACCAUUGAGCUAGGUGAACUUUGCCUUUAUACAAAAUAUUCCUUUUUUUUCUUUCCUUUUGAUUCUUUUUUAACUUUUGUCUUUUUAGCUUAUUUUCUAUCCCCCCCCCCCCAUUUAAUUUCUUUUGAAUUCGAAGCAUGCAAGGACACGUCCUGGUGGAGGUACAAGCAUUGUACUGACCCCUUUGCGUAGAUAUACAAAGUGUUAUCACUUUCAUCUCGCAGCAUAUUAUGAUGAUCUUGUUGUCGGUCAAAUGGUGCUAGCUAUGUGUGUCGGUGAGAAAGGUUAAAAGGAAAAAGUGCAGUGGAAAAUAAUCUAGAGUUCAAGUUAUUUGAUCUUCUUUGGCUAUGAAGCCACCAGUGUGCUAUGUUAAAUAAUUAGAAGAAAAUUUGUAUGAUUCAUAAUGAUCUUAUCUAAUUUAAAUAUGAUUAUCUACAGUAAAAAAAAUACAUGUGAAAGAUAUAUAUUGAUUAAUUAAAAGACACUUUAUUAGAAUGUGGAGGAUUAUGUUGUACAAAUUUUCAUACCUCGAACUUAACUAAGCUAUAAACAAAAGCCAUCAUUUCAAUGCAUUAAACUAUUCACAAUGAAUGCAUUAUAGCCUAACAUUUGUAUUAUAAAGGUAUGCCAAACCGUGUAAAUCAAAAAGAUGAUAAAAUUUUAAGAUUUGGGGUUUUGUGUUGAUUUAUAGCAGUGUUACUCUUUUGACUAAUUCCUACAUUGAGAGUCUCAAAUAACCACGUUUGAGUACUGUUAACAUCACUUAGAAUAUGGACAGCGCAGUAGGACCACACUUUUGAUUGAUAAAAGAGUUUAUGGCAUUAGUAAUACAAGAAUAAGAACCCCUCAAAGUGUUACUUGCCUAGAAUGCCAUAUUUUUCCUGCUUUCAACAUGUGUUUUUAUUUUUUUAAAAAAAUUAAAAAAGAAAAAGAAAUACUCAUCAUUCUGUUGCUUUUUCAUCUGAAGAAGAUAAAAAGAUUCAAGCAAUAAUGCAACAAGGUGGGGAUGCUGAACUAGUAGCAGUUUCAAGGGUCUUUAAAACCAUCAUUGCAUGAAUUUGUAGCAGACCUGAGUAAAGCCUAAUGCAAAAUAUACCAUUUCAAAAACCAUGAUCCUUUUUCUAUCGCAUAAAGUAAUCAAAUUUUACAAGAUUCAAUGCCCUUUUGAUGUCUACAGAAAAUAAAUAAAAUAAAAUAAAAUCACCUUUUUACCUUGACUAUGAUAUGUUAGAUAGUAUAUCCCAAGCAAAAAGGUGCCAUGUGAUCAACAAAUACUUUAAAAUUUUUACUUCCCUCUGGAUCUCUAAGAGCCAAUUAGCAUUGAGUCAGAAAGCUGGAUGUACUUUACUUAAUUAUGCUAAAUUUUAUCCAAAUUUUUAGGCAGUCCUAGCUUAACGACGGGGUGAUGAUGAUUUUCCUUAUGGAUUCAUUCAAAUGUUCCUCCAUGUUACUGCUGCCACUGACAAUUUUCUCCCUUGUUACCCCCAAAUGGAAGCAUGAUAUUAGGGACCACAUAAUUGGUUUCAUAAAGUUAAUCAUGCCUUAGGAAGAUGUUUACAUCUUUAAUCAUCAAUUAGCAUUACCAAUGAACUAUAUAUGCUGGAUUUUGGCUGUAACUAUAUUGUAAAACUUAAUUUGUUCCCUAUCGUCUUUUUAGUUCCUCGAGCCACUAGUAUGAACGUUUUGACAAAACAGUUACCCUAGUACUUAAUUAUUACUCAAGCCUUGAUCUUGGACAUAAUGGUACUUCUAAAAGGUUUUUGUACAUAAUUUCAUGCAUCAGGUAUGUGACCUUUUAUGCUUGUACAAAAUCACAGAGGAUAAUAUUUUUCUACUAAAUCACAUCAAAAUCUUGUCAUCAAAGUAAUAUCUGAGUGAUUAAACAAAUGCUCCUAUUUUGUCUCCCCAUUGGUGCUCCAAAUUAAAUUAAUAUCUUUGCUGCAUCUCAAUUCUCACCAACCGAGACCUUGUAUGACAAUUAGUAAAACUUGGCCCAAAAUGUACAAACAUAAAUUAAUACUUACACAAGAAUAUUAUAUCCCUUUCUUAAAGUUACUUGAGAGAUGUGACUUAUUCCUUGUACCUUAGUACCUAGUUACUUGUAUACCGAACUCAACUAUCAUACUUUAGAAACUCUCAUUCUUGCCACUCUUAUUGAAAUUGCCCCUGGUUUCAACAUAAAAGGGCACUGCAUAGAUGCCGUAUUAUUAUGUCCAAUAAGAAAGUUUGUUGUUAGCAACACAAUUAUAUGUCCUAUCUUAUCGUGCAUUGGUCUUGUGCUUGUACUUUGUCAUUUAAACACCCUACACGCAAUCACUGUCAAUUUGGACAUUAUCAAUCCAUGCUUACUAGUAAUGGUUUUUACGUAAUCAAAAGUGUGAUAUCUUUCAAUUGACUAACAAUCGUAUUCUCAUUAGUGCUCACUGUUAAUGAUUAUCUCAUUAGAUAUAUAUGCCAUUAAUUGCCCUGCUGUUGCUUUUGGAUACUUCCAUUUGAAUACCAAUAAAAGGGGUUAUGACCUUUUGUAAUACAAGAAGACGAACCCAAUUUGAUGAACAUACAAAUGAUACUGGCUAGAACUUUCAAGAUCCUAUCUAGAAUCAUUAUGUGUCAACUUAUUCCCUUAAAAUUAUAUUUAAAUGUAUCACUUCUUGAAAACAUAAGAUAUUCUUCUGACUAAAAGUUAAAAACUAAUCUCUAAAUAUAUGAAAUUUCAGUUAAUUAAGAAAUUAAUAUCUUUCAAUAGAUGUUUUUUUAUACACACAAUCCUAAAUCAAACUCCAAAUUACAUAGUUAAGAGAUAUAUAUGUCAUACCAUGUUAUUGGAAAUGCUAUAUUUCAAUAAGAUUAAAAUAUGUUUGUAAUUUCAAAGUCACUUUCUUAAUUUCCUCUCACACCAAAUCCUUUUCCCUCACUCAAUCUCAUUGUUUUUUACUUCAAGCCUCGGUAGUAACCCAUGCCUAGUGCCUGAAACAUCCAAUUAUGCAAUGGUUGUGUAUACAAUAUAGAUAACAAGCAAAGGUAAUAGUGGCAAAUUGGGUAAUGGGAGACACACACAGUGGAGAGAAGCAGGCCAAUUAGGGGCAUUAUAAAAACAUCACCAUAUUUCCAUUCACAUAAUUUAAUCCCAAUCUAUAGGUUAGAUCUCAGCAUUUUUCUCGAGAUGUUAAAUGGAUCACAAUAAAAAUUGAAUAAUUUCCCUCUUUAUAUAAAACUAUAAAUAUCUAAUGUGAAAAGUCAACGGUCAAAGAUUUGCAUUACUGUCUCUGUCUCCCACACAUACGCAUAGGCAUUAGAGAGACACACACACACUAAUAACUCACAUUCUGUCACUCACAGAUGACAUUCCCCAAAACCCUCACAACGCCACAAAGCACAAUACGUCCCACUUGGGUGCGGGCCUACCAGCUACCUUGGUGCACCUAUUACAUAGUCCAUAAAUUAAAUCAUCUAAGUAUAUUCUUGAAGUAUUUUUUUAAAUUUGUUAAUUUAAUAUUUAAUAAAAAAAUACAGGCUAAAAGAUAAGAUAAUAGUAAGAAAAAUGAAGAGAAUAAACAAUAAAGAAUAAUUGAAAGUAAAAGUUAUCCAACGAUAAUUUUUAAGAUAACAAUAUUUAUAAUUAAGUAUAUUUAUCUCUUUCUUUACCUUAAAUUAAUAUGUUUUUAACUCUUAGGAUUAUCAUAAUGGUAUAAGAUGUAUUUAUAAUUCACAUGUAAAAAAAUGAUUUAUUUAAAAAGAGAAUUUAUAUUUGAUUAUUUUUGUACAUAAAAUUUUAUUAGGCCAACAAAUUACAUAUCAUGAGUGAAAUGAGUUUUUAUCUUAGUAAAUUGAAGAAUACUUAUAAUCUUUGACCUAAUUUAAUAAAAUAUUUAUAUAAAAAUUGGUGAAUUUAUUUUAUUUUAUUUAUCGAAGAAGAUGAGUUUAUUUACACAAUUAACUUUAAUAUUAUUUAAAAAACGAGGUGUUAUUAUAAUACACUCAUGAUAAUUUUUCUUUCAAAUCUCAUUAUAUCAACAUUUUAUUUUAUCUUUCCCUCUUGAUAUAUUAUAUAGUCUCUUUUUAACAUUAUAAUUAUCCAUAUUUCAUGUUACAUUUAUUUUAUUGACUAGUUUCUAUUUUAUUUCUUACAAAAAGUUAUCUGAAAUCUGAAUGACUCAUUCCAUUAAGUAGCGUUGGACCCACUUAAAUUUUCAUUAUUCUUUUAAUAAUAUAUAUGGCAUUUUUCUAAUGUGUUUGCAGGGAUCAUAGCCAUCUGAUCAUAUUACCGGUCGGGGAUUUGACUCUGACUUUAGAAGGUCAUAGGGUGAGAGACACGUGCAUUGAUGAGUGCUUUGAGCAAAUAUGAAGAUAUUGGGAGUUGAAAUUCUUAUUCAAUUAAUUCUAUUCAUCAUUCUUCAUUUUAUUAUUAAAAUUAUAAUAAUAUAUAUACAGUAUAUAAAGCAUAUGCAUUUGGAAUGAAAUUUGAGAAUUCGAAUGUAUGUAUAAUCCCGGGAAUUUAGACACUCGCAACAAGUUGGAAAAAAUGAAAGACCUUCUGACUGAUUUUCGUUUUAAAUUAUUUUUUGAGAUAUGAUAUUAACAUAAUAUAUGUCUAAUAUCACCUUCUUAAAUGGCUUUUGAUAAAUUAAAAAAAAAACUGUGUAAAUAUAGAUUUUUAAAACAAAAAAUUUAAAAACGAAUCAACAAUUUUUAAGAAUUUGUAGACAAGGGAAUUUUUUCCAUUAACUUUGAUUUGUAGUUUUUUCCUUUUUGUAUAUAUGACUUUUUAGAGAUAGUUUCUAUCUGUUUUUAAAUUGAUAUAUUAUAAUUUGGAAAAUAUAAAAGUUAAUUUAUUGCCUUCAAACCCAUCUACUAAUAUUGAUACUUAAUAAAAUGAAAGAAAAAUAAUAAAAUGAUAUUUUAACAAAAUAUUUCUAUAACAUGUUAUUUUGUAUAAUUAAAUUUGGUACUUUAGUUAAUGAAUUGCCUUAAAUGACAGAAUUUUAAAACUGAAGAACAGAAAAAUUGUCUUUUUAUUUUAGAAGUUUGAGGAAACCUCUACAAUUAAUUCAUAUUGAAUAAAAAUAUUUCAAACAAUGUUAUUCUUUUUUUAAUAAUUAAAGAUGUUUAACAAUUUUAUUAAUGUUUACGGAAUUUCCUUAAGUGAUAAAUUUUUAGAACUGAAGAAAUAAUUGUCUUUCCAUUAUAGAAGUUUGAAGCAAUUUCUAGAAUUGAAUUAUAUUUAAUUUAGUAAACUGCAUUAUCUAGAUUUAUUUUCAUUUAGAAGUACCUUUGUAAUGCCAGAUUCGCUGUGAAGUGUGAAAUGUGACAUGAACAAAAGGGAGUUUCUUUAAUUUUCACUUGUUCUUAAAACAAAAGUAUUUUUCUUUUUUUUGUCUAGGUUUUUUUUUUUAAUAUUUUUGGUCUAGGUAGUAUUUUUCUUAUCUAGUACACUACAAAUUAGAAUUCCUUAUUUGUCUUUACCAAAAAAACAAUUCCUAAUUUGAAAACUCCAACUCUCAUUCUACCUAUUUUCUCAAUUAAAUAUUUUUAAUAUUAACAUUUUUUUAUCUCUCUCUUUUUGCUUGAAGGUGCAUUUCAUACACUAUUUUUGCAAUUAAUAAAAAAAAAUCUAUUUCAAGCAUCUUUAGUGACUAUUUUAUUAUCUUUAUUUUUAUAUGUUUUUUUAAUCAUUUAUCUAUUUCAAUUUAAAAAUAAUUCUAUAUCAUAAUUUUUUUAAUCUAAGCCACAAGGAUGAUCUCCACUAGAGACAAUUCUAUUAUACAAAUAAAUAUAUAUAUAUAUAUAUAUAUAUAUAUAUAUAUAUAUAUAUAUCUUUUAUAAUAUACAAGUUAAAAUAUUUUAAGUAACAUAUUUGUUUCUCAUCUCAUAUUACUUGACAUCUCAUAUUACUUGACAUGUGUUUGUGAUAUCAUUUUAGAAAAUAAAUUAUGAGUCUAAUUUAAUUUAAUUUUAUACUAAAUGACGUGAAAUCUCCAAUAAUAUAGAAUAAUUUUUGACGUGAAAUUUACCUUACAAAUAGGAAGUCAAUGCUUAAUCAAACGAAAGUUAAAAAAACAUCUGAUUUUAUAUCACUUAACAGAAUUUUACUUAGCUGUUUAUAGGUACUUUUUAUUUUAAAUGGUUUGAGAUCAGAAACUAGGGUAUUUGGUUUGAUUACUGUUUUCACUGGAAAUAAAGAGAUGGUGAAAGAAAUGUGUUUAGUUGGAUUUUUUAAAAAUAAUAAAAAUAUUUUUUCAAACGAAUCAAACAAGAAAAAUAAUAAAAUCUCAUUGUCAGUAUUUUCAAUUAAAAACAAAAUUUAUUUUAGAUAAAAUAAAAAUGUGAUGAUAAUUAAUAUAAUUUUAAAUAAAUUUAAAAAUACAUUUUUUUUAAAAUAAAAAUAAUUUUAAAAAAAUAAAAAUAAAAAAUAUAAAUAUAAAUUAAACACACCCUAAAUAUCACGCAUUAAAUGGAUAUGAGGGUAUGUGCAGAUUGAUGUAGGAUAUGCAGAGUAUCACUUUCGGUGGUGAUAUGCUGACGUGGCAAAUUGUGGAUAUUUAUUCUCGGGGAUCGCGAACAUUGACUUUUGUUUUAUAGUCGAUUUGAUUUUUCCUAUCUUAAACAGAGUUUCUUCUUUUUGCGUCACUUCUUUAUAAUUUCUUCUUUUUGUUGGAAUACAUCAAGCUCCUUUUUUAUCCAAUAUAAUUAUAUACUUCAUUGGCCACGAUUUAUGGUUUAAAAUUAAAGAACUAUACCCUGACCCCCCAACCCAAAGUUAUAUAUUUUUUCUUUUGAAAAUUAUGUUACUUCUGAUGCAAUUUCGAAUUAAUAAAUUCUGUAUGUUUUUGCCUUAUAAAAAACUAGUGUGGAAAUUAUUUUUUUAUCACUAAUAUUGAGGUCACAAAAAUUUUAAUGACGAUUUUUUUGAAAAUUACAUAUAGCUUUUUACUAAUUUUAAUUUACCAUGUUGCUUUUUAAAAAAGUGUUUCUUGCUUGUUCAAAGAUAAUUAAAUAGAUUUGACCAACAUGUUGCUGUUUCAAGCCAUGAUGAAUUCAUGUUCUUUAAGCAAAUUUAGAAUCCGAAUUACAAAUGUUGUGAAGGAAAAGUAAUUGAGAUAAGAAAUUUCACUGAUGAUAAUCAGUUAAAAAAUUUAUAAAUAUUAAUCAUUAAUAAAUAUAUAAAUAUCAUAAAGAUGGUAAAAAUAUAAAUAGAUUUGAGUAGUGGUAUUUAUAUAAUAAAUUUCAUAAAAAAAUUACUUAUUUAUUCUUUUAUUUUUUUUAUAUCAUAUCACUUAUUUUAUAUCAUUUAUUUUUCUCCCCAUUUAAAAAAAUGUACAAAAUUUAAUUAUAUAAAGAAAAAAUUGAUCGGUAGGUUUUUCCGUCAAGAAAAAAGUUAUUUGUUUAUUUGUUAAAAUGACUAAGAAUAUACUAGGAAAUUUCUUUGAUACACUCAAUAAAAACAAUUUCAAGAUGUUUAACAGUACAAUCAAAGAAUAUAGGUUUUAAAACAAUAGCACAUUUUAGAGAAUAAAAAACUAUUUGAAAAAAAAAUGCAUAUUUUUUUCCUUAGCAGAUACACUGGAAGUAGAAAUUCAAGAGAGAUUGAUUCUUGCCAACUAGCUAACACAAAUAACAAGUUGACAGCUUCGAAAUAAUGAACCUUUCAGAUUCUUGCCUCAAUGUCAAAACCCCAUAUAUCAUACUACUAUAUGUAUACUUCAUUAAAUUCAUCGAAGACAUAUUUGAUCAUUAAAAAAAUAAGCAUUUCAAUUCAUAAUAUCUUAAAUAUUUCUUUUGGCCGUAUUCGAAUAUGGCUGAGCUGCAACUUGUGAGUAGUGGAAUGGAAGUGGUCAAUACAUGCGAAUAUAAUUUAAAUAUUUUAUUUUCUACUUUCAAGCAAGAAAUUGGGGGCAAGUGUUUCGUACGUGCGUGUGUAGUAUAAAAGCAAAAUCUUUUCCAACAAAGAAAAGGUCAAAUUAUAUUUUAUAAAAAAAAAAUAAAAGGGGUCAAAUUAUUAUGCAAGUGCAUGUGUUGAACUCAAGAUCAUGGCUAGAUUUUAAAGGAGAAACGACGAUUCACAAUUGUGGGAACAAGAAAAAACUGAAAACCCAUAAUGUGGUAGUCCAACAUUGGAGAUUAGAAAGAAAAGGUCAAAUUAACAUGUUGUCUAAUUAGGACAUUAAUUAACAUCGUGGGAUUAAUAUAGUGUGUGUGUGUGCGUGAAGCAUGUAAAUUGUGGGAUGGUUGACUCUUAAUAACAGCUAAUUGAACUCUUCUAAAGGAUAUGUUAGGUACCGAAUUUGAGGACAAAUCGAGGUUCAUGAGUUACUUCCUCAAUAUCCUCGAUCACCCACAUGUGUGUAUGGUUAUUUUUCCUAUUUGCUUAGGACGAGAUACGAUACGAUACGUUUCUAUGUCAUUAUCAUAUGCAGAUUCUUUUACACUUCUGGGACCCCGGGAUACUAGGCAAAGUAAUCAUACGACAAUAUAUCUUGCCAUUUUGAUUUUGAAUUAAUUACAGAAUUGUUAGGUAUUUGACUACAUCAAUUUCCUCGGCAUUCAUAGGAAAAGAAACAUCUUCUUGCAUAUUAUUUACCUAUACAAUAAAAUUGAUUUCAACUUAUUAAAUGCUAGCAUUAAUGAGCUUGAAGUUAGCAAUAUAGUAUAUUUUUUUCAUAUGUAUUCUCCUCCUUUAGAACCAAUUCUAUUUUGAGGUAUAUAUAUACUUAUUUAAGCAAGAAGUUGAAUAUUAGUCUGCCACAUUACUUGUGAGAGACUACUCUCUUCCCAAUCCCUUUAGUAACAUUCUUCAAUAGUCAUAAACAUUUUGUCAUAUAUAUAUAUAUAUCACUCAAAAUAUAAGUCUAAUAAUGGUCAUUAAUGAUUUAUCACCCAAAUAGCACAAUUUUUCCUGGAAAAUUUUCUAAACAAAAACAUUAUAUGUAUUAUAUUCCGUGUAUGGCCGACGCACUGAGUGGUCCUUUCCAACUAGUAAAUAAUAAGAAUUAUAAAAUUCUCCCUUUGAUCUCUUGACACUGAAUUUGAUUUGACGACUCAAAUUUACUUUGUUAUAUAUAUUUCACAUAAAAAUAUAGAACAAAUUUUGAUUUGUUAUCUUAUGGCUUACGUCUUAAGUUUGGUUUUGUUAGAAAAUGACUCAUCCUGAUUUUUAAGAUCCACAUGCAGUAUGCGACAUAAUUAUAAAAUAACUUUAGGCCUUAAAUAUCGCGUUACUUAUUUAUUAUUUCAUACGUGAUACGUAUUACGCUUCAUGAUCACAAAUAUUUGUAUAUUUUUUAAAGCAUAAAUAGGUUUAUAUAUGCACAUUCAUUUUUUUAUUUUUUUAAAAAAAUUGAUAAAUAAUGAUAGAAACCAUCACAAGGCAUUUUAGUUUUUUUUUUUUUAUUUCUUACAACACCAAACACCAAAUAUGUAGAUCAACCUGGGUGAUAUUAUUUAAGUUUAAUUAGUAGUUUAAAUUUUAAGUAUACAAAUGCGUUAAUACUCAAAAAGAGACCUAACCUCCUUUAGUGAUCUUAUCUAAUAAUUUGAGUAUAAGUAUUUUCAGUAGAAGAUAUCUAUAGUUUAUAUCAAAGAAAUGAAAAAAAAAUCUAUAUAUCAAUUAUAUUAUUAUUAUUAUUAUUAUUAUUAUUAUUAUUAUUAUUAUUAUUAUUAUUAUUAUUAUUAUUAUUAUUAUUAUUAUUUGAUAUAACAGCUACGAGAUAAAAUCAACGUUAGAGAAGGAAUUUUCCCAAUACAUUUCAUCUUCAACUAGAAUCGAUGACUUUUGUCAAGCAACCACUAUCAUUGUUGGAAUUGCUUAAUUAUGAGGUCUUUGAAAUAGGUUUUUCCUGCUUUUGCUUUUUGUGGAGGGUUGGGGAAGUGGAUGAAUUGGCAAAAAUUAUUGACCCCCACAAGAAAAUUUUGUGUUUUCUUUUUAAACUCAGGAUGAUGUUUUUCAGGAAGAAAAUAAUAUAAAUUGUUUUUGUGGCUUGCCAACUACGUACAUGUUGCUUCUUAAAGUAAAACAGCAGACAUACUUACAUAUACAGACUGAGAAUUCAAAUUCAAGUAUUGUAUGACUUUUCGUAUGAAUUAUAUCUUUGACUUUGCUUUAUUUGAAUACCUAAUGGUCGGCACUUUUCCUAGUAAUUAAGUCAUGCUAUUUCACGAAAACAUAUACUAAAUUCAAAGCAAAAACGUACACUAAAAGCAGAGAUCACCAUGUUAUAUGCUUAGUCAGAGCUGAUUACAAUAUAUCUUUCAAGAAAACAAGCUUUUAUUUAAUGAUAGGUUUGAUAAAGAAUUUCAUUUAUGUUGAUUCAUAUAAAAUUAAUCUUUUUUUAGUUACAAAAAUUUAUGAGAAAAUUAAAAAUGACACCAUUUUUUUAUGCAUAAAAAUAAAAAAUAAAUACUAAAAAAUUUAUAAUAAUUUACAUAUUUUAUUCAAUCAACUCAACUAUAAAAGAUUAAAUGGAACCUCAUCUCCAAAAGGAUGACAAGAGCUUGAAAUUGUGACUUGUCACUUGUGAGAUUUUUGGUUCUUUUUCACUCAACCAACUCCUUAACAUUAUAUAAAAUCUCUAAUAAUUCAGUAAGUUAUUAUAAAAAAAUAUUUAAACCAGAUUAAAUGGUUAUAUAACUAAAUGAUUAGAUAACAAUUUAUCUUCUCUUAUUUUCAUAUUAAAUGAACUAUCUUAUUACAUGUUUGUAUCAAAAUUCAAAACCGUAACAAUGCCCUUUCCUUCUUUUUCCUUGAUUCCUCUUUUUGUCAGUCUCUGUGGCCUUCUUUAUAAUGCAACGCAAGUGGAAGGGAGAAGAAAUAGUGAAUUUGAAUUGCACGAAGCUUCUGCAAACGCAGUGCGAAGCGCUCAUCAUGAUGNNNNNNNNNNNNNNNNNNNNNNNNNNNNNNNNNNNNNNNNNNNNNNNNNNNNNNNNNNNNNNNNNNNNNNNNNNNNNNNNNNNNNNNNNNNNNNNNNNNNNNNNNNNNNNNNNNNNNNNNNNNNNNNNNNNNNNNNNNNNNNNNNNNNNNNNNNNNNNNNNNNNNNNNNNNNNNNNNNNNNNNNNNNNNNNNNNNNNNNNNNNNNNNNNNNNNNNNNNNNNNNNNNNNNNNNNNNNNNNNNNNNNNNNNNNNNNNNNNNNNNNNNNNNNNNNNNNNNNNNNNNNNNNNNNNNNNNNNNNNNNNNNNNNNNNNNNNNNNNNNNNNNNNNNNNNNNNNNNNNNNNNNNNNNNNNNNNNNNNNNNNNNNNNNNNNNNNNNNNNNNNNNNNNNNNNNNNNNNNNNNNNNNNNNNNNNNNNNNNNNNNNNNNNNNNNNNNNNNNNNNNNNNNNNNNNNNNNNNNNNNNNNNNNNNNNNNNNNNNNNNNNNNNNNNNNNNNNNNNNNNNNNNNNNNNNNNNNNNNNNNNNNNNNNNNNNNNNNNNNNNNNNNNNNNNNNNNNNNNNNNNNNNNNNNNNNAACAAUUUGAAGGGAAAGAGAGUAGACGAGGGAGGGAAGGAGGAAGAGAGAGGGGAGAGAUUAGAGAUAAUAUUUUAAAAAGUUAUCGAAUUUUUGAAAACAAUUUAACGGAUAGAUGACUAAGGAGAUAUCAUUGUGCCAAAAUUCUCUAUCUUCAGCGGUUCCUUUUUUGAAAAUUUUCUACUCAUCUAUCUAAUACUUAUCAAUUCAAAUACCAACCAUGAUCACCUGCGCUAAAUAUUCUAAAAACAAAUUUAUGGCUCAUAAGAAUUUCAUCUGAGUAAAAUUAUUUCAUUAUAAAAAAUAAUUACAAUGGUUAUGGUGCUGAUGAUAGAGUAAGUAGUAGCAUCAUGUACGACAAUCUUUGGUGCAAUUUUUUCAGUUUUGUCUGCCCUCGGUCACAAUUAGGUUAACUAUAGUUAGACAAACCGAUUUACAAUUCACAUUCAAGAAAUCCUCAUCUAAAUGAAAUAUCUCCACAACCUUAUCUAAAUUACUCCCAUUUCUCUCUUUAUCAUUAAUUAGUUAAUUCAAUGUGAAUUAUAUGACUCUUCUAUAUACAGUACUAGUGAUGAACUCAUAUAUGUGAUAAUAUAUACGUAGUUUUUUUUUUUUUUUACCGAAUAUGCAGUUAUAAGUUAUAACUAUUCCUUGUAAAAAAAAAGUUAUAACUAUUAAUUAAAAAAUUAAUGAUCAUGGAUUAUGAAGUUAUUAAAAUAUUAAUUGUUAUUUUCUCAUUAAUGAUUAUAAAUAUAUUUUGUACUUUAGAGUGAAAAGCUAUACCAAUAAAUCCUACACACAUUUUCCUUUUAUAACUAUACAUUUGCAUACUACGGCUGCAUAUCAAACACAGUUACGUGACAAAGUUGAAGAUAUUAUAAUUCAUCAGUUUUAAAUUCCCCACUUAGAGAUUGCUAUUUCACAAAGUAAUUAUCCAUUUUCUCUAAUAUUUAUGAAUAAAAAAAAUACUUAUCUUCUAGAAAUGACAUCUUAUAAUAUGCUGUCCAGCCCCUGUCAUUUUUAAUGGUGCAUUUCUAGAAAAUGCUUCUCAUGUCAUGCACGAUGCAUCGGAUAUAGACCAUGUAGGGAGUAUAUAACUUGUAAUAUAAAUAGCACUUAAGCAAAAAAGUCAAUAUAUCCGUUAAUUAAACUAAAGUUUAUAAUACUUACAAAUAUAAGAUAAAUAUAUAGUUACUUGUGUACGAAUGACAAUUUUUGUUUUCCAUGCAAACAUUUCAUUUUCAUAUAUACCCUAAUUCAUUCCAUGUUCUCACUCAUUCUUACUUUAUUCAUACAAAUCUACAAUAUUGAUUUCCAUUCUAUAAGCAUCUCAAAUGAUGUGUUUGUAUAAAGUAUAUGAAAGCUAUUAUGUACAUUUUUAUUCAAAAUCUUUAUUUUUCAUUUGUAAUGCAAUUUUUUUAUAAUAUCAUUUAAUUAUGCAUUAUAUAUAAUUAAUAUGUCACAUGAUCGUGGAUAAUAUAAAAAAAUUUUAAUUUUAUAUUAAUAUAUGCUUUUUGCAUACACUUUUGUUAAAUUUUAUUUGAGAAAAAUAAAUAAAGAGAAAAAAUACUUAUUUUUAUCUUAUAUAAAUAUUUACAUUUUUUCUCUUUUGAUAAACUCUUAAAUUACAUUGUCUUUCUUCAUAUUUAAAAAAAUAUUUUAACCCUUAAAAAUAAUAUAUAAUAUAUUUAAUUUGUUUUAAUGUGAACAGAUCUUUCAUAAUAGUUUAUCUUCUUACGUAAAUACCGAAUUUUAAACUACUGUUAUCAACUUUGGGAGUGAUAUUCCAAAGUAGCCGAAAGUGACAUUAAAAGUUAUACAAAGAAAAAAAAAACAUGAAAGUUUGUGUUUUUUUUAUAACUAUUCACCUGAGGUAUAUAUAAAGUAAUGUGGAUUAAAGUAUAUAGUAAGAGGGAAUAGCGUAUAUUUUUAAAAACAUAAAAAGGUAUACUAUAAAAAUUUCUUUGAACAGGAUAUCGUAAUUUAUCUUUUAUUAUAUAACUUAGAAACAUGUUAUAAAAAUGAAAUUAUAGACUUAAAAAACAUUAGAAACUUCAUUUAUGAAAUGAAAGAUUAAGCUCGAUAGUCAUAAAAUCAUUUAUAAAUCCUCUUCUCUAUGGUUUAAUAGUAGUUGUAUUAGUUGUGAAAAUUAUAUUCUAAUAUUAGAUUUGCACUGUAAUAGAAUUUUUGAAAUAAAUAAAAUUUUGGAAAAUAAAAUUGAAAGUUGGUAUAUUUUUUCUAAUUAUUUUUUGUUAUUUUAUUUCCAGCAAUUAAUUUGAGAAUAAAAUCAAUUGUUACAUAUAACUUCAAAUUUAAGCAAUUUAAGUGAAACAGUUUUUCACCUAAUAUAUUCAAAUAAAAAUUCAUUUACUUGAUUAAAUUAUAUUUAGGUUUAAUUAUAAAAUUUAUUUCUUUAAUUUGUCUAUUACACUAAAUCAAUCUCCCUAAUUUUAAUUUAUUAUUUGAAUUCUCUUAUAUUUCAAAAUAUACUUAAUAUACUAAAUCGGUUCUCCUAUUUUUUAAUUCACUAUUUGAGUCUCCAUAUAUUUUAAAAUACAAUCUUAGGGAAAAACUAGAAUCAUAAUCCUUAAAAUAAGAAACACACUCUUUUAUCAUCACAUCCAAGUGUUUAUUAGAAUAUUUUAUGCAAAAUAUAGUAUUAAUAUAAAUUUUAUGUGAAAAUAGUUCAAAAUUUAAAUUUUUUUAUUAUUUUAUUAUAUUUUUAUAAUUUUUUAUAUUAUCUUUUAAAAUAUAAUAUAUAAGAUUAAAUUUUAUUUUCACAUAAAUUUAAAAAUUUAUAUUUAUAUAAGUUUUAUUUUUAUUUUAUAUAUUAUAUUUAUCUAUUAAAACAAUACUUGUGAUUUAGUGAUAAUAUUUUUUUAUCUAUGUUAAGGUACUCAUGUUAUUUAUUAUAAUAUAAAUAAAAAUAAUAAUAUCAAUAAAUUACAUACAUAAAUAUUUUAAGAAAUAGAAAAUAUUGUCAUUUUAUUUAAUUAUGUAUAUAUCUUUAUUAUAAAAUUUAAUUCUUUUAAAAAGUAGUGAUUAAAUAAAUUUAAAUAUAAAAAACUAUUAUAAUAAAUAAUAAAAAUAUCUUAAUAUAGGUAUAAGAUAUUCAUUGACAUAUAUAAAUAUUUAUAAAUAAUAAAAUACUAACAUUUUAUGAAAUUAUAAUUUAGGUAAAAAAUAUAACUUAAAGAUAAAAUUCAUAUUGUAUAUUUAUUUUAUAAAAUAGGUUUUGAAUAGUGUGAUAAAAAUACAUAAAAUUAUAAAAAAUAUAAUAUAUAAAAUAAAAUAAAGCUUGUAUAAGUAUUCAUAUUUUAAUUUAUGUGAAAAUAAAAUUUAACCUUAUAUAUUAUAUUUUAAAAGAUAAUAUAUAAGAUUAUAAAAAUAUAAUAAAUUAAAAAAAUGAAUUUUAAACUAUUUUUGUAUAAAACUUAUAUUAAUAUUAUAUUUUGUAUCAAAUAUUUAAAUAGUAAAUUAAAAAAUAAAAAGAUCAAUUUAACGUAGUGGACAAAAUAAAGGGAUGAAUUUUAUAAUUAAACCAUAUAUUUAUAAUUUAUUAUUGAUUAAACUAUUUUCAUGACUAAUCAAACACGUGUUAAUAUAAAACAAUUUAUAAUUCAAUAAUUAUCUGGAAAUUAAUGAUCUGAAAUCAACCGAGAAAACUAACAGGAGGGUNNNNNNNNNNNNNNNNNNNNNNNNNNNNNNNNNNNNNNNNNNNNNNNNNNNNNNNNNNNNNNNNNNNNNNNNNNNNNNNNNNNNNNNNNNNNNNNNNNNNNNNNNNNNNNNNNNNNNNNNNNNNNNNNNNNNNNNNNNNNNNNNNNNNNNNNNNNNNNNNNNNNNNNNNNNNNNNNNNNNNNNNNNNNNNNNNNNNNNNNNNNNNNNNNNNNNNNNNNNNNNNNNNNNNNNNNNNNNNNNNNNNNNNNNNNNNNNNNNNNNNNNNNNNNNNNNNNNNNNNNNNNNNNNNNNNNNNNNNNNNNNNNNNNNNNNNNNNNNNNNNNNNNNNNNNNNNNNNNNNNNNNNNNNNNNNNNNNNNNNNNNNNNNNNNNNNNNNNNNNNNNNNNNNNNNNNNNNNNNNNNNNNNNNNNNNNNNNNNNNNNNNNNNNNNNNNNNNNNNNNNNNNNNNNNNNNNNNNNNNNNNNNNNNNNNNNNNNNNNNNNNNNNNNNNNNNNNNNNNNNNNNNNNNNNNNNNNNNNNNNNNNNNNNNNNNNNNNNNNNNNNNNNNNNNNNNNNNNNNAUUACUUGACUAUGAAAGAUGGCUUAAAAUAUUAGAAUGUAAUUUCACUCGACAUAUUGGUUUUUUUAUAUUAAUUUCCAAGCAAAAUUUUAAUUUUAAGACACUAAAAUAGAUGAAAGAAAAGUUAAAAUACUCAUUUUAUUUCUAUAAUUUCAUAAUUCUUAUUUUUUUAAUUCAUAUAAUAUUUGAAAGUAAUCUUUUUAAUCUUUAUUAUUUAUAUUUUAAUUUUUUUUUAAUCUUUAUAAUUUUAAAAAUGAUAUUUUUAGUUCUUAUAAUUUUAUAAUUCUUAUUUUAAUCCUAUAAUUUCAAAUUAGAUGAACUAAUAGAGAAUUAAAUUAUAAACUAUAAAGACUAAAAAAAAACAUUUUUAAAUUACAAAAAUUAAAAUAUAAAUUAUAAAAACUAAAAAUAUUAUUUUCAAACUAAAAAAAUAAGAAUCAUAAAGAAUUAAAUGAAUAAUUUAACCCAACAAAAAAUACUACACAUGUCAACCUAGCAAGUUUGGCAUACAGCUGGCAGGUUCCUUUUGUACUCUUGAACAAGAAACCCCACCAGUCUAACCGUACAACCACUCACACAAUAUCCCUUCCCGUCUUUCACUCUCCCAACCCAAGUACUCGUGGAACUUUGACUAGGGAAUAUCGUGGGAAAUUCGAGGAACGCCGUUAUUUUCUGUUACCGGUAAUCGCAAGUAACUAUCCCACCUAAGUAAGUGGCUGCCGGUAUUUUGUGGGACAUCCCCCCUCCACACUCCAAGCGCGCAAGUCAUGGGUUUACUUAAACACCGUGUUUACCGGAUGUUGCCGGUUAAUUAUUUAUUAACUGCAUUCUUAAUCUUUCUUGUUCCCUCUCCCACACCUUCACAAGGUGGCUUCCAAAUAGUUUCGCCGUUUUUCUUGCAGCACUCCCCAAACAAACGCACACAAAAUGGAAUUUAUUAUUAUUUUUUAUAAUUUCAAAAUCUAAAAUAUUUAUGCCUAAUAAUUUAUUUAUUUAUUUAUUUAUUUCUUUUGGUGAGAAAAUUGAAAAAAGUUUGAUUUUUUUGACACAUCGGAGCGUGGGAUUUUGGCGAAGCAAAAUAAUGAAUUUUGGGUUGGCCAAUCCAAUACGAGACAAAGGGAUAAUGGGGAUAUAGGUUUGUCUUUAUUCCACAUUAUUUGAUCUUAUGCCCUCUUUAGAUAUGGACUACCAUCUACUACUACUAAUUAAGCACUUUGACAACAACCGCAAAGCAUUUCAAAGUGACUCCAUAAGCAUUCCUUUUAUGUUGCACAUGGAUUCCAUUCAAUCUAUCUAUCUAUCUUUAAAAAGCAGUAUGGUAUUCAAUCACUCGUGUUCAAAUAAUAUGCCAAGUCAUUUCCAAUUGAAAUUGUGUUUUUAUGCCUUCUCAAUUCACGUUUCCUUUUUGUUUUCUUUCCCUUAAUUAUCAUUAUUAUUUUUAUAAUUGUUUUCCUAACAAGCCAAAUCAAAGUCCUCGAAACUCAUUUAAUGCGUGUUUAAUUAGUUUAUAGUUAAAAUUAUUAUGACAUAUUUCAAUGUAAAUCUAACAAGUAAGAAUAAAAUAAAUAUAAAAAUAAUGAUCAUAAUUUUUGUCUCAAACCUAAUUUUAUAAGGAAGAAUCAAACAUCGACUUAAUUUAUUAUGUGACCAUAAAUGCAUGGAAGUUGUAAUAUUGUAUGCUUUGUCAUGAUGUAUAAAUUUAAAUGUUUACAUAUAUAUAGAGAGAGAGAAAAAAGGAAAAACCAAAAAGUGACACAAAAUAGCUGCACAUUCCCCAUUAUACCCUCCAUGGUUACAUUUAUUUACUCCCUUGUCCCUAGUCUCAAGCAAACCCAGCUUGACAUGUGCCUCUAUAUAUACCACUUUCUCUCAUCUUUUCAACUCACGCCCAACACAACACACCAUCUCCUAGCUCCUUUCUAACGAGUUUCUAUUACUAUUAGAGCAUUGUUUUCUUCUCUCUCUCUCUCUCUUACACACCAAACUCCUGUUGCUGUUUUCUCCUUCCCAAAACAGACACACACCCCAACAAGGUUGUUGUUAGCCAUCACAACCAUGCCUGAGGCACCGAGAGACUACAACCUUUUGGAGCAAAACAAGAAAACCCUCGAGUUCAUUGAGGAUGUCACUGCCAACGCAGACCAAGUUCAGAAGAGGGUCCUCUCCGAAAUCCUCUCCAACAAUGCAAACGCUGAGUACCUCAAGAGACACGGCCUCCAUGGCCAAACCGACCGCGAAACCUUCAAGAAACUCUUGCCUGUCAUAACCUACGAGGACAUCCAACCCGACAUCAACCGCAUCGCCAAUGGCGAUACUUCUCCAAUCCUUUGCUCCAAACCCAUUUCAGAAUUCCUCACUAGGUAUAUAUGCACACAUAUACAUAAUAAUACUCUCUCACACAAAAAAAACUUCCUUCUCUUUUUUUGGCCUAGUUCUCACUUUUUUGUUUUCCUUCUCGGGUACAACAAAGUUUGAACCUAUGACCUCAUGUCCAAUCCUAGUAGAUUGGCCUAAUUCUAACUUUUUCUUAUGUAUAUAAUAACCACAACAAAGUUUAAACUUAAACCUCAUAAAUCACCCCAAUGGGGUGGCCUAGUUCUAACUUUACUCAAGAAAACAAAACAAAAGAUAAUUUUUUUUUGACAUGGGUCUUGUUUUUCAUGUCCAUUUUUUUGUUUCUUUGUGUAUAUGGCAUGGUAUAUAAGAUAUUCAUGGGUUGUUUAAGUUGUUUUUAUUUUUAUUCUUUAUUGGCAAAAAUGUUAGUCCUCAGUUCUGUUAGAAUAUAAAUGACCCAUGAUCUCUCCAUCCUUUUUUCUUGAUCCCUUCACCCAUCAAACCAACCUUAUAAUUUUUGUUCUAAUCAUGUGUUCAUAUUUUUUUUUUUGUGUGUGGCAGUUCUGGGACAUCAGGAGGUGAGAGGAAGCUGAUGCCAACAAUUGAAGAAGAGCUAGGUAGAAGGAGUUUGCUGUAUAGCCUUCUGAUGCCAGUGAUGAGCCAGUUUGUUCCUGGUUUAGAAAAGGGCAAAGGAAUGUACCUAAUGUUCAUAAAAUCCGAGGCCAAAACCCCCGGUGGAAUUGUGGCUCGUCCAGUUCUCACCAGCUACUACAAAAGCUCAUACUUCAAAGACAGACCCUACGACCCUUACACCAACUACACCAGCCCCAACGAGACCGUCCUCUGCCUGGACUCCUACCAGAGCAUGUACUCCCAACUCCUCUGCGGCCUUUGCCAGCACAAGGAGGUCCUCCGUGUCGGCGCCGUCUUCGCCUCCGGCUUCAUAAGGGCCAUCCGCUUCCUCGAGAAGCAUUGGCCCUUACUUUGCCAUGAUAUCCGAACGGGUACCAUUGACAAUACGGUCACGGACCUGUCGGUCCGUGACGCUGUGAUGAAGAUCCUCAAGCCUGAUGCCAGGCUUGCGGAUCUCAUCCAGUGUGAGUGUGGGAAGAGCUCCUGGCAGGGAAUCAUCACCAGGCUGUGGCCCAACACUAAGUAUGUGGAUGUGAUUGUGACUGGGACAAUGUCACAGUACAUCCCCACGUUGGACUACUACAGCAAUGGACUCCCACUUGUGUGCACCAUGUAUGCGUCUAGUGAGUGCUACUUUGGUGUCAAUCUUAACCCUCUUUGCAAACCUAGUGAGGUCUCUUACACCCUCAUUCCCACCAUGUGCUACUUCGAGUUCUUGCCUGUUAAUAGAAGCAAUGGGGUGUCCCAUGACAAUCUCCACACCCCUAGAUCCCUCAAUGAGAAGGAACAGAAGGAGCUCGUUGAGCUUGUUGAUGUCAAACUUGGCCAAGAAUAUGAACUUGUGGUCACAACUUAUGCUGGUAAGCAUAUACAAACAAACACCCUUUUGUUAUUGUCACUUUUAUCUUAAACAUUAUCUGAGGUUUUAAAUUGCGGUUGCAGUUUUAGUUUCAUGACAAUCCUUGACAUUUUGUUAUGAUUCUUAACAUUGUGGUAAUAUUGUGACAGAUGCAUUCACAAUUACGGUCAUAUCGUGGCGACAAAAACCUUGACUUUACGGCUAAAAUUGCGAUUAUUUUUUUAAAACCUUGAUUUUUACUUUAACAUAACACAAAAUUGGACAUGGGUUUGAUGAUUGACAAUUGACAAUUGACAAUUUUUUUUUUUUUGUUUUUCAGGUUUGUAUCGUUACAGAGUUGGUGAUGUGCUGAGGGUGGCUGGAUUCAAGAACAAGGCACCCCAAUUCAACUUUGUGUGCAGAAAGAACGUGGUGUUGAGCAUAGACUCAGACAAGACCGAUGAGGUUGAGCUCCAGAACGCAAUGAAGAAUGCCGUGACACACUUGGUGCCCUUUGAUGCAUCAGUGUCCGAGUACACCAGCUAUGCAGACACCACAACAAUCCCUGGCCACUAUGUCUUGUACUGGGAACUCUCCCUGAAAGGCUCAACCCCAAUUCCACCAUGUGUUUUUGAGGAUUGUUGCUUAACCAUAGAGGAAUCACUGAACAGUGUGUAUCGCCAAGGUCGAGUUUCGGACAAAUCGAUCGGGCCACUUGAGAUCAAGAUUGUGGAACAGGGGACUUUUGAUAAGCUCAUGGACUAUGCCAUAAGCUUAGGGGCUUCAAUAAAUCAGUACAAGACUCCAAGGUGUGUGAAGUUUGCACCUGUGCUGGAGCUCUUGAACUCAAGGGUGGUGGAGAAGUAUUUUAGUCCAAAAUGUCCAAAAUGGGUUCCGGGACACAAGCAGUGGAUCAACCAGAAUUCAUCAUGAAUCUAAAGGUUGGCAUUAUUAUGUGGUUGGUAGCUUUUCAUGGCGGUUCACGUGAACUGUUUUUUGUGGACAUGUUAGGAGGGGGGUGAAGGGAGGAGAGGGAUUUUAAUUACUCUUUUUUUUUUUUUUUUUUUUUUUUUUUAAUUUUCUUUUAGGUUAAUUCCAUGUGUUAAAAAGACUUUGAUUUUAGUCCCUUGUUUUUAACUUGCAUAGUGAUCAGACCUAGCCACNNNNNNNNNNNNNNNNNNNNNNNNNNNNNNNNNNNNNNNNNNNNNNNNNNNNNNNNNNNNNNNNNNNNNNNNNNNNNNNNNNNNNNNNNNNNNNNNNNNNAAAAAAAGGCAUCCCAGUUGAUUGCACUAGUGGACCUCUGUCUUUUAUUAUCCACUAAAAUUUCCCUUUUUGGUUUUUAUUUUUGUCUUCUCAACUUUAUUAUGGACCCUAUGAUCAUAAUUCACAAGAAUUGGCCUAAUAGUGAGGAAUUUGAGUAGUUUGGAUGAAAUCUUGGUUUGAAGUUUAUUAUUGACAUUGUGCACAAAUAAAAAAGACUCUAUAGUCAUAAUUCACAAGAAUUGGCUCAAUAGUAAGGAAUUUGAGUAGGUUGUAUGAGAUAUUUGAUUUGAACUUCAUUAUUGGCAUUGUACACAAAUAGAAAGACCCCAUAGUCAUAAUUCACCAGAACUGGCUUAAUAGUGAGGAAUUCGAGUAGAUUGUAUGAGAUCUUGGUUUGAAGUUUAUUAUUGACAGUGUACAUAAAUAAAAGAAUCCUAUAAUAAUCAUAACGUUCGGUUGGAAUUGGUUUCUUAAUUGCAGCCAGCAAUCAUGCAUGUUCACUUAUGUGUGAUGGGGCUUAUUUCGUAUAACGGCAAACAAGAAAGAAAUCCAUCACUUCUGAACUCCUUUCUUUUUCUAUAGUUUUCAAGAAAAAGCAUGCCAACUUUUUUUCCUCGCCAAUCCCACUAUUUAUGUUUGUCCAACUAACGAAUCACAGUGAAAUUAAUUAAACAUUAAAAAAAUAGAAAACAAAAUAAAAGGAAAAGUGUUAUAUCCUGUUAGGGUGAGUGAUCAGGGCAUUCUAUUCUGCAAAGAAAGCUUCGCAAUUUGAUUAAGACUUGUCCAUAAUUUUUGAAAUUAGUGGAAGGGGAAGAAAAGGCAAGGGAUAAAUCUAGUGUUUAAAAAAAAUGUUGACAAGCUCCUCUCGUGAUGGCAAGUAAUGAGUCCAAAUUCUCUUUCUGAAUGAGUCUAUUUUAACAAAUAGUUGUUUGUGUCAGAUUCUGUCACUAAGUCAAGGAACUAAAAACCAUGUGUGGGUAUUAAAUCAACAGGGGUUGGCUUCUGUUCACGGUUCAAACAUAUGCUUUCUUCAGCAAUUCCAAAAGCAAACAAAACAAAACAAAACAACUUUGUGUGCCAGUGAAAAAAAAUUCCUAUUUCCUAGUGACUAUUUGCUGGCAGUGGCACCACAUAACACUACUAAUUCUAUGAUCAUAUUAUACCCUUUGGCCCCUUUUAUUAUAUAUGAUCACAGUGCCCCCACUGUGAACCAACCAAAAGACCAGCUCAAUCAGUUUUUCAGGCCAUUCAACACUGGAAAAAUCCCAGGACUAGUCAAAGUUGCUAUUGCUCAAUGCCAAGAAUUUUUUGGAGGCAAGUGAGUAAGGGAAGAUAAGGGAGAAUCAGUGCAAUCAGAGUGUUGUUCCCUGUGUGCUAUAUAUAUUCCUCGAAAACAAACAACAAAAACAGUUCUUUUGUUUUUAUUAAAGGGGAAUAUAAAACAAUUUCUGAAGGAGUGUCAGACAAAAUAUUAUGUAAUUCAGACAACCCAGAAGAAAGAGACAAACAUUUUUUUUUUCAGAGACAUAUUGUGUUUUGCUCAGAGUGAUAAUAAUAAUGCAGCGAAGGCCUUAACAGUGUGAAUAGGAGAUAAGGUUUCGUACUUCAUUUUCAGUUUGUGUUGCCUGAUUAUAGUUAGAAUAAAAUUUUACUCAUGCUUUUGCUGUCCUCUUUAUGGUUUUCCAUUUUUAUUCUGUAUGCACAUUCCAAAGAAAAUUCAACGGUAGGUAGGUACUGCAAUAAUCUUACAUCAAAAUAUUAUGUAUGGUCAAGUCACGAUAAUUUCAGUUUUAGCGUUCAUUAUUGCAUUGGACAGUUGUAACUUUCUUUUUUUCUUCUUCCUCGGCAUUAUGAAAACUUGUUUUUCUGUUUUUAAAGUGCCACAGUAAAAAAAAAAGGUCGAGGAAUAGUUAUUGUGUCAAUAGAGAUUAGACUUUUCUUGUAUUAGCAUCAAGCAUUUAGAUGAAUGAAUUAUUAUUUUUUACCCAUAAAUUAAUUUAUGUUAUGCUGUAGUUAAACUUGAAGUCAAAUAUAACAAAAAGAUUAAAACAUUCAUAUUAAAAAAUCAUGAAAAUUUGAUCAUUUUAAAAACAAUUAAGCCCCUUAAGCAUAUUUUUUUUUCUUUUAAAAUAAAAUAAUUACAAAUUUGAUCAUAUGUUUGGAUAUAUUGUAACAGUAAUGUAAUAAUUAGUAAGCGGAAUCAAAGUAUUAUCUUAGGAUAACAACAUAUCAAGAAAACCAUUUGGAAUUAACUUAAAAAUGAUAGAUAUUUUAACUUGAUUGUACCGCAAAAAUGAUUUAUGCUUUCCUAUUUUAAUCAUCAACAAACGGAUGUACUUGGGGGCCCAAUAUAUAUGAUUUGAAGAUUUGAUGUUUCGGAAUAUUUUGCAAUAAUUGUCUCCAUUCGGCAAUUAGCAUUUGUCUUAGUGUUUUUUCAAGUACUACUAGCUUAGCUAACCUUAGGGUGAUGUUGAAAUGACUCCAAUUAAUGUGUUAUUCAUGUUCAUAUUAAAGAAUCCCCCUGCCACUCACAUAACUAGAUAGGCAUUGUCAGAAUUCCUUUUUAAUUUUUUCAUAAUAAAAAUAAAAAUGAUAAGCCAUUUGCACCAAACUUUUCAUACGCAAGACAAUGAAUGCCAUUGUUAGAUCGAAGAACGUGAUAAAAUCUAGUGAGGACCACCGACAUCGACUAUGGCUUAUAUAUAUAUCCCCACAUUCAGUACUUAUUUUCCCUCUUCUUGUUUUCUUUUGCUAAAUAUGCUUAAAUGCAUUAUUAAUGGACUCUCUCAAGAAUCAAGAUAUUAGCUUGAAACUUACAAAAUGAUAUAAUAAUGAGAAUAGUUUGCACCGAAGGACGCUUUGUGACUUUUGUGACUGGUAUUAACCUUUAGAGAUCCAAUACUAAGAAAGAGACUUUUGCAUGAUGCAAUCCAAUUAUAAUCUACUUAAUCUCAUGUAACUGUUUUCUUUCAUUCUUUUUAGCCCUUUUCUACCAUGUUGCCUUAUGGGUAAAUUAUGCCAUUUCCCUCACAAGUACCCGUAAUUAAAGCUUUUGAUUAUUUGCCGUUGUUAUUGGUUAUGUUUCCUAAAAGAAGUUGAAAGUUUAGUUGGAAAUAAAAAAAUUAGCUUAAAGUUGAAAAGAUAUUGGAAGCUAUUAAAUUAGUUGAUUGUAUUAUAACUGUAAGUAGUUAAUAGAUGUAAAAUAAAAUAAAUAAAAAUAUUUAUAUGAUAUUUUUAUAAAUUUUAAUUUUAUUUAUUGAUAUAUAUAUAUAUAUAUAUAUAUAUAUAUAUAUAUAUAUAUAUAUAUAUAUAUAUAUAUAUAUGGAGUAAUUAAAAUAUAAUAUCUUUGCAAUCAAUUUUUAAACUCUUGCAGUUUUUUUAUUUAGAGAUCAAUUAUUCUAAUUAUAUAUUAAAGUAUUUUCAACCAAGCUUAAAAUAAAAUAAACUAAAAUUUAUUUAAGUAGAUGCCAUACAUCAUUAUACUGAUUAGUGUAAUAGUAAAAAUAUUGUGAAGUAUACUGUUAAAAUAAUAAAACAAAUAAUAUUUUUUUUUGUGAAUAAAUAAAUAAUAUAAAUAGUGUAAUGGUUAAAGUUAUUUGUGUAAUAUAAAAAUAAAAAUAGAAAAAUUAAAUUAAACCUACCAUCUAUAAUUUUCAACAUCUUAAUGUUAACGCUAAAAUAAUAAAAUAAAUGUUGUAAAUAAUGUAAUAGGUAAAAUAAACAGUGUAAUACCAAAAAAGGGUAAUAAAAAUAUUUCAUAAAUACUUUCCUAAAUUGAAAUUUUGGUUUCAAUUGAGUCAAAAUUAAAGAUGAAUUGGAUCCUUCAAAUGUUUUGCUUUACAUUUAACGUGCCCCGAUUAAGUGCAGCCAUACAAGUGAUGCUUUGUGAUCCAACAAUUUGAAAUGAAAGUUGUCACAGUAUGAAUCAAUCAUGCAAUUGCAUUGUGUACAUACUUUUAUAUAUAUAUUUAAAAAUUUAAAACAAUAUUCAAAAACUAGAUCCUUAAAAAGUUUAUUCCUACUGCUCAACCACUAUAUAUAUAUAUAUAUAUAUAUAUAUAUAUAUAUAUAUAUAUAUAUAUAUAUAUAUAUAUAUAUUUCAGUUUUUGAUUAAUCAAUAUUUAAAAUAUAAAUUAAAAAUAUAAGUAAGUUAUUGGUUCAUUAACUAACUUGACUUAUUAAUUUACAUUUGAAUAACUGUUAAUCCAAUUUAUUGGGAUAAAAGUGCUGUAUACAAAAUGGUGUACGGCAGGAAACAAGUAGGUAAUUAAGAGUGAAGAAUUUUGACUUGCUUUAAUCUUCUCCUUUAUUCUACACAACUACUUUUCUUUUAUUCCUUUCUCACUUCUAACAUGCCAAACAAACUAAAUCUAUAUUUUUUUUAGAUGAAGCACUACUUAGAAAUCAUACUCAACCAUUGUGGAUAAGGUGAGUGUAAAGUGCGCAAUUAUAGAGAAAACACAUAUAAGCAUGAAUUCGGACCCUAUUAUUUAUACUAGUACAAUGUGAAAAUAGUACCCUAUAUGUGAAAUGCACUCCUAAUCAUCAUGUUUGCAGUAACUAAGGAAGAUUUUUCUACUCUCUUUGUGACUUAUCAAAGGUAGACACAUGUCCAAGUUGUCAGGUAAAUAUUUUCUAGAGCAGCAAUGAUAGGAUUCUUUUUUUGAGCUUGGGUGUCAGGAAUCAGCAUGUGUCACGGAACAAUUUUUACGUCAAUAUAGUGCUCAAAGAAACAAUUAAUUAUUAUUAUUUUCCCAGAACUAUUUUUUACUGCAUUAAUUAUCAUUUUUUAAAACAUAUUUAAAUUAUAAAAACAUUAAUGUACUGCAAUUUAUAUCGGAUAGAUUCAUUUUUUACAAUUUUUUAUAAAAGCAUUUUACAAAUAAGAUAAAGAUAGAAGAAAAGAGAUAAAUGUGAAAUAAACUAAAUGAUACCGUAGAAACUAGAAAGAGAUAAAAAGAAAGUGUUAUUCAAUUAUAAUAUAAAUAAGAUUUCUUUCGAGAAGUCUUUGGUUGAAAUUAAAAAAAUUAUUCUCCUAAGAUAAGAAAAUUUAAUGGACCGAUAUCUUUUAACACAAGAACCAAAAGCAUAUACAUGAUUGAAUUUUCUUGGUAUAAUUAGGAGGUAUUGAAGAUUUUUAUUUGAUUUUCAAUUUAUUUUUCUCUCAUCAACAGGAAUGUUCCUUUUAAGAUAAAGUAAAAUCUAUAGGCACGAUUAAACGCUCAAGCUAAGGAUCAAGUUUUUAAUCAUAUGUUUAAAAAUAAGAUUAUUUGUUAUACAUAUAUUAAUAUUUUGGUAGAAAUACAAUAUCUCUUUGUACUAAAAUCAUUUUAUCAUUAAUGUAAAACCUUUUAUUACUUGUACUUUUAGCGUCCGUUCAUUUGAAAAAAAGAAAAGCAUAAAAGAGUGAAAAUAAAAAGAGAUUUAUACUUUUAAUUUGAUUUAAUCUAAAUUUAUUUUCAUUUGAUUUGUUUUCACCUUGGCAGAGAAAUCUUAAAGAGGCUAAGAAUUACCCUGAAGGGUGAUGGCCACCAUGUUUGGAGAGCUUUGGAUAUAGUACCAGUGAGUACGGGUGCAGGUCUAGUUUGGCUCAGGUUAAUGGAUUGGUGUAGAAAAAUUAGGCUGAAUGAUCGGAAUAGGUGGGGUAGCUAAAAGGGUAGAGGGUUAGGCUAAGCUAUUAUCAACAUGGUUCUUCUGAGCCAAAAGUAAAAGUUCAGUGUCUUUAUAUCCACUACCACUAGGUACCCUAGUAGUCUUUGAAAAAACUGAUUUAAAAUUUGAGCACGCAUGUGAACUUUCUUAAAUGUGAUAAUGCUCCAGGGUAGAGUUUCACGAUAAUGACACUAAGAAAUCACCAUAUUUGUCAAUGGAAAUAUAUAAAAAUAUGUACUAUAGAUACAAAACACCGAAAAUGAGAGAUCAAUAAUUUAAUAAAAUGAAAAGUUGCAUUUUGCUUUCCUUUUCUAUAUUGCAUCAUAAAUAGCGAAUCAGGACAUAUAUUAUUAUACCAAUCGUAAUAUUUCCUCUUGUUGAUCAUUCAAACAAAUUUAUAAAAUGUAAAUUAUAGCUUCAAUAUCAGCAUUUUCUUUUAUGUUUCUGCUUUUUUUUUUGUGGUUAAAAAAGAAACAAGUAGGGAGAUAUGUCAUGAAUAUCCAUAAAAAAUAUUAAACAAAGAAAAGCAAUAGGCAUUAUAUCAAAAUAUGUACAGUGAACCUUACUUUAUUUUGCUGACCAUGUAGCCAACAAUGAUAAAGAUGGAAAAGCAAUUAUAUCUACAACAAUUAACUUGAUGAUUUAAACUAAGCGUGGUAUGAUGUAAACUAAACGGUGGCCACUGAUAAGACAUGAAGUCAUAACAAUAAUUAGGCUCUAGAUGAUUGAUAGAAUUGAAAACUUGAGGGUAACCUUGUAUUUUGGGUGCAUGUGUGUGUGAAAGAGAGAUGAUGUGCUGCGACUAAUAUAACCAAUGAUAUAGUUUAACUUAAUCGCAUUGGAGAUCUUGAUUAUAUAUAUAUAUAUAUAUAUAUAUAUAUAUAUAUAUAUAUAUAUAUAUAUAUAUAUUUUGCACACAAUCCAUGUGAUGAGUAUAUUUCUUUAGCUAGGUUGAAGAGGUAUAGGGAUGACUAAUCAUCCAUGCAUUCGUGAUUCAACUAAUUUAUUUAUAUACUUUUAAAUUUAAUUUAACCUUUUUAUAUGAAAAAUAAUUAAAUUAGAUUGGAUGAAUAUUAUUUGGAUUAAUGGAUGAGUAAUGAAUAAAUCUGUUUUAUUCUUUUAAAAUUUAAUGAAUUUCUAAUUAUAAAAUAUGGGGAAUUAUACUUAGUUAUAAAUCCUUUUCAUGUCCAAAGACUUGUCUUCAAACAUUGUUUAUAACCUUGAGAGCGCAUUUCUUACUACUGUACUACAUUGAUUACAUCAUUGCCAUUUUGGACUGUUGGAGAUGUAUGUAUUACUCAAUUCCUUUCGAGUGUUUCACAUUAAUUGACUCCUUCAAAUCUCCAUUAUCUCCUAGGGAUUUAAUUCUUUUAAAGUGAGGGAAAUUAUUCAUAGGACCAAACUAAAGAUAAAGCAACUAAAAUUUAUGAUUUAGGUCCAUCAAAAUAUAUUUAUUAUUGGUUUUAAUAAAGUAAAAGAAAAUCACAUAUGUCAAAAAAAAAUAAAAUCCAACAUAUAGCUAUUUCUUUUAAAGUACAAUUUUUUCUUUAAAUGCGUUAGAACUCUCAUACCGUUGGACCGAUCCUCAGAAAAUAUAUAUUAGAAGAUAAAGUAUAGUAAGCUAUUGAUUAAACAAAAAUCAAUGGUUGAUAUUGUAAAUAAUUUCAAAGUUCAUCAUACAUGCAUAUCACAAUCUCCACUAUUUAUUUAUAUCAAUUGCUAUUUGCAAAAUAGAUCCAAACAAAACUUAUAUGCAGAUCUUUAGAUAGAUUUUUAAUAUUAUUUUGUGAUUAGAAUUAAAGUUAUCCCAUCAUCAUUUAUACAAAAAGCGUGUGUAAGUUGUCAAAUAAUGAAAAUUUAAUUUUAACUGGAGAACAAAAUUAGAAAUAUUUAUGAAGCUAUAACUAAUUUUUUUCCCAUACAUCCUCUUAUUAAUUACUUUUGAAGUGUUAGAUUCACACCUACACAUACAAUUAAGGGCGUUUUAUCUUUUUAUUGUACCAUUUCCUAAAAUAUGACAGAUGCCACUUUUAAUUUUUGAUUAAAUUUUAAAUUUUAGUUUUUCUUUAUUUAAUUAUAAUAUUUUUUUUUUAUGAUCUUAGUCUUCUUUUUUAUAUGUUUCUUUUUGAGAUUUUAUAUGAAUUAUAGGCACGCACUUAUAAGUUUUAGUAUUUCAUAAUAUUUGUAUUUAAUAUAUGAUAUAUAUGUUUUAAAUUUAAAAUAUUUAUAUAAUGUAUUAGAGUUAUAUAUGAUAAAGGCCCGUUUAAUUAAGUUUAAUUUUAUAAAAUAGUAUUUUGAAAAUGUGUAAAAUAAUGAAUAUGUUUUAGAAAUUUAUAUGUGAAAAAUUAAAUUUGUUUUUUUUUGUUUUGAUUAUAAAUACAAAAGAACUUUUUAUUUUAAAACAUAGUGAUAUAAAAUUUUAAACACGAAAAAUACCAAACCCAAUUUUUUCAGUUAAAUAAAUCAUUCACUCAUAUAUAAACACAACAACAAAUCGAAUAUUACUGGGUUAAUCCUAUGCAUUAUGGAAAUUAAACAUGUGAUAUAUAAUCUCUGUUUCUAUAAAUGAGAGGUUAAAAAAACAUUUUUUAAAAACAAAAUAUGAUAUGAUAUUUAAAUGAGGGAUUCAAAAAUGGCAAUUUUUUUAGGAACAAAAAUGAACUUUUCUUUUCUGGAGAGUCUAAAGACAUAUAUAAUUUUAAAAAAUUAAACAAACACAUUGGAUUUUUUUUUUUAAAACUAACCCAUUUCAAAAUAAAAGUUUUUUCUUGUCUUCCUAUAAAUGAAACUAGCUAGAACAAACAGUGCUAAAUACAAUACCAAUCUCGUAGGAGCAAUAAAAUUGACCAAUGCAUGUUGUACUGUGGGUGGAACACCGUAAAUUAUCCCAAGACAAGUUUUUCUUUGUUUUUCAUUGGGAUCUUUACUAGAAAGAUAAUUUUAUUUGAGACAUAAUCAUAUACUAAAUAUAUACAUUUUUCUUAUGACGAUAAUUUAAACUUUAGUUUAUUACAUUAUAAAAAAUUAACCUCCGAUGUUAAAUCCAACCCUUUGAUUGAUCCCAUGACAAUUUGCAUAGUAUUAAUUAUUUAACACAUGCAACAUAAAAAAAAAUAAAGCAUGACAAAUUAAUUAAUACUAGAAGGAGCAAGCAAAACAAUAUAACAAUAAAUAAUAAUAGACAGCGCAAGGAAGUAGUGAUGUAUUAAGUAAGGAACAGUGCAGCACAGCAAAAUUCACGUGCAAAUGCUUGCAAUCGGUGCAGCGAAGGCGACGGUGGUUGGGUGGUUGCGGAGCCACAUUUUCAGGCGUCGCUCUCGCACGUGCUUGCCAAUGACGCGACAACACCACCGUCGACACAUACACGUGUGGCACCCCAUUGACCACUAUUAUGCCAAUCUCACUUCUUUUAAUUAAAGCCCCCACCCACACCACACGUGAGCGUUUUGCCUUGUUUCCCUUGUCGGGCCCACUCUAUAGGCCCGUUCUCUGGCCCAUUUCCUUUCAACUCCAAGAGUCAACAGCAAGUGCACUUGCUUUGCAACUUGCAACUGCAAGUUUGUUUCCCGUUCUUUAAUUUAAUAUAUGUGUUCUUUUUUGCACUAAGCUUUAACAAUUAAUAAAUAAAUAUCAUGUUUUGCUUUUCGAUAAUCAAGACAUGAAGCAAUUAAUUGACCAACUUGGUGUGACUCCAGAUAAUAUUGUUUCUUUAAAUACAUAACCAGGAAUUCGAUGUUCACUUAUGUGUGUAUGAAAAAAAAUCUUUGAAAUACACCAACAAAAUGUGACAUUGUUUAGGAGUCAUGGUCAAAAAUAAUUUAUAACUAUUCUCCUUCCUUACACAAUCAAAACAUCCUUUUAGGAUUAAAAUUGUGAGACCCAUACAAGAUUCAAAUUGAACAAUACCUAGCAUGCAGUCACAUAACUAUGUUGUAAAUUGAGGUUGAAUUUGGUUUUUUAAAAAAAUAUUAAUAUCUUAAAUAAAUUUCAAUAUCUCUAUAAAUUAAUCCUUAAUUCUUAAUUGAGAGAUACCUAGGUACAUGUAAGAUAUGAAUCAAUUAUUGGAGAAACAAAGGAUUAUGAAAAUUUGAAUAGAGAAGGGUGCCCUUGAUUCUAAACCAAUUCCCCAAGAUGCUAGUGGAACAUAAUCAAGUGUGUUAAACUAUGUCAACACAUGAAACCUGUUUCUCCUUUAAAAAAUGAUUAAGAUAUUAAUUUAGUGAUGACAUGAUAUAUGACAAACAUUUUGUCUUUGGGUUUGGGGUUAGUUUUAUAUGAUUAUUUUGACCCAAUCACAAUUGGGUAUUGUAUUACUCGAGCUUUUGAAUGGAAUAUUAUUAUAUUAUGCAUGCCAAACUAUGUAUCACCAACUCUUCAGUACUAUAACGGAAAUUUCUCUUCAGGCUCUUAAUUAACAUAAAUGGGGUGGAUUAUGUUUAAACUAAUAAAAACUUUCUAGAAGGCGUGUAUUUGAUUAUAACCAAUGUGGUGCCAUGUUGCAUCACUACAUUGCAUAGCAACUUAAAUACUAUUAGUUGUUCUUUUCCUUUUUCUUCUCUGCCAAACCAAACCGUUUUCAUCAGUACGUAUUAUUAUAUACAAGUCAGUGUGGUGCCAUGUUUCAUCUUCACAAUACACAAGCAUUGGUUAUUAUAAGCAUGGCUUGGUCCUUGAUCUAAAAAUAUUUAUAGUAGCAAUAGUUUUUAUUAUCCUGUUGAGGGAUUUAAAGAAAAGGGAAGAUUUGUGCUUAAUGUUCUCCUAACAUCUAGCACUACUGAUAUCAACUGGACAGGGCUGCUUCUAUUGCAUAUUUUGCAUUAAUUGAUAGCUACAUAAAUCUAACAACAAAAUAUAAUAACCUAACCGCUUGUUUGUAACCAAUAAGAUGUUGAUGGUCAGAAAAUAGAAUAAGCAAAAGUAUAUAACCAAAUAUACAUGUUUAUAGGGAUAAGCCAUAACCACCACUACCCCCACCACUCAUUAGCCUCAUAUUACGCCCCUUUGUCUCCAAUGUUUCUGGACCACUUGGCAACUAUAACACUUAACAUUUUUUCAAAAGCUUGGCUUUAAGCUCUCAUCAUGAACUUAAUAUGACUAUUUAAAUAAUAAGACUUGCAGGUCUAUGACAGGUUUUCAAACUUACCCCACGGGCCAAGCCGAUAUGUAAAUAAUUUAUUUUUGGCUGAAUUAGAAUAUUUUCAUUCUAGAGUUAAAAAUUAAUCCCUUAAAAAAUUUAUUUAAGAAAUUGAACUCUCUUAACACAUAAAUUUUCAUACACACAAAUCUCUGAUGAUUAAAAUUUUAAUUAUAUAUUUAAGAAACAUGAUUAUCUAUCGAUCAUAUCACAUUAUGUUGAUAAUGAUUCUGCAUUCAAAGGAGACUUGUUAGAUAAAUACUAUGGAAUAGUACAUAUAUUUUCUUCCCUAGUGCUUAUGCGCCUGUCAAUACAGAUCAUUGUAAUUAAUGAUAACAGAUGAAGUAGUAUAGGCUGAAAGUGAUGGAAGCAUAAAAAUUGAUCUGGGUUUGGGGCAACGUUUCUAUUUUAUUUCAACCUUCCAAGGUUCCACCUAACCUUACCCUGAAUCUAUAUAUUUGUUAAGGAUAAAAGGGGGGAAAUAUAAUUAAAUAAAGCAAUGGAUAAAAGGGGGAAGAUACUUUCAAUUCUCUGAUCCAUCUAAAAUGGUAGCUUUUAGGACCAGUAGAUUCAUAAAUGCAAAGGGCUUAAAGAUACUCUUCUUGUGCUCAAAUUAUUAACCCCAUAGUCUCUUUGGUCAUGUUUAUUACUUUACUUAAUGUUAUUUCAUUGAAUUUUGUGCCACCCCUUGAAUGACACCACACUAGAUAAGCAAAGUUAAAUUACUUAAUUGAAAGUAUCUUGAAACUUAUUUGUGUCAUUGUCUAAAUAUUUGGCUCUUUUAUAUUUAAAUUAAAAAACUUAGCCACUUACUUUUCUUCCUCUUUGCUUUUCCAACUCUAGCCAAUAAUUAUGUAAUGUAAACAAAAUACAAGCUUAAGCAUAUGCUAAUUGAAAAAUAAGCAAUGAGUGAGUGACAGAGAUUUCUAUGAUUCAUGUUUCUUCCUUGGAUUUUAUUCAACUUAUUUGCGUUUCUUUAUUAGUUGAGUUGCUUUCAAUGUGUCAUACCCACUGGUAAUUGCGGAAAUCGCAUGACUUAACUUCUAUUUGUUGUUGAGGCAUAUUAUAGUGUAUACUACAACCACCCCAAUUCUAGAUUGGACUGUUAAUUCUAAAUUUCAUUGAAAUUUGACUUUUUAAAUAAUUAAGGGUUACAAAGUUUCUCUUAAGCAUACUUCUGCUAAUAGUUGUUUUGUUUGGCUGUUGAAAAGUUUACAUCAAUCCUCUUUAAUUAAAAAGAGCUUAUGUCAAAGUCUCCGAAUAACUAAAAUUGCAAAAAUUGUCAACCAAAGCAAUUCCUUCACGCUAACAGUAGCGUCUUCUGAAGGACAAGACAAAUCAAUAACAAAUUACCCCAUACUUUAAUGCUUAGGAGAAAGCAUUUUACUAAAACAAAAAUACAAAAUUUUGUCAACUUUGACAUAUAAAACUUCUAUUCAAUACCUACCAGAAUGACCCUCGGGAUGCCUUGUAUUGUUUAUUUUCAACCAUAUUUAUCCAAUUUUGUAUAUUUUUUUUUUGCUAAUAACGCAUUGUACAUUUGUUUUAAUUUACUACGCAUUGUACAUUUGUACUUUAGGUCAUGGAGGCAUUAUUGAUUGAGGCCUAUUUAAAUAAAUUUCUCCCUAAACAUUUAUAGAAGAAGACAAUUAAGAAGAAAAAACAAAAUAAGUUUUUAGUUAAGUUAAAAAUAUCAUGCAUAAAUUAAAACAAAUUUUCUUAGCUUCUUCAAAAAUUAGAUUUUGACUAAUGUAUGAGCUAUUUUGAGCCCACAAAAGAAAUUCAUCUGGGUGUAGUUUGAAUCAUGCUUUUUAUAUGUACUAAUAAACGAAACCUUUGUUGGAUUGACAUGUAUGUUAAUGGAGCUGUAUACAAAAACUUUGCUCAUAGAGUAUUUGAAAUACAAGAAGUGCAGAAGGGUUAUUGAAAUAAAACAAUUGGGCUAGAAGGCAUUGAAGUACUUUCCAGUUAAAGUGAGGCUUUUACUAUUUCUAAGGCCCAAUUUAUAAGUACACCUCAUUUUGCUUUCUUUUUUUAUAUUUUAUAUUAUCAAAAAUACCUUUUUGAAUAAAAAUAAUAAAAAUAAUUUUAUUAAAUAAGUCCUAUACUUAGUUAAUUGGGAGGUGUAAAUAAAAAAACUUUGUAUGGUUUGCUAGGUUAUCAUCAUGUACUUUUUCUACAAGGUUGUCACUUCUUGCACCCCAUGUUUUGCUACUUAAAUUCCCUUUAUUUUAAAUAUUCUUAUGUUUCCCUAUGCUAAUCUCACAAUGCUUCACCACACAACUGUAAACUUCCUGAUCGACACCACAAAUCAUUGUCACUCCUUCCUUACUCUCUCUUCCAAAUUUAGAAUCAUAUGGAUUACCUAAUCCUAAAGAGGAGAAUUAACCAUUAAUUUUGGAUUAGGAAAUCCAGAAUAUAAUUUUUACACUUCAGAAUGAAUAACCUGUUACCAAAAUUUAUAUUCUAGAUUACCUAACCUAGAAUUAAUGGUUAAUUGUCUGGGUUAGGUAAUUCGUAAUAAGGUUCUCAAUUUUGUUGGGUAUUGCUGUAGGAACAAUACCUAUGUAUCAUGUGAUCCAGAAACAUCAACAUACAAACCAACGAAAGGGAACUACACAUAUCCUUCAAAGUCAACUUUGAUGGCUAUGGAAGGGGUUUGUCACCAUAAACAAUGUUGGUGGUCAUCUAUCCUCAUGGAGGUCUCCGACGGAUCUCAUCUCAGCUUCUGUCAUCAGUGGCAAUGGAAGAGGGUUCAAAGGAACGCAUAGGGUGGUUUCAGGAUUUUGCAAAGGUAGAGGAGGUGCUGGUUGUAAAAUGUCAGGUGCUGGAAGCAAAAGUCUUUCUACAAAAUAAUUUAGUAACACUAUAAUUAUGUGUUUACAGGUAUUUGCAUUAACCUUAGAGCCUCAUUACCAAAUUCUGGAUUUGGUAUUAUUUUCCACAUUGGAAUGAAUUUUCUCUUUAAUUGUCUAUAUUUAUCCCAUCACCAUAUUCUCCAAACCAUUUUUUAAAUUUACCUGGCAAAAAAUUCACUUUACUUAAAGAUGUAGUAUCGGUGAGUUUCGAAUGUUAGUAUUUGCUUAUUAUUUUGUCAUGACUCAAAAUUCAGAAUUCAUAAGACGUCAAAUUAGAGAUGUCUCCCUAAUGCCAAAGUAUAUUACAUACCCUUAACUCAAAUAUCCAUUUGUAUUUCAAAAUUAGAAUUAUACGUUUUUUAUUAGAGGAUAAAAAGAAAACUACAAGCUGAUCAAACAAGGAAGACUCUCCACAAAUUCAGCAUGUGUUUGGCAUUGAGUCAAAUAAUUUGUUUUACUAGUAAGAUAAUUACUAUGAGAUAAAAAAAAUCAUAUUUUAUCUCUUAAUUACCAAUGUGAUCAUGACCACGCCACAUCAUUAUCAUGUCACCCAUUCAUAUCAUUAAUGUCAUAUGUAAUAUCACAUGCAAUUCAUGUUUAUGAAUGACAGGAGAGCAAAAUCCGUAAAAAAAAAAAAUUGCAAGCAAAAUCCAUAAUAUCAUGAAACUAUAGGGUAAAUUGUGCAAUAUAAAUAAAUUAUAUUUUUUAUUCUUUAUAUUUUGAAUUUAAGUCAAUUUGGUUCUUCCGUGACUUUAGACUUAACGUUGUUAAUAAUAUAAUGAUAAUUAAAAAUCGUUACAAAAUAAUUCUUUCUUUUUUGCAUGUGUGUAAACAUGCGUGAUUUUCAUUCCCCUUUUGAUCCAAGAUUUUGAACUUGUUUCCUCAAAUUUAUUGAGGGCUUUUAGUUACUAAAUCAAUUUCGUCAAGGGUUGUAAAAGUUUGCAUAAAACAUUCGUUGUGAUUUGGGAGAUUUUUUUAAUCUAAUUAUAGAGACCCUUUCGUGAAGAACUGGUCAGUCCGUUUUCAUACUUGAUUUCUCUCAUUUUAUUAUAUGAAUCUUAAAAUUGAUGAGUUACUGAAGAUGAUACAUUCUAUCAAAAAGUUCUAAAUCUUGCAGCAAAAGAUGCCUAAACUGAAAGCAGGGUCGGUCCCCACUGAAAGAAUUAAAAAAAAAAGUUAGCUAAUUAGAAAAUUGUUUUAUUAGUGAUUUAGAAUUAUUUUGUUUUCUAGGAUUGGUCGAUAGAAAUUUGAGUAUGAAAUUUUUUAUGCGUAUGAAUUAAAUACGGUAUCUUAUGUGUUUUGUUCGAUCAACUGAGUAUCUUUUUGGUAUUUGAGUAUAUGAAUUAAAAAAAAUUAGAAAAAUAAAUAUCUAUUUUAAUUUCAUAAAUAAUUAAAAAGGAAAAAUAUUAAUUUAAUGUGUAACAUAUUUAAUUAUAAGUUUAAAAAGAUAAAAAGUACGUGUACCAUAUUUAUAAUGCAAUGCAUUAUUAAUUUUAAUAAUUCGCUGUACGAGAAGCCCUCAUAACACUUAUAUUAUUCCUUUGAUAUAUCUAUAUGAACCGGGUUAUUAUUUUAUUUAAUUACAUAAAUCAAAUUCUAACUAAACAUAUAUAUAUAUAUAUAUAUACUUCAGGGAGAAAAUUAAGAUUCAUAUGCAUAUCAAAUUUUAUAAGAAAUAUUCAUAUAUGUGCUAAAAUACUAAUUAUAUCAAAAGAAAUUUCAUAAAUUUAUAAUGUUAUGUAAAGACAAUAGUCAUUACCCUAGAAUUUUGACAUAUUUCUAUUAUAAAUUAAUAAUAUUUGGUUUGUUUCCCAUUAUUUAUUUAACAGCUAGUUUGUAUUCAUACAUUAACGGUGCUGAAAUAAACAAAGACAAGAGAAAAGGAAGAAAAAAUAUUUACAAAAAAGUGAUUGGAAAGAGGAAAUAUUUGUUAAAGUGUUUCAACCUCAAUUUGUCAAUAUCUUAUGAGAAAAAUGGUUAUGGAUUAAUAAUAAAAAAAUUUUACAUACUCAUUCAAUUAUAAUCUAUUAUGUGUAGUAAAUUUGUUAACUUUUAAAGUAAUUAUCUUAAAGUAAUUCAAAUGCUGAUUUGUAUUUAUAUGACAAUAUAAAACAAGUUUUAUAUGAUCAGUACAUAAACAUUAAACUUAUAUAAUGUUAAUUUCUAAUUAAGUUUAUCCUAUUACAAAUGUUAAUAAAUAACUUUUAAUUAUCAAAUGAUUUAUAAUCAAAAUUAUAUACAGAGAAUAUGCUAAUAAAGGCUCCUAAAUAUAAUUAUUUAUAGUCUUUGAUCUAAUAAUAAUUAUUUAUAGUCUAAAAAGAAAAUAUAUAAUUAUCUUUAGAGUAAAUAUUAUAAAAAAGAAUUAUAAUAUUUAUCUAAUUGUAUAAAAAUAGAUUAUCUAUCUAAAAAGAUAAAAUAUUUUAUCUUCAUAAUAAAUAUUAAAAAAUAUGUAAAAUGUAAUCAUCUUCACAUCGCAAAGUAUAAAAGGAUAAUUAUAUAUUUGAUAAAAAAUAAAAGAAUUAAUAUUUUAAUUGUAUAUCUUCUAACCGCAUAAUAAAAGUAAUAAUUAUAUAUAUAUAUAUAUAUAUAUAUAUAUAUAUAUAUAUAUAUAUAUAUAUAUAUUAUACCAGAUGAAUCAAUGAUUUAUAAAAAUUUUGCUAAUCAAAAUAUACUUAUAGAUUAGAAAUAUUUUAAAACGUGAUAAUUAAAAUCUUUGACAAGUUGAUUUUUUAUUAUGUACAUAUUUUAAAGUUUAUUAUUUUUGUGAUAUUUUAAUUUAAAUUUAAAGAAUUUUUAAUCUAGACGUUCUAUUUUAAUUAUCUAACUUCAAAAUUUAAAUUUUAUCAAAAUAAAAUAGCUUACUUACUCACCACAAAAGAUAGGAUAAGACUCACAAAAGAUAUGAUAAAAAUCUUUUGAUAAAACAGUUAGUUAUACUAUAUAUCAUCUUUUAACAGCAGAUAAAAAUAUUUAUCUUUUAACAGCUCACCGAGGAUUUAUUAGGAUUCGAAUUUUGUCAUAAAAACACUCGAUCUAGACACCACUAGGAAUCCGACUAUAUAUGCUAUAUAGAUAUACUUAUAGAUUAGAGAUAUUUUAAAACGUGAUAAUUAAAAUCUUUCAUAAUUUGAUUUUUUAUUAUGUAAAUAUUUUAAAUUUUAUUAUUUUUGUGACAUUUUAAUUUAAAUUUAAAGGAUUUUUAAUCUAGACGUUCUAUUUUAAUUCUCUACCUCCAAAUUUUAAAUUUUAUCAUAAUAAAAUAGCUUACUUACUCAUCACAAAAGAUAGGAUAAGAUUCACAAAAGACAUGAUAAAAAUCUUUUGGUAAUAUAGUUAGUUAUACUAUAUAUCCUUUAUAUCAUCUUUUAACAGCAGAUAAAAAUAUUUAUCUUUUAACAGCUCACCGAGGAUUUAUUAGGAUUCAAAUUUUAUCAUAAAAACACUCGAUCUAGACACCCCUAGGAAUCCGACUAUAUAUGCUAUAUAGAAACGAACGACGAACAUUUGUGCAAAAGCAUCUCUUUCAUUCGUCUGUUUCACUUCGUACAGUAGUUCCUUUUCUGCAUAUUGUGAGGAAAACUUGGGUUCCAUUAUUGGGAAACAAGUUUUUGGAGAGGAGAGUGAGGAGUUUAAGUGUGAUCGAGUCUCAUAGUCCUUAAACCCAUAAAUAGUUUCAUAUUUCAAAGUCUCACUAAAGAAAUAGCUACUUAAUUAUAUCUAUUUCAAGCCAUGUCGGUGCAUUUCGUAGACUCUCUAGCAAUGUUUGCAAGAAGGAAUGCCGAGGAAAAAUUUAAACUCGGAGACUUAAAAGGCGCCAUAAUUUCUGCCACCAUGGCCAAAACCCUAGACCCCGAUGUAGUUGGCAUUGAUGAAACCCUCGUUGCAUACAAAAUCCACCUUGCGGCAUCAAAAAAUCGUGUCAACGGUGCAACAAACUGGUACAAAGUUCUUGGCAUCUGUGAAGGCUUUGAAGACAUUGACAGCAUCAAAAGACAACACAACAAAUUGGUGGAGAUGGUGAACCCAACCAAGAAAGCUUCGGUGGCAACUUGGGGUGCUCUUAGACUCAUUUACAAGGCUUCGAGUAACCUAUGCGACCCGAAUAAACGAAAUGUGGCUCUUUUGCAUCGGCAAGCACUUGGGUCUUAUUUGGGUCAUGAAGAUUUUAGAACAAAGAAGAGAUCGUGUGGAAUCAAAGUUACCAAAAGGGCAUGUCCUCGGUGUAGAAAGUGGUGCAAGUAUGAAGUUCCUAAGGUUUCAAGUGGACACAAACAUGAAGAAAACCCUAAAGCAAAAACAGUUUUGCUAAUCAGGUGCUCCAGUUGCAGGUGCAAGUUUGAUCCAAUAUCUGGCAAGACUCCAAAUUCAAGGUUUUCCCGCGGCAAAUAAUAAGAGAGAAAGAUUUUUAAUUCUACCGGUUUGCAUCCGUAGAUAAUCUUGAUGAUUUUAUAUUUGUACACUGUAUACCUUGAUUAUUUACUGAAAUGAAAAUGUGUUGGAAUUAAUAAUUGUGAGUUAUAUAUAUAUAUAUAUAUAUAUAUAUAUAUAUAUAUAUAUAUAUAUAUAUAUAUAUAUAUCACAUGAUUGAAUGAGUUAGGAUCAAUAAGUAAUUUAAUCAAUAUAAAAUUAUGACUAAGAGUAUAUAUGUCAUGAAAGACUAAUUGGGAAAGACUAAUUGAGUAGAUAUUAUUAGUGAUAUUAUAAUUUAAUGAUAGAUCAAAUUAUAAUUAUCGAAGUUGGGAUAACUGGUGACAGUUACCCAUAGAAGAGGUUAUGAUCCUUUAUUUGUAGAGAGAAGUCAUAGAGUGUAGUUUUGCUUUCUUUUCUCUUUAUCCCAUUAGAAGAGAGAAUUCACAAAAGAAAAUAAAGCUAUCUACACCGAAAAGAUCAUAAAAUCAAUCUUGAUUCUCAUCAACCUUUCAAUUCCAUUAUGGUUAAUCUAUGCAUUUAGUUUUCAUCAUGAUUUUGAGUAUAGAAACACAAUGGAAUUUGAAGUAAUUUCUUCCUACAUAAAUAAUAAGCAUAAUAAACAUAUGAUUAGGAUUGAUAAUUAUCUAUUAAAUUAAAUUAAAUUAAAUUAAGUUGAUUGAUUAAAUUCCUACAAUAACCAUCUACUGUCACGAACUUGAUUUGAAUUACUGGUGAUAAUUUGUUUAGUGGUCUCAAAAAGCCGCCGAAAUUGUUAUGACUAGUACUGUGACCUGUCAAGUUUGGCAGUUUCAAAAAAUUACUAUAUCAAUCAUUUUCUCUUGUCAACCAAAAAAUAACUGCCAAUGGGUUUUUUUUUUAUAUUUUUUUUACAAAAAAUUUAAAUGAAUGGCCCCAAAUUAAGAAUUGCUUGUAGUUUAAAACAAUAGAUUCCAUACCGGUUGAUCACAUUCUUAUUUUAACAUGUCUCUUGCUAUUUAAAUUACAAUAAUUAUAUUGAAUUAGACUAUUUUUAAGCCAUCGAUCAAAUGGAUAAGUUAAUACGGGUUACUCUAGUUUAAUUAGUGGUCUGAAGUUUGAAUUGAGUCCAUUAAGUUCGAACAAAAUUGUGUCUGAUAAAGAAAGAUACAUGUAGUUUUAAAAAUAAUAAGAAUUAGAACUUUUUUAGGAGUUAUUAUUGAACGACAACAUUUUUAAGAAUUCUUUUUAAAGAAAGUAUAUUCUUUUAGAGUGUGUUUGGAUGGAGAAAUUUAAAAUUCUGAGAAAUUUUAAAUUCUAAGAAUUUUAAAUACUUCAAUUGAAAUUUUUUUAUUUUCAAAAUUGUGUGUUUGGAUAAAAAAAAAUUAAAAUUAUGAGGAUGAAAAAGAUGAAUGAAAAAAAAGAUAUGAUUAGUGUGCUAGUUAUACGUGUUUCUUUACGCUCACACCCGAUCGAUAUUGCAGGAGCUCGGUAUUUCUUAAAUAUAAGAACAGAAUUUCAAUUUCUCAUCUUUUAGAAAAAAAUUGAAAUUUCAAAUUUUUAGUUGUUUAAAAUUCUAUUUUAAAAUUCUAAAAUUUUAAAUUCUUCAUAAAAAAAAUCCAAACAAUAAAUUCUAAAUUACAAAAAUUCAGAUUCUCUGACAUUGCUAAUUCUUCCAUGCAUACUUGUUGAGGUUGGAGGUAAGACUCUUCUAUUUUCCGUAUCAUCUCUGUUUUUUCUAACAUUUCUUUUUUAUCUUGCCUCCAACAAUGAGUUAGAGAUUUCAUUGAACGAAUACGCAUCAGUAUUUCUUGGAGAAGAUUCUGUCAUGGUUGAGUGAACUUUUCCUGUGUAGAACCCUGGUUGACUUGGUUCGGGCAAUAACUUUUCACCAUUCAACAUUAAAAUUACUGAUGACAUGUUUGGUCUAUCCUCUGGUCUUUGUUGCACGCAUAACAAACCAAUAUGAAUAUAUCUUAUUAUUUCAGAUAAUCUGGCUGAAUUGUCCAAUAAGUCAUCUAUGAAUUCCAUUGACCUUUUCUCAGUCCAUAGUCUCCAUGCCUGAAAAUGAUGUGGAAAACACACGUCAAUGAGUUCAUUUUUCAUAUUAAAAACUACUAAACAGUGCUCAUUGUUUCAUGGAUCAAAGUGUUAUUAUUCAUGCAUAUAGAUUGCUUUUGUUUACACCUACAUGCCCAAGAAGAUUUAAGUUAUGGUAUGGGUCACAAAAUCCCCUGAUCUUUCUCCCACUUAUAAUCUCCAGUACAAUUACACCAAAACUGAACACAUCUGAUUUGACUGAGAAAAAUCCAUGUACAGCAUAUUCAGGAGGCAUAUAACCACUGCAUAACAAAACAAGAGUCCACAAUUAAAAGCUAAAAUCGAGGAGAAACAAAAAACAAGUAUAACAAACUUACUAUGUUCCCAUUAUUCUAUUUGUAUUUGCUUCAUCUUGAUCUAGCCCAAAUGUCCUAGCCAUACCAAAAUCAGAUAUUUUUGGGUUCAUAUUACUAUCAAGAAGAACAUUGCUAGUUUUGAGAUCCCUAUGUAUGAUCUUUAAUCUAGAGUCUUGAUGAAGAUAAAGAAGUCCUCGAGCAAUUCCAUCAAUAAUUUCAAAUCUCUUAACCCAAUCUAAUAAUGUACGCCUUGUUGAAUCUGAUAAUGUUUAACUUCCAAGUUAGCAUGACAACUAUUUGAUAGAAAUACAAAAAUAGGAAGGAUUAUAUUAUGAAAAAGCUCACACCAAAAAUAAAGUGGUCCAAGCUUCUGUUGGGCAUCAAUUCAUAAAUCAACAACUUCUCAUCUUUCUGAAUAGAACAACCAAGAAGCUUUACAAGAUUGCGGUGUUGAAGUUUUGCAAUCAACUUGACUUCAUUUUGGAACUCAUUUAAACCUUGUCUCGAAGUUUCAGAAAGCCUCUUAACUGCAAUCUCUUGCCCGUCUAGUAAUAUGCCCUGUCAAUAAUUUUGAAAACAGUGAAAUUAUUCUGUUGACAAUCUAUGCCUUGGUUAAACUUAAUUUUCAUACCUUGUACACUGAUCCAAAGCCACCUUGUCCCAAUUUGUUAUUUUCUGAAAAGUGAUUUGUGGCAUAGGAGAUCGAUGAAAAAUCAAAUGUUGUUAAAUUAACGCCAUCCUUCUCAGUCUUGUCUUUCUCUGUUAUAAACAAAAUUAUUAAUUCGCAGAUCUUAAUGCAAACAAAAUUGUAAGCAGAAUGGAAUUUUCUGUAAUUAAUAACAAGAAUUAGAAUUUAGACAUGAAGAUAGUUAAUUUCACAUUCCAGUAAUGACCUAUUCAAAGUAAAAUAUAGCAUAAAGUGUCAAUGUUUAAUUAUGAUGAAAAAGAAUCAGAAUUAGUCCUAAUGAAGGAAAUAAUUGCCUAAUUAUCUCUCUAAAUAAAUCUCUUGAUAUAAGGGACUCUAAGGUAGACAUAAUAAUUAUUAUAUUGACAAUAAAUAUAUACUUAUUUCAAGCUUAACAAAGUAACAUAUAGAAAAGUUGAAUCAUGUAUAUAGUACCAGCAUUGUUCCUCCGGAUCCUGCAGAUAAAAUAAGUACUUAAUAAUAAUAAAACACCACCAAUUGCAGCAACGGUGGAAGCAACUAUCGUUUUUGUGUUCUUCUUGUGUUCUGGAGAAUUAUAACAGAUAAAUAAAAGGCUAAGUUAAGAAUGAUAUUAGACUUUUCAAAGCUGCAAUUGAAAUGAGAAGAUUAAAAAGUUAAUGGUGGUUACCUAAUUCUGAAGCGGGCAUCCUGAUAUAUAGAUCUUGUCCACCAGUUUGAAGCUGUUUCAUAUCAAUGAGAUCUCCAAACCACAUGACACAGCCACUACCUUCACCUCUUAUGUCUGAAUUAGUAUAGGCCAUACAAGAACAAUUACUCAAACACUUGACUCUGCAUUCCUCUAGACCAAUACUCUCAUCCACCCAAGUAUGUGUUGAAUCUGGAACCUUGAAACCUUCAAAUUUGACAAAUCCAUCUUUGUCUUCGCCAUGGCAACUCAAUGGGUUAUUGCGGACACAUCCUUGAGUCCAGUCAGAUGAAGCCCAUGCUUGUGGUGACUUUGGACUAAACCCUUUCAAACAUUGGCACACUUGUGUCUGUGAAAUCAUGCAACUCCCAUAGGCUCCACAAAGACCAUAAGUAUCACAAAAGUCUUUUGGUUGUGAAAUGUAUAUCCUCCAAUUUUGAUCACCCUCUACCCACACAUAGCGAUAAGUUCUACCUGUUUGGUUUAUUACAUUUAUGGUAACGACAGAACUUUUUACAAGGCUAAAGGUGUAGUAAAUCUCAUCCUUAUUGCUGACGAAAUUGAUGCCAAAAAUGGUGUUAUUCUGUAGAUCUGGAAAUCCACUAAAAUAUAGGCCGUUCCACGGUCCCUGCCUUAAUAACUUUUUUUCUCCCUUCAUCAUAUAAAACUCAGGAUAAUUAUAGGGUUUCAAAACCCCAUAAACAUCUCCUGGUGAUGGAUCCUCUGGACUCUUCCAAGCAGUAUAUCUCCGUUCAAGACCUGUUCGGAGGUCUCUUCCAAACUUCAUCCCUGGCAAGAGUGCAUGAGAGGGAUAGUCAAAACUUUGCCACAAAUACGCUUCUGGGUUUGGUUCUCCAUCAUUUCUUAUGACAAGAUUGCCACUGUCCAAGAGCUCCACCACCGGAUUCUGUACUUGUUUGUGAGAGUUGUUGGUGUACCACACAAUAGAACCAUUUUGUGUGAGAACAAGAUUGCCUGUGGUGUUGAGUGUUAAGAUGCCUGAGGAAUCAUUGAUGGGGUUUGCCCCAUUAGCAACCCAAACCACUGUCUGAGUUGGGAUAUUCUUGUACCAAAUUCCCACAUAACGUUUCUGGGAACUACCUGGGCUGAAAAACCCAAGUUCAAAAUUUCCACCUUUUGACACCAAUCUCUCCCCAUCACUCAUAGACUGGAGCACGUUUACAGAAUCAUUUGCUACGCAAAUUCUGAGAGAGGGAACAACUAUGCAAAUAACCAACAUCAUGAAAGAAAGAAUCUUCAUUGAGUACAGUAGCUCUCUGUUAUUGGACAUUGAUUAUAUAUGGAUUAAGUGUGUAUGUCGUCAUAGCACGAGAAUGGAAAAUUGAUUCAGCAUAAUGUUUGCUUUCAUUAUUUGUUCUAACUCAUGAUCAAAGUCAAACACGUGCCCCAAUAACUUUCUUGGGUCAUCGGACUUUAUUUCAAACAUUACGAAUAAAAAAAGAGAAGGAUAUUUUAUCAAGUAUGCCACCAAAUUGCUAACUACCCAGGAAAAAAAAAAUACUCAUCUAGUCUCUGUCGCUGGACAAUUUUUAAUUUUUAGUCAUAAAAGUCAUUUUUUUUUCGUUCUUAUACAAAUGCUUUUAGAUCUUUCUUAGUCUUCACCGCUUCUAUCCAAAGCUCCACUAGGUCGACCUAGUGGUAUUGUAUAAUGCUAAUAUAUUGAAUAUGGGGGAAAUUUAUGAAUGGUAUGAAAAUAGCCUCUGAAAAAAGAUCCAAAUUAUUAACAAGUAGUUGGUAUGAGUGAAAUUGUGUUCAUAUUAUUUAAGUAAGAUUUUGGAUUUAUCCUUUAAAUGAAAAAAAAAAAAAUACAUGGUUAGGAAACAAAAUUGAGGGAGUUGAGUUUGCAGGAGACCUUCUUCUGGUGGUUCUGCUCUACUGUAAAGGUUGCUUGGAAGGCGGUGCUCGAGAUUAAGGACAUAGACAAAUGUUUCAAAUUUGAUCAGUAAAAACCGAAAAAGAAAAAAGAAAAGAAACUAAGAUGAACGAGUUACAGAGAUAAAUCCUAAUAUAUAGAUCUUGGUCUCCAGUUUGAAGCUGUUUCAAGUCAAAGAGAUCUCCAAACCACAUAACACAACCACUACCUUCACCUGUUAUGUCUGAAUUAGUAAAGGCCAUACAAGAACAAUUAAUCAAACUAGACUUUGAACCUUCACGGGUUUUUCGAAAUUUUAUAUAUAUAUCAUUUUAUAUUUAUUUAUUUAUAUAAAUGAAAAUAAUAAGUUUUAAAUACUUCUACUAUGUUAAACAUAAUUAUAUUAUUAGUCAAAAUUUAAUUAAUUAUAUUUUUAAUUGAGUUAAUUUUAUCUUAAAAAUUAAGUAUAUUAAAUUUUAUUGUGAUUUUUUGUUCAUUCUUGAUACAAUAUCUUUUGAAAAAUAAACAUAAAUAAAUAAAAUUAUUCAUUUUAAAUAUUUUUAAUAGUGAAACAAAUAUAUAAGUAUUAAAAUUAAAAAAUAAUAUUAAAUAUUUUUUUUUAAUGAACACAUGUUCUCUUUAAACUGAGUAAGUCUUUUGAAUUUCAUUAUAAUUUAUUUUUUCUUCAAGUAAUAAUAUUAAUACAAUAAACAUAGAAGUUAAAGAAUAAUAUAUAUAUAUAUAUAUAUAUAUAUAUAUAUAUAUAUAUAUAUAUAUAUAUAUAUAUAUAUAUAAUGUACAAUAUUUAUUUAAAUUUGAGUGUUCAUUUAUGAUAAAAAUUUAAAUAUUUUUUAAAUUUGUUGAAUAGUAUGAAUUCUAUUAAAUAGACAUGGUCAUUAAUUAUUUUAAAAAAUAUAAUUUUAAUUAUUUUGAAUAUAUUAGUUUUGUGUAAUAUUUUUAAAGUUUUCAAGUUUGAAUUAAUUAAGCUCAAUGAUGUAAUAUAAAUUGAAUAAUCUCGAUUUAAUAAUUAUUAUUAUUAUUUAUUUUCUCUUAGUUUUAGUUUUAUUUUCAUUGCUUACUAAUUUUUAAAAUUUAUUUAUAAAAAUAAUUGUAUGUUUCAAACUUUAAAUAUUAUUGUUUAAAAAUUUAUUAACUUAUUAAAGAUGUCAUCAAUUAUUUGUAUUUAUUACUAAUCUUUAAUAUGUUAUUAGCUAUUACAUUUUAUUGUUUCUUUGUAACAAUAAUUAUAUUGUUAGGUACCUUAGCUAUUUUAAAUUAAUGAUAUUUAAUUGAUGUUUAUUAUCAUUUAUGGUCUAAAUGUAUAAAAAUAUUAAGUUAUAGUUUGUUAUGAUUGAUCUUAAUAAAUAAUUGUUGUAUUAUGACUAUUAUUAUUGUUAUUUUUAUUGCUAUUAUUAUUAUUAUUAUUGUGCAAGAUUUAUUAUCAAUUUAAUUAUUUAAAUUAUUUAUUGUAAUUUUUAGCAUAUAUUUCAAAACUAAAAAUAUUAUUAUUAAAUUAGUUAUGUUAAUGAUAAUUAUUAAAUUAUUUACACAUAUAACAUGUAUUUUGAAGAAAAUAAAUUAGCCAAUUGAUAGUUAAAAAUUAUCAUUCAUAUCAUUUAAAAAUUGAUUUGAGUAGAAAAAAAUAAAAAUUUGUAAUAGAACUAUUCAAAAUAUGAUUGAAAAAAAAAUAAGGAGGAGGAGGAGGAUGAUUCAUGUAAGAACUUUCUAAUAAAAACAUCAUAUUGUUUCAAAUGUUUAUUCAAUUUCAAAAAAAUUAUUUAAAGAAACAAUUAUACCUAAAAUCAAAAUAUAAAUAUAAAAAACACUAAAGAUAAAAAUUUAAACAAUUUUUUUUAUCAAUGAUGUAUAUAGAUCCAUGUUAUACCUUACUAAUUUAAAAGUUACAUUUUGAUUUUUGAUGAUGAUCGAUCACGCGUUUAAAGUAUCAUGUCAUACAUAAAAAUGAAAAAUAAAAGAAAUGAUAUUAUAUCAAAAUAUAUAAUAACAUAACAAUGAAAUUAAAAAAAAAAAACAUAACUGGAGUGAAUCUUGCAAACAAAAAAAUAAUGAUAAAAGACAAAGAGUAAGAUGAUAUACCUAAUCAAAUAUAAUCUCUAAUUUCUACUUGUCAUUCCUCACAAAAUAUAUUGGAUAAAUGAUUCAUAUAAGAAUUUUCUAAUAAAAAUAUGACAUUGAUUUAAAUUUUUAUUGAAUCUCACAAAAAUCAUUCAAAGAAACAUUUAGACCUAAAAUCAAAAUAUAAAUAUAAACAAUACUAAAAAUAAAAAUUUAAAGAUAUGAUUUUUUUAUAUCAAUUAUGAAUAUAGAUCCACCUUAUAUCUUGUCAAUCUAAAAGAACUAAAUUCUCAAUUUUGAUGAUGAUCAAUAACACAUUCAAGUAUCCUUUUUCAUACAUAAAAAUAAAAAUAAAGAAUGAAAGAAAUGAUAAUAUAAUAAUGAAAAAGAAGAAGAAGAUAGAAAACACACACGAAAGAAAUUGGGUGGAUAUGUCAACAAUUUUGAAGUAGGAUUUAUAUAGAAAAUGAAAUCAUCAAUUUGAUAAUGAAUGUGAAAAUGGUAAUACAAUUUUAAUUAUAAUCAAUGAAUAUAAAUAUUAUUAAUUUUAAAAAUAAUUACAUUAUUAAAAGAUUUAAAUAAUAACAAAUUUUUAUAAAGAACCAAGUGAAAAAAGCAAGAAACAAAUAAUAUAUUAUACUAUUUUAAUAUAUAUAUAUAUAUAUAUAUAUUAUAAUAAUAAUACUUACUAUUUUAUUAUAUAUAAUAAUAAUAAUGUCUUAGACAAUUCUAAUAUGUUAUUUUACGGUAUAUAAUAUUAUAAAUAUUUUUAAUUAUUUUGUGAAAUAUAUACUUUAAUGUACCUUUUUUUAAAAAAAUUAAGCAUAGUCAAAUAUUAUUUAAUUUACUAUUUAUGUGAAAAUUAUUAUUUAAAAUAGUAUCAAAAUUAUAUCAUUAAGGUUAAUGACACUACAAAAGUAUUUGAUGGAUUCUAGUAGUUAUUCCGUAUGUAUGCCAAGUUAAUGACAUAAUGACAAGGCUUAAGGACUCGCGAAGGUCAAGGUAUCAAAUGGAUUCCCAUGGCAUCAUAGAGGACCGUGAUGAGAGCUGGGAAGUCGAGCUUGGACGAGCUGGUUUGGGCUAUCUGGGUGAUUUGAGAGGAGAUCAUGUUGUCCAAGUCCAUGUCUAUCUUUAUAAUAAUACCAUAAAUAAGGCGGGCCCAGUCGAUGUUGAGAUCAUAGGUGUGGGAGGUAUGAGCGAGGUUGGAGUAAGAGAGGGCACUCCAAGUUUGAGUGAGAGUGGUCAUGUCCUUCCUCGGAAUCUUCCAUGGGAUCCCUCAGUGUUCAGAAUGAAAUGACCCCCAGGCAGGUAGAGCUUGACCUCAAUGGCCUGGUGGUCAGGGUAAGUGUAGAGAAACUGGGAAAAGGUAGGAUGCCUCUCACUCUCAUAUAGGACCACAUGUGUCUCCAGGAAGGUGUUCAAUGUCUAAGCAUCGAACUUGAUGACCUUCCCUCGAACUUUGCAAUAUUUAGGCAAGCCGUCCUAAGGGUUAUAGAUGUUGGACUAGAACUCCUUCACCAAAGCUAUAUCGAUGUUCUUCUCUAGGAGCUCAGUGAGAGUAGGCAAGAGUAGGUAAGCUGGACGCUCCUCUCCGGAAGUGUGUUUUAGAGAUGAAUGUUCUCUUGAUAUUUGUGCCAUGCCACUUAUGAUGUGAACCUGGUGGAGUCCUAUUUUGGCUUGGGCUCAUGUGGCCUAGCUUGUGAUGUGGAAGCUCUGCAUUUUUUAAAAGCCAUCUGCAUAAAAAGAAGGACAAAAAGAAGAUAAAUUAAAAGGUAAAACAAUUAAAGUCAAAAGUAAAAAGUAAAAUAAAGGUAACAUGUAUUGGACUGGGCGCUAAGUGCACAAAUGGGCGCUUAGCGCUACCUUUAGCAAAACACUGAAAAAGAGAGGCUAGGCUUAGCAUGAAGGUGUGCGCUGAACCUAAUUAUUGAAAUCACGCAAACAAAGAUAUAUUUGGGCUUAGCGCACAUGACUCACUAUGCCCUAUACAAAAAAUGAAACCUCUGGGAUAGGCGUGGACUUAGCGUGGGUAGCACACUUAGCCCAAUUAACAAUAUUUUAAGACAGAGAAGGAAUUGGACUUAGUGCGUAGAGCGUGCUUAGCCCAACACAAAAGUCGAACAUACAAAAAAUAGCUUGGGCUUAGCGCGAUGUAUGCGCUUGGCCCAAUUAGCAAAAUAUUUCACACAGAGAUAUUCGGGCUUAGUGCGUAGGGGAUGCUUAGCCCAAAUAAUAUUAGAAUUUAGAUACAAACAUAUUUGGGCUUAUCAAAAUAUUUCCCAAUAUUUAUAUCCUAAAAUAAUACAUAUAUCAAACCAUAAGUAUGUAAAUAAGCACAAGGAUGAAUAAUAAUAACAUUAUAUUAGAAGAUAGUUUAGAAUCAUUGCAUCCAAGAGAAUUUGGGUUGUAGAGCUCCCAACAACGGGUGAUUUUUUGUCUCUCAUUAUCAUGAGAGACUUACAAAAAUAAAAGUGGAAUGAAAGGGAAGAAAACUGGAUUGAAAUGGAUCGGCCAGAGCUUAGAAAAUGGAUUUUCCUUGCACCGGCUGCUUGCUUUCCUCUGCUUCUUGCUGGUUUCUUCGUGGCUAAGGAAACACAAAGUUUCCUUUCCUUUUAUAUGCCUCACCAAGCAAUUGGCCAAUAAAAAAUCUCUUGUGUGCUUAACGUGACUCUUGCUCUGAGUGCAUGUCCAACUAGAUCAAGUGGCCAUGCGUUAAGCACAGGAUGCGCGCUUGCUCGUGACAAUUGUCUUCCCAUGUGGUUCCUUGCGCUAAGCGGCUAGCUUGGGCUGAGCGGGUCUGACUUGCUAAGCUACAAGAUCAUGCUGGGCACGACACUUUUGAUCUUUCAUCCUCUUCCAUGUCUCUGCUACAACUCAACUCUACACAAAAUACAAACAAAAAUUACUCUUUAAUAUCUUCUGAACAAAAACUUAAAAGAAGCUAAGUCCUAUUGUUUUAACACAAACUAAACAAUAAAAGAUAAAAAAAAUGAGAUAAUUGCUAUGCGAUUUCAAUAUACAAAUAAUAUAUGCAUAACACCUAUCAAUAAACAUAUCAAAACAAGUUAAAAAUAGCAUGCUAGAAUGUCAUAAAUUAGGCCUGCACUUUUCGCAUAUAAGUUCUUACAGAUUUCCUCUUAUAGCUAUAUGUAGAGUAUGUCCAAUUAAACCUUUCACGAGUCAUCGACCUUCUAACAGGAUAAUUGUCACAUAAUUGGUUGAACUUGUGUCGUUCUGAUUCGAGCGUAAAUCUACUUCACCUAAAACAUUUCUAGAAAUAAAACCAUGUUCUUUAGGCUCGACCAAUUUCAUGUGUCCCUCCAGCAUUAGAAUGAGCGAAAGACGGACUUCAUUGGAGGCCUAUCUUCUGGUACUGCUGCACACACAAAAGACUAACAUGAACACAACAUAGUACUUCUGAUAUAAUGCAUGACGACAAUUUCAUGUUUAAGUCAAUCAAAUCUAAUGCCCUGCAUGCUUUCCAUAAUGUCUAUGCCUGUUUCAUAAUAAUAAUAAGAAGAAGAAAAGAUAAUUAUUUGUUAUAUUUUAACUAGACACACAUAAGUUGAAAACAGAUUCAAGCUCUUACACAGCCAACGACGUUAAGACUCUUAUCUGUCUGAUUAAGUCCCCUGUUUCUCUUGCCACAUACAAUCUCCAACGCUAAAAUGCCGAAGCUAAAGGCAUCAGAUUUUACAGAAAAUGACCCAUCAACGGCAUACUCCGGUGCUAUAUACCCACUGCAAGACAUCAUUACAUGCAUCAAGAACAAUUUACAUACAUAUUUGUAAAAAAGCAAAAAUGGUUUUGGAUAACGUGACACUCCCUAGGUCCCUAUUACUCUACUUGUGUUUCCUUCAGAUUGGUCUCCUGCAUAAGUUCUGGCCACUCCAAAAUCUGAUAUUUUUGGUCUCAAUUUUUCAUCGAAUAGGAUGUUAGUUGCUUUGAGGUCUCUAUGUAUAAUCGUUAAUCAGGAAUCUUGAUGAAGAUACAUAAGCCCCCUUGAGAUUCCACUCACUAUGUCAAAACGUUGAGGCCACUCUAGCAAUUUACUUCUAUUAUAACCUGUUUUAUUCAACAUGAUUUUUAAAAUUUAGUAAUCUGCUGAUGUCAAGAGCAACCAAAGCCAUGCUUUGCUCAUUUUCCAUACCAAAAAUUAAGGAGUCUAGGCUGCCGUUUGGCAUGUAUUCAUGGAUUAGCAUUCUUUCUUGUCCUUGAAUGCAACAACCAUGAAGUCUUACAAGAUUCCGAUGUUGAAGUUUUGCAAUCAAAUUUACUUCAUUUAUGAACUCUGUCACUCCUUGCCAUGAAUUCCUUGAUAGAGUGUUUACAGAAAUUUCUUGCCUGUUGGCUAAUAUUCCCUGCAUACCCCUUGUAUACAGGUCCAAAACCACCUUCUCCGAUCUUAUUUUCGGUGGAGAAAUCAUUAGUGGCAGUUGCAAUUGUCUGUAGAUCAAACAAUUGGAUGUCCAGAACUCCAGCUUAUUCAUAUGUUCUUCCCUGACUCCCUCCCUGUUAUCAUUUGUGAAUGAAUUUCCUACAAAACAGAGAAAGGCCUUCAAUAAUGUUAUUGAAUGAAAUUUAAAUUAGCAAAAAUAAUAAAAAGAGAAAAUAAACAGUGUGAAGUUUGUCAUCAACCGUCAUUAAUUUUGUUGACUUCCUUAAUAGCUACCUUAAAAGUCAUACAAAACAUGAUUAAUUGAUUGAUCACCGUGUAAAAACUUUUACACUAACGGUGCAUAGCAAUUAAGCUCUAAAAAAAUGAAAAUUACAUAAGAAAAAUAAAACAAAAUAUAUGAUUUCAUUUGGUUCAAUAUUAGCAAAUUUUAAACUCAAGAUCAAAUAACUAACGAAAUACAACUGCGUGUUAAAAUUUUGAUACAUGAUGAUUAAAUCAUGACAGUUUCCAAUUUGCAGAAUUCAUUGUAAAAAACAAGUUUUAAAGAAACUGGAAUUAUAAAACGAAAUUUGUUCUCUCUCGAUUCAUGACAGUUUCCAAUUUCACUCUGCCACUAAUGACUUCACCAAAAAUAAUAUCGGAGAAGGUGGUUUUGGACCUGUCUACAAGGUAAUCAUUCUUUGAUCAAUACAACCAAAUAAAAGAAAGAAAUAUAAAUAUUAUUACAGAUAUCAUGUAUGCAUGGAAUAUUAACCAACAGGCAAGAAAUUGCAGUAAAGGCUCCCAAAAUACCAGUUAAUUUGGAGCUUUUUCUAACUUAGUAAUCGGUCCAUAGGAGUUGAGAUAGGUUUGCAUCCAAGCCUUUUGUAUUUUGGAUAAAAAAUCAGUACAGAUUUUGUUGAGAUAGAAAGAUUCCUUGAGUAGUCAAACCAAUUUUUGCUUCUAGUUCUACUUCUCUUUGUCAUCAUUUCCAGUUAUUAUGAUGCCAUCUAUACAAACUAGGAGUGUUUCACUCCCCCAAGAGUUAUGUGUGUAAUAAAGAGGUUGUUUGAGGUGAAAUUUGCUUCAGUCUGAAUGAAUUACUAAAUCUGGUUCUAUGCAAGUUCUUAGAAUUUGAUAAAAUUUGAUAGAGAUGAGGUUUGUCUUUGUGGGACCAAAGACCAAGUCACGGUUCCCAUGCACAGCAUAGGAACUUGAGACCCAGAAAAAAGUUUAAAUUUUUUAUUUAUUUAUGAAAAUCGAAAAAAGUAUUAAAAAUUUAUAAUAAUUUACGUAUGCUCAAGCAAAUGAGAUAGAUAUUUGACGAAAUGAGAACACCCUAUUUGUUUCAAUUCCUCUUUGAUUCAAGAGGCCAGUAUAUUGAAAAUUUAUAAUAGAUAGGGUGAUCGAUACAAGAGUAAAACAAAAUAAAUCCUAAUAAAGGAAACAAUUGCUCGAUCAAUUAUGUAAAUAAAUCCCGUGUUGUAAGGAAUUGUAGGUCGACUAUCCUAAUUAUUAUAUUUAUACCAAAUAUUCAUCCACUAAACAAUUAUUUUUAAAGUUUCAUAUUUACGACUAUACAAUCCCCAUUCUUUUCCAUACCAUACAUAACGAUUAAUUGUACCUGAUUGGUUUGUUACAGUUCUGGUCAUGGCUGAAUUAUUCACUAGGCUGUAGGUGUAGUAAAUCUCAUCCUUAUUUCUUGACAAAAAUCAAGUAAAAAAUGGGGUUCUUCUGUUGAUCUGGCAUUCCACUAAAAUAUAAGCCAUUCCAAGGUCCACACCGGAGCAAGUUUUGUGAUCCCUUGAUUAGAAACAAAUCCAAAUUUCACAUUGACUAGAGACAGUGUCAAGAUAAAACAUAUAAGGUGAGGAUAAUUCUCACGAGCUAAUUUUUAGGAUUGAAUUAGGUUCAGAUUUUUUCCUGAUAUCAGAGCCUAUUCUAGAUCCAUUCAAAAGGACCACGCACCAAGUCCAAAGAGUACUGGGCGUGAGAGGGUGAAUUAGAAAAAAACCCAAAAAAACCCAAACAUCUCCCGGGGAUGGAUCAUCAGGACUCUUCCAAGAAGUGUAUCUCCGAUUCAGACCAGUUCGGAGGUUCGAACCUAACUUCAUUCCUGGCAAGAGUGUGUCAGAUGAAUUGUCAAAACUUUGCCACAAAUACGCUUCUGGGUCUGCUUGUCCCUUGAUUUUUAUCACAAGAUUGCCACUGUCCAAGAGCACUACCACAGGAUUCUGUGCUUGUUUGUGAGAGUUGUUGGGACAAGAUUGCCUGUGUUGUUGAGUGUUAAGAUGCCUGAGGAAUCUUGAUGGGGUUUUAGCAACCCAAACAACUGUCUUGUUUCUGGGAACUACCAGGGCUGAAAACCCCAAGUUCAAACUUUCCAGCUUCUGAUACCAAGGUCUUCCCAUCACUCGUGGACUGGAGCAGGUUGAUAGAAUCAUUUGCUACCGAAAUUUUGAGAGGAGGAACAAGUAUGCAUGCAAAUAGAAUCAUGAAAGAAAGAAAGUCCAUUGAAUCACAGCUUUUGUGGUACUCCGAUACUUGGAUAAUAAUGCGAUAUGGAUUAAGCCAGGUGAAUCAUGAACACGAAAAUGGGAAAAUCAUCAGUAUAAGCUAUUAUUAUUAUUAUUAUUAUUAUUAUUAUUAUUAUUUUCGACAAUAAAAGGAAAACCCAUUAAAGAAAGAGAAAGUUGAAUGGCAGCAAAAGAAAUGCUGUUGUCCAGCAUAAGAAGUUCUGAUACAGAUAAUCUAUAGUUUAGGACAAUCAAAGCAUAAUCUAUAUAUAGUUCUCUGACGAAUGCUUGACGUAUGAUUUAGUUCAUCAAUAUUCUAUAGCUUCAAUUCCAAGUCAAGCACGUAACCUAAUAACCUAUUAUGACCCUUUAUUUCAUCUCCAUCAUUUUUAUUCAUGUUUUUUUUGAGAAUCUUAUAGUGUGUCCGUUAGAUUAAAUUAAUUUUUAUCAAUAAAUUUCGGCUUAUUAUAAGUUUAAGCUUAAUUUAAUCUUGAUGUGAGAUUUCUAGCAUACAUUUUUUACGUUAAGGAUUUGAACAUCUCGAGCAUGAAGUGUGCUUCACGACAUUUGUGAAUGCAUGGUAUAAUAAUAUCCUCGCAUAUAAUAUGAUAGGCUCAACAAUACUUGUUAAGAUAGACUCUAAUAUUAUAUUAUAUUAGGAUGUAAGUUUAAAUUUAACUUAAUUUUAAUUUUAAAGACCAACUUAUAAAGUCAAAAUCUUUUACUUAUAUACUCUAUUUUAGUCUUAACUCUAGAUGUAUCUCUAACAUUUAUCAUAAAAAAAAAUGAUACCAUUACAUUUUCUUUUUGGUGUCAAUUUUUCAUUUUCUUUUCCAAUUAAUUUUCAAAUAAUUUUUUCAUUUAUUAUUAUUUUAUUUUGAUUUAUUUUUUUACCAAAUUAAAAAUAUAAAAUAUAUUUUGUCAAUCAAUCUUUACUACUUGAAUGACCAUAUUUAAUGGAAUUUCUUUUUCCAACUUAGUUUUAUUCAAUGAUUAGAAAAACUAUGAUAUAAUAUAUAUAAAUGUAAUAAUAAUAUUUCUAUAUUCUUAUAAUAAAUUUUAAAAAACCUUUAUAUCUCUUUGAAAAUAAAAUUUGAAACUUACAUAUUUGGAAUACUUUUAGAGUCAUUUCGUCAGCAUUAAACGUUAUAGUAAUGUGUACAUCUCGAAAUUCAUGUUGAGGACAUUUAGUUGUUAUUCUUAUCCGAUUUUCCCUGAUAAUUGUUAUAUGAGAUAUUUCAAAAUUAAAGAUAUAAGAACGGACCGAAACGUAAUAAAAUUAAAUAAUAAACUCAUAUUCGUAUUCAUGUACAUAAAAUACAAAUUAAUCACAAUUGAUGAAAUUAUUAAAAUAUUUUUAUUCAUAAAAUUAAAUAAAAAAUAAAUCAAGUUUUAUUUUUAGUCUUAUUUUGAUGGUAAUAAGAUUGAUAAGAUUGUUUAUUUUGGCUUAUAUUACACACACACACACACACAUUCAUUUCAUUUUCUUUCACUAAUAUUAAUCAUAGGAAUGAAUUAGAGAAAAAAAAGAAGAUAAGAUUGUUUAUUUUGGCUUAUAUUAUUUAAAUUUAGCUAAGAUGGUUUAGUUUGUUCUUAUAUUAUUUUAAUGCUAAAUUCAAGUUGAAAUUUUGUAAAAAAAGAAAAUCUCAAAUUAGUCUCCCAAAACAAGGACGCUUGUUGGCAGAUAACUUUUCUUCUUAAAACAUGUGAAUAUGGAGAGAGGUUUCUUCCUUAAAGACAUCCUAAUACUUUGAGGGAUUAUAUAUCUUAGCUCUCGACUGAUCAAUAUGUCCUGGAUUCUCUAAAACUACAAGGAAUCUUUAAUUAUUAAAAAUAAUAUUUAGUAUCUUAAGAUUAUAAAAUGAAAUAUUAAUUUUAGGUCUUACAUUGAAAAGACGAAAAGUUUAAAAUGUCUAGAAUUUGUAAUUUGAAGGAAGAUUUAAUAGUUUUUCAUAGUUAAAUUAUGUCUGUAAAAAAUUAAAUUAGAUAUUCAUCAAUAGGUAAAUAAAUUAGGUUGAGAAAAUGAAUGGAAUGUUUAUUCAAAAUUUUAUGCAAAAAGACAAAUACUAUCAGGCUCGAUCUCGAUGAUGUUAUUUUUUUCAUGAGACUUCAAUUCACGACUUGGCCAAAGAUGCUUUCUUGUAAGUUUUGCAUUUGUAACCCACCUCAAAUGUCCCUUUCGUAUAUUUAAUAUCAACCACAAGCCGGCAAAUAUAUAUAUAUAUAUAUAUAUAUAUAUAUAUAUAUAUAUAUAUAUAUAUAUAUAUAUAUAUAUAUAUAUAUAUAUAUAUAUAUAUUAUCCUAUGAGAGGAAAUGGAAUGCUGGAAUUUAAUAUAAAGAAUCACAUAAAAAAAAAACUUACGUGACUUCUUAAAUAAUCACAUAACAUUAAAUAUUAAUAAUUUAUAUUUGAUUUUAUGUUCUAUAUUUAAUCCUUCCACUCUCUUAUAAAAUAGAUUCCUAUCCUAUAUACAUAUAUAUCUAUCCUAUAUACACAUAUAGAGAGAAUGUUAAUGUAAACAUCAUAUUUUUUUGGCAGCAGUGUAUUAGCAAUCAACACCAUAUAUAUUAUUUAAAUAAAAAAUCAUUAAACCUCUUUGUGUUAUUAAGUUUAAUAUAAAGAUAUUAUAAUAAUUUAUUAUUUAUUUUUAAAAUAAUUAUUUCUCUCUUCUCUUUCUUCUCUAUCACCAUUAAAUUAGUUUUCAUACAUCCUCAUCUUUCCUCUCUAUAAACAUUAAAACAUCAAUAAUCUUUUCUCUCUCAUAAAUAUUAAAUUGGAAUACAUAUUUAUUGUAAAAAUAAUAAGUGUGAUUGAUUUAGAUUUAUUUUAAAGAAUAAUAAUAUUUAUGCUAUUUAAAUGAAUUUGAAAAAUAACUAUUUUCCACAAACAAUUUAUAGUCAAAAAAUGAUAAAUUAUGUUAUUUUUGUAAUGUUAAUGAAACAAUUUAUAAUGUUCUUCUCAUAAUGAUUUUUUUAUGUAGAAAGUUUUUGUAAUGUUAAUAAAACAAUUAUUAUUUUUUAUUUUGUUAAACAAGUAAACAUUUACAUUAUCAUAUUUUAUAUUUCUUUAUAUUCAAUUGUAUGUUUAUUGUAUAGUAUAUAAAAAUUAACUAUUUCAUAUUAAUUUGAUUUAUUUAGACUUAUGUUCCUGAAAUUAUAAAAAUACUCUAAAUUAAUAUAUAUUUAUUUUUAUAACACACACUUGCUUGGUGUUUUUACUCUUUAGUCUUUAGUUAUAAAGACUUCAUGUGACGAAAUUACUUUUGCAGGUGUAACAUCAAGCCUGCACCAAAGAAAAGAAAUGAAGUUUGAAGAGUAAGUAGGUAAUUAACCUGUGUAAUGUUCAUUAAAGGAAGGUAUCGACGAGGAGGAUGAUUAACUAUACUGGUUUUGUUAAAGAUUUUACCUUUAUAUAUAUGACUACUAUGUAGGAUUUCAAAAACUGGCAGUGAUUUUAUCAUACUUUCAAGGGCCAGAGCUUACAUAUGACAUUCUGAUUUCAGGCUUGUACUGUGAAAAUAUUUAGAGCUCAGAUGUAUUUUGUCUCACUAUUUAAGUGUAGAGGGGCUAGAUUAGAGUGAAAGAGAGAUGGAGAGAAUCGUUACAAAACAUUAAGAGAAAAAAAAGAGAAAAAAAUAUUGUCAUUUUUACACAUCCACUAAAAAGAGUUUUUCAGAUUGUAACUGUAAAUUCAUUUAUCAUUGGAUUAGACAAAUUUUUGGACAAUAGAUUUUACACAUAUGAUACUUUAAAUUGUUCGGUUGGAUUGUCAAAAAAAUAUCUGGAGAGAACAUUAAGUACUUUGCAUUUUUUGCUUUGCAUUUUGCAUUGAGAUUUUAUCUUCUUGUCUCUCUAUUUUAAGCAUUUGUGUUCUAUUUUGAUCUAAUUAUUUGUAAUACAUUUUAGUGUACUUAUUAGGCAUGACAACGGGGCCCGAACCCGUGGGGUCCGCCUUGGACCCGCCUCGAUUUUGACGGGGAAAAUCCGAGUUAAUCGGGAUCGGGGUUGAGGUCGGAUUUUCCCCGAUAGCCAAAUCCGGGUUCAGGGUCGGGGAUGAGAUUCUCAAUACCCGCCCCGAACCCGCCCCGCUAAUUAUUAAUAUAUAUAACACAUUGAAAUAUGAAACUAUUAGAUUAAAUUUUAUGUUAGUGUUGAAUUGAAUUUUAUGUUUUAUUUAAAAUUAUAUUUUUUAUUUUAUGAAAAAUUAUAUUUUUUAAUAAAAUUUUAUAAAAAUGUCGGGAACGGGGCGGGAAAAACCUGAACCCCAUCGAGGAUGGGGAUGAGAUGUAAAUAUACACCCCUGUCGGUUUCGGGGGCGGGGGAGGGGAGGGAAAUGGGGAGUCGGGGGCGGGGGUGGGAUAAACAAAACCCAACCCUGACCCGCCCCGUUGCCAUGCCUAGUACUUAUUUCAGACUCUCUUGUAUCUUUAUUGAUUGUAGUAGAGUUAUAUUUUGUUGGUCUGAACGACCUGGGGUUUAUACUCUUGCACCGAGAUGUUUUACACGUUAAAUAAAUUGUGUUUCAUGUGUGUUUUUGAUUUUUAUCUUACGCUUUAUAUUUUAUUUUAUUAGUGCCUUUCACAUGUUUUCAGAAGUUUAGGAAAAUUUAUUUUCACUGACUAUUAUUCUAUUAUUGAGUUUAUUAUUGUGUUAAAAAUGUUUUCGGCAUCAUUUCAUGUUGCAUUUCAUAUACUACUAGUACUUUUUCAACAUUUAAGGGAAAACACUAGAGUCUUAUUUAAGCCAUCCAAAACUUACGAGUAAUAUUAAUAAUCUAGGUAAGUAUGUAUUAAAUAAUUUAGAUAACUUACAAGUAUGUAUUAAAUAAUUUUAUCACAAUUAGCAAGCUUAUCAUAAUAUGUUGAAAAGAACUUUCUGGCCGGAAUGUCAUAAAUUAAUCCUGAUCACUUUUGCAUACAAGUUCUUACAAAUUUCCUAAGAUUUCAAUAGUUUUUUUUGCUCAACCAAAAGAAGUAUAUAUUAAAUGAGGAACAAGGGUACCCCCAACACAUUUACAUAAUAAGUAUUAUCAUUUUCAAAUAAACUGCAUUCAUACCAGCACUCUGAUCUAAAAUCUAAACUGAAAUGCUAAACAACAAAUAUGUUCAUAAACCUGCACCUGCAUAUCAGCACACCUCAUAUAUUUAUAUUUAGUGUGUGUCCAAUUAUUCUUUCACAAGUCAUCGACCUUCUAACAUGGUAAUCGUCACAUAAUUUGAUGAACUCGUGUUUUGCGGAUUCGAGUGUAAAUCUAAUUCACCUAAAACAUUUACCGAAAUAAAACCAUGUUCUUUAGGCUCAACCAUUUCCAUGUGACCCUCCAACAUUGGAAUCACAGACUUCAUUGGAGGUCUAUCAUCUGGGAACUGCUGCACACACAAAAGACUAACAUGGAUGCAACGUUGUACUUCUGAUAUAACGCAUGACGACAACUUCAUGUUUGAGUCAAUCAAAUCUAAUUCCCUGCCCGCUUUCCAUAAUGUCCAUGCCUGUCUCAUAAUAAAAAUAAUCGAAAAAAGAUAAUUAUUUCUCUUAUUUCAAUUUGAUAUGCAUAAUAUAUCAAAAUAGAUUCAAGCUCUUACAUGACCAACAAGGUUAUGACUCUUAUCCGUUUGAUAAAGUCCUUUGUUUCUCGUCCCAGAUACAAUCUCCAACGCUAAAAUGCCAAAGCUAAAGACAUCGGAUUUCACCGAAAAUGACCCAUCAACAGCAUACUCCGGUGCCAUAUACCCACUGCAAGACAUCAUCAAGAACAUUAAUUUACAUAGUUAUUUGUAAAAAUGCAAAAUGGUUUUGGAUAUCGAGACACAUACUAGGUUCCUACUACUCUUCUUGUCAUUCCUUCAGAUUCGUCUCCUCCAAAAGUUCUGGCCACUCCAAAAUCUGAUAUUUUUGGACUCAAAUUUUCGUCAAGUAGGAUGUUACUUGGCUUGAGAUCUCUAUGGAUAAUUCUCAAUCGGGAAUCUUGAUGAAUAUACAUAAGUCCCCUUGCAAUUCCACAAAUUAUGUUGAAGCGUUGAGGCCACUCUAGCAAUUUGCUUCUUUUAUCAUCUGUUUUAUUAAUUCAAGAAAAAAUGUUAUUCAACUUGAAUAUUCAAUUUUAGUAAUCUUCCGAUCUCACUUAAAGUCAUUAGCAACCAAAUCUAUGCACUGCUCAUUUUUCAUACCAAAAAUUAAGGAGUCUAGGCUUCCGUUUGGCAUGUACUCAUAAAUUAACAUUCUUUCCUGUCUUUGAAUGCAACAACCAAGAAAUUUUACAAGAUUCCGAUGUUGAAGUUUUGCAAUCAAAUUUACUUCAUUUAUGAACUCUGCAACUCCUUGCCAUGUGCUCUUUGAUAGAGUCUUUACAGCAAUUUCUCGCCCAUCCAUUAAUAUUCCCUGCAUACUCAUCGUCAUGAGUAGACACUUUGCAAUAAUAUUUAUAUUUCUUUCUUUUCUUUGGUUGUAGUGAUUAAAGAAUGAUUACCUUAUAAACAGGUCCAAAACCACCUUCUCCGAUCUUAUUUUCUGUGGAGAAAUCAUUAGUGGCAGUUGCAAUUGUCAGUAGAUCAAACAAUUGGACCUCCAAAUCAUCCAAAUCAUUUUUACUGUUAUCUUCUGGUAAUAAAUUUGCUACAAAAUCGAGGAAGGCAUUCAUCAAUAAUGUUAUAAAUGUUUUAAGGAAAUUAAAUUGCCAUAAAUAACAAAUAAAAAAGUAAAUAAGAUAUGUAGUUAUCGUUUUCACACUGUCAUUCAAUUACAAAUAAUCAUGUAUAAUAAGAUAAUCUUUUGAGCUUAAUAAUAACUAUUUUAAUAAUCAUACCAAAUAUGAAUUUUAAUUAGCUGAUGACUGUGUAAAGUUUUUUACACUAAAAAUAAUGCAUACCUAUUAAGCUCUAACAAAAAUAUGCAGUUUUAACUUAAUAUUAUAUUAUUAAUGAGAUAAAAUCAAUGGCAUGCUUGAAUGCUACUAGACUGUACUUUGUUGUUACAUGAUGAUUAAAUCAUGAGAAUUCCAAUUUGCAGUACUUACAGUACAAAAAAGUUUGUAAAGAAACUGGAAUGUUAAAACGAAAUUUGUUCUCUCUCGGUUCAAGAGACUGGUACUUUGAACAAUUAUAAUAUAAGGGGCUAAAAGGGAAGCUAAAUCAAUUCUAACAAAGGAAAUAAUUCCCUAAUUAAUUACCUUUGGAAAUAACCCUAUGAUUUAAGGGAUUGAGGGUUGAAUAUCCUAAUAACUAUAUUUAAAAUAAAUAUUUAUUUUCAGUUCUACACUUCAUCUCAACAUAAGAAAUAGAUACUGUUUUUCAAUCUCAACUUAACUAUAAGUUCAUGAUAGUUUGAGUUGUUCAACCCCUCUAUGAGAACAUGAACAAAUUAUUGUUGUGAUAAAACAUGGGGCAUGCACACCAAAUCUUCCCCCAACUUUUCUGUAAUGAAAUAUCUAUGAAUUUUAAUAUGUUUUGUCCUCUCAUGUUGCAGAAGAUUAUAAGCAAUAUUGUUGUUUUUUUUUGCCAUCGUAAUCAUGCAAGAUCGGUCAAUAUUGAUUUUAAAAUAAUUUAAGUUGAGCUCAGCAUAAGUUUUUAAAAUUUGAUAAAUUUUAUAGAUUAGGGCCGGUUCCACCUCUUUUAAACUAGCCUCCGAACCCGGUCAUCUUUUUGUGGGUUCCUAAUAAUUGUAUUUAUAACAAAUAUUCUUUUAAUAAUAAUUAAGGUUAAUUAUAUUUUUGAUCUUUAUAUAUUUUUCUCUCUCUAUUAACAUAUUUAGUCUUCAUUGUCAAGUAAGAAGGCUGGUUAAUAACAUGAUUAUUACUUUGACAACCACAUGCCAUCAAUUAGUAUGGCAGGAUAAGUCAUGCAUGUGGCUUCCAGGGUGACUAUCACAUCAUCUAUUAACAUUAUUACUUGAUAAAAAUGAAGAAAAAAUAUAAGAAAAACAGACAACUUUUUACAGAGUUUUAGGACAAAAAUCAUAGUUCACCCUAAUAAUUAUAAUUACAGUUUCAUAUUUACUACUAUAAAAAUAUAUUUAUAGAAAACAAGAAAAGGGCAGUCAUGUGUUCAAAAUAACUGUGGGUAAGCAAUUACUUACCAGCGCUGUUCCUUGGGCUUCUGUUCCUUCGGAUUCUGCAAAUAAAAUAAGUACUUAGAAAAAGAACCCCACAAAUUGCAGCAAUGGACGAAGCAACUAUCUUUGGCGUGUUGUUCUUGUGCCUUGAUACUGGUUCUUGAGAGUCUGAAUAAUCAAUUAAAAGAAGAAACAAAUCAAAAAGAGUAAAGUUAGACUGCUAUCAGAUAUGUUUGAGUAAACUUCUCUAGAAACAUUUCUAGGAGAAGAAAAUAAAUGACCGUCUCCACAAGCUAAAAUGUGUUAUAUUAGUUAGCUUGUAGAUAUUAUUUUAUGUUUUAGAGAAGUUAUAUCAGAAUUUUUUUAUGAAUUAGUAAAUGAAGAACUCAUUUUACCUUAUAAAGAAACUUACCUCAUUUUUUAUUUUAUUUUUUCUCUUAGAAAUACUUCUAAAGGAAAAAACUGGUCCCUUGGUGUUCCAAUUAAUUGAAAUGAGAAGAUGAAAGUUGAUGAAUGAUGAUGCUUACCUGACUCUGAAGCAGCCAUUCUGAUAUAUAGAUCUUGGCCAACACUUUCAAACUGUCUCAUGUCAAAGAGAUCAUGAAACCACAUGACACAACCACUACCUUCACCAUUUAUGUCUGAAUUAGUAAAGGCCAUACAAGAACAAUUAUUCAAGCACUUGACUCUGCAUUCCUCUAGACCAAUACUCUCAUCCACAAAAGUGUACGUAGUAUCUGGAACUUUGAGAGAUUUAAAUUUGAAAAACUUAUCUUUGUCUGUACCGUUGCAGCUUAACCCUUUAUUGCGGACACACCCUCCAGUCCAAUCCGACGAUGAGAACCAUGCUUGUGGUGACUUUGGACUGAAACCUUUUAAACAUUGGCAUGCUUGUGUCUGAGUAAUUACGCAGUUCCCGUUGGGUCCACAGAGGCCAUAACUGUCGCAAAAUUCUUUCGGGUAGUAUCUAUAUAGUCUCCAUGUUUGACCAUUUUCAUCCCAUACAUAGCGAUCAAUCUGACCUGUUUGGUUUGUUAUAGUUCUGGUGAUGUCAGAAUCAUUUAGGAGGGUAUAGGUGUAGUAGAUCUCAUCUUUAUUGCUAACAAAGUGCAAGUUAAAAAGGGUGUUAUUUGAUAGAUCUGGUUGUCCACUAAAGUAUAGGCCAUUCCAAGGUCCAUAACGGUACAACUUUUGUGUUCCCUUCAUCAUAUAAAGCUCAGGAUAGUUAUGGAGUACUAAAGCACGAUAAACAUCACCUGGGGAUGGGUCAUCUGGACUCUUCCAAGAAGUAUAUCUCCGAUCGAGACCAGUUCGAAGGUCCCAUCCCAACUUCAUCCCUGGCAAGAGUGUAUCAGAUGGAUAGUCAAAACUUUGCCACAAAUAAGCUUCUGGGUCUGUUUCUUCCUCGUUUUUUAUCACAAGAUUGCCACUGUCCAAGAGCGCUAGCACAGGAUUCUGUGCUUGUUUGUGAGAGUUGUUGGUGUACCAAACAAGAGAUGUCUUUUGUGUGAGAACAAGAUUGCCUGUGUUGUUUAGUGUUAUGAUGCCUGAAGAAUCAUUGAUGGGGUUGGCCCCAUUAGCUACCCAAACCACGGUUUUGUUUGGGAUAUUCUUGUACCAAAUGCCCAGAUAACGUUUCUGGGAACUACCUGGGCUGAAAAACCCAAGUUCAAACUUUCCACCUUUUGAUACCAAGGUCUCGCCAUCUCUCACAGACUGGAGCAGAUUGAUAGAAUCAAUCGCUAAUGAUAUUUUGAGAGAGGGAACAAAUAUGCAUGCAAAUAUAAUCAUGAAAGAAAGAAUCUCCAUCGAGUCAGCUUUUGUGGUACUUCGUUUUUUGGAUAAUGAUGAUAUGGAUUAAGCCAAGUGUAUUGUAAACACGAAAAUGUGAAAUUUAUAAGCUAUCUCCCAACCCUUUUUGAAAUUUCCUACUCAACUACAGGCAUUUCAUACAUAACAUAGGAUUAAUUGACCAUUGUGCCUGACGUAUGCUUUGAUUUUCAUUUUAACUUGAAUUCCAAGUCAACUGCUAAUCCUGUAUUUCGUCUCCAUCUUUUCUAUUCAUGUUAUUUUGAGAAUGUUGCUUUCGGGUUAUGAAUUAUCAUGUGCCCGUUUUCUUUUAGUGUUUAUUUGUUAUAUAUGUUCCAAUUAAUUCUCAAUGUUCCUUUCAUUUAUUAGACUUGUAAUUUGUACUCAUAAAAUAAGUGUUUUAAGAGUAUUUUCAAUAGAAAUUUGGUAAUUGAGUGUUUUAAGUUAUUUUUUGUGGUCUCAUUAUUUUUUUUUCUUCAAAGUGUCUAUGUAAGAAAUUCAUACACAGUUUUACUUCAAUGGUAAGAAACUCUACAAAAUUUUAAGAAAUUCAUACUUUUAUAUUUUUUUAUUUUCACUUAAUUAUGAUAUUUUUAUGUGUUAGAUAAAUAUUAUUUUUUAUUGCUAAGAAACAUUUUCUUUGAGAAGAUAAUAUCUUAUUUUUAAGAAAUUCUUCUUAUCACAUAGAUUUGCUCUAAUGGAAAAGAAAAGAUUUUUUUCACUUAAGAAACCUUUCAAAAAAAAACUCCAUUGAAAAUGUUUUAAGUUGUUUUACAUAAAUAAAUAAUUUAAUAAAUAGAUAAAAAUAAUAAUAACUUGUUAAAAUUAACCUUAAUAUUACUAUUACAUUGAAAAGGGCAUUUAUUAAAGAUAUUAAUGAAAAAUAAUAAUUAAUAUUACAAUGAAAAACUAAAUUAUACUUACUUGGUCGCAAUUUUUUUUCUAUCAACUAAACGAUACUAAGUUUUAAACAUAGGGAGUGAAGUAUUAGUUUUUUUGUUAUCAUCUUAAAUAUGUAAGUAUCUAUCAGUUUCAUGGAUGACUAAUACCUAACAAGAAACCUAACUAGCCAACAAAUUUUAGUACUAAGGAUCACAAAACUAUGACAUAAUAUAUAUAAGUAAAGAACAAAUAUGUUACACAUGAAUAUUAUAAAAUGAUUUUUACAUUAUUAUUUAAUCAAAAUUCAUCAUGUUUGGUAAGUUUUUUAGCUUUUAUUUUAAUCACUUUAAAAGUUAUAUCAACGAUAAUUUAUAAUUGAGUGACAAUGUAAAACUAUUUUAUACUAUCAUGACCAUUAAACUCAUAAAUAAAUAUAAUAAUAAUGAUUUUAAUGAUAAUUUAAUGACAAUGUAAAAUAGUGUUUUUACACUUCACUCAUUCACAAAUCACCAUCAAUCUAACUUUUGAGAAAAUGAUAAUAAAAGUUACUAAACUUAUCGUAAAUGAUGAUUGAUGAUUAGAUGUGAUAAUAUAAAAUUAUUUUAUAAUGUCAGUAUAAAAUCUUUCUUUUUACUAUUUUUUAAUUAUAAUGAAUUAGAAAAGCAACUUUAUAUUGAUUUGAAAAUGAAAUUUGUAUUUGCAUAACUAUAAAAUAAUUGUGUUACUAUAGCUAAAAAGAUUUAUGCCGUUUAUGUUAACUUACAUGUGUUUUAAGUCUUUUAGGGUUAUUUACUAGGGGGUCUUGUCUAAUUGGUUUAGGGGAGAAUAUGAGUCAUUGUAAAUCCCUUAAUAAGGGUGUAAGUGAAUAUGAGUCUCUCACGAAUCUGGAUUGACUCAAAUUAAUUUAAACAGUUUGAAUUGAGUAAUUUUUGUAUUUGAAUAAUUGAAUCAAUUAAACUUGUUAAGUUUUUGGUUGUGUUAUGAUUUUUAAUAUCCAAACUAGUUGAUCUGUUGAUUUGGCCUGUUAACCUGUUAUUUUGUAUUAAGUUAUUAUUAUUAUUAUUAUUAUUAUUAAUAUAUGUAAUAUAUAAUACAUAUUUUUUAAAUAAAAAAAUUCAAAUAUUAUUGACUAUUGAUUACAUAGACCUAUCAACCUGAAUUGAGUAAAUAUCAAUGCAUCAUUAACCUUUAAGAUCAAAGAGUUGGAUUUUAUUGAUUAAAAUUACUUUAGAUGAACUUCUAAAAAUAUUUUGAAUCCAUUUAUAAAGAGUAGGCCUUGUAAUAUCAUCAUCAAUGGAUAGAUAUAUAGAUAGACAGAUAAGAAUCACUGGAGUUAGCUAGGUGUGGCAGCAUCACAAUUUUUUUUUUAAAUAAAAAAUCUAACAAGAAACAAUUGUAUCAAAUUCAUCUAAUAUAAAUUUUAUCUUAUAAUAAAAAUAUUGUAUUUUAAACAAGAAUAGACAAAAAAUAUAUAUUUUGACCCUUUGACCCAAUCCAACACAAACCGUUUAUAGACAAGUUGGUUUGAGUUGGAUUUUAUAUUUUUUCUUGAAAAAUAAUCAAAAUCAACUUAUUUGAAUUUGAUUGGAUUGAAUCAUAAAUUUUAUCAAAUAUAAUCCAAAUCCACCUACUUACAGUCCUAUCCCUUAAUAUUCACCUCUAUUCCUUAAUAUUCAUACUCGAUACUUAUAUAUAAAAAAAAUCUUUUGGUAAGAAUUUUUUUCUAUAAGCAUUUAAUGUUCUAGUAAUGGGUACAUUUUCAAAUUUCAUCUUCAACCACUCAAUUUAAAUAAUUUAAAGAUUAAAAUUGAUUCACUCAAAAAAUAAAAACUACUAACCAGUGAUAUGAUUUUAUUAUUUAUAAUUAAAUUAAUUGAUCAAAAUCAAUUAAUGAUAACACCAAAUAAUACUUCUCAUCAUGAUAUUUGUCAAUCUUAUUUUCCUCAAAGUGAGAUUUUGAAUUUCAUAAAAAAAGUAGCCAUGCAUAUCUAGACGUCUUUCUACAACAAACUCUUAUUUCUUUUAUGAAAAUUGUGGCUCAACGCCUUCUAACUGAACGGGGCAAAGCAACACCAUUGAAUAAAUAUAAGCCAUAGAAUGCAGAUAUAGAAAAAGACCAAAAUAUUUAGUAGCCUCCACGUAUAAGCAUGUGAUAAAAUUCUUCCAGUCAUGACAUAUCAAUAAAAUCAUAAGAUCUGAAAUUAUAUCAACACCAUUGAAUUCACAUAAUUGCCCACCACGUUUGUGCAUCUAAACUAGUUGAACUAUUCUUGUGAUUUGUUUUUCUUAUUGCAGAGUUGGGAACCAAUGCAGGCAAUGCUCUUCAUACACUAACACCCUAUCCCAAAAAUAGUAUACCCUUUUAUAUAUAAGAAUCUCAAUUGUAUGUUCUGUAAGAAUAAAUUAAUUUGAAGGAAAAUGAUAUUUUCUUUUAUUUAUCAUAGAGAUGAAUUAAAAAAAAAAAGAGAAGAUAAGAUUGUUUAGUUUUUGCUUAAAUUUAGAUAAGAUGUUUUAGUUAAUUUCUGCUUAUAUUGUUUAAAUUUAGACGUGAGGAGAAAUUGACCUGACAAAUUUAAUGUUUGAUUCAAGUUGAUUUUUCUUAAAAAAAUAUAUACUCUAACUAAUCUGUGAAGACAAGGAGCUUGUUGGUGGAUAUUGUUUAAAUAGAUGUUAAUAUUUUAAAGUAUUAUUUCUAAAAUUUCAGUUUGAGAUAUCUUGAGUUCACUAUAAAAAAUACAAGGAUACACCUCAAUUAUUAAAAACAAUUAUCUUAAGACUAUAAAUAUGAAAUAUUAAUUUUAAUUAAUUUUUACCUUUAAAGGAUAAAAAACUUAUUCUUAGUUAAAUUUUACUUGUUAAAUUUUACUUACCAUUUGAUUGAACAUCAUGAUUAUAUUAAUCAUGGUGUCUUUAAUUUUUCCUUGUGAAAAAGGGUUUAGGAAAAAAAUGAAAAGUUUAAAAUGUAUUUUUUAUAGUAUUAAAAACAUUCAAUAGUUUUUCAUAAUUAAAUUAGGUUGAGAGAGUGAAUUGAAUGUUUAUUCAAAAUGUUAUGCAAAAUAACUGGAUUGGUAAUGUAACUUUUGUUGUGAGACUUUAAUUUUCCACUUGGCCAAUGAUGUUUUCUUUUUUUGUUAGACUUUUUUAUUUUUGAGGAAUUGUCAGACUUUUCUAUCAUGCAUAUGUAACGGACUACUCACAUCUUUUUAUAUAUCUAAUAUCAACUACAACUAUAUAUAGUUAACAAUUCAUCAUUAUUUGCCUCCGAAGUGUAUGCUGUAAACCAAUUGAAAGUCGUAUUGGCUUUACUAAUUUGGAGUCUGUUGGCUGACAUGACACGCUUUGAAAUGCAUUUAAUACUUAUAAUAAAUGAAACAUGAAGAUAAUUACAUAUAUAUAUUUUUAUCCAAAAUUGAAUACGAUGUUUUAUAGUAUUCAUGCACUUUAUUUAAUCAAUUAAACCAGACUUAUUUAAUAGAUGAUAUAUCAAGUAUAAGAACACAGAAGGAGAUUAAAAUUAUUUAUAAUUAUCUGCUUUUGUCUAACUUCAAGCAAAACAAGAAUAUAAUGAACAUUUUCUCAGACCCUGCCCGUUUUGGUAUGUGAUUUGACUAAAUCUUAGUUGUUUGUGUAAUUGAUUUUUUCUUUCUUUCAAGGGAACGUAUUUAUGAGUACCAAGAAAGGACAAUAGGAUUUGAGCGCGCGGGGGUCAAAAUUAAUUCGGUUUUUUAAUUUAUGAUGAACAACAUCAGUUUUAUUUAACAAAAUCGAUGUUAACCUCAAGUGGUUAACUGAUCGGUUUUGUUAAAAAAAUCGAUGUUGUUCAUCAUAAAUUAAAAAGCCGAAUUAAUUUUGGCCCCCACGCGCUCAAAUCCUAUUGUCCUUUCUCCCGUGUCGUUGCUCCUUUCUCCUUCGUCUCAACUGCGCUGCCACGAUUGAAGCUAGCAUUGUCGCAAAACGAGUUCGUCUCUGCCGCAAUGGAGUAUAGAAGCCNNNNNNNNNNNNNNNNNNNNNNNNNNNNNNNNNNNNNNNNNNNNNNNNNNNNNNNNNNNNNNNNNNNNNNNNNNNNNNNNNNNNNNNNNNNNNNNNNNNNUGUUUACUCACUUCAUCCUUUUCAGUUGACACUGCUUAUAAUUAUUGGUUUGCUUAUGUUUACACAUAGGAUUGUUAAUCAUUAAUUUGAGUUUCAUCUAUUAUACUUCUGUAUGCCUUGUUAAAUUUUAUAAUUUUAGUUGUCUUUUUUAAUGAAAUUUCUUUGAAUCUGAGAGUGCGAUUUUUAUGUGUUGUGGUCUGAAUUGGGUGGUCUCAAUGAACGAUUAUUGGUUGCAAAGGAGGCAUCUUGUGUGUCAGUUCUGGUGUUUCUGUGACACGAAGGAUGACACUCCUUUCUCAUACUGGUAUUUUGUAUAUUGUUUUUUGUAUAGCUUUGUUUUAAAAUGCAACAGCAGCUCACAAUUAUGGGCUCUGAUUUUGUGAUAUUGUUAUUUCUUGUAGGUUGCUCUGAAUAAUUUUGCAGGGUAGUAUUAUUGUUUGUUCCUGUUCAAUUUCAGGUAUUUAUUUAAACUUUUAAAUUUUGAUUAUAAGUGCAGUACAAUAGUUGAUUUUGUUGAUAUUUUUUUUACUAAUAAUAACAAUUAUAGAGACAAGCUAGGUUGAUUAUGUUUGCAUCAUUGACAACCUAACAAGGACAAUCUUGUAUGAACCCCACACUUAGCCACCCAUUUAGCAAAUACAGAGAUUGAGCUAAUUAUGCCUAGACCAUCAAAAACUUAACAAGGAAACCUCUCUCUGUACCCUAGACCCAGUCCCCCUAAGAUCACACACCAUAAUGAAUUUGACAAAGAAGCAACAACCUCAUUAUGUUUGCACCUUUGACAACUAGGACACUCUUCUUCUUGUCUGACAAACACCUCAAAGAAACCCUUGAGGAACAACUUUCUGACAUUCACUCUCAGUAGUGGGAAUGGAAACUUAGUUAAGCUAUAGCCCUAUCUGUUUCUCACUUUAGACACAUCAAUGAUCCAAGUUAUAAGCACCUAGCUUCAUUUUUUUAGGCAUGGAUACUAAAACUGUUGUUGACCUUUUCUACUUUGUGUCUACUCCACUUUUGUCUUAGGAAGAUACAUUUAUUUAUAAUAUGUAGUAAGGUAUGGGCUUACGAAAUUUAGAAGAUAGAUUUAGUUAAAAAAAUAUCCCAACUUGAAAAUCUGCUUGUUGUUUUUUGCUUAAAUAAUUUCUAAAAAAAAAUCCCAAUUGGCUGCAGAACUUGUUAAACCACAACAUUGACUUAUGACUUAUCCUCUUUUGAAAACAUUCUCUUCGCUAGUACCCAAGGUUGGUCCCUGCAAAUGCAUGACAUUGUGUUAGCUGUUGUAGUCAUCAUGUUCAAUGUUUGGACUAUAUGAUACUGCAAUGGUUAUUGGCAAAAAGCAGCAUUUUUAGUAAUGCUACUUCAGCCAACAUAAACUAGUCCUUCAUCUCUAAAUUUGUUAUAAGAAAUGGUCUCCAUAUUAAGAGGAACCAUGCUAAGGCUAACAACAUUAAGCAAGUUACUUGGUACCUCGUCCCCUUUGUAUGUAUGGCUUAAAUGUAACAGAGGGUUGAGGUAUCUUUGUAUAGGAAUCACAAAGGGGAUUUUGUUUCGUGUUUCUAUCAUAGGUUGGCCAUUCAGAAAUUGAUUUUUUCAAAGUUGAUGUAAGCUAUUUUAGCAAUUGAGAUUGUUGUCAGCAGCCAAUUGAGCAAAAUUUGGGUUGAGUGUCAUUCUCUGUUGCUGGUUCAAGCUUUUUAUGGUUUGUUAUUCUAGGUUCAACACCAGCGUCUUUAAGGUAGUCAUCCUCUGUAGUGCCAAAUUUCUUAUUCGUAUGAUUGGAAUCUUUGCUGGCAGUUGUGGUAGACUUAGAAUCAGAUAAUCCAUUUAAAUCAUCACUCCUGCUAUAUUCCUUAUCCUUCUAAUUAGAAUGUUUAGUAGGACUUGUGGCAGCCUUAGAAUCUUAUACUCCAUCUAAAGCUUCACUUCUAAUUUGCUCAAUUAUGGGCUCAACUUUCGGGAGUUUUAUCUCCAUGCAAUUUUCUAGGUUCACAGGUAGCCUUGUCUCUGUACUAAUGCCACUAACUUCAUGGUCUAAAGUGGUGUCAUCCUUUUGAAGCACAUCAUUUUCUAAAAAUUUUAUUUCCUGUUUCUUGAUCUCCCUAUCACUAGGAACUAUGGCAUCCAAAGCAUAUAAAUUGCCUUUAUGUGCGGAAACUUCCUCAUACUCAAUAUAGGACCAAACCCGUUUGCAACCAUACUUGUACUUAACCCAUUUUAAUUAUUACUUGCAAGGACUAAUACAUUUUCCAAGAUCCCAUAAAAAAUAGCCUAAGAGGUUAAAAAAUGAAAGGUAGUCUUCACUUCAGAUGGGCAGGCCUUAAAUAUCAAUGCAUAGAAUCCUAUAACGAAUUUAAAUGCAAAGAAAUCUCGUGAGAAUAUAAUCAUUCUCUCCAAACCAGAUACACCAAAGAACAUCAUACACAACAGAACAAGUAAAACAAACUUUAGCAUGAAAUUAUGAGUCUGUUAUAGCCUGUAUAUAGCACAUAUGAAGCAUGCUCUUUGUAGACCAAAUUUCUUAACAACUUUUGGCAGCUAGUGCCUUUGAGGAAAGAAACAAAUUGCAAAACAAAUUGCUACCAGAGACAAUAUCUAACGACACCAAGAUUUGGGAUAUUCUGCUUCUAGAAGGUUUGUGCCAACACAUCAUUACUUCACUGCAUAAUCCUUCAGGUAUUGCUGUUUGUAUAUUUCCCUAUUUGACCUUCUUCGUUCUGCCUUGAUUGGUUAUUCUGCAUGCUGUGUUUUUGUUGUUUCUUUUGUGUCUAUUGUUGCUGCAUAUUGUUCUGCCUCUUAUACCUCUUUAGCUGCUUCAAAGUGUUCUAUAUUUUGCUCUUCUUCCAUAACAGAGGCAUUUUAAAAAAUGAAAUGGUUAUACUAAAAAGAUUGUGUGGUAGACCAUGCUAAUCUAACAACUACUGUCACUUUAUGCCGGACAAUUUGGACUGAUAAGUGAUAAUUGAAGAGCAAAAGAAGAUUAGUUUAUAAUUUAAUAACAUUCUAGUUUCCAAAUAAUGCAUCGGCGUUAAUGCUAAUGCUACAUCAGAGUCUGACCCUAUUGAUUGAUAUCCAGGCUUGUCUGAGUAUAUGUGCUGCUCCAAAAAUAUUUUUGUACACUCACCUAUAGGAAGUUAUUGGGGUAGUAGGAUCUAGUUCCAUUGGCAUUAACUCUAAACCUCGGCCUUCACUUAUCAUCUUAGCAACCAACUCAAUCAUAGAAGCUGAACAAUUAAAUAGACAUAGAAAAUUAAGCACUCAGUAAAAGAACAAAUGGGAUAGCAUGACAAGUCAUAGAUAGUUCUGCCAUCCCAUUAUACAUCACAUUUAUUAGCGUAAAGAAUAAUGCUCCAAAGAAUUUUUCUCCAUCUUCAACAGUUCCCACUGACAUUUUUGUUCUAAGAAACAGAGUAAAUGUAAUAAUAGACAUGAUUGUUAUCUGUGUUGUUUUGAAUAUAUAGACAAAAGAACUGUGGUUCAUGAGUAGUGAUUCUCUUGAAAAACAUGCCUUAAAUAGUUCCCAGUUAGUUAUACCAUACUUGUCUUUCACUAAGGCAGUUGGUUGGGCUUGGCUCUUAUCAUAGGGAACUCCAAGCUCGGUGGCAAGUUGCUCUCCUAUGUCAAAUGAACUAAAAGCUUGCACAAAUUCUGGAACGGAAACAUAUUUGUAAGGUUCAUCUUUUCUAGACCAAUAUUGUUGCUGGUCUUUCUUGGAUGUUACUUGUAAAAAAUCAGCAACUCCUUUUCUCUCAGGACCCUUGAAACCCAUGUGUUCAAAUAACUCUAACCCAUUCUCACGUGGACCUUGAUAUACAAAUUGACCUUCUGAAAGUAGGAUAAUGUCAUCAAAGACUUCAAAUGUCUCUGGUGUGGGUUGUGGCGUCCCUAAAUAAUGACUGGUUUAAUAGUAAUGAUUUAAAUAACAAAAACCAUGGGAUUUUUUUUCCUUCGUUUCUUUCACUUUUUCACAGUAAUUAAGUUCAGAAGGAAAAUCAUCACUGUAGAGUCCUGAAUGGCCAGUUCAUAACUCUAUUCGGAGUCAUUUCUUUCUGAUCACGCGUAACCUCUAAAAUAUGUUGUUCUUUCAAAAAAAAUAAAAGUAUACCAGUCAUCAUUUUAGGUCGUCACAUGUAAAAUAAUAAAAUAAAAUGCGGUCGAUGAACUCUCUUUCAAAUAAAGUUUGUUAACACUUUCUACUCAAAUAACAAGAUUAAUCAUAAGUACCUUCAUCAUCUAAAGCUGUCCAAAAUAUGGGAGUUUUGCAAAAAUACAUAGUGACAUCCAGAGCAAAGGUAUCCAAUGUGGCUUCAGCCACAUGUAUACAAUCAUCAAAUUCCUAUACAAUAGGUCUACCCAUAUAAAAACAAAAAGAGUAAACCUAACAGUCUGUACUAGAUACACCCACCCCCAAAAAGUAUAUAAUCCUAGUCUAAGGAGCCGUCUGCUAUGAUGAAGAACCUCCGCUAGUCGCUAUCCCUCCAGGAUCGCUCUCCUCCGUAGAGUUUGCCUCAGAUGCCGACAUGACGUCCUCGGGAGAAUCCACCUCAGGGAGUGGGUCCUCAUCACCCUCUAGAAAGUCAAGAGCAUCCACAGCAGGCUGGAGGAGGUAGCUCCUCUAGGUCCUCCUCGGGGUCUUCCUCAGAUGACGUCACCUCAAUCACUUGGACUGGCUCCACUAGUAGAUAUGGAGUAGGUGUAGGUAAUAUCCACUCCACAGUGCGCUGAAGCGUGCGUGCUGGUUCCUCUGGAUGUACCAACGAAGUAGCCGUGAGUCGGAUCGUGCCACGGAAUCGGCACCUCGCAUUGCCUUCGAAGGUCUCCCAAACUCCCCCUAGGCACUCCAUCUCCACUCGGUCAUGGAUGAACUGCGCUGCCAUCACGAUCUACAAGAAAUAAAAGAAAGGGGGUAGACUCUUUCACGAGAGAUCUAACUACAGUAGCAACACAAUGCGUCCCAUAACCAGUACAUGCAAUUAAAAGUUGUGCUUCAAGGCUUUUCUUCUCUGGUAAUCGAUUACACAACAUUGGUAAUCGAUUACCAGAGGCUCAACUCGAGUUACACAGCUUCAGAACAUGAAAACCUGCAAUAUGCACUGUGUAAUUGAUUACACAUAACUGGUAAUCGAUUACCAGUGGCAUGUUACUCUGUGUAAUCGAUUACCAGAGGCCUCCACAACAUACUAUCUCCAUUUCUAAGCCUGGUAAUCGAUUACACAACAUUGAUAAUCGAUUACCAGAAGCCCUCUCACGUUCCUGAUCCCAUUUCUAGGCCUGGUAAUCGAUUACACAUCCUUGAUAAUCGAUUACACAUCCUUGGUAAUUGAUUACCAGAGGCCAUCUUAACUUCCUGCCUUCAUUUUUAAGCCUUGUAAUCGAUUACCCACCCUUGGUAAUCGAUUACCAGAGGCCAUACUCCAAAUAUUACUCAAAAUCCAUAGCUGGCCAACCACCACACAAGCCUCCUUGCUUUGUGGUCUUUGUUCUUUUAUCGGUUGACUGCCAGGAGCUUGCCUGUUUAGGUACGUCAUAGGUUCUCACUGACUGACUAUGCUCGGGUUGGGUCGGGAUUGGUCAAGCUUGGUUUUGGGCAAUAGCACCCCACCUGACGUCUCCAAGGUCUCCUGACCCCCGCGACAUAUCUCCAGGUACCACUUUGUGGUCAACGAAUAAAAGUAGGAAGUCUCACCCUUCCACACUUCCUCACUUCAAGCUUGUAGGAUUAUGGGGUACCCGUCACAUGUGGUACUAGGUGGCGGUCGGGCGAUGGUGCAAGUCGACUAUCCACAUCCACAAAUCACACAUAAAUCCACCAUCCCCAGUUGCCCACCUUCAACUGAGCUCACGUACUCCCAUGUAGCCCUUAUCCUCGUUCCUCUCAACACCGGGUCCCCAUCAAUCCCUCCAAGCUUCCAUAACAUCCAAGCAAUCUCAACAUACAAACAUCAUGAACUAUCAAAACCAAGCAAAAACAGGGCAGAGGCAGAAAACUCUGCCCAAAACACAAACCAAUACCACAACUUUUCUUACUCGAAUACCCCAGUAACAUUCUCUUCGUUCCAAUUCGUUCACCGUUGGAUCGACUCGAAAAUUUUACUGGAGGUCCCUAGUACAUAAAUCUACAUUUUGACCGUUGGGAUCUGCUAGAAAACGUCCAAAACCCAAUAUGUACAACCCUUUCCACAACCAGCCAUGCAUAAGCAUUUUUUGCACAAACACAAAAUUCUGCUGCACACUUUAACAGCAAAAUUCUGCAUAUAAGUGUAGAUUUUCGAAAUCACCCUUGCCCUCAUCCAAAUUUGCCCAAAUUGGAUCCUACAAGUCCUAAAUCAAGUAUAAAUCAUACCUAAACCAAAGACAAGCUUCAGACCAAAGCAACUCAAAAUCUAGGUAUCUAAAACCCCUCAAUUUAGUGGAUUUUCAAGGUUUGAGAAGUGAAAAUGAGAACGGGGUAAUUUUGGAGCAAACUCUCAUCUCACACAAGUCUAUAACAUUAAUCUAAACUUGCUCAAACUGGUUUUACGUCGAAAACUCUACUGAAUCAAAAUUUGACUCCUCAACACCCAAUUUACCCUAGAAAUGGCUCUUGCCUUCACUUUGGUCACUCAUUUUCCUCCUUUGCACAGCCCAAGCUUUCCCACAGUCCUAAAUGACAUUUCAAACUAGUAUUAACUCACUCUAACCUCCAAUUACCACUAAAUCCAGAUUUGGCUUUUCAAAUCCUCAAAGCAUCACACUUUUCCACUCAUAUCACUACAUUCUCACUUUUAAACCCUAGGUUAACUCUACCCUUCAUCUCUAUCAGUUUUCCAUCAGCCAUUUCAGCACACAAGCAUCACAAGCAUCAUCAUAAAAACCCUAAAACAGAAUGGGUAAGCUUGACUUAUACCAAACAUGACACAUUUAGCAUGCUUUCAUCAAAUUUCUUCACGAAUAACUAUCAUAAGGCAUAAACCUAGUAAAACUACCCAUCAUAUCUCCCAAAACCCAAUACCCACGAAAAUAUAUGUGAGAAGAAGUCCACCCAAACCUGAAAUGUGAAGUCCCAAAAUGGAGAGGUGCGCUUUACGACUCCGAAAAUGGCUUCCUUUCGCGAUUUGGAGCAAAAAUGGUGUGCAAAGGUUGGAGCUUUGUUGGAGCUUCAAUGGUGAGGAAGAAGAAAGGAAAAAACAACGUGAGGGAGGGAGGGAGAAAAGCUUCCGAAUUUUUGGGCUGAGGGAGGAGAGAGAACGUGGCUGUUUGAUUUAAAAAGGCUUCUUCUUUUCUUUUUUUUUUUUAUUUUAAAAAAAGGUAUGCCACAUGUCUCCUUUUGAGUGGAGCAAAAAGGGCCCACUUUUUCUCUUGAUGUGACUCAUACCCAGUCACAAGAAGAGAAAAAUUCGACCUUUUGAAAUGCUAAAAUCAUGCCUCGAUUUGCGUGCCAUUUCUCUAGUUCCAGUCCCUCGCAUUUUCUCUGCACCCGUCGAGGCCAGUUUUCGAAAGUAAGCAAUAUAUAUAUCAAAACACUCAGAAUGAAACCCCGAGCGUGGUUCAGAGGUUGGUUUCGUUAAAUUUUAAGUUGCACACAAAACGAUAAUUUUUAGACUAAUUAAUUGAGAAUUAAUCUAUAACUAUCCAGUUAUGGAUUUCUCUUCCUUAAUCGGCCUAACCCGCAUAUCUUUCCCCCAAUAUACCUACUUCUACCAGAAGUAUAUAUAUAUAUAUAUAUAUAUAUAUAUAUAUAUAUAUAUAUAUAUAUAUAUAUAUAUAUAUAUACUGAAUAAUACUUAUAUAUAAUCAUUCAAAAUGCAUCGUUUACAAAAUUCCGAGUAGAAAUUUCCAGGAUGUCACACGGGUUAUAGAAGCGAAAUCACAAUGGUUACGUCCAUUAGAUGAACCAUUUGCCUCAUGAACUUGCAUAUCUGAAAGGUGGUGGAACUGUCUAAUCCUGUUGAUAUUUCAUCCAUAAAUAUUGCCUUUGUCGGAACUUGCAUAUCUGAAAGGUGGUGGAACUGUCUAAUCCUGUUGAUAUUUCAUCCAUAAAUACUGCCUUUGUCGGUCCUACCAGUAUCUCCCCUACACACAGUUACAAUUAAAGCAUAUUUAUAACUAAUAGAAAAUUACAAAUGCUUAUUUACAAAUCAUUAGUUGAAAAGUUUCUUGGUUGUUAUAAGAUUAUGUACCACAAGUAGCCAGCCUUAUAGUUAGCACUUUAUUAUUUUUAUUUGAACCUCAAGCAUACAACAUGAGAUGUUUAAUUAUUGGAUGUGUGAUAUUGAAACUUUGGUUUAUUAGUUAUGCCUUCUCCUCAAAAAAUUAACCUGUUGUUACUCGCUUCUUCUAUCCACCAGAGAUGCCUCUUCUCAUCUCAUCUCCAACCACAAUGUCGACACAAAUAUCCAAUCCAAGGAUCUUUCAUAACACGUUCAAAGUGAAUAAAAUAGAAGCAUAUAAGUAAUAUUCAUAUACUUUGAAGUAGAGACAAAGAGAGACACCAACCUUGAGUACAUAAUCUGUUACCAAAUUGGUUUUUUGACCUAACAAUGCUAUAACCUUCAUGAAUGCAUCAAUCUCAGGGUCUGGCUUUAUUCCUGCUUCUCUCUCCCUUCUUGACAGUUCCACUAAUGCUUCAUACCUAAUAUCAACACCUAGACAAUAUCCUGAAAAAUCUAAUGUCUCUCUCACCAUCAUUUUUCCAUAGUGAAUGUCGUGUUGACUGAUAUAGGCACAGGUUUUUUGUGGAACAAAUUCAUUUAGCUCAUGGCCACAGUAAGUGAUCCUCCUAGAUACCUGAUCACAUCUCAACAUAAAGGUCUCUUUAUGGUUAAACAAAAUACUCAUAUGAUGAUGAGGAGAUAUGAUUGAAGUAAACUGAUUUAUAAGUAGAAAAUGAGAACAAACCCUUAAAUCACGAUCAAGUUUCCCUGCAAGCGCCAAAAGCUGUAGUUUCAUCUGUAAAACAAACAGAGUUAAAGAUGUUUAUUGUGCCAGUUUAAUUUGUUCUUAAGCUCCUAUUUAAGUAUAGCAAUCAUGCAUCUUAUGGUUGGACAUUGAUGCCAUAUUUGUUUAGAUUUUAUGCCAUAUAAAAUCAAUCUGGCCAAUCCAAAAUAAAUGCUUAUAGUAUUUGUUGUUUGGUUAAGAUGUUUAGAAUUGAUUCCUAUUAGGAAUGAAUUCUAUGGAAAUAACUCAGCAGUAGCUUUUGCAACCAAGAAAAUUCGUAUUAGGAAUGAAUUCUACUAGUAAUUUACAAUUUUCCUCCUUGGUUGUGCAUGUAGCGAAAAUACAUGAUGUUGUCUGUGAUGAUAUCGGACCCAAGACAGCCAGAAAAUGACAUUGAUGUUUAUCUAAGUCAAUUGAUUGAAGACCUGAGAAAGUUGUGGGACGAGGGGUUUUUAGUGUUUGAUGGGUUUUGCAAGGAGACUUUUGAAAUACGUGUAAUGCUUUUUUGUACCAUUAAUGACUUUCCAGCAUAUGGGAAUCUCAACGGUUACAGUGUUAAGGGUCAUCAUGCAUGCCUCAUUUGUGAAGAAGACACAAGCUACAUACAAUUGAAACAUGGUAGAAAAAUAGUGUACACUAGGCAUCGUCGUUUUCUAAAACCUCAGCGCCCUUACAGACGAUUGAAAAAAGCUUUUAAUAGAAGUCAAGAGCAUGAAACUGCACCGAUACCGUUGACUGGUGAGCAGGUCUUCUAGCAGGUUGAACACCUGAAUAUGGUAUUUGGAAAGACCCCAAAGAAGGAUAAAAGUAAGACUUUAUAUGGAAGAAGAGGUCCAUCUUCUUUGAUCUUCUGUACUGGUCUGAUCUAGAUGUUAGACAUUGUUUAUGCAUGUGGAGAAAAAUAUAUGUGACAGUUUCAUUAGGACGCUCCUUAACAUUCAAGGCUAGAUGAAAGAUGGUUUGAAUACCCGUAAAGAUCUAGCUGAGAUGGGCAUACAAUCGCAGUUGCAUCCAAUGUCUGAUGGUAAAAAAAUAUACUUGCCUCCAGCUUGUCAUACUUUGUCUAGAAAGGAGAAGAUCAAUUUUUGUCAGUGUCUGUGCUAGGUCAAAGUCCCACAAGGAUACUCUUCAAAUAUUAAGAGCCUUGUGAAGUUGAAGGAGCUUAAGCUGGUAGGGUUAAAGUCUCAUGAUUGUCACGUGUUGAUGCAACAAUUGUUAGUUGUGGCCAUACGAGACAUUUUGCCUAACAAAUUCAGGUUAGCCAUAACUCGCCUGUGCUGUUUCUUCAAUGCCAUAUGUAGCAAAGUCCUUGAUCCUGUCAAGCUUGAUGACCUGGAAAACAAGGUGGCAAUUAUAUUGUGCCAGUUGGAGAUGUAUUUUCCUCCUACUUUCUUUGACAUCAUGGUUCAUUUAAUUGUUCACCUGGUCAGAGAAAUCAGAUGUUGUGGUCAUGUUUAUCUGUGUUGGAUGUACUCAGUUGAGCGAUACAUGAAGAUCUUAAAAGGGUAUACCAAGAAUCAACAUCAUCCGGAAGCAUCUAUUGUUGAAAGGUACAUUGUAGAAGAAGCUAUUAAAUUUUGUUCAGACUACAUUGAAAAGGCUAAACCUGUUGGCCUUCCUGAGUCUCGACAUGAUGACAGAGUGGGUGGUAAGGGUUCAAGAGGACUGCAUGUCAUCACUCCAACUGUAGAAGAUUUGUUACAAGCUCACUUAUAUGUGUUGAACAACAGUAAUGAAGUUUUUCCAUACAUACUUCAGCAUGAAGCUUUAGUCAAACAAAAUAAUCCAAAAAUGUCAAAGAACUAGGUGUUGAAAAAGCGUAACAAAAUUUUCUGUGAUUGGUUUAAAGAUACAAUCUUUGCUGAUGAAAGUGCCUCAGAAACAUUAAGAAAGCUAGCAGAUGGGCCUAAAAGAAAUGUUAUAACUUGGAAAGGAUACUACAUAAACAAGUAUUCCUUUUACUCAAAAGCACAAGACGACAAAAGUACAAUGCAAAACAGCAGGGUCACCCUAAGGGCUGAAUCUCAACACUUCGCAAGUGCGCAUGAUGACAAUCCCUGUGUAGCUUUCAUCCCUUACUUUGGGUUCAUUGAUGAAAUUUGGGAGCUUAACUAUGUCAAAUUUAUUGUUUGUGUUUUCAAAUGUAAAUGGGUUGACAACAACACCGGUGUGCGGACAGGAUGAUGUAGGAUUUACGUGGGUAGACUUAAAGAAACUAGGUUACCACAAUGACCCUUUCAUCAUGGCAGAACAAGCUAAACAAGUAUUUUAUGUGCAAAACCCUUGUGAUGAAAGGUGGUGCGUGGUUCUACACAGGAAAACAAUUGGUGUUAAUGUAGAAGAUGACGAUUCAUACAUGGACACUUAUGUUAGUCCUUUGUCCAGAAAAAUCACUCCUAACAUCAUCGAAGAAGAAGUUGAUGACGUUUAUGCUACUCAUAAUGAUCAUGAUGGAGGAGAAUUAAUUAAUAUCGUCUAAUGUAAUUUUCUAAUUAUGUAUUUUAUUUUGGUAAAUUGAUUUACAUAACUCAUAGUGAUUUUUGAUAAUGUUAACUAACUCAGGUUUUUCUGUUUAAAGGACCAUGGCUACUUUACCUGCCUCGCCUCCUCCUCCUCCUCCUUCAGACACAUCAGCAUCUUCGUCUACCGUGAAGUGGACACGCAAAGCGACACGGCUAAGAUCGUUAGCCACUAGACCACCUGGUGUAGAGAAAUCAGUGGUCAACGUUGAUCCUGCUACCGGCAAGGCUGAUGGUCCCCACGAGAAGAAAUUAAGAACAUAUUUGGGGAUUCUCGUGCGUGAUAAGGUCGACGUGACAUACGAGACCUGGAAGGAAGUCCUUGCUGCUCAGAAGGAAUUGAUAUCGGAGGAUAUUCAGGUAUUUUAGUUUUCUUCUUACAUUUUUUUAAUAGCUAAAAUUAAUAGUUUACUUACAAUAAAACCUAAUUUUUUUAUUUGUCAGGCGGAAUUUGAAAUCCCUGAAGCUUCUAAUAGUAGGACAAAGAAGAAAAUUCUUUAGAAUGUCGGCGAGAGGUGGCGGGAAUUUAAAUCAGACUUGACUAGGAAAUGGGCCCCUGCAGCCGACCAGGACGGUGUAGACGACACUGUCUGUCAAAAAUACGACAUUAGCAAGGAGAAAUGGGUCCAGUUUUGUCAGACACGCAGAGACCCUUCUUGGGAGGUAUGUACUUUGUCAUUUUAGUUGUUUUCCACAAAAGAUUCAGUUGUUAUAAUUCAUUGUAGUAAUUUGUACCAUUAAUGUUUGAUUUUUUCAGGAUAUGCGGAAAAAGGCACAGACCAUCCAGAAGUAAAACACUUCCCCUCACAUGUUGUCUCGUGGGGGUUAUGAAUAUUUAGAACAAAAGCUAAUGGCUGAGAAGACCAAAAAGAAACUGGAGGAAGCUACCCAGUCUGGAACCACUAACGGUGUCAUUGACCCUACAUCUCCCAUCAGACGCCACGUGAAGUGGAAGAUGACCCGCACCAAGAAAAUUGAGCAGAUGACAUCUGAGGCAGCAAAGGAAAUCGCUGAGAAGAUCGUAAGUCAUUUUCAAUUAAGAAUUCUAACUAUGUUUGUUUAUUCUGUGAAUGCCUAAGAAAAAUAUAUUUGUUCUGUACAAGAUUCAUUGGAGGAGCAGGCAUCACAGGGAUCGUUCGUCCCUCAUGGAUGUCAGGAUGUCCUAACUACCAUCAUUGGCCGACCAGACCACCCUGGCUAUGUCCGUGCUGCUGGAUCUGGUGUCACCAUCAAACAAUAUUUCAGAUCAGCUCCAUAAACGUCCCGCAACUUUUGCUCCCUGCCUCCUGAAGACCUAUAGUAGCUGACCUAACAAAUCAGGGACCAGCUAGAGGAGUCGAUCACAGAAAAAGUGACUCAACAGCUGAUGGCAUCUUUCAGCCAGAUGCAGUCCCAGUUUCAAUCCCAGAUGCAAUCUUAGGGACUUGCACUGCCUCUAGAGCCUAUGGUUGUUCCCUCAAGUCCUCGUGUCAGCAUAAAGGAGAUUUGUGUUGAUCCAUCAGGGAACGAUCCUAAGACGGAUGACUCAGACAAGUGCAGGUUGUACAUCGAAGCAAAUCCUCCCUGCUUGGUUGCCCUAGGAAGAGUUUUUGAGGGAUCAACAAUUCACAACAUUCCUUUGUUACCUGGCCAUGUGAAGGUUGGUGUUGAGGAGGUUAAAGAUGCACAAGCUCCCGUUCCUGUACCCACUGAUGAGGUUACCUUAGUGGGGGUAGACACUUAAUACCUUCCUUGCUUGACUGACACAUCUCGUGAAGCAUUUAUCAGAACAAAUAUUUUACUUUGAUUAUAUGUUUCUUUUUAUUUCAAUUAAUUUAUUCAACGUAAUUAUUUAACUAUGUUUGAUCAGCAGGCAACUGUUUCUCCAGCAAAACCUCCACAAAGGCCGGAUCCUGAGGUCGAUGAUCCGCUAUAUCUGAUGACAUUGACCAUCCCAGAGCUUUUCUUCAAGCCUUUCCAUGUUAAUUGGGAUGCUACCGUGUUCGGGGUGUUUAAUCCAGACUUCCCAUUGUACAUCAAGCACGAAGAUAUCUUCGAAAUCGCACACGGUGAUCAAUGUCUCAGCAUAUCUGUCAUACAGUUAUGGAUUCUGUAAGUCAAUUUAGCUUACUGUUAAUUACCUAAGUUAUUGCUUUAAAUUCAAACAUAAUUAACUUUGUCUUAACAACAAUAGGCAUCUGACUAAAACAAGUAUGCGAGUGGGGAAUUCCGAUGCGUAUGGAUUCCUCGAGCCAUAGUCUAUUCAGAGAUCUGGGCAAUUGUAGUUUGACUCCGAAAGUUACAUCAAGAGUUGAAUGUAUAGUUCAAAACGCGAUGUCUACCUUGGAGCCUACUUAAAUGGGUAAGUCAAACAAAACAACUGAAUUUAAAUAAUGUAUACUACUACAAUAACCCAUAUUCGUCUCCACUGCAGCGGACACUGGCAAAUGGUGGUCAUUCUGUCCAAGGAAAACCUUGUUGUCUGGUUUUGUUCCUUGCAUAACAGGUCAGACAACUACCUUAAGGGAAUAAUUAAUAGGUCAAUGUUGUUUUCAAUACAUUUGCAUUGACAUUACUCAACAACAUCAAUUUUUAAAUGUUCCUCGUAUUCAAUUGUGCUUUGAAAGGACUUGAUGAUACUCCACAGCCUAAAUCCAAGGCUACUGCUACGUGGAUUAUCGUUAAGGUACGUGAUUUAAAUAAACUUCUACUUAUAUAUACUGCUUAUGUGUGUGUACACUAAUUGUAGUUAAUGUUUAAUUAAUAUCCAAAUUUCAUUAUGUAUUUAGUGUAAUAGACAAAAAGGAAGAACUGAGUGCGGCUAUUACGUCAUGCACUGAAUGCCCACCAUCAUCUUAGGAAGUUUCAGAAACAACUUGGAAACAAUAAUUGUUUAUUUCAAACAAACUUGAUUUUCUUAUAAUUGGUAUUACAUUAUUAAUUUAUCUUUUCUUUUAUCAUGCAAUAUUUUAACGAUGCUAGACCAUUGGAGCCAGAGAGAUUAAAGGCGCUUCGCAUCCAGUGGGCACAACAUUAUCUCCGACUUAGAGAUCAAACUUAGGAUGUUAGGAAAAUUAGGAUGUUAGGGAAUUCAUUUUAGCUUACUUAAUUAGUUUACACUACUUGAUUUACAUUUUUGCAAUUUGCUAUGUCAUUUGAACAUUGAAUGUUAUUUAUUGAUAGUUCUUAAUAAAUCAUUUAUUCAUAUUUACCAAUUCAUAGUUUAUUGUAGCUUUCUGCUAAAAGCUGCUUGAAAGCAGAAUGCAAAUGAUGUUUGUUGUGAAUUGUGGUCUGAAAUUGCUUUUAACAGGUUAAAUUUUGGGUUUUUUUUUGUGAAAACCGAAAGUGUAUAUAAAAAAGACCUUAAAACAACAUCGGUUUUUUUAAAAAAAAUCGAUGUUAACAUACAACUUAACAUUGGUUCUUCCAUAAACCAAUGUUAUUUACGUAUAUUAACAUUAGUUAUUUAUAAAACCUGAUGUUAAUCUUCAAAACAUUAACAUCGGUUCUUAUAAAAAACCGAUGUUAACGUAUACGCUAACAUUGAUUUUUAUAUAGAAUCGAUGUUAAAGUUUUUAACUUAACAUCGACUUUUGUAUAAGAACCGAUGUUAACGUAUAAGUUAACAUCGGUUUUCUAGAAAAAUUGAUAUUAAUGUGUGCGUUAAGAUCGGUUUUGUAUGAAAACCGAUGUCAACGUUCAACAUUUAUACUCUUAUUUUGGUGUAGUUCUUAAUAUAUAACAUCGGUUAUUUAGAUCAUCGAUGUUGGUAGUUUUAUGUUAACAUUGAUUUUUGAAAACCGAUGUUAAUCAUAAUACUUUUAACAUCAGUUAAAAACCGAUGUAAAAGAUCAUAAAUAAUCGAUGUAAAAAACAUAUUUUCUAAUAGUAUAAAGUCAAUGCUAAAGAUCAAGAAGGUAAUGAUAGACCAUUGGGAUACAUAAGCAAGGAUAGGCCUAUACAGAUUUCACACAAACCACUGAAGCUUAUAGAUAUAUUUCGUGUAGUGAGUGUACUAGCCAUUAGGACUUUCCAUUCCUAGAAUUUCCUUUGAGCUUGUCACAACAAUCUUUGAUCACAAGAUUUAGGGUUGCUUUGUAUUUAAUUAUGAAUUAUGAAAAUUUCAAAAAAGUAAUUCUUUUGAUUUUUAUUAAUUUUGUUUUCUUGGAGAUCUGAUAUCCCAAUCUCAAAUUUGAUUGGGAAUCAUUAGCUUAUAAUAGCUUACAGUUUGAUGUAUCAUUUAUGCAUUUCUUCUUUAUUUUAAGCUAGUUGUUUCUUUCCGCAUCCCAUAAAAAUCAGGAAGCACCUCCUUUACAGUUUGGAAAGGAUUUUUCAGAAUGUAAUUUUAUUUUUGGAUUAGUUUUUUCAGAACAUAAAGGAAUUGUUUCUUAAAUUUUAUGGAAUGUAAAAAAACAUUAGCCUUUUAUUCUAACUUGUCCAGGUAAAGCACAUAACCUUUUUCUUUGGGUAACAAGACUUUAUUUCAAAUAUAAAGAAAAUAAGGGAUAAAGGGAAUUUAAUGUUGAUAAAAAAAAGAAAUUUGAUUAAUGUAUGGAGCUAACAAAGUGAAGGUGUGUGUGUGCACUACUACAAAAAGCAGUUUUAACAUCGGCUUAUUAACAUCGAUUUUGUACAAAACCGAUCUUAAGUUAAACGCGGUGACAUAUUUGUAAAUAAAGUAUCUUUCUUAACAUCGGUUUUUUGGAAAACCGAUGUUAACAUAUCAUACGUUAACAUCGGUUUUUUUAAAACCGAUGUUAACUAAUGAUGUUAACAUCGGUUUUCCAAAAAACCGAUGUUAAUAUAAACUUUUUUUUUUAAUUAUUUAUAUAUUUUGAGAAAAAUCAUAUAUUGCGUUAUUAAUUAUAUUUUAAUUAAAAAAUAUAAUAAUUAAUAAACAAUUAUAAAUUCAAAAGGUAAAUAUUUAAAAAUUAAACUAAAUUUUUAAAAUAAAUUUCGUAAUUUUAAUUUUAUUAUUAUUUAAUCAACAAAAUUUGACCAGACUUCGCCAUAUUUUUUGUCAUUUGACUAAGUAAAGUUUUUUCUUCACUUCUUAAAUGACCAACAUACAAAUGGAGGUGAAAUUUAAUAUUUUGGUUAUUACCAAAUGCAUUGUGUUAAGAGUAAAUAGUGGAUGCUACUUAAAAAAAAGAGUAAAUAGUGUAUGUUAAUAAUUUAAUUUUUUACACUAAUAUUUAAUAAUAAAUUAUUAUGUACAAUUUUUUCUCAUGUUAGUUAUCCUAAAAAUUGUAGUAAUAAUAAAUUUUAACUAAUGAAUGAUAUAAAAAAAUUAUAUGGUUUCUUUAUAGAAAUUAAAAUCUUGUGUAACUUUUUUUUGUCAAAGAUCGGUCUAGCGCAAAUGUCCAAAUGUAAUGUGUGACUACUACCCAAGUAAGUGUAGGGUCGGAUUGAUUAAUUUUUUUUAUUCGUAAAAAUUAAACAUAAAAAUAUAUAAUAACUGUUCAACCAAGAAAAGACAAAAAAAAAUAAUUGUUUAGUCAGAUCUCUUUGACCGAUAAAAUAAUUUAUUUCAAUGGACAUAUUUCAAAAUAAAUAUAAAAUCAUUGUUAUUUAUAAAAAAUUCUAAAAAUUAAUUUAAGAUAUGAUUUUUGCAUAAUACUAAAUACAUGCCGUUAAAAAGAUACAUAUUUUAAAAAAUGUGAUUAUAUCCCAUGAAAAUUAAUCAACAUUAUAAUGAUUAGCUCAAAAAGAUCCAAAUUUUUAAAAUUAUAUUGAGCUUUAUAGAGUCAAAAAAUUUAAUUAUGAUGAUUAUUUAAAAUAAAAAAUAUACAAUUUAUUAUAUAAAAAAUAAUUGUUAAUAAUUAAAAUGCACUAUGCCUUGUAUUUAAGAAUUUUUUUAAAAAUAAUCUUAUAUUUUUAAGAACAGAAGAGGAAGUAUAUCAUAUUAGUAUUUUUUUUGAAAUUAUUAUUUUGCAUUUUUUUCUAUGAAAAUUAAUUUAAUUAAAAAAAUGUGUAUAUUGUGUUAUUUAUAUAGAAAUAAUUUUCAAUUAAUUUGUAAAGAAAUAUUUUUUUCAUUAUAAAUUGAUUAAUUUAAUAUUUCUUUUAAAAAUUAAUUUUUAGUUUCUAUAAAAAUUAGUUUUACUAAAUUCUAAAUUAAAUGGGACCGACAGUAAGUCUUAUCAAGAUUUUUUUUCUAUACUAUAGUCUAGUUUUAUCAUUUUAUUGGUAAGAAGUGUAAAUGAUAAUUGACGUAUGAAAAUGUUUUUUUUAAAUAGUAUCUUGUUUUAUUGUAAUUGAAUAAUUCAUAUUAUAUACAUAUUCAAUAAUUGUAUAAUUUAUUUUAUGCACGCAUUUUAUAUAAUCGGUGCCGGCCAGUAUGUUUUUCUUAUUUUCUUAAUUAGAAAAUGCAAAAGACAUUGAUAUUAUUUUCUUAAUUUUAUAUAAUUCAUAAGUUAUAAUUUUUUAUUAUUGGAUUAUUUUCAAAUUGAUAUAGAGGUAGUCAAAUUCACCACCAACCUCUCAUUGCUUGAAUAAUUGCGUUGGUCUUUGACAUUGGGAUAUUUGUUUUGAUUUUAAUUUAAACGAAAGGAAAAAAUAAAUAAUUAUACCUUUCGAUGGCGACAAAAUAUCUACGAUGUUUCGUACUUUUGGCUGGGUCAUAUUUACUAUUUAUUAUUUUCUUUUAUAUGUUUCGUACUUUUGGCUGGGUCCCAUUUUUAAAAAUAAUCUUAUAUUUUUAAGAACAGAGGAGGAAGUAUAUCAUAUUAGUAAAUUAAUAUUCUAGGGUGUGUGCUUUGAAAGAAAACGAGAGAAACAAACAUCACAACAAUAUUCUAGGGUCCUUUUCUCCGUCUCUCACAUGAUCGUCCUCUAGCUUCUUCCUCUUUGUCUUCUUAUUGGUCCUUCAGUUUCAUUUUCCUUGUUGGAUUGUUGUGGAGUUUGGUCGGAUCGAAGCUUUCUUCGUUUCUCUCUCUUGAAGAAUCUGGGUGUGGGCGUGGCAGAGUCCAGAAGAGUUUAGCGGCGGCGUUGGAGUUGCUUUGGACUAAUUCAUCUCUCAUCUUAAGCUUCAGUUUCUUGUUUGAUAGAACCAUUCUGCUCUCUCAAACCCUUGACAGACACAGUCACAAAACCAAAGAAAGUGUUUUGGGGAAGACGCAAACAAACGACACCGUACAUUCGGAGGGUAUAACUAACAAUGUAUUUCUUCUUUUGGGCUUUGAAAUGCCUUUUGUCCAUUUUUAAAUUCAUAAAAACUUUGACCUGUGCAUAUGUAAUCUAUUUCAUGCAUACAAUUGGUCUUCCUCAUUUUGAUGUCCAAAUGCAGGUUGCAAUUUGAGACAAUCAUUGGUUUGCCCUCUUCGAUGCUAGGUUGGCUUGUAUGCUAUUUCUGUGUUAAAUUUGGUAUACCAAAUCCUUUGCAGAUUGUAUUUGUAGGACAUAUAGUCUAAACUGAAAAAUAUGCCAAAGUUUUAUUUUGAAUCACCAAUGGUCAUGCCAAGUAGAGCAAUGCUAAUUCAUUUGACAGUCUUCUAAUCAUGCAUUUAUUUUAAUCUUGAUCCUUCCAGGCAUGGGUCACACUUGGCAGAGCACAAUUUAAUUUUGGUGAGCCUGAUAAUGCUAUUGAAAGCUUUGACCGUGCUUUAGCUCUCAAGGUUAGUCUAUGUUAAAAUAAUGAAUGUUUUAAUAAGUUGACUAACUUACAGCAGAACAAUGUUUUAAUAAUCCAACUCAUGAAUCCUUGAUUAACGCAAGAUCUCAACCUGUUAUGGAUUGUCUUACGCAUUUUAAUUAUUUUAUCAUAAGCUUUGUGUUCUUCAAAACUUGAGACCAAAUAUAAUAAUAUUGGUUACAAAUUAGUAUUAAUGUUAAUAUAUAAGACAAAUUAAAAAUCAUAUUUGACUGUGAUUAUUCUUCUUAUUGGCCACUAUUCCUAUGUUUUCUCUUGGGCAUGUGAUUGAUGUACGUGACCUAUAUGGAUCACGUUCCAUGAAUGACCCCAAUGGAAUUUUCAUCACUUUCAUUUGGACACACCCCAUAAGUGUAGAUGGUAAUAGUGAGUAUCAAAGGCACACACAGGGGCAAGGAAGGAAUUUUCAUUCACUGUUUUGUAGAUAUGAUAUCACUUUAGAUCCUCUAUCUUCAUUCAUAUUUUCAUAGCUUCCCAGUAAUGUUGAAAAUUUUAAUUACCUGAUGCUUCGAUGAGUUAGUCAUCUAGAUGGUAUGCUUCCCAGUAAUGUCCUUUUCACCUUCACUCAUAUUCAUUAAAUAUAUUGUUGUUAUAAAAUCUAGUUGCUACUAGGCAUAAAUUUCAAGUGUAGGUGCUUCAGCAGCCUCAACCUUAUGUAUAUGAUUAAUGUCAGUAGCUAUUCUCUUUGUUUUGUUAUCUAGUCACCAGUCAUGGGUGCUGUUUAAAAGUUUUAUAGUCAUAGCUAGGCAUAACUUAUAUGUAGAAUUUAAUACAAUAUAAAUAAUUACCGUCGUCUUAAUUUAUUUUUUAACUUUAUGAGAUGUAUAAUUAACGAUUAGAGUUUACAACCCCAAUAAUUUUAGCAUUUCAUUUAUUUGUUACAUCAUUUCACUUUUAAUAGAUAAUAAAUUAAUUUAUUUGAUGAAUCUUACUAUAUACAUACAUGUAGUUAAUAUCAAAUCAUAUUAAAGAAAUUGUAUUAUCGAAAAACUUUUUCUAAAAAUGACAAUAGUUACACGUACGUAUCCUUAAUAGGUAAUACAUACAUUUUAAAAAAAUAUAAUAUUUUGAUAUAAUUUAGCAAUUUUUUUAAAAGAAUACUAGUUUUUACGAAGUUAGAUAAAUAAGAAAGUUUCGAGAACGAGUAGCAACUAUUAUAUUUAUAAUAAAUUUAUUUAAAGUGACAUAAAAGUAUAAAAAAUAACAAAAAUUAUCAAAAUAAAAUUUAUCACGUAAUACUUUAUGGUACUAAUAACACAUCAAGUUUUCGAUGACUAACUCAUCGAAGCACCAUUGUCGACACAGAAAGAACAAUUGUACCAAUAUAAUUCGUGGGAAGCAUACCAUUUAACUUUCAUUUAAUUACCUGAUCCUCUAUCCUCUAUCUUAUAUACAAGGUUAAAAUAUUAAUGGUGUGUCUCUAAGUGCAUACCAUUUAACUUUCAUUUAAUUUGAUAAUAACUAUAUAUACUUAAUUUGCUAAUGCAUGCUCACUAACUUGUUUGUGAACUGUGCAGUAUGCAUUUUAAGAAUUAGUAAAUUUAGUACUCUUAAAUCUUAAUAAACCAUCACGGCCAUUGGGAAUCAAUUAGACUUUGAGGUGUUUUAUAAGAUCUUGUCCAUUUUUAUAUUUAACGGCAAAGUAAGUAUUGCCAUGUGUUCGAAUUUGAGUGUUACAUUUCUACUUUGUAAGAAUUGAUUAAUUUAGUAUACUCGCAACCAAAGAUUAUAAGUUGUGUGUGUGUAUAUAAUUUAGAAUAAAUUGUUGUCGUAUCUUCUGAGCGCUUAUUAUACUUAAUCUUACUCUUUUUUUAUCAUACACAAGAUUGUCUUAUGUAAGUGUUCAUUUAGUUAUUUUUUUUAUUCUUGCUUUUGUUUUGGACUGUGCUGCUCAUCAUCACAGGUACAAAUGUUUGUUACCAAUGAAUAUUUUUAUUACGUGUUCACUGCCAUUAAUGACAAUUGAUAUAUGCUAUACAAAUUGUGUUCAUGAUGACUGAACCUUAGAUUCCCGUUUGAGAUUGGAUGCAAUGAUUCUUGCGGACAGUUUGCAUUAAUCAUUGUAUUCAAUCUUGAAUUGUUCGUUUGGACAGUUUGGAGAGACUGAUAUUUUUAUGGUAGAUUCAUGUGUUAAGGUUAAAAUUAUUUUGUUUAAUUUGAUGAAAUUUUGGUAAUGCAUUUCUAGUUGUUCUCUGAGUGCAUACUUGAUUAUCGGGAAAUUAAUUUCACCGAUUUCAUGUCAUGUACUUGGAGACCAAUGCGAAAUGCUGCCAAAAUUUUGUCAAAUUUAACAAAAUAGAAUUAACCAUGAUGUAUGAAGCUAUCAUAAAAGACGCUCUUCCCGAAUGGGAUAGGGCCACACCUUUAAUAAAAAAGUGAGAUUUUCAUGCAUCAAAUAACUUUGAGAGUAUGACCGAGUUAUUACUUAGAUGGAUCGAAGUUGGAUGAAUGAAAGUCGCAUCAGCCCAGAAUAUGAGGAAGGCGUCGAGCAAUUCUUACAAUUUGCUUCACAAAGAGGUCAACCGGAUGAAGAUGAAAAAUAUUAUUGUCCUUGCAUCAAUUGUUUGAAGGGAAGGCGACAAAUACUGGAUGACAUACGAGAGCAUCUGUUGUGUGAUGGAAUUAAGAGAAAUUAUACGAUGUGGAUAUGGCAUGGUGAAAUGACAGACAUACAGAGUGGGCAACAAUCCGAACCAUUUGAUGUAGAAAUGGGAGAUCGCUUGGAGGAUAUGAUUCGUGACCUUGGACAAGAGUCUUUUCAGCAAGCACAUGCCCUUGUGUAUGAAAGAUUGCAGGGUGAUUCAAAGAAGCCUUUGUAUCCAGGAUGCAACAAUUCCUUGACGCUAUUGUCGGCGGUGUUAAGUCUGGUUAAUGUCAAUGCCAGAUAUGGAUGGAGUGACAAAAGCUUUACUUCAUUGCUUCAAAUAGUGCAUGAUCUGCUUCCACAGGAUAACACAUUGCCUAAAAGCUACUAUCAGGCAAAUAAGAUAUUGUGUCCGAUGGGUAUGGAGUACCAGAAGAUUCAUGCUUGCCCUAAUGAUUGCAUACUGUACAGACAUGAAUUUGAAGAAAUGUCGAAAUGCCCUAGGUGUGGGGCGUCACGGUACAAGGUGAAGGAUGAUGAGGAUUGCAGUUCUGAUGAAAACUUAAAGAAGGGCCCUCCAGCGAAGGUGUUGUGGUAUCUUCCCAUCAUUCCAAGGUUUAAGCGUUUAUUUGCUAAUGAGGACGACGCAAACACUAUUAGAAAAUAUGUUUUCUACAUCGGUUAUUUAUGACUUUCAACAUGACUUUUUCAACCGAUGUUGAAAGUACCGACGUUGAUAGUAUUAUCGUUAACAUCGGUUUUUGAAAAAUCGAUGUUAACGUAAAAUUACCAACAUCGGUUAUAUAAAUAACCGAUGUUGCUAAUAUGAAUUACACCCAAAAAAUUUAUAUUAAUGUUGAAAGUUAACAUCGGUUUUUACAAAAAACCGAUAUUAACGAAUGUGUUACUGUUGACAGUUAACAUCGGUUUUUUACAGAAAACCGAUGUUAACGAAUGUGUUACUAUUGACAGUUAACAUCGGUUUUUUUUAUAACCCAUGUUAACAUCGGUUUUUUCAUAAAAAACCGAUGUUAACAAAUGUGUUAUUAUUGACAGUUAACAUCUGUUUUUUAUAAAAACUGAUGUUAACGUGGGUUAACAUCGGUUUUUUCCAAAAACCGAUGUUAACGAAUGUGUUAACGAAUGUGUUACUAUUGAAUUUUAACAUCGAUUUUUUUACAGAAAAUCGAUGUUAACGAAUGUGUUAUUAUUGACAGUUAACAUCGGUUUUUUCAAAAAACCGAUGUUAACGAAUGUGUUGCUAUUGACAGUUAACAUCGGUUUUUUUUUUGUUUUCAGGAAUUUUUUUUAUAUAAUGUCUUUGUUUUUACAAAAAAACCAAAAUUUAACCUGUAAAUUUAAAAUCAGACCACACAGCACACACCAUAUAUCAUUUGCAUUCAGUUUUCAAAUAGAUUUUAGCAAAAAACUAGCUAUCAACAAAGGUUGUUCAAUGUUAAGAUGAAACAACAAUUGUAAAAAAUGUAAUGCAAAGUACGUAAACUAAUUAAUUAACCUAAAGUUACAUAGUUGCCUAACAUCCUAUGUUUGAUUUCUAACUUUUAGAUAAUAUUGUGCCCACUGUAUGCGAAGUGCCUUGAAUCUCUCUGCUUCCAAUGGUCUAACUUCAUUAAAAUACUGCAUGAUCAAAUAAAAAAAUAAAUUAAUAAUGUAAUAACAAUUAUAAAAAAACCAAAUUUGUUUGUAAUAAACAAUUACCGUCUCCCAAUUAUUCCUGAAAGAUCCUAAGAUUAUCGUGGACAUCCAGUGCAUCACGUAGUAGCCACAUUCAGUGAUUCCUUUUUGUCUAUUACACUAAAUACAUAAUGAAAUUUGGAUAUUAAUUAAACGUUAACUACAAUUAGUGUACACACACAUAAAAUAUAUAUAAGUAGAACUUUUAUUUAAAUCACGUACCUUAACAACAAUCCACCUAGCAGCAGCCUUGGAUUUCGGUUGUGGAGUAUCAUCAAGUCCUUUCAAAGCACUAGUGUUGAAUAUAAGGAACAUUAAAAUAUUGAUGUUGUUGAGUUAUGCCAAUGAAAAUGUAUUGAAAACAAUACGAACCUGUUAAUUAUUCCCUUAAGGUAGUUGUCUGACCUAUUAUGCAAAGAACAAAACCAGACAACUAGGUUUUCCUUAGGUAGAAUGAUGACCAUUUGCCAGUGUCCACUGUAGUAGAGACGAAUAUGGGUUAUUGUAGUAGUAUAGAUUAUUUAAAUUCAAUUAUUGUGUUUGACUUACCUAUUCAGAUAGGCUCCAAGGUAAACAUCUCGUUUUGAACUCUGUAUCCAACUCUUGAUGUAACUUUCGGAUUCAAAUUGUGAUUGCCCAAAUCUCUGAAUGGACUAUGGCUCGAGGAAUCCAUACACAUCAGAAUUCCCCGCUCGCACACUUGUCUCAGUCAGAUGGCUGUGUUGUUAAGUCAAAGUUAAUUAUGUAUGAAUUUAAAACAAUUACUUUGGUAAUUAAUAGUAAUCUAAAAUGACUUACAGAAUCCACAACUGUAUAACAGAUAUGCUGAGACAUUGACCACCAUGUGCAAUUUCAGAGAGAUCUUCGUGCUUUAUAUACAAUGGGAAGUUUUGAUUAAACACCCCGAAUAUGGUAGCAUCCCACAUAACCUGGAGCGGCUUCAAAAACAAUUGUGGGAUGGUCAAUGUCAUCAGGUAUAGGGGAUCAUCGACCUCUUCAUCCGGGCUUUCUGGAGGUUUUGCUGGAGACACGGCUGCCUAUUGAUAAAACAUAGUUAAUUAGCAAGUUUUGAUUACAGUGAACAAAUUAAUUGAAAAUACCUGUAUAUAAAAGGUGGUCUGUGGUUCUAAACGGGAAAACAAUUGGUGUUAAUGUAGAAGAUGAUGAUUCAUACAUGGACACUUAUGUUAGUCCUUUGUCUACACAAAUGACUUCUAACAACGUCGGAGAAGAAGAAGCUGACGACGUUCAUGCUAAUCGUAAUGAUCAUGAUGAAGGAGAAUUAAUUAACAUCGUCUAACGUAAUUUUUUGGAAGAUUAUUUAGGUUGAAUGAAUUUUUUCAACAAAUAUAUCCAAGGACGACACCUAAGUGUCAAUCUAUAGAGAAAGAAAUAAAAAAUAAAAGAUAUCCCGGCCCGUUAAAUUGACCAAAAAUUACUUUCUUUAAGAGUUUGAAUAAAGAGUUUACUCAAAAUUUUCGGUAAAAUAAAGGCUUACUUACUAGUUUGGUCUUCUAAUUUAGUUAUUAGAUUUGAUGUUGUCCUCUUAUUAUUAUAAAUUUUAAUUUCGUUCAGUAAAAUUUUUAAAUUAAUUAUUUAAUUAGGUCUUUUACUUUUAAAAGUUUCAAUUGGUGUUUUUUUAAAGAUUUAAUUUAGUCGCAUUUUUUUCCUCUACUAUGAAAGUUUUAAAUAACAUGACCCAAUUUAAUUUUAAAUAGGACCAAAAACACAUUUUAAAAAAAUAAGAUAUCUAAUUGAAAAUUCUAAAAUAAGAAAACCUAAUUAAAUCAUUUUAAAAAAUUACAGGAUUUACUACAGUUUUUAAUAAUAACAGAAGCAAGUUGAACCCAAAAAAUUAAUUAGAUGACCAAAAUAAUUUUUUCUAUUAGACGUUGUCAAUAUUGUUAUCCUUUUUGUGGUACUUUAGUUAGUCUAUCAAUGAUGUUUACUAUAUUGUCAUUUUUAAUAUAUGACUUUGUCCAUGAUGUUAUACUUUUUUUUUUCAGACUUUACUAUGUAUUCCGCACGACUAACAUCAAUCAAUGACAACUGAACUAAUCAAGAAUUCAUUUGGCUCCAGAAUUUUUGGUUCCAUUGCCAACCUAUAUCAUACCAGUCAUCGCAACACACCAGUCAAGAACCUUUUCGACUUGUUACACACGAUUGGUCCAUAUUCCAUAUUAUAGUUGUUCUUGUUAACUAAAAAUUCACAAACGUUAUAAAAAGGAAAGAAACAAAAGUGAUUAAUUAUAGAAGUUGAUAAACGUUAUAAAAAGGAAAGAAACAAAAGUGAUUAAUUAAAGAAGUUGAUAUAGUUUUACAAUGAAAGUCAAUGUUGGAACUAAAAUCUAAAGUGAUCAAGUUAAUGUCCUUCACGUGAAUAAUGGAAACAUUUUGAUGAAAAUUUCAGUUUCGUAGUUAAACUCAUGUUCGGCAAUCACACGGGCUAGUAUUUUUUUUUUUAAAAAAAAAAUUACAAUGUUAGUUUCUCUUUGAUUCUUGAUACGCGCAUUUCUGUCUCCAUAUUUUGUUUUUGUGAUUUUAGUCUUCAGACUUUAGAUAAUUUAAUUGUAAUUUUGGGUCAAUCCCCUAUUUAGAAUACAUUAAUGAUAACUGUUAAAUAAUUGUAUUUUGUUAAAUAUCAAAGAAUUAAUGUUUUGUUGAAUUUUGGCGACAGAUAUAAAAAAUGGAGGUGUAACAAACAAUUAUUUCCUUACCUUAUCUAUCUUUUAGUUAAUCACAUUUAGUUUUUUUAGGAUAGUUGUGUUAUUUCUUUUCUUUAUUUUGAAUUUGUGCAUUUUUAUUUUAUGCAUUUUAAUCCCAGUAUUUUAAAUUCAGUCAUUGAAUAAAAAUUGCAUGAUAUUUGUGAAGUCACUAUUUAGGCUUUUUUUGAAGGAUUCAACACUUGAAAUGCUGCAUGACAAUUGUGAAAAUACUGGUUUCCUGGAAGCAAGAGUCAGUCAAACAGUGGGACAUGAAUCACAAAGAGAGAAAAUGUUAGCUUGAUGGAAAGAGAUCAUGUUCCGGUAAGCCGAUAACUUUAUCUUGUCCCGAUGAGCUGUGUGAACUUAAUUAUGAGAGAACGUUUGUUUUUAAAAUCCUAAUUUUGCAUCAUUCUCAUACUGUUAGAUUAUUUACAUAAGGUGGAUAUGAUCAAGGCCAUGUUUCUUUUUUAAUUUAGCCACUUAGCCAAAAAGCCAACCUGUGAUGAAAUUUAUCCCUUGCACCCUUGUUGAGCCAAAAUUAGUAAUUAUUUUUCUAAAUAAAACCCCUAAGCCUAAUUGUGAUAUCUCUGACCUUAUUUUAGGGUUCUAAGAGAGCAUAAGGAUUUUAGUCAUAAUAAACCCCUAAUUUGGGGGAUGGGUAGAAUGAAGAUGGUCUUGGGAAUGUAAAAGUAGCACUUAAUAAGGCACAAAAAAAAAAAAAGAAGCUUGUAAGCCAAAAGUCUCUUUCCUAAAAUAAAAAAGAAAGAAAAAAAGAAAAAGAAAAAGAAAAUAAGGGCAGAAAAAAAAAAAGAGGUGCCAUAAGUGCUAAGGUUGGAAAUAAGAAAAAUAGAUUGUAUAUGUGCUAAGGCUGAAAAACAAAUAAAGCCUAGGCUAAAUAUAAGUUUUUCUAGGAUGAAUGCUCUCUUAUAAUUCUAAGUUCUUGAAAUCCCAGAAAAACCAUGAUUUCUUGCUUAGCCAGGCCCCAUUACAAGCCAAUAAAAGUCCUUAGUGAUCCACCAAAUGUAAGUAAGAAUAACUUUGAUUGAGAUGAAGUGCAAAAUUUGGGAAUCUUAAUUGCAGGUCGUAUAAAUUUUAAACACUCACCCUAGACAUUUGUGCGCAGAGAUAAACACUAACCUUGUGAGAAAAGUGAGGCAAACCAACUUGAUUGUUUCCGAUACUAACCAAUUUCAUCUUAAUGUAAUUUAUGCUUCCAUUGUGAGAUUAUGACAAAUGCGGAAAGGACCAGUUGGAGAAAUAUGAGAAAUUGCAGCCAUUGAAAGUGUUGAAGCAUUCAGAGUCUGCUUUUAAUUUGAUUUGCUUGGGGACAAGCAAAGUUUUAAUUUGGGGAUUUUGAUAACUGCUAAAUAAUUGUAUUUUGAUAAUAGAAAAUAAGGCAAAAUUGUCUUUAAAAAUAAUUAUUAAGCAGUUAUUUGCGCUUAAAUAUUAAAGAAUUGAUGUUUUGUUGAAUUUUGGCUGCAGAUAUAAAAAUGGAGGUGUAACAAGCAAAAAGGCCAGAAAAAUUGAAGAAAAGAAGAAAAUCUGAAAUAGGCCCAGCCCAAUACGCGCGCUGAGCGCGCGUCACGCGCUAAGCCUGCAACACGUGCGCUAAGUCCGCGAUCCAACAGAAGCACGCGCUAAGCCUGCAGCACGCGUGUUAAACCCACGAUCCAACAGAAGCACGCGCUAAGCCUGCAACACGCGCGAUCUGCACGCGUUGAGCGAGGGGGUGUUGCGCUAAGCGCGCCUACGAAGGCCCAAAGCUCACUUCAGCAGCUAUAAACAGAGAGUCAGUCCAAGGACAAAACACACCACGACAGAACCCCCUCUCCUAGGGGUUUCAUUUACUCCUACUCUUUCUUUCACCCCUCUUCUCAUUGUAAAGCCCUCAAUGGUCAUGAGUGGCUAAACCCCUAGUUAAGGUCUGACAGGCCUAAAAAGCCCACGCGAUGUAUGAUGUACUCUUCACUAUUUAUCAAUGCAAUACCAGAUUUUUCUUUCCUAUUUUCUUUUCUGUUUUUAUCUUGCAUACUCAUCUUUAUAUUCUGUUAGGGGUUAGAUGCUCGGGAGAGGGUAAUUUCUAAAUAAGAUUUAAAGAAGAUAUGCAUGCAUUAGUUUUAGAGGUUAGACGGUCGGGAGAGGAUAACUUCUACUAGAACAAGAAGAAAAGAUAUCAUAAUAAAAUCAUUACUAGACAUAGAGUGAUUGCAUUGUGCCAAUGUGUCAAAGCAAACAUCUAGAAUUAGAACUUUAUCAAUUUUAUCUAUUGAGUCUUUACAAAGGCAUUUAGGAGAUAGACAUAGAACAACCUGAAUUGAUAAAUAAAAAAUCAUAAACUCAUACAUCCUAGACAGACAAGGCAAGUCAGUUCCUAACACUAUUUUAUCUUGAAUUUAUCUUUUAUCUAAAUAUUUUAUCUUUCUAAUUAUUCUCUCUUUUUCUUUAUCUUUUAAUUUUAUCUUUAAUUCCUUUAUCUUUUCCUUUAUCUCAUAAUUUUAUCUUUAAAUAUUUUAUCUUUUCUUUACCUUAUCUUCUAUCUUUCUUUAUUUGUUAUUUUAAAUUUAUUAACUUUUACUUUUAAAAUUGGGUUUGCAUUAAUCUAAGUAUAAACAAAGUUCCUAUGGAUUCGACACUCGAACAACUUCCGAGUACUUUAAUACGUGUGACAAUUUGGUGCACUUGCCAACGAGUCAACAGUUAACAAUUUAACUUAACUAUAGACUAACGAUGUGACAGUACUGUGAUGAGAUAAUUAAAAAAUUUACAUUCGAAAUUUAAAAAUAAUUAAUUAAAAUGUGAAAAAAGAAAUAAAUGUAUUCAUGCAUAUGUAUAUGUAUUCAUGUGGAUAAUAUUUUAUAUAUAAAUAUUUAUGUAUAUAUAUUCAUAUGCAUAUAAAUUUUAUGGAUGGAAGAACAUAAAUUAAAAAAUAAAAUACAUUUUUUGUUCUUAUAAAUACUAAAAUAUUAAAAAUUUAUCCUUAUAAUUUUUUUUAUGCUCAUAAAAUUAAAAUGUGUCAAUUUUUAACUCUAUCAAAUUUGGUGUCCUAAUUUACAUCCAAAACUAUUUGUUCAUUCACUUGAAAUGGUAAGACAAUUUUAUUUUCUCACAUCGGUUGAAUUUAUAAUCAAUAUAAGAAUUUCUCUUAAAACCAAAUAUUUUACAUCCGUUAAUAUUAUAACUGAUGCAAAUAUUCCUCUUAAAACCAAAUGUUCUAAAUCGAUUAAUAUUAUAACCGAUGCGAAAAUUCCUCUUAAAACCAACCACUUACACACCCAACACUCCAUAAGUCGAUGAUGAUAACACAAACUAAUAUCAACGUGACUCUCCAGUUAUAGUCACAUUUCACUAGUUAUCUAUAUCAUUGGAAUAUACUAUUUAUAUCCAUAAAGAUUGAGGAACGAGAGGUAUGUCGAAGUGUUAGCGUGGAAGCUGUUCACCAAUAGGUAGAAAAGCUUAUUCUUUCAUGUGCUCAUUGCAGCCAAUGUAGUGAUCCUAAAAAAACAAUUAUUUGUGUGUUCGUUAUAGGUGUUGAUUUUGGUGGUUGAGAACUUGGUAAAAGAUGAAGAAGGUUAAAAAAGAAUGGUUAAAAAAUUGUGAUAAUUUUUUUUGUAUUUUGUGAGGGAUUUCAACCUCUAGAAAUUGUAACGAGUAGUCAGUCAUGAGACUAAUGAAGAAGUGACACGUCAACAAAAGAGUGACACAAAAGGUUUGGGACCCAAUCAAGUCUAGCUCUAAGCCCAAAUGUGAUACAUUUUAAUUUUACAGGGACAAUAAGCAUUUCAAAAAUUGUGUAGGGAUAAAUUUUAAACAUUUCAAUAUUUAUAGGAAAGAAACAUAUUUUAUUUAAUUGAAAAUAAUAUCAAUUUGAAAACUAAAAAUUUGGAGCUGAUUUUUCAUAGACAUCUUCCCCACUUGUUUAAGAGCCUCUUCAAAAUUUUCCAGCACUAGAUAAGGGCCGGGACAGAUGGAGAGGAGGGUAGGAAGAGGCCCGAGCCCACCUCCCUUGGCACUUCUCAUAGAAAUAGAUAUAUUUUUAGGUUAGAUAAAGUUAAAUUGUGUAAAAUUAAUUAUUUAUGUUAAUAUUAUAAUAAUUAUAAUAAUGAUUAAUUUUAGUUAAUUAGUACAAAAUUAUUUGAUAUUAGAAUCAAAUUGUAAUGGUUAAGCUGAUAAUUAGAAUCAUAUUGUGUUUGUUUUUUUUUAGAUAACAAUUAAGCUUAUUAUCAUUUAAAAUAAAAAUUAAUUUUACUUUUUUGUGUAAAAACAAUAAAUAUUUUUUUUUUAUAAAAGUAUUACUUAUAAAAAAUUAGACAUUUAAAUAAUUAUAAACAAAAAAAAAUAUUUAACCGCCCUUUAAUAGACUUCUGGAUCUGUCCUGACUAGAUUAUGUUCUCAAAUUUAGCUCAUAAAAAUUGGGUAAGUAGAAUUACUGUCAAAAGUUCCACCUCGUGGCUGUGUUUUUGUUGGGUGUGGUUGUUGGGUAGUGAGGGUUUGAUUGGAUUUCAGUUGCAGCAGAAAGGGUAAAUUGGGAAAGAGAAGGAAAAAAAUAGAGGUUCAAUUUUCUCAUGCAUUGGACAGGGAGGCAUUGGGGGGUAAACCUCAAGUUAGGGCUUUUUUACGUGAUUGGGAUAAUUAUUUGAAAAUUUUACAAAAAUAGAUUUUUUCUACAGAAUAAGUCAUGUUUUAAAAACAACUUCCAAUUACAAGUCCUGUUUUAAAACACAACUUUUGUUUCUUUUUUCUUUUCUAAAUAAUAGAAGUCGUAUUUUAGAAAUUGAUUUUGGUAAUUUAGAAUUAAAAAAUGUUAGACAUGUGCGAGGAUUAAUUUGGUAAUUGCUUGAGGACUAAUUUGGAAAUCUGGUACGGGACUUCACUUUCAUAUCUGGCACGGGAAUAUUUUGAGAAUAUUUAGAUAAACAACUUAAUAAACAGAUAUUUAAAUUCAAUAAGUUUAUCAUAUGAACACUUAUAAGCUUAACAAACAAGCAUAUAUGAAAAUAAGUUAAAAAUAACAUGCAGCUAGGAAUGUCAUAAAUUAAUCAACUUUUGUAUUUAAAUUCUUAAAUGUAUAUCCUUGUAUAUCUACAUUUUGGUUUAUGUCCAACUAAGAUUUCAUGAGUUUUAUCGCGCUUCUAACAAGGUAAUUGUCACAUCGUUGCUUGAACUUGUGUCUUUCCGAUUUGAGCGUAAAUCUCCUUCACCUAAAAAAUUUCUCGAAAUGAAGCCAUGUUCUUUAGGCUCAACCAAUUCCAUGUGACUCUCCAACAUCAGAAUCACAGAUGCCAUUGUAGGCCUAUCUUCUGGGUACUGCUGCACACACAAAAGGCCAACAUGGAUGCAACGUAAUACUUCGGAUAUAACGCACGACUCCUUCAUGUUUGAGUCAUCAAUCAAAUCUAGUGCCCUUCCCUCUUUCCAUAAUGUCCAUGCCUGUCCCAUAAUAGCAAUAAUAAAAAUAAAAGAUGAUUAUUUGAUAUAUUUCAAUUUGCAAUACAUAAAUCAAAGAUGGAUUCAAGUUCUUACAUGACCAACGAGGUUAAGACUCUUAUCUGUCUGAUAAAGUCCUUUAUUUCUCUUGCCACAUACAAUCUCCAACACUAAAAUGCCAAAGCUAAAGACAUCAGAUUUCACAGAAAAUGACCCAUCAACAGCAUACUCCGGUGCCAUAUACCCACUGCAAGACAUGCACACAUUUACAUCAAGAAUAAUUCACAUAUUUGUAAAAAAGAAAAAUGACUUUGAAUAAUGAGUCACUUACCAGGUCCCAACUACUCUACUUGUGUUUCCUUCAAAUUGGUCUCCACCAAAAGUUCUGGCCAUUCCAAAAUCUGAUAUUUUUGGACUAGAAUUUUCAUCGAGUAGAACAUUACUUGCUUUCAGAUCUCUAUGAAUAAUCCUCAGUCGGGAAUCUUGAUGAAGAUACAUAAGCCCCCUUGCAAUUCCACAGAUUAUGUGGAAUUGUUGAGGCCACUUUAGCAAUUUUCUUUUUUUAUCAUCUGUUUUAUUCAAGCAUAAAUGUUAUUCAAUGCUGAACAUGGAUUAAUUUUGGCAAUAUGCUUAUUUCACUAAAGUCAUUAGCAACCAAAUGUAUGCUUUGUUUAUUUCCCAUACCAAAAAUGAAGGAGUCCAGGCUGCCGUUUGCCAUGUACUCAUAAAUUAGCAUUUUCUCUUGUCCUUGAAUGCAACAACCAAGGAGUUUUACAAGAUUCCGAUGCUGAAGUUUUGCAAUUAAUUUUACUUCAUUUAUGAACUCUGUCACUCCUUGCCAUGAGCUCCUUGAUAGAGUCUUUACAGCAAUUUCUUGCCCGUCAACUAAUAUUCCCUGCAUACUAUUGGCCGUGAGUAGAAACUUUCAAUUAAUAUAUAUAUAUAUAUAUAUAUAUAUAUAUAUAUAUAUAUAUAUAUAUAUAUAUAUAUAUAUAUAUUUCUUUUCUUUUGUGGUAGUUCUCAAAGAAUGAUUACCUUGUAUACAGGUCCAAAACCACCUUCUCCAAUCUUAUUCUCCAUUGAGAAGUCAUUAGUGGCAGUUGUAAUUGUCGGUAGAUCAAACAGUUGGAUGUCCAGAUCAUCCAUAUCUUUUUCACUGUCAUAUUCUGUUAAUGAUUUUCCUACAAAACGAAGGAAGGCCUCCAAUAGUUUUAUAAAAUGUGUGGAGGAAUUGAAAUUAUAAAUUAAAAAUAAUAAAAACAUGAAAAUCAACGAUGGAAAAAUAAUUUCAUUUUGUUAAAUAUCUUGCAAGGUAUUAAAACUCAAGAUCAUGUAAUAAUAUAAGAUACAAUAACAUUUUAAAAUGUUACUUGGCCUUAACUUUGCUAUUAGAUGAUUAAACCAUGAGAGUUUCAAAUUUCUGAUUCUUUAAUAAAAAAGGUUUGCGAAGAAAAUGAAAUCAUAAAAAAUUAAUUUCAUUUCCUCUUGAUUCAAUAGGCUAGGACAUAAAAAAAUUGUAGAGUAAACUGCACGAAGUCCAAUAUAUAUGAAAAAUAUAUAAGUCCAUAUUUCCUAUAAUUAUCAGGAUAGAAAUACAACCACUUGUAAUUUCUUAUAAAAAGAAUAGUAGGUAGUAUUACAUAAGGAGAUAAAAAAGCAAACAAAAUCAAUGUUGAUAAAGGAAAUAAUUGCGUAACCAAUAAAUAAAUCUCCUAAUUUAAUGAAAUGAAGUUUGACUAACACCAUUAUUUUUAUAAAGAAGAAAAGUGCAGUGAAACGGUGAGUAAACAACUAUUUACCAGCAUUGUUCCUCCGAAUUCUGCAAAUAAAAUAACUACUCAGUAAAAGAACCCCACAGAUUGCAGCAGUGGUAGAAGCAGCUAUCGUUGUGGUCUUCUUCUUGUGCCUAUAUACAGAUUCUGGAAAGUUGGAGAACCCAUAAAAUAAAUAAAAAGGCUGAAGUUAGACUGAUUUUACACUUUCAAAGUUGCAAAUCGAAAUGAUAAGAUCAAAGUCUAUGAUGCUUACCUAACUCUGAAGCAGGCAUCCUGAUAUAUAGAUCUUGACCAGCAGUUUGAAGCUGUUUGAUGUCAAUUAGAUCUCCAAACCACAUGACACAGCCACUACCUGCACCUCUUAUGUCUGAAUUAGUAUAGGCCAUACAAGAACAAUUAUUCAAACACUUAACUUUGCAUUCCUCUAGACCAAUACUCUCAUCCAACCAAGUGUGUCUAGUAUCUGGAACCUUGAGGCCUUCAUAUUUGACAAACCCAUCUGUGAGUUUGUCUUUGCAGCUUAAUGGUUUAUUGCGGACACAUCCUUGACUCCAGCCAGAUGAAACCCAUGCUUCUGGUGACUUUGGACUAAACCCUUUCAAACAUUGGCACACUUGUGUCUGUGUGGUCAUGCAAUUCCCAUAGACUCCACAGAGACCAUAAGUGUCACAGAAGUCUUUUGGAAGUGACGUGUAUAUCCUCCAAUUUUGAUCAUCCUCCACCCAUACAUAGCGAUAGAUUGUAGUCGAUUCGUUCAUUACAAUUCUGGACAUGACAUCAUUUGUGGGGCUAAAGAUGUAGUAACUCUCCUCCUUAUUGCUGAAAAAAUUGAAGCCAAAUAUGGUGUUAUUCCGAAGAUCUGGAACUCCACUAAAAUAUAGGCCAUUCCAAGGUCCAAACCGGUAUACCUUUUUGGUUCCCUUCAUUAUAUAGAACUCAGGAUAGCUAUAGAGUUCGAGAUCCCGGUAAACGUCUCCCGGGGAUGGAUCAUCUGGACUUUUCCAAGCUGUUAGUCUCCGGUCCAGACCGGUUCGAAGGUCCCAUCCCAAUUUCAUCCCUGGCAAGAGUGUAUCAGAUGGAUAGUCAAAGCUUUGCCACAAAUAAGCUUCUGGGUUUGUUUCUCCGUCAUUUCUUAUCACAAGAUUGCCACUGUCCAAGAGCACUGCCACCGGAUUCUGUGCUUGUUUGUGAGAGUUGUUGGUGUACCAAACAAGAGACUCAUUUUGUGCGAGAACAAAAUUGCCCGUGUUGUUGAGUGUUAAGAUGCCUGAGGAAUCAUUGAUGGGGUUUUCCCUAUUAGCAACCCAAACCACUGUCUGAAUUGGGAUAUUCUUGUACCAAAUUCCCAGAUAACGUUUUUGCGAACUACCCGGGCUGAAAAACCCAAGUUCAAACUUUCUAGUUUUUGAUACCAAGGUAUCGCCGUCUCUCAUAGACUGUCGCAAGUUGAUAGAAUCAUUUGCUACGGAAAUUUUGGGAAAGGGGACAAGUAUGCAUGUAAAUAAAAUUAUGAAAGAAAGGAUGUGCAUUGGGUCAGAGCUUUUGUGGUACUCCGAUAUUUGGAUAAUGAUGAUAUGCAUGGAUUAAGCUGUGUAUCAUAAACACUAAUUAAAAUGGGAAAUUCGGUAUAGGCUGAGAGGGUUGACUUGUUUUGUUUGUUAAUUCUAACAUGUUUUCCAAGUCAAGCACGAGCCCCAUUUUCUUUGGACCGAUGAUAUAUAAAAACAAUCAUGCAUUUACAUUAUAGAUUUCAUUAACAUCAUAUUCUUACAUCUUAUUUUGAAUGGUCAAUGUUAAAAGAUACCAAGUCAUAUGAAUUUUUUAAAUAUAAUAUGACCUUAGAUCUUAUUUUAAAUGGUCAAUGUUAAAAGAUACCAAUUCAUGUGAAUUUUUUAAAUAUAAUAUGACUUUUUAAAUAAAUAAUUAUAUGACAUUAAAUUUUGUUUAUUCAUGUCUAUAUGGUCUAGAUGUGUUUCUCUUACUCUAAUAAAACUAUCUCUCUGACUAAUCAAAUAUGCCCUGUAUAUAUUUCAUCUUUAAGACAUUUAAAUGUUUUUGUUAUCCGAAAUUUUGUCUAAUAAUUGCCAAUUUAUUAGAUCAUUCAAAAUUAAAGAUAUUUGAAAGAACAAGACGUAAUAGAAAUAAAUAAAGAUUACAUAAUACACAUAUUUGUAUUCGUGUAUGUAAAAUACAAAUUAUUGAUGAGGUCAUUAACGAUAAAAAAAUUAAUAAAAUAAUUUUUAUUUCAGAACUUAAAUUAAAUAACAAUCAUUCAACCUUUCUUUAUAGUCUUAUUGUUAUGGUUAAUAUGCUCCCAACGCUUGAAAAUUAAAUUUUAGCUUUUAUUUCAUGUUAAACUUUCUUGAGAUAUUGAUAGAACACAAUUAAUUUGAUAUGUUCUCAUUGAAGAAUAAACUAAUUUGACGGGAAAAUGAUAUUUUGUUUUAAUUUAUUACGGUGAUGAAUUAGAAAGACAGACAAGGAGAGAGAGGAGACUGUUUAGUUUUUGCUUAUAUUGUUUAAAUUUGUCGUGAAGAGAAAUUGAUUUGACAACUUUGCUAUGUGAUGGAAGUGAAGUCUUUUAAAUAAAUACUUAAAUUAGCCUCUAAAAACAAGGACACGUUAACUAUAAAAAAUAUUUAAUCUCUUAAAAUUAUAAAUAUGAAAUAUUAAUUUUAGUCCUUGCAUUUGAAGGAUGGAAUGACUAAAAAUUCAAAAUGACCAUUUUAUAAUUUUAAGAAAUUAUAUAUAACAAUUCUUAUAAUUAAAUUAUAUAUAACUUUUAUUCCUAAAAUUUUUGUAAUGGAUCAAAAAUAAAAAUGACAUUAUUUUUAAGGACCACAUGCAUAUGUUAGUCAAACACUUAUGCAAAAUGACAAAUAUAGGAGACUUUGAUCGAUGAUGAUGUUUUCGGGAGACUUUAAUAUGCAAUUUGGCCAAUGAUUUUUUCUUCCUUGUUAGGCUAAACUAUUCGGAGAAUCUUACCUACUCUAAUAUCUCAUCCAUACAUGUAAUAUCAACUACAACUAUACAAGUCAACAAUUCAUGUAGCUCUCUGGAAUCAAUAUCGGUACUUAGAAUAUAGCAGUUGGAAGCCAUAGUUGGCUGACUUGACACACUCUGAACGAAUAGCAUCCUCAACAUAUAGCCCUUUGAUCUUAUUAUUGAGCAACCUGUUUAUUCUAUAAAUUUUCCGUUAUUUUAUAAACAAAAUUUAAAUAAGAAGAUAUUUAAUACCUUGAAAAUAGAAAAUAUAUUUAACACUUAUAAUAUAAAUUAAAGAAGCUAGCUAGAAGAUUAUUUGAAUAGUGGUGAAGGAAGAGUGUUAGAUUUAUUGAUAAUAAUCUUUUUAUUUAUUUUUAAUUUUUUAUUCUAUCCUCAACACAAUCCGUAACAAAUGAAAUUAGCAAAUUCAUAGUUUAUCAAUGACUUAUAGUAUUAUUAAUUAGUUAAUAAAUGAUUUGAAUAACAUUAUAUAAAAAAAACUAAUUUACGAAUACGGCCUCAAAAUGUAAAUAGUUUUUAAUUUGUGUUGGUUUAAAUCAAGGAAGGAUAUUUUUUCUUAAUAAAGAAGGUGCUAGGUGCUAACAUACUUCUAAUUUUUUAGUGAGUGUAUAUAUUGUCAAAAUUUUUGGAGGGGGUUAAGCUCUGCCCCUAAGUACAAAGAUGUUGUAGUGUAGCGGAUGAUAUACAUUCUAAUCAUUCUAAGGUUCAACAUAUUAUAUGAAUCAACAGAAGGUGCAACUUAAAUGAGAUGACAUGGCCAUGGUUGUUAAACUCACAUUUUAUAUCGUAAAAUAGUACGAUUUUACGAUUUCACUAAGGUUCAGCGAGUUAAAUCGGAAGCAUAAUCGAAAAUGGAGUAGACUCGUUCGAUUUAGCACAGACUCAGGCGAGUUUGGGUAGAGUCGCAAGUCUGCUACUUACGAAAACUCUGAACGACAUCGUGCUGGUGUUGAGCUACUCACUUACAAAAACCCGAAAUUGACUCUGUGUUGAGCUACUCGUGACUCUGUCUGUGUCUGCCACUCUGCCUUGUUCGAGUUCUGCUUUGAAAGUCCUCACUUGCUUCAUGGUGGUCCUCGUCAUCGUUGGCCCUCACUCGCGACUCUGUCUGACUCGCGUCAUGCUGAUCCUCAUCAUCGCAGAACAUUGAAACUUAAAAGUCCUCACUCGUCGAAAGUCCUCAUUUCAUGACCUAGCUCCAAGCUUUGCUCCAUGACACUAAGGUAAUUUCUCCUCUCCUUUAUAGUCAUAAAAAAUCAGGGGCUAAGGUGUUUUCUUUCUCAAAGAAGCUUCAAAUUUGUUGAAAGUUUAUAUUGGGCAUAUAGAUAAUCAAAGACCUACUUAUGGAACUUGUAAAUAUUUGUUCAUUCAACAAUGUCAAUUUCUAAGUAAUCUUGGAACACUUCAUUCAUGGCCUUGUUGCAUUCAUUAGACCAUUCAAAUUGUUUGCAUGUUAUAGAUUGUCAUAGAAGCCAAUACAUAAUUAGUAAGGCAUAGGUGACUAGCCUUAUUCAAAAGGUUCCCCUUCCAUGAUGCCAAUUUAGAUUUCACCACACCAUUAAAAUCCGCAGAUGACACUCUUUCAGAAAAUAACUUUGAACCCUAAGUACUUGAUAUUGCAAUGAGUACAUCUAAUGUUCAAAAUAUUAGUAACUUCAUCUCUAAUUGGGUUCGGGACACCUUUUGAACAAAUAAAAUUUGACUUGGCCAGAUUAAUCUUUAGGCUAGAAGCCACAAAAAACUAAUCAAGAACUCCAAUCACUACCUUAGCUUGCUCAUUAGAUGCUCUUCAAAAUAACAUCACAUCAUCUGCGAAGAGGAGAUGAGAUAAUGGUAGGCCCCCUCUUAAGAUAUGGACAAGGUAAUCAUCAGUCUCUAGGUUCCUUACCUGAAGAUGUGAACAUAUCCAUUUAGAAGGCAAUGAAAUCAUCUGGGAUGCAUGUUCUCCUAUAAUUUUUAGUUUUGCACAAAAUGUGUUGUUCUCUAAUCAUAAGUGAAGUUUCAAUAUACUUUAUCAAGAGGAUUUGAUGAAACUUCAAUAUACUCAAUUUCUUAAUAAUCCUAACCUAACUUUGCCUGUCAGGUGUACUUUUGGAGUCUACCUAGCUGUGCUGAUAAUCAGGUGAAGUUCUAUUGAUAAAGAUACAUUGUGUUGUCUUAACAUCUUUAUGCUGAUGAAUUUGUCACUACCCGUAAAGGAUAGUACUAAUAAUAGAAAUAUAGCAACACAGCAAAACUGACUGUUGAGCUAGUUAUAUUUCUAUUGUUUGUGCUAUCAUCUAUCAUUUACACUAUCCUUACCCUCUAUAGUAUCUUGAUGUAAACUAAUUAUGAUUUUAUAAAUCCAUGCACAGCUUAGGAUUGUGUCCUGCAAACUUGAUUCUGAUCUAGAAAGCAGUAAGAAGCAGCACACCCAACUUGUAGACCAAUGUGAGGAGCUAAAGCAGGGGCGAGAGGAAUUUGUAAGUUAUAACAUCUCUCUUGCUAGAUUCCAAUAAGACAUUUGAAUUAUUUCUUUUUUUAAGUGUUUUUAUUUUAAGAACUUACGUUUUAUGUCGUAUGAAUUUAUGUUAGAUUGAGUGUGGAUUGUGGAAUAUGUUAGUUUAUUGAAUUAUUGUUAAAGUUUAUUAUUUUAGGGUUGAAAUAUUUACUUAUGAUUUUAUAUAAAGAAAUAUUAAUAUAUUUUUUUUAUUUGAGUAAACUCUUACGAGUUUACAAUUCGAUUCUACGAGUCGAGUUUACGGAACCUUCACGAUUGUACGUAGAAUCAGAGUCUUAUAACCUUAGACAUGACCAUUACUGAAGAAGUACAAAAAUUGUUAGGAACGCUGUGUGAGAGAGAAAGAGAUAGGAAAUUCCUUGGAUUCGAGGCCAAGACCUCCUAACAGAAUAUAAUAUUCAAGGUUUAGUUCUUUUCACGUGUUUUAUUCAAGUUGAGAUAUCCUUUUUAUACAUGAGUAUGUUACGACCAUGAACAGCUUUUCUAACUAAUUCAUGUGCCCAUAUAACAGACUAACUAUUUCCUGUUAAUACAACACGUGGUCUUAUUAUCACAUGUGAACUAGUAUAACACGUAAUCUUCUAGAUGUUUCGGGCGUGUGGAGUUCCUUCGUCUUUGUUCAUCGUGACUGCUAUCUUUCUUAUCUAUGUUGGUGCUGCUAACAUUAUCCGACCCUGCGAAACUCACCUUGUCCUCAAGGUGAUGGGCAUGGCGGACAUCGUCCCAUCUCUCCCACGUGGAGUCUUCAGGGGUGAGACCAACCCAUUGAACAAGGACCAUACGAGUUGGAGGGUUGAUGGAGGAGUCCAUCCGAGAAUCGAGAAUGGCUAGUGGCUCAAGUAUAGGAUGGGGAGAGGAAGUAUCCGCCGGAAGGGGAGAGGUUGGAAGGUCGAGAGGGCCGUGAUGAGGUCGUAACAAAAAACAGUGGAAGACGGGGCGUAUACGGGAUCCUUCAGGGAGUUGCAAACGGUAAGCAACGUUGCCAAUGCGUUCUAUGAUCGGAAAUGGGCCAAGUAGCGCUUCAUAAGUUUAUGGGGCCGCUGGGAACGGAGGGAGAGUUGGCGAUGAGGGCGAAGCUUAACAUAGACUAACUGGCCUAUCUCGUAUUGAACAUCGCGGUGCCGCUUGUUUGCGAAAUGCUUCAUCUCAUCCUGUGCUUUAUGGAGUUUGCGAUGAAGAGAGGCGUGGAGCUCAGUCCGUGAGUGUAAAAGGGUGUCAACUGCGUCAUUCCGGGAAGAACCCAUGAUGUAUCCCAGAACAGAAGGUGGUGGUUUCCCGUAGAAUAUCUCGUAGGGGGUGACUCCAGUUCCAGAGUGCUGCGAAGUAUUAUACGCCCAUUCUGCGAGAGCGAGAAACUUAUGCCAUUCUGCCGGACGCUUGUGGUCGAAGGACUGCAGGUAUUGCUCGACGGUGUGAUUCAUUACCUCUGUUUGACCGUCUGAUUGAGGAUGGUAUGCGGUGGUCAUACGGAGGGUGGUGCCGCUAAGUCUGAACAGCUCACGCCAAAACGAACUGAUAAACACGGGGUCGCGAUCCGAUAUAAUGCUGGAAGGGAAACCGUGAAGCUUACACAUGAUCUCUAGGAAAAGAGUGGCUACUUUAAAAGCUGUGAAUUGAGUUGGCAAAGCACAAAGAUAGAGGCCCUUCGAGAAUCUAUCGACGACCACCAAAAUGACUGUGAAACCGUGAGAGCUUGGGAGAUGGGUGAUAAAAUCCAUCGAGAGGUCUUCCCAGACACCAGUGGGGGGUGAUAUUGGUUGAAGUAUCCCAGCUAUCUUACGGGUCACGUGUUUGACUUGUUGGCAGACUCGACAUUCGUGGAUGAAGGAUUUGACAUCAACGACCAUGGUGGCCCACUGGAAAUUAGAACGCAGUCGGUGAUGAAGGGAUUGUGUGGUAUUCAUGCAAUAGAGCAGGGAUUGCGAGAGUCAAUCCAGAUGGCGUUCUUGAAGAAGAUGAGCUCAUUGGCGAUGGUGAAAUGUGGGUGAUCCUCUGGGUGAGCCUGAAUAGCUUCCUUCAGCGUCUGAAAGUCAGGACUAUCUAAGAGGGCUUGCUUUAGCUGAGUGAGGAAUUCGUGGUGAGGCACGGAGAGGAGGAGGCAUUGGGCUUGACUGGUGUGAUCAAUACGUGAGAGAGAAUCUGCCACGAUAUUGGAUGAUCCAGCUUUGUAUUGGAUGUCGUAAUCGAACCCGAGAAGCUUUGCCAAAUAAAACUGCUGUUCCGGGGUUUGAAUGACCUGAGACAUAAGGUCAUGGAGGCUGCGGUGGUCGGUGAAGAUAGUAAACUUAUGGCCGAGCAAGUAUUGGUGCCACUUGUGGAGGCUUGUUGCAUUCGUGGGCAAAAGGGUUUGCUAAAGAAUGCGAUAGGGUGGCGCUGUUGCUGAAGGACAGCGCCCAUGGCCGUGCCGGACACAUCUAUUUCUAAGGCGAAGGGCAAGGAAAAAUCUGGAAGAGCGAGAACUAGGGCUGCCAUCAUUGCGCGUUUCAACAUGAGAAAAGCCUCUUGUGAUUCUGGUAGCCAUUGGAAGGCGUCCUUGCAAAGUAAACGAGUUAGCGGUGUAGCAAUAGCGGCGUAAUCUUUAACAAACUUCCGGUAGAACCCAGUGAGGCCAAGGAAGGAGCGGAGUUCUUUGGCCGAUCGUGGUGCAGGCAUGUCAAGGAUAGCCUGUAUUUUAGAAGGGUCGGGUUGGACGCCCUUCUCAGAGACGACAUGGCCCAGAUAGUCGAGCUUGCGCAGGCCGAAGAGACACUUAGAACGCUUAAGGUAGUAUUGAGCUUGAGUCAGUGAAGCGAAAACACGUUCGAGGUGAAGAAGAUGAUCUGGGAGAGUCUCGCUGUAAAUGAGAAUGUCGUCAAAGAACACUGUUGCAAACUUCCGCAAGUGAGGACCAAGCACAGCGUUCAUGGCGGCCAGGAAUGUCGACGGCGCGUUGCAAAGACCGAAGGGCAUGACCCUAUAUUCAUAAUGCCCGUGGUGAGUUCUAAAAGCGGUUUUAGAAAUGUCCUCUGGGGCCAUUAAUAUUUGGUGGAACCCCUGACGUAAGUCGAUCUUGGAGAACCAAGAAGCGCGGCCGAGCUCAUCGAGGAGUUCGUCUAUAGUCGGAAGUGGAAAACGGUCCCUCACAGUGAUUGAAUUAAGUGCCCUGUAGUCCAUGCACAUUCUCCAUGUUUCGUCCUUCUUCUUAACCAGUAGGACGGGGGAGGAAAACGGACUGCGGCUUGGUUGGAUGAAGCUUGAUUCGAGAAGGGCUGUGACUUGUUUUUCAAUUUUUGUUUUCUGAAAAUGCGGAUAUCUAUACGGACGGACAUUAAUAGGGUUAGCUGAUGGAAGGAGGUUAAUAUGGUGGUCAUGUUGGCGGGGAGGGGGAAGGGAAGAGGGUUGGUGAAAUAGAGAACUGAAAUGGAGUAGGAGUUCAUUAAUGGUGGAAAUGGGGUGAGGUGGGUCUGGUGGUGGUUCGAUAGGGUUGGCUGGUAAUAAGGAUAAGUGAAAGAGGGCAGACGUUGACUGAGUAUGUAGCAUACGUCGUACCUGAUUAGCGGAGACUGGAUCAGUGUCGGACUGGACGCCGGCGCUAAGGGUGAUGGAGUGCCCUUGGUGGCUGAAGUGCAUGGUGAAGGCGUAAUAAUCCGUGAUGAUCGGUCCCAGGGUACGCAACCAUUCAACACCUAACACGAUGUCCGCUCCACUUAGUAGUAGGACUCGUAAUGUGACGGUAAAGGUGUGGUCUUGAAUAAGCAGCUUGGUGGCGGGGGAAAGUUGUUGGCAAUCCAGAAUGGAGCCGUUACCCACCAUCACUCGAAGGGGGGUUGUGUCUUCCAAUGGUAAGUUUAGAAACUUUGCAACCCUAGGUUGGACAAAGUUGUGGGUACCCCUACUGUCCACCAGGAUGAUGACAUGCGCAUGGUUGACCAGACCGUAAAGUCAGAAAGUUUCAGUGGCGGGUACGCCGGCCAUGGCGUGUAAGCUGAUGUGUGGAUGAAGAGAUGUGGGAUCAAAGGUAGGGGAAGGGUCGUUAGGGAAGGGUGCUGUGAGGUCUGGUGUGGUGGAAUCGGGGGAGGGAGGGUUGUCGGAGGCCGCAAUGAAGAAGAGAACGCGACCCUUAUAACGGUGUGAUGAGUUCCACUUCUCAUCCCAGUUGUAACAACGUCCCUUUUCUCGUCGAUAUGUCAUCUCUUCUUGAGUUCUCUGGAUAAAAGGUGUUUUAGGGCGAGGUGUGGAGGAAGCUAUCUGAGAGGAGGGUGUUGGGUUGGGUGUUGGUGAGGGGGAGAACGAAGGACGAGAGGAUCUCCGACGAUCAUUGAUCUUAUCCUCCUGGAGUCGUGCCAGAGCAGUAGCGUGAGGGAGUGACGCCAGUUGCAAAGCUUGAACUUCGCGGCGGAUUUCGGGGUUAAGACCCGAAAUGAAACAGCUCAGUAAGACGGAGGGUGAGAGGCCGACGAUGCGGUUGGCUAAUCUUUCAAAUUCUGUGAGAUAUUCCGUGACUGAACCGCGCUGCAUAAGCUUGAAUAAGGUUCCCCUAGGAUCAUCAUAGAAUGAUGGGGCGAAACGAGUCUCAAUAGCUUGAAGAAGGGCGGACCAGGAGGUGAUGAAACCAUUCCGGUACAUCCACUGGAACCAACUGAGGGAUGCUCCGUCGAGGUAAAAUGAAGCCACCGUGAUGCGAUCCUCUUCCGGCGUUCCCUGGUAUUCGAAGAAUUGGGAGAUUUUAAAAAUCCAUCCCAAUGGAUCAUGGCCAUCAAAGCGUGGGACUUCAAGCUUUACUGGAGGUCGGGGAUGACCGGAGCGCUGGGUCGAGGGGUGAGGCGCAGAGUGCAUCUGAGAUAAUUGCUCGUACAUGGCGUCGACCUUACUGGUGAGGUCGGAGUGCUUCUCGGAGAGGAUGGAAAUGGCGUCCUCUAGUCUGUCGGUAGUGGUACGACGAGUCCCGUGUUCGGCCAUGGCGGUGGCACGGUGUAGCAGGUCGGACCAAAGUUGUUAGGAACGCUGUGUGAGAGAGAAAGAGAUAGGAAAUUCCUUGGAUUCGAGGCCAAGACCUCCUAACAAAAUAUAAUAUUCAAGGUUUAGUUCUUUUCACGUGUUUUAUUCAAGCUGAGAUAUCCUUUUUAUACAUGAGUACGUUACGACCAUGAACAGCUUUUCUAACUAAUUCACAUGCCCAUAUAACAGACUAACUAUUUCCUGUUAAUACAACACGUGGUCUUAUUAUCACAUGUGAACUAGUAUAACACGUAAUCUUCUAGAUGUUUCGGGCGUGUGGAGUUCCUUUGUCUUUGUUCAUUGUGACUGCUAUCUUUCUUAUCUGUGUUGGUGCUGCUAACAAAAAUGCUAUAUCAUUUAUUCACACUUGAGAAUACCAUCGACUGAGGAGUCCUAAGGCCUAAGAGGGACCGAAAGAAAACCCAAUGAGCUAUUAUUCAACGUAAACCUUGGUGUAGCAAGGAGGGCACUACAACUAUUUAUGUUUAAGGGUGGAAAAAUUGAUGUAUGGGAUAAUUUUUAAUCUGGAUCAUAAUGGAUCCCAUCAAAAUAAAUUAUUAAUUUAUUUUGAUUCAUUAAAAAUUAUUUAAGAAAUUCAAUCCAAUGCUAUCCCUUUUAAAAAUUCAUUGAAUUCAUCCAUUAACAAAUUUUUUAUGGAUGGAUAUCCAAUUUGGCCAUAUAAAUUUUAAAAAUAAUUAUUUUUAAUUUAAAAAUAAUAUUUUGAUUUUUUAAAAUAAUAACAACUCUGACAAGUGUCGAUUGGAAAUAGCUUUGGCCGAUAACGGAGAAAAAUUGCCUUGAUAGAUGUUGCUAAAAAACUUCCCACAUGUAUGUCAGCCAAAAAUUCUCCUUGCCAAUGUCAAUCAAGAAAUAACCUCAACCGACAUUAACUAAAAAUAGUCUUGUGCAAAGAUGACUGGAAACUUAAAAAAAAAAAAUAGUAAACGACAUCAGUCGAAGAAAAUGCUAAUCAAUGUUAGUCGAAAAAAUCAAUAUGUUACAUUUGCUGAAAACUACUCUGAAUGACAUCAUCCACAAAAAAACACUAGCUGAGUUUCAGCAAAAUUUGCCUUGGCUUAUGUUAGUCAGAAAAAAAAAAGCCAUGGUCAAAGUGAAUUGAAAAUUAGCCUACCUGAUGACAAUCCAAAAAUUUCCCAAUUGAUGUCGACAGAAAAGUAGAAUUGGUUGACAUUUGCAGAAAAUAUCCCCAACACUUGCUCUGGCCAAUGGCAAUUGAAAAAUAGUUGCAGCCAAUGUAGGUCAAAAAACAGUCCCAACUAAGAUUGAUCGAAAGUAGCCUGGACCGAUGUCAACCAAAACAUAACCAUGAUAGAAUGAAAUAUAUUUUUAAAACUUAUAAAAUAUACUUUUUGAAGAAAUUUUUAAAAAUAAAUUUAAGAACAAUUUAAAUAUGAAAUAAGUAAGUUAAAUGAAUUUUAACCCAUUAAGUAUUGAUUGGUGAAUCUAUUGGAUUUUGAAAAAUAGUGGAUGAAUCAUUAACCAUUAACCAUCCAUAAAUUAAAUGGAUGAAUUGGAUACAAACCUUUUACUUUUUCUUUUUUGCAAUGGAUGGAUUGGAUGAAUGACAAUUAAAUGGAUUGAUUUGUCACCCCUAUUUAUGUUGUGGUUCUCUCUAACAAUUAUCAUAUUAGAUGAUAGUGGCGAUAAUCCACUGCCUAACAUGUUACAUGGAGUGCCCCAUGGCACUACUCGUAUGUGCAUUUGUGGUGGUGCUUACAAUGUUUACUUGUUAGAAAAUGGUGUUCCCUCUGUAGUUUCCACACGCUUGUAAAUGCAUUGAUCCCUUGUUUGGACUAUGUAACAUUCAACUAAUUGAUAACCACAUUGUAUAGAUGUCGAGAGGAUCUAUGUACUUAAGGGAAGGGUCUUUGGUCCAUAAAAGGUAACAAAGAGAGUGAAGGCUUCUUGAAUCGAGGUAAAUAUGAGUUGACCUAAACAGGUCGGACAAGUCCAUUAUAAGUGUAUAAAUAUAAAAAGUAUUUAUACAGUUUGCGACCGAAAUAAAUUGUGGUGGCUAAUUUGCAUCAGCGACUAAAUUAGAGACUGAAAUGCAGGGUUUCUUAGAUCUUAGGUUGCUAUUUUAGUCCCUAUAUAUGUAUAAAUACAAAAAAGUAUUAUAGCGACUAAAAUAUACUUGAAAAUAGCAACAAAGUAUGAUUUGGUCGUUAUGUUAUGAUGAUAGCGACAGAAAUGUUUCGGUCGCUACAAGACUAAAUAUUAUAUGACAUUAGCGAUCAAUUUUACUUUUAAAAACAAAUAAGACACUAAAUUUUUAAUUUUUUUUUGUAAAUGAUAAUAAAUGUAUAAUAUACUUAAAUAUAUUUUAUACUUGAAAAUUAUUAAAAUAAUAUAUUAGUAAUAUUUUUAAACUAACAAACCAAUAUUUUACAAUAUUUUAUAAAUCAUAAUAAAUAUAUAAUAUUUUUAACUAUACUAUGAUACUUUUUAUUAAAAUUAAAUAACCAAUAUUUACAUUAUUUGCAUACCAUAAAUAAAUCAUGCUUAUCAAUAGUCUUUUAAUUUUUGUUUUUUGAAUUUAUUUUAUAUAAUUAUUUAAAAAUUAUCAUAAACAAAUAUCCUUUAUAUUAUGAAAAUAUGUCAUAAUCAAAAUUUGUAAAAUUAAGUAUUUUAAAAUACAACAUAUAAGUCUAACACUAAUGAUUCAGUAAGGUUCAAUAUGGUGUGAGUGGAAUUUAUGUAUUGGUAAGUGAAGAUAUAAUUUGACUUUAUUAUAAUAUGUGCACUAAAUAGGCUUAAUAAGAUGCAAUGCAUAGCUUAUGCAUUCACUAAUAUUUCCAAAUUGACUUUAAUUUAAGGCUUAUUUGGAAAAUGCAUUUCCCUAUUUUUUUUAAAAUUCGCUGAUUUGAACCAUUAACUAAUUGUUUCAUUAAAUUUUAACGUUAACUAAACUAGAGAGUUGACCAACAUUUUCUUAAUAAAACUUUAAGAAUGCAUGAAAAUAGCCUGUGAUAAGCACACUCCUUUACCACUACACCCAAGUACUCAUUUGAAUAUUUUGUACAAAAUAUAUUAUUAAUAUAAGUUUUAUGCGAAAAUAGUUCAAAAUUAAAAUUUUAUUCGUUUUAAUUUGUUAUAUUUUUUUAAUCAUAUAUAUUAUCUUUUAAAAUAUAAUAUACAAGAUUAAAUUCUAUUUUCAUGUAAAUUAUAAUAUGUAUAUUUAUAUAUGUUUUAUUUUUAUUUUUAAUAUUAUAUUUAUCUUUUAAAUUAACGAUUGGGAUACGGUGAUAACAUUUUUUUUAUCUAUUUUAAGAUAUUCAUGUUAUCUAUUGUAGUAUAGAUAAAAAAAAUACUGUUAAUAAAUCACAUACAUAAAUAUUUUAAUAAAUAUAAAAUUCUAUCAUUUUAUUUAAUUACAUGUCUUUACUAUAUAGUUUAAUUCUUUAAAAAAAUUACACACAUGAUUAAAUAGAGUUAAAUAUAAAUAAAAUUACUGUCAAAAAAAUAAACAUAAUAUCUUAAUAUAAGUAAAAAAAGUAUUGUCAUUAAAUCACAUGUAUAAAGAUUUUAAAAGAUAAUAAAUUAAAAAAUAAUAAAGUUUACUUAUUCUAAUUUAUGCGAAAAUAGAAUUUAAUCUUUCAUAUUAUAUUUUAAAAGAUAGUAUAUAAGACUAUAAAAAUAUAAUAAAUUAAAAAAGAAUAAAGUGUAAAUUUUGAACUAUUUUCACAUAAAAGUUAUAGUUAUACUAAUACUAUAUUUUAUUCCAAAUAUUCAGAUGGACAUGUAGGUAUAAUGGUAAUGGAGUGUGCUAUUUAUUUCUAGGACCAUGAUUCUAGUCAUUACUCAAAUAAUUUUUUUAAGUUCUUAUUUUAUAAGAAAAUAUUGAUUAACUUUCUAGUAUAAUCAAAAUAGAGGGACAAUUUAUCUCUCACUUAUUUUUAAAAUACCACUUUUUUUUAUACUGAUAAAACAGAUACCACUUUUUUUUUUUUUUGAGAUAUCACUCUCACUUGAUUAUGUAAAAGAAUCAAGCUCAAGUUUUCUUUUUAAUUUUAUAUAUUACAUGUUAAGUUUCUUUUUUAAAUUAUCUUGUAUAAAAAUAAUUAUUAAAUAUUAUAUUGAUAGUUAUAAAAUAAUUUAAGGAAACUUAAUAAAGAUAAUUGAGUUAUAAUUAACUUAGAAAAAAUUAAUAAAAAUAAUUAAAUUUUGCUCACUAGCUGCUACUAUUUGUGUCAAUUAAUAUUUUGAUUAGAUUUUUAAUACAGAUCUAACAUAUUUAGCUUGAUCAAUGAUAUUCCAUGUGUUGUUGAAAUUGUGACUGAUAGGAAACUAGUUAAGGACAAACCAACUAGGAAUAGUGGAAGCAAGUAUGGGGAAAUGCUAAGGUUUGUGUGUUUCUUUUCUAGUGUUAUUGUUUGUUUGUUUCUUCAGUAUCAACACUCUUCCAAAUACACUUAUUAGCUUAAAUUGUUAGAAAACCAUAAUUUUGUAGGUCAUAUUUCUUAUUUAAUUAUAAAAAAAUAUCCUUUGAAUAUACUUUUUUCAUUAUAUAAAAUGUGUUUGAUUCUGUUAUAUAUCAAACAUAAAAAGAAUUGAAGAAACUGAUUCCCCACCACCAAAGGCACCAACUUCUCCGCAAUAUAUAUUCACCGGUCAUGAUGAUGAUGAGGCAAACUCACUGGCAGCCCUUUAUUAUCAUAUAUAUAUAUAUAUAUAUAUAUAUAUAUAUAUGAGAGAGAGAGAGGGAGAGAGACAAACCUAGGCUAAGGUUUGUAUCUUGCAUACUAAUUGAAACGAUCGACAAUUAAAUUACAUUUUAAAAUAAUUCUUAUUUUUAUAUAUUUUAAAAUUAAUUAUUAUGUAAAUUUUGACAUGUAUAAAAAAUAUCAAAUAAGUUUAUAUUAAUAUAAGAUUUUAUAAAUAAAAUCAGUACAUAAUAAACUAUAGAAUUGUGUAAUUAGUUUUGUCUUAGCUAAAAUUUAUAUUAAUCAUAUAUUAUUUUACAAAUUAAAAUCAAAAUUUUAAAAUAACAUAUUAAUUAAUUCCAUUGAAAAGUUGAGAAUGUCAAGAAUAAUAGUGAAACUUAGUUCCUUCUUAAUUAAAAUUUAUAUUAAUCAUGUAUAAUUUUAUUAAUGAAAAUUAAAAUCUUAAAAUAACAUUAUUAUUUUUUCGAAAAAUAGCAUUAAUUUUAAAAAUUAUGUAAAAUAAAUGAAUGAUCAAAGUUUUUUUUCCCUCUUCCCAACCAUUUGGACUUUAAUUUCUUGUUUGGUCUACUAGCUCCCACUAAUGUGCCUUAGGGAAUGGCCCCUCCAAUCUAGGUCUAAGCUCAACCCUAGUUUUAGGCACAUCAAAUUAAGUACUAUAAAAUUAAAGAUAAAAAUUAGCUACUAAGAAAUGAUCUAAAAACUUGAAAUCAAAUAAGAAAUUUCUCUAAGUCUAAGUGUCUUUAUGUUGGAAUUUUGAACAAAUUUCUAUUUGAGACUCAGCGUAAUUGUAACAUUCAUAAAUGUAUUUCUAUUACUUGUAUUUAUCAAGAUUAGAAAACAUCCCAUAAUUUAGGUGUCCCUUUCCUUUUGCUUGUUAUCUAUGUUUUAGAACCUAUCAAAAAAUCUGUUUAGGAAGACUUACGUAUCUUCUCACAUGUAACUCUAUUUUCCGACUAAACCUUUUCUUUUAAUGGAAGCAAUAACCUAGGCAAUUCUUUUACUACUAACGAAAUCUGUUGAAUUCAAUUUCACACCACAUACAAUCUUCCAUUUCAAUCACAAGUCAUGAUAUUGACAACAAGUAUAAUAUGAUUCCAAAUCAAACACAUUUAUGUAAGGAGUUUUAUUUUUAAUUUUUUCAUGUGCAAGUUGUAACAAAACCACAUUUAUGUAAGGAGUUUUUCCCCUGUAGUCAAUCAUGUGGUGGCUAAGGUAGUGACAUCAAAAUUUAAAACAAUUAGAUAAAUAUUAAGCAAUCAAAAUUCACAAUUUAUUAAAAAAAUAACAUAAAAAAUACUAGGCUAAACUCAUCAUUACUUAUAUGUGAACUUUAUUAAACUUUGACAUUGCAUUUUAUUUACACCUUAUCAAUCUAUAAAUUAAAACUUUGUUAUUAGAUAUAUUUACUCAUUAUUAAUGUCCACUUUUAUUUAUAAGUUUGGUUAUGCAAUUUAAUUAAAAAUUAUAUUUACAAUCAAUAAUUAGUAAGUAGGUCAAAAUGUAACAUGGAAAAAUAAAAAAUACAACAUAUUUUUGUUUAAUGACCGAAUUUGAGAUUACUAUCAUAUUUUAAAUUCAUUUAAUAUUUAAAAAUAAGCACAUAUACCAACAUUUUUAAUGUCCACUAUCAUAUAUUUUUUUUAAUUACCAACCUGUAAUUAAUUCAGAUCACAACUUAUCCUUGAAAGUUGUAAAAGAACACAUAAAAUUAGUCAUGCACCAUAAGUUAUAAACAAGGUAUAUAUCAAUAUAUCAUGCACCAAGAGUAGUUAUAAACAUUUUUAAACAAAAUAACUUAUAAACAAAAAAUUACAAAUUGAUAAAAUAUUAGAGUAGUAAUGUACUUUAAUUACAAACAAAGCCAUAAUAAAACAAUGUUAAAAGUUCCAUCUGGGAACCAAGAAGCAAAUUUUGUGAUUGUGCAAAACUCUUCCAUCCAUUUCCAAUUCUUGCAGUCUUCCUAAGAUGAUUAUAAACUAUCCUACACUCUGUAAUCUCUUGCAAGUUCAGAUGGAUGAAUCUUAUAGCUUUCAUAAAUGAGUACAUGGUACUCGGCACAUCUUAAAAUUAAUAUGAAAUUCAUAUUAGAUAAGAAUAUGACUUCAAAAUUUGACAUACUGAUGAGUGCUUAAUUACUCACCAAACUACUGCAGGUCAUUUUGUACUCAGUUAGGAGGACUUUAAAAGUGACUGAGUUAGGAAAUUGGUGGUACAAAAAGUGUCAUUUAGGGUAAACUUUUGGUUCAGAGCUAUUUUUAAAGAUGGUGAGGAGGAAAACACUCUGUCCAUAGUGGGUCAAGGUCAUCUGAUGAUUUCCAGUGAGCCCAUAGAACUCUCUAAGUUUUAGGCUCGCAAGAUAUGGGUUAUAUGUGACAGAGUGGAUGUUGCAAAUAGAGUGUAGCAGAUGCCAAGUAGACUCUAGUUCAUCCUUCCAUCUUACAGUAAAUUACCUACUCAUUUCACCGUAAGGCUACAUUUAACAAGCAAAAUAAUAUAACAAAAAGUGUUAUAUCAAGUCAUGUUUAUUUUAGAAUAGUAUUGAAAUAAUUUAUAACCUGAUCAAUCACAUGAACAAUGUUAAACAUUUCAUUUGAUUCUUUGUUAAUCUUCAUUGUUGUGAUAACCAUUUCCUUCUAGUUCUAUUGAUGUUCAUUAUCCAUCAUUUCUAAAAUUCAUUUACAAUAUGAACACGACAUUAAUAUUGAUAGUUGCUAAUUGUGAGUAUAUUUUGGGGUUAAAUUAUAUAAGAAUUUGUAAUUUUUCUCUCCUAAUUCUUCCUUUUUGGGUAAAUAAUUGUUAAAUUAACAUCAUUUAAGUUUUUGUGUAGAGAAUAUUAAAAGUGAUGAAUUUAUGAUGCUUAGUGAGUAAAAUAAAGUCCCAAAAAGAAGGAUAAUUAAGGAAAACAAUGCUAAUUAAGAAAAAUAUGGCUAAUUAAGGAAAACAGGCUAAUUUAUGAAAGUAAAGACGAGAUUAGCAUGAGUAGCCCACUUAGCACUAAGCUAAAUUUGCACCUGUAAAAGAAGAAGAGAGAAAAAACACAUAGAAAUUCCCAAGAGAAUUCAAUUCCUUAUAUAAGGCAAAGGCUAGAAGAAGGAGUAGCAAGCAUUAGGAAUCAUUCAUUCCCUCCAUUCCCUUUCUUAUCUUCUUCCUUUUUACUAAAUAUUCCCCUCUUGUAAUUGUAAAGCUUCCAUAAUAAUGAAAGGCUAAACCUUUUUUUUUAGAACUUGGCAGCCAACUACUUUUGAUGUAUUUUCUCUUCCUAUCUAUUUAUGAAUAUUACAUUUGCAUUAUCUUUUCUUGUACUUAAUAUUAUUGCUUGUGGCUUGAUCAUCCAUUUUUAUGAUAACUUUUAGGGAUAGUGUUGGGAAACGUUAUUUUCUAAUAGAACUGAGAAGGGUAUCUAAAUAAAGUCAUCGUUAGGGAUAGGUUGAUAUUUGUUUAGUAUGUUAGACAUAUCUAUUCUUAAUGCAAUUUACUAUUUUAACUCUGCAAAGGGAUUUGGGAGAGAAAAUAAAUAAAUUAGGCUCUUUCAUGUGGAGGACUAAGUUAGAGUAUAUUAGUAGAUGUAGGUCUAAAUUGGAAUAAUUAUAAUAGAGAAAAAUCAUUAGCAUUACAUCAAGGAGUAGCUCUGGUAGGCUAUGUUCCCAUCAUUCUCAUCUUCUGAAUUUAACUUCUAUAAUAAUUGGCUUUUCUUUUCCUUUCUGUUUUUAAUUAAUUAAUUUAUAUUCUUGUUUAAAUUCUCCUUUUGUUUGAUUUAAUUUCUGCCAAUUUAAAUUAUUGUUUUCUCAUAACCUUUUCAAAUUAAUUUUCUUUAAUCUCUUCUAUUAAUAAAAUAUUCAUCUACCUAAGUACAAACAAAGUUCCUAUGGAUUCGACACCCAAACUUCUAUUUUAACUUUACUACUUGGGACAUUGGUGUACUUGUCAAUCCAUAAAGAAAUAUGCAUGAUACAUUUGACAUAACUAUAUGAUACCAAUAAGGGUUUAAGGCUACGGCAUAAUUCUCACACCGACACAAAGUCCCAUCAACAAGCAUAUACAAACAGAAACCAGCAUUACCAACAUCAUCAAAACCAAGAACCAGCCUUAGCUUCUCGCUUACCAUCACCAUCAAAACCAAACACAAAAGCAAGAAUUACCAACACCAUCAAAACCAAGAACGAGCAUAAGAAUAAACAACAUUUUACAAGCUUUACCAAUACCAUCAAAACCAAACAAGAAUUACCAAUUGCCAUAAAGCCCUAGCUUCUCGUGAGUGAGUGGCCUUUUGUGAGUGAGUGAGAAUGCUAGAACCAAGCAUUACCAACACCAUCAAAACCAAUAACGAGCCUCAACUUCUCUUGUGUGAGUGAGAAUGCGAGAAACAAGCAUUGCCAACACCAUCAAAACCAAACACAGAAACACGAAUUAUAGAAGACUAGCAUUCUGUAAGCGCGAGAGAGUGAGAAUGGCAAUGUAAGAACGGUGACAUGGAGAACACGAUGCUGCUGCCACAGAGAGUGCGUGAGAAUGAGAGUGAGAAGGAUAGUGCGAGAGUGAGAAUGAGAGCAAGCAAAAACUAGAGGAAGAGACAACUGGUUCAAAAUUAGCGCGAAAAGAUGAAGAAACUUAUGAUUUAAUUUAACUAACACAACAUCAAUUUUAUGGAAAAACCGAUGUUAACAUAAGUUGGUUAACAUCAGUUUUCCCAAAACCGAUGUUAAUGAACUCAUGUUAACAUUGAUUUUUCAAAAAACCAAAAUCAAAAUUUUUAUUAGUAAGGUAUAAUGUGGAUCUAUAUUCAUCAUUGAUAAAAAUAAAUAAAUUUGAAUAAAUUUUUAUUUUUAGUGUUUUUUAUAUUUAUAUUUUGAUUUUGGGUCUAAUUGUUUCUUUAAAUAAUUUUUGUGAAAUUGAAUAAAUAUUUGAAUCAAUAUCAUGAUUUUAUUAAAAAUUUCUUACAUGAAUCAUCUUUCUCUCUGUCUUUCAUUAUUUUUUCUUUUAGGCUUAAUUGCAAAAAUAGUCUCCCUAUUUAUCCCAAGUCACUAAAUCGGUCUUAGGGGAACUAUUUUUGCAAUUAAGUUUUUCUUUUUUCUUUGCAAGAAUCACUUUUAUUUUUUCUUCUUCUUCACUUUAGUGUUAUGUUAUUAUAAGUUUUAAUUAUUAUUAUUGUUUAGGUUUUUUAUAUAUGUUUCAUGUUUUUUUUUCCUAUAACUAUUGUAUUAGAAAUAUUUUAUAUUAUAUUUGUUCAACAAGCCAUGAAAAGAUUCUAUUACUAUGACAAUUUUUUUAAUCAAUCAUACUUUCAAUAAUUUCAUUACAACUUUUUAUUUUACCCACUCAAAUAAAUUGUUGAAUGAUAAUUUUUAACUGUCAAUGUUAAUUUAUUUUCCUUAUAAUACACGUUAUCAAUGUAAAUAAUUUAAUAAUUAUCAUUAAUGUAAAAAAUUUAAUAAUAAUAUUUUUACUUUUGAAAUAUACGCUAAAAAUUUCAAUAAAUAAUUUAAAUAAUAAAAUUGAUAAUAAAUAUUACACAAUAAUAAUAAUAAUAAUACAAAAAUUAUUUAUAUAUAUCAAUCAUAAGAAGGUAUAACUUAAUAUCCUUAUGCAUUUAGAACAUAAAAAUAAUAAACAUCAAUUAAAUAUUAUCAACUUGAAAUAAGCACGUAUAUAACAAAGUAAUUAUUAUUACAAUGAAACAAUAGAAUGUAAUAGUUAAUAACAUUUAAAGAUUAGUAAUAAAUGCAAAUAAUCAAUGAUUUAAUAAAUAUGUAAACAAUAAUAUUUAAAGUUUGAAUCAUAUAUUUAUUUCUAUAAAUAAAUUUUGAAAAAUAAUAAGCAAUGAAAAUAAAAGUGAAACUAAGGGAAAAUAAAUAAAUAAAUAAUAAUAAUAAUAAUAAUAAUAAUAAUAAUAAUAAUAAUAAUAAUUAUUAUUAUUAUUACUAUUAUUAUUAUUAUUAUUAUUAUUAUUAUUAUGAAAUUAAGAUUAUUCAAUUUAUAUUACAUCAUAGUGAAGUUAAUUAAUUAAUUUAAAUUUCAAAACUUUAAAAUAGUCACACAAAAUUAAUAUAUUCAAAAUAAGUAAAAUUAUAGUUUUAAAAAAUAGUUAAUGACCAUAUGUAUUUAAUAGAAUUCAUACUAUUUCAUAAAAUUUAAAAAAUAUUUAAUUUUUUUUUAUCAUAAAUGUAUCCUCAAAUUUAAAUCAAUAUUGUACAUUAUAUAUAAAGAGAUAUGUAUUAUAUUUAUUAUUUUUUAAAUUCUAUGUUUCAUAUUGAUAUUGCAUUAAUACUAUUACUUGGAGAAAAAAUAAAUAAUAAUGAAAUUCAACAAUUUUAAUAAGUUUAAAGAGUACAUAUGUUCAUUAAAAAUAUAAUAUUUAACAUUAUUUUCAAUUUUAAUAUUUAUAUAUUUGUUUCACUACUAAAAGUAUUUAAAAUAGAUAAUUUAUUUAUAUACAUUUAUUUUUCAGAAGAUAUUGUCUCAUCAUCAUUACUUCAACAAACAAAAAAUUAUAAUAAAUUUUAAUAUACUUAAGUUUUAAGAUACAUUAAUUUAAUUAAAAAUAUAAUAAAUCAACUUUCUGAUUAAUAAUAUAAUUAUAUUUAACAUAAUACUAAACAUUUUAAAAAUAUUAUAUAUAUAUAUAUACAUAUAUAUAUAUAUAUAUAUAUAUAUAUAUAUAAUUCAAAAAAAUCCGUGCAACUCACGAAAUUCAAAAUCUAGUUCUAACUUAGCAUCAAAGUCAAGCUCGUGCCCCAAUUUUUGAGGACUUUAUUUCAAACAUUAUGAAUAAAAGAAGGAAAUUUGAUUAAAUCAUGAUGCAUGGUAACAAUAAGAGAAUAUGUGGACAUGGUCAAGCCCGCCAUUAGAGUAAAUGUAAUCUGACAUAAUAACUAAAUCAAUAUGGACACCAAUAGACUUAUUUUGGUUUAUUUUGGUCUUGGUUGCCUUUAUUCUUGGUGGUUUUGCUUCUUUAUAGAGGCUUAGUGGUGACCCUAGUCCCUAGGAAUUGAGGUUUGCAGAGGCUGUGCUGGUUCACUAAUGCGAUCUGUUUUUCUCAAAUCUUAGAUUUUUUAUGUUGGAAGAAGGCAAGUAAUUUUGAGGACUAAGGUUUCGAAAUAUAUAUAUUUUUUCUCUCAGAUAUUACCAUAAGGCUACAUAUAACAAGUAAAGAAAUAUAAUCAAAUGUGUUAUAUCAUGUCAUGUUAUUUGAGAAUAUUAAUCCUGAAAUUUCUAACGUGAACAAUGUUGAACAUUUUCUUUGCUUUUUUGUUAAUCUUUAUCAUUGUGUUAGCCAUUUCCUUUUUGUUCCAUUGAUCUUCAUCCAUCAUUUUUAAACUCCAUUUACAAUAUAAACAUGACAUUAAGUAGAUUUUGUCAAAACUAUGCAAACAAACAAUAAUGAGACCUACACUAUCAAAAACAACAAAAAUCAGAACCAUGAAAACAACCAAAACACCAAUAAAUAUGCAAAACAAACAAUAGAUAAUUAUUUCACUCAAAAUUCCCAAGUGCUCUUGUUUUGGAGCAACCAGAACCAUUCAACAUUUCCUCUGAUCUUUUACCAAAACUAGAACCAAAAACAAGAUUUCAUCGUCGAAAAAAGCUUUCCUUGGACCAUUUGACACUAAAACCUCAAGAACGCUUGCAAUGAUUAUGCAUUACUUCUUUCACACACUCAGUAAAAUUUCAUAAAUUUACAGUGCAGAAUGAGGAAGAUAUACACAAUCCACAAAGCUUCAAGAGAAAAACAUACCAUGAGAUCGAGAGUGAGACCGAGAGUGAUAGUGCCAAGAGCAAAAGUGAGACCAACAUUGAGAGUGAGACUGACAUUGAGACCUAGAUGACUAUGAGCAAGACGACACCAUGAGCAACAGUGACAAUAGUGGUUUCAGCCCCGCAACAGUGACAAAGGGUUCAUGAGGGAGACGAGUGAACUGGCAAAAGCGUGAAAAAUAUUAUAAAUAGGACAAUACAACGUCGAUUUUUUUUCAAAAAAUGAUGUUAACAAACUCAUGUUAACAUCGGUUUUCAAGAAGUCACGUUAUUUAUGAUUAUGCGACAAUGUUUUCGUUUACAUCGAUUUUCUAUAAAAUUGAUGUUAUUCUAACAAUGUUAAAAAUAAAUUUUCUAGUAGUGUUUGUUCCCUAAUAAAUUUUUGCUUUGCAAUAGGUCACUCACAUUUGCAAGUUUUUGUAAUAGGCCCUACCAUUAGAAGGCUUAUGUUAGAUAAUGGCCUAGUCGUUAAAUUGAUAAGUCAACCAACCACCUAUGGUGCCAUGUGUUCCCCAACUCUAAGUUGGAGUUUCAGUUAAGAUAUGAACUUGUUAUUUUAAAAAAAAAAGAAAAUAAAAUGUUUAUCUUGACUAUGAUGCAGAAAAUGCACUCAUUAUAGUUACGGAUCUUGCAACUAUCGACAUCAGUGGCAUCCUAGAUGGUAGGGGGCAACCGUCAGAUGCGGAUUAGACCUAAUGUGAAUCGGGGAGGCCUUCAAAGUGGUGGAGGAGGAUGGGAGUGGCUCGACGGAUUUCGUCGUGGAAGAACUUGACACUCAACACAACACUUUCAUGGUUGGUUAGGGUUUUCAAGUGGUGGUAUGACUUGGAGGUUUGGUUGCUGCUACUGCCUGUGCUUAUGCUUGUCGUGACCACCAUGUUCGCUGAUGGACCCCAACACCUGUACAAACUUUGAUGGCUCUAUUUUUGCAUCUAGGUUUUUGGGAUACACUUUUUCCCCAUUUAAUUGGAUUUGUGUUUUAGUUUUUUUGGAUUUGAGUUUUUUGAAUACCAUGUUUGAUUUUUGGAUCUAGAUAUUUUAGUUUCAAUACAAGAGUGUUUUAGGGGGGAGAACUCUUAGUCAAUUUCAAUACAUGAGUGUUUUAGGGGUAGCUAAUACGCAGAUGAUGUAUGUUGUUGGUGUGGUCGAGGUGGUGCACACGUAGAUCUGGAGAGGAUGGUGGCAUGACAAUGUCAGAGCCAUGAGAUUGGCACCACGGUGGCCACUCAUGAAGAGGGAAGGUUAGCAUAUGGAAGAUUAGGGAUUAUUUGUGAACAGGUUAAAAGCUCAACUCCCUCGGAUAGGAAAUUAUUCUCGUCUCCUCCCGUGCCAUUGAUAUCAACAGCCAAAGACCCUGAUACCGCAAAUUGAUCAACAACGGCUUCACAACCUUCAAAAUGGCGGUGAGUCAGUGACAAUAGUGUGGUUUGUGUUGUUGUUGGUGGCCCUGGUGGGUGUUGAGGAAGAAGACCAACCUUCAGUCUCAAACGACAACGUUUUUAUUUUAAAUGAUCCCUCCAUUUUUAUUUUUAUUUAUAAAAAAAUGAAUAAAAAUAUGGAGCCAAGUCACAUGACACACCAUCAGCUUAGCAAAAACAUCAACAUUUGAUUGAACCCUUUAAAUGACAAGGAUCUACUACAAAAGUUUUCAAAUCCCAUGGACCUGUUGCAAAGGAAAAACUUAUUAGGGAGUAAAUACAAAAUUAGGAUAUAUAUUAAAGAUAAAAAAACAUAUUUAAACCAUGAAUGAAAUAUUGAAGUGAUGUAAGUAAUAGUCACAUUAAAAGGUAGAUGGAAUAUGUGUUUUUCUUUUUAGUAUCACUCAUUAUAGAUUUGAGAAAAACAUGAAAAAAUUGUAGAGUAAACAAUAAAAAAUGGAGGGGAAAUUUAUCAAAAUCAAAACUAAACAUGUGAGGAUAGGUCUUCAAUCCACAAUGGCAAGCAUACAUGCCUAGCUCCAUCUAGCUUGGGUAAGUAAAGAACACAACAAUGCACGUCUGCAAUCUUCGUGCCAACAAAACGAAUUAGGAAUUAUCAAUUUUUCUCAAAAAGGAAACUCAUUUUACUAUAAUCAUGGCUAAUGCAACCACACAACAUGCAUAUUUAGAUAAAGUUUGAUAAAAUUCUCAGGAAUUGACAAUUAAGUUCAAAGAAAGAGGCAUUGAACUUAAACCAUUGAUUUGAUAAAAAACAAAAAAGUCUAGUCUCAUUCCUCUUUAAUUUCCUCCACGCAUGCAUAUAGUAGUACUGUAGUUGAUGAGUUGGUGGCUGGAGACUUGUCUAUUUUCCAUAUCAUUCUAUUAUUUUAAUUUACUUUUUAUCUUGCCACCAACACUGAGUUAGACAUUUCACUAAAGGAAAAUGCUUCAAGAUUUCUUGGAGAAGAUUCUCUCAUGGGUGGAUGAUUAUUUCCUGUGUAGAACCCGGGUUGACUUGGUUGGGGCAACAAUUUUUCACCAUUCAACAUUAAAACUACUGAUGACAUAUUUGGCCUAUCCUCUGGUCUUUGUUGUACGCAUAACAAACCAAUAUGAAUAUGCCUUAAUAUUUCAGAUAGACCAGCUGAAUUGUCCGCUAAGUCAUCCAUAAGUUGCAUUGGCCUUUGCUGAAUCCAAAGUCUCCAUGCCUGAAAAUAACAUUAAAGUCACAAAGCAACUAGUUCAUUUUCCACAUGAAAAGCUAUGAAACACUGUUCAUCAUUUCAUGACCCAAAGUGUUAUUAUUCACAUACAAAUUGAUUUUUUUAUAGACCUACAUGCCCAAGAAGAUUUAGGUCAUGAUGUGGGUCAAUAAAUUCCUUGAUCUUUCUCCCGCUGAUUAUCUCCAAUAUAAUCACACCAAAGCUAUAAACAUCAGAUUUGACUGAAAAAGAUCCAUGUACAGCAUAUUCAGGAGACAUAUAACCGCUGCAUAUAAAAACAGGAGUCCAUAAUGAGAAGCUAAAAGAAAAUGUAGAAUGGGAAAGGAAAGAAGAAUAUAGGAAAACUUACUAUGUUCCCAUAAUUCUAGUCGUAUUUUCUUCAUCUUGAUCUAGCUCAAAUGUCCUAGCCAUACCAAAAUCUGAUAUUUUUGGGUUCAUAUUACUAUCAAGUAGAACAUUACUGGUUUUGAGAUCCCUGUGAAUGAUCUUUAGUUUAGAGUCUUGAUGAAGAUAAAGAAGUCCUCGAGCAAUUCCACCAAUAAUUUCAAGUCGUUUAGCCCAUCCUAAUAAUGCACGCCUUGCUGAAUCUGACAAAGUUUACUUCUAUGUUAGCAUGAAGACUAUUUUAGCGAAAUAAAAAUAGAAGGCUAAAAUUGAUGUGAAGCUCCGACCAAAAAUAAAGUAGUCCAAGCUUCUAUUUGGCAUGAAUUCAUAAAUCAACAACUUCUCAUCUUGCUGAAUAGAACAACCAACGAGUGUUACUAGAUUACGGUGUUGAAGUUUUGCAAUUAACAUGACUUCGUUUUUGAACUCGUCCAAUCCUUGUCCACAAAUAUUUGAAAGCCUCUUAACUGCAAUCUCUUGCCCAUUUGGUAACAUGCCCUAACAAUGAUUUUGGAAACAUUGAAAUUAUUUUGAUCUAGAUAAGUGCAUAGGUUAUUUAAUUUUCUUACCUUGUACACUGGUCCAAAACCACCUUGUCCUAAUUUGUUACUUUCUGAAAAUUGAUUUGUGGCAUUAGAGAUGGAUGGAAAAUCAAAUGCUUGUAAAUCAAUGUUGUCAUCCUUCUCACUCUUGUCCUUCCAACAAUUGGUUGCUAUAAUUCACAAAAUUAUUAGUGAUCUUAUGCAAUCAAAAAAUAUAUAAGAGAUGCUUGUUAUACAUUUAUUACAAGAAAAAGAAUUUAGAAAAUUAAAAAAUUAUAAAUACUAAUUUUGUUAUCUGUUUAUUUUAUUAAAAAAUGAAACAUAAAACAAAAUAUAAACAUAAAUAGAAGUAAAAGGAAACAAAGAAACCUCUUCAAUGCUUUCUUCUAUCCUCAAAGAUUGAUUUUCUAUGUUUAUAGCUUGCAAAACAUUAAUGAGUUGUGCAUCCAAAGAGUAUUUUCAAUGAACUUUUCCAUCCUCAAAGAUCAAUUUUCUAUAUUCAAUAGCUUGCAAAGCAUUAAUGAGUUGUGCAUGGGUUGUUGUGGGGGGAAAAACUAUUUUCUUCUAUAGAUCAUGGAGAUUUUAGAUUCAAACUCUUUGGAAGACACUAGAACUUUUUCCACAACUUUCUGAUAUUCGUUAAGCUCCUCGUUAAGCAAUAUUAUUUAUGUUAUCAAAUUUUUGAAAACUCUUUUAACAGUUUUACUUUCUUACAUAUUUUAAUGCUUUCAACUCGCCUCAAGUCCAGAAACUGUAUUAUUUUUGUUCUUUCACAACCUCGGAACUCCUCCUCCAACUUAUCUCGAGCUUCUUUUGUAGCCUCAAGAUUCAAUCUCGUGAUAAAUACAUCAUCAUAUAGUGUUGCAUGCAUAUUGCAAAUGCUCUACCUUCUUUUUCACUUCAUCAUUAAGAUUCCUUAGCUGAUCAACUAAAGUUGGGUUGUUUGAUAAAGGAGGUGGAUUGCUACCAUUUCCGACCACAUCUCACAUGGUUUGAGCUUUAAGAUAAGACCUCAUUUUUGCAUCCCAUAUAUUAUAGUUUUCUCCUAUAAAUAUUAGAGUUGGAGAAAAAAAAAUUAAAAACGAUUCCUAGAAGCCAUUUUUGUAUUUGAAGGUUAGUUGUGUGGGCUUUCUCUCAAACUAUGGUGAUCUCACAAACCCUAAAAGAUCAAUGAAGCUCUUGACACCAUGUUAGAAAACAAAACAUGGAAUAUGGAAUGGGAUUAAACACAAAUAGCAUACAAAUAAACCACUCAGAUGAGAAAGGAAUAAAACCUAAUUCGAUGUAUUUUAGUUAUGCAUACAAAUAGGUUUUAAAGCAAGUUGCUUAGUUUUUUAUAUAUUCAUACUUGUUUGGUUACAAAAAGCUACGAAAGACCUUGAUUGGGUAAAGCUAAAUGUUAUCAUAACUAAAAUGCAUUAAUAUGCAUAAUUCGCCAACACUUUCUACUUUUAAACUCAAACAAUCUUUAACCAAACUUUCAAAUCAUUAGAAAUUGCAGAGACAUAAUAUUUCAAUAUAAAAGAUUAAAAAUCGCAUUUUCUAACAUAUUCUGGUGUUGGUACAUCAAAUUCAAGAUGCUGCUGCAUAAAAAAUUUAAUAAUAUGAUACGUGCAAAUAAAAAAAGAAAUGACAAAAUCAAUCCUAAUAAAGAAAAAAAAUGUCUAACGUUCCAUUUGGUAGAGUGGAGACAAAUAGGAUAGAUGAAAAAACAAAUGAAAGAAAAGAUACGAGAAAUAAAAUAAAAACAAAGGUGUUUGGUUAAAGAAAAAUUAAAAAAUAAAAAUAAUGAAAGAUAUAUAAAAAUAGGUGAUAAAGUCGUUCCCACAAUUUUUAAAAAUAAUUCCAGCCGUCUUUAUUUUACACCAAAUUAACAACCCAUAUUAAUUUCAUCUUCACUCUUCUUCCUAUUUCUCUCCAACCAAACAAAGGGUAAAUAAAUCUACUUACCUAAGAGACUAUAGGUUGACAUCAUAAUUUUUAUAUUUAGAGUAAAUAUUAAAUUAUUUACAAUAUAUAUAUAUAUAUAUAUAUAUAUAUAUAUAUAUAUAUAUAUAUAUAAAUAAGAAUGAAUCAAAUUACAUCAAUAUUAUAUCAUUCAAUAAUUUUAUAUAGAAUGUAAUUUUAUUUAUUCAACUAUCAAAUUAUAUUUACAUAUUAUAAAUACUUAUUAUAACAAUUUUUUUAAAAUUAAACAAUAAUAAAAAAAAUAAUCAAAUAAUUUAUAUUUUAAUAUAUUUUAAAAAAAUUAUAUUACAUUGAUUUCAAUCUAUAUAAUGACAGUAAAUAAUUUUAAAUCAAUAUAAAUUUUAUGUAUAUGAUUUAUGUAAAAGAAAACUUCAUUCCAAAUUAUGGGUUUACUAAAAGUGUGUGGAUUAACAUUUACCAGCAUUGUUCCUCCUCCGGCUUCUGCAGAAAAAAUAAGAACUUAGUAAUAGAACCCCACAAAUUGCAGCACUGGUGAAAGCAGCUACUACUGGCAUGUUCUUCUUGUGCCUAUCUAAAAUUAUAGUUAUCUUAGACGAUUUUUUAUAGUUACAAUUGAAAAGAGAAGAUCAAAGUUGACGGUGCAUACCUAACUCUGAUGCAUGCAUCCUGAUAUAUAGAUCUUGGCCAUCAGUUUGAAGUUGUUUCAUGUCAAUGAGAUCUCCAAACCACAUGACACAGCCACUACCUUCACCUCUUAUAUCUGAAUUAGCAAAGGCCAUACAUGAACAAUUACUCAAGCACUUCACUCGACAUUCCUCUAGACCAAUACUCUCAUUCAACCAAGUAUGUGUAGUAUCUGGAACUUUCAGGCCUUUAAAUUUGACAAACCCAUCUGAUAGUUUUUCUUCGCAGAUCAAUGGUUUAUUGCGUACACAUCCGCCACUCCAAUACGAAGAUUUCCAUGCUUGUGGAGAAUUUGGACUGAAACCUUUCAAACAAUUGCAGGCUUGAGGUUGAGUACUACUUACGCAAUUCCCGUAGGCUCCGCAGACGCUAUAAGUGUCACAAAACUCUGUAGGGAAGGAUCUGGAUAGCCUCCAAUUUUGUUCACCCACAACCCAUUUAUAACGAUAAACUGUACUUGUAGUUUGGUCUGUUACAGAUCUGACGAUGACAGAAUCAUUUGCAAGGCUAUACGCGUAGUAUAUCUCGUCUUUAUUGCUGACAUAAUAGAAGCUAUGCACGGUGUUGUUCUGUAGAUCAGACAUUCCGCUAAAAUAUAAGCCAUUCCAAGGUCCAAAUCGGUAUAACUUUUUUGUUUUUUUCAUUACAUAAAGCUCAGGAUAGUUAUAGAGUUUGAAAACCCGAUAAACGUCUCCUGGGGAUGGAUCAUCUGGACUCUUCCAAGCUGUUAGUUUCCAUUCAUGACCCGUUCGGAGAUUCCAUCCCAACUUCAUUCCUGGCAGGAAUGUAUCAGAUGGAUAGUCAAAGCUUUGCCACAAAUACGCUUCUGGGUUUGUUUCUCCCUCAUUUCUUAUGACAAGAUUGCCACUGUCCAAGAGCACUGCCACCGGAUUCGGUGCUUGUUUGUGAGAAUUGUUUGUGUACCAAACAAGAGACUUGUUUUGGGUGAGAACAAGAUUCCCUGUGGUGUUGAGUGUUAAGAUGCCUGAGGAAUCAUUGAUGGGGUCUUCCCUAUUAGCAACCCAAACAACUGUCUGGUUUGGGACAUUCUUGUACCAAAUUCCCAAGUAACGUUUCUGAGAAUUACCAGGGCUGAAAAACCCUAGUUCAAACUUUCCACCUUUUGACACCAAGCUCUCCCCAUCAGUCAUGGACUUGGACACGUUAAUAGAAUCAUUUGCUACGGAAAUUCUGAGAGAGGGAAGCAUGCAAGCAACCAUCGUCAUGACAGAGAAAAUGUCCAUUGAGUCACAGCUAUUUUGGUACUCGGUUAUUGGAUAAUGAUGAUGAGGAUUAAGCUAAAGAUGGGCAAAGUUUGAUUUUUGUAUAAAAUUUGGUUUUGGUUCCUGUAAAAGAAUUUUUUGGUUUGGUUUCCUUCUUUCUUUAAAUUUGGAAGCAUUGUUUUUAUCCAUAUUUAAAAUGGGCAAAGUUUGAUUUUUGUCUUAGUAAAAUAUGUUAAUUUAAUAUUUAUCCUUUAAAAUCUAAGUCGUCUAACAUUCAUUGUAAGAUAUAUAAAUAGCAUUUAUUCUAAGGAUUUGGAAAAGAAUUAUGCAUAACGUGAUUUCACAGUGGUAAAUGUCACUUGCAAAUGUCAGUUGACUUUCUAUUAAACACACAGAAUUAAUAGUUUCAUAUAAUAACAGAAACUAAAAAUAAAUUAUUAAAUAUAAUUAUUUAUUUAUUUAAUCAACAUGGUGCACAUAAUUUGAUAUAUAAUAUUUUUUAAACAUGUAGUCAAUGGUGCAUAUGAAAAUACAUCUAUCGAGAAAAUUCUACACAUUAAAUGAGUCUCAAUAGCUUUAACGAUUAGUUUUUGACUCUCAUCCGAGAGAUAUCCUUGGUUUGCAAAAAAAAAAAAAAAAAUUACAAAUUAUUUAAAUCUUUCAAGAAAACCAUAGAAUUUUAUUUCAAAAAAAAAAAAACUGAAAUCCCAAAUCAUUCAUUUUAUGUAAACUAUAAAUAUAUUUAAUCCUUCACUAUCUAUAAGCUGAGAGUGCUUGAUGUAUCUUUGAUUCUUUAAUGUAAUUUGACUUACAACUCAAGCACGUACCUCGUUUUCUUUGGGUGUUAAUUUGUCAUUUACGUUCCCAAUUAAUUCUCAUCGUUGGUUCCAUUUAUUAUAAUUCUAAUUUUGAGUUAUUUUAAAUUUGUUAUAUUCUUCAAAUAUUAGAAAAAAAUAUGAUAUUAUAAUCUAUACCAUGUAAUCACAAUGUAGCUAUUCCUAUUAUAAUACAUAUUGAAUAGUAAUUUAAAGGUUUAAUAUUCAAUUUCGUCUUCUAAUUAUAUUAAAGUGUUUAAUUAGAAUCCAAUAUUUUAAAAAACUCUAAUAAAGUCCUACUAUUUUUGAAGAUGCAUCAAUCUAAUUUUUUUCAUCCAAUUUGGACCUAAUCCCAUUAACUUGCAAGUAUUGACAGUUUAAAACUUUCAAUAAAUAAAAAUAAAAUAUACAAUUUAAAAAUGAAGUUUUAAAACCGCCACUUUUUGUUUUACUCCUCCUUCUCCUUCUCUCACCAUUGUAAACCUCCACGCAAUGGCUCCCAAAUGACAGCCACCGAGAAAACCAUCACCUCGACCAAUAAAAGCACAAACAUAUGGUUCGCUGGGGUUUAGUGUGCCACGGAUCUGAGUUUGGUGUGUCGUGGUGUUUGGCUAUGUGUUUGGUUCUCCUCUCUCACAACCGUAGAUCUGGGUUUGGUGCACCAUUGUGUUUGGCUAUGGGUUUGGUGCUUCUUCUCUUUUUCCCACCACCAAGAAUUUGGUUUUCAGUGCUGUGAUGUUUGGUGGUGUAGGGCACUGGAGAGGUGGUGGGUUUUGGUGAUGGCUUUUCAGGUUGAGGCAUCAGCUUAAUAGGACGAAAGGUACGUGAUUGAGACAUUUUUUUAAAAUUAAAGGACCUGAUUUGAGUUUUUUAAAGUAUCAAGACCUAAUUGAACACUUUAAUAUAAUUAGAGGACUUACUUUUUUUUUGGACGACAAAAGCAUAUAUUACUAAAGAGAAAUACAAAAGAAGAAGCAAGGGCAAAACCUCCUUCCCAGUUCUGAAAACAUAAAGCUCCUGAACAAAUUAAGUACCAAAAAUGAAGCUUCAAACAGAAUCCAUGAUACAUUCCAUAGGAUAUGAGCACCAGUUAUGGAAUGAUAAACUAGAUGAGCACAGUCCCUUGUACUUAAAGUAAAAUAUGUUUGUGAUUUCUAAAAAAUACUCAAAUUUUGAUGUUUGCUUCUUAAUAUUUUUUUUUUUGUUAUUGUUCUUUGAUAAAACAAAAUUUUUAUCUUUAGUCCUUGACACUAUUUUUUAGCAUCCGAUAAAUUAGUGAAUUUACACUUUGUUAUCUGAUAUUUUUUUUUUCAUUUUUUAUUAGUCCCUUUAAAAACGAUCGAUAACAAAUAAUUUUUUUAUCACGAAACAAAUACAAAAUUCGUUAAUUUAUCUCGAAUUAAAAAAAGUGUUAAAGAUAAAAAAUAAAAUUAAUAUUUUAUUAUCUUCUCGAUGCAAAAAAAAAUUAUCAGAAAACAAACACAAAAUUAAGAUAUUUAUUAAAAAUGAAAGACAUAUUUUAGCCUAAAUUAAAUCCACCAUAAUCUUUCAACAUGAAAAAAAACAGCACUAUUAAGAUCAGCAACAACACUGUUUUUGAAUAUUGCACCAUUCUUCUGCAGCCAAAUAACCCAGCAAGUAACAUGCCAUAUCAAAUAUUUCCAUCUGGGCAUCUUCUUCCCCAGUAAAAAGCCAUGCUGAGUGAAAUGUUGUUGUAUCAGAUUGUGUUGCACUAAACUAACUCCCCACCAUUGAUACACUGCAUUCCAUACACGAAUUGAGAACUAACAUUGCACAAACAAGAGAUUUACGCCUUCCAAACCACAAUUACAUUACAGGACCAAAUUGAGUAUUAAGUCUGCUACUUCAAAUCUAUUUGAAAAGAAAAUCUACUAACUAAUAAUGUGGCACUUCAAGGAAAAAUGCUUAGGCCUUUUUGCUAACAUACAUAUUUAUAUUACCUUUAUAAUAGUGAUGUGUAAUUUUUAUGUAUCUAUUUUACAUAUUUUAAAACCAUUUCGCAAACAAUUAACGUUAUAGUAAUGUGUACAAAAUCAUUGGUUCCACAACAUUAAUAAAAAAAAUUCUGAUCAUGGCUGAUAAGGUUAUAUUAGGGGUAAUCCAAAAUUGAAAUCAAAAGGCACUAGGAGUGAUAAGACAAAUGAAAUGCAUAAACACAUAUAUGUAUUUAUGUAUAUAUAUAAAAUAAAUAAUUACUAAAAUUGAUGAGUUUAUUAGUAUUCAAAUAAGUAUCACACUAAUGGUGUAACUUCUUAAUGUACACAAAUACUUAUUAUUUUAAUAUGAGCAUGUUAACAACUUAUAAUUAGAUAUUAUCAUAAAAUAUACUAAAAACAUUACAACUUGCUAACGUAUCCAUAGUAACGUAUAUGUUGGUGAAUCCCUUCAAAAAAUAUUACUUGUGCCCUCUUAAGAUUAUAAAUAUGGAAUAUUUUAGUUUUUAGAUUUGAAAGAUGAAAGAAAUAAAAAUUUUCCGUUUAUUAUAUUCAUAAAUAUCUCUAGUAGCCUUGAUCGAUUAUAUUUCUUUUUUUUGGAUCAAGAUUUUAGUACAUGACUUGGUCAAAAAUAUAUUUCUUAAUAGACUUUAUUAUGUAACCCACGUACAUUUAAUAUCCACGACAACUAUACUCCCUCUAAACCUAAAUAUAAGUAAAAUUAAUUAACUUUUAUGUUAAUUAAUAUCAUUUAAUUUUAGUAUUUACCUUUAAGAAAUAAACUUUUUUUAAGUGUCUAUUUGAUAUAAGAAUAAAAAUAAUCAUUCAAAAUAGAAUCUCAAUUAAUUGAAUGGUAUUUUUGAAAUAAUAUUAUUAAGUACGAUGAAAGUAGUUUAAAUUUGUAUAUAUUUGAGUAAAAAAAAAAUUGUUGCUUAAAUUUAGGUCAGAAAGAAGUACUGGUCAAUAAUUCAUUUUGGUUACAUGUCAACUACCAUAGCAGCCACGGCAAGCGCCCCUUUUGACUUAUUGCACGAUUGGUCCAUUCUUUGGCAUUAAUUAUUGUUGUGAAAAUUGUCAAAAGAUUGUAAAAAGAAUGACCCAAUAGGAAAAAUUAAUGGAGUUACCAUACUUUUAUUAUUACUGUGAAUUAAUUGAAUGGCACUGUAUGGUUUUCUACAAGAAAAAUAUAUUUACCAUUUUCCAAAGUAAUUCUAAUUAACCAGUUGCAAAUAAAUAAACUUGGAAAAUGAAAAUCUUUCUUCAAAACAAUUUUACAAACAUAAUUGUGUUUCAGAAUUUUGAGAUCGAUUUCCAAAUAAUUCAUCCAUAAGUUCCAUUGACCUUUUAUGAAUCAGAGUCUCCAUGCCUGAAAAUGAAAUCAAAUUCACAAAGCAACCAGUUCAUUUUCCAUAUUAAAAACUAUGAAACAAUGUUCAUCAUUUCAUGGGCCAAAGUGUUAUUAUCCACAUGUAAUAAUUGAUUGUUUUAGAUCAUGGUGUAGGUCACAAAACCCCUUCAUCUUCCUCCCACUAAUUAUCUCCAACACAAUCAUACCAAAGCUAUAAACAACAGGUUUGACUGAAAAAGAUCCAUGUACAAAAUAUUCAGGAGGCAUAUAACCACUGCAUAGCAAAACAAGAGAGUGAAAAGCUAAGGUGACCCUUGCUUCGAGUGUUUAUUAUCUGUUUUUAUUUUUUAUUUUCUUUUUCUGAGAAUAUUUGUUGUUUUUAAAUUUUUAUAAUUUAGAAAAUAUGUAUCAAGAAAAAAUACUCUAUGGUUUCAUCAUGUUUUCAUUUCUUCAGAAAAAAUGAAAACACUGAUUUAUUGUUUUUAGUUUUGGACAUGUUUUUGAAAAUAUUUUAAGAGAAAAUAUUUUCUAAAUUUUAAGUAACAUAUUUGCAUUCUUAUUUUCUGUUUUUUUUUUUAAUGAAAACAGAAAACACUCAAACUACCUAUGCAAAACUGGAAAAGGAAAGGGAAAAAAACAAGUACAGGAAAACUAACUAUGGUCACACUAUUCUAAUUGUAUUUGUUUCUGUUGGUAGUUGGUUAGAUGAUAGUUGAUAGUUGGUAGUUUUAGAGAAUUGUUUUAGAAAGAAGGUCAUGUCAUUGAUUUUUUGGAUUGUCAAUUACAACAAACCAAUUGCCUAUUUAUAGGCUCAAGUCACCAACCUCUCAAUGGUGGUGAAUAUUUCUACAUUACUUUAGGUCUUUCUAGAGUUUUCAUGAUAGAUUAGUAUCAUGAUAGUUCUAGAUUCUUCUAUCUUAUACAUACAUUUAUAGUUCUAGAUUGUUCUACCAUAUCCAUACACAUUAUAGUUCUAGAUUGUUCUACCAUAUUCAUUCACACUAUAGUUCUAGGAUAUUCUACUAUUUUCAUACAUAUUAUAUUUAAGAAUAUUCUAGAAAUUUGUAGCAAUUUCAACACUCCUUCUUGAUGCAAAUUUCUGUGACUCCGAGCAUAGCUCGUAAUUCUUCAAAUCUUGGUCUCAGCAGAGCCUUCGUGAAUAUGUCUGCAAUUUGAUCUUCUGUUGUGUAGUAGUCGAGUUUGAUCUCUUUAGUUGCUUCAACUUCUCUGAUAAAGUGAUACUUGAUUGCUAUGUGUUUUGUUCUGCUGUGAUGAACUAGAUUCUUCACCAUUGCAAUUGCUGAUUUGUUGUCGCAGUUGAUUUUAGUAGGCUCAUCUUAUUUUUCUCCCGUGUCUUCAAGUAUCCUACGAAGCCAUAUAGCUUGACUCGUUGCUUCAACAGCUGCCACGUACUCUGCUUCUGCUGUUGAUUGUGCUACUGUAGCUUGCUUCUUCAACGCCCAAGAGAACAUUCCCGAUCCUAGUGAGAAAGCAUAGCCAGAGGUACUCUUCAUGUCAUCUCUCGAACCUGCCCAAUCACUGUCGGUGUAGCCAAGUAGUUCUGGGUUGGUUUCGGUAGUAUACCAUAUACCGAACUCUUUUGUUCCUUGUAGAUACCUCAAAAUUCUUUUUCCUGCUCCAAAGUGUAUUGGACUUGGGCUUUGCAUGAAUCUUGAUAGAAGACUUGUAGCAUACAUUAUGUCAGGCCGUGUAGCUGUCAAAUAUAGGAGGCUUCCAAUUAGACUUCGGUAUUUGGAUGCAUCAGCUUCUGGUGCUCCAUCAUUCUUCUGUAGUUUCUCAUUUGUUAUGAGUGGAGUAGCAACAGGUUUGCAAUCAUACAUCUUGAAUUUCUUAAGUAAGCCUUUUGUGUAUUUAUUUUGCGAGAUGAAUAUCCCUUCAUUUCUCUGACUUACCUCUAUGCCGAGGAAGUAACUCAUCAAACCAACGUCGGUCAUCUCAAAGGUCUUCAUCAUGUCUUCUUUAAACUCCAUCAUCAUCUUAGUAUUGUUUCUCGUGUAGAUAAGAUCAUCUACAUAUAGAGAGAGUAAGAGAGUGUACUGCCCUUGAGACUUGAUGUAAAGUGUAGGCUCACUCUUGCUCCUCUUGAAUCCUCGAUCCAUGAAAUACUGAUCGAUUCUGCUAUACCAUGCUCGAGGUGCUUGCUUCAAACCGUAGAGUACUUUUCUUAGUCUUAACACUUUGUUUUCUUUGUCUUCAGACACGAAUCCUUGUGGCUACUCCACAUAGAUCUCUUCUUCAAGUACGCCGUUAAGGAAGGUGGAUUUGACAUCUAGUUGAUGGAUACUCCAUCCUUUUUAUGACGCAAGAGCUAUUAGAGCUCUUAUGGUAUCAAGACGAGCUACUGAUAAAAUGUCUCAUUGUAGUCAAUUCUGGGUUGCUGUGAGUAACCCUUAGCUACUAGCCUCACCUUGUGUUUUUGUAUGGUGUCAUCAGAGUUGAGCUUUGUCUUAUAGACCCACUUAACCCCAAUGAUAUCUUUUCCGAGGGGACGAUUUACUAACUCCCAUGUGUUUUUUUUCUCGAUCAUCUGUAUCUCUUCUUCCAUUGCCUUGACCCAUACUUCCUGCUUUGACGCUUCUUCAAAGCUUCCAGGUUCAAGUAUGGCCAAGUUACAGGUUUCAUAUGUCCACCAAAGAUCUUACUCGUCUUGGAGUAGACUCUGGUGAUGAUAGUUCUUGAUCUUGUUGUUGUGGUGGAGGUGAAGGUGGUUCACCUGGGUCUUCUUCCUCAGCUUCUUCUUGAGAUAGUUGAGCGGGUAUAAGAACGUUCUUCUCCACCUUUUCUUCAUCCCAAUUCCAAGAAGCGUACUCAUCAACUUCAACAUCUCGACUGAUGACGAGUUUCUUAGUUUGCAAGUUGUAGACACGGUAGCCGUUAGAGAUAUUGCUAUACCCAAGGAAGAUACCUCGUAUAGUCUUGUCUUCAAGCUUGUGCCUCUUCACGUCUGAAUAUGAAUGUAGCAUAUAGAUCCAAAAACCCUUAGGUGCUUUGCUGAUGGCUUCUUCCCGUUCCAAGCUUCAAUUGGAGUCUUGUCUUUUACAAACUUAGUUGGACAUCUGUUGAGUAUGUAAACAGCAGUGUAGACUGCUUCAGCCCAGAAUGUGUUAGGUAGUCCCUUCUCCUUGAGCAUCGAUUUAGCCAUCUCCAUAACUGUGCGAUUCUUUCUCUCGGACACUCCAUUUUGUUGAGGAGAAUAUGCGACUGUAAGUUGUCACUCAAUGCCUUCAUCCUCACAAAAUCUUUCAAACUCGCGAGAGGUGUACUCUUUGCCGCGAUCACUUCUUAGUACUUUUAUCCGUUUUCCACUUUGAUUUUCAACAAGGUCCUUGAACUUUUUGAAUACUCCAAAGACUUAUGAUUUUUCUUUUAGAAAAUAUACCCAUGUCAUUCUAGAGAAGUCAUCAAUGAAGAGUAUGAAGUACUUGUUGUUCUCAUGUGAUGGCGUCCUCAUUGGUCCACAAACGUCCGUAUGUAUCAGCUCCAAUAGAUCUUUCGCUCUCCAUGCUCCGCUUGUUGAGAAAGGAAAUCGGUGUUGCUUACCAAGGAGACAUCCUUCACACACUUCAUUGUUCUCCUUUAUGCUUAGAAGAUCUCUCAUCAUGUUCUUCUCAUGUAACAACUUCAAGGCAUGUGUGUUGAAGUGGCCAAAUCUUCGAUGCCAUAGCCAUGAAUCAUCAACUUGUACCUUCAUGACAAUGUUUGUUGCAUAUUUUAAAUUUAGAGGGAAGCUUUUAUUGCUCUUAUUCAUCUUUACUUGGGCUAUCUCAGACCUUUUAUUUUUGUUGUCUAAGAUUUUGCAUACACCUCCUUCAAAGUGAAGUGUGUAGCCUUUCUCCAUCAUUUGGCCAAUGCUUAGAAGAUUUUCUUUUAGGCUGGGAACUAGUAAGACAUCAUGGAUGAGUCGCGUACCUUUAUAUGUCUCCACCAUGACAGUGCCUUUGCCUUUUGAUUCAACCACACUUCCAUUUCCCAGUCGAACUUUGACUUUGACAGACUCAUCAAUACUUUUGAAAAUAGUCUCAUCCUUGGCCAUGUGAUUGCUACAUCCACUAUCCAAGUACCAUUUUCCUCCAUUUUCUUUUAUUGAGUCUUGAGUGGCGUAGAACGUACAUUGUUCUUGAUCAUGCUCCUCUGCGAUAUUGGCUUGAUGCCUAUUUUUGUUGCGACAAUUUUUCUCUACGUGCCCGAACUUCUUGCAAUGGUUGCAUUGUGGCAUAUUACGGAACCAACAUUUUUUCUCUGCGUGGCCUUGUCUUUUGCAUAUAUUGCAUGGAGGAUUUUUAUCUAUUUUGUUCUUAAGGAAAUUCCUAGAACCUUCUCUUCUUUUGGAAGUUUCUCCAUAAUUUUUCUUUCCUCCAUUUUCUUUGUUUUGGGGAUGAAAUUUAAACUUUGACUGGAAGGCAUUUUCAAUUGUAUCUUCUUUAUGCCUAUACAGUCUUUGCUCAUAUGCUUCAAGAGAGCCCACAAGUUCUAUCUCUGAUAGAGUGAACAUAUCUUUGGUUUCCUCAAUCGUUAUCACGAUUGGGUCAAACUUUUGGGGCAUAGUAAUUAGAAUUUUCUCAACAAUUUUCUUGUCAAGAAUAUAUUCCCCAAAAGCUCUCAUUUGAUUAACUAUUUCUUUAACUUUAGCUAGAAUAGUAAUCUUUAACUGUCUCAGACUCCUUCAUCUUCAAUAGUUCAAAAUCUCUUCUUAGAGAUUGAAGUUUAACGGCACGUACCUUAACACUUCCUUGAAACUCCUCCUGCAAUGUGUUCCACGCUUCUUUGACAGUCUUAGCUCCCAUAAUUCUUGGGAAAAUUGGAUCAGUCACCGCUUGUUGCAAGGUGAACAACGCCUUUGAAUUUUUCUGUUUAUUUUUCUUCAACUCUUUUUCUUGAGAUGCAUUAAGAACUGAAGUAUCCGCGGGAAUGGUGAAGCCUUCUUCUAUUAUGUCCCAUAAAUCUUGAGAUGAAAAAUAUGUUUCCAUUUUAACACGUCAAAAAUCAUAAUUUUCACCAUUGAAGAUAAGGACAGAAAUAGUUGACGAUUGAGUAGUGUUAUCCAUAGCUUAGAAAAAAAUAUUAUUAGAGUGGGUUAAUAGUACAAAGAAAAUUUUUGAAGUAGUUGGGAGGAUUUUGGAAUGGUAGGUAGGUAAGAUAACUACGCCCGGCGGCACCCACCGGGCAGAAUAUGGCUCUGAUACCACGGUUGGUAGUUGAUUAGAUGAUAGUUUUAGAGAAUUGUUUUAGAAAGAAGACUAUAUCAUUGAUUUCUUGGAUUGUCAAUUACAACAUACCAAUUGUCUAUUUAUAGGCUCAAGUCACCAACCUCUCAAUGGUGGUGAAUGUUUCUACAUUACUUUAGGUCUUUCUAGAGUUUUCAUGAUAGAUUAGUAUCAUGAUAGUUCUAGAUUCUUAUAUCUUAUACAUACACUUAUAGUUCUAGAUUGUUCUACCAUAUUCAUACACAUUAUAGUUCUAGAUUAUUCUACCAUAUUCAUUCACACUAUAGUUCUAGGAUAUUCUACUAUUUUCAUACAUAUUAUAUUUAAGAAUAUUCUAGAAAUUUGUAGCAAUUUCAACAGCUUCAUCUUAAUCUAGCUCAAAUGUUUUUGCAAUACUGAAAUCUGAUAUUUUUGGGUUCAUUUUACCAUCAAGAAAAACAUUAUUGGUCUUGAGAUCCUUGUGGGUGAUCUUUAGUUUAGAGUCUUGAUGAAGAUAGAGAAUUUCUCAUGCCAUUCCACCAAUAAUUUCAAGUCCCUUAGUCCAUCCUAAUAUUGUACGUCUUGUUGAAUCUGACAAAAAUUUACUUCUAUUUUAGCAUGAUAACUAUUUUAUACAAAUAAAAAGAUGGAACCUAGUCCAGAAAUAUUAAAAAGCUUUUUGACAGCAAUCUCUUUCCCAUUUGGUAAUAUGCCCUAACAAUGAUUUUUGAAACAGUGCAAUUAUUUUGAUUAAAGAUGAUCAGUGCUAAGGUUUGAAUUUAAUUUUCUUACCAUGUACACUGGUCAAAAACCACCUUGUCCUAAUUUUUUACUUUCUAAAAAAUGACUUGUGGCAUUAGAGAUGGUUGAAAAACAAAAUGGUUGUAAAUCAAUGUCGCCAUCCUUCUCACGCCCUUGUCCUUCCAGUCUUAUAUGUUUUUGUAUUGUCCAAAAUUAUUAACAGAUCUCAUGCAAUAAAAAAAUAUAUUUUUUUUAUUUAUUUUUAACAAGAAUAACAAUUUAUAAAUGAAGAUUAGUCACUUUCACAUUCCACUAAUUAAUGACCUGUUAAAUAAAUAAAAAUAUAGCCUGCAAAGGAUGAUUCAGAGUAGACCUUUAGGUGCAUGGUGACACUGUUUAUAUUAUCACAUGAACAACACUUAGGCGCUUCAUGUGUUAGUGCGGGUCGUUAAUGGUCUCCUCAAACUGAGGGCUCCUUUUUAUUUCAUCAGAUUAAAUAUUUUUUAUUCAUAUAUGUAUAUACUUUAUUUUAAUUAGUAUUAAAUAUAGUGAAAUAUUUAUAAAAAAUAUCAAAAUAAUAUUUUGAUCAACAAUUUUUUUUUUACUUUUUCUAAAUAUUUUUUUAAAAUAAUAUUAUUUUUAUCCUUAUGUUUCCUAUGGAAUUUAAUUUGCCAGAAAAUUUGCAGUCUUUUCCUAAGAUUUAUUACAAUAUUACCUGCGAAAUUAUAUUCACAACAAAAUUCGUAUGAAAACAAAAAAUACUCCUAUAUUUGAUACAGUUGCAGCAAAAUCUGCAAGAGAUUACUGUAAAUAAAUUUUGCAGGAUAAUUCACAGGAAUUUCCUGCAGAUUUAUUUUCGUAGAAAAACUCACAAUUUUCCUACGGUAUUUACUGCAGGAAAAUAAAACAUUUCUAGCUAAUAGAGGUGAAAAUCUUCAAGGUAAGAUGGCAAGGGACGCCUAGUGGACAGUUUGGAUGGGGGUAAAAUGAUCAAUCAGAUGGAAGCAUAGGAACGAUAUAUAUUGUUUAAGGAGAAAAUUUGUGACCUGGAGACAGUAGUGGUCUAGUGGAUCUGUUCAAAAACUGAGCAUGGAGUUGGCUGAAAGGGAAAGUAAAAGGGUUUCUAGGAUCUUUAUAUGAAUGGACAAUGAAACCACUGGAAUGCACGAAACAGCUGAGGUGAAUAAAUUAUGCUAGAAGAAUGGGCUAAUGAGAAUACAACAGAAAGCAUAUGGAUUUGAGGGGAACGAAAAACUGCCUUAUUUGGUGGCACAAAUUCUGAUCUUUAUCAAGUUGACACGUUGGGUUGCAAACUUAUAAGGUAAUAAUUCCAGGGAUAAUUAUAAAGAUAUAUACUGUUGGGUGGAUACGUAGUUAUGUCAAAUCUGGUAGUGAUAUAAGCAUUGCCAUAUCCUAACAAACAUUAAAGAAUAAAAAAUAUCCUACUUUCUUUUUAUUGUUAACAGGGUGUGAUGAUGUAUUACAGGAAGAUAGGUUUUAAUCAAAGCAGUGGCACAAUCAAUUCCUUCCUAUGCCAUGAGCUGUUUCAUGUUGCCUAAGUCUUUAUUAUUUGGCCAUGUAUAAAAAUUCUGACAUGCAAGCAUAGACCAGUUUGAGGUCAACAGUGAGGUCAAAAGACCUUUUCCAUAUUCCUGUGGUCCCAAAGAACAUGAAUUUUGUUUGGAGAGCUAGCAGAAACAUUAUUCCUAUUAGACAAAAUCUGAAAAGAAAUGGAAUCACUGAUGAAGAUGUGUGUCCUUGUUGUGGAGAUAAUUCGGAGACCAUUCAUCAUGCUCUUCUUAGAUGUGAUCACAGGCAAGGUGAAUUUGGUUUGCAUCUUGGCUAUCUAUUAGAAUUGAUCCCUCUGUCUCAAAUUUCUCUGACUGGAUUAACUCUUGCAUAAUGUCCAAAGAAGAGUAGAGGCAACAAACUACAUUUUCUGUCUCCUAUGGGCCAUUUGGCAAAGAAGAACAUAUGGGUUUUUGAGAACAAAAAGCAAAUUUUGCGGCAAACUCUGGCAGUAGCAGACUCUAUGUAUUACCAGGCCAACACAAGCACUGGUCACAAUCACACUCUCAAGAGGUAAACUGGAUUCCGCUUCCAAAUCAUUGCAUAAAAGGAAACUUUGAUGCGUCUUUGAAAGAUAAAAGUGGUACAGGUUUUGGGUGAUUUUAUAGAGAUAAUUUGGGGAAUGUUUUGGCUGCUGCUACUGAUUUUUGUCCCCCACAUUUUUCUCCAAUUCUUUUUUUAAACAGACAACCUUUUUCAAUCAAUGCUAGAAGUUUUUUUUACUAUGCAUCAGAGACAUUCUUUUUUUACUUAGAAACAGAACAAACACAUUUUAUGAGGAUUAAAACGAACAAAAAUUACAAGAUCAAAAAUGAAAAAAAUUAAAUUACAGGGACAACCUUCGGAUCUAUAAGGCUUUGAAUCAAAUUGAUAAUGCCCCUCCUCAAAAUUAUUUUCAAUCAAUGUGACAAGAUUGCAUAUCCAACCAAUCAAGUUUCUCUGUUUGUGAGCUGAGUUUCAGUAAGAGAAUGGGUAUCAUGCAUGAGAGCUGAUAGAUUAGCAAAUUUAGCUAUAUAUCUCCUUUAAUGAAAUGUUUUGGAUGGAGGACUAUCCCCACCAAAUUGCUUCUUAUAUAUUAGCUGAUUUAAAUAACAUUCAUUCAUCUGGAAUAUAACAAAGGUUUUACAUUAAAAAAAAUUUGCUAUCUCACUCAAUUUAAAUUAUCUAAUUUCUUGAAAAUACUCAUUUUAUUAUCAACCACAUUACUUGAUGACAUGUUUGGUCUAUCUUCUGGUCUUUGUUCUAUGCCUAACAAACCAAUAUGAAUAUUUCUUAUUCUUUCAGAUGGACAAGCUCAAUUAUCGACUAAUUAAGUCAUCCAUAAGUUCUCAUGGCCUUUUUUCCAUCAAGAGUCUCCAUGCCUGAAAAUGAUGUGGAAGCCACAAAUCAGAGUUCAUUUCCAUAUUAAAAUGCUAAACCAUUAAUAUUAAUCGUUUUAUGGACUUGUUACUAUCCCGAUAUAGAUUGCUAACUUUUUUAGACAUACAUGCCCAAGAAGAUUUAGGAGAUGGUGUGGGUCAUAAAAUGCCCUAAUCUUCUUCCCACUUAUUAUCUCUAGUACAAUCACACCAAAGCCGAAAACAUCAAAUUUGACUGAGAAAGAUCCAUGUACAGCAUAUUCAGGAGGCAUAUAACUGUUAGAUAUUAAUUAGAAAAAUAAUAAUAAGUUUUAUGAGCUUUAAAUUGUGGAAGAUGAAAGUUGUAGUUGUAAGUUACAAAGUCUUGAAUAAGCAAUUAUGUGAGCAUUCAGUAUUCUUGAAUAAGCAAAUUAUGUGAGUGGUCACUCUAUUCUAGUAUAAAUAGGGGAUCAUACUCUUGUAUUUUGUGUGGCAAAUGAAAUAAAAUCUUCUUCUUCUUCCAACAAAGUGGUAUCAGAGCUUGAGUUCUAGAAUGUUGAGAGAGAAACACUUUGUGAGUUGAGAGAUGGCAAGCAAUGGCUUCAGUAUGUUUCAAUUCCCUCGUCUUACCAAAGAGAAUUAUGAUAAUUGGUGUCGUCACAUGAAAGCCUUGUUAGGUUCUCAAGAUGCAUGGGAGAUUGUAGAUAAAGGUUAUACUCAACCUCAAAAUGAGGCUAUUUUGUCACCAAAUGAGAAGGAGACUUUGUUGAAGUCGAAGAAGAAGGAUCAACAAGCACUUACUUUCAUUCAUCAAGGUUUGGAUGAAGCUAUGUUCGAGUUGGUAUCAAAUGCAACCACAUCCAAAGAAGCAUGGGAGAUUUUGAAAACCUCCUUUGAAGGUGUUGAUAAGGUAAAAAAAGGUGCGCCUACAAACUCUACGUAGAGAGUUUGAAUCAUUGCAUAUGAAGGAAUCCGAAUCUAUCUCAGAUUUUGGCAACAAGGUAUUGACUAUUGUGAACCCAAAUGAAGCGUUAUGGAGAAAAUAUGGAAGAUGUUCGUGUGGUGGAAAAGAUUCUUCGCUCCUUAAUCGCUAAAUUUGAUUAUGUGGUUUGUGCUAUUGAAGAGUCUAAGGAUUUAGACUCAAUGACCAUAGAACAAUUGAUGGGUUCUCUUCAAGCCUAUGAAGAAAGUUUCAAUAGAAGACAUGAUGAGCCAUUGGAGCAAGUCCUCAAAGCCAAAGCUUCUUUGAAAGAAAAUGGAGGAGAAAGUAGUCAAAAAGCACGUGGACGUGGAAGAGGACGUGGUCGUGGACGUGGUCAUGGCCCAAGGAAGAGGAGGAAGAGGAGAUCAUGAUAAUUNNNNNNNNNNNNNNNNNNNNNNNNNNNNNNNNNNNNNNNNNNNNNNNNNNNNNNNNNNNNNNNNNNNNNNNNNNNNNNNNNNNNNNNNNNNNNNNNNNNNNNNNNNNNNNNNNNNNNNNNNNNNNNNNNNNNNNNNNNNNNNNNNNNNNNNNNNNNNNNNNNNNNNNNNNNNNNNNNNNNNNNNNNNNNNNNNNNNNNNNNNNNNNNNNNNNNNNNNNNNNNNNNNNNNNNNNNNNNNNNNNNNNNNNNNNNNNNNNNNNNNNNNNNNNNNNNNNNNNNNNNNNNNNNNNNNNNNNNNNNNNNNNNNNNNNNNNNNNNNNNNNNNNNNNNNNNNNNNNNNNNNNNNNNNNNNNNNNNNNNNNNNNNNNNNNNNNNNNNNNNNNNNNNNNNNNNNNNNNNNNNNNNNNNNNNNNNNNNNNNNNNNNNNNNNNNNNNNNNNNNNNNNNNNNNNNNNNNNNNNNNNNNNNNNNNNNNNNNNNNNNNNNNNNNNNNNNNNNNNNNNNNNNNNNNNNNNNNNNNNNNNNNNNNNNNNNNNNNNNNNNNNNNNNNNNNNNNNNNNNNNNNNNNNNNNNNNNNNNNNNNNNNNNNNNNNNNNNNNNNNNNNNNNNNNNNNNNNNNCCAAUGAAGCAAAAUGUUUGAAGGCUAGCAUAAAAGAUGAAUCAUGGUGUUGGCAUAUGAGAUUUGGGCACUUGAAUUUUGGAGUACUAAAAUCCUUAGGAGAGGAGAAGAUGGUGAAAGGGAUGCCUCACAUCAACCAUCCUAAUCAAUUGUGUGAAGCAUGUCUCCUUGGAAAGCAUGCAAGAAGGAGUUUUCCAAAAGAAGCUAAUUCAAGAGCAAAGGAGCCUCUCCAACUUGUUUACACUGAUGUGUGUGGCCCAAUCAAUCCUCCUUCAUGUGGUAACAAUAAAUAUUUCUUGCUUUUUAUUGAUGAUUAUAGUAGAAAGACUUGGGUUUAUUUUCUAAAGCAAAAAUCUGAGGCAUUUGUAGUUUUUAAAAAUUUUAAAGCUCUUGUGGAAAAGGAGAGUGGUUAUGUAAUCAAAGCUCUAAGAUCCGACAGAGGUGGCGAAUUCACAAAGAAUUUAAUGAAUUUUGUGAAAAAUAUGGGAUUCGUCGCCCUCUAACGGUUCCUAGAUCUCAACAACAAAAUGGGGUAGCGGAGAGAAAAAAUAGAACUAUUCUUAAUAUGACUAGAUGUAUGUUGAAGGCUAAAAAUAUGCCAAAGGAAUUUUGGGCCGAAGCUGUUGCAUGUGCUGUUUAUUUGUCCAAUCGCUCCCCAACAAAGAAUGUUAAUGAUCAAACACCACAAGAAGCAUGGAUUGGAGUGAAGCCAAUAGUUGAUCACUUUAGAGUAUUUGGGAGCAUUGCAUAUGCUCAUGUACCCGACCAAGGAAGAUUCAAGCUUGAUUAUCGGAGUGAGAAACAUGUGUUCAUUGGCUAUGAUGCAAGCUCAAAAGGCUACAAAUUGUACAAUCCAAACAAUGGAAAGACAAUUGUGAGCCGAGAUGUCGAGUUCUAUGAAGAAGGCACAUGGAAUUGGGAGGAGAAAGAAGACACUUAUAAUUUUUUCCCGUACUUUGAAGAAAUAGAUGAAGAAGCCUUGACUCCAAAUGAUUCAACUCCAGCACUUUCACCAACUCCUUCAACCAAUGAAGCCUCAUCAUCUUCCGAAGGGAGUUCAAGUGAAAGGCCAAGAAGAAUGAGAAAUAUUCAAGAAUUAUAUGAUGAAACUGAAGUUAUAAAUGAUUUGUUUUGUCUUUUUGUUGAUAGUGAACCCUUAAACUUUGAUGAAACAAUGAAAGACAAAAGGUGGAGACAAGCCAUGGAAGAAGAAAUCAAAGCCAUUGAGAAGAACAACACUUGGGAGUUAUCAAGUCUUCCCAAAGGUCAUGAAGCAAUUGGAGUCAAAUGGGUGUUCAAAAUCAAGAAGAAUGCAAAAGGAGAGGUUGAGAGACACAAAGCAAGACUUGUAGCUCAAGGCUACAAGCAACAAUAUGGAGUUGAUUAUGAUGAAGUGUUUGCACCGGUUGCCCGCAUGGAGACCAUUCGUCUUCUUAUUUCCUUGGCAGCUCAAAUGAAGUGGAGAAUUUUUCAGCUUGAUGUAAAAUUGGCAUUUCUAAAUGGCUAUCUUGAAGAAGAUGUCUAUGUUGAACAACCAAUGGGUUUUGUCAUCGAAGGUCAAGAAGGAAAAGUCUUGAAAUUGAACAAGGCGUUGUAUGGUCUAAAGCAAGCACCGAGGGCAUGGAAUACUCGCAUUGACAAGUACUUCCAAGACAAUGGGUUUGUUCGUUGUCAAAAUGAGUAUGCUCUUUAUGUUAAAACUUUUAAUAAUGGUGAUGUCUUAUUUAUUUGUCUUUAUGUGGAUGACCUUAUCUUUACCGGCAAUAACCCAAAUUUGUUUGAAGACUUCAAGGAAUCCAUGUCUCGUGAAUUUGAUAUGACAGAUAUGGGACUCAUGUCAUAUUACUUGGGAAUGGAAGUGAAGCAAACGGAGAAUGGUAUCUUUGUCUCACAAGGAAGCUACACAAAAGAAGUGUUGAAGAAAUUUAAUAUGCUUGAUUGCAAUCCCGUGAACACACCUAUGGAAGGUGGCUUGAAGUUAUCAAAGUUUGAUGAAGGAGAGAAGGUAGACUCCACGGUCUUCAAGAGUCUUGUGGGGAGUUUAAGGUAUCUAACCAAUACAAGGCCCGAUAUUCUAUAUGCGGUGGGAGUUGUGUGUCACUUUACGGAGGCUCCUACCUCUCCUCAUCUAAAAACCACAAAAAGAAUUCUUCGUUACUUGAAAGGUACAAUUGAUUUUGGAUUGUUUUAUUCUCCCUCCAAUAACUAUAAGCUUGUGGGAUUUUGUGAUAGUGAUUUUGCCGGAGAUGUUGAUGAUAGAAAAAGUACUACCGGAUUUGUAUUUUUUAUGGGUGAUUGUAUUUUUACAUGGAGUUCUAAGAAGCAAGGCAUUGUGACACUUUCUACUUGUGAAGCCGAGUAUGUAGCUGCAACUUCUUGCACAUGUCAUGCCAUUUGGCUAAGAAGAUUGUUGGAGGAACUUUAGUUAUUGCAAAAGGAAAAUACAAAGAUCUAUGUUGAUAAUAGAUCUGCACAAGAACUUGUCAAGAAUCCGGUGUUCCAUGAACGAAGUAAGCAUAUAGAUACAAGGUAUCAUUUCAUUAGAGAGUGCAUUACCAAGAAAGAAGUAGAAUUGACUCAUGUGAAAAGUCAAGAUCAAGUUGCGGAUAUUUUCACCAAGCCUCUCAAAUUUAAAGAUUUUCGAAGAUUGCAAGCAAGACUUGGUGUGCAGAAGAAUUUUUCCAAUUAAGGGAGGAUGUUAGAUAUUAAUUAGAAAAAUAAUAAUAAGUUUUAUGAGCCUUAAAUUAUGGAAGAUGAAAGUUGUAAAGUUGUAAGUUACAAAGUCUUGAAUAAACAAUUAUGUGAGCAUUCAGUAUUUUUGAAUAAGCAAAUUAUGUGAGUGGUCACUCUAUUCUAGUAUAAAUAGGGGAUCAUACUCUUGUACGUAUUUUGUAUGGCAAAUGAAAUAAAAUCUUCUUCUUCUUCCAACAAUAACCACUGCAAAACAAAACAAGAGUCUACAAUCAAACUAUAAAAGUAGCUACGAAAAGGGAAGAAGAAAAACAAGUGUAGAAAAACUUACUAUGUUCCUAUUACUCUAUUUGUAUUGGUUUCAUCUUGAUCUAAUCCAAAUGUCCUAGCCAUACCAAAAUAUGAUAUUUUUGGGUUCAUAUUACUAUCAAGAAGAACAUUGCUCGUUUUGAGAUCCCUAUGAAUGAUCUUCAGUCUAGAGUCUUGACAAAGAUGGAGAAGUCCUCGAGCAAUUCCACCAAUAAUUUUAAAUUGCUUAGCCCAACCUAAUAAUGUACGUAGCUACUUCUAAAUUCACUUCUAAAUUAACUUGACAGCUAUUUCAUAGAAAUUUUUGUUUUCUAAAAAAAGGAUUAGAAUGUGACAAAGCUCCAACCAAAUAUAAAGUAAUCCAAGCUUCCUUUCUGCAUGAAUUCAUAUAUCAACAACUUCUCAUCUUGAUGGACAGAACAACCAAUAAGCUUUACGAGAUUGUGAUUUCAAAACUUUUGCAACCAACAUGACUUCAUUUUUUAACUAAUCCAAACCUUGUCCAGAUGUUUCAGAAAGCUUUUUGACUGCAAUCUGUUGCCCAUUUGGUAAUAUGCCGUGAUAAUGAUUUUUGAAAGAUUGAGAUUAUUUUGAUGAAGAAUGAGGGCAUAGAUUAAAUUUAAUUUCUGUACCUUGUACACGGAUCCAAAGCCUCCUUGUCCUAAUUUUUCACUUUGCGAAAAAGUCAUUUGUGGUUUUAGAAAUGAAUGAAAAACCAAAUAUUUGUAAAUCUAUGUCAUCCUUCUCACUCCUGUCCUUCGAGUAUUUUGUUACUGAGUGCUCAAAAUUAUUAGAAGAAGUUAUGCAAUAAAAGAAUAUAAAUAGAAGAGAUUAUCUUGGUCAUCUGUAACAGUAAUUAGAAUUUAAAUAGAAAUGAAGAUUAGUUACUUUCAUGUUCCACUAAUAAUCUAUUUAAAUUAAUAUAGAUAAAAUUGUUAGUAUUUAAUUAAUUAUUGUAACUUUACCAGCAUUGUUCCUCCUAUUUCUGUAGAUAAAAUAAGAACUCAGCAACAGAGCCCCACAAAUUGCAGCAAUGGUAGAAGCAACAAUCGUUGGUGUAUUCUCCUCGUGCCUAUCUACAGGUUCUUGACGGUUGGAACUUGGAACGAUUAAAAAAAAUCUAAAAUUAGAGUGAUCGUAGACUAUAGUUGAUGGGAAGACCUUGUCCACCAGUUUCAAAUUGUCUCAUGUCAAUGAGAUCUCCAAACCACAUGACACAACCACUAACUGUGCCUCUUAUGUCAGAAUUAGUAUAGGUCAUACAAGAACAAUUAGUCAAACACUUUACUCUGCAUUCCUCUAGACCAAUGCUCUCAUCCACCCAAGUAUAUGUUGUAUCUGGAACUUUCAGGCCUUCAAAUUUUACAAACCCAUCUUUGUCUACGUCGUUGCAACUUAACUGUGUAUUGCGGACACAUCCUUGACUCCAGUCAGAUGAAGCCAAUGCUUGUGGUGACUUUGGACUAAACCCUAUCAAACAUUGGCACACUUGUGUUUCUGUAAUCAUGCAAUUCCCAUAGGCUCCACAGAGACCAUAAGAGUCACAAAACUCUUUCAGUAGAAUCUAUGUGUUGUCCAACUUUGAUCACCCUCCCACCAUACAUAGCGAUAAACUAUACCAUUUUGGUUUACUACAGUUUUUUUAUGACAAAAUUAUUUAGAAGGCUAAACGUCAAGUAAAUCUCAUCUUUACUGCUUACAAAAUUGUAGCCAAAAAUGUUGUUAUUCUGUAGAUAAUGUAAUCCACUGAAAUAUAGGCCAUUCCAAGGUCCAAACGGCUAUACCUUUUUUGUUCCUUUUGUUACAUGAAGCUCAGGAUAGUUAUAGAGUUCUCAAACCCAAUAAACGUCUCCAGGAUAUGGAUCAUCUGGACUCUUCCAAGAAGUUAGUUUCCAUGAACGCUUCUGGGUUUGUUUCUCCCUCAUUUCUUAUGACAAGAUUGCCACUGUCCAAGAGCUCCACCACCGGAUUCUGUGCUUGUUUGCGAGAGUUGUUGGUGUAUCAAACCACAGAACCAUUUUGUGUGAUAACAAGAUUACCUGUGGUGUUGAUUGUUAAGAUGCCUGAGGAAUCAUUGAUGGGGUUGGCCCUAUUAGCAGCCCAAACCACUGACUGAAAUGGGAUGUUCUUGUACCAAAUUCCCAAGCAACGUUUCUGGGAACUACCUGGGCUGAAAAACCCAAGUUCAAAUUUUCCACCUUUCGACACCAAACUAUGUCCCAUUUAAUCCAGCAUACCUUUUUUCUCAACAAGGCCAUUCCAUAGAAAUCUCUGCUGAAUUCCUAUUAACUAUAUUCAGCACCUCCUUCAAGGCUUUGAAGAAGGAGAAGAAGAAGAGGGGCAGGAUGCCGGGAACAGAAUUUAUAAGUGUAAUGUGACCCCCCAUUGAAAGGUUCCUACCUUUCCAGGAAGCUAAUCUCGAGUCAAACACUUUAAUUAUCGGCUUCCAUGUUUCAUAUCUACAAGGAUUUGCCCCAAUUGGAAUUAUCUUUAAACCAGAGACCAUUUUGAAGCUGCGUAGAAUCACCUUUAGGGCCCAAGAGUUAUCAUGCGAUGCUUCUCCUAUGGCCAGGCAGUUAUCAGCAUACUGUAAUAUAGAGAAAAGAAUGUCUUGGCUGCAUGAAAGGCCUCUGAAUAUUAGGAAAAGAAAAGGGGACUGAGGGUCCCCUUGUAUGCCACAAAAGAUGCUGUUGUUGCCCGGGGUAGCUUUGCAUUAGAGAAAAACUCUUGAACAGCAUCAAACAAAUCCACUUCAAUAGUUUCCUAGCAGGACUUGAAAAUUUCCAAAGAAAAGCCAUCGGGGGCAGGACUUUUGGCCCCAUCACAGCUCCACACCGCUGCAACAACUGCAAGACCAAGCCUCCUGACAUCUUCCUGUGCUACCUCAAAAGAUAAGCCAUAAAAAUUGUUUGAUCCAUGUUGUACCUUGUUGAUCUUCGCCACCGGUGCGUUCUUCUUCUUCUAUGAAGUAGCAUUUACAUAAGUUACGUUGGGUCGAACUCUGUUUCUGAUGUCUUUCUGGUGAAGCGAUGAGUGGCCUACUUUUUGCAAACCCACUGAGACUAUCUUCUUCUUUUAUUACGGCUAAUUCAUCCUUGUCUCAUACUUCUGACCUCUGGCAAGCCUAGGGAGAUUUACCAUCAACCUUUUCUCCACAAAGAACUGCUUUUCAAGAGUAAGGCAUAGGAUGCAAAUGUUAGGGAAAAAGCUAAGGCUGGGCUUCGAGGGCCAGCUACCUCCAGAAUAACGAGGGAGAAAAGGAAACAAAGGUAAUUGUGGGCAAAAUUAUUCAUAUUCAUUGCUUGUUAUUUACAAUCCUAUAUAUAGCAUUCCUGAUAACAGAAUUGAUGCCAUUCGUACAAGGAAUAUUACGAAAGAUUGCGAAAUAUCAAAUUGGAUCAAAUUGGUUAUGUUGUGUCUGAAGGAACGAGACAGGCAUUCCCCAAGCAAGAUUUUCCUAACUCUACAUUUGCCCAAACUGCCCUCUGACUCAAGCGUAAUCUCGAAGGUACGAAGGCCUCAUAAUCUUUCUCUUAGAUUUUUCCUCUUUUUGCACCCCUGUAUUACUGCUUGUAGCUGAUGUCUCCUUCUUACUUGUUUCUGCUGGUCUAUCAUCCCUUGGCCCUUGCAGAACCACCUUGUCCUCAAGGUGGUAGUCUUCACGCAAUUGGUUCCAAUCUUCCCAGGUUGUCUCAUCAGGGGAUAACCCCGUCCACUGAACCAGGACCUGCCAUGUAUUAACGUCUACCGGAGAGCGUCUAUAAUCCAGGAUAGCUAAAGGAGUAACCAUGGGUUGAUCUCCCACGAAUUGCUGUGGUAAAGGCGAUGUGUCAACCUGCUCCGGUGACCUGUGAAAUGGUUUAAGACAAGAACAGUGGAACACUGAAUGAAUUUUUUCCUCUGCCGGUAGCUGGAGACGGUAAGCAACUUCUCCGACCCGUUCUAUAACCUGGAAUGGCCCAUAAUAUCGUUUGGCUAAUUUCCCAGAACUCGUCAGAGAACCCUUCGCCGAUGUUUGACGUCGUGGUCUCAAUCUAAGCAACACCCAAUCACCUGGGUUGUAGUGAAUUUCUCUGCACUUAUUAUCCGCAUACUUCUUCAUCUGCUCUUGAGCUUUGACAAGCUUCUUUCGAAUUUCUUGGAAAGUGUGGUCCCUGUCUAUGAGAAUUUCGUCCACCGCAUCGAUUUUUGAAGUUCCGGCAAUGUACUCCGAAAAAUUGAAUGGUUUGCGGCCAUAAGUUAUCUCAUAUGGUGAAGUACCAGUGCUAGCAGUCCACGAUGGAUUGUGGGACCACUCCACCCAUGGCAGCAAUUUCCCCCAAGUUCCCGGCCGCCGGUGUACGAACGCACGAAGAUAUUGCUCAAUUACCCUAUUCAACACCUCUGUUUGGCCAUCACUUUGAGGGUGAUAAGCCGAACUCAUCCUUAAUAAUGUCCCACUUAGCUAAAAGAGUUCUUGCCAAAAAUUGCUUAUAAACAACGGGUCUUGAUCAGAAACCAAACUUUGUGGUAAUCCAUGGAGCUUGACCACAAUGUUGAUGAACAACAGAGCCACCGUGUGCGCUGUGUGUGCUGAAGGAAGCGUGCCUAAGUGAAUUCCUUUAGAAAACCUGUCCACCACUACGAGAAUGACCGUAUGACCAUGAUACGCUGGGAGUCCGAUAAUGAAAUCUAAUGAGAGGUCUUCCCAUGGCUUGCUCGGAGCUGGUAAUGGACAUAGUAGUCCUGCUGCCCUCUAUGUCUCAUAUUUAGUAACUUGACAUUCUACACAAUUAGUCACAAAUUUCGUGACAUCAUCUCGGAUCCCUGGCCAAUAGAAGUUCUCAGUUAAUCGGGCUAAUGUCUUGACAAUUCCCGCAUGACCCCCAGUCGGUAUUGCAUGGAACUCAGUGAGGAGGACAGGGAUAAUCGGAAGGUCUCAGGUCAACCAUAUACGACCUUUAUGAAUGAUGAGGUCUCGUGUUACUGAGAAUUUAGGAUUAGUGGAGGGUGAUUCGCGAAUGUCCUGAAGCUUCUGCUGGUACCCACUGUGAUUAGUCAAUUGACAGCGCAAGUCUUCUAUGAAAGUCAAAGAAGGGACUGAAAGUAUCAUGAGUUUGGUGGCGAAUUGUUCCGGCAACCGUGAGAGAGCGUCAGCCACCUGAUUGUUCAAACCAGACCGAUAGUGGAUGACAUAGUCAUAUCCCAGCAAACGUGCGAGAUAGACAUGUUGUUCCAGCGUUUGGAUGGCCUGCGUCAAUAACUCCUUAAGGCUUUGAUGAUCGGUGAGGAUUGUGAAGCGUUGACCAAGCAAGUAUUGUCGCCAUUUCUUCACUGCAGUGGUUAUGGCGCAGAGUUCCCAUACAUAUGUCGAAGCAUGUAGCAGCUUAGGGGAAAAGGGUUUACUAAAGAAGGCUAUCGGUCUUCCCCGUUGCGACAAAAUGGCGCCCAUACCGACACCAGACGCGUCAGUCUCCACCGUGAAAGGCUGAGUAAAGUCUGGAAGGAUAAGAACAGGGGCGGUGGAUAAAGCUUCCUUCAGAUGAGUAAAAGCGGUCUAGAUUUGGUCCGUCCACACCAAAGGAUCCUUAGUGGUUGCCUUUACCAGAGGGUCAGCGAUAGUGGCAUAGCUUCUGAUAAACCGGUGAUAAAAUCCGGCGAGGCCAAGGAAGCUUCGUAAAGCUCUGGUUGAUUGAGGAAUAGGCCACUGACGAAUUGUCUCCACUUUAGAAGCAACAGGUUCCACCCCUCUUAUCGAGACCACAUGGCCAAGAUACUCAACUUCAGGCUGCGCAAAGAAGCAUUUAGAAAACUUCAAAACAAAUUGGUGUUCAAGCAAUACCUGAAAUGUCGUUUGUAGGUGAGAGAGAUGCUCAUCCAGGGAUCCACUAUAUAUCAGGAUGUCAUCAAAGAAGACGAUGACAAACUGCCGCAAAUAUGGCCGGAAUAUGGUGUUCAUAGUCGCCUGAAAUGACGACGGCGCAUUGUAGAGCCCAAAGGGCAUUACCUUAAAUUCGUAAUGCCCAUGGUGCGUGCGAAAUGCGGUCUUUGGAAUAUUGGCUGAAUGCAUGCGGAUUUGAUGGUAACCACUAAGCAAAUCAAGUUUUGAGAAGCAUCGCGCACCUCCAAGCUCAUCGAGAAGCUCAUCAAUGGUGGGGAUAGGAAAUCUAUCCUUCACCGUAACUGAAUUCAGAGCCCUGUAGUCUACGCAGAAGCGUCAUGAUCCAUCUUGUUUCCUGACCAACAAGACUGGGGACGAGAAAGGACUCGUACUGGGUUGAAUUAACCCUUUCUGAAGCAUCAACUCCACCUGAAGCUCAAUUUCACGUUUUUGAAAAUGGGGAUACCUGUACGGACGCACAUUCACAGGGGAAGAGUGGGGAAGGAGAUGAAUGUGAUGGUCCGUCUCUCUGGGUGGUGGCAACGAAUGUGGUUCCUGGAACAGAGAAGCAAAGUGGGUCAAGAGAUCUUUAAUUGCAGAAGGGACCUGGGUAGGUGUUUGUUGAGGAGUUUCUGACGAUGUCAUAGAAACAUGCAAGUAGAGAGCAUCUUCAUGCCGGCGACAAAACCGACGAAAUUGAGGAAGGGUAAGCAUGUGCAAGCUUGCGUCCCUGUCGCCAUUCAAUUGUACCAAACGUCCCUCAUGAAAGAAUUGCAUACAUAAGGUCGUAUAAUCCGUUAGGAUGGGCCCCAAGGAUUUGAGCCAUUGAACUCCUAGGACAACGUUGGCUCCGGCAAUAGGAAGCACAUACAAAUCAACUGUGAAUUGGGCUCCCUGAAUUGUGAUGGAGACACGUGGGCACAUGUGACUGCAGACCAAGUGUUGACCGUUGCCGAUCAUGACCCGUAAUGGAGGUAUGUCUUGACAUGGUAACCGCAAUUGCGUGACCAGCUGCUCUUGUAUAAAACUAUGAGUGUUGCCGCCGUCAACAAGGAGGAUGAUGUGGUGGUCUGAAAUGAUGCCCACCAAAUGCAGCAUUUCAGGGGCUACAUUACCCGCAAGAGUGUUAAGGCUAAUUUGGGCCGGGUUGAUAUCGGGUGGAUCAGGUGGGUCAGGGUCCGGGUCAGCUGGGUUUAAAUUGGGUAGAGGAGGGUCGUCUUCAGCAGCUAUGAUCAGAAAAACCCUAGAGGCACAUUUGUGUCCUCUGUGGUAUUUUUCGUCACACGAAAAACACAGACCACGUUCCCAGCGAGAAGCGACCUCUUCCGGGGAUAGACGUUUCACGGGAGGUGGGGUACGCGGCGGGGCAGUGAGUAAGGGUGCAGGCGCGGUUGAAAUUGGGGUGGGGAAGAAAGAUUUGGGUGAGGGAGUGGGAGGGGAAGGGCGGAUGAAAGGGCGUUGGGUCGUAGGUGCAGGGUUCCUGGGUUUAGGCGGAAGGCGGUGGUCCAGAAACUUCUCCUUCUGAAGUUUCGCAAGGCCCGCCGCCUGGGCUAAGGUGAGUGGUUGCAUUGCCUGGACGUCACGGCGGAUGUCAGGGGACAAUCCAGAAACAAAGCAGCUGAGAAGGAAGGGCGGUGGAAGCCCGACGACACGAGUUGCGAGGUCCUCAAAUUCUGCAAGGUAAUCCCCUACGGUCCCCUUCUGUGUGAGCUUGAAGAGGGCCCCUGUGGGGUCCUCAUAUUGUGACUGAGCAAAUCUAGCGUGUAGUGCUUGCAGGAAAACCGGCCAAGACGUAAGUUGCCCAUUGCUGGUCAUCCAUUGGAACCAAGCAAGGGCACGUCCAUCCAUGGCAAAGGAUGCAAUGGUCAAGCGGUCUUGAAAGGGGGUGCUGUGAUAUUAAAAAAACUGGUUUAUUUUAAAAAUCCAGCCGUUUGGAUCUGUGCCAUCAAACCGGGGCACAUCUAAUUUCAUUUUAUGUGUGGUUGCAGGGGAUGGGCUACGGAGGGGAGGGUUGGUGGAAUCGAAGGGAGAAUAAGAGGGUGAAGGUUGGGACGGAGGUAGACGAUGAAGCAACUCAUCGAUUUUGGUGGUGAGUGAGAGAUGUUGUUGAGCAAGAAGAAGCAAAACAUCUUCAAGCUUGGUGAUUGACCCAGGAGGGUCCGAGGCGGACAUGGCAACGAGAGCACCAAUUUGUUAGGGAAAAAGCUAAGGCUGGGCUUCGAGGGCCAGCUACCUCCAGAAUAACGAGGGAGAAAAGGAAACAAAAGUAAUUGUGGGCAAAAUUAUUCAUAUUCAUUGCUUGUUAUUUACAAUCCUAUAUAUAGCAUUCCUGAUAACAUAAUUGAUGGCAUUCGUACAAGGAAUAUUACGAAAGAUUGCGAAAUAUCAAAUUGGAUCAAAUUGGUUAUGUUGUGUCUGAAGGAACGAGACAAGCAUUCCCCAAGCAACAUUUUCCUAACUCUGCAUUUGCCCAAACUGCCCACUGACUCAAGCGUAAUCUCGAAGGUACGAAGGCCUCAUAAUCUUUCUCUUAGAUUUUUCCUCUUUUUGCACCCCUGUAUUGCUGCUUGCAGCUGAUGUCUCCUUGUUACUUGUUUCUGCUGGUCUAUCAACAAACGUCCUGUACAUCUACGAAUCGUGCGAAGCCAAAACGAUUUCCAUGUUUAUCCCUCUUCGCCGGAAUAAACACCUCUUGAAUUUCCCAGUAGCUUUGAAAAAUUUCCCACGUAUCUUUGGCAUUGAAAGAAUCUGGAAAAUUAGAUAAAAACAGAGUGCUUGUGUUCGAGUUGUCAUUUGUAGCCUGCUUGUGACUGCUACUAACUACAUCCAGGAUGUUCUUGUGGAAUCUUGAUUUUUUUUCCUAGUUUUUUCCUUGUGACAUUUGUCCGAUGUUUUUCCAUCACUCUCUUAUCAACUACAACUCUGAUUAGGACUAAAGAUAAAGAAGCUAUGCUAGAUGUGUCGGUUCUGAUGCAUUUCGGUUAUUCACACAAAUAAGUUUUACAGCAAGUUUCUUAAGUACAAAAAUUAUGGAAGCCCCUCAUUGAGAGAGUAAAAGGUUAUCAUGAAUUUAAAAAGACAAUUAGCAUCAUUAGCCUACACUAGUUGUAUAAACACAAACAUCCUUUAAUCAAACUUACAAGUAGUCGGAAAAUAAAAAUUGCAUAUACAUUAUAUUUUAUUAUAAAAGUUGUUAAAAACCCCAUUUUCUAAGACUCCUCCUUGAGAUUUUUGUUCAAUACUCCAAGCUUUGAUUUCUAAACUUAAAACUUUGCUUUGGUAAAGGGUUUUGUUGUAAUGUUUGCAAUAUCAAUAUUUUUUUAAUUGCAGAGCUCUAAGAUGGUUUCCUUUGAUUUCUUUGGUUCUCCUAUAGAACUAUACUUCACUUUGAUGUGUUUAGUCCUUCCAUUUUGAAUAGGAUUAUUUGUUAUGACAAAAGCUGACUUGUUUCCCAUUUAAAUAGCAGUCAAUGCAUUUUGAAUUUGGCAAACAUCUAAUCAAAUCUUCCUUAGAUAAAUGUUCUUGUAGCACUCUUUCACGGGUUAAAUCAGAUCAUAGCCUAACUUUUGUGCAGUUUCAGAAAACUGAAAAGGUUUUUGCUUCACCUUUUAUGUUUCUAAAAAUUUGGACUUCCCAUACUGACUGUUAGAGACUGCAGGUUUCAGAGGUCUGGAAUAAGGAGGUUGUUGGCUGCCCCAUGUAUGUGUUGAGCCACAAAUUAAAAUGUUAGAAAGCUGAACAAAAAAGGCUAGAACAUAUUAGUGUUAUUAUUAUUUAUUUUACCUUAGUUUUAGUUUUAUUUUCAUUCCUUACUAUUUUUCAAAAGUUACUUAUAAAAAUAAUUGUAUGUUUCUAACAUUAAAUAUUAUUUUUAUGUAUUUAUUAACUUAUUAAAGAUGUCACCAAUUAUUUGUAUUUAUUAUUAAUCUUUAAUAUAAUAUUAACUAUUACAUUCUAUUUUUUCUUUGUAAUAAUAAUUAUAUUAUUACAUCUAUUUCAAAUUAAUAAUAUUUAAUUGAUGUUUAUUAUUCUUUAUGGUCUAAAUGUAUAAGGAUAUUAAGUUAUAACUUCUUAUGAUUGACCUUUAUAAAAAAUUGUUGUAUUAUUAUUGUUAUUAUUAUCAUUAUUCUUAUUAUUGUGUAAUAUUUAUUAUCAAUUUAAUUAUUUAAAUUAUUUAUUGUAAGUUUUAUCAUAUAUUUCAAAAAUAAAAAUAUUUUUUUAAAAUUAAUUGUGUUAAUGAUAAUUGUUAAAUUAUUUACAUUGAUAACUUAUAUUUUAAAGAAAAUAAAUUAUUCAAUUGAUAGUUAAAAAUUAUCAUUCAUAUAAUUCGACAAUUGAUUUGAGUAGGAAAAAUAAAAAUUUGUAAUGAAAUUAUUCAAAAUAUGAUUGAUAAAAAAAUUAAAAUUGUCACAAUAAUAGAAUCUCUUCAUGUUUUGUUGAGCAAAUAUAAUGUAAAAGUAAGAUUUACAAUACAGUAGUUAUAGAAGAAAAAACAUGAAACAUAUAUAAAAAUCUGAACAAUAAUAAUAAUAAUUAAAACAUAUAAUAACAUAACACUAAAAUGAAGAAGAAAGAACAAUCGAAGCAAUUCUUGCAAAGCAGAAAGAAAAAAAAAUAAUGAAAGACAAAGAAAAAAAUGGUUCAUGUAACAACUUUUUAAUAAAAGCAUAACAUUGAUCAACAAAAAAUAUUUUAAGAAAUAAUUAGUCCUAAAAUCAAAAUAUAAAUAAAAAACAAUAUAAAUAAAAAUUUAAACAAUUUUUUUUUUAUCAAUGAUGAAUAUAGAUCCACAUUAUACUUUAUUAAUCUAAAAGAUAAAUUUUGAUUUUUGAUGAUGAUCGAUAACAUGUUCAAAGUAUCAUUUCAUACAUAUAAAUGAACAAUAAAAGAAAUUAUGAUAUCAUAUCAAAACAUAAAUUAACAUAACAAUAAAAUUAAGAUAAAAAAACAACAAGGGUGAUAUUUGAGAAGAAAAAAUAAUGAUAAAAGACAAAGAGUAACAUAUACCUUAUCAAAUAUGGUACCCAAUUUUCACUUGUCAUUCCUUAUAAAAUGUAUUUGAUAAAUUAUUCAUAAAAUAAAUUUUUAAUAAAAAUAUGAUAUUGAUUCAAAUGUACAUUCAAUAUCGCAAAAAUCAUUAAAAAAAGUUAGACUCAAAAUCAAAAUAUAAAUAUAAAUAACACUAAAAUAAAAAUUUAAACAAAUGAUUUUUUUAUCAAUUAUGAAUAUAGAUCCACAUUUUACCUUACCGAUUUAAAAGAGUUAAAUUCUCAAUUUUAAUGAUGAUCAAUAACACAUUUAAAUAUAAUUUUUAUACAUAAAAAUAAAAAUAAAGAAUGAAAGAAAUCAUAUUAUAAUAAUGAAUAAAAAAGGAAAUAGAAAGCAUACUAAAAAGAAAUUGUGUGGAUAUUUACAAUCCUUUAAAGUAGAAUUUAUAUAAAAAUGAAAUCAUCAAUUUGAUAAUGAACAUGAAGAUGAUAAUGCAAUUUUAAUUAUAAUCAAUUACUAUAAACAUUAUUAACUUUAAAAAUAAUUUCAUUAUUAAAAGCUUUAAAUAAUAGUAAAUUUUUAUAAAGAAUCAACUGAAAAAAGCAAGAAACAAAUAAUAUAUUAUAUUAUUUUAACAUAUAAUAAUAAUGUCUAUUACUUUAUUAUAUAUAAAAAUAAUAACGUCUUAGACAAUUUUAAUAUAUAUAUAUAUAUAUAUAUAUAUAUAUAUAUAUAUUAUUUUACCGUAUAUAAUAUUAUAAAUGUUUUUAGUUGUUUUGUGAAAUAUAUACUUUAAUGUAUCUUAAAUUUUUUAAAAAUAAAAUUAAGCUUAGUGAAAUAUUUUUUAAUUUACUAUUAAUGUGAUAAUUAUUAUUUAAAAUAGUAUCAAAAUUAUAUAAAUAGUGCUAAUACAUUUAAAUGACCAUGGAUAAACUUAAUUAAAAUUAUAUUUGACAAAUAUGUUAACUUAGAGCUUGAAUUUAUUUAUUUAUUUUACAUAAAAUUCAAUCUUAAAACUCAUUCAUGUAUAUAUAAUGGUUUCAUAUUAAUCUUAUUUAAUAUGAUUCAAUAAUAUUUUAAUACAUAUAACUAUUAAGUCGUUAGCAAGUAUAUCAAUUUGUUACAAAUAGUAAAGUUAAAAUGAAAGUCUAGUAUCAAAUCCAGGUGAACUUUGUUUGUAAUGUAUAUUCAAUUUGCAAGCAAGCAAGAGAUAAUUAAUAGAUAAGAAGCAAGAAAGAAUUUGAAUGUAAAAAGACAAGAGUAAUAACAUAUUGGUAUUCAUUGAAUAACUUCAAUGUGGUAUUAAAAUAAUCUAAUCUAUCAUUUAUUUACAUGUAUCUAAUUAGUUCUAAUCUAAAUAAUUAACAUUGAAUAUAACUAUUAAUAACUUUAUAUGUAAAUAUAUAUGUAUAUAUCUAAUUUUUAGAUUUUUUAUUUUCAUAUUAUAUUAUAUUAUUUUAUAACUUUAAAGUCAUGAAUUUAAUUUAUUAUUUUUUUAGAAAUAUAUUUUAAAGUGACUGAUUAUAAAAAUAAAUAAAUUUAUGCAUAGAUAGUAAUAUUAAAUUAGUGUAAACUUUUAGAUUUAUUUUAUUUAAUAAUUUUUCCUUCAUAUUAAUUAAAUAUGUAAAAUUAAAUAUUGCAAAUAAUUUAAUUUUUUUAUUAAUAUGAGAAAUUAUUGAUUUUAUUAAAAUAUACUAAGGGUUACUAAUGAGUGUUACUUUUAAUUAAUACUGUGACACUGGAAUGUUUAGAUCUAAUAUGUUGGAGUCAUUUGUCAAAAUAAGAACAUCUAACACUUUUCUAUGUACAAUUAGAAAAGAGUUAUUAAUUUUUUUUUCAAAUUAUCAAAAUAUAAUAUACAAAUCUCUUUAAUUUUAUUUUAUAUCACUUUAUAUGUUUUUAUUUUGAAUAGUUUACAAUUUUUAUUUAUAUUUUACCAAUUUAUAAUUAAAUUUCAUAAACUAAUAUCUAAAUCUUUUACGUAAUUAUUUUAAUUUUAUUUUAAUGUACUGAUUAUUUUUACUCUAAUUAUUUGCGUAAAACUAAAAAUAUUUAUAUAUUAAUUAUUUUUUAUUUUUAGUUAAAUUUUUUUGAUAAUUUGAAAAAUAAUAAAUCUUGACUAAUGAUCCAUAGAAAAUAAUGUUAAUAUAGUUAAUUAAACCAAACAAGUGUUUUACUACCUUUACUAUAAAUAAUUUUACGUAAAUAAUUAGAGUAAAAAUAAUUUAUAUAUUAAAAUCAAUUUACAAAAAAAUUAUGUACAAAUUUUCAUAUUAAUUUAUGAUAUUUAAUUAUAUAUUGGUACCAUAAAAAUAAAAAUAUUUAAACUAUUCAAAAUAAAAAUUAAAAAUAUUUAUAUAUUAAAAAAUGAAUUUAAAAAUGUUGAUAAUUUGAAUAAAAAUACUCUUGUCUAAUAAUAGAUGAAAAAUAAUAUUAAUGUAUUUAACUAAACAAAACAAAUGUAUUAGCGAUUUAUUGUUUUGUUUAUGAAUAAAAAGUUAAUAGCUAGUUCAAAAUAAGAUCCUGGUCAAUAUCAAGAUGUCACAUUAAAGUUAACAUUUCACUCUGGAUAAUCAAGAUACAAAACGAGUAAAAUUACAAUUUAACCUGUUAUAAAAGGUACUCCUUCUAUUUUUAUUUUAAUUGCUAGAUUUUUUUAAAUAAAAUAUUUUUAUUUAUUCAUCAUCUACAAAGUUAAUGAUCACAUUAAUUAUAUUUUACUUAUUUUUUAUUUUAUAAUUAAUUUACCUAUGCAUUUAUUUGUGAAGUCGAAAAAAAAAGAGAUAAAAUAAGAAACUUUACAACCAUUUUAUCAUAUUCAAAAAACUUUAUUGUAUUUUUUUAUUAAAACAUAAAAACUUUAAAAAUAACAUGAAAAGGAAUGGAGAGAAUAUAAAUAUAAGUAUCAUCAAUAAUAACUCUAAAUUAGUGGUAAUUGAUAUUAAAAAUUUAAAUAAAUUAUAAAUAAUUUUUAUUUGUAUUACUAUUAAAGCCACAAGUAACAAAUAAUAGAAAUUAAGAUAAUAUUAUAAAAUUUAUUUAAAAUAUCAUUAUGAAUAAGUUGAUUAAUAAAUACAAUAUAAAAAAUCAUAUAUAUAAACAAAUAUUAUAUAUAAUCUUCAAUCAAAUGUGAAUUGAAUAAAAAUAACAGUAAUAGGGAAUACAAACCUGAUUUUACGCCACCAAGUUUAUUCAAAAUUUGGAUCAGUUCCCUUUAUGCUACUUGUGAAUUGUUGGGAUGAGUGAAGGACAACUCAAAUGAAUAAAAUGACAAAAGAAAUGAUGAUUCUAUAGGCUAAGAUUUUGAAAUUCAUUUAGCAACAACUUUUGUCUUUUUCUGGGAGGUGGUUGCAUCAUUUUUUCUCCCUUCUGCUGACAUUAUUCCUUUCUUUCUUUUUCCUUCAUUUUCUUCAAUUUCCCCAGUGCUUCCUAGCCGACCAUUCUAUAUCCCCUUUAUAUACCCAGCGAUAUCCAUAUUUCUUCACCUCAGCAUAUGAUUCUUUGAACCUUAUCCCUUCAUUAUCACAUUUCAAAAGCAAUCUGCCAAGAUAUUUGUGCUUCAGAUGGAAAUAUUCAAUGAACCUUCCUCGACCAACAAAGAAUAGCCACAUGUGAUCUGAUUUGUCUAAAACAAGUUCUAGAUCUACAUCUUCAUAAAAAUCCACUGGAAUAUCAUUAUAAUCAGGGUAGUUCCCUUCUGUCUCUGAAAAACUCAUUGCUGAGAGUGUUUCAUGAGGUACGACGAAUAUUGCACAAAACGCAACGCCAAUCCAAUUAUGGUCAUGCAUAACAGGAGAUGCGUCUAAGCUUACACAAUUUCCCUCAUGCUCAUUAUUGAACCACCUUGGUAUUUCACUUCCUGGACUAACAACUCUACUAACAUGGUAGAACGGACAUAAGUAUAACACCUGGUACAGCAGAGACAUCUCUAUGUUAUUUCCUGAUUCCUAUUCACAAAAAAGGAGAGAGAAAGAGAUGGCAGGAGCAAAGGAGGAACAUGCAAACCUGACACGAUUGCAUCGUCCACGAAAAAGCCAUGUCAGUGCAGCGUUCCCUAUCAACUAAUUCUGGGCAGUUAAAAAUGUAUAAUCCUGCUUGUCUUAGUCUAUCAAAAUUGUAAAUCCGUGAAGGGAGCUCAGGCAAAGAUUUCAACUGCUUGCAAUGUUGUAACUUCAAACAGACCAGUUUGGAAAGCUUCUUGAGGUUGGGCAGUGUAGCAAAAUUGUUACCACUUAAAUCUAGCCUUUGUAAGCAACACAUAAUUCCAAUAGCAUCAGGGAUUUCAACUAAAUUACAGAAACUUAGAUCAAGUUUAAGCAUACAUGGAAAUAUUGGGGAGGAAGGCAUUAAGCAACUAACUGAUUUUUUAUGUUCUCUGGAGUAGGAAGAUGUUGAUUGGAAAUGAAUAGGAGCUCCAUCUAUAUCAAUCUUCUUCAAUUGCUCUGCAUCCCUUAGUUCAUAUAAUAACUCGGUGUUGUACAGUUUUGAACAGCCAGAGAGAUUCAGAUCUUCAAGAGAAUUGAGGCCUAGUAUGCUAUUGGGUAAGCUUACUAGAUUUUUGCAGUUUUUCAAAUUCAAUCUUCUGAGCUUUUUUAGAAGACCGAUGGAUGGAUCAAUGUGUCUGAGUUUUUGACAUCCUCCGAGAAGUAGCUUUUCAAGAAUUAGGUCCUCUCCAAACUGUGGCAGCUUGAUAAGACUUUUGCAAUUUCUCAAAUUCAGAGAAGUAAGCUUUGGUGAAAGAACAAUGGACAGACCGAUCUCUUCGAGUUGUAUACAUCCUUCGAGAUCAAGACUCUCAAGAUAUAGGGCAUCUCCAAUAUAUGGCAUUUUAAUUAGAUUUUUGGAGCCAGAGAGAUCCAAACGCCUCAAAUUAGGUAGAGGCUACAAUGCAAGGCCAAUAGUAGGAAACAAAAUUAAUAAUGACAUUCAGCCUUUCUUUUGUUUCUUUAAUUAAAUAGAGAAAAAGAAAUUAUCAUAAGAAAGUUUGCCUUUUUAUUUGUUUAUUUAAAUAAAUACAAUAUAGAAAAAUAAUAAUAAUAAUUGAUAUUACCUUUGUGCCUUCCCAAAGUUGUUUGAUGUUGCUUUUAGGUAGAAUCAACUCAACAAGUUUGUCGGGCUCAAAACUUGGUGGCAAACACUCAAAAGGAUACUUUUCCCAACCAAGAUAUCCUAAUUCAUUGGAAAGCUUAACAAGUGUUCCUGAAAAAAAAUUGAUUUUGACGUUAAAGUCCAAAUGGUCAAGUUUGAGAAGCUUAAGGCAACUCAUUGUUGAUAGAACAUCGACCCUCAUUGUUGAAAUUGUUCGAAGAAUGUCAGAUUUUUCUAUAAGAAAUAUGGCCUCCACAUUGUCUGCUGCCUUGAACAUUGCAAAGAGGAAAGAAAAAGUUAGAUCUUUGGAAGCAUUUACAAAUUCUAGAAUAAUAGGAGGACUUUAUAUUUAUAAAUUAUUCUACCUUAUUAUCUGACAUAACUUUAAGGAUAUCUUUAACAUCCCACAACCUGCUCCACUUCCAUGGUUUCCUAGGUGAUUUUUCUCUAACAAUAUACUUGCCCAAAUCGCACAACAAGUCAUGCAUUUGAAUCUGCCUCGAAUCCAUGGUUAUGAGUGAUUUAUCAACGAGAACUUGUAGGCCAUAUUCGGGAUUAAAUCCACGAAAAUCUAGAACUUCCUUCACAUAUUUCACAGGAUAAUGGUUGAAGAAACAUGCAAUAUCUAGAAAUAUUUCCUUGUGUGUAUCCUCUAAUUGAUCAAAACUUAUUCGCAACACAUUCAUAAUACUUUUACUUUUAUUUUCUCUUAACAAAGCCAAUGCACUCCUCCAAUGUAAGACAUCUUUAUCAAAUAAAGAUGAGCCUAGCACUUCAAUUGCUAAGGGAUGACCUUGACAAUGUGAUAAUACAUCAGAAGUCAACUUUUCAAAAUCACUCAUCAUAUAAUUAUUUUUAAAUGCUUUUUUGCAAAACAAUCCAAGAGCAUCAUUGUCAUUCAAUGGCUCCACUCGGUAAAUAACAUCUACUCCAUGUGCCUUCAAUAUUUGUUGAUCCCUAGAAAUUAUAAUGACUAUGCUCCCUUUACCUAAGCAUUUACGUAACAGAUCAUUUCUACCCCCUGUAAACAUAUCAAGCUGUUUAUCUUGAUCAACAUUGUCAAGAAUUAUAAGUGCCUUUGCAUUGGAUAGCCUCUCCCAUACCAGAAGUGUUCCAUUAGAUACAUUGCAAAUCUUUAGAUUUUUUUCAUUUAGAGACUGAGAAAGUAACUCUUUUUGUACACCUAAUGUACCAUAACCUUGAUAAAGUUUACUUACAUCAUCAAUAUAACAACGAGAAUUAAAUUGAUGAGAGAUUCUUUCAUAUAAAGCUUGACCAAGAGUGGACUUUCCUAUUCCACCCAUCCCAGUAAUUCCAACAACUCGAACAUCAUCAUUAACCAGCCCCAGACAUAUUAGCUUUGAUAAUGUAGCAAAAUGAGAUUCCAUCCCAACUAGAUUAUCAUAUGGAAGAGUAGAAAAUUUGCAACCCAAGAUAUUUUUUAUCUGCUGAACAAUUUCUUCAAUCACUGCAUGUUGUUGCCUAAAAGUUUAAAGAAAACAAAGAAUGACAAAUCAUCACUUAAGGGAAUCAAAACAGAGCGUACAUGCAUAGAAGAAGACAAUAACAUAUAUAGUACUUUUUUUCAUUUUUAAAAUAUUAUUUGUAUUAAACAUGUAUAAUAAAUGUUGAGCCAAUCUCCAGUUUAAAGGUUGUAAUAAGUAAUACAUUCAAGAUAACAGCAUUAGUAAGAAAUGAUAAAAAUAUAUUGUAUAUGCUCGUAACAAACCAACAGAAGAUUACUUACUUAUUUUUUAUAUCCCAACCAGAGAGAUUGCCUACAUCGUUCAGAACUUCUCUCCAUGUUUUAAUUUCCUUGUCUUCGAACCUGGAACUUUGUUGGUGUUGGGCAAAGGCUUUCUCAUAGUCUCCACUCUGUUUUCGCACUUGUGAUGGAUCAACAUCAUAGAAAAUAGGCAGAAGAUGUCUGGGUGAUUUUUGAAUGCAAUCCCAGAUAUGUGCUAGUUCACGCAGGCACCAAGUUGAGGAAGCAUAGUCCUUGGAAAAGACAACAAGGAAAACAUGAGACCCUUCAAUGGCUCGUAUUAGCUCUGGUGCUAUGGAUUCGCCUUUCCUGAUAUCUUUAUCAUCUUUGAAGGCCUCGAUGCCUUGUUUUUUCAGAGCUUCAAAAAGAAAACCGGUGAAGCUGUUGCGUGUGUCUUCACCGCGGAAGCUCACAAACACGUCAUACUCAAACGAAGAAGAAGAAGAAGAAGAGGUGCAUUGGAUGAUGGCAUUAGAAGUAGAAGCCAUUUCAAUUGCAAAACUGUGAAGGAAGAAGAGCAAGUGUUUGUGGAUACAAAUAAUGAAUCAGCUACUGAACCCACUUGCUAAUGAAUGGAGGGUUCAGAUGAUGUGAGUGGGCUCAUGCCACAUAUCUAACGGUGACGAAGGGAGGUUCGUGGAAAACGAGUUAUGAAUUUCCCCCUAAUAAUUGAACGAAGACUUCGUUGAUGUUGCUGCUUCAUCAUUUCGUCGGUGCUUCCUAUCAAACAUUUUUUUUAAAAUAUUUUUAUGUCUUUUUCUUUUACUCGUAUUUUUAUUGUUGACUCUCGUUAAGUACAAAAACAUGAAAUAUUAUUUUUCUAAUUGUUACCUUCUCAAAAUAUCUGGUUAUUGAGUUUGUUACUUAAAUUUAGGUUUUUUGUUCCUAAGGCAUGAAAUAUUGAAAUGUGUUAUUAAAGGAAUUAUGUUAAAAGGAUUAUCUAAGAUUUUUUUGAAGAGAAGGAUUAUUAAUAUUUUAAUAUUUAGGUAUAUUUAGUUAUUCAUAUAUGUAAGGAACAUAUUUCCAUCUAGUUUUGUAUGAAGUUCCUUAUUUUAAUUUGGGUGUUAUUUCGUAGUAAUUUCUCUUAAUUAAGAACCUUGGGACAAAAUUAAUUGUUAGAGUAUUCACUUUUUCAUAAAGUUCAUUUUACUUCAUGCGGAAUCAAGUUGGACUUCUUUUUUCACUUUUUUCAUAAUUCUGUUUUGCACCCCAAAAUUAAAAUAAGUAACUCUCAGCCUGAUUGAUAAUUUGCGUUCAGUUGGUAACAUUUUGUUAUAACUUAAGGUAUUUGAGACUUAUUACUUGCUAUCAAAUUAAUUAUGUGCUACGGGGUCAGUUUACUUUUGGGGGCAAAACCAUACCUUCAGUUAUGACUUUAUGUCAAGUCAAGGAUCAAAUCUCAAACUUUGAUUAAGAGAUAUAAGUAUCGAACUACUUCUGUCAAUAAUUUGUUAUACUUUGUAUUAUUAUUCAUAUGUUUAAUUAUUAAUUUUAUCACUUUAUUUAUUUAGAAUGUUCAAGAAGGUCUUUUUAUUCUUAAAAAUUUGAAUCAAAUUCUAUUUUUAAAAUUUUCUUAAUGUGUGUGGUUCUUUAAUGUUUGAGUGUAGUUCUUUGUUUUUUAAGAAUGCCUCAAUAUGAUAUUUUUUUCCCGAAAUUUAUAAUUAAUAUCGUCAACCUCACUUAAACAAAAAGGACAACCAUGCCCAUUGAGGAAUUUUAAAAAAAUAAAGAAUUACAUUCAGAUAUUUUAUAAAAUGCUAACCCUUAUUGAAAAUUUUUGAAAUAAAAUAACUUAUUGAACAUUUUAAAUAAAUAAAAUUAAGCAUCAAAUUGAUAAUUACAUAUUAUUAUUAUUAUUAUUAUUAUUAUUAUUAUUAUUAUUAUUCUCUUUUACCACUGAUUAACUAUUUUAAUCCUAAUGCACCUUCUUGUUUUUUUAAUCAAAAAGUGUGGUUUAUUCUUUGGAUACCCAGGACAUGACCUAGGAAAUUUAAAUGUGUGUCUAGUUUGAGUUGUAUUUUUCAUAAUCAUAUUUAAUUACUAGUUAACAUUUUACUUUACAUAUUAAAUAAUUAAAAUAAUUUAGUGCCUCAAAUUAAGUUUUUGUGUUCCAUAUUUUAGUUUGAGCAUUGUUUUGUAGAAGCUUCUCUCUUAAUUAAGAAUUUUAAGACUAAAUUGCGUUGUUAUCAGGGUAUUCACUCUUUCAUAACGUCUAUGUUGCUCGCCAUAGUUUAGUUUUCUUUUUUCACUUUAUUACAAAGCUAAUGUGCAUNNNNNNNNNNNNNNNNNNNNNNNNNNNNNNNNNNNNNNNNNNNNNNNNNNNNNNNNNNNNNNNNNNNNNNNNNNNNNNNNNNNNNNNNNNNNNNNNNNNNNNNNNNNNNNNNNNNNNNNNNNNNNNNNNNNNNNNNNNNNNNNNNNNNNNNNNNNNNNNNNNNNNNNNNNNNNNNNNNNNNNNNNNNNNNNNNNNNNNNNNNNNNNNNNNNNNNNNNNNNNNNNNNNNNNNNNNNNNNNNNNNNNNNNNNNNNNNNNNNNNNNNNNNNNNNNNNNNNNNNNNNNNNNNNNNNNNNNNNNNNNNNNNNNNNNNNNNNNNNNNNNNNNNNNNNNNNNNNNNNNNNNNNNNNNNNNNNNNNNNNNNNNNNNNNNNNNNNNNNNNNNNNNNNNNNNNNNNNNNNNNNNNNNNNNNNNNNNNNNNNNNNNNNNNNNNNNNNNNNNNNNNNNNNNNNNNNNNNNNNNNNNNNNNNNNNNNNNNNNNNNNNNNNNNNNNNNNNNNNNNNNNNNNNNNNNNNNNNNNNNNNNNNNNNNNNNNNNNNNNNNNNNNNNNNNNNNNNNNNNNNNNNNNNNNNNNNNNNNNNNNNNNNNNNNNNNNNNNNNNNNNNNNNNNNNNNNNNNNNNNNNNNNNNNNNNNNNNNNNNNNNNNNNNNNNNNNNNNNNNNNNNNNNNNNNNNNNNNNNNNNNNNNNNNNNNNNNNNNNNNNNNNNNNNNNNNNNNNNNNNNNNNNNNNNNNNNNNNNNNNNNNNNNNNNNNNNNNNNNNNNNNNNNNNNNNNNNNNNNNNNNNNNNNNNNNNNNNNNNNNNNNNNNNNNNNNNNNNNNNNNNNNNNNNNNNNNNNNNNNNNNNNNNNNNNNNNNNNNNNNNNNNNNNNNNNNNNNNNNNNNNNNNNNNNNAUGUGCAUCCAUUACAAUUGCCAAAAGUGGAAGCAACCUUGGGGAGAAAAAUGUGUGUGAUUCUAAAAAGUCAUUGAUUGCGGUUGGUAUGGACUAUGGGUGUAAGUGGAUCCGAUCCGACCCACAAACCUGUCCAAUUCAACUAGUUUUUAUAGAUUGGAUUGAGUUAUUGAAUAAAAUUAGUUUUAAUUUAAUAAAAUCGAUUAUAAUUCGAUUGGGUUGUGGGUUUGAAGUUUUGAAUCCAAUCAAAACUUAAUCUAAUCCAAUCUAACAUGAUAUUAUGUUUUAUGAUUAUAAUUAUGUUGAGUUACUAAACAAUGUUAUGUUUUAAUAUUAUUGAAUUCUAUUAGUGAUUAUUGUUCAUCCUAUGAAUAUUAUUUUUCUCAUUUUAUGUCAAACAAAAUAUCUUAUUAUUGGUUGAACGUAUGAUUUUUUAAAAUUUUUUCCGAGACUUGUUUGACAAUUUUUUUAUGACUCUACCGGGUAACUAAUCUAAUUAAAGUUGGAUUGGAUUAAAGUUGAAUUAGAUUGUAUUGGGUUCACAAGAAAAAAUUAAAUUUAAUCUAAUCUAACUUAAUUAAAUUUAAUUGGAUUGAAUUAAAAAAUAGACAAAACUAAAUUCAAUCCAAACCACUUACACCCCUAAUUUGGAUCAUGUUUCUUGGCAGCUUCUCUCUUGAAUUGCAUCAAUUUUCACUUUGCCAUAAUGUCUAAGUUGCUUCCUCUAUACGUGGUGGUCAACAUGGUUUCUUUUUUCCGCUUUACCAGAAGAAGAAAAACUACUAAUAUAUGAACAAAUGUACUUUUCCAUCGCUCUAUUUUUUCUACUGAAAAUAAUAAGUUGAUCCAAUAGUGUUUCAUGGUUUGCGCGUUCAGGAUGUAAAUUUUAUAACUUAUUUAAUUUGCAAAAGUGCAGAACAUUUCUAAAAGUAUUUUAUAGUAUAAGGAGACAAAGCUUUAGUUAUUACCAAUCAAUACUGCACCACAAUUACUAUAAAAUUAAGGUAUAAAAUAGCUAUUAUCAAUAAUAUCAUUACAUUAAUGAAAAUUGAUAUUAAAAUACUAAUAAAAUAAAUUUGGCUAUCCAAUUUUUGUCUAUGAUUUUUAUAAAUAUGUAAUUUUAGUUCCUCUAUUUUUUAAUUAAUUAAGACAUUUUAUCUCUCACUUUUAAAAAUUUCAUAAUUUUACUCCUCCUAUUUUUAAAUUGAGGUUUUCUGUUCCUCACCUUUAAAAUACUCUUAGUCCCCAUGGUCUAUUUCAAACAUUACUCUUAGUCCCCAUGGUCUAUUUCAAACAUUGAUUAUGUAUUUUUUGAUUCAUUUUUUUAUAUAAAUUAAGUUUAUCAUUGAUAAAAUAGAUAAAUAAUCACAAAAGGAGUCUAAUUCACUUAGUUAAACACAAUAUGUGAGUCUUGUUAACCUCAACCGUAUUUAAUUCCUACAUAUAGAAAAUAGAUAAAUAAACAUAUAACACAUCUGAGUCAAUGUUAACCUAAUACACAUCAAUGUUUGAUAAUGAUUACACAAACAGACAUGGGUGCGAGCCUCCCCCUUCCUGGGAACUUUUCAUGCAUAUACAUAUAUAUAUUUUUAAAUUAAUUAUAUAAAAUUAUUUUUGUAUGGUGUUAUUAUAAUAAUGAUUAAGAUUAGUUUGUGCAAAAUUGUGUAAAAUUAGUUAUAUUUUUUGUUUGCAAUGUAUAAAGUGAUAACUAGUGUAAAACAAGUUGUGUGUUUAUUAUUAUCAUCGUUUAAUAUAAAAUUAGUUUCAAUUUUAUGUAUAAAAAUAAUAAUUUUUUAAGAAGAUAUUAUUUAUUAAAAGUUAGACAUUUAAACAACUAUAAAGAAAGAAAAAGAAAAUUGAGCCUUAUUUAUAAGAUUUCUGGAUCCGUCACAAGUUAUGGGGACUAAAAUUGCAUUUUUUUAAAAUGGGAGACAAAAUGUUUCAAUAAAAAUAGAGGGAUAGAAAUUAUAAAUUUUUAAAAGUGAAAAACAAAAUGUUUCAAUUAAAAAAUAUAAGAACUAAAAUCUUAUAUUUAAAAAAAAUAGAGAAAUAAAAAUUAAAUUUUAACCAAUAAAUUAUAUUAAUAAUUAUUGUUCAGGUAAUAGUAUUAUAAGUUAAAAAUAAUAGUAAAAUAAUAUUAUAAAUUUUUUUAAAACGUCAUAAUUUGAUUAUGUUUAAUUUAAUCCUCAAAUUUGGGCUAAAUCCUGCCCUGUUCUUUCAAUUAUUUUUUUAAAAAAAAAAAACUUAUUUCCUCAAAUUUUAAAAUAUAUUUUUAGUUACAAAAUAGUAUAUUUGAGGAACAAAACUAUUUUUUUCAAAAUCACUUUUAGUUCCUUGGAACUAUUUGAGGACUAAAGCUGAUUUUGUUUUUCAAAUUUGUGGGACUAAAAUGAUUUUUUAAAUUAUGGGAACCAAAAUAUUUAAUUUAAUAAAAGUUUUAGAAAAUAAAAUAAACAAUUUUAUAUUAUAAGUUUUAAAAAAGAUCUUACUAUUUGUUGAAAUUAUAAAUUAUUUUAAAGUUUAAUUGUUGAUCGAAUCUUUUCAAAAGGCAUAAUGAUCGAAGAGGUAUGCAUGCAUGAAAAUACUCUAAGGAUGGAACAAACAAUUUGGUUGAUGAAAGGUUAAGAGUCUUCCUUGGAUGUGUCGUUUGCAAUUACAUGCAUCAUUAUGGGAGAGUUACAAAUGGAGGAUUGAUGCCUGGAAGAAAUUGAGAAGUCAUAAAUGUAUAAUAAGCUUGAAAUACCGUAUCCCAUUAAUUCUACCUUUUAUUUUAAAUCAAUUUGAAAAAACUUAAGCUAUCCUCUUAACACUCAGUACGCUUCAUACUUUCUCGUUUUGAGACCACACACCCGUUCGUUGCUCAUUCAUUCUCCUUCUUUUUAAACUUUCUAAUAAUCAACCUUUGGGCUUUUUUACUAAGUGGGAUAUUUUUUUUUUUGUUUUUUUCUCAAAUGGGAGUAGUUUUUAAAGUAUUUCUGAAAAAGGAGAUAAGUCAUAAUCAAUGUUAUACGUUAGAAAUUGUGACAUAUAUUACAAACUUUAGUUUUUUAAUUGAAGUCGUACAUAAUUUUUUAUGAUUUUAAUGUAACUUCUUUUUUAUAACUUUAAAGUUAUAACUUCUUUUUUUUACUUUUAAGAUAUUGAAGUCUUCAAAGUUUUUUUUUAGGAUUACGACUUUAAAGUUUUAAUUUUGUUUUUUUUUCACCCAUUCUUUAUUUUAUUUUGUUUUCAAUUUUUUAAAAAUUGAAAACAAUUUUGUUUAUUUAAUUAUUAACUAAAUAAUUUUAAUUUUACUUGUUAUUAUUUUUAUUUAAUAUAUUGUAUAUUUUUUAAGAUUUUAUUUAAUAUGUUAUAUAUCUUUUUAUUGAUUUUUAUUUAAAAUAUAUUAUAUUUUAAAUAUCAUUAUAUUUAAUAUAUUUUGUAUAUUUAAAAUUUAUAUAAUCUUUAAAAAUAAAAUUUUUAAAAGAUUAUUGUUUUUCAAUAUUAUACUCCCUCCAAUCCGAUACAAUGGGGACUUUCAACCUAAAUUAUCAUCUCACAUUCGGUCUCUUCCACACCAUUAUUAAUCUUCAUUCAUUACUCUUUUAUCUCCAUAGGAUAUGUACUAAUAGCAACCUUCAAUCUUAAUAUUACUAAUAGGUUAAUUACUGGUUUUGUUUUUUGUGAACACACACUCUCUCUUGUUUUUUCUUCCCAAUGUACACCACUUUGUAAUUUAAUUUUAAGGGUACGUUACUUUGGACUUUGUGUUUUGAUUAACACCACUUUGCAAAUGAAUGUGACCCUUUUUGUCUUUUUUUAAAUUAAAAAUAUUAUAAAAUAUAGGUAUUAUAUUAUAUAAUUUUUUUAAUUAGUUUUAAAAUUACUUAUUUAUUAAAUUAAAUUUUAUAAUUUUUAUUUUAUUUUUUUAAAAGAAAAUGAUAUUAUUAAAUAUAAUUAUUUUUGUUUUAUUAUUUAAUUUACUUAACAUAUUUUUAGGUGAAUAUUUUUAUUUAAAAUCUGAAUUUUCUAAUAUAAUUAUUUUUAAUAUAAUUAAUUUGUUUAUGUCAUUAAAUUUAAUUAAAAAUGAUAAUACUUUCUAUUUAACAAAUUAUUUAUAGAAGAACAUCAUUGAAUAUGAGAUAAAAGAAUUGAAAAAAUGACGAAGACGUGCUAAAGGUGUUAGCACAAUCCAACUAUUGAAAACGAUCCUGCACAAUAGAAAUUUUGGCUAUUUUUAACAAACUAGUAGUUAAGAUAGAAGAACAAGAAGGCAUGUAUCCUGCACAAAAUAUUCCCGAUGAUCAUUAGUUUUGUCAUAUUUACAUCGUAAUUGUAUUUUUUAAUAUGUUUCAUUAUUUUCGACUAUCAUCUCAGUUACUACACUUUGAAAUUUUAUGUUUAUUGUAUAAGAUAAAUGUAUCAAUUAUUUUUUCAUUGUGUUAUUUAAUUUGUUUUAAUACUAUUAACUAAUUUUCUUAUUUUUUAAUUAACGGACAUAACAAAAAAAUAUCAAUGACACAUAAAUUUAACUACAAAAUUACGUACAACGUAACUAAAAAAUUGUACUCUAAUUUUAUCCAAUUUUUUUUUAUUUUUCUUUAUCUGUAUAUUUUUCUUCAAAAAAAUAAAAAAAAUUAUAAAAUUUAAUUUAAUAAAUAAGUAAUUUUAAAACUAAUUAAAAAAAUAUAUAAUAUAAUAUUUAUAUUUUAUAAUAUUUAAAAUUAAAAAAAAAAAACAAAAAGAGCCACAUUCAUUUGCAAAUUGGUAUGAAUCAAAGUACAAAGUCUAAAGUAGUAUACAUUGGAAAUUAAAUUGCAGAGUAGUGUACAUUAAAAAAAAAAAACAAACAGGGAGAGAAAGUGUAUUCACGAAAAAAACCUUAGUUGUUGACUUAUCAAUAGGAUUAAGUAUUCAUUCUAGAAUAUGACCAAUAUAUAGGACCGAUGGAGUAUUUAUUUAAUUUUUUUUUCUAUUUAAAAGAUUAUCUAAAUUUUAAAUAUACGAAGUAUAUUAAAUAAAACAAUAUUAAAAAAAUAUAGUGUAUUUUAAAUAAAAAAUAUUAGAGAAAUAUAUAACAUAUUAAAUAAAAUUAAUAACAAGUAAAAUUAAAAUUAUUUAUUUUAGUAGUUAAAUAAAUAAAAUUGAUUACAGUUUUUAAAGAAAUGAUAAUAAAUUACGAAAAAAGCAAAGCGAGAAAAAAAAUUACAAUUUUAAAGUCGUAAUCUUAAAAUAAAAAUUACGACUUCAAAGUCGUAAAAGAAAAAAAAGUUAAGUUACUACUUCAAAGUCUUAAAAAAAGUUAUAAAGUCAUAAAAUUAUUUACGACUUCAUUUAAAAAAUUAAAAUCGUAACAGGUGUUAUAACUUCAAAUUUAUAAGUCAUACGCAACACCUGUUAAGACUUAUCUCUUUUGGGAAAUAAUUUAAAAAAUACCCUCAUUAAAAAAGCAUAAAAAAAAAUACUCCCACUCGGUAAAAAAGCCCAAGUUUUCUAUUUUUUUAAUUGUAAAAGAAUUAAAACUGAGUUUUGGAAAGCAAAAAGAUACAUGCUCAAGUCUUUUUUGUUUCUUUUUAUUAAUGAGAAUGCAGAAAGUGGAGCAACCGAGAUGGUGAAAUGCCAAUCAUAAGAAAUGGGAAUACUCACCGUUGCAGCCCGAAUUACUCAACAAUAUCUACUGGGGAACCAAACGGUCGGUGCCAGAGAAACGAAUAAAUGUGGAAAAGAAGUUAAAUGUUGAAAAACAACAAGCAUACGUAGAGUGGGAUACGGUGCAAUUUCUAGAAAGACAACCUACAUGUUUCCCUUAGGAACAGAUGGAUCCAACGAUCAAAAAAACUUUCGCAACAUGCAGGACCAACUCAGCUUUGCAUGCUAGAAGGCGUCUUCAAACAUACAUCUAAACAUCUUGAUUAAUAUAAAAAUCACUUAAAGAAGCUAACAUGAGAGUUUCAACAAAUUACCUUUUGCCUGAUACGCUUUUCAUUUCUCUGAUAAACACUUGGCUCUUCAUUUUGAUGCCCUUUUACCCACUGAUAUGUGUAGUUGCCACUCUUCUUUUGCCAAAUUUUCAAGCUUUUCUUCAUUCAAUGGAGAUCCAUUAGUGAGGAUAAAUAUGAUAUUUUUUAGACUCGAUUUCGUGACCAUACAUGAUGUUACAUGUUGUGUUUGUUGCUGAACUUCGAGGAUCAGCACCUCCAGAAGAAGAAGAAGAAGAAGAAAGCUAAGGGAAGGAACUCUGCUAUUUCUCAUUCAUUCAUGUCUCAUGCUGUUAUUACAUAUUCCUAUUUAUACUGAAUUCUAUACAACUAAUUUUGGCAUUUUGUACUUUUCUAGAAUAUUCAUAAUUCAAGAAUUGGUUAUUCUUGUCCCCUAAAGGCCAGCAUCGAAGCGCUCCUGCAUUACCCCCUACUUCAAACGAAAUCCCUGAGGUAGCAGGCCUCACAAUUCUCCUCAUGUUUGUUGUUGUUUGCACCCGUGUGUUUGCUGCCCCUGUGCCUCCUUCUACCUAUCACAUGAGGAUCUCGUAACCGACAUUGUUCCUUGGCACUUUGAAUGCUCCAACGAAGAAGGAUGUAUUGUUGGCUUCUUCUAUGUCAUCAUGCAAUGUCCCCAAGCAUGAUGACAGAAAGUGGGUUCCUUCUUAUGGCCUCUGCUAUUAGAUUGAGUGUUGCUUUUCAUAGAGAUGAGGGGCAUUAGAGUCCCUUCCAUCUCCAUCAAAGAGGUAUGCAUGCACGAAAAUACUCUAACGAUGGAACAAACAAUUUGGUUGAUGAAAGGUUAUAUGAGUCUAUUCGGUGCUAUGACUUUUAAGUUAGAAAUUGUAAUACCUAUUACAACUUUAAUUUUUUUAACUAAAGUCAUACAUAAUUUUACUAUUUCACUCUAAUUUUUUUUAUAACUUUAAGGUUGUAACUUAAUUCUUUUUAUAUCUUUAAAGUCGUAACUUUUAAAGUAUUUCUCAUAUGGAGAUAACUCUGUUUCUGAUGUCUUUCUGGUGAAGCAAUGAAUGGCCUACUUUUCGCGAACCCACUGAGAUUAGCUUCUUCUUCUAUUAUGGCUCAUUCAUCCUUGUCUCAUGCUUUUUGAGCUCUGGCAAACCAAGGGAGAUUUACCAUCAACCUUUUCUCCAUGAAGCAUAGAAUGCAAACGUCAUGUACAUCAACGAAUCGUGCGAAGCCAAAAUGAUUUCCACAUUUAUCCCUCUUCAUUGGAAUAAACACCUCUUGAAUUUCCCAGUAGCUUUGAAAAAUUUCCCACAUAUCUUUGGCAUUGAAAGAAUCUGGAAAAUUAGAUAAAAUAGAGUGCUUGUGUUCGAGUUGUCAUUUGUAGCCUGCUUGUGACUGCUACUGACUACAUCAGGGAUGUUCUUGUUGAAUCUUGAUUUUUUUCCUAGUUUUUUCCUUGUGACAUUUGUCCGAUGUUUUUCCAUCACUCUCUUAUCAACUACAACUCUGAUUAGGACUAAAGAUAAAGAAGCUAUGCUAGAUGUGUUGGUUCUGAUGCAUUUUGGUUAUUCACACAAAUAAGUUUUAUAGCAAGUUUCUUAAGUACAAAAACUAUGGAAGCCCCUCAUUGAGAGAGUAAAAAUUUAUCAUGAAUUUACAAAAAUAAUUAGCAUCAUUAGCCUACACUAGUUGUAUAAACACAAACAACCUUUAACCAAACAUACAAGUAAUCAGAAAAUAAAAAUUGCAUAUACAUUAUAUUUUAGUAUAAAAGUUGUUAAAAAACCCCGUUUUCUAAGACUCCUCCUUGAGAUUUUUGUUCAAUACUAUAAGCUUUGAUUUCUACACUUAAAACUUUGCUUUGGUAAAGGGUUUUGUCGUAAUGUUUGUAAUAUCAAUAUUUUUUUAAUUGCAAAGCUCUAAGAUGGUUUCCUUUGAUUGCUUUGUUUCUCCUAUAGAACUAUACUUCACUUUUAUGUGUUCAGUCCUUCCAUUUUGAAUAGGAUUAUUUGUUAUGACAAAAGCUGACUUGUUUUCCCAUUUAAAUAACAGUCAAUGCAUUUUGAAUUUGGCAAACAUCUAAUAAAAUCUUCCUUAGACAAAUAUUCUUGUAGCACUCUUUCGCGGUUUAAAUCAGAUCAUAGUCUAACUUUUGUGCAGUUUCAGAAAACUGAAAAGGUUUUUGCUUCACCUUUUAAGUUUCUAAAAAUUUGGACUUCCCAUCCUGACUGUCAGAGGCUGCAGGUUUCGAAGGUCUGGAAUAAGGAGGUUGUUGGCUGCCCCAUGUAUGUGUUGAGCCACAAAUUAAAAUGUUAGAAAGCUGAACUUAAAAGUCUAGAACAUAUCAGUGUUUGGUGAUAUGAUGUGCACUCUAAUGUUCAUAUCAGGCCAUAUAUAAAGUUGAGGUUCAAAAGAAAAUUUAGAUUCAAGGUCUGUCUGUUGAUUGAUUUUCUGAAGAUUGAUGUUGAGGUGCAAAUGGAGUUGCAGAAAGGUUUAAUUAAUAUUCCAAGAGUCUUUUUGGUGGCAUAAAGCUCGGAUUAAUUGGCACUUUCAUUUAGGGAUGAGUAUCUCUUCUUGCGGCAGAAUCAGUAUCAUGAUUCAUACAUGGAAAAAUUGUUAGAAUUAAUGUCUCAUGUGAGAGACAUGUGACUUAAUAGGGACGAAUAAAUAAAUAAUUAACGAUUAAAGACUAAAUUGUAAUUGAACUUAAUAGGAGAAGUUUCUAGAGCUAAGUGUUACUUGAUGGGAGUAGAGGUUAUAAAAGGGGUUUAGUACUCACUAACGUGAAAUAAGGUCCCCUUCCUGACCAGAAAGUGUUCUCUCUCACCCAUAGCCAUCAAGAAAGGAGAGAGGCGGAAAAGAAAGGCCUAAGGAAGUGAAAUCUUAUUUCUCUUCUCUUUCAAGGAAAUCAAAGUGCACCGGAGAGAAGUUCCUAUGGAGAAAGGUACACAUCAUUAUCUAUUGUUGUUUAUUGAUUGUUUGUGAAAAUCAUAGGUUUCAAGAUCCUGUUGUUUCUUAUAAUUGAUAGUCUAGAAAACCCCUUAAGAAUUUUACAUGUGGUAUCAAAGCAUGUGUUAUGAAAUUUAUGAUUCUCCAAAAAUGAUUUAAUUUCUCCCAAUUAUGCAUGAACCCUAAUUAUGAAAUUUAGGGAUAAUUUAAUUUCUUCAAAUUAUGCAUCAAACCUAAUUAUGAAAUUUAAGAAUUUUAAUUUCUAUGACAGUGAGUAUGGAGAUUUAUUUGGCUGGCUGGAAACUGAGUCAACUUAGUGAUUGCUGCUUUGAAGGAUGCAUCUUUGGUACCUUGGAGACUGCAGGUCCAAUUGGAGAAUUGUUUAGCAGAUAUACGCAGUACGAGUGUCUUUGUUACACAUAUUUAGGGAGGGCAAUAGUUGUGCUGAUAAUAUAGCUUCUUAUGGAAUUGCUCAGGUUGGGUAUAAAUGGUGGGAUGAGCUGCCAAAUUUUAUUAGGGAAAAUUUUAUCCAUAAUAAAAUAGGUUUGCCUUCUUAUAGAUUUUCUUGACUGUUAUAUCUGGGUUUGCUUUAUCCCUCCAUUUUCUUUGUUAUUUACUUCUUUUAUAAAUAAUAUACGAUAUGCGGCAUGGGGUUAGUAUCUUCAGUGGUGUCAACCUAGUUGAGAUUACUAGAGUUAUUAUGAUGCUUAGCAUAUCUAAUAUCUAUCAAAAAAAAAAAAAAACUGUGGAUAAACACUUACCAGCAUUGGUCUUCCGGCUUCUGCAGAUAAAAUAAAAACUUAGUUACAGAACGCCACAAAUAAAAGCACCGGUAGAAGCAACCACUGUUGGCAUAUUUUUCUUGUGCCUAAAUAUAGGAUCUUACGGGUUGGAUCCAUUAAAAAAAAAUCUAAAAUUAGAGCUAUCUUAGACGAUUUUUCAUAGUCGUGAUUGAAAAGAGAAGAUAAAAAAUGACAGUGCAUACCUAGCUCUGAAGCAGCCAUCCUGAUAUAUAGAUCCUGCUUACCAGUUUGAAGCUGUUUCAUAUCAAUUAGAUCUCCAAACCACAUGACACAGCCACUACCUUCACCUCUUAUAUCUGAAUUAGAAUAGGCCAUACAAGAACAACUAUUCAAACACUUCACUCUGCAUUCCUCUAGACCAAUACUCUCAUCCCACCAAGUAUGUGUAGUAUCCGGAACUUUGAGACCUUCAAAUUUGACAAACCCAUUUUUUAGUUUGUCUUUGCAGCUUAAUGGUUUUUGCGCACACAUCCUCCACUCCAAUCCGAUGAGUUCCAUGCUUCUGGUGACUUUGGACUGAAACCUUUUAAACAUUGGCAGGCUUGACGUUGAGUACUGCUUACGCAAUUCCCGUAAGCUCCACAGAGGCUAUAAGUGUCACAAAACUCUUGUGGGAAGGAUCUAGACAUCUUCCAAUCUUGUUCUCCUACCACCCACAUAUAGCGAUAAAUUGUAAUUGCUGUUUGAUUUGCGACAGAUCUGGCGAUGAAAGAAUCAUUUGCAAUGCUAUAUGUGAAGGAAAUCUCAUGUUUAUUGCUGACAUAACAAAAGCUAUACAUGGUGCCAUUCUCAAAGUCAGACAAUCCACUAAAAUAUAGGCCAUUCCAAGGUCCAAACCGGUAUGCCUUUUUUGUUCCUUUCAUUACAUAAAACUCAGGAUAGUUAUAGAGUUCUAAAACGCGAUAAACAUCUCCUGGUGAUGGAUCAUCUGGACUCUUCCAUGCUGUUUGUUUCCAUUCAUGACCGAUUCGGAGAUUCCAUCCCAACUUCAUUCCUGGCAGGAAUGUAUCAGAUGGAUAGUCAAAACUUUGCCACAAAUACGCUUCUGGGUUUGUUUCUCCAUCAUUUCUUAUGACAAGAUUGCCACUGUCCAAGAGCUCCGCCACUGGAUUCUGUGCUUGGUUGUGAGAGUUGUUGGUGUACCAAACUAGAGACUCAUUUUUGGUGAGAACAAGAUUGCCUGUGGUGUUGAGUGUUAAAUGCCUGAGGAAUCAUUGAUGGGGUUGGCCCUAUUAGCAACCCAAACCACUGUCUGAAUUGGGAUAUUCUUGUACCAAAUUCCCACAUAACGUUUAUGGGAAUUACCUGGACUGAAAAAACCAAAUUCAAACUUUCCACCUUUUGACACCAAGGUCUCCCCAUCACUCAUAGGCUGGAGCACGUUUAUAGAAUCAUUUGCUUCGCAAAUUUGGAGAGAGGGAACAAGUAUGCAUGCAAAUAAAAUCAUGAAAGAAUGUCCAUUGAGUCACACAACUUUUGUGGGUACUCCGUUGUUUCACUUAUUUGCACAAUGAUUAUACGGGUUAAGGUAUGUCUAUCAUAAACACGAAAAUGGGAACUUCAGGGUAGAGUCAAAUAUGGUUUUAUUCCUUAAAGGAUUUUACCGUUCAAACUUUGGUUCUGUAAAAGAAUUUUGUUUCUUGUUUUAUCCUCCAAAAAUUUGAAAGCAUUCGUGAGCAAAGUUUGAUCUUUGUCUCUCUAAAAUUUUUCCUUUUGAUUUUUAUCCUUUAAAAUCUGACAUAUCAAGAUUUAGUGACUAAUAUUUUUUUACCAUAUUUUUUGUAUUUAUGGAUUUUGUGAGUAACUAAUUUCUACCGAAAAAUCUUAUUAACCAUCUUUAAUGAGAUUUUUCUUUCUCAAUCAAGUUUUUUCAUUUACAAGAUUUAAAUUUGAGACAUUAGUUAAGACAACUGAAUUUAGUAUCACUUGAACCAAUGACAUAUUGGCUAGUCACUAAUAUUUAUUUUUAUAUACAUAAAUAACAAUUAUUAAAUUUUGGAGAGAAAAAAUAGACAUAACAUGCUAACAUAGUAUCACAAAUACCGUUGUCGAUCAUCUAAAGUGUCACAUGAUGGUGAGUUAACUAAUCCUAUUAAAUACGUACAAUGAUUAAUGCACAUAUCAUAUAAUAAGAAAAACUACUCUUCGGAUUUUAUGAAAUUUUAAAAACACUUGAUACUUUGUUCUACUCAUACACUAACCUUUUAUAAUAGUUUAAUUUUUGAAAAAUAUAACGGACACCCUUUUAUACAUACGAGACUCUUCCAAAGAGAGGUAAAGAGAGGUAAUGUUAACUAAAGAAACAAAAAAAAUGAUUGUGUGGUUUCACAAAAUCUUAGUGAAAUUUACUCAAACUAAAACCAUUAUUUAAGCCUUUUGAUUAGGGAAAAAAGAAAAAUUACAAUCAAAAUUCACCCAUUUCAUAUCAACUAAAAAUAUAUUUAGUCCCUGAGCAUAUAAUAAGCUGAGAGGGUGGACGUUCCUACGCAUUGAUUCUUCAUUCUAAUUUGACUUUCAACUCAAGCUCGCAGCAUGUUCUCUUUGGGCUUCAAUUUGUCAUUUAGGUUUCUAACUACAACUAUACUAGUUAAUAAUAUAUAAUUCAUUUGGAUUGCAUGUCAACCUACCAUAUCAGUAACGACAAACGCCCCUUUUGACUUGUUACACGAUUUGUCCAUACUUCACAUUAAUUGUUGUUGUAAGAAAUAAGAAUGGACAAAAAGUUGUAAAAAAAAAAGGGCACAUGGAAAGAACCUAAAAAUCUANNNNNNNNNNNNNNNNNNNNNNNNNNNNNNNNNNNNNNNNNNNNNNNNNNNNNNNNNNNNNNNNNNNNNNNNNNNNNNNNNNNNNNNNNNNNNNNNNNNNAAUUAGAAUUUUGAAAAUAUGUUUGGUUUGACUUCCUAUUUUCUGUUUUCAUGAAAUAAAAAUACUGAAAAUUUAUGAUAUAUUGACUUGUCUUUUUAUAUUUUUAGAUUUGCUUAAAAUUACAGUCAUCACAGUUUCAUUUUACCCUAAAUGAGGUUUUUGUUCUCAAGUGAAAAUGAAAACGAAAAUUUAUUAUUUUCAUUUUCUGAUUGUUUCCUAUUUUCAUUUUUACUGAAAAUGUUUUCAGAGAUUCAACUAAACACAUUUUCAUCACCAUUUUCUAUUUUCAGUGAAAAUGAAAAUAGAAAACAAUCAAACCAAACAUCCCUUUAAUAUUUAAUAAUCAUACAUGUUAUAGAAAAAGAGAAGAAAAAGGAAAAGAAAGUAAAAAACAGAAUUGAGUGGAUAGAGGGAAAGAGUAGAGAAACAGAGGUCAAAAAGCUUGUGACAGAUUUCUCUCUUUCUCUCUCAUCUCUCACGUACUGUUAGUUGCACACAGAAAGUUUCUAUUGUCACACAAUCGCCGAAGAUACCAAGUUGAUUUUCUUCUCUGAUCAUUCUACCCUGGCCCCUUUCAUUUUUGUUAUCCUGCCCAGCUGCAUUACUCAUUUUAUCUAAUCAAAUCAUGCAUUUGUAAGCCUUUUUCAAUGAAUUAGAGGACUCGGUACAAUUUUAACUAUGUGACUCUUUUUUUUUUUUGCGCAGCCAAAAACAUAUAUUAUAUUAAAAGGUUAAUAAUAUGUUACAAGUUGUGAACAUAUUACAGAAGCAGAGAAUUAUUACAACGUAGAAAUGAAAGCAUGACACCCACCAAAUAAAUCUAUUACAUCAUAUACUUAGACUACAACCAACAUAGACACCUUCCCCAUGUUGGUGUGGCAACAGAGCCUUAACACGAUUCUAUUCUACUUUUUUUGUCAAACUUAAAUUAAAUUUAGAUUUCAAUCUUCUAGUUUGAAUUUCUAUGGGACAAUGGUCGAAUGUGUUUUGCUAUAUGGGAUGUUAGGAGAUACCAAAUCUUAAAAUGAAUGAAAAAUUAUGUGGUGUUAUAAAUAAAAGAUAUGUCAAUAAUUAGAAUAAUUGUAAAAAUCCUUUUAUUUUAGUGAUAUUAAGUCAUAACUGUCUAACUGUUGCAAUCUACAUCACAGCAAUCACAUUGUCCGCAACCGCAAUAGCCACAACCACGAUUAUGAUCGCAACCGUUGAAAUCAUGUUUUCAACGACUUCCAAACUCUUACUUUUACUGCUUCAAUUGGAGUCCACGUUACACGGAACCAUAAAUAUAUGUGACUUAAAGGCCUAAUGAUUUCUAAUUUGUUUCAAAAUUAAUAAACCAUUUGUUUGAUCAGCCAGGGGAUGCGUACUACUUGGCAAUGCCUUUUCCCCUCUGUCAGAAAACGAAAAGCCAAUUAUGAAAACAAAAAUAAGAAAUGAAAGUUGAAAUUAAAAAUGAUAAGGCUUAAUUGUAUUUUUUUUUUUUUACUUUUUGAUAAAUUUUACUGUAUUUUACUCUCAUUUUUAUUACAAACUUAAAAAUUUUACCUUCUUAAUUUAAGCUAACAUUACAUGCUAAAAUAAUUUUUCCUCAAUUUUUGACAAUUUUUACCCCCAUUUUUUUUCAAUUUUUGGCAAAUGUUAUUCUCUCAGACAAAUUUGGGGUAAAAUGCAAUUAAGGAUGCCAAAAAGUGGUAAAUUGAAGGUAAAAAUACAAUUAAGCCAAAAGAUAAAAGUGAUGGGUGAUUGAAUGAUAGUUGAAAUUGAUGUUGAUAAUAAUUAAUUUUGCAAUAGUAAUACAUUAUUCUUUGUUAUUUGUUGUUUAAGGUUGUUAGAUAGAAACCAAGAAAUGAAAUAAUAUAUUUUAUAUAUUCAAUUAUAUUUAUUUAUAUUAUUAUUUUUAGUUAUAAUAUAUAAAAUAAUUUUUAUAUUUAAAAAUAUUUAUUUAAUAUAAAUUUUCAUUUUAUAAAAUUAAACGUUUAUUAUAUGGCGUACACAAAUUAAAAUACUUAUGCUAAAUUAUUUUUUCUAAACGUGCAUGUGGGCGAGUGGCUAAAUUAAGGGAUUGAAUCUUGAUAAAAACAAAACGAAAAGAAAGUUGUAAUGUUAAAGCUUUGACAAUAUCAGUUCUCAAGCCGCCUAAAACAAUAAAUUAUCAGUGACUAACCAACUCAUUUUUUAUGUAUUUUUUUAGGUGCAUUUUACACUGAUAAUUUUGCUUUCCUUUCGACCAUAUCAAAUUAUAUUCUUUUAUUUUUUUUAUAUUUUAUCUUUAUUUUAAAUUACAUUUAAAUAAUACUUUUAAGGAUAAAAUAUGCAUUUCAACCCUAUGAAAUAUUUGAAGUUCAAUUUUAGCUUCUCUAAAAAAAAUUAACACUUUAAUUUUAAAACACACCACUUUUAAUUCCUCAUAUACUAUUUAAACUCUUUUUCAUCCUCAACAUAGUGUUAGCUAAAUUACUUUAAACACCAGAAGUUGUACAAUAUAUAUUUAAAAAUAGAGAAACGAAAUAUUGACAAAAAAAAUUAGGGAUUAAAACUAAACUUCAAAAAUUUAUGAGAAAAGUAUGUUACUCUAUUUUUAAUAGAAAAUAUUGUAAUAUGAUACGUAUAUGAUUUCCUAAAUUUAUAAGACAUAUUACAUGAGAGUGAGAAGAUUAAAUUUAGACAUAUUGAGAAAAAAAUAAUAUAUUUAUAUUUUUAUUACUCAAAAAUCACACACCCAAGAAAAAAGACAAGAUCAUAAACGAAAUAGAAAACAUAUCACAAAUUUGUUUAGCAUGAUUCACCCCUACAUCCAUAAUCUUCUCUCAACAAGUUUUUAGGACAAACUUGUAAACAUUCUCUCAAGAUGAUCUCUCUCUCAUCUAGGGUGUUGGCCCUUCUUCGGACUUGGUAAUUCUUCUCAUCUUAAAAAUCUUUAUAUAUAGAUCUAGCAUCAUAAUCUUAAAAGAGAAAACAAAUAUCUAAUUUAUAAAAUAUAUCUUUAAUUAUAAAGAGCAUCCUAGAAAUAAGAUAAUAUCUUUUUUUAAAUCUAAAUAAUAUCCUAGAGAUUUAAAAUUAUAAAUUUGAAUUGUUUUCCAACAUUCCUUUCCUUAAUUAAAAUUGAAUUUCAUGUUCAAUAUUUUUGGAUGCAUCACGCUUUCACUUUGCACAAAAUUUAGUAUGUUUCCUAAUCUACUCUAUUGAGUAUUGAAUGGUGACCCUUCUGCUUGUACCACCAACUACUUCCAUUAGAACACACCACUUGACUAUCACAUCACUAAGUAGACUUUUGACACAAGGAUCCCACACAAAUUCAUUAUCAACUUCUUCAAUACUCUUCUAUCUCUGGAUAUCAGGCUGCAAGAUCGUUCAACUCUGAUGCUAAUUGUUGGAGGGAAAAACACACUCAUAUCUUUAUUACUCAAAAAUCACACAACCAAGAACAAGAGACAACAUCAUAAACGAAAUAGAAAGAUAUAACAAAUUUGUUUAACGUGAUUGGUGGAAGUGGUCUAAGCAGCAUGUCUCGUGGGUGGAUUGGUGGUGCAAGUAUCUAGAGCACGUGGACUUUAAUGGCCACCAUGAAAUACUCGUGGAUGAUAAUAGUAUUCGCUCGAAGGAGAGACUAUCAUGUGUAAGAGACUCAUACUUGAGAGGGAGAUUAUAAAAGUACAAGUGUUAGUUGAAGUCUCACAUCGUGUAGGAAUGAGAAGUUUGAGUACCAUAUAAGUGGAUACAAGAUCCAUAACUUGAGCCUUAAAAAUUUGGGUUAAAGUGUGAUGUCAAAUUUACUUAUGUGAUUGCUCGGCUGCGGUGAUGAUGAGUUUAAAAUAUUUUAAAUUGAUUAUUAAAUUUUUUUAGAGAUUUAAUUUUAUUUGACAAAUCUUGUAGAGAUUUGUUAGUAAUUUUAGAAUUUUAUUUGAAUUUAAAAUAUUUUAAUUUAAUUUUUUUGAUUUUAAUCUAAUAGUUAAAAUUAAUUAUUCUAAUUCUCAUAUAAUAAUAUGUCAAUUCUCAUAAUUAAUCAAAUAAUUAUUUUAAAAUAAACCAAAUCAUAACAUGUGAUUAAAUGACUGUUAUAAUAGAGUUUAAAAUAUUUUAAAUGUGAUUAUUAAAAUUUUUUAGAGAUUUAAUUUUAUUUGACAAAUCUUAUAGAGAUUUGUUAGUAAUUUGAGAAUUUUAUUUGAAUUUAAAAUAUUUGAAUUUAAUUUUUUUUCAUUUUAACCUAAUAGUUAAAAUUAAUUUUUCUGAUUCUCAUAUAAUAAUAUGUCAAUACUCAUAAUUAAUUAAAUAAUUAUUUUAAAAUAAAUGAAAUGAUAAUAUGUGAUUAAAUGACGGUUAUAAUAGAGAUUAAACAUUUUCUAAAAUAAAGCCUUUAGCCUUUUGGAUCUAUUCACAGCAAAAUUUAUGUAAGCGUUAGAAAAUUUAGUACAUAUGUUCUCUUUACUCUGUCCGCAGUUAGGCUGCACGGAGAAAAAUCUAGAAAGUAAUAUUUAAAAUUCAACUAAAUGUUGUCAAAUAGAGCGGCCCAUAAAUACAAUUAAAUGAAUGAUAGUUACGACACACAGACGAAAUCAAGAAAAGAUUUAGGGGGGGAAAAAAAAAUCACAUGAUAACCAAAAUUAACCGGAACUAAUUUCUAUUAUUAACAAUAAUUUUACAAUUUAAUCUAAUAAAAAUAUACAAUGAAAGUAAAUAAAUAUAAUUAUCAACACAAACUUUUACUAUUAAAAAAUAAUUACAAUUUAAUUUCUACUAUUAAUAGUUCUGAGUUGUCAUGCUUCAGCAAUUUAACUGCAAGUUUUUUCAAACACAGACAAUGAAUAAUAAUUUAGCAUGUCAAUAUAAAAUAAUUUACCAAGCCAUAAAUUUGAGAGCAGCAAACGGAUUUAGUUCGUCAAAUAAUUAGACGGGGCGAUUUUUUACUUUCAACUGGAAAUUUUAAGAGGCUUGUGAUCUUUGGGGAAUGCGGUGAGGUUGGCUGCCUCUGCAGGUGCAUAUACUAGGAGUUUAUUUGAUGCAUCAAAUUUAUGAUAAUAAUAAAUAUAAUAUUUUAUUUUAUCUUUGAUUUGAAAAAAUAUUAUAGAACAACAUAAACUAAGGAGAUAUGAAUAUGACAAAAUUUUCAUUUUUUUACUCAAAAAUCAUCAAAUAGUUUUUUAUUUCAUACAGGUACAAAAUAUCUAAAAAACAUAAUUAUCUUCACUUUUUUCUUAUAUUUCUCACCCAUGUUUUUUUCUCGAGAAAUUGAUGUGAACAGAUUUUAUUUUUCAAUCUUGAUAUCAUUCUUUUUAAAUUCUGAAAAACACAUUUUAGAAUAUGUUGUGUGAUUUUUAUGAGAUUGAUAUAUAAAAUAAGAUGAUAUUAAACGGCACCUCCACCAAAACCAAAGAUGUUACAGGUCCCUGAUAAACAUAAAAUAAUAUGAUGAUUUUUCAGCCGAAUAAUAUAUUCAGAAAGUAGACGAUUUCUAACAUGAAAAAGUGAAAUAUCUUUCCGUGAGAAAGUGUAUUUCUGACUUGUUAGAUUAUUUAAAGUUUAAUUCGAUGAUGAACAGGGGUAACCUGGUAAAAAGAUGAAGAGAAAAAUGAAAAAAAAGAAAAAAAAAGUCAGUCAUCAGAUUAAACUCCAAAAAGUUCUAACAAUGUAAAAUGCACUUUCGCAGGUGGGAAAGAUGUUUCACUUUUCCACUAGAAUUCAUCCAGAAAGAAACUAAUCUUUGGAGACCCAUUCCCACUAGAUAAUAUCCCCAGUGCCGAAUAUUGGUUGCAGCUCUUGCACCACUGGUUGUGUCUUCCAAUAAAGUUUGAAUAUCUCUCUUGUUCGUAAUGUGAUGUUCUAGAUCGAAUGAGUUUUUGGCAUCCACACAUUUUGAUAUUUGUUGGAUACUUUUUGUUAGAUGACUCAAGCGAGAUGACUUUAUUGCAACUACACGCCAACAAUAGAUGAUUACAUGCAAGUUAGAACUAGAUCAAGUUUUUACCCAAGUGCUGAUAAUCAUAUCUUUCAUUGGCAUGGAAGACACAACAGAGGAAAUCCUCAUAUGUCAUUGUUAUAGCUACAUCAACUAUUUGUAGGAUCAUGGAUGGCAUUGUUGGAAAUCAGGUGCAUACUAAAUACAAAUUGUUUUGUCCAAUAUUAGGUGAAUUUUACAUUUCACUUAAAAGAGAAUGAAUCAAUGUUUUUAUGGGACUCCUAUAAAAUACACCUCUUUAUAAAAAAAACAAAAAAAAAACAAUGUAUUGAGAAUAAGUAACAGUAGUAUCGCUCUCCAAAUACUUGAGCUACUAGGUUUCAUAAGACUAGUUGUGUAAAAGCAGUAUUUUGAGUUACAAACAUAGAUGAUACACAUUAAUUUAUCUUAUGUUAAAAGAGCUAGUCAUUAUAUAUUCCAACAGUUUUAAAGAUUUAGGAGAGGAAGACUUAAUAAUAAUUUUGACAAUAUCAUAUAUUAACAAUUGUUAUUUUAAGUGUUAAGGCUAUUUUUGAUAAAACAUUUAAAUUAGUUUUUAUUUUUUUAUUAGUUGAAACAACUCAUUUGGUUAUUCGAUAAAUCAUCAAAAUGGUGCCAUUGAUGAACUUGAACUUCUUUUUCGAUAAUAAAGCUCAUUUCAUGGCGCGGCUCCAUGUGUGAUAAUUCAGGUUAUUGUUGAGUAGAAGUGUAACAAGAAUCAGACCUGGAUUUUGUCCACGAUACAGAUUGUAGGGCGAUGAAGGAUUUUGUGAGUAGCUAUCGUGUAUUUAGUAGUGGAGUUCUCCUUGCUUCAACAAUGUAGACUGUCACUAUUCCUGAAAGGGAAGAACUAAGUUGCCGGAGCAUGAAAAAUCUGAUAACAUAUUACAAUGAUUUGGCACAAAAAUUAAUUAUUCCAUUUGAUGAUAGAAUGGGUUAGCACUUUAUAUAUAGAUCAGUUAGUUGGCUAACUAAUUCAACUGACUAGUAACAGUUUUAACAAACUAACAAACUAGGAAUUAUGAAGUAACGGUCAUUUUUCUAUCCUAACAAGUAAAAACAUUAUCAUACUAUAUAAGAAGUAAAAGCAAAAUGCUGAAAUUAAUGUAUUAAAUAAGAGACAACUAUAAUAAUGCUAGUCAUAUAUAGCAUUUAGAUCAAGGUUUGGAUUGGGAGAUGUUCUUCAUCCUUAUUGGUCCUUGGUGGAGUUUAUUCAUUAAUCGUGGGUAAAAGAUUGGGAAGUCUGUGUUGUUCAUGUCUAUUCAGAAGGUAAUUUGGUUGCUGAUUAUUUAGCAUCUUUGGUUCACUUUGCAUGAUAUAGGAUUACAUGUACUUCAUACACUACCUCAUGGGUGUGUGCAUUUACUUCUUAAAGAUGUAAUGGGACUUCCUUUGGCCUGUAUAGUUUCUAUGUACUUGUUUGGGCUUUUGUUUUCUACUUCUUAAUAUGAAAAAAAGAUGUAAUUACAUAAUAAACCAUAUUCUUUUUAAAGUAUAUAUUUAAAAAUUUAUACAAUUAUUCUGUGCACACAUUAUGUGAAAAUUUUGUAGUCCAUUCCAUUACAGAAUUUUGUUUAUGGUCAGUAAACGUUUAUAAAGUCAUACCAUUCAGAUCACGCGGAUUGAAGCAUGUCUUUCUUUUUUGUCUUCUUGACAGAGAGGUUCUAUCAAUUCUCUAAAUGGUUGACAAAAAGUAUCUAGGCCACAAAUAAUGUAAUUAACUAGACUUUGAACCCGUGGUGUUGCACAUUGCUGCGGUAGAGGAGGACAAGGAAUGGAACCAUGAGGCCGAUAAUGUAGGCGUUCAUAUCGCUGAUCCAACGAUCGCAGAACAAUUCGGAGGAAAUGUGGUGUUGUUUUGGUGGCUACUACAAUGAGGCGGAGAGUACAAAGAGGAAAGAGGGGACGUGUUUUAUCGAGAGCCUACAAAAGGAGAAUAUAAUAAUGGGAAGAAGAAAGAGGCAUUGGAAAGAGAAGAGUCACAAGAGGAGAGGAAGAGUCAGAAUUAUUCAAAUUAAAUUUAAAAUUGCACAAGUUUAAAGACGAAGACGGUUUUUCUUGACUUUAAAUGUCAUUACCCCCAAACAAAAGCGGUUUUGUGAGGACCGACUUUAAAUGUGUGUCGUGAAAUAUGAUAUUUUUAGUAGUGAGUAUAAGUGUAAAUGUUAGGAGAAGAAAUUGAAAUUUAAUAUUAAUUAAUACCUCUCAUAUAUGAAUUUUUUUAAUUAAAAAGGUGUAAAAACUAGAAUAGUCUAAUAAAAGAAACAUUACAGUAGUGUAAGUAAGAGCUACAUUAUAUAGGUAUAGAUAGGUGAUGUGGUUUUGUUAUAAUGUUUAUCUAUCUACACCAGGGUACUGGGAUAAUUUCCUCCUUUCCGAUGGUGUCUCCCGUCCUCUUCUUUGUGAACUCAUACUCCGAUGCGUCAGGAAUGAAUACUUGUGAAGAUACUCCAACACUUAAGUUAGAAUUUUCUCAAUAUGAUAAAUGAGAAAGUAAUAAAUUAAAUGAGAAUGAACAAUGUGUUACCUUAUCACCCUUUAUAUCCCUAUAUAUUAAUGGGUCUUGGGUCCAUGAGUCUUAUCUUUGAGGUUAAUGAUAGUACGAACCAGUGAUUACCUGUUGUUGAGGUCCUAGUGUUGAUUAUAUUACUUUUGAUUAACUUUCUCCCUUUAAUCCAUAGUGGUCCUAUUGUACUGUCAUGGAGGGUUAGGCCAUGGCCGAUAAGGUACUCAGCCCAGGCCCAUAGGGUGUUUGGCCUAUGCUUGUGGCCAUGCAUAUGUGUCUCAUCCUUCAUCCCUGGGGUGUUUAGGACCUGAUCGAAGGGGUAUUCAGCCUUGGCCAGCUGGUAGCUCUGGCUAGGGGUGUUUGACUAUGCCAUAAGGGGUUUUUUGGCCAUACACUUGGUAGUGGUCCGACCCUGUGGGUAUAGUUUAUGUUGGUGUGGCUUGAAAAUAGCAUAUGCUUAGGCUUAUGUGUUAAUUUUGUGGUUAAGACUUCAACUUUUAUAUAGUAUAAAAUAGAUAGAUUGAAAGUUAUAAUUAAAUAUACAUAAUAUAUUAAUUAAUAGUUUGUUUGAGAGAUAAAAAGUUAUUUUUGAGGAAAAUAAGAAAGCAUGGUUUAAUCAUGUGCUAUAGUAUUAAAGAUAAAAGAGAGGAAACUAGUAAGUUGUUUCCAGAAGGGAUUCCAUUUAUGUACUAAAUUCUAAAAAGAAACAACUUUAUACACAUUAGUAUUUUUUUCCCAUACAUAAAGUUCUAAAAUUGAAAAGUUUUUUAAAAAGUAAUUGUAUGACAUGGUAUUAAAUUCUAGUCUUACAAUCAAAUUGAACAAUCAAUUUUCUCAAAAAGAAAACUCAUUUUAUUAUAUACAAAUUAAAAAUAAAAAAAUGAUUUUUCUUAUACUCAUGGAUAACGCAUGCACACACAACAUGCAUGUUUAGAUCUAGUUGGAUAAAAAUUUAAGGAUUUCAGUUCAAAGAAAGAGACAUUCGACUUAAGUCAUUGAUUCAAUAAAAACUAAAAUUCUAGAGUCAUUUCUAUUUCUUUCACACAUAUAGAAGUAAUUGUUGAGGUUGACGGUGGAGACUUUUUAUUCCACAUGUCAUUUCUAUUAUUUUAAGGUUAAAAUAUAUUUUUUGUUCUUAUAAGAUUAAAAAUAUUUGGACUUCAUCCCUGUAAAAAAAAUUAUUAUGUUUUGUGUCUUUGUUAAAUUUAUCAAGGUUUUGGUCUGGAAUUAGGUUUAGGUAAAUUCAAACUUACGAUUAUGAUUUUUAUAUCAGCUAUGCAUAUAACUGAUGUAAAAAAAAGUUAUUCAAGUAGGCUCACAUACCAAAUCUUGAUCUGGGCCAAAAAAUGAAACAUUUAAGGUUUAUGAUGACAAAAAAAUGUUUUGCUGGAACGACAUCUGAAUAUUUUCUAUUUUUUGACAAAAAACAUAUUUUAGUUUUUUUUUAUCUUGCCUCCAACACUGAGUUAGACAUUUCACUAAGGGAAAAUGCUUCAAGAUUUCUUGCAGAAGAUUCUCUCAUGGGUGCAUGAUCAAUUCUCGUGUAGAACCCGGGUUGACUUGGCUCAGGCAACAACUUUUCACCAUUCAACAUUAAAACUAUUGAUGACAUGUUUGGUCUAUCCUCUUGUCUUUGUUGUACGCAUAACAAACCAAUAUGAAUAUGCCUUAAUAUUUCAGAUGGACUAGCUGAAUUGUCCACUAAGUCAUCCAUAAGUUCCAUCGGCCUUUGCUGAAUCCAUAGUCUCCAUGCCUGAAAAUAGCAUUAAAGUCACAAAGCAGCUAGUUCAUUUUCCUUAUUAGAAAUUGUGAAACAAUAAUGUUCAUCAUUUCACGGUCCAAAGUCUUAUUAUUCACAUACAAAUUGAUUUAUUUUAUAGACCUACAUGCCCAAGAAGAUUCAGGUCAUGAUGUGGGUCACAAAAUUCUUUGAUCUUUCUCCUAUUUAUUAUCUCCAACACAAUCACUCCAAAGCUAUAAACAUCAGAUUUGACUGAAAAAGAUCCAUGUACAGCAUAUUCAGGAGACAUAUAACCACUGCAUAGCAAAACAAGAAUCCAUAAUGAGAAGCUAACAAAAAAUAUAGAAUGCGAAAGGAAAAACAAGUACUAGAAAACUUACUAUGUUCCCAUUAUUCUAGUUGUAUUUGCUUCAUGUUGAUCUAGCUCAAAUGUCCUAGCCAUACCAAAAUCUGAAAUUUUAGGGUUCAUAUUACUAUCAAGUAGAACAUUACUGCUUUUGAGAUCCCUGUGAAUGAUCUUUAGUUUAGAGUCUUGAUGAAGAUAGAGAAGUCCUCGAGCAAUUCCACCAAUAAUUUCAAGUCGUUUAGCCCAUCCUAAUAAUGUACGCCUUGUUGUAUCUGACGAAUUUUACUUCUUUGUUAGCAUAUGAAGACUAUUUUAUCAAAAUUUAAAAAGAAAGAAGGAUAAAAUUCUGGCAAAGCUCAAACCAAAAAUAAAGUAGUCCAAGCUUCUGUUAGGCAUGAAUUCAUAUAUCAACAACUUCUCUUCUGCUGAAUAGAACAACCAAGGAGCGUUACAAGAUUACGAUGUUGAAGUUUUGCAAUUAACAUGACUUCAUUUUUGAACUCGUCCAAACCUUGUCCAGAAAUAUUAGAAAGCCUCUUAACUGCAAUCUCUUGCCCAUUUGGUAACAAGCCCUAAAAAUGAUUUUGUAAACAUUGAAGUUAUUUUGAUCAAGAUGAGUGCUAAGGUUAAAUUUAUUUUUCUUACCUUAUAUACUGGUCCAAAACCACCCUGUCCUAACUUGUUGCUUUCUGAAAAGUGAUUUGUGGCAUAAGAGAUGGAUGAAAAAUCCAAUGCUUGUAAAUCAAUGUACUCAUCCUUCUCACUCUUGUCCUUCCAGCAAUUUGUUGCUAUAAUGCACAAAAUUAUUUGCAGAUCUCAUGCAAUCAAUAUAUACAUAUAUAUAUAUAUACAUACAUAUAUAUAUAUAUAUAUAUAUAUAAAAGAGAUGUUUUUUUGUAAAAUUUUAACAUUUGUUGAUUAUAUUCGAAAACAAAAAUAAAACAAGAUAUAGGACUAAACACUAAUAGCAGUACAAUGAAACAAAGAAAUCUCUCAAAUGAAAAGAGAAAGGAGCAAAAACUUAUCUGAUGCAUUUCGGUUUUUUUUUUUUUUUAGAGUUAAAUAGUAUUAUAUAUCAUAGUAAAUAAAGAUAUGCAAUUUGCACCAGAAAGUGCAGUUGGAACCACAAAAAAGAGGCCAUCUCUCUAAACAAAAAACAAGUUGGGAUCAACUAUGUCAACUAUAAACAAUCCAAAGGACAUAGACACCACGAGGAGAAAAAGAAACCAGGUUUAUCACCUGAUUUAUACAGCACUCAUUGCCAUGACACUGAUUUAAUGAACAAUAUAGUAUUGUUCACGUCAACCUCUGCAUUCCUAAAAAUCACAUAUAUUGUUCCUGAGACACCAAAUGGACCAACAUGUGAUCUUCCAAAAUAGGUGUUUAAACCUCCUUUUAUUUUUCCCUCUUAUAUCCAUCCAGUUGUAAGUAUAGUUCGUGAAUAUUGUUAGGUAACAGAAAAGAAUAUCCCAACCAAUUCAAAAUACCUUGCCAAACUUGGUUGGCAAAUGGGAAAAGCACAAACAAGUGAUUACUUUCCUCAACAUGUUGUAAGCAGAGCACACAAGUCGUUGACUCUAUUGGUACACUUCUUAAUUGUAGUAGGCUUCUUGUUGCCAGCCUAUCAUGAAGAAGUCUCCAAGAAAACAUAAGGACUUUCAAUGGUACUUGGCAUUUCCAAAAGGUAUCAUUGAGUAGGCUUGCUGUUGGGGAUAGAUGUUGUUGUUGUUUUAUAGAGUAAAGGUGCCUGUAAGCCGCUGCUACUGAAUAAAUAGGCGCUCUCAGUCCAGUCCAUCUCCAAGAGUCUCUCUCUUCCCUUCGCUGGGUAAAAUCCAUUAAGAAAAAUUCCAGCUCCUCGAGCUAUUGCUGUUCCCACUGGAACAGUUUCAUGCGCCAUAACCACCUCCAUGUGUGGUUUUCAGGUUCAGAAGAGAACAUUUGUAAUACAGUUGCAUUUUUAUUUAUGGCUACUUGGAAUAGUCUAGGAUAUGAAUCCUUGAUGCUGCUAUUCCCCUUCUAGAUUCAGACCAGAAAAGAGUCCUAGUUUCCUCUCCAACUCGCUUCACUAUCACUUCUUUUAACCAGCCCUCUUGCUGCAUCUUGGUUGCACCCAAUCCAACUAAAUCAUGCCACCAAAUUGAACUGGUAGAUCUAUUUUGUAGCUUUAAUGGAAGCAUGUGAACAUUUCCAUAUCUGAAGGAUAAAAAUCUGCUCCACAUUGACUCUUCAUCUUGAAGCAAUCUCCACCUCCAAUUUGAUAAAAGACUAUCAUUGAACAUCUCCAGUUCUUUAACACCUAAGCCACCAUCCUUCUUGGAUUUGCAAACCAUGUCCCAUUUAAUCCAGCAUACCUUUUUUCUCAACAAGGCCAUUCCAUAGAAAUCUCUGCUGAAUUCCUUUAAGUAUAUUCAGCACCUCCUUCGAGGCUUUGAAGAAGGAGAAGAACAAGAGGGGCAGGAUGCCAAGAACAGAAUUUAUAAGUGUAAUGUGACCCCCCAUUGAAAGGUUCCUACCUUUCCAGGAAGCUAAUCUCGACUCAAACACUUUAAUUAUCGGCUUCCAUGUUUCAUAUCUACGAGGAUUUGCCCCAAUUGGAAUUUUCUUUAAACCAGAGAGCAUUUUGAAGCUGCGUAGAAUCACCUUUAGGGCCAAGAGUUAUCAUGCGAUGCUUCUCCUAUGGCCAGGGAGUCAUCAGCAUACUGUAAUAUAGAGAAAAGAAUGUCUUGGCUGCAUGAAAGGCCUCUGAAUAUCAGGAAAAGAAAAGGGGACUGAGGGUCCCCUUGUAUGCCACAAAAGAUGCUAUUGUUUCCCUGGGUAGCUUUGCAUUAGAGAAAAACUCUUGAACAGCAUCAAACAAAUCCACUUCAAUAGUUUCCUAGCAGGACUUGAAAAUUUCCAAAGAAAAGCCAUCGGGGGCAGGACUUUUGGCCGCAUCACAGCUCCACACCGCUGCUACAACUGCCUGACUAAGCCUCCUGACAUCUUCCUCUCCUACCUCAAAAGAUAAGCCAUAAAAAUUGUUUGAUCCAUGUUGUACCUUGUUGAUCUUCGCCACCAGUGCGUUCUUCUUCUAUGAAGUAGCAUUUACAUAAGUUACGUUGGGUCGAACUCUGUUUCUGAUGUCUUUCUGGUGAAGCGAUGAGUGGCCUACUUUUCGCAAACCCACUGAGACUAUCUUCUUCUUUUAUUACGGCUCAUUUAUCCUUGUCUCAUACUUUUGACCUCUGGCAAGCCCAGGGAGAUUUACCAUCAACCUUUUCUACACAAAAAACUGCUUGUCAAGAGUAAGGCAUAGGAUGCAAACGUCCAGUACAUCAACGAAUCGUGCGAAGCCAAAACGAUUUCCAUGUUUAUCCCUCUCUGCUGGAAUAAACACCUCUUGAAUUUCCCAGUAGCUUUGAAAAAUUUCCCACGUAUUUUUGGCAUUGAAAGAAUCUGGAAAAUUAGAUAAAAACAGAGUGCUUGUGUUCGAGUUGUCAUUUGUAGCCUGCUUGUGACUGCUACUGACUACAUCCGGGAUGUUCUUGUUGAAUCUUGAUUUUUUUCCUAGUUUUUUCCUUGUGACAUUUUACCGAUGUUUUUUCAUCACUCUCUUAUCAACUACAACUCUGAUUAGGACUAAAGAUAAAGAAGCUAUGCUAGAUGUGUCGGUUCUGAUGCAUUUCGGUUAUUCACACAAAUAAGUUUUACAGCAAGUUUCUUAAGUACAAAAAUUAUGGAAGCCCCUCAUCGAGAGAGUAAAAGGUUAUCAUGAAUUUAAAAAGAUAAUUAGCAUCAUUAGCCUACACUAGUUGUAUAAACACAAACAUCCUUUAACCAAACUUACAAGUAAUCAGAAAAUAAAAAUUGCAUAUACAUUAUAUUUUAUUAUAAAAGUUGUUAAAAACCCCAUUUUCUAAGACUCCUCCUUGAGAUUUUUGUUCAAUACUCCAAGCUUUGAUUUCUAAACUUAAAACUUUGCUUUGGUAAAGGGUUUUGUGGUAAUGUUUGCAAUAUCAAUAUUUUUUUAAUUGCAAAGCUUUAAGAUGGUUUCCUUUGAUUUCUUUGCUUCUCCUAUAGAACUAUACUUCACUUUGAUGUGUUUAGUCCUUCCAUUUUGAAUAGGAUUAUUUGUUAUGACAAAAGCUGACUUGUUUCCCAUUUAAAUAGCAGUCAAUGCAUUUUGAAUUUGGCAAACAUCUAAUCAAAUCUUCCUUAGAUAAAUGUUCUUGUAGCACUCUUUCACGGGUUAAAUCAGAUCAUAGUCUAACUUUUGUGCAGUUUCAGAAAACUGAAAAGGUUUUUGCUUCACCUUUUAUGUUUCUAAAAAUUUGGACUUCUCAUCCUGACUGUCAGAGAUGGCAGGUUUCAGAGGUCUGAAAAGGUUAGUUGUCCCAUGUAUGUGUUGAGCCACAAAUUAAAAUGUUAGAAAGCUGAACCAAAAAGGCUAGAACAUAUUGGUGUUAUUUUUAUUUAUUUGGUAAAAUUGCAAUUUUGGUCCUCCAGUUUAUCUUCAAUUUCGAAUUUGGUCUCCCUAUAAUUUAAUUCACAAAUUUGGUUCCCCAGUUUUAUAAAUCCCUGCAAAAUUGAUUCUGGAAACCGAUUUGGAUGUUAACCAUUAAUCUCAGACGUUGACUGCCACGUGUCAACAUCUGAGUGGUUUCCUGUAAAGACUUCAUUUUUUGUUGGUAAAAUUGCACUUUUGGUCUCCCAGUUUUACUCCAAUUUCGAUUUUGGUCACCCUAUAAUUUAAUUCACACAUUUGGUCCCCCAAAUUUAUAAAUCCCUUUAUAAAUUCAUCCAAAUUUCAUUACUGGAGAAGUUGUAUUUCAAAUUUCAAACAAAAAUAUCAUUGUCAUACAUAGGCCACUUAACCAGUCGUAUACACAUAAUAUCGCAUGAGGGAGCAAAAAAAGAAGAGAAAAAAAGAAAAAAGAGGGAGUUAUUAUAGAACCUGUUAAUGUAAGAGAUUUGAAAAUUUCAGACCCAGGUUGGGAUUCAUGCGCCACUUUCCCAAGUUGAACAACUCCGGAAGAGGGUGAGAGACAAAGAGUGAUUUUUCUCUGGGUUCCAAGUGAGUCAAAAACUUGCGAUGAAAAAGAAGUGCGAGAUUUAUCAAGACCUACCAUGUCUCUAGUACCAGUGGCUAAACCAUUCAAAAGACCAAUUUUGCAGGAACAAUUUAUAAAACUGGGGGACCAAAUGUGUGAAUUAAACUAUAGGGGGACCAAAAUCGAAAUUGGAGUAAAACUGAGGGACCAAAAGUAUAAUUUUACCUACAAAACUGAAUCAUUUCAAGGGGAUCCACUCAGACGUUGACACGUNNNNNNNNNNNNNNNNNNNNNNNNNNNNNNNNNNNNNNNNNNNNNNNNNNNNNNNNNNNNNNNNNNNNNNNNNNNNNNNNNNNNNNNNNNNNNNNNNNNNNNNNNNNNNNNNNNNNNNNNNNNNNNNNNNNNNNNNNNNNNNNNNNNNNNNNNNNNNNNNNNNNNNNNNNNNNNNNNNNNNNNNNNNNNNNNNNNNNNNNNNNNNNNNNNNNNNNNNNNNNNNNNNNNNNNNNNNNNNNNNNNNNNNNNNNNNNNNNNNNNNNNNNNNNNNNNNNNNNNNNNNNNNNNNNNNNNNNNNNNNNNNNNNNNNNNNNNNNNNNNNNNNNNNNNNNNNNNNNNNNNNNNNNNNNNNNNNNNNNNNNNNNNNNNNNNNNNNNNNNNNNNNNNNNNNNNNNNNNNNNNNNNNNNNNNNNNNNNNNNNNNNNNNNNNNNNNNNNNNNNNNNNNNNNNNNNNNNNNNNNNNNNNNNNNNNNNNNNNNNNNNNNNNNNNNNNNNNNNNNNNNNNNNNNNNNNNNNNNNNNNNNNNNNNNNNNNNNNNNNNNNNNNNNNNNNNNNNNNNNNNNNNNNNNNNNNNNNNNNNNNNNNNNNNNNNNNNNNNNNNNNNNNNNNNNNNNNNNNNNNNNNNNNNNNNNNNNNNNNNNNNNNNNNNNNNNNNNNNNNNNNNNNNNNNNNNNNNNNNNNNNNNNNNNNNNNNNNNNNNNNNNNNNNNNNNNNNNNNNNNNNNNNNNNNNNNNNNNNNNNNNNNNNNNNNNNNNNNNNNNNNNNNNNNNNNNNNNNNNNNNNNNNNNNNNNNNNNNNNNNNNNNNNNNNNNNNNNNNNNNNNNNNNNNNNNNNNNNNNNNNNNNNNNNNNNNNNNNNNNNNNNNNNNNNNNNNNNNNNNNNNNNNNNNNNNNNNNNNNNNNNNNNNNNNNNNNNNNNNNNNNNNNNNNNNNNNNNNNNNNNNNNNNNNNNNNNNNNNNNNNNNNNNNNNNNNNNNNNNNNNNNNNNNNNNNNNNNNNNNNNNNNNNNNNNNNNNNNNNNNNNNNNNNNNNNNNNNNNNNNNNNNNNNNNNNNNNNNNNNNNNNNNNNNNNNNNNNNNNNNNNNNNNNNNNNNNNNNNNNNNNNNNNNNNNNNNNNNNNNNNNNNNNNNNNNNNNNNNNNNNNNNNNNNNNNNNNNNNNNNNNNNNNNNNNNNNNNNNNNNNNNNNNNNNNNNNNNNNNNNNNNNNNNNNNNNNNNNNNNNNNNNNNNNNNNNNNNNNNNNNNNNNNNNNNNNNNNNNNNNNNNNNNNNNNNNNNNNNNNNNNNNNNNNNNNNNNNNNNNNNNNNNNNNNNNNNNNNNNNNNNNNNNNNNNNNNNNNNNNNNNNNNNNNNNNNNNNNNNNNNNNNNNNNNNNNNNNNNNNNNNNNNNNNNNNNNNNNNNNNNNNNNNNNNNNNNNNNNNNNNNNNNNNNNNNNNNNNNNNNNNNNNNNNNNNNNNNNNNNNNNNNNNNNNNNNNNNNNNNNNNNNNNNNNNNNNNNNNNNNNNNNNNNNNNNNNNNNNNNNNNNNNNNNNNNNNNNNNNNNNNNNNNNNNNNNNNNNNNNNNNNNNNNNNNNNNNNNNNNNNNNNNNNNNNNNNNNNNNNNNNNNNNNNNNNNNNNNNNNNNNNNNNNNNNNNNNNNNNNNNNNNNNNNNNNNNNNNNNNNNNNNNNNNNNNNNNNNNNNNNNNNNNNNNNNNNNNNNNNNNNNNNNNNNNNNNNNNNNNNNNNNNNNNNNNNNNNNNNNNNNNNNNNNNNNNNNNNNNNNNNNNNNNNNNNNNNNNNNNNNNNNNNNNNNNNNNNNNNNNNNNNNNNNNNNNNNNNNNNNNNNNNNNNNNNNNNNNNNNNNNNNNNNNNNNNNNNNNNNNNNNNNNNNNNNNNNNNNNNNNNNNNNNNNNNNNNNNNNNNNNNNNNNNNNNNNNNNNNNNNNNNNNNNNNNNNNNNNNNNNNNNNNNNNNNNNNNNNNNNNNNNNNNNNNNNNNNNNNNNNNNNNNNNNNNNNNNNNNNNNNNNNNNNNNNNNNNNNNNNNNNNNNNNNNNNNNNNNNNNNNNNNNNNNNNNNNNNNNNNNCAUGACACGUGCAGUUAACGUCUGAGUACGUCAACGUCAAAUCGGGCUUUCAGACAUUUUGCAGAAUUUAUAAACUGAGACUAAAUUUGUGAAUUAAAUUAUAGGGGAACCAAAUCCAUAAUUGGAGAUAAAGUGGGGGACCAAUUUUGCAAUUUUGCAUAUUAUUUUACCUUAGUUUUAGUUUUAUUUUCAUUCCUUACUAAUUUUCAAAAGUUACUUAUAAAAAUAAUUGUAUGUUUCAAACAUUAAAUAUUAUUUUUUACAUAUUUAUUAACUUAUUAAAGAUGUCACCAAUUAUUUAUAUUUAUUACUAAUCUUUAAUAUAUUAUUAACUAUUACAUUCUAUUUUUUAUUUGUAAUAAUAAUUAUAUUAUUACAUAUGUUAGCUAUUUCAAAUUAUUAAUAUUUAAUUGAUGUUUAUUAUUUUUUAUGGUCUAAAUGUAUAAGGAUAUUAAGUUAUAAUUUCUUAUGAUUGACCUUUAUAAAAAAUUGUUGUAUUAUUAUUGUUAUUAUUCUUAUUAUUGUGUAAUAUUUAUUAUCAAUUUAAUUAUUUAAAUUAUUUAUUGUAAGUUAUAUCAUAUAUUUCAAAAAUAAAAAUAUUUUUUAAAAAUUAAUUGUGUUAAUGAUAAUUGUUAAAUUAUUUACGUUGAUAACAUAUAUUUUUAAGAAAAUAAAUUAUCCAAUUGAUAGUUAGAAAUUAUCAUUCAUAUAAUUCGACAAUUGAUUUGAGUAGGAAAAAUAAAAAUUUGUAAUGAAAUUAUUCAAAAUAUGAUUGAUAAAAAAGUUAAAAUUGUCACAAUAAUAGAAUCUCUUCAUGUUUUGUUGAACAAAUAUAAUGUAAAAGUAAGAUUUAAAAUACAAUAGUUAUAGAAGAAAAAACAUGAAAUAUAUAUAAAAAGCUGAACAAUAAUAAUAAUUAAAACAUAUAAUAACAUAACACUAAAAUGAAGAAGAAAAAAUAGGCGAAGCAAUUCUUUCAAAGCAAAAAGAAAAAAAAUAAUGAAAGACAAAGAAAAAAAUGGUUCAUGUAACAACUUUUUAAUAAAAGCAUAACAUUGAUCAACAAAAAAUAUUUUAAGAAAUAAUUAGACCUAAAAUAAAAAUAUAAAUAAAAAUAAUAUAAAUAAAAAUUUACACAAUUUUUUUAUCAAUAAUGAAUAUAGAUCCACAUUAUACCUUAUUAAUCUAAAAGAUAAAUUUUAAUUUUUGAUGAUGAUCGAUCACAUGUUCAAAGUAUAAUUUCAUACGUAUAAAUGAAGAAUAAAAGAAAUUAUGAUAUUAUAUCAAAACUUAAAUUAACAUAACAAUAAAAUUAAGAUAAAAAAAAAAAAACAACGAAGGUGAUACUUGAGAAGAAAAAAUAAUGAUAAAAGACAAAGAGUAACAUAUACCUUAUCAAAUAUGGUAUCCAAUUUUCACUUGGCAUUCCUUAUAAAAUGUAUUUGAUAAAUUAUUCAUAUAAGAACUUUCUAAUAAAAACAUGAUAUUGAUUCAAAUGUGUAUUCAAUAUCACAAAAAUCAUUAAAAAAGUUAGACCCAAAAUCAAAAUAUAAAUAUAAAUAACACUGAAAUAAAAAUUUAAACAAAUAAUUUUUUUUAUCAAUUAUGAAUAUAGAUCCACAUUUUACCUUACCGAUAUAAAAGAGUUAAAUUCUCAAUUUUGAUGAUGAUCAAUAACACAUUCAAAUAUACUUUUUUAUACAUAAAAAUAAAAAUAAAGAAUGAAAGAAAUCAUAUUAUAAUAAUGUAUAAAAAAGGAAAUAGAAAGCACACUAAAAAGAAAUUGUGUGGAUAUUUACAAUCCUUUAAAGCAGAAUUUAUAUAGAAAAUGAAAUUAUCAAUUUGAUAAUAACAUGAAGAUGAUAAUGCAAUUUUAAUUAUAAUCAAUGAUUAUAAAUAUUAUUAACUUGAAAAAUAAUUUCAUUAUUAAAAACUUUAAAUAAUAAUAAAUUUUUAUAAAGAAUCAAGUAAAAAAAGCAAGAAACAGAUAAUAUAUUAUAUUAUUUUAACAUAUAAUAAUAAUGUCUAUUACUUUAUUAUAUAUAAAAAUAAUAACGUCUUAGAUAAUUUCAAUAUAUAUAUAUAUAUAUAUAUAUAUAUAUAUAUAUAUAUAUAUUAUUUUACAGUAUAUAAUAUUAUAAAUGUUUUUAGUCGUUUUGUGAAAUAUAUACUCUAAUGUAUCUCAAUUUUUUAAAAGGUAAAAUUAAGCAUAGUGAAAUAUUUUUUAAUUUAAUAUGAAGGGGAUAAUUAUUAUUUAAAAUAGCAUCAAAAUUAUAUAAGUAGCNNNNNNNNNNNNNNNNNNNNNNNNNNNNNNNNNNNNNNNNNNNNNNNNNNNNNNNNNNNNNNNNNNNNNNNNNNNNNNNNNNNNNNNNNNNNNNNNNNNNNNNNNNNNNNNNNNNNNNNNNNNNNNNNNNNNNNNNNNNNNNNNNNNNNNNNNNNNNNNNNNNNNNNNNNNNNNNNNNNNNNNNNNNNNNNNNNNNNNNNNNNNNNNNNNNNNNNNNNNNNNNNNNNNNNNNNNNNNNNNNNNNNNNNNNNNNNNNNNNNNNNNNNNNNNNNNNNNNNNNNNNNNNNNNNNNNNNNNNNNNNNNNNNNNNNNNNNNNNNNNNNNNNNNNNNNNNNNNNNNNNNNNNNNNNNNNNNNNNNNNNNNNNNNNNNNNNNNNNNNNNNNNNNNNNNNNNNNNNNNNNNNNNNNNNNNNNNNNNNNNNNNNNNNNNNNNNNNNNNNNNNNNNNNNNNNNNNNNNNNNNNNNNNNNNNNNNNNNNNNNNNNNNNNNNNNNNNNNNNNNNNNNNNNNNNNNNNNNNNNNNNNNNNNNNNNNNNNNNNNNNNNNNNNNNNNNNNNNNNNNNNNNNNNNNNNNNNNNNNNNNNNNNNNNNNNNNNNNNNNNNNNNNNNNNNNNNNNNNNNNNNNNNNNNNNNNNNNNNNNNNNNNNNNNNNNNNNNNNNNNNNNNNNNNNNNNNNNNNNNNNNNNNNNNNNNNNNNNNNNNNNNNNNNNNNNNNNNNNNNNNNNNNNNNNNNNNNNNNNNNNNNNNNNNNNNNNNNNNNNNNNNNNNNNNNNNNNNNNNNNNNNNNNNNNNNNNNNNNNNNNNNNNNNNNNNNNNNNNNNNNNNNNNNNNNNNNNNNNNNNNNNNNNNNNNNNNNNNNNNNNNNNNNNNNNNNNNNNNNNNNNNNNNNNNNNNNNNNNNNNNNNNNNNNNNNNNNNNNNNNNNNNNNNNNNNNNNNNNNNNNNNNNNNNNNNNNNNNNNNNNNNNNNNNNNNNNNNNNNNNNNNNNNNNNNNNNNNNNNNNNNNNNNNNNNNNNNNNNNNNNNNNNNNNNNNNNNNNNNNNNNNNNNNNNNNNNNNNNNNNNNNNNNNNNNNNNNNNNNNNNNNNNNNNNNNNNNNNNNNNNNNNNNNNNNNNNNNNNNNNNNNNNNNNNNNNNNNNNNNNNNNNNNNNNNNNNNNNNNNNNNNNNNNNNNNNNNNNNNNNNNNNNNNNNNNNNNNNNNNNNNNNNNNNNNNNNNNNNNNNNNNNNNNNNNNNNNNNNNNNNNNNNNNNNNNNNNNNNNNNNNNNNNNNNNNNNNGAGAAGUCAACUUAUACUCUCUUACCUUCAAAUGAUAAUUCAAGUAACAUGAUGACAGCUGAUAUAAAUAAGAUUAAUUUUAUAUGUUAUAAAUAGAUCUAAUGUGUACCAGUUAUUUGUCAAAGUAAGAACAUCUAACACUUAUCUAUAUACAAUUAGAAAAGAGUUAUAAUUUUUUUUUCAAAUUAUCAAAAUAUAAUAUAUAAAUCUUUUUAAUUUUAUUUUACAUCACUUUAUAUGUUUUUAUUUUGAAUAGUUUACAAAUUUUAUUUAUAUUUUAUCAAUUUAUAAUUAAAUGUCAUAAACUAAUAUCUAAAUCUUUUACGUAAUUUUUUUAAUUUUAUUUUAAUGUACUGAUUAUUUUUACUCUAAUUAUUUGUGUAAAACUAAAAAGAUUUAUAUAUUAAAUAUUUUUUAUUUUUAGAUAAUUUUUUUUUGAUAAUUUGAAAAAUAAUAACUCUUGACUAAUGAUACAUAGAAAAUAAUGUUAAUAUAAUUAAUUAAACCAAACAAGUGUUUUAUUACCUUUAUUAUAAAUAAUUUUAUGUAAAUAAUUAGAGUAAAAAUAAUUUAUAUAUUAAAAUCAAUUUACAAAAAAGUUAUGUACAAAUUUUCAUAUUAAUUUAUGAUAUUUAAUUAUAUAUUGGUACCAUAAAAAUAAAAAUAUUUAAACUAUUCAAAAUUAAAAGAUAUAAAAUGAUAUAAAAUAAAAAUUUAAAAUAUUUAUAUAUUAAAAAAAUUAAUUUAAAAAUUUUGAUAAUUUGAAUAAAAAAACUCUUGUCUAAUGAUAGAUGAAAAAUAAUAUUAAUGUAUUUAACUAAACAAAACAAAUGUCUUAGCGAUUUAUUGUUUUGUUUAUGAAUAAAAAGUUAUUAGUUUAAUUUCUAUUUAGACAUUUUUUUUAUUUUUCACUUCAUUUAAUUUAUUUCAAUAUAAGCUCCACGUUAACAUCAAGACGUCACAUUAAAGUUCACUCUGGAUAAUCAAAAUACAAAGGAGUAAAAUUACAACUUAGCCUAUUAUAAAAGGUACCUUCUGUUUUUUAUUUUAAUUGCUGGAUUUUUUUAAAUAAAAUUUUUGUUAUUUAAAAAUUUUGAUAAUUUGAAAAAAAAGCUCUUGUCUAAUGAUAGAUGAAAAAUAAUAUUAAUAUAUUUAACUAAACAAAGCAAAUGUCUUACUGAUUUAUUGUUUUGUUUAUGAAUAAAAAGUUACUAGCUAGUUCAAUUUAUAUUUAGACAUUUUUUUUAAUUUUUGACUUCAUUUAAUUUAUUUCAAAAUAAGAUCCUGGUCAAUAUCAAGAUGUCACAUUAAAGUUAACAUUUCACUCUCGAUAAUCAAGAUACAAAAGGAGUAAAAUUACAAUUUAACCUAUUAUAAAAGGUAUUUCUUCUGUUUUUAUUUUAAUUGCUGGAUUUUUCAAAAUAAAAAUAUUUUUAUUUAUUCAUCAUCUACAAAGUUAAUGAUCACAUCAAUUACUCUUUAUUAAUUAUAUUUAAUUAUUUUUAUAAUUAAUCACCCAUGAUUAUGAUUUAUUUGUGAAGUGUAAAAAAAAGAAAUAAAAUAAGAAACUUCACAACAAUUUUAUCAUAUUGAAGGAACUUUAUUGUAUUUUUUUUUUAUUAAAACAUAAAAACCUUAAAAAUAACAUGAAAAGGAAUGGAGGGAAUAUAAAUAUAACUAUCAUCAAUAAUAACACUAAAUUAGUGGUAAUUGAUAUUAAAAAUUUAAAUAAAUUAUAAAUAAUUUUUAUGUGUAUCACUAUUCAAGCCACAAGUAAUAACUCAAAAUAUUUAUAUAUUACAUAUUUUUUUAAUUUUUAGUUAAAAAAUUGAUAAUUUAAAAAAUAAUAAUUCUUGACUAGUGAUAAAUAGAAAAUAAUGUUAAUAUAAUUAAUUAAAUAACAAAAGUGUUUUAUUACCUUUUUAUGAAUAAUUUUACGUAAAUAAUUAGAGUAAAAAUAAUUUAUAUAUUAAAAUCAAUUUUAAAAAAAUUGUGUACAAAUUUUCAUAUUAAUUUAUGAAAUUUUAUUAUAUUGGUAACAUAAAAAUAAAAAUAUGUAAAUUAUUCAAAAUAAAAAGAUAUAAAAUUAAAAAUUAAAAUGAUUUAUAUAUUAAAAAAUUUAAUUUAAAAUUUUUAAUAAUUUGAAAUAUAAAAAAUCUUGUCUAAUGAUAGAUGAAAAAUAAUAUUAAUAUAUUUCAAUAAACAAAGCAAAUGGCUUAGUAAUUUAUUGUUUUGUUUAUGAAUAAAAAGUUACUAUUUCAAUUUCUAUUUAAACAUUUUUUUUUAUUUUUCACUUCAUUUAAUUUAUUUCAAUAUAAGUUCUAUGAUAACAUCAAGACGUCACAUUAAAGUCAACAUUUAACUUUGGAUAAUCAACAUACAAAAAGGAGUAGAAUUACAAUUUAACCUAUUAUAAAAGGUAUUCCUUCUGUUUUUUAUUUUAAUUGUUAGAUUUUUUAAAAUAAAAAUGUUUUUAUUUAUUCAUCAUCUACAAAGUUAAAGAUCACAUUAAUUACUCUUUUGUUAAUUAUAUUUUACUUAUUUUUUAAAUUUUAAUUAAUUUACCCAUGCAUUUAUUUGUGAAUUGAAAAAAAAAAAAAAAUAAGAAACUUCACAACUAAUUUAUCAUAUUCAAGAAACUUUAUUGUAUUUUUUGAUUAAAACAAGAUAUAGUGACUCUGCUUCAAAAUAUAUUUACUCAUUUUUCUUCUUAGGCAUGCAGAAAUGUUAUUUGUACUAUUUUUAAAAAAAUUUAUUUGUACUAUUUUUUUAGCUGUCAUGCACUAACAAUUAAAAAGGACUGAAAACGAGAAAUUGCAUCUGUUAACAUUACUCAAACCAAAAAAGGAAAAAAAAACAAUAUUCUUAACCAACAAAGACAGCUACACAAGCAUCCCAUAACAACCAAAAACCUGAUUUUACGCCACCAAGCUUAUUCAAAAUUUGAAGGACGACUGAAAUGAAUAAAAUGAGAGAAGAAAUGAUGAUUCUACACCCUAACAUUCAACUUUAUUGUCUUUUCCUGGGAGCAGCUUGCAUCAUCUUUUCUCCCUUCUGCUCACUUUUUCUUCAUUUCCCCCAAAUUUGCUCUUCCUAGCCAACGGAUUUGAUGGCCCUUCUAUAUCCUCUUCAUAUAGCCAGCGAUAUCCGUAUUUCUUCACCUCCGCAUAUGACUCUUUCCACUCAUCAUCACAUUCCAAAACCAAUCUGCCAAGAUAUUUGUGCUUGAGAUGAAAAUGAUAAAUGAAAUCCAUUCGUUUAACAAGGAAUAGGCACAUGUGAUCUGAUUUGUCUAAAACAAGUUCUAGAUCUACAUCUCCAUAAAAAUCCACUAGAAUAUCACCAAAAUCAGGGUAGAUCCUUUCUGUCUCUGAAAAACACAUUGCUGAGAGUGUUUCAUGAGGUACGACGAAUAUUGCACAAAACGCAACGCCAAUCCAAUUAUGGUCAUGCAUAACAGGACAUGCGUCUAAGCUUACACAAUUUCCCUCAUGCUCAUUAUUGAACCACCUUGGUAUUUCACUUCCUGGACUAACACCUCCACUAACAUGGCAGAACGGAUAUAUGUAUAACACCUGGUACAGCAGAGACAUCUCUAUGUUAUUUCCUGAUUCCUAUUCACAAAAAAGGAGAGAGAAAGAGAUGGCAGGAGCAAAGGAGGAACAUGCAAACCUGACACGAUUGCAUCGUCCACGAAAAAGCCAUGUCAGUGCAGCGUUCCCUAUCAACUAAUUCUGGGCAGUUAAAAAUGUAUAAUCCUGCUUGUCUUAGUCUAUCAAAAUUGUAAAUCCGUGAAGGGAGCUCAGGCAAAGAUUUCAACUGCUUGCAAUGUUGUAACUUUAAACAGACCAGUUUGGAAAGCUUCUUGAGGUUGGGCAGUGUAGCAAAAUUGUUACCACUUAAAUCUAGCCUUUGUAAGCAACACAUAAUUCCAAUAGCAUCAGGGAUUUCAACUAAAUUACAGAAACUUAGAUCAAGUUCACGCAUACAUGGAAAU